GCCCUAAUACAUCUUCGAUCGAUCGAUCGACUGGUGAGGUCUUCGGGGAGCUUCUGUGAACGUUUUUCACUACUAAUCGUUACGCCGCUGCUUCUGUUCUUCAGUUUGAUAUCUAUUUUGCUUUUUUAAGCUAGUUUUCGUUGAUGUCGCGACUGUUUCUUGCUGAUUAGAUCGUCUUUGACCUGGGGCCGGAUGGUUUCUAGCUCGGGUAGCAAGAAAAUGUUGGAGAUCUCUCGUGGUGAUCGAGAUAGAUAGUAGUGUAAGAAGAUGAGAUGAAGAUUUAAGAAAUGUUGUGCCGUAGGUGUGCUCGAGCCGUACUUGCUGACGGGUGUCCGUGGAAUUACUUCUGUUGGACGUGCUUGUUUGUCUUAAUGGCGGUGCUUUCUUUGAACUGGAGAUUAUUUUGUGCUUGAGUCAGAAAUUGGGAAUGCGAGCAAUUUGAGCAUGGACCCAUCUUCUCCAAUUGGAAAGAGAGAUGUGCUUCAUUCCCUUUUAUCCAUGUUAAUAUGCAUGCGAUUGUUCAAAACAAAGUUGAACACAAUCUUUUGUUAAAUUUAUAGGAUCUUUACGAUCCUUGAUGACCUCACGAAAUUUCGUAAUUGUAUACUUUUUUCUCGAGUUUUUAAGUUCUUAUGUGGCAUGUGUGAGAUUUGAUUCCAUGUUCAUUGAUAUGUAGUCCCUUAUUGAUUGAUGGGAGAACUUGCUGGCGAUAAACAUGUCGAGUGCAUAUUGUCUGAUGAAAAGAUAGGGAUGAAAUUUUAACAAUUCUCUUCUUGUUCUCUUGUCCACUUCCUGCCACUUACUGAAAAUGACUCGGUUGAUCUGGAUCUACCAUUCAGCAUUUUGGAGUUUUACCGAGUUGAGCUUUUGGGUUGAUAUUGCACUUAGAAAAAGGAUAGUUUUGAGUAGUGGUUUUGGAGCGCUAGAGAUUGAAUGGAGCAUAUUGGGGAUUGACCAUUCUAGAUCUUCUUGGAAAACUUGGCAGUGUGGAUUCAAAUGAAGUUGUUUCUUGGAUCCCGCAAUGCCAGCACGGGUCUCGUUUGUUUAUUUGUCUCUCAACUUCUUUUUUGCGAUUACCCACGAAAAAUGUGCAGCUAACAGAACCUCCACUCCACAUUCAAUCAAAUAUUUCUUAUAUGAUGGUAUGAUUAAGAUUUUAGCUUGGGAUUAACAAUUCCAUCUGUCACAAUAAUGACUGCGCCUUAGAAGUGAUUAGUGUUGCUUUAUUUAUUUUUGAAAGUUCACUCUAAAGAACAAAAUGUGAAUUUCACUUACGGUUGCUUGUGCUGGUGGAUUUGGUGGAGACAUUAUAGACAUCUUCUGUGUGACAGAUUGUAUCCUUUGGAAUAAAGGUUCCUAGAUUUGCAAACUCUUACCAUCGAUGCAAGUUCCUUCGUGUUGUUUUAUGUUUUUAAGUUUUCAACAUCACGAGUGGCAAACUUACCUUAGGCUAGCCAGACAUUGAUGAGGGGGGCUCUCUAUAUGGAGAUUGAAGUUGCUACUGUCGGAUAAUCCCUGGUGUCAAAUGUUCUACAUUGCUGUGCCUAAACCAUGAUUCAGGCAUCAGAGCAGUGCGAAACGAAGAUGGAUAUUUCUCUGGGGAUACAUGGGGAGAAGUUUAUACUCGGUGUCUUGUCCUCAUCUUGGAUCAAUUAUAAUUUUUGUGCUUCUUGAGGAUGUUUCUUAAAUUAUUGACAUCCCUUCAAUCCUUUUUUUUCCCUUCGAAGGUUCUCUUAUUGUGCUAUAUGCUGUUUUUCGAUACUAAAACGGUCGGAUUCGAUAAAUGUGGAGAAUGCUGUCAGAUAUAUAGUGAGUUGCAAAACUCUGGAUGGCAGGUUUGGUUGCAAUCCCGGUGCAGGGUCUCACCUGAAAUGAUAUCAUCGCAAACAGCCUUUGCUCUCUUUACUAAUCUAGCUGGUAGUAGUUAACAGUUGGAGAAAACCAUCUGCUCUAUCUAUAUCUACAAGGAACUAUUUGUCACCAAAAAGCCAAUUAAAAGAUUCCAGAUCCCGCCGUACCAUCACAAAAGGUAAAGAAACUUCAGAGUUGCCUAAAAUAUUAUUAAGCUACGAUCUUCACAAGACAAUGAUCUCCUUUGGAUCGGUAAGACUAUAGUCUCAUAUAAAUUGAAUACAGUAUAAUCUUGGCGAUAUAUUUUGAGAAUGUAAACUCGACCUCAAGGCAUACUUAUUGAAUUUCAUAAAUCAUCAGUUUUGAAUAAUUUUUCUUUCCAAUUCCCAGGAUCCUACAAUGUGCAGUUCUAGAAGUCUAUACUCGGGGACACAGCAGGUCCACAAUUGAUUGCAAGUAUUCCAAUCUGAAAAACCUCCGGACUUAGUAAAGUAGUAAUCAGGAGAUUAACAGAACCGCUUAAAUCCUAGAAUGCUGUGCUAAUUGAGCAAGUAAGCACACUUCAAACGCGUAAAACCGGCAAUGAGCAACAACUGAAAACUGCUUUCUCAUAAGCAGCCACGAAGGGCCUCAGUGAAUUGCAGUUCUUUACUAGCUACGUAAUAACGAAAGUUUCUCCAGUCCACUGUCCUACCCUUGAAUAAUAUAGAGCAAAUCUAGCAACCCAACCAAAUCUAGCAACUAUGUCAUAACCUCAUGCUGAGCUCUUUCGCUGGUUCGUAAUUUCUGAUUGGUGCAUAGUAAGUCAUGUAUUUGCUUAAUUACAUGGUGGUCUUUUAGUUAUGCUCCAAUGAACACAUGCAAAAGAUAAAACCGAGUCGCCACGGUUUUAAGACAUUCCUUAGGACUCAUCUUAGACGUGCCAAAGUAGGAAGGAAUUAAUGAUUUCCAGUGGAGAAUUAGGCAUAAAACAACGAAGCACGAAGCAAGUAAAUUAAGAAGCACGAGAGCCUGACCAAGCACCUUGCCACGAAGUGGCUCACUUUUCUCUCUUCUUUCAAUUCAAAUACAAAAAAUAUUUGCAAAAGGAAGAACUGGAACGUGGGAGUAAUCCUGAAGCGACAAGAUUUGGUGUUCCUGCUUCAAUAGAUGACAAAACCGUGUGUAUUUUGUCUAGCCAAUUGUCUAGUCAGCCACGUAGUGAAUUUGACCUGUGGAAUCCCCAACCAUAUGUAGCAGACCUCAAAUUACCAAUGGAAACCACAACUGCCCAAAAUAUGGGGAAAAAAAAGGAUAACCAUUUUAAUUCUGCAUGAUGAACCAAGAAGAGAGCACUGUUUGCUUCAUUUUCAACCAUCAAGAGCUCCUCACAGGUAAUGAACAGAUACUGGAAUAUCAUUAAAGCGACGAUUAUCCAAACCUUAGAAUAUAAUUAUAAAUAAACUCUUCAAGAGAAGAUGCACAACAUCCUCUGCACAUGAUUACACUCAAUCAAGCAGUCCACAAAAGCAUGGCAACAUAACUAGACUAGGCAUUCAAAUAGUCAAACAAAUGCAAGAAAGCAGACCCUUAAACAACUAUUACCAUAUGAAGCUCGAGCUCAUGCUUAACUACGCAAAGAUAAAUCACACGAUUCCAUUCAACUCGACACCAACUGCCACCCUGACCACCAAAAAAAAAAAAAAAAAACACACACACACACACACCUCCCAACUGCCACACCACUCUUACGUAAUCUUCGGCUAUUAGCUAGUGAUCCAGAGCUUGAGUUCAGGCCGAUGACUCCCGCCACUGAUGGAGUUAAUGAAUGCUUUAAUUCCUCCAGCCGAGCAGCAUUCAGUUUAACAAAUCCUCGGAAGAUAAUUUUUAUUAACAAAUUCAGUUUAACUAAUUGUUAUUCAAAUUCAAAUUCGAGACAAUAAUUUAACACUUUUCUUCUCCUUAUUUUCCUGAUUCUGCAGAAAGAAAUAAUAAAGCGAGUUUGAGGUCUCUUGCGCCUAAAUUUCUCUUAAGAAAAGCCCCUUCGUUAUGGAUGGUGAGGGAUGUAAGAUACCCAACCUCGCCACCGAAGUGACGCACACAACAUAUGGAGAUUCCCAGUAAGAUGGGGAAUUUUAAUAAGAUUUUUCUUGGUUGCGCGUUUUCGAAUGAGUUCAUUGUCUCUCUUCAGUAGACUAAAGCAGAAAUAGAAAGCAAGCAAAGCAUAAUAAAAAACGUAUGAUCUAUGAAUAGAAAGAAGGCGCACCGUUUUCUACAGAGAAUCCCCUGUGAAAGGAAGUGAAGAAUGGACGAAAGAGUUCUGGAAUUUCUUGUCUAUUUCGUAUAUGUUCUGAUGUACAAUUCUCUUGUAAUUAUAGUACAGAGAUGAAGUAAUACAAAGCAAACAAAUAUUUAUGAAAUCGUAUCUAAUCUCAAUCUAAGAUCCUAACUAAAUUGUGUACAAUUAAGAUCAAUUGAGAUUCCGAGCAUAUCUCCUAGAAUUGGAUUAGAGGAUAUCUUCCAACACUCCCCCUCAAGCUGGUGGCUGAUAGAUAUCCAAGACGCCUAGCUUGCUUAAUAGAUAUGCAUGUUAUCUUUGACACAAGGGCUUGGUGAAGAUAUCAGCUGGUUGCUCUGCCGUUCCAAUUCCUCUAGUCUCAAUUAUCCCUUCUUGAAUUUUUUCUCGAGUGAAGUGACAGUCCACUUCUAUAUGCUUCGUUCUUUCAUGAACUAUGGGAUUCGCUGCAAGUUUGAGUGCCGCAUCGUUGUCACAAAACAACCUAGUCGGAUUCUUCAAUUUUAUUCCAAGAUCCCCAAGUAGUCCUCGUAUCCAUACUAUUUCACAGGUAGUUUUUGCCAUAGCCCGAUAUUCUGCUUCGGCUGAAGACAAUGAUACGGUUGCUUGUUUCUUGGUUUUCCACGAAAGAAGAGAAUCUCCAAGUUUAAUGCAAAAACCUGUAAUGGAUCGUCGACUCAUGGGACGAGUUGCAUAAUCUGCAUCACAAUAUGCCGACAUUUUCAUGUUGCAUUCCCUGGAUAAAAGAAUCCCUAGUCCAGGGCACUUCUUCAAGUACUUCACGACUUUUAAGGCAGCAUUCAAGUGAGAUAACUUGGGACUGUGCAUGAAUUGGCUGAGAAAUUGUACUGCAUAUGAUAUAUUAGGUCUGGUCAUAGUUAAAUAUAUGAGCUUCCCAACAAGUUUCUAAUAACUUGAAGGAUCAUUGAGGAUAGGAUCAUGAUUCUCAGAUGUCCUAGCAUCAUAAUCCUUGGUGGUCAAUUUUAUGUUCUGCUCAAUUGGAAUAACUGAUGGUUUACAUCCGGACAGACCUACCUCUAAUAUAAUCUCCAGCACAAACUUCCGUUGACUAAGAAAAAUCCCACGAUCAGAUCGAGCAAUCUCGAUUCCAAGAAAGUAUUUGGGUGCUCCCAAAUCUUUAAUGUGAAAAGUAAGAUGCAAAUGCUUCUUGAAUCUCUCUAUUGCAGUCUUAUUAUUUCCCAUGAUGAGAAUAGCGUCAACAUAUAUCAUUAGAUAAAUAGAUGACGUACCUUGAGUCCAUGUGAAUAAAGCGUAAUCAUAUCUGGACUGUUUGAAACCGGCAGAAAUAAGGGCAUCAGCAAAUUUGGCAUACCAUUGCCUGGAGGCUUGCUUGAGACCAUAAAGAGAUUUACGGAGACGACAUACUCUAUUCUCCCCCUGUCUCUGUAAUCCUUGAGGAAUAUCCAUGUAGAUUUCCUCAUCUAAGUCUCCAUGCAGAAAAGCAUUAUGUACGUCCAUUUGGUGUAAAGACCAAUCAUUAAUGGCUGCAAUAGAUAAGAAGGAUCUUACGGUUACAUCUUUGGCAAUGGGAGAAAAGGUUUCAUGGUAGUCGAAGCCUUCUCGUUGAGUAAAUCCUUUAGCCACCAACCUAGCUUUGUAACGCUCAAUAGACCCAUCUACACGGUAUUUAAUCUUGUAUACCCAUUUGCAUCCAAUAGGUUUGAUUUGGUGGUAGAGGAACCAGAUCCCAUGUCUUAUUUGCAGUUAGUGCUUGCAAUUCAGCCCCCAUAGCUUCCUGCCAUCUUGGAGCUUUAGCUGCUUCUUCAUAAGUGGAGGGCUCGAUGUUUUCUGAUAUUCGACUCACACAACAUCUAUGUUCCGGGGAAAGUCUAUGGAACGAAACAUAAGAUGAUAUUGGGUAGUUAAUACCUGGUGAGUUGAGCGAUGCACAAACAUAGUCUGUUGUCCAAGCCUGCGGUCAUGUAGAACGACCAGAACGUCGAGGAAGAGUCUCUGGAACUAGAGUUGAAGAUUCUUCCGUAUUGCCAAUUUCAUCAGAAGAUCCUUCCGCCAUUAAAGAAGUUGCUGGAUCAUCAGGAGCAUCAUUUUCGACAAUUGCUGGUUCGGAAUUUUCAGAAGUGUUUGGAUUCAUCAUAAGCGUUCCUGGAGUUCCUGUCACGAAAUAUUUUGUAGCUGAAACAUCCUCCACAGAUAUUGGCUUACCAGAAAUAUUUGAAGUCUCUGUUGAGGAAUCCUUUUCUUGGAAGGGAAAAAUGUCUUCAUGAAAGAUAACAUCUCUGCUGAUGAAGAAGUCCAAUGUUGUUUGAUCUAGGACUCGAUACCCCUUUUGCAAAUUCGGAUAGCCCAUGAAGACGCAAUGUCGAGCACGAGGCCCCAUUUUGCCUCGAGGGCCCAAAACAAUAGCGAAGCACUGGCAUCUGGAUACCCUUAAAUGGCCCAAUUCUGGUUUCUUCUGGAAAAGUAACUCAAACGGGGUUUUUCCAUUGAGUAUUCGAGUUGGCAUAUGGUUGAUGAGAUAUGCUGCAGUAAUGAUACAUUCACCCCAAUAAUUAUAUGGAAUUGACGCCUGAAAUUUUAAUGCACGUGCAACCUCCAAUAGGUGACGAUGCUUGCGCUCUACUACUCCAUUCUGUUGUGGUGUAUAGACACAAGAACUUUCAUGGAGAAUCCCAUGAGAUGACAGAAGAGAGUUGCAGUCAUUGUUGAAGAACUCCUCUCCAUUGUCUGUCCUAACCCGUUGGAUAGAUCUUCCAAACUGGUUCUUGGAUAGAGCAAUAAAUGUCUUCAAAUGUGAGAAAACUUGUCCCUUUGACUGCAUCAGAAACACCCAGGUGGCGUGAGAAUAAUCGUCCACAAUUGUCAAGAAAUAGCGUGAUCCAUCAUGAUGUUGGGUAUGAUAAGGACCCCAAACAUCCAUGUGGAUUAAAGAAAAAAUGUGCGUUGCACGAUUUUUACUUAGGACAAAAGGAAUGCGUGAUUGCUUUGCAAGGGGACAUAUGUGACACUUAGAAUAAGGAAAUGAAGCACUAUGACCCAAUCGUGAAUGUGAAAGGUAGUCUUUAUCAUUGGUAGUCGUGUUACACAAUGAUAUUUUAUUUGAAGGAAAUAAAGAUAAAUCAAAAUUACUUGUAGAAUUUUUCCACAGAAACAAUCCUUCAGAAAGACUACCCAAGCCCAUCACUCUGCCAGUCGAAAGGGCUUGAAAGGAGCAGGUGUCAGAAUCAAACAAUACACGACAGGAAUUUUCUCUACAGACUUUGGACACAGAAAUAAGAUUGAAUUGAAAUUCUGGAAGAUAAAGGACAUUUUUGAGUAUGAUCUCUGGGCUAAGUUUGACUAACCCAGUGAUUUUGACAUGAGUAACAUUCCCAUUUGGUAAUUGAACAGUUGUAGGAAAUUCUAGGUUCUCAUGUAAAUCGGAAAAUAAUGCUCUUUCACAGGCGAUGUGAUCACUUGCCCCAGAAUCAAUUAUCCAGGAUUUCCUGGAAAUAUUAUUAAUCAGGCAGCGGGAAAUACCUGAAAAAUUUCCUCCCUUGCUUGAGAUGUCCAAUUUCUGUAUGGCCUGCAUCAAUUGUUGAUAUUGAUCAUUUGUAAUGGGUCGACAAUAUUAGAACCACCAACCUGGUAGGCCGCAGAAAUCCUUUUUCCUUUAUCUCCGGGUUUACCGUGUAAUUUCCAGCAAGUUUCCACUGUAUGAUGUGGCCUUCUGCAAAAAUCACAAUAUAAUUUACCCCUUUUUUGAUUAAAAUUCCUUGCGGUUGCCGAAAAAAUUCCUCCGCCGUCAGAUCCAGACGAAAAAGGACCACCGUCGGAUGUCUUGCCACUUGCUCCAUCUCCACUGUUGGAUCCGAUCGAAUAUAUGGGUCCUUUUGGACCGUCCGAUCUGUGGGUCAAAUGAUCUAAGCCGUCCAGCGCUCCCUUUUUAAGGGAAUAGGGAUCCUCAGAUCCGCCCGAACGAAACCCUAGCCCGAGCUCUCCUCCUCCAUGCGCCCCUUUUUCGAGCGAUGGAUUUAGGGUUUUCGAUCCCCAAUUUCUUCGCUCGCUGCGACUAGCCAGGGCAAAAACCUCGCCUCCCUUUGCCGAUUCUGAAGAAGCAAGCCUCUGGCUUUCUUCUUGGACGGCUAAUUGGUAGAUCCGGCCAAGAGGAGGCACUGGUUCCAUGGCCAAGAUCUGCGAGCGAAAUGUCAGGUAAGAAUCAUUCAAGAUUAAAAGGAAUCGGGUCGCCUUUUCCCUUUCUUUGAUCGAUCGGUAUUGUGCGAGUGUCUCCUCUGGACCCACGAGUUUCUCCUCUGCUGCUUCGAGAUCGUUCCACAGGGAUGAUAGUUUGUUGUAACAGACCAUGAUUGUCAUGUUUCCUUGUUUUAAUUCACUGAGCUCCUGCAAAAGUGAAAAAAUUCGUGCCCGAUCUAACUUGCCAUACAUCUGUUUGAUGUUUUACCACAUGGUUUUCGAGUCCUCUAUUGGUGGGAGACCAGCCGCGACCUCUGGGGAGAUGCAGUUGCCAAGCCAUGUCCUCACGAGUUGAUUGCACUUCCUCCAGAAUCGGGCUAGUCGCUCAUCGGCAGGAAUCGGAACCGCCCCGUUGAGGAAUCCAUCCUUGUCCUUCGUCACAAGGGCGCGCCGGAAGUCUCGGGACCAUCUGGCGUAAUUCUCUGGGCCGGUUAGCCGAAGGUUGAUCAACUUCAGCUCGGGGCCAUCGGACGUUGAGAUGUGCAGAGGAUCACCAGGCUCCGGUCGCCUAGUGACGGCAGAGACGGGGAAUGGCAUGAAUCCGGGCACAAGGUUCGGGUAAGAAUUUGUCCCUUGGCCCGAUUCGUUUGUCCCGAAUUGAUACCCUGCAUUUGAAAGCCCCGGAUAGGGAUUCGUUCCUAUACCGGGUUCUCCAGAUCCGCUUACCUGCUCCAAUCCUGGGGUCGAGCUUGCCCCGUUUACGGCUGGUGAGCUUGCCUCGUAGGUUCCCUGGUGUCCUACAUAAACGGGCGAUGAUGUAUUCGGGUUUGUCCCGACAUAAAAUGGGUAAGGUACCCACUGGAAUGGAUGACCCGCAAAGAGUUGCCCCAGACUGAACUGAGCCUGAGUAGGUCCCCAUUGAACUGGGUGAGUCUGGAUUGUUUGUUGUUGUGUUGUUGCAGGUACAUUUUGAAUCGGCACUGGUGAUGAGGCUUCUGCGGUGGUUUGUUCAUUAGCCAUUGGGAUGAAGAAAACCAGUAGCUCUUGUAUUCUUCUUCGAGGGUGAUUCCUAUACCAAGAUGGCAGAUCUGUUAUGUGACUCAGAUCUCCUUUGGUGGCAAUCUGAAGCGGAAGCAAAGGAUGGACAGAAGCCGAAGCUCUGAUACCAUGAAAGGAAGUGAAGAAUGGACGAAAGAGUUCUGGAAUUUCUUGUAUAUUUCGUAUAUGUUCUGAUGUACAAUUCUCUUGUAAUUAUAGUACAGAGAUGAAGUAAUACAAGGCAAACAAAUAUUUAUGAAAUCGUAUCUAAUCUCAAUCUAAGAUCCUAACUAAAUUGUGUACAAUUAAGAUCAAUUGAGAUUCCGAGCAUAUCUCCUAGAAUCGGAUUAGAGCAUAUCUUCCAACAACCUGUUCCAGUUUCAGAGUCCGCUGCUUCAAUUUCAAAGCUCCACGCUAGCUUUGCUCCAUUCAGAAUCUUCUCUCUGUAAGACUUCCAACGGUCAUAAGUAUACCUGUUGGGAGAAUUACGACAGUCGGGUAACUCCCCGCUACCUAUUAUGAUUAUCGAGCAAUGAUCUGGUAUUUUUGAUCUCGAUGGCUUAAAUAUCCUUCCCACUGAUCUACAGCUUUCAAUUCUCAACCGAUGCAAAAACUCUAAUUCGUCAAUGCCCUCAAAAACCAGCAGGCUUUUGCACCAGCCAAUGUUUAACUCCUUCAAGUUCUUCGAGUUUGACAAACUGCCUAAGCUUUUUAAUGAACAGCACUCUUUAACAGAAAAUUCUUCCAAUGAUUCGAAUGGAGAAACAAAUUGAAUAUCCUGUACCUCUGGGAACCCUGAGAGAUCAAAUUUUACAAGCAUCUUUUGGGAGCUUGGGAAAGGGAGCGCUCCCCUCCAAUGAUCAAUCAACUCGGGAGCUUGUAGUUCAUUGCACCCCGGCUCCUGCGGUUGACAAACCGAACUCUUGGAAGAUCUGCAGUCCUGAAUAUGUGAUCUUUCUGAUGAUUCUAAGACAUCGGCCGGACACCUUGUUUUCUGUCGAUUUUCCUAAACAUGUUGGAAGGAAUGGAGUCUUCUUUUCUGAUGGAGGAAGCCUCCCUAGAGUUUCGUAGAGCUCUAAAACUAUCAAAUUUGAAGAAAGUUGUUUGAAAGUUGGCAAGUCUAGUCCGUAUAGAAUAAGUUCUUUCAGCAAAGAAAGAGAACACAACUCUGUAGUUGGUGCGUGGACAUUUAUAAAGCAAACGUGCAGCUUCCUCAAUUUGGUUAUACUCCCAAUCCAUCCCAAGUCGCCGGUUUGGAAUUCAUUUGAUGGAUGUCUAUUUGUAUAGCCACUAGAUAGGAGCAGUUAAACCAGGUUAGUAAGGUAUGAGAGGUUAGGGAUAGUCUGCAGCGAGGUAGAUCUUAGCCGUACAAUGGUCAAACUUCUGGGGAGCUUCGGCAACUCUUGUAUGCUAUGGCAAGGAUCCAAAUCUAGUGUUUGGAGAAGUAACUUGCUCAUCGUACUAGGCAAUUUUUCAAUCGGUGUGGAUGUUUCAUUGACAGAUGACAAGCUUGGUAGUCUACCAAUGGAAUCCAGUAAUCUUGCAAUUCACGUCCCUGAUAGAUUUAGAUUCGUUAACAACUCUAAUUUCGAAAUUGAAUCGGGGAGUUCAAUCAAGUUAAGACAAAACAAAAGAGAGAGGUGCCGCAGAUUAUGUAACUCUCCAAUUUGUUCAGGCAAUUUUCUAAGUUCGUGAGUGCGCUGAAUGCUCAAGUAAGUUAGUGACCUUAGAUUCCCAAUAGAGCAGUCAAUUUCCAUCAAAUUUGAAUCAUUAAUAGCCAACUCCUCUAAAUUUGAGUACUCGGGAAAGGUUGGUAUCCUAUUCAUCGACACAUUAUGCUCAAUAGUGAGAACCUUCAAUUUCCUUGCCCCCUAAAAAAGCCAAUGAAUCAUCAAGACAUACAAUAAAUGAAUAUGGAUUUAGGCUACCAAUGAGAAAAUUAGAUUAGAAAUCCAUCAAAUUUUAUCCUUCAUUGAAUGAGAAAAUUAGACUAAGAGGAAAACUGGCAUACCUUGAUUAGACACUCGAACGCCUCUUCUGUGAUAUCCAUCCCAAAAAGAUUCACCACAACCGCGUUUUCUAGAUGCAACAAAGCGGUUGCCUCCAAACAUUUAUUAGGAUCACGAGCAAAACGUGUAUAACUGCAACGCAAAUAAAUCCAUUUCAACUCAGAAAGAGCCCAAAAAGUCACCUUGGCAGGUUUCCCCACUCAACCAAAGAAACCGUAUAUGUGGGAACCGCUUCAUUUGCUCCGAAGUGACAGUCAUACGAUCUAACAAACGGAGUGCUUGAACGCUUCUAUUGAUCUGCCAAUGACAUUGAAGAGGAGAAGCAAGAAUUUGUCAAUAUUCCACUAUUUUAUUUCAUAGAAGAGAAGAAAAACCGAAAUAGGAGAGUAUCUUCCAAAUCAAAAACAAGAAUCCUCAAUUAAGAAGUGGGCAUAAGCAAUUUUCUUUUCAAAUUUGGCCAUACUUUACCUCCGUUGAUCUUAAUUUGCAAAUGAUGUCAUUGGUAUCCCAUAACCUGGUAUUCUCUUCUUUAGCAAUUUUCCUUCCAAGGUCUCUCAUCUGAUCGUGUCUCAUCUGAUCGUGCAUCCAAAAUCUAUCAUUAGAUAGAACCUUUAUCAUGCACCUCUCAGUAAGGACAUCAAUGGUAUCCUCUGGGCAAAAUGCACAAUCUUGCCACAUGUAUAUUGGAUUAGUCUUAUUUUGACCGACAAAAAAGCAUGCAAUAUCAAGAAAUAUCUGCUUUUGAUUCAGAUAUAAGGCAUCAUAGCUAAUCCUUAGCUUUGGCAAGACAUCAUCAUGAGGUGUUUCCCUUAGCUUCUUUAGCCACUCUUCCCAUAUUGCUUUCUUUUUCUUAUAAAGGUAUGAGCCUAUUACUUCAAGAGCUAAAGGUAGUCCAUCUGCAGUACGGACAAUCCCUUUUGAAAGAUUGUAGUAACCAGCUUCAGGUUGAUAGUCAUUGAAGGCAUGUCUACUAAAAAGUCGAAGUGCGUCUUCAUCACUUAACCCCACCAUUUCAUAAUACCCCAACAUAUACUUAAAUUUCUUGUCAUUAAUAAUGCUCUUGUCCCUAGUGGUAACAAGUAUCCUGGUACCAUGAUACAAAGAAUUCAUUCCAAUUAGAUUUUCUAUUUGGGUGAACUCAUCAACAUCAUCCAAUACAAUUAGCAUCUUCUUGCUGCAAAUUGUUUCUCCAAUCCUCUGCAUCCCAUUAUAAGUACUGUAAAUUUUUCGAUCCACUUUUAAAUAAGAGAUAUCGGACAAUAAAUUUUCUUGUAGCUUGACCAAGCCUUCUUUUGUUUUCACUGUUUCCCUCACGUCACCAAGAAAGCUGCAAUUUUUCCCAAAGUGAUGACAUAGUUUGUUAAAGAUAACAUUGGCCAAUGUUGUUUUACCGAUACUGCCCAUCCCAUAGAUUACAAUGAGCCGCACAUCUUCAGAGUCGAUGUCUAGUAAUUUGUCUAUGGCUACUAUACAAUCCUCUAUUCCAGCUAAAUUUUUAGGUGCUUGUCUUUGUCUUGUCUGUAGCCUGCCUAGAACCUCAUCAACAACCGCCUUGAUAAGAUCCCCAUGGUUGCUACAAAGUUAAACAAUUUCAAUUGAGAAAAGGUGACAAAUUUGCAUGCUAACCAACCAUAUACCACUUAGCCAGCGGGAAUGCAAUCAAGUUUAGGAUAUAUAAAAAUUUAACGUUACCCCCAAAGCUUCAGGAACAUGCCAAAUUACUAACUUGAACAUCCAUUACAAGUUUAAGUUAAAGAAAUAGAGGAAGAGAAAUGCUUGAUCUUUAUAUCAAGUGGAACAAUCAAAAUUUCUGGCAAAAAAGGAUAGAAGAAUCAAAAUAUAGAUGUAGGAUGAAUUAUUGUAAUAGUAGAUUUACUUAAUUUUUUCAGCGUGGAAAAGAACCUCGCAAAGGCAACAAUACCUUAAUCAAGUUCGCUAGCAAACAAUAGGAAUCUUAUUACAUAUAAGGAUCAAAUUAGUAUAAAAAGAUGAAGCAAAGCCAAUCUUUUUAUACGGUGGAAAAUAGGUGAAAAAACAGAAUUAUAAUAACCCUAUUAUGUAAGAAAUUUUUUUUGGAAAUCUCGUGAUUUAAAAAAUAAAAUAAAAGAACUAUGGCCUGAUUGUACAAAAUAAUUGUUAAAAAAAUUGAAAUUUAAAAAAAAAAUUGAGUUUGAAACUUUCUGUUAAGGAAAUUAGAGUUGGAAUAUAAUUAAAGAAUUUUUAUAAGGACUAUGGCCGGAUUGUACAAAAUAAUUUUCACAGUCGUAGGUAGAUUGUCACCGUGAAUAAUCCUCCAGCUUGAAUCCCUUGGUGUCAUUGACUUCUUUGAGAGCUUGCCGCCACGUCUCCACAUCCUCAGAGCUGAACUUCUUCUUCUGAUCCUUAAUCUCUUCCGCCAAAUCUGAUAUGGCUUUGCUGUACAACGUGGUUUUCAACUUCACGUCAUCGGGUUUCACAUCAUAGGAGAUGGGCAAUAUAACCUUCCCAUUUUUGUUUGAUUUAGAGUUCUUCACCAUCUUCACAAGCUCACAUAGGCACCAUGACUUGAAGCAUACUUUUCGGAGAAGAUGGGUAUGUAUAGCUUGGAAUCAUCGUUCGCUCGCAAAAGGCUGUUGCUAAGUCUUUCACCCGGUCGAAGCUCUUCAUCAUCCAUGAAGACAUGAAUCCCGACAGCUACCAAGGCAUGGUAGAGGCAGUUGGUGAAUCCAUGAUGGGUAUUAGGCCCUCUAAAACUUAGGAACACCUGAUACUCACCUCCUGAUGUAUUGCUAGUACUCGUUCCGAUUUUUUAGCUCGCCAUAGGAGCUCACUUUGCAUUUAGUAGGGUCAAUCCUCUCUCUCUCUCUCUCUCUCUCUCUCUCUCUCUCUCUCUCUCUAAUAGACACUAUCGAAUCUAGGCAAGUUCGCACAAAGCCUUGCGGUUCUCAGAUGUGAAAAGCCUUUAUUACAUUCUCAAUGUGAAAAACUUUCCAGAUCAUCCUCACUUGGGAAUUUACAAAAGGAGAACUAGUGCGUUACAUCAGAAAAAGGAGAAAAGGCUAUUUGUUAUAGAGACGUUUGUAUUGGGUCACGCACGAGGUUUAAUCGAAAGUUAAACGCAUACAGGAAAGUUCAGUGCAACUUCCAAUUUAUAGUCAAUAAAGUUGGUGGGUCUACAAUUGACAAGCGGAGGACAAUUAUGGAUAUGUACCUUGUAACAUGCCCAAUUUCUUUCUAGUUUCUUCUUGUGCUUUUUCACUCUUUGCUUUUGAACUUUUGGAUUUAAAAGAAAAAAAAAAGAUUCUCAAACAUUUAUUAUUCUAUAGACAUAUCUAUAGUUGGACAUAUUUAAAAUCCCAAUCCAGUAUUGUAAAUUCACAAUUUAUCUAUAUAAAUGCAUGACAACAAAAUAUUCUUAAUGGGACUUUGCGUAAAUAAAAAAUCUCCUUCAUAUUACUAAUAAUUGGAUUUACUGCAUUCGGGGUAGAAAAUGCACCACCUGAGCACUACCCAAGCGUAUGCUUCCUACUCACUGUGAAAUAUUUGUUUGGAUCUCAUCACCUUAAAAGACUUAUCUUUUAUUUUAAUUAAUUUAAACCACUUAAUAUUAUCAUAGAAUAUGACUCUAUAUUAUACAGCAAAUGAUUGCUCAAAUCUUUGACUUUUAAUUAAAUGGACUACCUAAAGGCAAGGAAAUGCAAUGAUGCCACUCAUCAUGAUGUUGCUUCGAGCGUGGAAAAGGGAAAGAAACCAUGAUGGUCAUGACGAUAAGAGGCGACUUUGCUCAGCUGAAGAAAAGGAAAAAGACAAAGAAAAGUUACACUGAUGGUGUCUUUUUCAUGUUGGCCACUCGUUAUUUCUCUUCAUCUUCAUUUCCUUCCGCUGAAUUUCCUCUUUAAAUACGAAGAUGAAGAGCUAUUAAUGUAAAAGAGAGCUCUGAAGGCUGAACAGAGCACAUUUGAAAGUGCGCCGAGAGUUCCUCUUGAGAGAUUUGAUUAAGAGAGUUUCCUUCGUGAAAUUACGGCAAAUAUUCUUGCGUUGAAACUAGUUAAAUCUUAUAUUAAUAUUUAUGUCAUUCUUCAAUGAAGUUGAGAUGUCAUUUCGAAAGAUAUUAUGAAGGAUCAAAACCUAUUGGGUGCAAAUGAAUUUUUAGAAAAAAAGUAUCAUUUUAACAGUUCUAUUCAAACUUUUAAGGCUAGACUUGUAGCCAAGGGAUAUAGACAAAAAGAAUGAAUAGAUUAUUUUGAUAUGUAUGCUUUUGUUGCACGUAUAACUUCUAUUUGAGUUCUUUUUACUCUAACUUCUAUUUAUGAUCUUUGUGUUCAUCAAAUGAAUGUUAAGACUGCUUUCUUAAAUGGAGACUUAAAUAAGGAGAUUUACAUAGAAUAACUGGAGGGUUUCGUUCUUCAUGGAAAUGAAAAGAAAGUAUGUAAAAUUAAUUAAGUCUCUUUAUGUGCUUAAGCAAGCUCUUAAGCAGUGGCAUGAAAAGUUUAAUUCGGUUCUAUUAUCAAAUGGUUUCAUUAACAGUAGUACUGAUAAGUGUAUAUACUCUAAAUUCACUAAAGACUAUGGUAUGUUAGUGUGCUUGUAUGUUCAUGAUAUGCUUAUCUUUGAAACGAAUAUGACUGGAAUUAUUGAGACUAAGAAGUAUCUAACUUUCAUGUUUAAAAUGAAGGAUUUUGGUGAAAUAGAUACUAUCCUAGGUAUUAAAGUUAAGAAACAUAGCAAGGGUUGUUCUUUAAGUUAAUGUAGUUAUGUUGAAAAAUUAUUAAAUAAAUUUCAACAUCUCGGUUUCAAGGAAAUAAGUACUCCAUUUGAUUCCAGUAUUAAAUUAAAUUAUAAUACUGGUAGAGUGGUGGUAGAACUAGAAUAUACGAGUGCUAUGGGAUUUUUAAUGUAUGCGAUACAUUGACUAGACUCGAUAUUGCUUAUUUUGUAUGCAAGUUGAGUAGAUAUACUAGUAAUCCAAAUACAAAACAUUGAAGAGCUACUACCAUAAUUUUUUAUUAUCUAAAGAGAACUAAAAAUUUAGGAUUGUUCAAUAAUAAUUAUUCAACAGUAUUAGAAGGAUACGCCGAUGCUAGUUGGAUUACAAGUGUAGGAGAUGAGCAGUCCACUUCUGAAUGGAUUUUCUUACUAGCUAGAGGUGUUGUAUCUUAGGCAAGUAAGAAACAAACAUGUAUAACUCACUCAACAAUGGAAUUUGAAUUUAUUAUACUUUAGCGGCAAUUGGAAAAGAGGCUGGAUGGAUUAUGAAUUUGUUGUUGGAUAUCAAAUAUGGCCUAACCAUAUGCCUCCUCUUUCUAUCCACUGUGAUAGUCAAGCUACUUUGACAAGAGCCUAUAAUAGCACCUAUAAUUGUAAGUCUAGACAUAUUAAUUUAAGACAUGAAUAUGUGAGAUAAUUGAUUAAAGAUGGUACCAUAACAAUUGUCUACGUAAGGUCAAGUAAUAAUCUUGACGAUCAUUUGACGAAGGCUUUACCAAGACAUAUGGUAAUAAUUAUCUCACAAGAAAUAAGGCUAAAACACUUUAAUUGAAAUAACCAAUAACAGUAACUCGACCUUUUUCUAGAACAUCACUAGUUACAAGGUGUUGCGAUCAAAUUUUCAGGUGCACCACCUAAAAUUAAGUUAAUGGAUUGCUAAGCCUAAACUUAACUUGAGCUCUCCCAAGCCCAUACUAAUUCGCGACUUAGGUUCGAGUUCUUAACAUGCAAUUGAUUUUUCAAUUAGAAGUCGCCACUAAUCUAUUUUUGGUAGGUCGAUUAGAAACCCAAGUAAAAUAAUGGGAGAUUUACUUUACUUCGACGAACCAGAGAUUUUGGGUACAGGAACUUGAUUAUGUUAGAUUUCUCCAACGCCCUUUCGGUACCUUUCUCUUUUAUUUUGAAAAAAAGUUUGACAGGCAGCUUGAAUUGAUUUUAAUUUAUCUCCCUAACAUGCGAGGUUAUCAUGCGGGUGUGUAAACUACCAAUUUAACACCCAAGUAAAACAAUAACUAAAUUGCAAAACUUACCUCAUAGCAAUGAAAGUAUCUGUGUUGUUAGAUUAGAAUUCACAUCAAGGUCUUAAAUAUGAUUUCUAAUUAACACGUAAUCACUCAAUUUUUGUUUUCACUUAUUUAAUGAGAAUCUAAUCUAUAUGCAAUGUAAUAUUACUAAUCUAACAUGAAAUGAUAUGACAUAGCAGUAUAGCCUAAACUAUAUGACAUGAGAAAAGUAAUUUUUUUCAUAAACAUGCAAUAAUUAAAUAUGCAAUUUAAAUUAACUAAAAUGACGUAAUUCUAAUGAUGGGCAAUUUCUAAUUAAAUGAACCUAGCAACAAUCACUAAAUGACAUGCAUAUUAUGAACCUAAUUCUAUAUGACGUGCACAUGAUUUUUAUUUUCUCAAUAAGUAUGCAAUCUAUUAUAAUAUGCAAUUUAUCUAAAGAUCAAUUUAAACUUAAAAUAAAACAUGUAAUUUUAUCUUAAUAUGUAAUGACGUACAAAGAAUGCCCUAAUUUUACGUGACAUAUGCAUGAUGACUUUUUUGUGUUUUUUUUACUUUUUUUUAAAUUUGAAAUUUAAAAUUGCCAAAUAAUUAAACGUGCCAUUUUUUUAUUAAAAAAUAGCAUCCUAAAUUGAUUGAUUUCUUUUUUUUUUUGGAUUUUUAUUUUCUAAAAUUCAAAAUAGAUAAAUUUCACAUUCUAAACAUGCAAGAUAAUCCUAAAAUGAGGAAUGUUCUAAAACGAACCUAAUUUAUCUCAGAUUAUUUUUUUUUAUUUUUUUAUGAAAACAAAAUUAAUUCAAGCGACAUGGAUCAGAGUAAGACAAGAUUGAUAUAAAAUAAAAAAUAAAAUUGACGAACCAUAUCUCGUGCAUGAGAUCGGGUUAAUCAAUUUUAAAUAAAUCACGAAUCGAAUCUUAAGCGUGAGAUCGGAUUGGCAAUUUUUCAAGUGAUUGCGAGUCGGAUUUCGAGCGCAAGAAUUGACCUGUCGAUCCCAAAUUUCAUAGGUGAUUUCAUGUCGGGAAGUCUCAAUCUUACAUUAAGGAAUAGUUAUGCUAAAAAAGAGCAAAUAAAGUAAAAUAAAUAAAUAAAUAAAUGGAAAAACAAACUACUUACUGUGAUUUUUUCCUUUUUUUUUUUGGCUUUUUUCCUUUUGUUUCCAAAGGAGGCAGGUGGCUGUGGUGGGUGCUCGGUCGGGAGUUGCAGUCGUUGAAGGUUCGUAACGAGGACCGUCGUGGGAAGGAGUGGAGGAAGUGCUGGCAGUGAACAACAGGGGCGAACAGUGCAACAACCUCAUCGUCGGACGAAUCACAGACUACAAUUCGUCAUGAAGCAGUGCAAGGGGGCCAUGUCAUCAACACUUCCGGUGUUGACCACUCAAUGAAAAAUCGGGAAACAAUCUGCAAAAACAGAAAUACGGGUCAUGGGGCCGAGAGGAAGCAGCAGCGCAAGGUUCGAUCAGGCUAGCUGCGGCACGUUGGAGGUUGACGAGGCUUGAGUGGGAAUGGCGAGCCCCGUGAUCAGCAACAAGAAUCGGUGAUCAAGCAACCGCCUCGUAGAGUCAGGGAUCUCCUCAGUGUUGCUAGCCAGGGAUGAAGGAGGCUGUGAUUCAGAACAGAUGGAUGUAGCGAUUGAUUCCACGAAAGCAGGAGCAACACAGGUCGUCUUCAAGGAUGGAGGCGGAAAGGCAACAACUGGCUUGGGAUCUUCUGUGGCAUUGCGAUCAGGUGGAGAGGCAGGCACGGCAAGGCAGCAGCGUGCCGAGGCGCUACAGCAGGGGAGCGGUGGCACAGCGUGGUUUUAAAAUCGGGCUGUAGCAGCUUCGCUCAAGCGCACGGAUGACGACCAGCGGGGCACGGGCAGCAACGGCAGAGGUGCGUUGAGGCAGGGGCAGCUUCACGGGUUGCUGGCAGCUUGGGAAGCAGCGUCGCCGGUAGAGCAGCGACGAUCAGUGGCUCGGAGGUGAUGGCGCGGUGGAGGCUGACAUGUUGAAGAUACACAAGGAUAUUCAACGGAAUCAUUCAGAUAUCAUUGCACAAGUCAAGAUCAAUUAAUAUCAGAUCUGAUUUUGUAUAUAAUAUUGUUUCCUUUUAUUUACAUACAACAUGUACUAUAAUACACGUUCGGUACAUUGCGUGAAUAUACUGAAAUAGAAGAGAAAAUUUCCCCUCUCGCUUCCUUUCCUCUUGUCUUCUUCAUCUUCUUACAUGGAUCAGAGCGGGUCAUGCACCUUUAAUCUGCUUCUUCCGCCUUGCUUCAUCCUCUUUUGGUCUUCUUAUUGUCUGCCGGAAGAAUCUAGCUAACCUGCAAAACGCAUUAGCAACCUUGAGGAAAUCACAUUGAAACAGACGAAGGAAAAAGAAGAGGGAGAUCUCCAUACCAUCAUGGCUGACAAUCAACCUUAUUACUUGUGGAUGCAGCGACCUCAGAAGCACAAGAUCAAGUGCAUAACAUCAUAGGUCGGACUGAUCAGCCCACAAUGGGGCAAUUUUUUCCAUGGCAACCCAGUCUAGGGUAUCCCCAUUCGGGGACUUCCUACCAAUGGGUACCAAUGCCAAUAUACUAUGGAGGAAAUCCAAAUGUAUCAUUCUCAGGAAGUCAAACUCAAAACGGUCCAUUAGGCACGAGCGGGGUGGACCACUCAUAAGCAAUCGGGUUAUCUAAUGCGAGCGAAAACCCUAACGGGUCAAGUGAUUCACAUGCGGGGACUCAAGGCACUUUCAAUCAGGGUCAGCAAGCAAACCCUUACUUCGGCUUUCCACAUGGUUUCCUACCGAUCUCGGCCGCCAUGGGUCGCCUAGAACUCGGCGACGCCUUGUAUGUCUCCAAUUCCGAUGGGCUAGAGUUGCGACUUAUUAGUCACCCUCUCACAGCACCCAAAAACUACUUGAGCUGGACACGAGAGUUUCGGGGAGCGCUCAUCACAAAAGAUAAAGAAGGUUUCAUCGACGAAACUAACCCGAUUCCGACUGAUGAGAAGAUGGGGUGACAAUGAAAAUAAAAUGCAACCAAUUGGUGAGAACGUGGAUAGGUAAUUGCAUCAACCCAUAAAUUGCAGCAGGUUUACCUCCCACAGAGGAUUCAAAAACAGUUUGGCAGAAUAUUCAAGAAAUGUACAGGAAACUCGAUAGGGCAAAAAUUUUCUUGCUACACCAAGCCCUCAACGAGCUGAAGCAGGGAAACAUGUCAGUGACGACAUGCUUCAACAAGCUCUCUACCCUCUGGAAUGAGCUAGAAGCGGUAGAGGAGAGCCUCGAAGGACCAGAGGCAAUGCUCCAACAAUAUAGAGCAAUGAAAGAUUGAGAGAAAGCAACCCAUUUCUUAUUGAUUCUCAAUGACUCUUACCUUCAUUUCAAAUCAUAGAUCCUGGCCAUGGAACCAGCUCCUCCCCUUGGCCAAAUCUUUCAGCUCGCAAUGUAGGAGGAAAACUAGAGGCUCACUGCAACCGACGACAAGACCUCCGAAACCCUAGCACUAACGGUGAAAAUUGAGAAGGGACGGAAAACCCUAGCCAAAGGGAGAGAGGCGACGUCGCUAGGGUUUGGAGAGCCAAAGGGGGAGCUAGGGUUCGCGGAGCCGAAGGGGUUUUUUAAAGGCUUCGUGGACGGCCAAGAUCGACUCCAGCGAUCUAACGGUCAAAAAGGGGCGUGGUACUCGAUUGAUCUUGACGGUGGAGAUGCGCUUGGCUUAAAGGGAUCAAACGGUCUAAAUUAUUCGAGAAAUUAUGGGCCAAAUUUUAAAAAUAGAGGGAAGUUAUUUUGUGAUUAUUGCAAAAGGCCCCAUCACACAAUUGACAAUUGUUGGAAAUUACAUGGGAGACCUGAAAGGAAGGGAAAUGAGAUUUCAACAUCAGCUUACCAGUCCACACCAUCCACAGAUGUCAAUCAACCCAUCACACAUGGAGAAUAUCAACAAUUAAUGCAGGCUUUGCAAAAAUUGGAGGUUCCAAAAAAGGGGAGUAGUUUUACAGGUAUUUCUCAUUGCCUGACAAAUAAUAUAUCAAGAAAUGCCUAAAUUAUUGACUCGGGAGCAAGUGAACAUAUUGCAUGCAAUAAGGGAUUAUUUUUUGAUAUUCAUAAAGAUUCAACUAAUCCUAUUAUUGUGCAAUUACCAAAUGGAAAUAUCACUCAUGUCACCCUAAUUGGGACUGUCACUCUUAGCCCGCAAAUUACUCUAAAAAAUGUUCUUUAUAUUUUGGAUUUCCAAUUUACUCUUAUCUCUGUGUCCAAAGCCUGUCAAGAAAAUGAGUGCCAAGUAUUUUUCAAUGUUGAUAUCUAUCUAUUUCAGACCCUUUUGUUUGGGAAACUAAUGGGCUGGGGUAACCUCUCUGAAGGAUUGUUUUUUUUUUUUUUUUGGAGAAAUUCACCCAAAAAUCUUGAUUUACUCUCUUGUAAUAAAUCAUUGUGUAAUCUGACUACUAAUGAUAAGAAUUUCCUUUUGCAUUCCAGAUUGGGUCACAGCUCUUCUCUUCCUUAUCAUUAAUGUCCCAUUUGCCCACUUGCGAAACAAUCGUGUACACCUUUUCCACUAAGUCAACAUCAUUCAAGUGAUAUUCUUUAUCUGUUGCAUGUCGAUGUCUGGGGGCCAUACCAUACAUUAAAUCAUGAUGGGUCUCAAUUCUUUCUCACCAUCAUAGAUGAUCACUCUAGGGCCACAUGGCUUUUUCUCAUGCAAAGUAAGGGUUAAGUUCUGUCUCAUCUAAAGACUUUUCUUUCCUUGUCAAAAACCCAAUUUGGGAAAAAUGUUCAAAAAAUACAAACAGGCAAUGGAAGUGAAUUCUUCAAUCAUGAAUAUACUUUUUUUUUUCGUCACAUGGGAUACUACAUGAGAGCACAUGUGUCUAUACACUACAACAAAAUGGGGUGGUAGAGCGAAAACAUCGUCAUCUAUUAGAAGUGGUGCGGGCUUUGAAAUUUCAAGCUUCUGUUUCAGAAACUUUUUGGGGUAAUUGUGUUUUAACUGCAGCUUAUUUGAUAAACCAUAUGCCAAGUAAGCUUCUUGGCGGCGAACACCUUUGGAGCUGCUUUAUGGAAAGAAACUAGAUCUGGCACAUUUGAAGAUUUUUGGAUGUCUUUGCUACGCCACCAUAGUAGGUCCUAGAGAUAAAAUGGGACCUCGUGCUCGUCGCUGCAUCCUUAUGGGAUAUCCCAGUUUACAGAAGGGAUAUAGGGUAUUUGAUCCCUUCACAGGAGAAUUCAUAGUUAGUUGGGAUGUUUCAUUUCAAGAGAAUUCUUUUCCUUUUGCCGCCUCUGCAUCAAAUACAGAUCAAGACGAUCAUUUCCAUACUAUUUAGACGGAGGAGACUAUGGAAGAUCCAAACUAUGUUCUCUUUUGUCCAUCAGCAGAUAUCAGGCCAUCUGCUAUGACACCUAUGGACACAACAUCCUUACUUGAAGUGACAGCACAACACCAAGAGGAAGUCACUUCCCCAGUUUCGAGUACUGUUGGCAAUUCAGAUAAUAAUUCACCAUCAAGGAACGAUGUGCCAAGGCGAUCCGGACAUAGCACACAUCCGCCAACCUGGGCCAAAGACUACAUAUGCGGAGUCCAGAAGUCACCAGGUAUUUUGUUCCCAGUUGCCUCAUUUGUUUCCUUUGAUAGACUUUCUCCAAAAUAUAGAUGUUGUAUUACUCGCAUUUCCGAUGGGUGAGAACCAUCGAGUUUUGAAGAGGCAAGCACUGAUCCACACUGGCAAAAGGCCAUGGAAACAAAAUUAACGACCUUGAUGAAUAAUCAGACAUGGGAUCUUGUUACCCUACCUACACACCACAAGGCAAUUGGAUGCAAAUGGGUUUACAAGAUCAAAUAUCGUGCAGAUGGAUCUAUUGAGAGAUACAAAGCCCGAUUAGUGGCAAAGGGUUUUACACAACGGGAAGGUUUUCACUACCAUGAAACAUUUUCUCCCAUCGCCAAAGACGUUACCAUCUGCUCAUUUCUUUCUGUAGCGGCAUUUCAGGACUAGUCAUUGCAUCAUAUGGAUGUUCAUAAUGCGUUCCUGCAUGGCGAUUUAGAUGAGGAAAUUUAUAUGGAAGUGCCACAAGGUUUAUGGAGACAGGAGGAGGAUAAAGUAUGUCAUCUCCGCAAAUCCUUGUAUGGACUCAAACAAGUCUCAAGACAGUGGUAUGCGAAGUUUGUUAAGUCAUUGAUAGCUACCGGUUUUCAACAGUCCAAGUUUGAUUAUGCUAUUUUCACAUGAACUAGAGGUAUGUCAUCUAUCUACUUAAUGAUAUAUGUAGAUGAUAUACUUAUUAUGGGCAAUGAUGAAAUAGCUAUUAAAGAAUUCAAAGACUAUUUGCAUUCUACAUUCCAUAUUAAGGAUCUAGGAUCACCAAAGUACUUCCUUGGAAUCAAAAUUGCAUGCUCAGACCAAGGAAUUUCCCUCAGCUAGAGAAAAUUUGUACUAGAGAUUAUAUCAGAAGUAGGCCUAUCGGGAUGUAAGCCAGUUGUAAUUCCAAUCAAGCAAAACAUUAAACUGACUACGGCAAAUUAUGAUGCCGGUUUAUCUCCAUAGACUGAUCCUGUACUCAAGGAUCCAUUUAGAUAUCAGAAGCUUAUUGGGAAGCUCAUUAUUUGACCAUGACCAGACCAGAUAUAAGUUAUGCAGUUUAGACACUUAGUUAGUUUAUGCACCAACCGAAGGAAUCUCAUAUGAAUGCAGCACUUAAAGUGGUGAAGUACUUGAAGAGUUGUCCAGGACUUGGGAUUCUCCAUUCCAGGAAAUGUGACAUGAGGAUGACUGUAUACUGUGAUGCGGAUUAUGUGACCUGUCCGAUGAGCAAAAGAUCCAUAACCGGUUUAUGCAUCAAAUUGGGGAACUCUUUACUCUCAUGGAAGACAAAAAAGGAACCGACUGUUUCACUAUAUUCAGUAGAGGCAGAAUAUUGUGCCAUGGCCAAAAUAACUUGUGAAAUAGUAUGGUUACGAGGAUUGCUUCGAGAUCUUGGAGUACAAGUUAGAGGACCGACUAGACUAUUUUGUGACAAUGAUGCAGCCAUCAAACUUGCGUCGAACCCUAUUGUGCAUGAGAGAACCAAGCACAUAGAAGUGGAUUGUCACUUCACUCGAGAAAAGAUCUAACAAGGGAUGAUCGAGACACAAGGGAUUGGAAUAGAAGAACAACUAGCAGAUGUCUUCACCAAGCCUUUAUGUUAGAGACAGCAUGCGUAUCUUUUGAGCAAGAUAGGCGUCUUAGAUAUCUAUAAGCCACCAGCUUGAGGAUGAGUGUUGAAGAUAUGCAAGGAUAUUCAACGGAAUCAUUCGAAUAUCAUUGCACAAGUCAAGAUCAAUUAAUAUCGGAUCUGAUUUUGUAUAUAAUAUUAUUUCCUUUUAUUUACAUACAACAUGUACUAAAUACACGUUCUGUACAUUACGUGAAUAUAUUGAAAUAGAAGAGAAAAUUUCCCCUCUCACUUCCUUUCCUCUCAUCUUCUUCAUCUUCUUAUACGACAGUGCAGGGUAUCGGGUAGCAAAGGAAAUCCCCUGAAGAAGAAGCACAAUAGCUUUUCUUUCUUUUUUUUCCCUUUUUUUCCUUUUCUUCCCUUUCUUCUCACGACCCUCUCUCUACUCUCUCUUUCUCUCUACCACCGUCAGCAAAAGGAAAAAAGUCCUCUGCUCACUUUUUCCUUCCCCCAAAGAAACCGUACUUUUUUUUUUCUUUUUGUUCCUCUUUUUUCUGUUCUUCUGCACUUGGUCAGAAGGAAAGAAAAAGAAAACUGAUUCCUUUUGCUUUUUCUUUUGUGUCGUGAACAAAGAAAAGACCCCUCCCUCGGGAGCAAAAAUUUCUUCCUCGACAGAGAAAACCGAGAAAAACCCCUCAAUGUGAUUGAAAAGAAAAUAACCCCUCCUCAACGUGGCUGUGUAUUUCUAUUGUGUGGCCCCCAAAAAUCCUAUCCAUUUUACCUUUUUAUAGGCCACCGAUUAAAUUUUUUUUUUCCAAAUUGAUAUCCACAAAAAUAUUUUUUUUUCAAAAGCAAUAUUCACUUUUCCGAACGCAAUAUUUGUUUACACUUGCCUUAUUCAAAAAUAUUCCAUCAUAUCUUAGAAAAUUUCAAACUACUAUUUUCACAAGAUAAUUUCCGAUCAUAAAAAACAGGCUUAGGCUAAUUUGCUCGCUUAGUGGGCUUAACCCAACUCAUCAAAUUAAAGUUCAAACCCACUAAUUCGAACCCAUUUGUCACCGGUCCAAUAAAUGCAAAACAUGCAAAUUAAAAAUCAAUGCACCUAAAAAUUAUAUGCUAUGCAAUUAAUUAUUAUUUAUGGAUAAAAUUAACUCAUAAUUUUCUAUACAAUAAAUAAAUGACCAGAUUGCCAAAAUUUAGGUGUCAACACAAGGUUUAAUGGGUAAUAACAAGUUAUUGAUUGUGAUUGUUUGUACCUAACGUAGACCUAAUAUGAAAAGUUAGUAUUGCCUGUUACAUUUUGUAGGUUUGAUUGAAUUCUUAAUGAAGUAUAAUACAAACUUGUAAUGUGUUGAUAAUAACAGAAACGCAUAGUAGAUACUUCAUCUAUAUGAGCUUAGAAGUGAUGUCACUUCUUACAAAAAUUAGGGUUGCUUUCUAGAGAGCUCAUGAAACAGGAUCACUAGCAAAGUAAUGCCCUCAAGAUUGAUAUUCCUGAAGCUUUUCAAGUUAGAACAAUUAUUGCGAAAUUGCCUCCAAGUUGGAAAGACUAUGGAAAAAUAUUGAUUCACAAAUCAGAGGACUUUACUUUGGAGCAAAUACAUAAACAUCUUCGUAUUGAAGAAGAGUUAUGUUUCCAUGAUAAUUCUAUUUUGUACAGUUCCAAGGUGAACGUUGUGAAAGAAAACGGAAAAUCAGUCAAAACUUUAAAGUAAAAAGCGGGCAUAAAUUUAAGAGAACACAAAAGAAGAAAAAUGAUUGUUGUUUUGUUUGUGGUAAACAAAGACACUACGACAAGGAAUGCAUUCACCACAAGAGUAUUUCAAAGGACAAGAACAUUCCAAUAGUGAAGGCAGAUGCAAAUCUGAUUGAGGAAAAUUACGUGGCCAUGAUUUCAAUCAUGUUUUCAAACAUGAAAAUUUCUGAAAUCAAUGAUGCGAUGGCUAUGGUUUCUGAAAUUAAUUUUACCACUAUCCAAUCUAGUUGGUGGUUAGAUUCUGGAGCAACAGUCCAUGUGUGCAAGGACAAAUACAUGUUCAAGCAAUUUGAAGAGAUUAUUGACUCAAAUGUUUAAGAGGUCCUGAUAACAAAUAAUGCUCUUGCAAAGGUUGCUGGAAAAGGCACAGUGGAGAUAGACUUCACUUCUGAAAAAGAAGAUAACUCUUCUUAAUGUGUUAUUUAUAUCUGAAAUUAGGAAAAACCUAGUUUCUAUUGAUUUACUUUGUAAGAGGGGGUUUUAGGUUUUGUUUGAAUCCGACAAAGUUAUCUUGUCGAAGAAUGGGCUGUUUGUUGGAAAGAGUUAUGCUAAUGAUGGCAUGUAUCAACUGAGUAUCAAUAAUAAUAUUGCUGCAUUUGAUUUAUUGGAUGAUAAAAAAAAUUUCCUCCAUAAUACAAAGAUUGAAGCUGCUGCAUUCUCUACAACAAAUGCUCCACCUAAGCACUACCUAAGCAUAUAUGAAAUAUUUGAUUUGAUCUCCUCGCCUUAAAGAUUUACCUUUAAUUACAAUUAAUUACCUUAAACAACUCAUAUGUUCUAAAAAAAAAUGCCUUUAUAUUGAAAAGCAAAUGAUUGUGCAAAUCUUUAACCCCACUUAUUUCCUUAUUGACAACUAUUAAAAUGUGGGCGUGGUGUAAUUGGUGCAGUAUGGACGUCAAACCAAACCAAACUAUAUAAAUGUUAGAAUAAAUCUCGAGUUGGAGCUCGGUGGAUGAAACCAAACCGGAUGUGAAUUAUGGGUGCUCAAGGUGUGGUGAUAGGAGCAUAGGACUCACUUACCCGGUUUGGAGAUCAUUACAACCCCACUUUGACAGAUCUGGAAAGCACGCAACCAUUACAUCUUCCAACGCCAGUGUACGAACCCUCAACAAAUAGUGGAAUUGGCUCUCACAACAGUGAAGCUUUAUCUCUACACUUUGCAGUUGACUUUGGCCACAAGGGUAUCCUUGCCGAACCCUAAUCGAUGCUGGAUCCCCCCUGAACCUGGCGUAAUCAAAGUCAACCUGGAUGGGGCUUUUCCAACAGGGAGGGAAACAGGUUUGAUCGCGUGCAUUUGCCAUGAUCACUCGGGCACCUUGAUCGACGGCUUCUCCAGCAACGUCCAAGCCUCCUCCCCCCUUCAAAUAGAGACCCAAUCCCUAUUACUCACCCUCAAGUAUCUAUUGCAAAGAGGAAUGGCUACCACUAACCCGAUCCUCGAAUCGGACUAUCUGGAGCUUGUGGAGACCGUAAAUCAUCACCGGCAGCCAUCAUUGGAGUGUCAACCUCUACUCGCGAACAGCACUGCCUUGCUUCAGUGUUUCCCUAAUUUGCGAUUCCAGCACUACAGGCGUGAAGUAAAUUCCGCUGCUGAUUGGGCUGCCAAGGCCUAGGGCCGUGGCUCUCUUUUAUUGAAUUGGGCUCUUGAUCCCUCCCCAAAUACUCUUGAAUAUGCUUUGUAUUGAGGCCCUGUCUAGGGGUUGUGACAAUUUACCUUUACGAAUGCAAAGGUGUGUUUUCGAUCCAAAAAAAAAAAAAAAAAGUGACCUGUCAAUGGUCAUGACCAUAAGAGACGACUUUACUCAGGUAAAGAAAGGGAAAAAUAGAUUAAUUAUGGCCAUUGCCGAAUGGUGAAGACAGUUGCAAUGAUGGUCUCUUUUCAUGUUGGCCACUCAUUGUUUCCUUUCUUCUUCUUUAUUUGCUUCUGCUGAAAAUUCUUUUUAAAAACGAAGAGGAAGAGCUCUUAAUGUCAAAGGGAGAUGCGAAGGCUGCACAGAGCAUAUUCAAAAGUGUGCCGAGAGUUUCCCGAGGAGAGGUUUGAUUCAGAGAGUUUUCUCGGUGAAAUUACACCAAAUAUUCCUGUGUAGAAGCUGAUUAAAUCUUGUGUUAAGAUUUUUAUCAUCCUUUGUAAGUAUUUUAAAAGAAAUUGUGAGAAUUAAAUACUAUAUAAGUUAUUGGGUGUAAUGAAGAGUUGAGAAAUAGCAAAAGUAUUUGAGUGACUCAAUUAUAGUUAUAAUCUUUUAUUAUAUUGUUUAAUCUCUAGUGAAAUCUUGUCUUGCACUACUUGUGGACGUAGGUCACAUGACUGAAUCACGUAAAUCUAGUUUUCGAUUCAUUUUCUUAUUCUAUGUAUUUUAUUACAUUGCUCAAAGAAAAGUGAAACCAAACUAUAAGAUAUUAAUAUGACCAGCAGGCAUUCUUGAUUAAAUGCAUAAAAAAGUAUCUUUUAUUUUCUUAAGAUAUUGAUCAAUAUUUACAGGCUUAAACUCUUGGUUGAUGAUAAAAUUUGAUCCGUCACCUGAUUAACAUUAACUCCCAUCAUAAAGACGAGAUUCGAUAUUUGCAAGGUGAUGCUUGCUCUUGGCAUGAUCGAUCUCAACUUGGUUUCUAUUAAUUAUAUCAUUUGAUCAAGAGUCACCACUAAUUUUUAUGAACUGGUUAGGAGUCAAGUAAAAUGCAGGAGCCCAUCUUACUUCGGCAAACCAAAGAUAUGUGGGUCCGGGGGCUUAAUUAGGCUGGAUAUAUCUAACGCCCAAUUUAGUAUAUUUUCUCUUUUAAUGAAAACAAUUAUACAUGCGGUCUUCCUAAUCUUAGUUACCCAUUUUAUUCUCAAUGCUGAGCAAGGCAGGUGACCAUGCAUAAAUUCACUCAAGCAAACACACAUAAAAUCCAAUAAUACCGAAACAAAUAGAGCAAAUAAAAGGUACAAAAUAAAGAACUUGAGCUGCAUCGGGAAAAAAUCAAUACAAAGCCUGUUAUGAAGUUCGCGGACAGGACCCCUUGAGCUAUAAAUAGAAACUCAAUGUAAAAUUCCAAAAUAAACUAUGACUCAAAACCGAAAGGUAAAUAAAUGAUCAUUCAUGAAUAUCUACUAUAUACACUACUUUCCUAAAGUAAACUAUUACAUCUUGAAGUAAAAUGUACUUAAUGCAAUCUAAAGUGCAAUAAAAUUCCCAGAAUGAAUCGGUUUAUGAAUAUGCAUGAUUCCUAAAAUACACUCCCAGAUGUAUAUAUAUUUUUAAUUAAAAUGCAGUUUAUAUUUUUAUUUAUUUUUUCCGCAUUCCCCCCUCCCCCCUCUCUCUCUACAUUAUAGUGAAACGAAAUGAAACUAAACAUUUACUAAGUACUGAAUCAAAUUUGAACUAGAAUCUUUAUGCCAAAAUAAAUUUGAACUAAACCUGGAUUUUCAUGAAAAUUUGCACUACGUUCACUUGGAAUAUAUAUAAUUCCGAGUGAAUGUUUCGACCAAUAUAUAUAUUGGUCGAAACAUUCACUCGGAAUUUCAACCUUAAAGUUCUGCGAGAACGAGUUAGUGCACACUAGAAAACAAAGAAAACUAAAGCGACAUAAUGCUAUGAAUUACAACGAAACUAUUCCAGACUAUGCAAAAAUCAAUGGUGGAUGAAUAUAGCUAUACAAAUUCCCCAUUUUCUGUCUUUAGACUUUUUACAUUUAACUGAAGGCAUGCCUACAAAAAAAGUUAACUGUGUCUUCAUCGCUCCACCCACCAAUUCAUAAUCUAUACUUGAGUCCCUUGAUAUUUGAAAAGCUCUUAUCCCAAGUGGCAAUAAGUAUCCAACUACCAGUAUACAAAAAAAAAAAAAAAAAAUUCAAUCAAAUUAGUUUUUGGAUAUGGUUGCCCUCAUCGACGUCAUCCAUUACAUCUAGCAUCUAUCAUUGCUAUCAAUGUCAUGAGUCACUCUAGAUUAAGACAUCGGACAAUAAUCCCUUGUUUUUGGUUUUUUCCUCACAUCAUCAAGAAAGCUAUAGUUUUUCCCGAAGUCAGAAUGAUAGAUUUAUGAGAUGGGCCUGAGUUGGCCCAUCCGCUCAAAUUGGGCCCAAAGGGCCCGGCCCACGGGAAUAGGGCCCGUGGAGGGGGAGAGGUAUAAAAGGGAGGAGAGAGAGAGAGAGAGAGAGAGAAGACAACGUUUGACAAUUAAACGUACGUCUUCUCCCGCGCGUUCUCUCUUCCUCCAAAAAGAACAGUAAGUUCAAGGCACUGUUUUCUCUCCUUCAAGUCAUCAUCAGAUCGAACGGGGCUAGAAUUUCUUCCUCUUCUUCGGCAUUGGUGUUUAAUUGUGGCUAACAAGGUACGUUCGAAUCCGUGGUGUGCUUUACGAUCGGUGAUGCGUGUUUUCCCGGGCUUCGUCUUCCGCAUUGAUUUAGGGGUUCGAUUCGGUGUUGAAUCCGGUUUUCGGGGAUCAGUAAUUCCCAACAUUGGUAUCAGAGCCCUGUUUCACGUUUUUCCCGAUCAAUUCUGAUGUUUUUGAUUGAUUUUUCGCGAAAUCACUUCGGCCGUACGGAACCGGGCGAAAAUCCCGACACCCGAGCGCUGUUCGGCCAUUUUUCUGAGUUUUCGUAAGUCGAAAUCAAAUUCUGAAGGCACUGGGAGAAAGGCGAAAUCAAAUUCUGAAGGCACUGGGAGAAAGGCGACGUCGAGACGAGUCCGGCGAGUGGUCGCACGUCGCCGUACGACGCCGCACGCGCCCACACGCGCGGCCAGAAGCCGCUGCGCGUGGGCGCCACGCGCCCGAAGCGCUGGCUAUGGCCAGCGCGUGCGCCACACGCGCCGGUGACGAACCGGCACGUGCGCGCCGGCGGCCGGCGAAGCGGCACGCGCCGGUCCACGGACCGACGCGUGCUGACGUCACUCGCUGACGUCAUCGUGACGUCACCAACGGUCGAUAACCGUCGGGGAUGACGUCAUUGAUGACAUCAGCGCCGACAACGGUUGGCCGGCCGGUCACCGGCCGGCGACCCGACCCGCCAGCGACCCAACCCGACUCGCGAAGGAGGCAUGCGCCCGGCACGUGCCGGAUGACGUCUGCGUUACGUCAUCCCCCGCACGCGCGAGGCACGUGAGUUCGGUCCGUGCGAGCGGUCCGACCGGCCCGUCCGGUCCGACCGGUUCGACCGUCGCGACCGGUCCGACCCGCGCGCUCGUUGACCCGACCCGUUGACCGUUGACCGACGACCGUUGACCGUUGACCGACCGUUGACUUUGACCGUUGACCAAAAAAAAAAAAGGAAUUUGUUUCUUUUUUCAAUUAUGUCUGUGUGGGUUGUAGGUCAUCCAUUUUAAUUCUGCAUUUCUUGCAUGAAUCAUGGAAAUUUAUGUAUUUUCCAUUUUGUUUAUUAUGGAUGAUAAGUGAUCCAUUUUAGUUCUGCAUUUGUUGCAGAAACUAUGAUGCGUAAUGCAUGGAUACCUGUAAUCUCGAGAACGGACGAAGGAAGAGCUAGACUGAAAAGGCUGAUGAAAGAGUUAGCUGAUUUUCGGUGGCUUGAUGGUGAUUUAGUAUCACAUAUGGUCAAGGUCAAUCAGAUGAUACAGGAAAUCAUCAAUAAUGGUUAUCUUAUGCCGGAUUUUGAGAAGGUGCCGGCUUUGUUGAACACUCUUCCACCUGAAUGGCAAGUAGUGUUAGAUCGGCUAUGGGAGGUCAACGUGGUCCCGGGUUAUAGGAGGCUGGUGGAAGCUUUUGUAAGAGAGUACUAUAGGAUUGAGUUGGCCAAAACUUCAACCCUUAGAUUGUGCGCUACGUGGCGCAGAGUGAAUGCGCCUUGGUGGCGACAUGAGAGCUCUCCAAAAGUUUUUCCAUGGUUGGCAAAUGUACCUUCAGUUUUCUCAGAUGUUUUGACGGAUAGAUUAGAAGGGACAUUCCCUAUUUAUUUCUUUGAUUGAUUAUGUAAUGAUUACUACCUGAUUGUUGUUAAUGUAGCAACCGAUAUAUUAGUUGUAUUAUGUGAAAGCUCUGUUAUUCUAUUGGAUGUUAGAUAAUAUUUGCUUUCUGUUACUGCUGAUUGCUGUGGGUAGUUAGCUGUGGGUAGUUAUAGAAGUUUUUAUAACUUCAUAGAAUCGAUUUUGCAUAUGACAAUCAUAUUAAUGAUAAUUUUAAGUUAGGAUUUUUGGAGGAUGAUUGGAAACGUAGUGACCUUUUGAUUCUGAAGCCUUACUUAAAAUUAUUCAUUAAUAUGAUGGAUCUAUGCAAAUAGGGAUGCAUAAAUGAUAGGCAUUAUUUAUUCGUGCAUGUAUGUCUGAUGUGUUCAGACUGAUGGUUUCAGCAACUAAGAAUUUAAAUGCUGAUUUGAACGGCUACAAUUGUGAAAUAUUGAAUAUGAAGAUUCAAUAUGUGCUGGAAAAGCAAGAAGCACUAGAAGCUCUUGACCAUGUUAUGGAAGAUCUUGAGAAUGUUGUGCGCCACCUUAAGCUGGUAGAGGACCGCUUAACGGCAUGUGAGCUGAGAAUAGAUAUUUGCAAUGCUGGUUCUAGCUCAUAAAGAGUUUUGAGCUCUAAGCGCAAGCGUAUUGAUUCGUUCAAUAUGUGGGAAUGCAAAUGAUCAAGUCCUUAUUGCAAGAGAUCAAGAGUUAACCAACACAAGAGAGGAAAAAGUCCUCAAGUGAAGAAAAUGUCAAGGGUGAAAUGUUACAACUGUGACAAGAAGGGUCACUAUGCUCGCGACUGUCGUGAGCCAAAGAAGGCAAACACCUCUUGUACAUUUGAGAACUUUGAUUAUGUGUCAAGUUCUGCAUUAUAGGUUGAAUCCAAUCCUUUGUGGAAUGUAGAUUCAUGAGCGACAGACCAUGUAGCAAAGGAUAGAGGAUCCUUUGUGGAAUUCCGACGAGUAUCAACUGGAACUGAGUGGAUCCAUAUUGGAAACAACUCUAGAGCUGAGGUAAAGGAAUUGGCACUGACCAAUAGAACAUGCAUGGUGGACGCAUCUUGAUGUUCUAUAUGCUCUGGAGAUUCGUCGAAAUUUAAGUGUUUGUUUUGCUGUUGGUUAAGCUUGGUUUUGGUAUGAACUUCCAUAAUAAAUGUGUAGAUUUAUGUUUAGAUACAAAUUACUAUGGUUGUGGUCACUUUCUAGAUGGUUUUAUUGUACUAAAUGUUGACUGUGAUGAUGUCAAUAUGUUAUCCCCUUGUUUCACGUCUUCUAUCUUAUAUGAUAAUGAUGUGAAUAUGAUGGCAUGCUAGACUUGGUCAUAUGGGCCAACAACAUAUGAAAAGACUAGCCAAAAAGGGCUUAUUGGGCAAUAUUGAAAAAAGUUGAUUUGUCCAUAUGUGAGCAUUGCCUAGUAGGGAAAAUGACAAAGAGACCAUUUGGAAAAGGUAAAAGAGCUGAAUUUCCUCGGCAUUUAAUCCAUUUGGACGUCUGUGGUUCAAUGAAUGUGAAAGAAAGGUAAGGGGCUGUUUGUUUCAUCACUUUUAUAGAUAAUUCUACUUGAUUCGGAUAUGUCUAUUUGAUUUCUCAUAAAUCUGAAGCAUAAGUUGUUUUAGAAGGUUUAUGAACCUGGUAGAAAAUCAAUUAGACAGGAAAAUAAAGGUAUUUAAAUCCGAUUGAGGUUGAGAAUAUUUAUCUGAUAAGUUUAGAAAAUUAUGUGAUGAAAAAGGAAUAGAAAGAUAGUUGUCUAUUCCAUAUACUCUUCAACAAAAUGAUGUUGCAAAGAGAAGAAACAGAACCUUAUUGGAAUGGUUAGGUCCAUGAAGGCGCAUGCUAACUUACCCAUCACCUUUUUGGAGUGAUGUGUUGUUAACUGCUGCUUAUAUACUUAACCGGGUGCCUUCCAAAUCAGUUAGUUCCACUCCAUAUGAGUUAUGGAUAGGUAGAAAACCGGACUUAAGUUUACUUAAGCCAUGGGGUUAUGUUGUCUAUACUCAUAUGUCCUCUCACAAGUUUGGGAAAUUGAGUCCCAUAUAAAAGUAGAGUAUUUUAAUGAGAUACUCCGAACACUCAAAAGGGUAUGUGUUCGUAGGUGAGCAGGAAAGUGGGAGAAUAACUGAAUUUGAAUUACAGGAUGUCACAUUCUUAGUGGAUGAAUUUCCUAAGAAGGGCAAAAUAGGGAAAGAUUACUUCCUAUUUGAAACCUUGGAUUAAGAUUAUAAUAUUAGUGGUGUUUAUCCAAGUGGGAGUAAUAUGAGAUGUGAUGAAUUGAAUUCAACUCAUUCUCAAUUACAACCACCUGAUGUGGCGACAUCAUCAUUACCUAAUCCAAGUGGGAGCAUAAUGGGGAAUGAUGUGCUAAGUGUACAAUCUCCCAUACGGUGAACAAGUCACUAAAGUAUUCCCCGUCGAUGUUUUGACAUUGAAAGGGAAACUUCUAUGGUUGCUCCACAAGACGAGGAUGAGCCAAGAAAUAUUAAUGAGGCUCUGAAUUGCCCUAGUAAGGAAAAAUGGAUUAAUGCAAUGGAAGAGGAAAUGGAGUCAAUCAAAUCAAACCAAGUCUGGGAACUGGUUGAUCUGCCAAAAGGACGCAGAACUAUUGGGAACAAAUGGGUUCUCAAAAUAAAGCGAAAGGCUGAUGGCUCGAUUGAAAGGCAUAAGGCUUGCCUUGUGGCGAAGAGGUAUAAUCAAUAGGAAGGAAUUGAUUAUGAAGAUAUUUUUUCUCCUAUAGUAAGAUUUGCCUUGAUUCGCAUAGUUCUGGCAAUAGUGUUUAGUAUGGAUCUUGAGUUACAUCAAAUGGAUGUAAAGACUGCUUUCCUCAAUGGAGAAUUAGAGGAUGAAAUAUAUAUGGAACAACCUGUUGGUUUCAUAGUGAAAGGCCAAGAAGAAAAGGUAUGUCGACUUUGGGGGUCGAUAUAUGGCCUUAAGCAGUUGUCAAGACAAUGAUAUAUACGUUUUCAUAAUGCCAUAAUGGCAUAUGACUUUACAAUGAUAGAUGAGGAUCAUUGUGUAUAUAUCAAAAGAUCCAAGGAUCAAUUUGUGAUCAUAUCAUUAUAUGUUGAUGAUAUACUAAUUGCCGGAAGCAAUAUGGAGCUAGUCAAUACUGUCAAAAGUUGGUUGUCUUCCAAAUUUUGAAUUGAAUGAUAUGGGAUUGUAAACCCAUUGACGCUCCUAUUGCAAAAGGUGAAGGAUUGAGCCAUAGACUGUGUCCAAGGACUCCACAAGAGAAGGAACAAAUGAAACAUGUUCCUUAUGCUAGUGCUGUUAGAAGCUUGUUGUACGCUAUGAUGUGUACAAGACCUGACGUAUGUUUUGCAGUUGGAAUGGUGAGUAGUUACCAAUCUAAUCCAGGUCAAGCACAUUAAUAAGCCGUUAAGAGAAUACUGAGGUAUCUAAAGGGGACUGCUGAUUAUACGCCGAGUUAUUAUGGAAAAGGAUCUGCGACUCUAAGGCUAUUCUGGUGUUGAUUGGGGAGGAGAUUUAAAUGAAAGGAAAUCUACCUCUAGGUUUGUUUACUUACCAAAUAAUGGCACCAUGUGUUGGAGCAGUAAGAAACAAAAGUAUAUAGCCUUGUCCACGAUGGAAUUGAGUUCGUGGCAUUAUCAGCAGCAGUAUAAGAAGAUGUUUGGCUUAAGGGAUUUUUUGGAUCAUUUAGGUGUUAUUGGAAGUGCUGCAGAUUCAUUGUUGGUUAACUGUGAUAGCCAAGCAGCAAAAGUGUACACCAAAGAUCCAAAAUAUCAUGGCAAGACCGAACAUAUAGAUACCAAGUAGAAUCUUGUCAAGGAUAUGGUUGCACGAAAAGAUGUGAACUUAGAGUACAUACUACGCAUGGAAUGGUAGCAGAUCCUAUGACAAAGCCAAUACCUAGAGAUGUGUUUUGUGGCCAUGUGAAAUCUCUAGGAUUGCGUAGAGGAUGAUGUACUGAAUAUUGUAAUUUCCCUAAGAGUUCACAUUUGAUGAAUUUGUGUUUUCAUCAUUAAUGCCUAUGAAUCUUUGUUUGAUCUUUAUGCAUCUUAAUGCUCAGUGCAUUACUUUAAGUUAGAAGAAGUAUGUCGGACAAAUGAGAUUAGCCCACUCACACGGGUAAUCGCCUCUAUUUACUGUGUGAUAAGCUUAUUAUCUAGGUGAUAAUUGAGAGCUCAAGCUUAAAACACAUAUGUCGCCUUAACUGGAUGUUAAGAUGAGGACAUAAUACUUACUAUGUCCGAGAGUAAAAUACCCCACAUAUUUUACUUUAUCUGUCUAUGAUGCCAGAUGUGAGUUAUGAUGAAUUUAGUGAAUGAGUAGAUACGUGAACUCAAGUUAGACAUUGGGUAUGUCUAAACUAUCAUCUGUACGGUAUUGAAAGGUGUAGACAUACGCUCCAUGGGAAAGGAGUUAAUACCGUAAUACGUAUUUCAUACUACGUAUGCAUNNNNNNNNNNNNNNNNNNNNNNNNNNNNNNNNNNNNNNNNNNNNNNNNNNNNNNNNNNNNNNNNNNNNNNNNNNNNNNNNNNNNNNNNNNNNNNNNNNNNNNNNNNNNNNNNNNNNNNNNNNNNNNNNNNNNNNNNNNNNNNNNNNNNNNNNNNNNNNNNNNNNNNNNNNNNNNNNNNNNNNNNNNNNNNNNNNNNNNNNNNNNNNNNNNNNNNNNNNNNNNNNNNNNNNNNNNNNNNNNNNNNNNNNNNNNNNNNNNNNNNNNNNNNNNNNNNNNNNNNNNNNNNNNNNNNNNNNNNNNNNNNNNNNNNNNNNNNNNNNNNNNNNNNNNNNNNNNNNNNNNNNNNNNNNNNNNNNNNNNNNNNNNNNNNNNNNNNNNNNNNNNNNNNNNNNNNNNNNNNNNNNNNNNNNNNNNNNNNNNNNNNNNNNNNNNNNNNNNNNNNNNNNNNNNNNNNNNNNNNNNNNNNNNNNNNNNNNNNNNNNNNNNNNNNNNNNNNNNNNNNNNNNNNNNNNNNNNNNNNNNNNNNNNNNNNNNNNNNNNNNNNNNNNNNNNNNNNNNNNNNNNNNNNNNNNNNNNNNNNNNNNNNNNNNNNNNNNNNNNNNNNNNNNNNNNNNNNNNNNNNNNNNNNNNNNNNNNNNNNNNNNNNNNNNNNNNNNNNNNNNNNNNNNNNNNNNNNNNNNNNNNNNNNNNNNNNNNNNNNNNNNNNNNNNNNNNNNNNNNNNNNNNNNNNNNNNNNNNNNNNNNNNNNNNNNNNNNNNNNNNNNNNNNNNNNNNNNNNNNNNNNNNNNNNNNNNNNNNNNNNNNNNNNNNNNNNNNNNNNNNNNNNNNNNNNNNNNNNNNNNNNNNNNNNNNNNNNNNNNNNNNNNNNNNNNNNNNNNNNNNNNNNNNNNNNNNNNNNNNNNNNNNNNNNNNNNNNNNNNNNNNNNNNNNNNNNNNNNNNNNNNNNNNNNNNNNNNNNNNNNNNNNNNNNNNNNNNNNNNNNNNNNNNNNNNNNNNNNNNNNNNNNNNNNNNNNNNNNNNNNNNNNNNNNNNNNNNNNNNNNNNNNNNNNNNNNNNNNNNNNNNNNNNNNNNNNNNNNNNNNNNNNNNNNNNNNNNNNNNNNNNNNNNNNNNNNNNNNNNNNNNNNNNNNNNNNNNNNNNNNNNNNNNNNNNNNNNNNNNNNNNNNNNNNNNNNNNNNNNNNNNNNNNNNNNNNNNNNNNNNNNNNNNNNNNNNNNNNNNNNNNNNNNNNNNNNNNNNNNNNNNNNNNNNNNNNNNNNNNNNNNNNNNNNNNNNNNNNNNNNNNNNNNNNNNNNNNNNNNNNNNNNNNNNNNNNNNNNNNNNNNNNNNNNNNNNNNNNNNNNNNNNNNNNNNNNNNNNNNNNNNNNNNNNNNNNNNNNNNNNNNNNNNNNNNNNNNNNNNNNNNNNNNNNNNNNNNNNNNNNNNNNNNNNNNNNNNNNNNNNNNNNNNNNNNNNNNNNNNNNNNNNNNNNNNNNNNNNNNNNNNNNNNNNNNNNNNNNNNNNNNNNNNNNNNNNNNNNNNNNNNNNNNNNNNNNNNNNNNNNNNNNNNNNNNNNNNNNNNNNNNNNNNNNNNNNNNNNNNNNNNNNNNNNNNNNNNNNNNNNNNNNNNNNNNNNNNNNNNNNNNNNNNNNNNNNNNNNNNNNNNNNNNNNNNNNNNNNNNNNNNNNNNNNNNNNNNNNNNNNNNNNNNNNNNNNNNNNNNNNNNNNNNNNNNNNNNNNNNNNNNNNNNNNNNNNNNNNNNNNNNNNNNNNNNNNNNNNNNNNNNNNNNNNNNNNNNNNNNNNNNNNNNNNNNNNNNNNNNNNNNNNNNNNNNNNNNNNNNNNNNNNNNNNNNNNNNNNNNNNNNNNNNNNNNNNNNNNNNNNNNNNNNNNNNNNNNNNNNNNNNNNNNNNNNNNNNNNNNNNNNNNNNNNNNNNNNNNNNNNNNNNNNNNNNNNNNNNNNNNNNNNNNNNNNNNNNNNNNNNNNNNNNNNNNNNNNNNNNNNNNNNNNNNNNNNNNNNNNNNNNNNNNNNNNNNNNNNNNNNNNNNNNNNNNNNNNNNNNNNNNNNNNNNNNNNNNNNNNNNNNNNNNNNNNNNNNNNNNNNNNNNNNNNNNNNNNNNNNNNNNNNNNNNNNNNNNNNNNNNNNNNNNNNNNNNNNNNNNNNNNNNNNNNNNNNNNNNNNNNNNNNNNNNNNNNNNNNNNNNNNNNNNNNNNNNNNNNNNNNNNNNNNNNNNNNNNNNNNNNNNNNNNNNNNNNNNNNNNAUCUCCUGAUAUCCUAUACAACUUCGAAUUUUAUAUUAAAACGUGAGAAAAUAACGUAAUCCUCCUAAUUUGUAUCGAAAUAUUAAGCAUUUGUAAUAAAUAAAUAUAUGAACUUUUUGACUAAACAAAAAAUUAAGGAUCCAUGGGGCUAAUUAUAAUAAAUAAAAUCAUAAGGCAAAAAAUUAACAACAAAUAUGGGUCUAAUAUUAAUCUUAUUCCCACAAUUACUAUAUCAAGCAUAACUCCUCCUACAAAAGAAAAAUUAGACGAGCCAAUCCAUGUGGUACAUAAGAAUUUGACGGUGACGAACACCAUCCAUCCGUCAAAUAGUGCGAGAGGGAGCCGAUGAGAGAGGGAAGCAAGUGAGGAAGAGGAAUGAUUAAGGAGGAGUGUUGUGUAUGUUUGAGAGAGCCAAGAGGAAAAACGCCGUGUGAUUGCGGGAAUAAGAAUAGAAAUAAGAGAAAAAAAAAAUAGGGGUUUUGACCUAUACUUAUGAAAUCGGUUCCAAAACUGGUCCAGGAACCAGCUCUUGGGUGGGUAAUCAAUUGGACCUGGUUUUCCGACCGGUUUAAACCAAUUCUGAAUUUUGGGAACUAGUUCCUAGACCAGUUUCAAUGGGAAUCGAUUCUUGAGCCUAUUUUCCGGGUGGGUCGGUCCGGUUUCUGGAUAUACCCGGUUCGGUUGCACACCCCUAGAUAAUUAUGUGAAAAACUUCUCCACUAAAUCAUCCUACUUUAUAAGUUUACUUAAGGAGAACCAACGCAUUACAUUAGAAAAGGAGAAAAUCAUGUCUAUUAUGAGAAAUAAACGAUGAAAUUCUUGAUUUGAAUGCUUGAAGUAUGAUGCCACUUUCUUUAGUGAGAGACAUCAUUUUGGACGCUUGUAUCGUGUAACUCUUGUGAUUCAAUUGAAAAGCUUUCCACCAAAUCAUCCUCCCUUAAAAAAGUAUGGUUUGAAGGAAAGUGAAACCCAACUAAAAGAUAUUCAAUAUGAUCAGCAUUAGGGGGUAUUGUUCUUUUAUUGCCAUUUUGUCCAUUGAAUCGCUCCAGGCCGUGUGUACCUUUUACUUUCCUUCCUUCAUUUUCCAUGAUUCUAUGAUCACAUAUAUUUUAUUUAUUUAGUUUUGGACGCAACAUAUCAAGAAAACCCUAAAUUUGCAACUACAAUCUUGAUAUAUUAAAUAAGUCUAUUUUGCAUUAUUUGACAUAGAUAUUCACGACGUUUGUUAGCGAUACAUUUUUUUAAUUAGCAUGUUUAACAUAAAUCAUUUUCAUAUUUCAUCUCUUAAUAAUUUUUCAUGAGAAAUUGAAAAUCAUUAGGAAUAUUAUCCUUCGAAAUUUGAAGUAAUGAAGCUCAGCUAGAGCCUAGCCGCAAUUAUUUAUCUUUUGGCUUGUUUUAUUUAUAAAAGUCUUUCAUGGCAUUUUUGGUUGCUUUGACUUGUUGACUAAAUCGGUGCACUGUAUGAAGUCUUCGAGAGGAUGACUUGUCCACAUUUAUUUUAUCUCAUUCAUAACACUAGUAUCCACAUCAUUGGACUCAAUUAACACCAAUUUAUAAACGCAAACCACUCCAUCAACAUACGUUAGAUUAGUUCCAUUCACAGGAUGGCUAGCAAGACACUCUAUGCAAUGAGUAAGAGACACCAUGAUCAAAUUUGAACAAAGUAAUGUUUCAAGAAUAGCGUUCAAAAUACACGUAAUGCACUCAUGAUGGUUUAUAGGAACUCAACUCUGCACAAAUUAUGUAUAAAACAACAAUCCUUUGUAUCACAUGGCAAUUGGAUAUCAUAACUAUGGUCAUCUUCGAUGCACUACUUUGUUCAACUUAGCAACACCUUAUGAAAAUAGAGUCAUUUUCCUAAAAAAUCACUUCCAGGAAAAUCACUCUAUUUUCCGGUGCUUAGUCAAAAUCUAAAAUUUGAGUGAAAAAUAUUUUCUAUCGUUCGUUAGCUCAUUUAAUUGUUUAGGAAAAAUUAUCAAAAAAUUAAUUUUAAUAUUUUUAAUUGACCAACAAUUAAUUUUAUUUUUUUAUAUUUUUUAAAUGAAUUUUUAAUUAUUUAUAUUUUAAAAAAUCGAAAUUUUUAUUAUUUAUUAUUUAUUUUCUUUUUCUUUUUUUCUUUUUCUUUUCCUUCCUCCUUCCUCCUCCUCCUUCCUCCUCCUUCCGCCACCGACGCCUCCUUCCUACCUGACAACGGCCAACUACCCAGCGACCGACCGAGACCCGGUGGCCAGAUCUGGCAAGCUUGAGGCUAGGCCGAUAGAGCUUGAGCUCACCGCGAGCUUCAUUGGGCUCUAGCGGGCCACGAGCUCGCCAGAUCUGGCGGCGGAGCUCGGGCUUGCUUGGAUCGGGAGCUCGAGCUUCGCUGCUAGAUCCAGCAAGCUUGCAGCUCACCAGAGACUGACGAAGCUUGAGGCGAGCUCGCUCGCCCAGCUCACCGGAUCUAGCGAGCCACAAGCUCUACCCAGGCUGGCGAGAGCUCUGCCUUUACCCAAUCUAGCGAGGCUCGAUCUCAGCUUCGCCAAAUCAGGCUAGGCGGAGCCUCGCCGGCCUGGGGUGAGGCCGGUGAGGUCGCUGGCUACUGGCUUGCGACCGGUCGCCGGACGCCGCCGUGGCCAGUAGCUGGCCACCACCAAAGAAGAAGAUGAAAAGGAAAAAAAAGAAAAGAAAAGAAAUUAAAAACUCAAUUUGAAAAAAAGAAAAAAAGAAAAAGAAAGUAUAAAAUAAAACGAAAAUGUAUUAAUAAAAAGAAGUAAGAGGGAAGAAGUCAUGGAAAACGUUUUUCACUUUUCAAAAGUGGAAAGCAUUUUCCUCACUUUAAGGUUGUUUUUUCUAAUGAUGGAAAACAUUUUCCUUGACUAGUUCAUUUUCCGUAAAACAAACACUGGAAAAUCUGGAAAAUAUUUUUCCAUAAUCCAUUUUUCGCGAAACGAACAAACCCUAAAUAUGAAAAACUUCUCCAUAUCAUCCUCCUUUAGAAAUUUACAAAAGAAGAACCAAUUCGUUACAUUAGAAAAGGAGAAAAGGAUGUUUAUUAUGAAAAAUAAACGAUAAAAUUCUUGAUUUGAAUGCCCAAAGUCCGAUGCCACUUUCUUUAGUGAGAGACAUUAUUGUGGACGUUUGUAUCGUAUAACUCACGUGAUUCAAUUGAAAAGCUUUUCCACCAAAUCAUCCUCCCUAAAAAAUUUACAAAAGGAGAAUCACUACGUUACAUUAGAAAAAGGAGAAAUGGAUAUUUAAUUAUAAGAUAUAAACGAUGAAGCCCAAUGCCCCUUUGGUCAGUUAGAGACAUCAUUUUGGACAUUUGUAUUGCAUGACUCAUGGGUUUAAUUGAAGAUUAUGGAUAAAGACUCUUAAUUCCAUUUUCAUGACUCAUAGGGUUGUCAAUGAAAGCGAAAAGGUUUCAAAUAAAUAUCGGAAUCGACAAAAAUUUAAAGGGAAACAAAUAUUACUAUAAAAUCUUCCACAACCAUUUGCCAUCAAUUAUGCGCACAGCCAACUUUCCAGCAGGUGCAGAAAACAUUAUAUAUUAUGGUCCCUUUUGACAUCGAAAAUACGUCAAGGUAACUUAGCAGCAGGUGCAACUUCCAAUUUAUAGUCACUAAAGUUGAUGGCUUUAUUAAAAAAAAAAAAAAGUGGAGGACAAUAAUGAAGGUGUAACUUUUCUAUAGUUGGAUAAAUUUAAAAUUCCAAUCCGAUAUUGUAAAAUAAAAUUUAUCUAUAUAAAUACAUAAUAACAAAAUAUUUCCAAAGAAUCGCCUCUCAUUAUGACACAUGGGACUCCGGAUAAUUAGAUAAAUUUCCUUCAUACCAUAGAGAUUGAAUUUGCAGCAUUCACUACAAAAAAAAUGCUCCACCUAAGCGCUACCUAAGCAUAUACUUACUACUCACUACUCACUAUGAAAUAUUUGAUUUGAUCUUUUUGCCUUAAAGACUUACCUUUUAUUAUAAUUAAUUGCCUUUAACCACUCAAGUAUUCUCAUUAAAUGCGCCUUUAUAUUAAAUAGCAAAUGAUUGUGCAAAACUUUUUCAACUCUUAUUUCCUUAGAUUGUCAUUGCAUUUCUAAAAAAAAUAAAUAAAUUAGGGACCGAAUUUGCCAACAACGCUAUAAUUUGACCCCUAACCAAAAACACUUACCACGGACAGUUGUUUGCAUUCGUUCCUCACAUACAUGACUAGAGGCAUGUUGAUUUCAAUACCUUGGGCCUGGCAUCAAAAUAAAUCUUGGACAGGAAAAAGAUUUCACAUUCUUCCUUUCGGAAAGGGAGGAUUAGGAAAAUCCUAUUAAUUGCAACUUUCUCCAAACCUCCAAGAAAAGGAUAAAAAAAAGGCUUGAAUGGUACAACCCCUCCGUAACCCCUACGGGAAAAAUAGAGAUGUGUCCUACGUUAAAAGGCUCGAAUGGUAUGAUCCCUCCGUCAUCCCAAAAUGAAAGGGAUUGUAGACAUUUUUGAAACAUCUCUAACAAAGAGAGAAAUAGUCAAUUUUGAAAGAACUUAAACACCAAUUCUGAAAUCCCUUCUCUCCCACGUCACACCUCGGAAUGCACCCUUAUUAUAGAGAGAAAGACGACCUAGUAUGAUAUCGAUAUCUCUUGGAAUCCUCAACUAAAUAGGAUACUACCAAUAAUCAUAGCAAUCCACAUAUGUCCGUUUCCCAUUAAUCAAUACUGAUUGAUGGAAUUCUGAAGAAAUAUUCAAGGCCACUCAACAUUACUCGAUUGAUUUGCUCCUUUCAAGUUGACCCAUUUCUGUGCGCACCAUUAAGCCUCAGCUAGCCUCAUCGCUUUAGCCUUAUUGGGACAUGAAACUAAGUCGAGAUAUGGGCCACCUAGUCCACAAUCGGCCAAGAGUCUCACCUGGGACCAGAGAGCGAGUGUAACAUCCCGGGUCCCACUUGUGUGAUAUUGUCCGCUUUGGACACUGAGUCCUCACGGCUUUAAAACGCGUCUCACAAGUUAAGGGAACCCAAGCCUUAUAUACAAGGCCCAUGACCCCUCCCUCAGCAAUGUGGGACAAGAGGGAGAGGAAUCCCUUCCCUUUCCCUUGCGCGCGUCCGAGGACCGGAGGCGCGGACGCACCGCCAUCCCUCCUCCCCGCGCACUGCCGCUCGGGUCGUCACACUCUCCCCCCCUUGGGAGCACAGCGUCCUCGCUGUGGCCUCACAUGCUGUCGGGAGUCGGCUCUGAUACCAUUGUAACAUCCCGGGUCCCACUUGUGUGAUAUUGUCCGCUUUGGACACUAAGUCCUCACGGCUUUAAAAUGCGUCUCACAAGUUAAGGGAACCCAAGCCUUAUAUACAAGGCCCAUGACCCCUCCCUAAGCAAUGUAGGACAAGAGGGAGAGGAAUCCCUUCCCUUUCCCUUGCGCGCGUCCGAGGACCGGAGGCGCGGACGCACCGCCAUCCCUCCUCCCCGUGCACCGCCACUCGGGUCGUCACAGCGAGAGCGUGCGAAAUAGAAAAGAAAAGAAAGUAGAGCGGAGGGCAGUCUUGGCAAUAGGAGGAAAUAACAAGAGUAGGACCUGUUCAGGCAGCUUAUCUGGCUGCAUAUUGAAAGUGAGUUAUUACGUGAACAGCCCAAGGAUAGCAGAGGAUAAGAUGCAGGGAAUGUUUAUCAUUUUCUUACCUGUUCCUCCGUUAAUCUCGCGUGCUAACCAGUAACCAAUCAUCGCUGCCAUCAAAGCCAAUUCGUUUCGAAGCCCCGCUUCACAAUCGUCGUUUUGACCCUCCACGGCCUGAACAAUCGUCUUCUCUCAAAUCUUUGGACUGAGCCAUCGCUCGAUGAGCUUAUUGCUUCCCCCACAUGACCAGACAAAUCCUCGCCUUCCAUCAGUAGCGUAGUCACUGUGUCACCGCGUGUUUCAUGGGUUACUCCGCUUGGCUGCUCUUCGCCGCCCAAAUUACUAGCGCUAUGUUAGGUAAUCACACAUUGAUUUCAGAAAAAAUAACGCAAGCAAACAAUCCACCCAGACUAAAUAUAAUAAUAAAAUAAUAUAAUCGGAAUAACACAAUACAAAAUUUAUUAUCAAAGUUCACCCUAACCUAAGCUAUGUUUUCACGCAGAGGUACUAUGCAAAUCCACUAGACUUUGAAAAAAGUUGAAAUACAAUAAUGAUUUUCUCUCAUGGUCAAGGUACAAAUAGAUUAAGAAUCCUCACAAAUAAGAAACUCACUUUUUUCUUCUCUCUUUUUUAUUGUCUCUCUAUUUUCUUUUAUAGCUCCUUGAUGGCUAGCGUUCGACUAUCGCUGAUAUAAAGUGUAGCUUUAAACUAAAAACAAAACUAAUAGAAAAGACAAAAAGAAGCCCCCAAAAAAAUUUGGCUUCACCCACCAGCAAUCUCCCACUUGAAGCACAAUGCAACUUAGCAUUCAUCUACUUCAAAAUCUAGUAACUAAAAUUUGUACCUUUGCAAUACUCCUCAUCAAUUAGGAUGGAGUAAUACCGAUCGUAGUGUUGACACCUAAAUUUUGAAUGUUCAUAUAGGCUUCAAGUGUAUAGAAAAUUAGGGAUUCAUUUUUAACCCCUAAACAAAAAUAGUUUUCACCAAAAUUGCAUAGCAUAUAGACAUUAGGAGCAUUUGCAUUAAGAUGUAUAGAAUUUAUAAGAAAAAAUAUUUAAAAAAAAAGAGGAAAAAGAGGAAAAAAACAAUUAAUUAAUUAAAAAUUAAUAUUAGAAAAAGAAAAAGAAAAAGUGAGAUGGGGCUAGGGUCAGGCCGGCCCAGCCUUCUUUCCCUUUCAUUUCUACCUUUUCUUUUUUGCCUAGGCCUAGCCCGGCCCACUUUUCCUUUUCUUUUCCCCAAGCCCAGCCUCUUCCUUCAUCUUCUCCCUCACGCACUCCCACUCGCUCACGCUCUCACGCGUUCUGCAAAAAAGAAAAAGAAGGACGAAGGACGAAGGACGGAAGCAGAGGCGGGACGGGGAGUGAGGAGCGCGCCUUUUGGGUCGGGAGCAGGCCGGCACGGCGAGCUGGCGGUGGCAGAGGCGAUGCGCGCCUGCCAGGCGUUAGAGGGGGAUUCUGGGGGGCUCGGACAGAGGGAGAAAUGGACGGAGAGAGAAACAGGGAGAUAGAGGGGAUCCGGCCGAGAGGGAGACCACGAGUGAGAGAGCAGAAAAUUCGCGCCUGCUGAGCGCCGUUCGGCCAUCCUCGACACAAACCGGCGUCCACUAGCCGAUGCCACCAAGCCUGCGGCCCCCAUCUUUAACGGCGUCUGAUUUUUGGUGAGUUGAGUUUCGGUUUCGAUCCGCCGUUUUCCCGUGGUUCCCGGCUUGGCGACACUGAGAUGGCCGGCUAUAGUUCGAUUCGCAUUGAGACCGGCUUCUGGCCGUCGUCCCCAAGCCGGCUAAGGCCCCCGCGGUCGCGCGCUCUGGCGCCCCUUUUUUGUCCAUUCUUUACUGCUCUGUUUUUGCCCUAUUUCUGGCAUGCCGGGCCGGAGCUCGCCGCCGUCCGGCUCACGCGAACUCCGGCCCCUUCGCCCUCGUUUUUUGAUAUUGUCGGUCUGGUGGGUCGUAUUUCGAGGGGACCGUGCGAGUUUGAGUCUCGGCUGAGCCGGGAGCCCCUCGUUCAGUGUUGCAUGCCACCCGCUCGAUGGAACGCCUCAACGAGAUCUAAUUUUCGUCUCCUCCUUCUUUUGCCGAAAUCGAGUCGUCCACACUGUUGCGUUCUAUUGCUAUGUCCCUGUGACGCUUGGCGUUAUGGGCGCGGCCGUUUGGUGGCUUCGCUACCCCCGCCACCGCCGUUGUUUACUUUGUUUUGUGUUUCGAGCUUUGUAACCGACAAUAAUGGAGGCUCGUUACUGUGGUUCGGCCAUGCUGGCCGUCGCCAAGAGUCCAGAGCCGUCGGAGUUAGAGCGUGGGCAGGCCGAGGGCGACAACGUCGUCGGCUCACGGCCAUUUGGAGAAGACGGUGGCAGCGGGAGGUCAGAAUCAAUUAGGUUGGAAGGAUUAAUUAGGUUUAAUUAGCAUGGGCUUAAGUUAGUUUAGUGGGUUUAGGUUCGUUUCUGUUUUCAAGGGAGCAAAAAAGUCUACCGGUUUAUAUUUGGACCAGUGAUUUUCGGGCUUAAUUUGCUUUAGGGUGUAUUUGUUUCGCAAAAUCUCAAUGAUAUGGGAAAAGGCUUUCCACUAAAACAUUUUCUAGCAAUACUAUUAGUUUCCUUUAUUUGGUAAUAUAUAAUCAUAAAUGUUUUUCAGAUAUUAUAGAAAAAUAAAUUCAAUCUCAUUUCUUUAUUUCAGGCAAAAAAAUGAAUUUUUAAUUUUAGAAAAAUUGAAACUUUUAAUUAUUUAGUUAUUUUUUUCAAAAAAUCAAAUUUUUAAUUUUCUAUAGUAAAGAGAUGUUGGAUUCUCAUUAAAGUGACCAUUAUCCAAAUCUUAGAAUAUACUUACAGACAAAGUCUUCUCGAGGAGAUGCACAACAUCCUGUGCAUAUGAUUACACACGAUCGAGCAGUCCACAAAAGCAUAGCGACAUAACUAGACAAGGCAUUCAAAUAAUCAAACAAUUGCAAGAAAGCAGAUUCUUACACACAUAUUACCAUAUGAAGCUAGAGCUCGAGCUCAUGCUUAAGUACGCAAAGAUAAAUCACACCGUUACAUUUAACUAAACCUCAACUGCCACACUACUUUUACAUGUUCUUCAGCGAUUAGCUAGUCAUCUAGAGCUUGAGUUCAGACCCAUGCCUCCAGCCACCGAUGGAGUUAAUGAGUGCAACCAUUGGAGCCUCAUGUGGAGCCAUAUUCCUCCAGCGGCGUGGCAUCGAAGACGAAAAUGUGCAUGAGAGUGAAAAGUGGCAUUGAAGGAGGACUUGAAGCUCGCGGAUGAUGGAACCUGGGAAAGGAGAGACGACAGCGAACGACGGACUUAAGCUUGCAAGGAGUGAGCAAGGAUUGGGCACGGAGUCACCGAGGAGCGAGCGACAGCUAUUUGCUUCAGCAGUGAGAGAAAGGAAGAAGAACUCUAAUCUCAAUUCGAUUUGCAAUUUAAGACUGACUUAGCCACCUCGGUCCUAAAAUCCACUUCACGCCCUUUUUCCCCUUUACGGUUCUUUUGCCGACUAUCUUGCGCUCUCUUUCCUUCUCUUCAUUUUCCUGGUUCUAACUAAGAAAAAUAAUAGGGUGAAACGCACCCAAGCUUUUUCUGUAAGUUUUCUCCUCUUUCUUCUUCCUUCUUGCUUUGCCAACUGUCUUUCUCUUCCUUUUCUUCUCUUUAUUUUCCUGGCCCUGCAGAAGGAAAUAAUAAGGCUCUUGGGACUAAAUUUCUCUUGAGAAAGGCCCUUUUGUUAUAGAUAGUGAGGGAUGUAAGAUCCCCAACCUCGCCACCGAAGUGGACACACACAACAUAUGGAGAUUCCCAGUAAGAUGGGGAAUUUUAACAAGAUUUUCCUUGGUUGGGCGUUUUAGAAUCAGUUCAUUGUCUCUCUUCACUAGAAUAAAGCAGAAAUAGAAAGAAAGCAAAGCAGAAGAAACAACGAUGAUCCAUGAAUAGAAAGAAGGCGCACCGUUUACGACCGAGAAUCCCUUGUUUCUAUUUCAGAGUCCGCUGAGUCAGUUUCAGAGCUCCACGCUCGCUUUGCUCCACUCAGAAUCUUCUCUCUGUAAGACUUCCAAGUGUCGUAAGUCCGACCACAGUCGGGUAACUCCCCACUACAUGUUAUGAGUAUCGAGCACUCAUCUGGUAUUUUUGAGCUCGAUGGAUCAAGAAUCCUUCCCACUGAUCUGCACUUUUCAAUUUGCAAUUGAUUCAAAAACUCUAAUUCGUCAAUGCCCUCGACAACCUGCAGGCUCCAGCACCGAUUAAGAGUCAACUCCAUCAAGUUUUUCAAGUUUGACAAACCGCCUAACCUUUUUAAUGAAGUGCACCCUCCAACAGAAAAUACUAACAAUGAUUUCAACGUAGAAACAAAUUGAAUAUCCUGGACCCCGGGGCACCCCCACAGAACGAAUUUUUGAAGCAUCUUUAGGGAGCUUGGGAAGUAAAAGGCUCCCCUCCAAUGAUCAAUCAACUCGGGAGCUUGUAGCUCAUUGCACCCUGGGUCCUCCCGCAGACGAACCCGCCCCUGCGACCAUCUAUGGAAUAGGAAAAAUUCCAUUUCAAGUUGCCGUAACGCCUUGUUUUCUUCUGCUUCUCUCGAACUUGAUGAAACGAUUGCAGUCUCUUUUUUCGAUGGAGGAAGCCAUGAUGAAACGAUUACAGUCUCUUCUUUCAAUGGACGAAGCCAUAUUUGUUUCCCUCGAGUGUCGUAGAGCUCUACAACCCUUAACUUUGACGGAAGUUGUUUGAAAGUAGGCACGUCUGCUCCAUGUAGAGUAAGUACUUGCAGCAGAGAAAGGGAACCCAACACUGUAGUUGGUGCGUAGACAUUUGAAAAGCAAAAUUGCAACUUUCUCAGCUUGGAUAAAUUCUUAAUCCACUGCAAGUCGCAAGUUUCAAUUUUAUCUGAUUUGGCCAUAGAUUCAGAGCGAUCAGACAAGGCCAGUUCAACAAGAUUAGUAAGGCAUGAGAGGUUAGGGACAGUGUGCAACGAAGUAGAUGCCAGCUGUAGAGUGGUCAAACUCUCGGGGAGUUUUGGCAACUCUCCUAUCUGAUCACAAUCAUUCAUAAUCAGUGUUUGGAGGAGAAGAAGCUUGCACAUUGUACUGGGCAGUUUUUCAAUCGGUGUGAAUGAUACAUCGACAAAUGACAGGCUUGAUAGUCUAUCAAUGGAAUCUGGUAAUCUUCUAAUUCUCGUGCAUGAUACAUCCACCUUUGUUAACCACUCUAAUUUCAAAAUUGAGUCAGGGAGUUCACUCAAGCUAACACAACUCUUGAGAGAGAGAUGCUGCAGAUUAUGUAAUCCUCCAAUUUGUUCAGGCAAUUUUUGAAGUUCAAUGCAUUUCUCAAAACUCAAGUCAGUCAGCUCCGUCAAUUUCCCAAUGGAGCAAUCAAUUUCCAUCAAAGACACAAAUUUAGAAAAAUUCAACUUCUCUAAAACUGAGUAUCGGGGAAAGGUUGGCGUCUUAUGUAUCAAUGCAUUAUAGCAAAUAGUGAGAACCUUCAAUUUCCUUGCCCCCUAUAAAAACCAAUGAAGUACCAAGACAAACAAGAAAAAAAAAAAUUAGGCUACCAAUGAGAAAACUAGAUAAUAAAUCCAUCAAAUUUUUUGCUUCAUUGAAUGAGAAAAUUAGUCUAAGAAGGGAACUGGCAUACCUUGAUUAGGCUCUCGAGCGCAUCCUCUGUUAUAUCAAGCCCGGAAAGAUUCACCACAACCACAUUUUCUAGAUGCAACAAAUUGGUUGCCUCCAUACGUUGAUUACAGCAGUCUGGGUCAGGAAAAGUAUAAGGGUAACUCAAAACGAUCCACUUCAACUCGAAAAGACAGCCCGCAAAGUCUCCUUGGCAAGUUACAUUAUGUAACGAAAGAAACCGCAUAUGCGUGAACCGCUUAAUUUGCUCCGAAGUGAGAGAUAUUGGAUAUUGACUCCAAUGCCACGAUAAUCCCAAUUGGAGUGCUUGAACUUUUUGGUUGCUCUGCCAAUGACAUUGAUGAGCAAAAGGACGAAUUUGUCAAUAUCCCACUAUUUUAUUUCGUAGAAGAGAAGAAAAAAGGAAACAGAAGAGUAGCUCCCAAAUCAAGAACGUGAAUCCCUAAUUAAGAAGAGAGUGUAAGCAAUUUUCUAUUCAAAUUUGGCCGUACAUUACCUCUGUUAAUCUUAAUUCACGAAUGAUGUUGUCUUUAUCCCACAAUCUAGUUCCCUCAUUUUUGGCAAUUGUCCUUCCAAGAUCUCUCAACUGAUCAUGCAUCCCAAGGCAAUUAUUGUUCAACUCCUUUAUCAUGCAUCUGUUAAUAAGAACCUCAAUGGCAUCCUCUGGAUAAAACUCACAAUCUUUCCACAUGUACAUUGGAUUAGUCUUAUUCCGACCAAUGAAAAAGCAUGCAAUAUCGAGGAAUAUUUGUUGUUCAUUCCAAUCCAAGUUAUCAUAGCUAAUCUUUAGCUUUGCCAAGACAUCCUUAUGAGGUGUAUUCUUUAGCCUCUCUAGCAUCUCUUCCCAUUUUUCUCUCUUUCUCUGAAAAAGCGAUGAACCUAUUGCUUUAAGAGCUAAAGGUAGUCCGUCUGCGGUAGAGACAAUGCUCUUUGAAAGAGUGUAGUAAUCAGGUGGAGGAGAGUCAUCAUUGAAGGCAUGCCUACUAAAAAGUUUAAGUGCAUCUUUGCUACUCAACCCCACCAUUUCAUAAUUCUUAAAUUCAUACUCCAAUUCCCUGAUAUUCAAAACGCCUUGGUCCCUAGUAGUCACAAGUAUUCUAGUACCUGGAUACAAAUGGUCCUCUCUGAUUAGUUUUUGGAUCUGGUCGGCCUCAUCAACAUCAUCCAACACAAUCAGAACCUUCUUGUUGUAAAUUGUGUCUUCAAUUCUAUUGAUCCCAUGAUCAAUGUUAGCAAUGUUGUGAGCAUCUCUAAAAUCAGAGAUAUCGGACAAUAAUUUCCUUUGCAGUGCGACUAAGCUUUUGGUUUUUGCUGUUUCCCUCACGUCAUCAAGAAAGCUGCAGUUUGGGACAAAUUGAGGAUAUAGUUUGUUGAAGAUAAUCUUAGCAAGUGUUGUUUUACCGAUGCCGCCCAUCCCGUAGAUUCCAAUGAGCUGCACACCACCAGAAUUAAUGUCUAAUAAUUUUUCUAUGUCUGCUAUUCGAUCCUCCAUUCCAACUAAAUCUCUGGUUACACGUCUCUUUCUUGUCUUAAGCCGGACCAUAACCUCGUCAACAACCUCUUGGAUAAGUUUUGUAGGGCUGCCACAAAGUUCAACGGUUUCAAUUGAGCAAAGGUGACAAAUUUGCAUGUUAACCAACUAUCUACUAACCAACCAGGUGGGAACGCGAUCAAGUUUUAAAAAUAUAGAAGUGAAAUGUUUGAUCGUUAUAUCAAGUAGAAGAAUGAGAAUUUCUGGCAAAAAGGGCAGAAGAAUCAAAAUAUAAACAUCUAAUGAAUUAAUGUGAUAGAAUAUUUACUCAAAUAAAAAAUGGCCCCAUCGGACAAAAUAAUUUUCACAAUCAUGGUUAUAUUGUUACCUUGAAUUUUUCUCCAGCUCCAAUCCCUUGAUGCCCCCAACUUCUUUGAGUGCCUGCCGCCACUUCUUUAUAUCCUCGGAGCUGAACUUAAGCAUCCGAUCCUUUAUCCUUUGCUCCAAAUUUGAUAUGGCAUCUUCGUAUAAUGUGGUUUUCAGCUUCACAUCAUUGGGUUUCACUUUGUAGAAGAUGGGCAAUAUGACCUUCUCUUUCCCAUCUUCUUUAUGCUUAGAGGUGUUCUCCACCAUUUUUGCAAGCUCGUCAAGGCACCAGUGACUUGACGCGUAAUUUUUGGAAAAGAUGGGUAUGUAGAGCUUGGAAUCAUUAAUCGCUUGCAGAAGUUCGCCCUCAAUUUUUUCACCAGGUCGAAGCGCUUCAUCAUCGAUGAAAACGUGAAUCCUGGCAUCUACCAACGCUUGAUGGAGGAAAUUGGUAAAUGUAUCACGAGUAUCGGGCCCUCUAAAACUCAGGAAGACCUCAUACUUACCUCCUAAUGUAUUGCUAGUGCUCGUUCUUGUCUCUGACUUCGCCAUUGGAGCUCACUCGCAAUGGCAAGGUCAGCCCUCUCACAUGGUCUCUGAAUUCGCCAUAUGACAUUUCACAUAUUUGAAUCCGAUCCCAUCUGCCAUCCAAAACGCGUAUAGGCAACUUCGUAGCAAGUGCAGUUGCCAGUUUACAGUCAAUAAAGUCGAUGGCUUUAAAGAAGAAAAAUGACCGGUUUGCAAUAUACUAACCAGAUCAUGUAGAAUUUAGCAAGUUCUAAUGGACAUUAUAUUUUCUUCCAUAAUCAAUAGGAGGCAAAAAUUAAAUUGACUUAAUCAGGAUUUUCUCACACUUAAUUUACACUCCCUUUCAAUUUAAUGCAACUAUGAGAUGAUCGUGGCUCUUCUCCUUUACUAUGCAUCCACUUUCUCAUUCUUUAAUAAAUUUAACAAAUUUUGCGCCUAGAGGAGAAUUUUUGCUCCUUUGAAAAUGGUUUGGAACUUCGCAAUUUUUCGGAUCAAAUUUUCCAAAUUUUAAAUGGAAAGAUUAUUUGCCACCUGCAAUUUCUUGUAAAAGAGAUAGCAAUAUUUGCAAAAUAUAGAGAAUAGCACAUACUUUCCUUCCUUGAAUUCGCGGAUUAAUUUUGCCAGUUAGAAGAUAUGCUUCUAACAUAUAAAAGCACGCAUUAAUUUCUUUCAAGAUUAAAAAGAUUCUAAUGUUUAAAAGAAAAUCUGAUUUUCAAAUGUUUAAAUCAUUUAUAAUUAUUCUAUAGCAAUGGGUAAACAUAUUUAUAUAGAUACAAAUGGAAUUUAUCUAUAUAAAUGCAUAAUAAGAAAAUAGUCCUAUAGAAAAGUUUAAGUUUAAGUGCAUUUAUUUCAAGUGAGAAGUUCGUCAAAUUUCAAACUGUUUUUUUUUUUUGGAUUGGACAUUUUAACAAUAAUAACAUUACAUUCAUUAAUGGGAAGAGCUUUUAUUACAUUCUUAAUGUGAAAAGCUUCUCCACCAUAUCAUCCUCCUUUAGAAAUUUACAAAAGAAGAACAAGCCCAUUACAUUAAAAAACGAGAAAAGGCUGUUUAUUGUAAGAUAUGACGACAAAAUUCUUGAUUUGAACACCCGAAGUCCAAUGCCACUUUCGUUAAUGAGAGACAUCAUUUUGGACGUUUAUAUCGCGUGACUCACGACAUUUAAUUGAAAGUGACGGAUAGGCAACUUCUCAGCAGCUGCAGCUUUUAAUUAACAAUGAAUGAAGUUGAUGGGUUCAGAAAAAACCACAUGGAGGACAAUUAUGGAGAUGUACCACAUUUUUGGGUCGGUCGAGAUGUACAAUUAUGGAGAUGUACCAUUUCACACGCCCAAUAUCUUUCGCCUUUCUUCUUGGCGCCUUUGAACUUUUGAAUUAAAAAAAAAAAAACUCCAUUUUUCAAAUGUUUAAAUAAUUUAUAAUUAUUAUAUAGCUAUAUCUAUAAUUAAACAUAUUUACAUAGAUAAAAUCACAAUCUAUAUAAAUGUAUAAUAACAAAAUAUUCCUAAAGAAUAUCUCUCUCAUUAUGACAUAUGAGACUUUAGACAAUUAGAAGAUUUUCCUUUAAACUAUUGAGAUUGGAUUUGCUACAUUCACCACAAAAAUGCUCCACCUAAGCACUGCCUAACAGUAUGCUUACUACUCACUAUGACGUAUUUGUUUCGAUCUCUUCCCCUUAAAGACCUACUUUUUUAUCAUAAUUAAUUACCUUCAACACCACAAAUAUUGCAAUAUAUGUGCCUUAUAUUGAAAAGCAAAUCUUUUACAACACUUAUUGUCUUAUUGAAAACUAUUAGAAUGCGAGCAUGAUAUAAUUAGUGUGGUUUGGACACCAGCCAAACCUAAUUAUAUAAACAUUGAAAUAUAUCUCAAGUCGGAGCCGAAUUAAAACCGGAUCGAAAGGGACUUAUCGACGCUCGUCCUCUAAUCAAGAGUGGUGAGAGGAAAUGCAAUGAUGGCCUGUCCAUGGCCAUGGUGCCAUCCCAUCAUGGUGUUGCUUUGAGCGUCGAAAGAAAGAGACCGUCCUGGUCUUGACCAUAAGAGACGACUUUGCUCAGCUGAAGAAAGGGGAAAGAGAGAAUGAUGAUGGCCAGUGGCCACCGCUGAUACGAGACAAAAGGGGAAGGAAAACGACGAAGAAAGUUGCAAUAAUGGUGUCAUUUAACGAUGGCCGCUCAUUGUUUCCUUUCUUCUUUAUUUGCUUCUUGUGAAUUUUCUCUGUGAAUACGAAGAGGAAGAGCUCUUAAUGAGAGCUCCAAGGACUGCACAACGAGAUUAAAAAUUUCCUCUUAAAAGUUUUGAUUCAAAAAGUUUUUCUUUAUGAAAUUACACAAAAUGAAGUCAAUUAAAUCUUGUGUUAAUGUUUAGGUCAAUCUUUUUAUGCGAUUGAAAUAUUAUUUUGAGAGAAAUUAUGAGGGUUAAAUAUAGAGUUAUUAGUCAUAUUUGAGGGAUAAAAAUACAAAUAAUAUUUGAGUAACUCAAGUAUUAUUAUAAUCUCCAUGGCAUUGUAAUUUCAUGGUUUUCAUUUCCUCGUGGACGUAGGUCACAUAACCGAAUCACGCAAAUUUAGUGUUUGAUUCAUUUCCUUGUUUUACAUUUUUAUUCAAGCACUUGUUUUAUUUCCAACAAUAAAUAUGGUUUGAAGAAAAGUGAAACCAAAUUAAACCGUAUUAUAGUCAAGAUCAAACCAAGCCAAACCAUUUUAUGUGGCUUGAUUCGGCUUAAUCGUUCUUUCUGCUUUUAUUUUACCUCUUCAUCAUAUGUAAUUUCAUAAUUUAAAAAAAAAAAAAAAAACCCCAGAUUCUAUGCCACAACCCUCCCGAGGAAGUUACCGAAUUACCAAGUAAGCAUGAAUGGUCCCUUUUGCAAGGUGACGCUUGCUCUUGGCAGGAUCAAUCACAACUUGGUUUUUAUUAAUUAUUUCAUUUGCUCAAGAGUCACCACUAAUUUUUUAUAAACUGAUUAGGAAUAAAGUAAAACACGAGCCCAUUUUACUUCUACAAACCAGAGAUUUGUGGGUCUAACGACUUGAUUAGGCUGGAUAUGUGAUGUGCAAUUAUUCACGUGGUCUUCCCAAUCUUAGUUACCCAUUUUGUUCUCAAUAUCGAGGGAAGCAGGCGAUCAUGCAUGAAUUCACUCAAGCAAACACAAAUAAAAUUCAAUAAUACUAAAACAAAUAGAGCAAAUAAAAGGUACGAAAAUAAAGAAAUUGAGCCGUAUUGCAAAAAAAAAAAAAAAUCAAUACAAAGCUUUGUUCUUAAGUCCCAAGAUAGGACCCCUUGAGCUAUAAAUAGAAAUUUGAUGUUAGAUCUCCAACUAUGGCUCCAAACCGGAAAGUAAGAGCUUGUUUGUUUGUAUUCUUUUUUUGUUGUCAUGAACAUAAUUUCUUUUUUUUUGUUCCGGGCAAUUAAAACAAAAAAAAAACGUGUUUAUUUACAUUUUUGUUCCAAAUCUUUUUUUUUAUUCCCGGGAACAAAUUUGGAACAGAAACAAGAAAUAAGAAAAAUUUGUUUCUUAUUCCCGGAACACUUCUGAGAAACAAUUUUUCUCUCUCCUAUUUUUGUUCUUCUCUUUCUUUUCUUAUUCUUUUCUUAUUCUUUUUUUUUUUUGGCUAGUCGCCGACCUCGACUAUGGCCGUCAACCUCACCAGGGUGUCGUCGGCCCCUGGUGAGGCUCGGCCUCACCUUGGUUAGGCGAGCUCAGCCUCGCCAGAUCUGGGUGAGCUCGAGCUCGAGCUCGCCCAGCCAAGGCUCAGUUGACCUCGCGCUGGCCGACAAGGCUUGGCCUUCGCCUUGGCUGAGUGAGCUCAAGCUCACCCAGAUCUGGCGAGGCCAAGCCUCGUUGUGGCUAAGCGAGGCCACCAGCCCUCGUCGGCCAAUUGUCGACCAUGGUUGAGGUCGGCGACUAGCCAAAAGGAAGAAAAAAUAAAAAAUAAAAAAGGAAAAAGAAAAUAAAAAUAAAAAUGUUUAAAAAAUUAAAAGAAACAAAAAAAAUUAUACAAAUUUACCAAACGUGUUUCUAUUCUUUUUCUAUUCCAAGAACAAAAAUUUUGUACAGUUACCAAACGCGUUAUUCUAUUCAAAAAUUGUUUGCUGGAGCAUAAAUAAUUUUUUUAUUUCUGUUCCCAUAACAAUUUUUAAACAGAAACGUUAUCAAACACACCAUAAAUAAAUGAUACUUCAUUAAUAUCCACCAUAUAAACUACUUUCCUAAAAUGAACUAUUACUUCAAAACGUAAAAUCUACUCAAUGCAAUGUUAAGAAACAAAAUUUAUUUAUGAAUAUGCAUUACUAGUAAAAUAAACUCCUAGAUUUUUUUUAAUGAAUAUGCAGUUUAUCUUUCCACUUGUUCUUUUUUCUUUUUUGCAUUUUACCCCUUCUUUAUAUAUAUACACACAUAUCUAAGUGAAACAAAAUUUGACUACGUGUUGAAAUAAAUAUGAACUAGAAUCUAUAUGCCAAAAUAAUAUGUAAUAUAAAUCCGGAUUUUCAUAAAAAUUUACACUACGUUCACUUGGAAUUUUUUUUCUCUGGAAACGCUCAAUUGGAAUUUCAACCUUAAAAUUCCAUCAAGAACGACUUAGUGCACACGAGAAAAUAAAAAAAACUAAAGUGACAUAAUGCUAUGAAUUAGAGCCAGACUAAUCCACACUCUGCGAAAAUCAACGGUGGAUGAAUAAAUCUAUAAGAAUAACCCAUUUUCUCUCUACCGCUUUUUUUAGGGUGCAGUUUAGCUAACCGUCCUCUGCCAAAUGAUGGAGUGACAGUCAACUAAUGACACACAAUUCGUAUAGAUUCCAUCUUUUACCCCUUUUUUUUUUUAAAAAAAAAUUAUGUUUUCUUAUUGCAAGCUUAAAUUGAGAGAUAAAAUCAUAAGAGAGCUCAUACAAUCAAUUUUCAUGAAUAUUAUGAAACAAAAAAUAAAUUAGAUAUUGAAAUAUAAAUAAUUAGAAGUAAAAAAUAUUGUCAUCCACUAAAAAGAAAUCGUUUGUUUCAAUAACAUAUAUCGAACAAUAAUUUUUCUUGUGACAUGACUAGGCCCUUGGUUUUUAGCAUUUCCCUUGUGUCAACAAGAAAGUUGCAGUUUUUCCCAAAGCAAGGAUAUAGCUAGUUGAAGAUAACCUUGGCGAGUGCUGUUUUGCCGAUGCUACCCAACCCAUAGAUUUCAAUGAACUAAAUACCAUCAAAAGCGAUGUCUGAUAAAGUGUCUAUCGUUGCUAUUUGAUCCUCCAUUCCAACUAAAUCUUUGGUCACUUUGUCUUCACCCUAACCACAAUCUCAUUAACGACCGACGUGAUAAGAUUCCCAUAGCUGCCACAAUGACAAACAAUAUUAAUUGAGAAAAGGUGACAAAUUUUCAUGUUGACAAACAAUUUACAUAUAUCAGAUCUUGAAUCAGCCUCAAUUCAUUUCAAAUGCGCAGCUCUUAUAUUUUUGUUAGAUUGCAUAUUUCAAAAACAAUAAUGACAUUACAUUCAUUAAUGGGAAGAGCUUUUGUUACAUUCUUAAUGUGAAAAGCUUCUCCACCAAAUAAUCCUUCUUGAAAAAUUUACAAAAGAACCAACGCAUAACAUUAAAAAAGGAGAAAAUGAUGUUUAUUAUGAGAAAUAAAUGAUGAAAUUCUUGAUUUGAAUGCCCGAAAUCUAGUGCCACUUUCUUUAGUGAGAGACAUCAUUUUGGACAUUUGUAUCGCGUGACUCACGUAAUUCAAUUGAAACUUACGAACAUACAACUUCACAGCAGUUGCAGCUUUCAAUUUAUGGUCAAUAGAGUGGAUGGCUUUAGAGAAAAUGAGAUGAAGGACAAUUAUGGAGGUCUACCUUUUCACAAGCCCAAUUUCUUUGGAGUUUCUUCUUAGUGCAUUUGAACUUUUGAAUUUAUGACCAUUUUUUUAAUUAAAAAAAUGAUUUUCAAACAUUUAAAUCAUUUGUAAUUAGUUUAUAGCUAUAUCUAUGGUUAAACAUAUAUAUAUAUAAAUAAAAACGGAAUUUAUCCAUAUAAAUGCAUAAUAAAAAAUAUUCCUAAAGAAAAGUUUAAGUUAAAUGCGUUUAUUUCAAGUGGGUGAUUCAUUGUUAGUCAAAUUUCCGCUUGUUUUUUUGUUUUGGACAUUUUAGCAAUAAUAACAUUACAUUUCAUUAAUGGCAAGAGCUUCUCCACCAUAUCAUCCUCCUUCAGAAAUUUACAAUAGAAGAGCAAGCGCAUUACAUUAUUAAAGGAGAAAAGGCUGUUUAUUGUGAGAUAUGAUGACAAAAUUCUUGAUUUGAACACCUGAAGCCCGAUGCCACUUUCGGUAGAGAUAGACAUCAUUUUGGACUUUUGUAUCCCGUGACCCAUGAGAUUCAAUUGAAAGUUACGGACAGGCAACUUGACAGCUGCCGCACAGCUUUCGAUUAAUAGUGAAUAAAGUUGAUGGCUUUAUGAAAAAUCAGAUAGAGGACAAUUAUGGAGAUCUACCAGUUUUUUGGUCGGUUGAAUACAAUUAUGGAGAUGUACCAUUUCACACGCCCUUUCGCCUUUCUUCUUGGUGCCUUUGAACUUUUGAAUUAAAAAAAAAAAAAAAGAUCUGAUUUUGGGCGUGGAAAGAAAGAGAGGCCGUGCUGGUCUUGACCAUAAGAGGACGACUUGGCUUGGCCCAAGAAAGGGAAAAAGACAGACUGAUAAUGGCCACUGCUGACAUCGGACAGUACAGAAGGAAACGAAAACGACGAAGAAAGUUGCAGUAAUGGGGUCUUUUAACGAUGGCCAGUCAUUGUUUCCUUUCUUCUUCUUUAUUUUCUUCUAGUGAAUUUUCUCUUUAAAUUCGAAGAGGAAGGGCUCUUAAUGAGAGCUCCGAGGACUGCACUGAGGAGAUUGAAAAUUUCCUCUUAAGGGAUUGAUUCAAAAAAGUUUUCUUCUUGAAGUUAGUCAAAAUUAAAGCUGAUUAAAUCUUGUGUUAAUAUGCAAAUUGAGAUAUUAUUUCGAAAGAAAUUAUGAGGGUGAAAAACAUAGAGUCAUUAGUUGUACUUAAGGGAUAAAAACACCAAGGAUAUCUGAAUGACUUGAAUAAAAUUAUAAUUUUUAUUGUAUUGUAAUUUUAUCUAUAAUGGAAUUGUGUGCUCCUUUUCUCGUGGACGUAGAUCACAUAACCAAAUCACAUAAAUUUGAUAUCCGAAUUAUUUUCUUAUUUUGUAUAUUUUAUUUAAUCACUUGUUUUAUUUUCAAUAAUAAGUACGGUUCGAAGAGAAGAGGAACCAAGCUAGACUGUAUUAUAGUUAAAGAUCAAACCAAGCCAGACCUUUUUUUUUUUUUGGGGGGUUUGAUAUGGCUUAAUUGUUCUUUCUUCUUUGGUUUUCCUCUUCAUCAUUCGUAAUUUUAUGAGAAAAAAACCAAAUUCCAUGUCACGAAACUUCCAAAGCGAGAUCCCCGAGGAAGUUGCUGGAUCACCAAGCAAGCACAAAUGGCCUCUUUUGCGAGGUGAUGCUUGCUCUUGGCACGAUCAAUCUCAACUUGUUUCAAUUAAUUAUUUCGUUUGAUUGAGAGUCACCACUAACUUUUUAUGAACCAAUUAGGAGUCAAGUAAAAUGCGGGAGUCCGUCUUACUUCUGCAAACAUGAGAUUUGUGGGUCAGGAGACUUCAUUAGGCAAGACAUAUCUCAAGCCCAAUGCUGUAUAUUUUCUCUUUCUAUUAAAACAAUUAUUCAUGUGGUCUUCCCAAUCUUAGUUACCCAUUUUAUUCUCAAUGUUGAGAAAGGCAGGCGAUCAUGCAUAAAUUCACUCAAGCAAACACGUAUAAAAUCCACUAAUACUGAGACAAAUAGAGCAAAUAAAAAGGUAGGAAAAUAAAGGACCCAACCCGUAUCGGGGAAAAAAAUCAAUAAAAGCCUUGUUAUAAGGUUCCGGAACAUGCCCCUUGAGCUAUUAAUAGAAACUCAGUGUAAAAUCUCCAAAAUAAACUAUGGCUUAAAACCAGAAAGUAAAUAACUGAUAAUUCAUGGAUAUAUAUAAACUACUUUCCUAAAAUGAAGUAUUACAUCAAGAAAUAAAAUCUACUUAAUGCUAUAUAAAGUGCAAUGCAAUGUUAAGAAAACAAAAUCUAUUUAUGAUUAUGCAUGAUUCCUAAAUUAUCCUCCUAGAUGUAUAUUUUUUAAUAAAAUCUAUCUAUUUUUUUUGCUUUUUCACAUUAACCCCUUCUAUAUAUAUUAUAGUGAAACGAAAUUAAACUAAAAUAUAACUAAGUGCUGAGAUAAAUUUGAACUAGAAACUAGAUACCAAAAUAAUAUGUUAUAUAAACCCAGAUUUUCGUGAAAAUUUGCACUAUGUUGCGUUGGAAUUUCAACCUAAACUUCUUGUGGGAACGAGUUAAUAAACACCAGAAAAUAAAGAGAACUAAAGCGAUAUAAUGCUAUGAAUUAAAGUAAAACCAUUCCACAAUAUGCGAAAUCAAGGGUGGAUGAGUACAUCUAUACUAAUUGCCGAAAUUAAAUAUUAAAAAAAAGAUAUAUAUAUAUAUAUAUAUAUAUAUAUAUAUAUAUUCCUGCGCUGUUACAGGUUGAAGUGUUCAAAUUGAAUCACAUCAUGUAGAUUAUUUAUAUUUCCAUGUUUAUGCUUGCUGAGACACGAGGAACAAUCAACAUGAACAAACACAAAAAUCCACGCAGGUUUUUGAUUUUAUUUCCUUUCUUCUUUCGUCUUUCUUUUCACACCUGCAGCAUAAUUCCUUUUCACUUGUGCUGGUCGGAUAAGUCUGUCGCAUAUUUCCCUCUUGGUCGAGCCCAUGAAAGGCAGCCAGGGUCGUGCGGGCUUGGACUCGGAAGUUCAGAUGAAUUCAUGGCACAUUUUGCGUGUUGGGAUCCACUCAAAUUCAACUCACAAGCGGACUAAUUUAAACGAAAUUCGUAGUCAGGUUUCACGCUUUCUUUGGUGCGAAUGCAUUAUUCCUAACAAAAUGUUGGUACUACCUAAAUGCCGUAAAUGAGGAUGCAAAAAAUGUGCAAUCUCAAAAGAUUUAGGUAUUAGCAUUAUGCGUUGACAAAAAUUCAUAAAUUCACACAAAGUGAAAAUCAAACCUAUUUAAAUAGCUAUUUCAUGUAUAAAUGGUAAAAAUAAUUAGCAAUAUCAAUCAUUUAUACAAUGCGGUGUCGCGGUUUUGGUUUGGUUUCAAAAAAGUUGAAACCAAGCCAAACCACAAAAAACGAUUUGUUUCAUGGACGACAUGGAUAUUGUUAAGAGGGACCCUCGAGCUCGAAGGGAAGGUGUUUUGGUUGCCAGCCACAUCGUGGAGCUUGGAUUAAGGCAAGGCUGCCUCCAUCAAGAUGGAUAGGGAAAGCAACGCUAUCAACCCAUAGAUCCAAAUGCCGCGAGAAUCGAUCCAAGCAUACUGGUUCGAGACGAAGGCCUCCCGAUCGUGAACUGAAGCUUCAUGGAUAUCAUGAUUUUCUAGAAUACUUUCAAAAAGAUCAUACUUUCAAGAAUAUUUUUUACACCAUUGCAUACUUUCAAACACAAACGGACAUGGCACAUGAAGUCAUGCCAAGACAAAAAAUGACAAAGGAAUUUUCCUGAUGACAUCUCUAAAAAUAUCAUAAGUCGCAUAAAUAAUGUUAGGAAUUAUUUGAGAAUUGAAUUUAGAGGACAAAAUUGGAAAAUGUGGUAUCGAAAGAGCAUUGUGGAAAGUCUAACCCCUCCCCACACAUAAAUGAAUCCUUCGACAACAAGUUUCAUUGGCUUUCACAAAUGAUCAAUAUUAAACGUGGACCUAGUUUCCAAUCAGCCAAAUUUUUCAAAUUGAUUGGCAGUUACUCCAUCUCAUACUUAGUUGAGUGGACCGAAAAAAAAUAUUAUAUUCUUUUAUAUAAUAAUAGACCGUAAAAUCUAGCCAAUAAAAUGGGCCCAAAUUCUGUCGGCCCCAAAGCCUCUUAAGCUUUUGAUUUCCGAAACAAAAGAAGCCCUUCGUUCCUCAAGAAGUUCGAAGCCUGUUGCGAAAGGAAGCCAGCAAUCCAGCCGAGUUGGAAGACUCGGAAUCUUCAGUCGAGCGAAUAGCGUUUUCGGGUUUCCGAAUCGAACCCACUUCUUCAUUUUCACACAAGUUCAUCUUUUUCAAUCGACUGGUAAGGCCUUCUGGGAACUUCUGCGUGUUUUCCGCUUUGAAUCGUCGCGCCGGAUGCUUCUGCUCUUCAAUUUGAUUCUCUUUUAUUCUGUUUAUGUUAAUUUGCGUUGAUUUUCGUCGAUGUUGUGACUGUUUUUGCUGGUUGGAUCGUCUUUAACCUGGAGUUGUGCGGUUUCUAGCUCGGGUGGCUAGAAAAUAAGAAAGAUCUGUUUUGGUAAUCAAGAUAGAUAGUAGUGUAAGGAGGUGAAAUUGAGAUUUCAAAAAUGUUAUGUCGUGGUUGUUUUUGAGUGGUAAUUGCUGAUGGGUGUCCGUUGAAUUGCUUCAGUUGAAUUUGCUUGUUGGUCUAAAUGGCCUGCUUUCUUUGAACUGGAGAUUAUUUUAUGCUUGAGUCGGAUAUUGGGAAUGCGAGUAUUUUGAGCAUGGAAACAUCUUCUCCUAUUUGAAAUGGAGAUGAGCUUCUUCCCCACUUUUCAUUUUCAAUAUGCAUGCGAUUGUUCAAAACAAAGUUGAACAUAAUGUGUUGUUAAAUAUAUAGGAUCCUCAUGAUCCUUGAUGACCUCACAUAAUUUUGUACUAGUAUACUUUCUGCACUUGAGUUGCUGAGAUUUACGUGGCAUGUGCAAGAUUUUAUUCCAUGUUCAAAGAUACGUAGUUUCUUAUUGACAGAUGGGGGAGCUCGCUGGCAAUAAACAUGUCAAGUACAUAUUGUCCGUUGAAAAGGUAGGUAUGAAAUUUCACAAUCCUCUUCUUGUUUUCUUGUCCACUUCUUGCCAGUUACUGAAAAUGACUUGGCUUAUCUGGACCUGCUAUUCACAUUUCGGAGUUUACUGAUUUGAGAUUUUGGGUUGAUCUUGCACUCAGAAAAAGGAUAGUUUUGAGUCGGUGGUUAUGGAGCACCUGAGAUUGAAUGGAGCAUAUUGGGGAUCGACCACUCUAGAUCUUCUUGAAAACUUGACACCGUGGAUUCAAAUGAAGUUGUUUUGUGGAUCCUGCAAUGCUAGCAUGAGUCUGGUUUGUAGUUAUUUAUCUCUUGGCUUCUUUCUUAAGUACCCAUGAAAAACAUGCAGUAUUUGAAAGAACGAUCAACAUUUUAGCUCGGGAUUAACAGAUUGCCCUUAUUAUAAUAAUGACCACAUCUUAGGGGUGAUUAGUGUUGCUUUAUUCAUCUUUUAUUAUAGCUUCACUCUAAGGGACAAAGUGCAUGUCACCUACGGCUGCUUUUACAAGUGUCUUUGGUGGAAACACGGGACAUGUUCUGCAUCUGCUGUAUACGCUCAGUGCCGUGCAAGUUUUGGCCCCUUUUUGACAAGUUACAUGUUCUUGACAUCAACAAGGAAACAGAUUGUAUCCUUUGGAAUGAAGUAUCCUAAUUUGCCAAACUCUUACAUAGAUGCAAGUUCCUUGGUAUUAUUUUAUGUUUUUAUGUUUUCAACAUCAUGAGAGUAAGGGCGCGCAUGGAAACACUUCUGUUCUUUUUUUGUUCCUGGAAACAAAAAUAAAAAAAAAAGUGUUUCUGUUCCGGAGAACAGUUUUUGAACAAAAGAACGCGUUUGGUAAGUGUAAAAAAAAACUGUUCUUGGAAUAAAAAAAGAACAAAAACACGUUUGGUAACUACAAUCAAUUUCUGUUUCUAGAAUAGAAAAAGAACAGAAACACGUUUGGUAAACGACAAAAAAAAUUCUGUUUUAAAUUUUUUUUUAAAAAAAAACUUUUCUUUAAUAAAGUUUAAAAUUGAUAUUGAAUUCUCAUUCUUAUGAAAUGCUCAUUAAUUUUAUUUUGUUCAUGGUUAGUGAAGACAAACAUUUUUAAGGGCAUAUUUCGUAGAAAAUUUUGUAAUUAAAGUUUGUAUCAAAUUUUUUCAAGUACUUUUUUUAUUUUUUAGUUUUAAAGCAUAUAAACUUGAUAUUGAUUUCUCAUUCUCAUUAAAUGCUUAUCAAUUUAAGAAGGAUGAAGGAAACAUUGCACCAAAACUAUAAAAAAACAAACUAUUGUUAAGAAAAAGAACAUGAAAUGAACAAGAAAUAAGGAUAACCAACCACAUUAUCGAGCAAAGUCAAUGCAGUGACAGAAGUAUUUUGAAAUUACAGAGAAAAUUCGAUGCAGGAGAUGAGCAAGAAAAAACUCAAUUUCCCAACCCCCAACCCCCAACCACUCCCCCACAAAAAAAAAAUAAAAUAAAAAAUAAAAUGAGCGUUCUUCUGGACGGUUUCCUGGAUAAAUUUUUCUCUCUGACAAUUACAAGCAAAGGAGAAAACUUUGCAUAACUAAUAUAGUACCGGCAAGCUUCACAUAAGCAUUAUGUAUCAUCCAAAAUCAGUUGAUCCACAAUUGCGUCAACGAGUCCCUUAGUAGAAACUAUACUCUUCAUAAGAACCUCAUGGCAAGCAACAUUCCCUAAAAUUCCAAGACAAAUCUCCUGCAAACCAAUAAAAGCAGCAGAAAUGGAAUUAGAUUAAUAUACUUAUUCAGAACCAACCGGGCCACCGUUCCCAAAUAUGGUUUCCAAAUGCCCACCAACACAACGGUUUAAGAAAACAGAAGCAUGGAGAAUAGCUUACUCUAACCCCAGUGGAUUGGGAGACUGUGAGUUUUGCCAGAAGCACGUCCAGGACAAGGUUCUCAACCUGUGACAUGCAAAACAUAAAAAGAGUAAAGUGGCUGCUCAGUUGAAUCAGAUACUAACUUACUGUAUCAUACAACAUUUUCCUUCAGACAUGGCUUUGUUUGCAAGUGACUCAGUUCAGGCUGCGAGCUACUAGAGAGGAUGGAGCUCACAUACAAUGUGAAGAAACAAUUGUUGAAUAUGACAAAAGAAACUACAGAAACAACAAAUGCUUUGUUAUAUUUGGCAAACAACCAAAUCACCCUUUUUGCAGAAAUUUCCUAUUAAUGCGCCAAUUACCGGAUAAGUCCACCUAAAAUGAAGCAAACAAGAUAUCGAGGUACAAUAGAUAGCAUUUGAAAAACUAGGAUGCACUCUCUUGUACCAUGAGUUCUGCAUGAGUUUGACUUGCAGCAAGGUCCCACAGAAUGCAACCAUUCCCUUCCCAAACCUCUUCUAAUGUAGAAGCUUUGGGUAAUCCAUUUCCGCAACCUGACUCUCCAUCAACUCUGCCUUCUUCACAGGCAGAUUCCUUAUUAUCAUCAAUGAUGUCCAUUGUCUCAGAAAAGUCACUCGCUGGGUCUUGUACUCUCGUAUUAUCCAGUGGGGCCCGCUUUUCUUCAAUGGAAUCCGAGCUAGACUUCUAGGAAUUAUUUCCGUCAACUCCAUUGGAGCAAGAGUUAUGUGUCUGAUUCGGUGGUAGAAGUUUUCGUAUGAGGGAAAUUAUGUAGUUGGGAUCAACUGUUGUUGGGAGGUCAAAUAACUGCACAAAACAGGAGACUUAAGGAGAAUUAAUCAAUUCCAACUCGCACUUUCUUUCUCGACGGUCUCUCUAUCAAUUAAAAAACAUUAGAAAUCACGAAACGAUGCAGAAAUGGCAUCCACAAGUUCUUUCAUAAUAGUCAAAGACAGAAAAUAAGAGACAGGUAUAAAUGAUCUUGAAGAGCAGCAAUCUAAACUCAGCAACAGAUGGACGCCCCCACCACGACAUCUAAAGUAAGAGCGACUCCAUUGACAUCACAAGUCAAAACCAAGCCUAAAAUGUCCCGUAGGUUCCCAUGAGUAAAGAGACUAAUAAGUAAUAACCUAGGAAAUUCAAUAUCUUCCAGGAUAACAUCACCACCAUGGCCGCUAUCGUCUUUUUUGCAUAUAAGAGAAGCUCAAUCCCGAUAGUGACCAUCCAUAACAUCACGGGAAAUGCGUCACACGGAAAGUAGCCGCUCCCGAGAAAGAACAACCAUCGGAUUCUAGUUCCCGACAGUCGAAACGCGCGUCUCCAGCACUCGGAAGCAGUUCGAUUGCGGGAACGCUAGGGUUAGCGGAAGACAAACAGACAAAAAACCUAGCACCGGCCCGCGUCCCAACUGAGACGGACCGUUCUCCGUAUUCUCGGACGACGCGAUUCGAUGGAAUUGGAGAACGCGAGCGAUCAUACCUCGUCGGGAGGCGCGGCGGGAUGAUGAACCGGCGCAUCUCUGUCCACCACGCGCUCCUUCUCCUCUGCUUCGUCUUGAAGGGCCGAUCCCAAGUCGACCGCCAUAGCCCUUCUCGGCUGGUGCGAAAAGGGAGAGAGAACCCCCAGCUGAGGCUUUGGAGUAGAUCAUCGACCGUCUCUAGCACCGAGGUGAAACCGGUCGCCAAAAAACUCUCCUCCGCACAGUUAAAAAAUCACGCCUCCUGUCUCGCCGGACCGUCGGCUAUCAGCCCCACGGGAUAUCAGUGGCGGCGACUGGCGAGGCAGGGAAGAUAAAGACCGCCGCAUUCGCUAACGAAGCUUCAGCCGAGAGCACCAGCACGCACGAAGGAGAAGCCGCAGAUCUGGGCGAGCAACGCUCGCUCGAGGCUCGAGCGAGCCGUCCUAGAUCUACCGUCGGCAGCCUCAACCGAGCGUCCUAGAUUUGCCGCGCCGAAGCCCAUCGUCGACCGGAGAAGGAGGAGCACCAUAAACGUACCUGGAGUCGCCGGAGAGUCAGCCGAGUGGGAGCCGCCAAAGAGAUGGGAGAGACGCCGGAAAAGGGAGAGCAUGAGAACGAAGCUUCAGCCGAGAGCCACGAUCACGCACGAAGGAGAAGAAAGCUUCAGCCGGUGUUGUUCCAAUUUUGUUCCGGUUUUGUUUUUUGUUCUUUUCGUUUUUGUUCUAUUUUGCCUUCCAAGAAGUGUUUCUUUUGAACAGAAACAACUUUUUUAUGUUUCUUUUUUUUGUUCUUAUUUUGUUCCGGGAACAAAAAAAAAAAAUAACAGAAAUGUAACCAAACGCGUUUCUGUUCUUUUUUGUUCUCGGGAACAAAAUCCUGUUGACACCUAAAUUUUGACUAAUCAUUUAGUAAUUAAUUGCAUAAAAAUUUAGGGAUUAAUCUUUAACCCCUAAGAAAAAAUAUUAAAAUUGCAUCUCAUGUAGUCGCAUUUGCAUCGGUACUAAGGGGACAACAAGAAGCAGGGGCUCGCGGUCGAUUGCAUACACAAACUCGGUGGAGUGCGGAUUCGGGAGAAAUCUUCAAAGAAGCAAAAGCACCUCACAACAUAUUAUAUAAUAUGCCCAUAUUGUAUUAUUAUAAUAUAUCCAUAAUAUUAUAUAAUAUGUCAGUUUUAGUAACACCAAGAAGAAACCUCCUCAUUAAUGCAUCGCCAUGCACGCACGAAAUGGGACAGGCGUUUGCCUUGCUGAGAACAGGGGGGGAAAAAUAAAAUUCAUUUCGGAGGUCUGUGAGGGGAGCGAAAAAGAAAAAGUUUCAUCGUGAAGGGCUGGUCUCAUUUUCUCUUUCGGUCAGACGAGUGAACGAAAGGAGCUUGUCAGAGAAAAAUAAAAAAAGAAUGUAAAGCCAGGGGGGAGAACUUCUCCUUCGUUCACGCAAGCGGAGAGAAAGGUGGGGAGAUUAAAAGAUAGGGGUUUGUCAGAGAAAGAAAAAAGAAACAAAUCAAGUACAAGAGCUAAACAAAAACAGAAAAAGUACUCUGAGGAGAAGAGAGAGAACCUGCAGAGAGAAAAGAAAACUGAAGUCAGAGAAGGCAACAAGAAAGGGAAAGGAACGUGAAAGAAAAAUAAUAAAAAAGAAGGGUUGUCUUCUUUAAGUAGAGGCUCCGAGCGUGCCAGGGUGGGAGGAACUUCUGCAGCUGCCCAUUACCGCCGGAGCCCCGAACUCUCUCGCCACUGCAGCCUGCACCACCGCGCCAGUUCCGAGUCGGCCACCGCUUCCUCCGCCCGAGAUCCAUCCACGACGCCGCGCCGCCGCACUCCUGUUAACGCCGCGAGCACCCUCCAGCCCACACCCACAUUCACGCCUCUGACCGCCCGCACCAGCAACCCUCCGAAGGCUCCUGCAUCGACCCACGCUGCCCACGCUCGCACCACCGCGUCUCCACCUCCGCCGCACGCCGCCUCGCCUGCAGUGUGCACCGACCCGCGACGCCAGGACCGGAGGUUAAGCUACCCCAACCCGCACCUCUGCUCGCCCGUGGCCGUGCCUCCUCCUUCACCGCGCCCCUGCUUUGUCAAUGCCCGACUCCUCCGCAACCGGUAACCCCGAGCUCCACCGUUCUGCACCAACAGUCUGCCAGUAGCCCCUGCUGCUGAUCUGCAGCACUCCAGCUUGCGCCGCCCCACAGAGGACACCGAUCUCGCCACACCGGAGUGUCCCCGACGCCGUCGCUCUAGAUUUGCCACCGUCUGCGAACCAGACUCGACUGCAUCGGCCCUUUGCCCGCCGGAAGGCGCCGCAGAACCGCGCCUCCGCCAGUCACCACCGUGCCCCGUCACACCUCCAGCCUCUGAGUGACGUACGUAGCAACCCAACGUCUCCGCUGCUGCUCCACUCCCCUGCGACGGCCGGCUCCACCUUUGCUCCACCCCCCUGUGACGACCGGCUUCACCCCCUGAGACUCUGGCUUUUCUCGUUCGCUGCUCGCGGCCCCAUCUGAACCUCGGUCCCCUGCUAUUCGAGCCUUCCCACCCGACGCUGUGACCCAAGCUACUGCGCCUCCACCUUCCGAUCGAUCGCGCUUCUACUUCGCCUGAGAACUAUAGCUCGACCCAUUCGAGUCGCUGCUCCGCCCGAGCCGGAGUCGACGCCAAGCCUCCCUUGCCGAGCCGCUCCAUCCUCUGCUGCCGCGCUUCCGUCUCCCUCGCUGCAACCCAACGCCGACGACCGCCGUGCUCGCCUUCCACCCGCGACGCCCCUGUUCCGCCGGCUGCCCCUUCUGCCCGAGUGCCGUCCCUUUCCCGCCGGUCCUCGCCGGAGCUCCGACGCCGGUGAGCCGUCACCUCCGGGGACCCACAAGCUGCCAACGUUCUUUGCAAAACAAAAAGCAAAAAAGACAAAAGCAAAAGGGGAACAUUAGGUAGUUAUAAUAAUAAUAAUAAUAAUAAUAAUAAUAAUAAUAAUAAUUAUUAUUAUUAUUAUUAUUAUUAUUAUAAUUAUUAUUAUUAUUAUUAUUAUUAUCAUCAUCAUCUUAUCUUUAUUUUUAUACAGUUUAUAGUUCAUUUUUAUAUAUAUAUUUUUUAGUAUGAUUAUUCAUUAACGCAUGAUUAAAGUUUCAAUGUGAAAUAACCCCUCAAAUUAGGGAUUAGGAGUCCGAUUUUCGCGCCCGAAAUCCGACUCAUAAUCCCUUGCAAAAAUCAACAAUUCAAUCUCAUGCCCGAGAUUCGAUUCGCGAUUUAAUUUAAAAUUGACCAACCCGAUCUCAUGCGCGAGAUAUGGUUUGUCAAUUUUAGAUAUUAAUCUUAUCUUGAUUGGAUUGGAUAUCGGGUUAUUUGAAUUAAAUUUUGUUUUUUGCAUAAAAAAAAUUCAAAAAAAUGCGAAUUAGAUUACGGUUCGGGUUAGCAUAUUUAGUUAUUUUGUCUUUAAAAAAAAUUAAAAAAAUCCAAAAAAUGCAUUUAGGAUGUUAGUUUUUNNNNNNNNNNNNNNNNNNNNNNNNNNNNNNNNNNNNNNNNNNNNNNNNNNNNNNNNNNNNNNNNNNNNNNNNNNNNNNNNNNNNNNNNNNNNNNNNNNNNAUCCCCAAAAAAUUAAUUAAUUUAGGGUGCUAGUUCUUUAGGUUGCAUGUUUAAUUGUGUGCAUUUUAAAAAAAAAAUUCGAAUUUUAUAUAUACAAAAAAAACAAACAAAAAUCAUCAUGCAUUUUAGAAUAAAAUUGCAUGUCUCAUUUUAAGUUUAGAUCAAUUUGCAUCUUAGGUUAGAAAUUGCUAGAUUAAAAUAACGUCCUAGUUUAAAUUAGGAUUUAGCAUGACUUAAUCCUAAGUUUAAAUUGGAGGGAAUUUUAAUUUAGCUAGGUAUUUUUUGCACUUUUCUUAAUUUCGCAUAUCAUGAAAAAUACAAAAAAAAAUUUCUUUAGAUAAAUUAGUUUCAAGUUGUAGGAUAAAUUGCAUUUUUAGGAAUAGAAAUAUCAUGUGCACGUCAUCUAGAAUUGGGUUCAUAUAAUCAAAAAUUGCCCGUCAUUAUAAUUAUGGCAUUUUAAUUUGCAUAUUUAAUUAUUGCAUGUUCAUUAAGAAAACACGGAAAAAAGAUUUUACUCAUGUCAUGUAGCUUAGAAUACAUUGUCAAGCCAUUUCAUGUCAGAUUAGAUGCAUUGCAUAUUGCAUGAUUUUCAUUAAAAAAAAAGGUAAAAAAAAAACUGCGUGUUAGAAAUCAUAUUUAGGAUUGUUGAUGUGAAUUCUGAUUUAAUAUUGCAGAUGCUUUCGUUGCUAUAAGGUAAGUCCUGCGAUUUAUUCAUCGCUUUCUUGGGUGUUGAAUUGGUGGUUUGCGCAUCCGCAUGAUCACCUCCCAUGUUAGGAUGAUAAAUUAAAAUCAAUUCAAGCUGCCUGCAAAAUAUUUUUUUUCAAAUAAAAAGAAAUGGUACCGAAAGGGCAUUAGAGAAAUCUAGUGUAACCAAGUCCCCGAACUCACAAUCUCUGGUUCGUAGGAGUGAAGUAAUUCUCCCAUUACUUUAUUUGGGUUUCUAAUCGACCCACCAAAAAUAGAUUAGUGGCGACUCCAUGAUAAACAUCAUUUGCAUAUUAAGAACUUAAACCCUAAGUCGCGAAUUGGUAUGGGCUUGGGAGAGCUCGAGCUAAGUCUAGGCUUAGCAAUCCAUUAGCCGAACCCUUAGGUGGUCCAAACCCGCUUCGGGGAGGUCGCGACAGCUUGGCGACUCCGCUGGGGACUUGAGUUAAAACUCUUAGUGGACUUAGGCCAAUUUUUCUUUUCUUUUGAAAAAUGUUUUUAUUUGGCAGCGAGGAUUCCAGGUACGUCCCUAACAUUUAGGUGUUAAAUGUUUUUGCAGGAUGGGAGGUAUAAGGGGAAGUGUUUGCUGACCUUUGUUUUGCAGGGAGGUGUAGGAAUGUAUGGUUUACUUUCACUUAUGAAGUGUUGCUUGAUAUAAAUUGACGUGCAUGCCUUGCAUCUAGCACUACACUACUGCACACACAACCCGCCGCCGGACCUGGGCCGCAUAGGAUCAUCUAGGAUGGUAUUAAGAUGGAUACCACUUCGACCGCAUGCCCGCGGUACGAGUCGUCCAUCUCAAUCCCGAAGUUUCUUUUCUGGUGUCAAGAGUACCCACCUCGGUUCGCAUGCCCGCAACCCAGGUCGGCUCUUUGACCAAGCCGAAGUCAUGGGGACCCGACUUAGUCCGCACGCCCGUGGCUAGUCUGAUCAUCCUUGUGGCUUCACUUUGUUAAGCCUUAUAGACUAGAAAUUGAGCCACUUACCAUGCGCAUGUCUAUGUGAUUGCCCUUUGUUUAUUGGUAAAGUAAGUUCUCUAAAUUCUUGCCUUUGCAAUUUACUUACUCUAUUGCAUUAUUUUGUCGGUCCAUGGCAUUAGGAUUGUCCUGAGUCUUGAUCAAUAUACAAUGGGAAUACCGGACAUUCGAAUUAUUCUCCCUCCAAAGGAAGAGCUUAGCGCAUGGUGGGACAAGUUAGACCAAGUUGGCCGUCAAUUUGUAGAGUCACACAUUAGUCGACUACUUCCAUUGCUGCGUAUCAACAUCCAUGGCGGCCUCAUCCAAGCACUUGCUCAUUGUUGGUGCCCUGAGACUUCUACUUUCAUCUUCGGCGGUAAGCAUGAACUCACGCCCACCUUGGAAGAGUAUAGUAUUGCCAUAGGGAAACCUUUGAAAGCUGAAUUAAUUAGCCCACCUAUCGGAAUAGACCCCGUUGUGGCCUUAUCCGAUUUUCUGAGAAUUAAGGAGGAUAAUGUAAGGAAGGUUUUAAAAGCUCACCGCAAUACAUGUCACUUGUCUUUUCUAAAAGAAUGUUUUGAAAAUGGCAAUUCAUUUCAAAUGAGAAGAGUUUUCCUUUUAGCUUUCUUUGGGUUUAUACUUUUUCCUCAUUGCAAGAAUGCCAUUAACCCUUUGAUGGCUCACUUAGUUGAACAAGUGUUGGGAGGAAAAAAUUUCAUAAACACUAUUUUGGUUGAAACCUUUCUUUCCCUCACUCGAUUUAAAGGAAGCGGGGAUAAGACCUUCCGUUCCUCUCCUGAGCUUUUACAAAUUUGGUUCCUUUCUCACAUAAAAGGGUUUGGUGGUUCAAUGACUAUACUUGAUGUUAAUAACUCUAAUCACCCUAUUAUGAGAUUUGAGAACAACCAAAAACAUGCACCGGAUUACCAUUAUUCUAGAUGGCUAGCUUUCAUGAAAAAACCAACUUCCAAGGGUUUCCUAUGGCAUGCUAAGUGGUUCCAAGUUCGUGUGGCGAGACUUUCAUGUGGAGGUGUUGGCCCAAUCCCUCUACUGGGAUUCACUGGAGCAACGGAGUACUAUCCAACUAGAGUAAUCCGUCAGUAUCAAGUUGUGCAAGAGCUUCCCCCGGCAUUGCAAGCAGAUCCACUCCGAGUCAACUUCAUUGAUGGAGACCGAGGCCAUGAAGAUUCCAUUCUCACAAUUAAAUCAAUGUGGGAUAUGUGCCAGCCACGAAAACUCAAGUGGCCUGAGGAGGAGCUCAAAGGCAAAGAAAUGAAGUACUAUGCCUCAAUUAAGUACAUUCAACAACACAAGAUUCCAGAGGAGUUACUUCCAAAGAUACCAAAGGUGCCGCUGAAGAUCACCAACCGCGCUGAGAAUAAACGCCUCAAAAGGGUUGCUGAAAAAGCUCAAGAGGAGAAUAAGCGAUUGCGCCGAGUGGUGUCCCGAGUGUAUAUUGAUCAAGCUAGAUGAAGUGUUUGAGUCAAUCUUGUUGUUUCAUUUCUAGAUUAAUGUUUAGGAAGUUGAGUCAUUUACUUUCCUAGUUUGUUUGUUUAGGGCAUUUCGAGCUUCUAUUUCAUUAAUGAAGUGCUUGAAUCAAUCUUGCUUCUAUCUUGUUAGUAGUGUCAAAAACUCCGUUAAUGAAUAAAAGUUUUAGACCAUUGCCAUGGACCGGUAUAUUUCAUAUGGGAUACUUAUCUUUGUCCGUUUCUUCAAAUUAGGUGAUAACGGAUCCUCCGCGUUCGCCCAUCAUUACACGAUCAAGAGCAAAAAUGGCCGACCAAAUCGAAAUGCAUGAUCGUAUGACCGCUGUGGAAAAUCAACUCCAGCAGUUGCUCACCUCAAUGCAACUUAUGAUAGAUCAAAUGCAAUCCCUCCAAGUGAAGCAGACUCUUGCACCCGCUCUCCCCGAGAUAGUAGUCCCAAAGCAGACGAACAAAGCCCAAAUGAGUGAUGAUGACAUGCCGGAACUAGAGGAUGACCCACUGUUCGUCACAGCUGAAAAGGUUAAGCCCGACAAUGUCCCUAAGGCGGAGCAAGAUGAACGCUUCGCCAAACUUGAAGAGAAACUGAAACAAUUGCAAGAAUCACAGAAUUCACUCCCGUUCGACUUGUCAGUUUAUGAGAAAGUCAAAGUGCCGAAGAAGUUUAAGAUGCCGGAGUUCGAGAAAUACGAUGGUACUUCCUGCCCAAAAGCACAUUUGCAGAUGUAUCACGUACGCAUGGCCCAAUACGUCAAGAAUGAGCCUCUCAUGAUCCAAUCGUUUCAUGCAAGCUUGACUGGGCCCGCACUCAACUGGUACAUAAUGAAAAAUAUAAACCUUCUCGACACCUGGAAUGAAGUGGCUGACGCUUUCCUAAAGCAGUAUAAGUUCAACAUGGACAUUACACCCUCCCGAGAGGAUCUUGAGCGGAUGGAGAAGAAGAAAAAUGAGUCAUUUAAGGAGUACGCCGUAAGGUGGCGAAACUUGGCGGCUCAAAUCACUCCUGAGCCUACAAACAAGGAGUUGAUGAAGUUGUUCGUCAAGACUCUCCCAUAUGAGUUCCGUAACCGGAUGGCUAGCACAUACGUUGAGAACUUCAACCAGCUUAUCCUAGUGGGUGAACAGAUCGAGAUGGGCCUAAGGGAUGGAUGGUUCAAUGAACCAACUCUUCAAGGCAAAAGGUUCACCAUGAAGAAAGAUAAAGAACCAACCACUGAAGUCAAUGUUGCAUAUGUGCAACCAGCCCCUAGUAAGCCUCCGAUGGUUCGUGUCCCCGAGAAUCAGCAGGAUGGAGGCCGAGUGCCUGCACAGCGGCAAUUCACCAAAAGGCAGUUCUCUCCUCUUCCUGGCCCUCUAUCUCAGGUCUUGCCAAUACUUCGAAACAAGGGAUUGAUCUCCCACGAACCAAAGCGGCCCAAUGCUGAAAAAUUCUCCAACUAUGACCCCUCCAAAAAAUGUGAGUAUCAUAUGGGAGAGGUCGGCCAUUCAACUGAUGAAUGUUUGACUUUGAAACACAAGAUCCAAAAUUUGUUGGAUACUAAGGCAUUUUCUUUCCGUACCACCCAACCGAAUGUCAAGAAGAAUCCGUUGCCGGAACAUCAGGGAAACGUGAAUGCAAUCUUCGAGUUCAAUACUGGCAAAAAGAUGAACUUGAAGGUGUCUGUCAAAGAUAUCUACAGCGGAUUAGUUAGAGUUGGUUAUUAUCCGACAGAUGAGAAUCCUCCCUUGCCUACCAUGAAGGAAAGGGUUCAAGAAAUGGUUAAGGCUGGCGUGAUCAUAUAUGCUGACCAAGCUGGAACAGUGUCAACUAUCUCCGAAGUCAUCAUUGAUUGGGAGAAGGAAUUUGCUAAGCUAAGUGCUGAAAAGAGUGAACCAGAUCCAUUGAUCGAGGACAUGCCCCAACUUGAGGAUGCCUCUGACCAUGAAGGACUAAUAGUGGAAGUGCCUUCAACUGAUGAAGAAAUAAUUAUUGAGAUGCCCCAGCUGUAUGAGUACAAGGAUAACAAAGCAGUCCCUUGGUCAUACGAGCUAGAUGUUGACCUGAUUACAAGGUCUGGUCGGACCUAUGCUCAAGCUAAUGCCCAACCUGCAAAGCCAAUUACUGACGAAGAGGCCAAAGAAUUUCUAGCGAUAAUCAAAGCAAGUGAGUAUAAUGUGGUCGACCAGUUGCGGAAAUUGCCUGCUCAGAUCUCUCUACUUGAACUCUUGCAAACAUCUCCUACACAUCAAAAGUCUCUAAUGAGGGUUCUAAGUGAAGUUCAUGUACCAGAGACGAUCGAGGUAGACAGUUUGGAGGAAUUCGUAGGAUCGAUUCUUCUUAAGGAUUUAAUAGCCUUUUCUGAUGAAGAAUUCCCUCCUGAGGGGAGAGGACACACUAAGGCAUUAUAUAUAUCCGUCAAGUGCAAGGCUUCCCAUGUGCCUCGAGUACUCAUUGAUAAUGGGUCUGCCUUGAAUAUCUGUCCAUUGGCGACUCUUCACCGCCUAAAAAUAGACCCUUCAAAAAUAAGUGCUGCAAAGACCUCCGUCCGAGCUUUUGAUGGUACGAGAAAGGAGGUAAUAGGGGAGACCCACCUUGAUCUGCAAAUAGGGCCGGUGAUGUUCAACGUCCUUUUCCAAGUGAUGGACAUUCCUACCGCAUUUAAUUUUCUAUUAGGACGUCCUUGGAUUCAUACUGCUGGAGCUGUGCCAUCAAGUCUCCACCAAAGUGUGAAAUUUGUUGUCAAAGGAAAGCUAGUCAUUGUUCAUGGCGAGGAGGAUCAUCGGAUCUAUCAUGAGACGGCUAUCCCCUAUGUCGAGCCGGAACGUAGGGAGGAGUCGAGCUACCAAUCGUUUGAGCUCGUAUCCACUAUCCAUGCAUCUCGAGGAUCGAGAGCACCCAUCCCUGAUGUGUCAAAUGCAACAGUUAUGGUAGCAAGAGUGAUGGUUGGAAAUGGCUUUAUUCCUGGCCGUGGACUUGGUAGACAAGAACAGGGCAUUCGGAAUCCUAUUGAAGCCCCUCGAAGGUUUCGUUCCGCCGGAUUAGGGUAUCAUAGAAGAGGUGGAAGACAUGAACAAGAGAGGAACAACUCAUUACUCCUCGAUAUCCGUGAGACGUUCCCGGGCCCUGCCAGAAUGAUGCAUGACGAGGGAGGAAUGAUCAACACCCGAGGUAUCGUGCUCGAUGGAUGGAAUGGCAUGGACGACCCGACAACUUCAAAGAUAGAGGAUCCAGAUGAUGGGAUGGAAGGGAUCACGACUCUAUUCGAUGAUCUCCUCAUAGGUGCCAUUGAUGAAGAACCAUCGGAGGAAAUGGGUGCUAGCCCACAAGAGUAACACGUUUACUUUUCUGCACUCCCCUGCGUGGGAAUCCUAUCUCUUUUAGGAUGUGAUGUUUUCUAGGGUUUGCUUAUCGUAUUAUGUAUGUCGUUUGUCAGGAGUUGAUGGUUGUUAGGGUUUCGUUUCACUUUGAUUGCCGUACUUUUCAAUCCAAUAAAUGUAAUUUGGUUGAUGAAUAUCAAUUAUGAUUACAAGUUUUAUUUUGAAGGCAUGAUGGGGUAUACCAAACCAGCCCGUUGAUGAUAUCCAACCGAUGAAAGAAAAGAAAAAUCCAAGGAGAAUUCUGAGGCCUGGGCUUCAUCAUGUUUCCUCGUGUCAAAAAGUUUUUCCAAAUUGUUUUGCCAAAAUUCUUUAAAUAAAAUAAAAAUUCGAAAAAAAAAAAUUCAAAACGAAGGAAAAUUCGGAAAAAUAGAAAAGAAAUUCAUGCCUUUUAGCCCUGUUUGUCUUUUUGACCUAUCCAUUUUAUGUUUCAGGAGCAGCCUUAUGACGGGCAAAGAGGUGAAAAUGGUCCAAUCCAAUGUCAUGAACGAUGACGGUGAUGACCCUGAUGAUCCAAAUGGUGACUCCAUUGAAGUACAACAAAGUUGGGAGCACCAUGAAAAGCCCAAAGUUCUCACCUCCGAGCAAACUGUCACCAUCAAUUUGAGUGAUGACGUGGAUCCUAAAGAAAUAAAGAUUGGGGCAAAUCUUCCCAAAGAUGAAGCCGAGCACCUGACUCAAUUGUUGAAAGAGUAUCAGGAUAUCUUUGCCUGGACGUAUGCUGAUAUGCCAGGUUUAGAUCCGUCAAUUGUGGAACACUGUUUGCCCACCAAUCCAGACAUGCGCCCUAAGAAGCAGAAGCUUCGGAGAACUAAACCGGAGCUCUCGAAGAAGAUAGAAGAGGAAGUAAUGAAACUCCUCAAAGUGGGAUUCAUCGAAGUCUCGCAAUACCCUGAAUGGGUGGCCAAUAUAGUACCGGUCAUGAAGAAAGACGGUCGAGUCCGAGUGUGUGUUGAUUAUCGGGAUUUGAAUAAGGCCAGCCCAAAGGACGACUUCCCAUUGCCACAUAUCGAUGUUCUCGUGGAUAGUACUGCUGGAUUUGAAUUAUUCUCUUUCAUGGAUGGUUUUUCUGGCUACAACCAGAUAAGAAUGAAAGAUGAAGAUAAAGAGAAGACAGCAUUUAUCACCACGUGGGGAACCUUUCAUUAUAAGGUCAUGCCUUUCGGACUCAAAAAUGCAGGGGCAACUUACCAGCGAGCCAUGGUUACUUUGUUCCAUGACAUGAUGCAUGAAGAAAUCGAGGUAUAUGUCGACGAUAUGAUUGCAAAAACCCAACCUGGGAAAAGUCAUGUUGAAAUCCUCAAGAAGUUAUUUGAUCGGCUUCGUGAAUUCAAACUCCGUUUAAAUCCUGCCAAGUGCGUGUUCGGGGCAACAUCAGGAAAAUUACUUGGGUUUAUGGUGAGUAGCAAAGGGAUCGAAAUUGACCCAUCUAAAGCCAAGGCAAUAUGUGAGUUGCAACCUCCGUCCCCCCCUCCAAGGAGGUCCGGAGUCUCCUAGGAAGACUGAAUUACAUUGCACGAUUCAUUUCCCAACUCUCAGAGACCGCUAAGCCAUUCUUCAAACUCUUGAGGAAAAACGUACGAGUUGAGUGGAAUGAUGAAUGUCAAGAGGCGUUCAACAAGCUGAAGCAAUAUUUGAUGGAUCCGCCAGUUCUUGUCCCACCAAUAUCGGGGCAUCCUUUGAUUUUGUACCUCACAAUCCAUAGUGAGUCACUUGGCGCGAUGUUAGCUCAGAAAAGCCCCGUGGAUCAGAAGGAACGGGCCAUCUAUUACCUCAGUAAAAAGUUCACUGUCUCGGAGCUAAAAUAUUCUGAUGCUGAAAAAACUUGUGCUGCGCUAGUAUGGGUAUUGCAUAGACUGCGACAGUACACCUUGCAUUACCAAACGUUUCUCGUAACUGAGAACGAUCCCAUCAAGUAUUUAUUUAAUCAACCAGCUUUGGUGGGUAAGCUAGCCAAAUGGCAGGUCUUGAUUUCGGAAUUCGACGUACCGUUCAUGCCACAAAAAUCAGUUAAAGGCCGAGUAAUUGCUGAUAUAUUGGCUGAGAAUCCUAGAAACUUGAAUGAUGAUGAUUGUCCUUUGGAUGAUCGUAUUUUGGCCAUAAGUGAAGAUGCAUGGUCUAUGUUCUUUGAUGGAGCUGUGAACUUGUCUGGUUCUGGUACUGGGGCAGUAUUAAUUUCCCCAGACGGACAACACUUCCCAGUAGCCGCGAAAUUAAUAUUCCCAUGCACUAACAAUAUAGCUGAAUACGAAGCUUGUAUUCUCGGACUUCAAGCCGCAAUUGAAGUGGGAGUGGCCAAAUUGAAAGUAUAUGGAGAUUCCGCACUGAUCAUACUCCAGACAGUAGGUGAAUGGAAGACCAGGGAUGCUAAAUUACUGCCGUAUCAUAAGUACCUCGAAGAGUUGGUGAAGGAGUUCGAUGAAAUCUCGUUUGACUNNNNNNNNNNNNNNNNNNNNNNNNNNNNNNNNNNNNNNNNNNNNNNNNNNNNNNNNNNNNNNNNNNNNNNNNNNNNNNNNNNNNNNNNNNNNNNNNNNNNNNNNNNNNNNNNNNNNNNNNNNNNNNNNNNNNNNNNNNNNNNNNNNNNNNNNNNNNNNNNNNNNNNNNNNNNNNNNNNNNNNNNNNNNNNNNNNNNNNNNNNNNNNNNNNNNNNNNNNNNNNNNNNNNNNNNNNNNNNNNNNNNNNNNNNNNNNNNNNNNNNNNNNNNNNNNNNNNNNNNNNNNNNNNNNNNNNNNNNNNNNNNNNNNNNNNNNNNNNNNNNNNNNNNNNNNNNNNNNNNNNNNNNNNNNNNNNNNNNNNNNNNNNNNNNNNNNNNNNNNNNNNNNNNNNNNNNNNNNNNNNNNNNNNNNNNNNNNNNNNNNNNNNNNNNNNNNNNNNNNNNNNNNNNNNNNNNNNNNNNNNNNNNNNNNNNNNNNNNNNNNNNNNNNNNNNNNNNNNNNNNNNNNNNNNNNNNNNNNNNNNNNNNNNNNNNNNNNNNNNNNNNNNNNNNNNNNNNNNNNNNNNNNNNNNNNNNNNNNNNNNNNNNNNNNNNNNNNNNNNNNNNNNNNNNNNNNNNNNNNNNNNNNNNNNNNNNNNNNNNNNNNNNNNNNNNNNNNNNNNNNNNNNNNNNNNNNNNNNNNNNNNNNNNNNNNNNNNNNNNNNNNNNNNNNNNNNNNNNNNNNNNNNNNNNNNNNNNNNNNNNNNNNNNNNNNNNNNNNNNNNNNNNNNNNNNNNNNNNNNNNNNNNNNNNNNNNNNNNNNNNNNNNNNNNNNNNNNNNNNNNNNNNNNNNNNNNNNNNNNNNNNNNNNNNNNNNNNNNNNNNNNNNNNNNNNNNNNNNNNNNNNNNNNNNNNNNNNNNNNNNNNNNNNNNNNNNNNNNNNNNNNNNNNNNNNNNNNNNNNNNNNNNNNNNNNNNNNNNNNNNNNNNNNNNNNNNNNNNNNNNNNNNNNNNNNNNNNNNNNNNNNNNNNNNNNNNNNNNNNNNNUGGAAGUAGAAAUCCCCUCUUUGAGAGUCUUAUCCCAAGUGGAAUUGUCCGAGACCGAAUGGACACAACAAAGGUUUGAGCAGUUGAACUGAUUGAUGAGAAAAGGUUAAAAGCUCUUUGCCAUGGUCAGACGUAUCAACAAAGAGUAGCCAAGUCUUUCAAUCGGAAGGUACGGCCGAGACACUUUGAAGUGAAUGAUCUAGUUCUAAGAAAGGUGUUGCCGAUUUUUCCUGAUCCUGGAGGCAAAUUUGCUCCAAAUUAUAGCGGCCCAUAUAUGGUGAAGAGGGUACUCCCUGGAGGUGCCUUAAUCCUUAUAGAAAUGGAUGGUCGUGAGUUUUCUAAACCUGUUAACUCUGAUGCUGUGAAGAAGUAUUACCCUUGAAAGAAUUUGUUGUGAAUUGAAGGAACUCAUUUCUUCGUUGAAUUGUGUGAGAAUGGAUUGAAUGAGAUGAGAAGUAGGCCUUAUUCCAUACACAUAUCGAAUUCAUUUGAUUCGGUAUAUUAGACGUGUUGACUCAGUGUUAGUUCAAUUAAAUAAAAAAGGAAAUGCCCUGAGGACACCACCAGCGCCUCGGCCUGGUGGCACGGGGAAUGAAAAGGUCCGAAAGCGACCAGGGUUCGAUCCCUGGAAACGGCAACAAGUUUGCCACCAAAAAAAAAAAACAAAAACAAAACAAAAAAAACAAAUAUAUAUAUAUAUAUAUAUAUUUUACCAAUCAUUUUCUUUUCUUUUUGAGCUGCAAACUCUUUGUGAAGUACAUGUGACCUUUCAAAGAAGAAUUUUGCAUUGAUAGUUUUACCUGUUUAAUUACCAAUUUCACUGAGGAUUGUCACCAUCGAUCAAGUUAAUGAAUGAUGUGGAAUGAAUUGAACGUGCUAAAUGAGACAUGUCAGGAUGAUGAAAGGCAAGCUUUAUCCUAUACACAGUCCCUUCCUCAUAUGCUGGUGAGAUGAGUGUAGGAAACUCCAUGUUUCUAAGGUAAAGAGUUUUCUUGCGAAAGAUACGAUGAUCGAAAUGAUGAGAGGCGGUUCAUUCUCUAUCCCAAACACUAUGUGAUCAUCCAUUGUUUAAACCCUUUUGAGCCCACACAUGUGAAUAAUUUUUAAAUUACCCCUGUCAAAAACCACCCCACAUUGGGGCAAGUUGGAGGUAAGACGACAUCAUGAGGUGAGGAAUUUGAUAGGAAUAUUCUUGCUCUCACUUGCAUCAAUAUUCAGGUAUUGCUAUUACAUUGAAUUCAUACGAUAAUUCAAGUGCCUUAGGAUGAUGAAGAGCAGUUCUUUCUCUAUCCUACACACUUUAUCCAUUGCAUAGCCCCUUGAGCCUGUAAAUUCGUUUCAUUUAAACCCAAUUGGUGAUCAUCCCCCACACCGGGGCAAGGCAAAAAGCAAAUGUUCAAGCAUCAAAAUCCUGAGUGCUGACAAAAAAUGAGAACUCCUCAAGAACCCAAAUGUUAAAGCAUUACGUGGUUAUUAAAAAAAAAACAACAAAAAAAAAACAAAACAAAACAAAUGGGGCAUGAAAAAGCAGUAUGCCUGGUAAAAGCAAGGCAUGGGGAAUGAAAGAAAGAGUCAAGAUAAAUGACUAUCAAUUGUAAAAGGGUGUAUUCCCAGUGGAGUGGUACUCAAAGAACUCAAAUGCCAAGUUUUUAUAGUACCUAUGAGGAAAAUCCCAAUGAUGAAGAAAAAGACCGGUGACAAUGCCAAGAUGAUCACCAAUUCUCAUCCCCCUAUACACAUUUUGAGCCUAAUGAUCUGUUCACUUCUCAAUCUAUGAACUUAACCUACGCUACGUCCCUUACAAAGUCUCUUCAGAUUAGGGCACUGAAAUUAACGUAGGAAUUCGUAUGCUUAAAAGCAUCGCUCGAAGAAGUGCGAGCAAGACCAUUUCUAUCUCAUUUCGCAGGUUCCUUGACUUGUAAACCCGAAGGUGAUUGCGAAGUAUUGCUCUUUCAUUAGCCUUGACUCGAAGAGUCCCUCUUUGUUGAGCCAUUGACCGAGCCUACAUUACAGUCCUGAUAAAGACCUCUCAGAUUGACCAGGUCGUACCGCUUGCGAGAAUACUCGAACCCUUAUUGACAUGAUGAAAGUAAGAUGGAGUGAUUCCUGUGAUCCCACAUUAAUGGUCGGGACAAAAUGGCCUUCUUAAUGAGAGUGAGCGAAAGUCCUUUCUAACUGAAAGUCUCUCAUUUGGUGUUCUUGAAAAUCCAUGUCAUAAGUGAAAAUUGUCAUAAUCGAUGAUUCUCCCCAGUGGAAGUUCGGUGGUGCAAAUAUGGUAAAACCAUCAUGCAUAAAUUUUGGUUGAAUGGAUAAAAGCUUCAGUGGAUUUUGGAGUGUGCUGAAUUGCUUAUUUCUUUGGCAAAUGCAUGUAUUUUUGCUCUAAUCAUGUCUGACAGGUAAUGUUUCCUUGAAGACCCAAGAGCUCCUGACAUUUAUGUUGCCUUUCAGAAGCCUCGAGGUGAGAAACCUCCAUGAAUAUUUGAAGUACCUCCUUGAUGUUCCAAAAUUUUUGUUUACCAAGAGGUAAGUGACCCUCACGAAUAUCCCAGGUUUGUCCUAGGUAUUCCCAAAUUCUUGAUAUCUUUUUCGUUAUACCUUAGUCUGGAUCUAGGUAUUUCGAAUCUUCUUAAUCCAAUAUUCAUCUCACCUAACAUUGAGUGUUUAUUGGUUAAGUCCCAAAAUUCUUGACAUCUCAGUCUGGAUCUGGAUGUCUCAAAACUCUUCGUUAAACAUUUCACUCUGGAUGUGGAUGUUUUUCGAUCUUUUUCGUUAUACCUUAGUCUGGAUCUAAGUAUUUCGAAUCUUCUUAAUCCAAUAUUCAUCUCACCUAACAUUGAGUGUUUAUUGGUUAAGUCCCAAAAUUCUUGACAUCUCAGUCUGGAUCUGGAUGUCUCAAAACUCUUCGUUAAACAUUUCACUCUGGAUGUGAAUGUUUUUCGAUCUUUUUCGUUAUACCUUAGUCUGGAUCUAGGUAUUUCGAAUUUUCUUAAUCCAAUAUUCAUCUCACCUAACAUUGAGUGUCUAUUGGUUAAGUUCCCAAAUUCUUGACAUCUCAGGCUGGAUCUGGAUGUCCCAAAAUUUUUCCUCGUUUAGGCGACCGUAGAAUAGUACGGGUCCUAGACACAACCAAGCAAUGCUAUACUGGGCGACCAUAGAAUGGUACGGGUCCUGGGAAAGCAGUCUCUUUGCAAAGUCAUGUUACUAUUCUAGGCGACCGUAGAAUGGUACGGGUCCUGGACAUGUAACACCAACUAUCUCGAGUUACUCUACCCUCCCCGAAGAUAAGUUAUUCCAGGUAAGUUCCUUUUAUCACUGGCAUUAGCAUUUCCAUGCAUCAUAUAAAUCGCAUUUCAAAAAAAAAAAAAAAAAGGAUCCAUAGUCCCGCCAAAAUAUCAUUCAUUGCAUGUGCAUUGUCAAAAUUUAGGUAUCAUAUUGUCUUUGAAUGCAACCUCUGCGAGCUCACCUUCAAAGAGGGGCAGCUGUUGACACCUAAAUUUUGACUAAUCAUUUAGUAAUUAAUUGCAUAAAAAUUUAGGGAUUAAUCUUUAACCCCUAAGAAAAAAUAUUAAAAUUGCAUCUCAUGUAGUCGCAUUUGCAUCGGUACUAAGGGGACAACAAGAAGCAAGGGCUCGCGGUCGAUUGCAUACACAAACUUCGUGGAGUGCGGAUUCGGGAGAAAUCUUCCAAGAAACAAAAGCACCUCACAACAUAUUAUAUAAUAUGCCCAUAUUNNNNNNNNNNNNNNNNNNNNNNNNNNNNNNNNNNNNNNNNNNNNNNNNNNNNNNNNNNNNNNNNNNNNNNNNNNNNNNNNNNNNNNNNNNNNNNNNNNNNNNNNNNNNNNNNNNNNNNNNNNNNNNNNNNNNNNNNNNNNNNNNNNNNNNNNNNNNNNNNNNNNNNNNNNNNNNNNNNNNNNNNNNNNNNNNNNNNNNNNNNNNNNNNNNNNNNNNNNNNNNNNNNNNNNNNNNNNNNNNNNNNNNNNNNNNNNNNNNNNNNNNNNNNNNNNNNNNNNNNNNNNNNNNNNNNNNNNNNNNNNNNNNNNNNNNNNNNNNNNNNNNNNNNNNNNNNNNNNNNNNNNNNNNNNNNNNNNNNNNNNNNNNNNNNNNNNNNNNNNNNNNNNNNNNNNNNNNNNNNNNNNNNNNNNNNNNNNNNNNNNNNNNNNNNNNNNNNNNNNNNNNNNNNNNNNNNNNNNNNNNNNNNNNNNNNNNNNNNNNNNNNNNNNNNNNNNNNNNNNNNNNNNNNNNNNNNNNNNNNNNNNNNNNNNNNNNNNNNNNNNNNNNNNNNNNNNNNNNNNNNNNNNNNNNNNNNNNNNNNNNNNNNNNNNNNNNNNNNNNNNNNNNNNNNNNNNNNNNNNNNNNNNNNNNNNNNNNNNNNNNNNNNNNNNNNNNNNNNNNNNNNNNNNNNNNNNNNNNNNNNNNNNNNNNNNNNNNNNNNNNNNNNNNNNNNNNNNNNNNNNNNNNNNNNNNNNNNNNNNNNNNNNNNNNNNNNNNNNNNNNNNNNNNNNNNNNNNNNNNNNNNNNNNNNNNNNNNNNNNNNNNNNNNNNNNNNNNNNNNNNNNNNNNNNNNNNNNNNNNNNNNNNNNNNNNNNNNNNNNNNNNNNNNNNNNNNNNNNNNNNNNNNNNNNNNNNNNNNNNNNNNNNNNNNNNNNNNNNNNNNNNNNNNNNNNNNNNNNNNNNNNNNNNNNNNNNNNNNNNNNNNNNNNNNNNNNNNNNNNNNNNNNNNNNNNNNNNNNNNNNNNNNNNNNNNNNNNNNNNNNNNNNNNNNNNNNNNNNNNNNNNNNNNNNNNNNNNNNNNNNNNNNNNNNNNNNNNNNNNNNNNNNNNNNNNNNNNNNNNNNNNNNNNNNNNNNNNNNNNNNNNNNNNNNNNNNNNNNNNNNNNNNNNNNNNNNNNNNNNNNNNNNNNNNNNNNNNNNNNNNNNNNNNNNNNNNNNNNNNNNNNNNNNNNNNNNNNNNNNNNNNNNNNNNNNNNNNNNNNNNNNNNNNNNNNNNNNNNNNNNNNNNNNNNNNNNNNNNNNNNNNNNNNNNNNNNNNNNNNNNNNNNNNNNNNNNNNNNNNNNNNNNNNNNNNNNNNNNNNNNNNNNNNNNNNNNNNNNNNNNNNNNNNNNNNNNNNNNNNNNNNNNNNNNNNNNNNNNNNNNNNNNNNNNNNNNNNNNNNNNNNNNNNNNNNNNNNNNNNNNNNNNNNNNNNNNNNNNNNNNNNNNNNNNNNNNNNNNNNNNNNNNNNNNNNNNNNNNNNNNNNNNNNNNNNNNNNNNNNNNNNNNNNNNNNNNNNNNNNNNNNNNNNNNNNNNNNNNNNNNNNNNNNNNNNNNNNNNNNNNNNNNNNNNNNNNNNNNNNNNNNNNNNNNNNNNNNNNNNNNNNNNNNNNNNNNNNNNNNNNNNNNNNNNNNNNNNNNNNNNNNNNNNNNNNNNNNNNNNNNNNNNNNNNNNNNNNNNNNNNNNNNNNNNNNNNNNNNNNNNNNNNNNNNNNNNNNNNNNNNNNNNNNNNNNNNNNNNNNNNNNNNNNNNNNNNNNNNNNNNNNNNNNNNNNNNNNNNNNNNNNNNNNNNNNNNNNNNNNNNNNNNNNNNNNNNNNNNNNNNNNNNNNNNNNNNNNNNNNNNNNNNNNNNNNNNNNNNNNNNNNNNNNNNNNNNNNNNNNNNNNNNNNNNNNNNNNNNNNNNNNNNNNNNNNNNNNNNNNNNNNNNNNNNNNNNNNNNNNNNNNNNNNNNNNNNNNNNNNNNNNNNNNNNNNNNNNNNNNNNNNNNNNNNNNNNNNNNNNNNNNNNNNNNNNNNNNNNNNNNNNNNNNNNNNNNNNNNNNNNNNNNNNNNNNNNNNNNNNNNNNNNNNNNNNNNNNNNNNNNNNNNNNNNNNNNNNNNNNNNNNNNNNNNNNNNNNNNNNNNNNNNNNNNNNNNNNNNNNNNNNNNNNNNNNNNNNNNNNNNNNNNNNNNNNNNNNNNNNNNNNNNNNNNNNNNNNNNNNNNNNNNNNNNNNNNNNNNNNNNNNNNNNNNNNNNNNNNNNNNNNNNNNNNNNNNNNNNNNNNNNNNNNNNNNNNNNNNNNNNNNNNNNNNNNNNNNNNNNNNNNNNNNNNNNNNNNNNNNNNNNNNNNNNNNNNNNNNNNNNNNNNNNNNNNNNNNNNNNNNNNNNNNNNNNNNNNNNNNNNNNNNNNNNNNNNNNNNNNNNNNNNNNNNNNNNNNNNNNNNNNNNNNNNNNNNNNNNNNNNNNNNNNNNNNNNNNNNNNNNNNNNNNNNNNNNNNNNNNNNNNNNNNNNNNNNNNNNNNNNNNNNNNNNNNNNNNNNNNNNNNNNNNNNNNNNNNNNNNNNNNNNNNNNNNNNNNNNNNNNNNNNNNNNNNNNNNNNNNNNNNNNNNNNNNNNNNNNNNNNNNNNNNNNNNNNNNNNNNNNNNNNNNNNNNNNNNNNNNNNNNNNNNNNNNNNNNNNNNNNNNNNNNNNNNNNNNNNNNNNNNNNNNNNNNNNNNNNNNNNNNNNNNNNNNNNNNNNNNNNNNNNNNNNNNNNNNNNNNNNNNNNNNNUUGCUAGAUUAAAAAUAACGUCCUAGUUUAAAUUAGGAUUUAGCAUGACUUAAUCCUAAGUUUAAAUUGGAGGGAAUUUUAAUUUAGCUAGGUAUUUUUUGCACUUUUCUUAAUUUCGCAUAUCAUGAAAAAUACAAAAAAAAAUUUCUUUAGAUAAAUUAGUUUCAAGUUGUAGGAUAAAUUGCAUUUUUAGGAAUAGAAAUAUCAUGUGCACGUCAUCUAGAAUUGGGUUCAUAUAAUCAAAAAUUGCCCAUCAUUAUAAUUAUGGCAUUUUAAUUUGCAUAUUUAAUUAUUGCAUGUUCAUUAAGAAAACACGGAAAAAAGAUUUUACUCAUGUCAUGUAGCUUAGAAUACAUUAUCAAGCCAUUUCAUGUUAGAUUAGAUGCAUUGCAUAUUGCAUGAUUUUCAUUAAAAAAAAAGGUAAAAAAAAAACUGCGUGUUAGAAAUCAUAUUUAGGAUUGUUGAUGUGAAUUCUGAUUUAAUAUUGCAGAUGCUUUCGUUGCUAUAAGGUAAGGUCCUGCGAUUUAUUCAUCGCUUUCUUGGGUGUUAAAUUGGUGGUUUGCGCAUCCGCAUGAUCACCUCCCAUGUUAGGAUGAUAAAUUAAAAUCAAUUCAAGCUGCCUGCAAAAUAUUUUUUUUCAAAUAAAAAGAAAUGGUACCGAAAGGGCAUUAGAGAAAUCUAGUGUAACCAAGUCCCCGAACUCACAAUCUCUGGUUCGUAGGAGUGAAGUAAUUCUCCCAUUACUUUUACUUGGGGUUUCUAAUCGACCCACCAAAAAUAGAUUAGUGGCGACUCCAUGAUAAACAUCAUUUGCAUAUUAAGAACUUAAACCCUAAGUCGCGAAUUGGUAUGGGCUUGGGAGAGCUCGAGCUAAGUCUAGGCUUAGCAAUCCAUUAGCCGAACCCUUAGGUGGUCCAAACCCGCUUCGGGGAGGUCGCGACAAAUCCGAACAGAAGUGUUCCGGAAACGUUUCCAUGCACGCCCUAAUAAACUUACCUUAGGUUCUGUUUUCCAUGUAAGAGCUCAGAUUAUGUCGACUUUUUAAAUGUUGUAAAAUUUUGAUUAAGGUUACUUUAUAGUGUGAGUAUUGUUAGCCAAACAUUGAUGAGGGGGCUAUCUCUAUGGAGAUCGAAGUUGCUAUUGUUGGAUAAUCUCUGGUAUUAAAUGCUCUCCAUUGUUGUGCCUGAACAAUUAUUCAGACAUCAAAGCACUGUAAAACGAAGAUGGAUCUUUCUCUGGGGAUAUAUGGGGCGAAGUUGAUGCUCGUUUCCCUCCGAAGAUUCAGUAAAUGUGGAGAAGGCUAUAAGUUAUAUAGUGAGUCGCAAAACUUUGGAUGGCGGGUUUGGUUGAACUCCUGGUUUAGAGUCUCAUGAAGGGCAAAGUGUGUCAUAACCUUACGCCGGAGCUCUUUCGCUGGUUUCUAAUUUUUGAUUGGUGCUUAGUAAGUCAUGUAUUUGCUUAAAUACAUGGUGGUCUUCUAAUUAUGUUCCAAUGAACAUCCAAAGGAUAAACCGAGUUGCCACAAUUUUAAGACAUUCCUUAGGACUAAUCUUAGACUUGAGGAAAUAUAAUGAUUCCGGAGGAGAAUUAGGCAUAAAAGAAUGAAGCACCAAGCAAGUAAAUUAAGAUGCACAAGAGCCUGCCAAGCACCUUGCUACAAAGUGGCUCAUUUUUCUCGCUUCUUUCAAUUCAAAUAAGAAGAUAUGGAAACUAGUCAACAAGAAUGUAGGAGCAAUCAUGGAGCGAUAAGAUUUGGUGUUCAUGCUUCAAUAGAUAACAAAGCCAUGUGUAUUUGUUUAGCCAAUUGUCCAGUCGGCCACAUAGUAAAUUUGACUACGGAGUCCCCGGCCAUGUGCAACAGACCUCAUAUUACCAAUGGAAUAUAUAUAGACACACACACCUAAAUAUUCCAUUUUAAUUAUGGAUGAAGAACCAAGAAGCGAAGCAUUGUUUGAUUCAUUUUCAAUCAUUGAGAGCUCUUCACAAGUAAUAAAGAGACAAUGGAUACUCAUUAAUGCAACCAUUAUCCAAACCUUAAAAUAUACUUACAUAAAAACUCUUCAGGAGAAUAUGUUCAACAUCCUAUGUUGAAAGUUUCGUGCACUCUACAAUAACAUUCAUGGGAAUGGUUUAAUUCUCAUAUGGUCGAUUGCAAACAUUUACAUCGCCGUUCUCCAUCAUAGCUAUUUCUAGAAUUCUAAGGCUUUCUAAUCUCAAGUCAGCCCACCAAAUAGACAUAAUUCUUUUAAUACGCUAACUAACAGAUGCACAACACUCCGGCACAUGAUUCCACUCAAUCAAGCAGUCUACAAAAGCAUAGCAACAUAACUAGACUAGGCAUACAAAUAGUCAAACAAAUGCAAGAAAGCAGGCCCUUAUACAACUAUUACCAUAUUAAGCUAGAGCAUGAGCUCGAGCUCAUGCUUAACUACGUAAAUAUAAAUCACACCAUUACAUUCAACUAAACACCAACUGCCACACCAAAAAAAACAGCCAAAAAAAAAACUGUCACAUCACUCGUACCUGUUCUUCAGCGAUUAGCUAGUGAUCCGGAGCUUGACUCUGCCUUUUUACUCCUUUUCUUUCACAUUAUUGUAUGCACGCAUUGGGCAAGUAUGCUUUUUGGGGAAUCGGAUAUGCGGUUACGAUCCUGACCUCACAGGCUCACAGCACAUCCCUCUUUACACGUGGCGGGGGACCCACCUCGCCAUUGGUGAUGGCGAGGGAGGUGCUCACCGUCGAGCGCGCAACUGGACAAGUUGGGCUUGCGGUCUAGCGAGGGUCGGUUGUCUCAUUGUGAAUUUUCCUUUUUCCCAAAGCACGCGAGUCGCGCGUGUGGGCACCGAUCGCCGAAAAGUUGGAAGAGUAAGUCUUCUUUUUUCAAUCUAUCGAAUUCCUUACAGAAACAGUAAAUACAUGAUUUAAUCCAUAUCACGGUUCACUUGUAAUCACGACGUAAUAGGAGACGUGAGAUUGAUAUCAAAUUUACUAGAACAUCGCGGUUCUGCAUUUGAAAAAUGAGGGAACGAGAAAAUUAGGAAGAAGGCGGUGCUUUAUCAUAAAGUUGCGUUCAAGUCCGACCAUGUCUUUAAUUAUUGCUUUGCCUAAACUUUGUAUUAUUGAUGUAAUCAAACCAAUGAUUGUGCCCUCCACGUAGUAAAAUGACACAAUAUACAUGAGAUAUAAUCCAUCUCUUAGGCAUUGAGAGAAAUGUUUCAUAGCAAUGCUAAAGUUUAGAUGAUUGAUGUCAAAAACUUUCCCACUUUUCUUUUGCAAGUUGUCUUCUUGAUAUGGCGUAACGCUACCAGAAACUCUUAAGCUUUAUAAUUCUGUGCAAUGCCAUCUUUGACUUUUUUUUUUUUUUUGGCAAACAAAUUCUUGAACUAUGAUUUAUCCAUUCACAUUGGAUCUUCCAUUAAAAGACGAAAAAAAAAAUGCUUAUGUGACCGUUAAAUGCCAAGUUGACUCAAUGUGGCUCUUGUGUUCUUAUAAGAAAGAUUAAAGAAACAAAAAAAGUAAAUUUCUUCAUCGAAGAAAAUUUGGAGCGACAACACCAUCUUGAGCCCAAGCCCACAGGCAAUUUGUUGAUAGUGUUCGAGUUUGAUGAGGGGAGUAAGGACAAAGAUCGGAACACUUUUCAGUAGAAGCCCACCCAAUUGGCUUCGACUUUUGAAGCAGAGAGCGGUGGCUUCAGCCGCCAGUGGCUUUCUCAAGAUUUCCAACAGCGUUGUGGAUAUCGGAGAUGACUAGAAAUUCUUCGCGUCUUUUUCUCUCAUAUUUUAAGUCAGUCAUAUUUUGGGCCAAACCCAGCCCAAAAUUAAAUUAAUGCCAAUCCAAGAGGACUUGUUUAGGCCCGAACCUUUCAACCGGGCCUGAAGUUUGAUCGGGUGGGACAUAUUUUUCAAUAGAAAAGCCACCCAUUUGCAACUGUACUUCCAAUUACUAGACCCCAAUGGAACUCGCGAACUCAUUGCCGCACCAUUCUUUAUUUGCGGUAGACAAACAAGCAAUCCUAUUCUGUAACAUGGAAAUGGCAACAAUUUAUUGCUUAUGCCUCUUCAGGAUCAAUUUUUUUCCCAAAAAUGAACCAACUAAUACUAAAUUAGCCCCAAUAGCAACCGGUCACGGUAUUCCAACAAUAUUAACCCUAAAGCAGUGAAUAUGGUGCUGAAUAUUAAAGCAAGGGAAAACCAACACCCACAUAUUUUACGUGAAAAACUCAAUACAUGAAAAAUCAUUGGGCCAGUCAAAAUCUUCCACUAAUCAUUAAUAAUAGCAAAAUACAUAAUAGUUUAUCUCUAAUAACACAGCUAGAGGCUCUUCACAUUAGCAAAACAUCAUCACAGUAAAGGUGAAUUAACAUAAAGAAGCAAGAAAGAUCUAACCGCUGCAGAGAAAAUUAAGAGACAAUUUGGAGAAGAUUUUAACAAACAAAAUCAAUCAACUUGUAGUUCUUGGACUCACGUAUAGCAUACCAAACUUUCCGCCAAUUCCAACAAAGUUACACUAUUGAAUCCGAACUGCCUCUUCUCUUUUUCAAAGCAAAGCUCUCCGCCUCCUUCUCUUUGUAACAUUGAAUUGCUCUUCUCUAUCUUCUAAAUCAAGAACCUUCAGCCCUAUCUUUUUUUCUUUUCUUUUUUUUUUGAAUUUAAGAUGAUGAGAUGGGUCUCGCAAGAGGUGGAUCCAGCCCAACAAAUCUCCCCCUCUACCUCACAAGGGAAGUUCCAUCAUACCCACUAAAUCUCUACAAGAAUUAAGUUUCACAAUUAGCAAGGUUUAAGUCAACAUAUCAUAUCCAUUAUCAUCGGUGUAGUCUUUCUCAAGUAAGAAAAUUUUCUUUUUAAUUUUUCUUGGAUCCAAUGACAAGGAUAAAGCAUCAGUCUUGGGUAAAGCAACCAGAUGCAUUUCUAGUGAACAUCAAUCUUAUCUUCAGCAAUAUGACAAGGAUUAAAGCGUCCAGCAUAAAGCUGUCUUGUAUUUGCACGAAUAGAUCUGAUCUUGUUAGAGACAAGACCACUUAUCUCUAACUAAUAACGGCAGCUACCAAAGAGUUAAUAUAUCUAGGGCAAUGUCAUGAAUUGCUCUCUGAGGAUAAAAACCCUCUAGAAAUGCCAUGAGGGUGCCUCGAUGACACCACAGAUGAAGUGCCCUAUCCAUCACCAAUCGCAUGUCGCCUAAGAAUGGACCUAACUUUUUAGUAGUAACAGACCAUACAUAAAUCUGUUACAGCAAGUAAGCAAUAACCCAAGUAACCAAAACGGACUCUGCUCCUAGCAACAACUUCUACAAAUUCCUGAGAGCGCAAUCUUGAUUUUGUGUUUGUAGCUUCUUCAAGCCUAAACCACCUUCACAUGUUAUAAAACCAAGGGUCGUGUUAUAACGAGUUUGUACUUGUGUUUAAUAUCCCUUUUCAAACGGUGAAAAUAUAAUAUUGAAAUGGAGAUAUCAGUUCCCCUAUGUCUUGUUUAGUUUGCUUGCAAACCAUAAAUGAUGGAGGUUCUGAUCAAUGGAGUAAUCUGACAAGCCUAAAUUUCAGGCUGCUAAAACAUGUGUGUUGACAGUAUUGUCUCUUUUAUUAUCUAAUCUUUUGUUUUGAUAGGGAAUUUUUUCGAAACAUACUAAACUGACUUCAAAGGCACUUUUGCAACCAUGAUAUUAGGUUAUAGCAGAGUUGUGUUUGUCCGAGACUACAUGGGUGCACAGCUUAGAGGGAAUUUAAUGAAAUAUCGAUCGACUAAAUUAAAGUUCAACGCAAUCAAAUGCUAAGCUCUUAAGAAAUAUUGCCCGGUAGAGAGACUUGAUUAAGAAAUUUAGCCAAAGCUCUCUCCGUUUUUCUUUUCCAUACUGACGACGGGCCCAAUAAUAAUAUAAAAUUUCCUUUAAUCAUAUUAGGUUAGAUAUUAUUUUGUGGUGCCAAAUGCAGCUGGUUUCAGGUGAAGCAUUUGACAAUAAUUAUGCCGUGUUUGUUUCACGAAAAAAAAUGAUCCCGAAACUAUUUUUUAAAAAAUGAUCAUUGUAUCGUUCGAAAUAAUUAGUUAAUAAAUAAUAUUUUCAUUAUUAAUAACAAUUUAUGUUUAAACAUUUUGGUGAACGAUAAGAACCUUUCCCGAUCAUUCAUUUUUGCAAACAAUGUAAGUAAUAUUUUUGAAAAAUAUUUUUUAAAUUAUUCAUUUUCCACAAAAUAAAUAGAGGAUAAAAAAAAAUUCAGGAGAAGAAAAUGGACAAUUAGGCCCAUUUUUCAUCGGCCCAAAAAGCUUUAUGGGCUUAUUAAAACCUACGUUCCUCAGAAAAACGAAAUAAAGUUUCAUCUUUCGGUCGACUUGAAGAGCAUUUUUGGUUCUGAAUCGAGCUAAAACCUUCGUUUUCGCUCUAAUUCACCUUUGAUCGAUCGACUGCUAAGGUCUUCGGGGAGCUUCUACGAGCGUUUUGCACUACUAUUCGUCACGCCGCCGCUUAUUUUGCUUUUUAAAGCUAGUUUCCGUUGAUGUAGCGACUGUUUCUCGCUGAUUAGAUCGUCUUUGACCUGGGCCUGGCUGGUUUCUGGCUCGGGUAGCUAGAAAAUGUCGGAGAUCUCUUGUGGUGACUCGAAUAAAUAGUAGUGUCAGAAGGUGAGAUGAAGAUUUAAGAAAUGUUGUGCCGUAAUUGCGUUCGAGUCGUAAUUGCCGACGGGUGUCCGUGGAAUUACUUUCGUUGGACGUGCUUGUUCAUCUGUCGAAAUGGCGUGCUUUCUUUGAACUGGAGAUUAUUUUGUGCUCGAGGCAGAAAUUGGGAAUGCGAGCAAUUUGAGCAUGGACCUAUCUUCUCCAACUGGGAAGAGAGAUGUGCUUAAUUCCCUUUUUUCCAUGUUAAUGUGCAUGUGAUUGUUCAAAAGGAAGUUGAACAUAAUCUGUUGUUAAAUUUAUAGGAUCAUUAUGAUCCUUGAUGACCUCACGAAAUUUCGUAAUUGUAUACUUUUUUUGCGCUUGAGUUGCUAAGUUCUUAUGUGGCAUGUGUGAGAUUUGAUACCAUGUUCAUUGAUAUGUAGUCUCUUAUUGACUGAUGGGAGAGCUCGCUAGCGAUAAACAUGUCGAGUACAUAUUGUCUGAUGAAAAGGUAGGGAUGAAAUUUUAACAAUCCCCUUCUUGUUCUCUUGUCCACUUUUCUGCCAGUUACUGAAAAUGACUUGUUUAUCUAGAUCUAUCAUUCAGCAUUUCGGAGUUUACUGAUUUGAGAUUUUGGGUUGAUAUAGCACUCAGAAAAAAAAAGUCGGUGGUUUUGGAGUGCUAGAGAUUGAAUGGAGCAUAUUGGGGAUUGGCAAUUCUAGAUCUUCUUGGAAAACUUGGCAAUGUGGAUUCAGAUGAAGUUGUUUCUUGGAUCCUGCAAUGCCAGCACGAGUCUCAUUUGCAUUUAUUUGUCUCUCAGCUUCUUUUUUGCGAUUACCCACGAAAAACAUGCGGCUAACAGAACCUCCAUUCCACAUUCAAUCAAAUAUUUCUUAUUUGACAGGAUGAUUAAGAUUUUAGCUUGGGAUUAACAAUUCCAUCUGUUACAAUAAUGACUGCGCCUUAGAAGUGAUUAGUGUUGCUUAGAAGUGAUUAGUGUUGCUUUAUUUAUUUUCGAAACUUCACUCUAAAGAACAAAAUGUGAAUUUCACUUACGGCUGCUUGUGCUGGUUUGGAAUAAAGGUUCCUAGAUUUGCAAACUCUUACCAUCGAUGCAAGUUCCUUGGUGUUGUUUUAUGUUUUUAAGUUUUCAACAUCACGAGUGGCAAACUUACCUUAGGCUAGCCAGACAUUGAUGAAGGGGGCUCUCUAUAUGGAGAUUGAAGUUGCUACUGUCGGAUAAUCCCUGGUGUCAAAUGUUCUACAUUGUUGUGCCUGAACCAGGAUUCAACCAUCAGAGCAGUGCGAAACGAAGAUGGAUUUUUCUCUGGGGAUACAUGGGGAGAAGUUUAUACUCGGUGUCUUGUCCUCAUCUUGGAUCAAUUAUAAUUUUUGUUCUUCUUGAGGAUGUUUCUUAAAUUAUUGACAUCCCUUCAAUCCUUUUUUUCCCUUCGAAGGUUCUCUUAUUGUGCUAUAUGCUGUCUUGCGAUACUAAAACGGUUGGAUUCGAUAAAUGUGGAGAAUGCUGUCAGAUAUAUAGUGAGUUGCAAAACUCUGGAUGGCGGGUUUGGUUGCAAUCCCGGUGCAGGGUCUCACCUGAAAUGAUACCAUCGCAAACAGCCUUCGCUUCCAUCUUGAUGGUUAAUCAUUGUGUGCAUCACUGAUGUCUAUAUAAGAUAUCCUAAGACAACGCACUAAUGUCCUUGCUCUGUUUACUAAUCUAGCUGGUAGUAGUUAACAGUUGGAGAAAACCAUCUGCUCUAUCUAUAUCUACAAGGAACUAUUUGUCACCAAAAUGCCAACUAAAAGAUUCCAGAUCUCGCUGUACUAUCGCAAAAGGUAAAGAAACUUCAGAGUUGCCUAAAAUAUUAUUAAGCUAUGAUCUUCACAAGACAAUGAUCUCCUUUGGAUCGGUAAGACUAUAGUCUCAUAUAAAUUGAAUACAGUAUAAUCUUGGCGAUAUAUUUUGAGAAUGUAAACUCGACCUCAAGGCAUACUUAUUGAAUUUCAUAAAUCAUCAGUUUUGAAUAAUUUUUCUUUCCAAUUCCCAGGAUCCUACAAUGUGCAGUUCUAGAAGUCUAUAUUCGGGGACACAGCAGGUCCACAAUAGAUUGCAUGUAUUCCAAUCUGAAAAACCUCCGGACUUAGUAAAGUAGUAAUUAGGAGAUUAACAGAACCGCUUAAAUCCUAGAAUGCUUUGCUAACUGAGCAAGUAGGCACACUUCAAACGCGUGAAACCCGCAAUGAGCAACAAUCGAAAAAUGCAUUCUCAUAAGCAGCCACGAAGGGCCUCAAUGAAUUGCAAUUCUUUCCUCUCCUAGCUAAGCAAUAACGAAAGUUUCUCCAGUCCACCGUCCUACCCUUGAUUAACAUAGAGCAAAUCUAUCAACCCAACCAAAUCUAGCAAUCUAGCAAGUAUGUCAUAACCUCAUGCUGAGCUCUUUUAGCUGGUUUCUAAUUUCUGAUUGGUGCAUAGUAAGUCAUGUAUUUGCUUAAAUACGUGGGGUCUUCUAAUUGUGCUCCAUGGAACACAUCCAAAGGAUAAAUCGAGUCGCCACAAUUUUAAGACAUUCCUUAGGACUCAUCUUAAACGUGUGAAAGUAGGGAGGAAUUGAUGAUUUCCAAUGGAGAAUUAGGCAUAAAACAAUGAAGCACCAAACAAGUAAAUUAAGAAGCACGAGAGCCUCACCAAGCACCUUGCCACAAGUGACUCACUUUUCUCUCUUCUUUCAAUUCAAAUAAGAAGAUAUUUGCAAAACGGAGAACUGGAACGUGGGAGUAAUCCUGAAGCGACAAGAUUUGGUGUUCCUGCUUAAAUAGAUGACAAAGCCGUGUGUAUUUUGUCUAGCCAAUUGUCUAGUCGGCCACAUAGCAAUUUGACAUGCGGAAUGCCCAACCAUAUGCAGUAGACCUCAAACCAAUGGAAACCACAACUGCCCAAAAUUUGAAAAAAGAAAAAAAUGGAUAUCCCAUUUUAAUUCUGCAUGAUGAACCAAGAAGACAAGCACUGUUUGCUUCAUUUUCAAUCAUCAAGAGCUCCUCACAGUGAUAAACAGACAGUGGACACUCAUUAAAGCGACGAUUAUCCAAACCUUAGAAUAUACUUAUAGAUAAACUCUUAACGAGAAGAUGCACAACAUCCUCUGCACAUGAUUACACUCAAUCGAGCAGUCCACAAAAGCAUAGCAACAUAACUAGACUAGGUAUUCAAACAGUCAGACAAAUGCAAGAAAGCAGACCCUAAUACAAAUAUUACCAUAUGAAGCUCGAGCUCAUGCUCUACGCAAAGAUAAAUCACACGAUUACAUUCAACUAAACACCAAUUGCCACUCUGACCCAAAAAAAGAAAAAAAAAAGAAACACACCAACUGCCACACCAUUCUUACCUGUUAUUUAGCGAUUAGCUAGUGAUCCAGAGCUUGAGUUCAAGCCCAUGACUCCCGCCACUGAUGAAGUUAAUGAAUGCACUAAAUUCCUCCAGCUGUGCGGCACUGAAGAAGAAAAUGUGCACGAGAGUGAAAAGUGGCAUUGGAGAAGGACUUGACGCUCACGGACAUGGAACUAGAAUGCGAGCUUCAACCUCGCGGACGAAAAAAAGGCGCACCGUUUUCUGCAGAGAAUCCCCUGUUUCUGUUUCAGAGUCCACUGUUUCAGUUUCAGAGUCCACUGUUUCAGUUUCAGAGCUCCACGCUUGCUUUGCUCCAUUCAGAAUCUUCACUCUGUAAGACUUCCUGUCGUCACUACGCCAACCAUCGUCAGUACGACAGUCGGGUAACUCCCUGCUACCAUUUAUGAGUAUCCCGCAAUCAUCUGGUAUUUUUGAGCUUAAUGGAUCAAGAAUCCUUCCCACUGAUUUGCAGUUAUCAAUAUUCAACCACUGCAAGAACUCUAAUUCAUCAAUGCCCUCCACAACCUGCAGGCUCGGGCAACGGUGAAUCUUUAACCGCUUCAAGUUCUUCGAGUUUGACAAACCGCCUAAGCUUUUUAACGAAAAGCACUUUUUUACAUAAAUUUCUUCCAAUGAUUCGAACGUAGUAACAAAUUGAAUAUCCUGUACCUCGAGGAACCUUGACAGAAUAAAUUGUAUAAGCGUCUUUUGGGAGCUUGGGAAAAGUAUCACUCCCCUCCAAUGAUCAAUCAACUCGGGAGCUUGUAGUCCAUUGCACCCCGGCUCCUCCGGCUGACAAACCAAACUCUCGGAAGAUCUGCAGUCCUGAAUACGUGAUCUUUCUGACGAUUCUAAGACAUCGAGAGAUUGAACAUCAAGUUGCUCGGAGACCUUGUUUUCUUUCGAUUUUCCCAAACUUGUUGGAAGGAAUGGAGUCUCCUUUUCCGAUGGAGGAAGCCCAUCGAGGUGUACUUGUUUCCCUCCAGUUUCGUAGAGCUUUAAAACUAUCAAAUUUGACGGGAGGUGUUUGAAAGUUGGCAAGUCUUGUCCCUGUAGAGUAAGUUCUUUCAGCAGAGAAAGGGAACCCAACUCUGUAGUUGGCGCGCGAACAUUUGUAAAGCAGACGAGCAGGUUGCUCAAUUUGGUUAAACUCCCAAUCCACCCCAAGUCGCCAGUUUGGAAUUCAUUCGAUGGGUCUCUACCUUCAUUUGUGUCUCUGAAGCCGUAUCUGUCUAUGACGCCGUAUCUCUCUUCAUAGCCAUCAGAUAGGAGCAGUUCAACUAUAUUAGUAAGGUAUGAGAGGUUAGGGACAGUUUGCAGGGAAAAAGAACUAAGCCGUAAAGUGGUCAAACUUAUGGGGAGCUUUGGCAACUCUUGUAUCUUAUGACACUGAUCCAUGUCCAGUGUUUGGAGUUGACGAAACUUGACAAGUUUGGUAGUUCACCAAUGGUAUCCGGUAAUUUCAUAAUUUUUGUGUGUGAUACAUCCAGCUCCGUUAACGACUUUAUUUUCAAAACUGAGGCGGGGAGUUCAAUCAACCCGAAACAUCGCUUAAGACAGAGGCACUGCAAAUUUUGUAACUCUCCAAUUUGUUCAGGCAAUUUUUUAAUUGAACAACAAUGCUCAAAAGUCAAGUCAAUCAACCACCUCAGUUUCCCAAUAGAACGAUCAAUUUUCAUUAAAGAUCCAAAAGACUCAAUAGUCAACUUCUUUAAAUUUGAGUACUCGGGAAAGGUUGGUGUCUCACUUAUCAAAGCAUUACACCGAAUAGUGAGAACCGUCAAUUUCCUUGCCCCCUACAAAAGCCAAUAAAACAGUAAGACAUACAAGAAAUAAAUAUGGAUUUAGGUUACCAAUGAGAAAAUUAGUUAAUAAACACGUCAAAUUAUGUCCUUCAUUGAAUGAGAAAAUUAGACUAAGAGGGAAACCGGCAUACCUUGAUUAGGCUAUCUAACACAUCUUUUGUGAUUUCAAUCCCAUAAAGAUUCGCCACAACCACGUUUUCUAGAUGCAACAAAUUGGUUGCCUCCAAAUGUUGAUUACAAGAUCCGAUCGUACUAUAAUGGUAACAAUGCAAACGGAUCCAUUUCAACUCAGAAAGACAGCCCGUAAAGUCACCUCGGUAGGUUACAUUAGGCAAUGAAAGAAACCGCAUACGUGGAAACCGUUUAAUUUGCUCCGAAGUGACAGUCCAAUGAGGAGGAAAAUAACUCCAUGGCAAAUGGAGUGCUUGAACGCUUUCUUUGAUCUGCCAAUUCGUAGAAGAGAAGAGAAAAUGAAACAAAAGAGUAGCUCUCAAAUCAAAAAGUGAAUAUUGAAUUAAGAAGAGGUAUAAGCAAUUUUCUAUUCAAUUUAGGCCAUACUUUACCUCUGUUGAUCUUAAUUCGUGAAUGAUGUCGUCUCCAUCCCACAAUCCGGUACGCUCGUUUUUGGCAAUUGCCCUUCCAAGAUCUCUAAAUUGAUCGUGCAUCCAAAGGCUAUUAUUGUCUAACUCCUUUAUCAUGCAUCUGUUCAUGAGGACAUCCAUGGCAUCCUCUGGGUACAAAUUACAAUCUUUCCACACGUACAUUGGAUUAGUCUUAUUCUCACCAGCAAAAUAGCAUGCAAUAUCAAGAAAUAUCUAUUUUUCAUUCUGAUGUAAGGCAUCAUAGCUAAUCUUUAGUUUUGCCAAGACAUCCUCAUGAGGUGUUUUCUUUAGCCUCUCUAGCCACUCUUCCCAUAGCUCUCUCUUUUUCCCAAAAAGUGAUGAACCAAUUGCUUGAAGAGCUAAAGGUAGUCCACAUGUAGUAUCGACAAUGCCCUUUGAAAGAGCGCAAUAAUCAGCUGGAGGAGAGUCUUCAUUGAAGGCAUGCCUACUAAAAAGUUUAAGUGCAUCUUUACCGAUCAACCCCAUCAUUUCAUAAUCCUUAAAUUCAUACUUAAGUUUCCUGUUAGUCAAAACGUUCUUGUCCCUGGUGGUAACAAGUAUUCUACUACCUCGAUGCAAAGAUUUCUCUGCAAUUAGUUGUAGGAUCUGGUUGGCCUCAUCAACAUCAUCCAAUACAAUUAGCACCUUCUUGUUGGAAAUUGUUGCUUCAAUCGUAUCAAUCCCUUCAUCAAUCUUAUUAAUUUUGUGAGCCACUCCAGAAUAAGAGAUAUCAGACAAUAAUUUUUUUUGUAGCUCAACCAUGUUCUUGUUUUUUGCCGUUUCCCUCACGUCAUCAAGAAAGCUGCAGUUUCUGCCAAAUCGAGGACAUAGUUCGUUGAAGAUAGUCUUGGCGAGUGUUGUUUUACCAAUGCCGCCCAUCCCGUAGAUUCCAAUGAACUGCACAUCAUCAGAAUCAAUGUCUAAUAAUUUCUUUAUGUUUGCUAUUUGAUCUUCCAUUCCAACGAAAUCUCCGGUUACACGUCUCCGUUUUGUCAAGAGCUUGGCCAUAACCUCGUCAACAAUAGCCUGGAUGAGUUUUAAAGGGCUGCCACAAAGUUGAACAGUUUCAAUUGAGCAAACGUGACAAAUUUGCAUAUUGACCAUCUACUAACCAACCGGGUGGGGACGCGAUCAAGUUUAAAAAUAUAGAAGAGAAAUGUUCGAUCUUUAUAUCAGGUAGAAGAAUCAGAAUUUCUGGCAGAAAAGGGUACAAGAAUCAAAAUAUAAACAUCUAAUGAAUUAAUGUACUGAAAUAUUUACUUAAAUAAAAAAAAUGGCAGCCCGAUUAUACAAAAUAAUUUUCACAAUCAUGGUUAGAUUGUUACCUUAAAUGUUUCUCCACCUCCCAUCCCUUGAUGCCACCAACUUCUACGAGACUCCCGCCACGUCUUUAUAUUCUCGGAGCUGAACUUAUGCUCCUAAUCCUCCAUCUCUUGCUCCAAAUUCAAUAUGACAUCCUUGUAUAACGGUGUUUGCAGCUUCGCAUCUUUGGGCUUCACGUCAUAGAAGAUGGGUAAUAUGACCUUCUCUUUCCCAUCUUCUUUAUGUUUAGAGGUGUUCUCCACCAUUUUCGCAAGCUCAUCAAGGCACCAGUGACUUGAAGCGUAAUCGUUGGAGAAGAUGGGUAUGUAAAGCUUGCAAUUGUCAAUCACUUGCAAAAGGUUGCUAAUUUUUUCACCAGGUUGAAGCCCUACGUCAUCGAUGGAAACACGAAUCCCGGCAUCUACCAGGGCUUGGUGGAGGAUAUUGGUGAAUGGAAGACGAGUAUCAGGCCCUCUAAAACUCAGGAAAACCUGGUAUUCACCUCCUACCGUGUUGCUGGUGCUCGUCACUGUCUCUGAGUUUGCCAUAGGAGCUCACUUCGCACUUAACAACGUCAACCCUCUCACCUCGUCUCUGAGUUCGCAAUAUGACAUUUCACAUAUUUGAAUCCGAUCCCAUUUGCCAUCCAAAACGCGGUCAACGCGUGUCGAGUUUUCCGACACGUAGUCAACUUUUUUCGACUCGUCUCGACACGCGUGUCGGAUGGAAGCGAGGGCGGGGGAGGAGAGACGAGGCCGCGAGCGACAGCGAGCCCGCGACGGCGAGAAACCGCCAGAGAAAGAGUAGAGAUUGAGGCGCCAGAGAAAGAGUCGAGACCGAAGCAAGGGCGGCUGUAGAGACUGAGGAGAGGGCGGCCGCAGUGAUGCUGCGGAUCGGCGACGAGGCUGCAACUGCAAGUGAGGAAGGGCCGAAGCGAGGCGGAGGAGGAGGAGAGGAUCGAGAGGAGAGAGAGGACGGGGUUGUAUGGAGGUCGUCGUCCGGNNNNNNNNNNNNNNNNNNNNNNNNNNNNNNNNNNNNNNNNNNNNNNNNNNNNNNNNNNNNNNNNNNNNNNNNNNNNNNNNNNNNNNNNNNNNNNNNNNNNNNNNNNNNNNNNNNNNNNNNNNNNNNNNNNNNNNNNNNNNNNNNNNNNNNNNNNNNNNNNNNNNNNNNNNNNNNNNNNNNNNNNNNNNNNNNNNNNNNNNNNNNNNNNNNNNNNNNNNNNNNNNNGAGGGAAAAAAGUGAAAUAAAUUUGGGAGCGGGGGGAAACUUUGUUUUAAUCGGAAAAAAUAAAUGAAUAAUUUUAAAAAAUAAAAAUACUGAAUUUUAGAUGAUAAUAAAUUUUGAUCAUUGUAAAAAAAAUCAUAGAUUUAUUUAAAUAAGUUGAUUGUAAUUUUCAAUGAAUUAAUUUAUUAAUAUUAUUAGUGUAAAUUCAUUGUAGGUUCUUUUUUUAAUUAAUUAAUUAAUUAUGAAUUUAAAUCAAAUUAAAUAUAAAUAAAAAUAUUUAUUUAAUAUUUAACGUGUCGGAAGAUAUCGAAAUUUUUUACUUUUUGAGAAAUGACGUAUAAUGUAUCGUGUCGUGUCGUGUCACUUAUCGCAUAUCGCGUGUCGGUGCUACAUACGUGUACACUUAGUCAAGUUGAUGACUUCAAAAAAUAAAAAUAAGGAAAAUGACGCUAAUGGAGACGCACCUUUUUACACUCCCAAUGUCAUUCGAGUUUCUUCCUUUGUCCUUUUCACUUUGUGCUUUUGAAAAAGAAAAAUACGGUGGAGGACGAUAAUGGAGGUGCACCUUUUUGCAUGCCCAAUGUCUUCCGAGUUUCUCCUUUGUGCUUGUCGCGACCUAAUUUUCGCGGGUUCACCACCUAAAACUAGGUAAAUGGACUGCUAAGCUUUUACACUUAGCUCGGGCUCUCCCAAGCCCAUAUCAAAUCGCGACUUAAGUCUAAAUUUUUAAACAUGCAAGAGGUUAUUAUCUAGGAGUCGCUACUAAUCAGUUUAUGGUAGGUCGAUUAGACACCUAAGUAAAAUAAUGGGAGAAUUACUUUACUCCUACGAACCAGAGACUAAGGGUACGGGGACUUGAUUACAUUAGAUUUCUCUAAUGCCCUUUCGGUACCAUUCUUUUUAUUUUCAAAAAUGUUUGGCAAUUGAAUUGAUUUUAAUCUAACUUCCUAACAUGUGAGGUAAUCAUACGUGUGCGCAUACCACCAAUUUAACACACAAGACAGCAAUUUAAUAUUGCAAAACAUACCUAGGAGCAAUAAAAGCAUCUACAUUGUUAAAUCAGAAAUCACAUCAGCAGCCAUAGAUAUGAUUUCUAAUUAACACGCAAUUUCAAUUUUUUUGUUUUCACUUUAUUUAAUGAAAAUCAUGACUUAUGCAAUGCAUCUAAUAUGACAUGGCAGCAUGACCUAAACUAUAUGACAUGAAGAAAUGCAAGAAUUAAAUGCCAUCUAAAUGACCUAAUUCUAAUGACAUGCAAUGCGAAGCAAUGACAUACAAAAUUCUUUAAACUAAGAUGACAUGCCGCAUAUAAUUUAGCACGCGAGUUAUAUGUCAUGCGACAUUUAUUAAAUGAUUUAGUCUAAUGACGAUGAAGUUCUAAUGAACCUAAUAAAAACUAAAUGACGUGCAUUUGAUAUUUCUAUUUAAAAAUGCGAAAAUAAUCUAGCUAGAUUAAAAUUCAAUCUAACUUAAACUAAGGAUUAAGUCACAUUAAAUCCUAAUUUAAACUAAGAUAUUAUCUUAAUCUAACAUGUAAUUGGUCUAAUAUGCAAUGACGUGCGGAGCAAGCCCUAAUGACAUAUGCAUGAUAUUUUUUAUAUUUUAUUUUUUAUUUAAAAUUCAAAAUUUAAAAUUGCCACGUAAUUAAACAUGCAACUAAAGUCCUAAAUAAAUGCAUUUUUUUAAAUAUUUUUUGAACUAAAAUCCCUAUCCUAGCUAUGCAAGAUAACAAGAAAUAUUCUAAAACAAACUGAAUCCUAAUUCAAAUAUUUUUUUAGAUUUUUUUAAUGAUUCUCUAAAACAAGCCAUUAUCAAUUAAACAGUAAAUCUAAACAAUCAAGAUAUGCAAUCAUAUAAAGGAUCAAAAUAACCGAAAAAAAUAACCUGUUGUCUCACAGGUCAAAUUAACGAUUAUCCUAACCCUAAUUAUCACAACAAAGAGUUCAAAAUAACUAAAAUCUGAUCCGAAUUCUUACGGAUCAAAUUAAUAGUUAUAUUGAUUCAACACUAUCGACAAAUCCCAGAAAUUAUUAUAAUAAAAAAAAAAUGAUCCGAGAUCUUACGGAUCAAAUUAGUAAUUACAAUAAUUCUAGGGAAUAUCCUGUGGAUAAUGCCUACAAAAUCCAUAAAAUAAAGAUCACUCCUGAACUUAAAAGAAAUAAAUAAAAUAAAGUAAAUAGAAAAAGAAUAAAACUACCUAAUUUCCCUUUUCUUUUCUUUUUUUGUUUUUCUUUUCCUGCUUGUAACCGUGGGUCUCCAAGGCAGCGAGUUAAUCGGCACGGCAAAGGGGAUCACCGACGAGGGGGAAUUCCGGCGAGGCAAGGCAGCAGGCACAGCUGGUCACGGGUCAGGUGAGACAGGGACGGCAUGAGCGAAACCAUCGGUCUUCGGGCACCGGCAAAGGUGCGCGAGUGCAGCAGUAGCUGAGGCGGUCUGGCGUCGUGGGUGAGGAGGAAUCAGCGAGCAGUGGACUCACGGCUUCGAGCGGGCGGAGUAGGGCAGGAAAAGCUCCGGCGUCAGGCUUCACGGGCGGUGACCGGCGGGCUUUGUGAGGAGACAACAGACGCGCGGCGAGAGGCGAGCUGCUGUGGCGCCGGUGCUCGGGAGGAGGGAUGCAGGCGGAGAUGCGGCACGGAGAUCUGAGCGCGAUGGUGUGGCGCGGUGCAGGAGGGGUCACGGACGACUGGGCUGGCGUCGCGGGUUGCUCGCGAAGGAGGCGCGACGAGGCUCGGCGUCGUGGUGGCACGGUUCGUCGGGUCUUGUAGACGGAGACCGGCGGCUACGUCGACGCGGGGAAGGCGGAGGCGCGGCGGAGCUUCACGGAUCGUCGAGUUGGGCGAUGGGCAGUGCUCAAGUGUGGGGCACACGGAUGAUCAACCGGACAGGAGCAAGGAGACACGUCGGUGAAGGGACUGGACACCAGGAAAGCUUUGCCGAAGAAGAUGAAUAGGAAAAACUUUUCCUUCUUUUUUUACUUUUCCCUUUCCUCUCUCCUCUGCAGCCGCACACUUUCCUUUCUUUUUGCUUUUUGUGCUUCUUUCCUUUUCCCAAGACCUUCACGGACGGCCUCCCUCUCCUCUUUCACUUUUUGCUUUUUUCUCUCUUUUUUUAACUGCAAAACUUCUCUCCACUUUUCUGAAUUUUUUUUCAAAAGAAGCUCCUCCUUCUCCACAUACCUGAUUGCUUUUUAUAGGUGAAAAUAGGUAAUCUUCGUAGAAUAUUUUAUCUCGUUUUUUCAAUAUACACGAAGAUAAUCUAUAACCUCCCGAUCACCCAAAAUCUUCUUAUUUUCCUUAUCUCUUGAAUAUCUCUAAUGAUUUUAUUGCCUAUUGAUAAAGAUGAUAUUGCAAUGCGGUUUUCUCAAUCUUCAAAAAUCAUCAGAAUAUUGCAUCAAAAUUUCAAUUUUUCACAAGAUAAUUGAUUUGCAAAAAAUAAUGGGCUUGGGCUAUUUUGCUCAUUUCAUGGGCUUAGCCCGACCUGCCAAUUUAAAACCCGAAAACACCAAUUCGACCCAUCCGCCAAUCGGUUCAGUAAAUAAAUGCAAAAUAUGCAAACUAAAUGUAGCUAUGCAAUAUUUUUUUUCAGGGAUAAAAUUAACCCCUAAUUUUUUAUGCAAUAAAUGACUAAAUGGAUCGCCAAAAUUUAGGUGUCAACAGCUGCCCCUCUUUGAAGGUGAGCUCGAAGAGGUUGCCUUCAAAAACAAAUUGAGAUCUAAAUUUUGACAAUGCAAAUGCACUGAAUGAUUUUUUUUUUUUUUUCAGAAAAUGAAUUCCAUUUUUUAAUGCAAUGUAUAUGAUGCAUGGAAAUGCUAAUGCAGAUGAUAAAAGACUUACCUGGAAUGACUUACCUUCAAGGAGGGUAGAGUGAUUCAAGAUAGUUGGUGUUACAUGUCCAGGACUCGUACCAUUCUACGGUCGCCCGGAAUAGUAACAUGGUUUUGCAAAGAGACUGCUUCCCUAGGACCCGUACCAUUCUACGGUCGCCCAGUAUGGCAGUGUUUGAUUGUGUCUAGGACCCGUACCAUUCUACGGUCGCCUAAACAGGGAUUUACCUUCCAGGACCCGUAUCAUUUUACGGUCGCCUGAAUAGGGAAAUAGGUUUUGUCUAGGACCCGUUCUAUUCUACGGUCACCUAAACGGGGGUUUACCUUCCAGGACCCGUACCAUUCUACGGUCGCCUGAAUAGGGAAAUAGAUGUUGUCUAGGACCCGUUCUAUGCUACGGUCACCUAAACGGGGGUUUACCUUCCAGGACCCGUACCAUUCUACGGUCGCCUGAAUAGGGAAAUAGAUGUUGUCUAGGACCCGUUCUAUGCUACGGUCACCUAAACGGGGGUUUACCUUCCAGGACCCGUACCAUUCUACGGUCGCCUGAAUAGGGAAAUAGAUGUUGUCUAGGACCCGUUCUAUGCUACGGUCACCUAGACUGAGGUUUUGCUUGGCUAGGACCCGAACCAUUCUUCGGUCGCCCAGCCUUGCAAAAGAGAUCAACUGACCAGGACCCGAACCGUUCUUCGGUCGCCUUAAUCAGAUUGGCUCUGGAGGAAAAUCUUUGGGGGACAACUCAGUCGAGUGUCGAUUAAAAGGGACUCUGGGCUACAAAAGCACGCCAGGUCGAUAAAAGAAAUCCGGGCUACGGAAGCACGCCGAUUUGGUAUAAAUGGACAUCGGGCUACGAAAGCACACCGGGUCAAUGAAUGGGACUCUGGGCUACGAAAGCACGCCAGGUCAAUAUAAAGGACACCGGGCUACUGAAGCACGCCGGGUCAAUGAGAAAGGGACUCUGGGCUACAAAAGCACACCAGGUCAAUAUAGAGAGACAGCUUGACCGAGUCAAGUGUCGAUAAUGGGUAGAGAUAUACUUACCUGAUGAUAUCUCUGAUUCUUUGGGAUAUGUCUUUUGGAAAUUAGAUAUCCUGUGGAGGCCUUUCACCUCCUAAUAUCAUGAAACAUUCUGAAAGGAACUUGAAUUACCUGUCAGACAUGAUUUAGAGCAAAAACUGAUAUGCAUUCAUUAAAGAGAUAAACAAUCUAAGCUACUCUAGAAUGCACAUUUCAAAAUUCAGUGAGGUUUUCAUCAACUCAAUCGGGGUUUAUGCAUAAUGACCUUUGCAUCACCCAAAUUUCCACUGGAGAGAAUUAUCAUUCAAGACAAUUUUCACUCAUGACAUGGAUUUCUUAAGAAUACCAAAUGAGGGACCUUCAAUUAGAAAGGACUUUCACUCACUCUCAUUUAGAAGCUAUUUUAUGAGAAUCACUCCAUCUCACUAUCAUCACACCAACAAGGGUCCGAGUUUUCUCACAAGAGGUACAACCUUACCAAUCUGAGAGAUCUUUAAUAGGGACCGUAAUGUGGGCUUGGUUAAUGGCUUAACAAAGGGACUCUUUGAGUCAAGGCAAUUGAAAGAACAAUUUUGUAAUCAUCUCCGGGUUUACAAGUCAAGAACCUUGCAAAAUGAGAACGAAAUGAUCUUGCUCGUACUUCUUCGAGCGAUGCUUAUAAACAUAUGAACUCCUAUGUUAAUUCAAGUGCCCUAAUCUGAAGAGACUUUGUAAAGGACGUAACGUAGGCUAGGUUCAUGGGUUGAGAAAUGACAUGAUCAUUAGGCUCAAAACAUGUGUUAAGGGUGAGAGUUGAUGAUCAUCUUGGCAUUGCCACCAGUUUUCUUUUUCACCAUUGGGGAUUGUCUUCAUGAAGUGCCCCAUUGAUUAUGAAAACUCAACUUUUGAGUUCUUUGAGUAUUGCUCCAUUGAGACUCAAUUCUUGUCAUUAAGAGUCACCUAUCUUGACUCUUUUUUUCAUCUAUGGGCAUUGGCCUUGCUUUUACCAGGCACACCACUUUUUCACGCCCCCUAGUUUUCAUUCACUUUUCUUCACUUCUUUUCAUGGGCAUUGGCCUUGCUUUUACCAGGCACACUGCUUUUUUUAUGCCCCUUAGUUCUAUUUUGAAUUCAAUUCUUGCACAUAAUGCAUGCGUCAAGUAAACUACACUUUGAAUGACACUUGAACUUUUCAAGAGUCUUCAUUUGCCUUUUGUCUUGCCCCAGUGUGGGGGAUGAUCACCAACUGGGUUUAAAGAAAUAAAAUUGCAGGCUCAAAUGGGCUAUGCAAAGGAUAUAGGUGUAUGGGAUAGAAAAAGAAAUGCUCUUCAUCAUCCUAAAGCACUUAAAUUAACACAUGAAUUCACUGUAAUAGCAUGACUUGAAGAUUGAUGCAAGUGAGAGCAAGAAGAUUUCAAUUCAUUUUCCUCACCUCAUGAUGCCAUUUGAUCUCUUAGUUGCCCCGAUGUGGGGUGAUUCUUGACAGGGGUAAUUUGAAAAGAAUCUCCACAAGUGUAUAAGGCUCAAAAGGGUUAAGCAAUGGAUCACCUAUAGUGUUUGGGAUAGAGAAAUAAACUGCCUCUCAUCAUUUUGGUCAUCGUACCUUUUGCAAGAGAACUCUUUACCUUGAAGAUAUGGAACUUCCUACACUCAUCUAUCAAGUGUAUAAGUAGGGGACCGUGUAUAGGGUAAGGCUUGCCUUUCAUCAUACUGACACGUCUCAUUCAGCAUUCUUAAGCAUUGAUAUCACUCCAUUAAAUUGUCUAUCUUGACAAAUCUCCACAUGAAAUUGGUUAGCUAAAUCAAUAUGAAAAUUCUCUUUUCAAAUGAGUCCAGCAACUUUAAGCAUGAAAAGUGUUUGUGACUUCAAAACAAACAAUUUAUUGCACUCAAAACAUGGUUUUAAGCAUUCAUUCAGGGGAUUGCUCUAGAAAGGGAUAGCCGUCUUUUAUCAAUCAAAAGUGAAAAUUCGCCUUUUGAUUUGAUGAAUACUUCGUUCUUGCUUUUGCCCCUGCACAAGAGAACGUGCAUGAAUAGGAUACUAUGCAACUCAAAGUAAAUUCAAAUGGCACAACCAUUUUGGCUCGGAUCGAGAUUUUGUCUCAGUCAUGUCACUACUAGAAUCUAUAGUACCCCAAUUCUUCAUCUGCAAGGAAAAGAACAAAAGUGUCAAUUCCGAAAUUAAUUAUAUUCAUGAACGCAAUGUAUCCAUUUCAUUUAAGACGGAUGAUCUUCUUUUGACUUGUUUCAUCAUUUUCUCAUGGAAAUGAGAAACUUCAUUUGGCCUUCGAGAAUGACAUUUCACACAAAUUGUUAUGAGAUGUGCCACAUAUCACACUUUGGAGUCCAUAUGAUUUUCUUCACUCUUGGGAGAUGUCAUCAAGAUCAGUUAGGAAAUGAUCAUUUGCCCCCACAUCUAUUUUUCCUCUCAGAUGUAUGUUCCCAAAUCAAUGGGCCUACUAUCAUUGGAAAUUGAUGCGUUAUUUUCAAACGCCUCUCUGUUAUGCUCUGAGACAUGAAGUAAAUGAGUUAGAAAAACAUACAAAGGUAACCUAAUGCAUGCUUUUUGGAAAUGGCUUGAAAAAUGAUUUUUUUUUUUUGUUCUUUUGGAUUUUUUUUUUAUGAGGAAGCAUGAAGAAGCCCAGUCCUCAGAAUUCUCCUUGGAUGAUAUUUUCUUUUCAUUGUUGGAUAUCGUCACCGGGUUGGUUUGGUAUACCCCAUCAUGUCCUCAAAAUUAGAAAUAAAAUUGUAAUUUCGUCAGAUGAAUUACAUUAUUGGAAUGGAAAUUGUGAUUCCUAAACCCCCUAAAAGAGAAAAAAUCGAAAAUGAUUCCUAAAAAGCGAAAACUAAUUCCUAAAAAGCAAUAAAAAUUCCCAUGCAGGGGAAGAUGCAACUGAGCAUGCCCCAAGGAAAGUGAACUACUUAGGACUAUGAAUCAUGUAUGCUCGAGUUCUUCACCCUCCUUGCUCGUGUGAUGCGAACCUUUCAAGUCUGAGAUUCUUCCUUCUAGAUAUGUCACGAGUCUCUUCAUGGUGGCAUCAAAUUCAGCUACCUCGGGAAAGUGAGACGAUUCAAAAGUUCUCUUGGCUCUCUUCUUCGAGUCGCAAAUUCUUAUUGAAGAUGGAGUACCUAUGUCAUCGCAGCCUUUUUGCUUGAUGAGAAAAGUCACAGUAGUAGACAAUUCAUUGACUUGAUUUUGGUGGUGUGCAAUUUGCUUGUUCAUAUUAUCAAUGAUAUGGUCCAGCGCCUCAUUUCGAUCCGCCAUUUUAGCUCUCGACCGUGUACGGAUGGGUGAGCGAGAUCGCUUCAUAAUCACCUAAUAAAAAAAUAAAUGGGAACAUGUAAGCAUGAAGUGUAAAUAGAAAGCUAGUUCAUGACAACCAUUUAAUUUUAAUCAAGAAAAGUCCACAUAUGAAGAGGAAUUCCUAAAAACGGACUAGGAAAAUAAAGACAGGGGACGCCCCAGUAGGGACGAAAUUUCCUAAACAUGAACUAGCAAAAGCCAAGACAUAAAUUGAAAACAAAUUUCCAAUUUUUAUUUUCCAAAUGAUUCAUUGUAUGGCAAUUCAUUUCAUUUUUUAAAGGAAUUAGAUCAAAUGACUAUCCUAGAUUGUCAUGAACAAACCAAAAGCAUGACAAAAUAAGAUGCAUGGUAUAGGGAUAGAAAACUUACUUUACCAAGAAAAAUCAACGGCGAUCACAUAGACAUGCACAUGAAAUGUGAGGCUCGAUUUCUGUCUAAAUGGCUUAACAAGGUGGAGCUAAGAGGAUAAUCUUACCGUUGCAGUCUCGCAUUAACGUGUCAGGUCCCCCUAACUCCGGCUCAGUCGAAUGGAAUACCCAAUAAUCACGCAGUCUCGCGGAUAUGGAUAAACACAUUCGACACCAUGAAAGAAAUUUCGGGGAAGAGAAGGUCAACCUCUACAUAGCAGUCUCGCUUUGGAGGAAGUAUCCUUCUCAACACCAUCCUAAAAAUCCUAUCGCAGCCCAGGUCCGACCGCAGGUUGUGUGUGCAAAAGUGUAGUGCUAAAGCAAUAAAGCAUGCACAACAGUUUAAAUGCAAACAACACUUCUAUAGUUUUAAUUCAAACAUUCAUCCCUAACUCCAACCUGCAAAACAAGGGUUAGCAAAGACUACUCCCCUUAUACCUCCUAUCUGCAAGAACAUUUAACACCUUAGGAAUGUUAGGGACAUACCUGGGAUCCUAUGCUGCCAAACAAAAAUAUUUUUUUAAAAAGAAAUUGGCCUAAGUCCACUAAGUGUUUUAACACAAGUCCCCAGUGGAGUCGCCAAGCUGUCGCGACCUAAUUUUCGCGGGUUCACCACCUAAAACUAGGUAAAUGGACUGCUAAGCUUUUACACUUAGCUCGGGCUCUCCCAAGCCCAUAUCAAAUCGCGACUUAAGUCUAAAUUUUUAAACAUGCAAGAGGUUAUUAUCUAGGAGUCGCUACUAAUCAGUUUAUGGUAAGUCGAUUAGACACCUAAGUAAAAUAAUGGGAGAAUUACUUUACUCCUACGAACCAGAGACUAAGGGUACGGGGACUUGAUUACAUUAGAUUUCUCUAAUGCCCUUUCGGUACCAUUCUUUUUAUUUUCAAAAAUGUUUGGCAAUUGAAUUGAUUUUAAUCUAACUUCCUAACAUGUGAGGUAAUCAUACGUGUGCGCAUACCACCAAUUUAACACACAAGACAGCAAUUUAAUAUUGCAAAACAUACCUAGGAGCAAUAAAAGCAUCUACAUUGUUAAAUCAGAAAUCACAUCAGCAGCCAUAGAUAUGAUUUCUAAUUAACACGCAAUUUCAAUUUUUUUGUUUUCACUUUAUUUAAUGAAAAUCAUGACUUAUGCAAUGCAUCUAAUAUGACAUGGCAGCAUGACCUAAACUAUAUGACAUGAAGAAAUGCAAGAAUUAAAUGCCAUCUAAAUGACCUAAUUCUAAUGACAUGCAAUGCGAAGCAAUGACAUACAAAAUUCUUUAAACUAAGAUGACAUGCCGCAUAUAAUUUAGCACGCGAGUUAUAUGUCAUGCGACAUUUAUUAAAUGAUUUAGUCUAAUGACGAUGAAGUUCUAAUGAACCUAAUAAAAACUAAAUGACGUGCAUUUGAUAUUUCUAUUUAAAAAUGCGAAAAUAAUCUAGCUAGAUUAAAAUUCAAUCUAACUUAAACUAAGGAUUAAGUCACAUUAAAUCCUAAUUUAAACUAAGAUAUUAUCUUAAUCUAACAUGUAAUUGGUCUAAUAUGCAAUGACGUGCGGAGCAAGCCCUAAUGACAUAUGCAUGAUAUUUUUUAUAUUUUAUUUUUUAUUUAAAAUUCAAAAUUUAAAAUUGCCACGUAAUUAAACAUGCAACUAAAGUCCUAAAUAAAUGCAUUUUUUUUAAUAUUUUUUUGAACUAAAAUCCCUAUCCUAGCUAUGCAAGAUAACAAGAAAUAUUCUAAAACAAACUGAAUCCUAAUUCAAAUAUUUUUUUAGAUUUUUUUAAUGAUUCUCUAAAACAAGCCAUUAUCAAUUAAACAGUAAAUCUAAACAAUCAAGAUAUGCAAUCAUAUAAAGGAUCAAAAUAACCGAAAAAAAUAACCUGUUGUCUCACAGGUCAAAUUAACGAUUAUCCUAACCCUAAUUAUCACAACAAAGAGUUCAAAAUAACUAAAAUCUGAUCCGAAUUCUUACGGAUCAAAUUAAUAGUUAUAUUGAUUCAACACUAUCGACAAAUCCCAGAAAUUAUUAUAAUAAAAAAAAAAUGAUCCGAGAUCUUACGGAUCAAAUUAGUAAUUACAAUAAUUCUAGGGAAUAUCCUGUGGAUAAUGCCUACAAAAUCCAUAAAAUAAAGAUCACUCCUGAACUUAAAAGAAAUAAAUAAAAUAAAGUAAAUAGAAAAAGAAUAAAACUACCUAAUUUCCCUUUUCUUUUCUUUUUUUGUUUUUCUUUUCCUGCUUGUAACCGUGGGUCUCCAAGGCAGCGGGUUAAUCGGCACGGCAAAGGGGAUCACCGACGAGGGGGAAUUCCGGCGAGGCAAGGCAGCAGGCACAGCUGGUCACGGGUCAGGUGAGACAGGGACGGCAUGAGCGAAACCAUCGGUCUUCGGGCACCGGCAAAGGUGCGCGAGUGCAGCAGUAGCUGAGGCGGUCUGGCGUCGUGGGUGAGGAGGAAUCAGCGAGCAGUGGACUCACGGCUUCGAGCGGGCGGAGUAGGGCAGGAAAAGCUCCGGCGUCAGGCUUCACGGGCGGUGACCGGCGGGCUUUGUGAGGAGACAACAGACGCGCGGCGAGAGGCGAGCUGCUGUGGCGCCGGUGCUCGGGAGGAGGGAUGCAGGCGGAGAUGCGGCACGGAGAUCUGAGCGCGAUGGUGUGGCGCGGUGCAGGAGGGGUCACGGACGACUGGGCUGGCGUCGCGGGUUGCUCGCGAAGGAGGCGCGACGAGGCUCGGCGUCGUGGUGGCACGGUUCGUCGGGUCUUGUAGACGGAGACCGGCGGCUACGUCGACGCGGGGAAGGCGGAGGCGCGGCGGAGCUUCACGGAUCGUUGAGUUGGGCGAUGGGCAGUGCUCAAGUGUGGGGCACACGGAUGAUCAACCGGACAGGAGCAAGGAGACACGCCGGUGAAGGGACUGGACACCAGGAAAGCUUUGCCGAAGAAGAUGAACAGGAAAAACUUUUCCUUCUUUUUUUACUUUUCCCUUUCCUCUCUCCUCUGCAGCCGCACACUUUCCUUUCUUUUUGCUUUUUGUGCUUCUUUCCUUUUCCCAAGACCUUCACGGACGGCCUCCCUCUCCUCUUUCACUUUUUGCUUUUUUCUCUCUUUUUUUAACUGCAAAACUUCUCUCCACUUUUCUGAAUUUUUUUUCAAAAGAAGCUCCUCCUUCUCCACAUACCUGAUUGCUUUUUAUAGGUGAAAAUAGGUAAUCUUCGUAGAAUAUUUUAUCUCGUUUUUUCAAUAUACACGAAGAUAAUCUAUAACCUCCCGAUCACCCAAAAUCUUCUUAUUUUCCUUAUCUCUUGAAUAUCUCUAAUGAUUUUAUUGCCUAUUGAUAAAGAUGAUAUUGCAAUGCGGUUUUCUCAAUCUUCAAAAAUCAUCAGAAUAUUGCAUCAAAAUUUCAAUUUUUCACAAGAUAAUUGAUUUGCAAAAAAUAAUGGGCUUGGGCUAUUUUGCUCAUUUCAUGGGCUUAGCCCGACCUGCCAAUUUAAAACCCGAAAACACCAAUUCGACCCAUCCGCCAAUCGGUUCAGUAAAUAAAUGCAAAAUAUGCAAACUAAAUGUAGCUAUGCAAUAUUUUUUUUCAGGGAUAAAAUUAACCCCUAAUUUUUUAUGCAAUAAAUGACUAAAUGGAUCGCCAAAAUUUAGGUGUCAACAGUGCUUUUCACUUUGUCUUGAUCUCUCCGCCUUGAAAACUUAACUUCAAUUAUAACCAAUUUCCUUCAACAACUCAAUUAUUGUCGUAAAAUGUGCCUUUAUAUUAAAAGGUGAAUGAUCAUUUAUUUCCUACUAACAACUAUUAGAAUGUGAGCAUGGUGUAGUUAGUGCAGUUUGGAUGUCAAAUCAAGCCAAACUAUAUAAAUAUAUUUUGAGUUUGAGCACCUCGGAUGAAAUAGGAUCAGAUGAGAAUUAUAGGAGCUCGGCCACUGUUCAAAAUUGGUGAGAGGAAGGGCAGUGAUGGCUUGUCAAAGGCCAUGAUGCCAGUCCAUUGCGGUAUUGCUUUGAGCACGAAAGAAAGAAAGAGAAACCAUGAUGGUCCUGACCACAAGAGACGGCUUUUGCUCAGCUGAAGAAGAGAGAACGAGAUUAAUGAUGGCCAUUGCCGAUACUGGCCCGAAAGGGGAGAAGACGAAGAAAGUUGCAAGGACGGUGUCUUUUCAUGUUGGCCACUCAUUGUUUCCUUACUUCUGCUUUAUUUGGUUCCGCUGAAUUUCCUCUUCAAGUACCAAGAGGAAGAGCUCUUAAAGUCAAAGAGAGCUCUGAAGGCUGCACAGAGCAUAUCGAAAAGCGUGUCGAGGGUUCCUCUCGAUAACACCAAAUAUUUAUGUUCUAAAGAGGAGUAAAUCUUUCGUUAAGAUUUGCCUCGUACUUUUAAGAGAUUGGGAAAUUUUUUCAAAAUAAAAUUUGAAAGCUAAACAUUUUAUGAAUUAUUGAAUAUAACUAGGAUUUGAAAAAUAACAAGAGUGUUUAAAUGAUUCAAGUAUGAUUAUAAAUUUCCUCAUAUCUUUUGAUUUAUAAUUGAAUCUUGUAUUGCUCUCUCAUAAAUAUAAGUCAUAAACCGAAUCACGUAAAUUUAAUAUCUGAUUCAUUUCUUUAUUUUGUGCAUUUUAUUCAAUUUUUUUUCCAAAAGGGAAUAUGUUUUGAAGGAAAGUGAAACCCAACUAAAAAAUAUUCGAUAUGAUCAGCAUUAGGGGGUAUUGUUCUUUUGUUGCCAUUUUGUCCAUUGAAUCGCUCCAGGCCGUGUGUACCUUUCACUUUCCUUCCUUCAUUUUCCAUGAUUCUAUGGUCACAUAUUUUUUAUUUAUUUAGUUUUGGCACAACAUAUCAAGAAAACCCUAAAUUUGCAACUACAAUCUUAAUAUUUUAAAUAAGUCUAUUUUGCAUUAUUUGACAUAGAUUUUCACGGCAUUUGUUAGUGAUGCAUUUUUUUUAAUUGCAUGUUUAAUAUAAAUCAUUUUCAUAUUUCAUCUCUUAAUAAUUUUCCAUGAGAAAUUGAAAAUCAUUAGGAAUAUUAUCCUUCGAAAUUUGAAGUAAUGAAGCUCAGAUAGAGCCUAGACGCAAUAAUUUAUUUUUUAGCUUGUUUUAUUUAUAAAUGUUUUUCAUGGCGUUAUUGGUUGCUUUGACUUGUUGACUAAAUCGGUGCACUGUACAAAGUCCUCGAGAGGAUGACUUGUCCACAUUUAUUUUAGCUCAUUCAUGACACUAGUAUCCAAAUCAUUGGACUCAAUUAACACCGAUUUAUAAACACAAACCACUCCAUCCACGUACAUUAGAUUAGUUCCAUUCACAGGAUAGCUAGCAAGACACUCUAGGCAAUGAGUAAGAGACAUCAUGAUCAAAUUUGAACAAAAUAUUGUUUCGAGAAUAGCGUUCAAAAUACAUGUAAUGCACUCAUGACGGAGUCAUUUUCCUGGAAAAUAACUUAUCGAAAAAUGUUUUUCGGAAACAUGAUAUUUUCUACGAAACGAACGAACCCUUAAUAUGAAAAACUUCUCCUCCAAAUCAUCCUCCUUCAAAAAUAUACAAAAGAAGAACAACUGUGUUACAUUAGAAAAGGAGAAAAUGAUGUUUAUUAUGAGAAAUAAAUGAUGAAAUUCUUGAUUUGAAUGCCUGAAGUCCGAUGCCACUUUCUUUAGUAAGAGACAUCAUUUUGGACGUUUGUAUCGUGUAACUCACGUGAUUCAAUUAAAAAGCUUUUCCACCAUAUCAUCCUCCCUAAAAAAAUUACAAAAGGAGAACCACUACGUUACAUUAGAAAAAGGAGAAACGGAUAUUUAAUUAUAAGAUAUAAACGGUGAGCGCAAUGCCACUUUCGUCGGUUAGAGACAUCAUUUGGACGUUUGUAUUUCGUGACUCAGGGGUUUAAUUGAAAAUUAUGGAUAAAGACUCUUAAUUCCAUUUGCAUGACUCACAGGGUUUUAGGUUUCAAAUAAAUAUCGGAAUCGACAAAAUUUUAAAGGGAAACAAAUAUCACUAUAAAAUAUUCUUCCACGACCAUUUGCCAUCAAUUACGCUCACGGCCAACUUUCCAGCAGGUGCAGAAAACAUUAUAUAUUAUGGUCCCUUUUGACAUCAAAAACACGUCAUGGCAACUUCGAAGCAGGUGCAACUUCCAAUUUAUAGUCACUAAAGUCGAUGGCUUUAUAAAAAUAAAGGUGGAGGACAAUAAUGAAGGUGUAACUUUUCUAUAGUUGGACAUAUUUAAAAUUCCAAUCCAAUAUUGUAAAAUAAAAUUUAUCUAUAUAAAUACAUAAUAACAAAUUAUUUCCAAAGAAUCGCCUCUCAUUAUGACACAUGGGACUCCGGAUAAUUAGAUAAAUUUCCUUCAUGCCAUAGAGAUUGAAUUUGCAGCUUUCACUACAAAAAAAAAAAAAAAGGCUCCACCUAAGCGCUACCUAAGCAUAUACUUACUAUUCACUAUGAAAUAUUCGAUUUGAUCUUUUUACCUUAAAGACUUACCUUUUAUUUUAAUUAAUUGCCUUUAACCACUCAAGUAUUCUCAUUAAAUGUGCCUUUAUAUUAAAUAGCAAAUGAUUGUGCAAACACUUUUUCAACACUUAUUUCCUUAGAUUGUCAUUGCAUUUCUUAAAAAAAAUUUAGGGACCGAAUUUGCCAACAACACUAUAAUUUGACCCCUAACCAAAAACACUUACCACGCACGGUUUUUUGCAUUCGUUCCUCGCAUUCAUGACUAGAGGCAUGUUGAUUUCGAUACCUUGGGCCUGGCAUCAAAAUAAAUCUUGGAUAGGAAAAAGAAUUUCAUUUUAUUCUUUUCAAGAAUGGAGGAUUAGGAAAAUCCUAUUGAUUGCAACUUUCUCCAAACGUCCGAGAAAAGGAUGAAAAAAAGGCUUGAAUGGUACAAUCCCUCCAUAACCCCUGGGGAAAAAUAAAGAUAUAUCUUACAUUAAAAGGCUCAAAUGGUACGAUCCCUCCAUCACCCCAAAAUGAAAGGGAUCACAGACAUUUCUGGAACACCUCUAACAAAGGGACAAAUAGUCAAUUUUGAAAUAACUUAAACUCCAAUUCUAAAAUCCCUUCUCUCGCACUUUACACCUUAGAAUGCACCCUUAUUAUAGAGAGAAAGACGACCCAGUACGGUAUCGAUAUCUCUUGGAAUCCUAAACUAAAUAUGAUACUACCAAUAAUUGUAGCAAUCUACAUGUGUCCCUAUCCCAUUAAUCAAUACUGAUUGAUGGAAUUCUAAAGAAAUAUUCAAGGCCACUCAACAUUACUCAAUUGAUUUGUUCCUUUUAAGUUGACCUAUUUUUGUGCGCACCAUUAAACCUCAGCUAGCCUUAUCGCUUUAGCCUUGUUGGGGACAUGAAACUAAGUCGAGAUAUGGGCCAUCUAGUCAACAAUCGGCCAAGAGUCUCACCUGGGACCAAAGAGUGAGAGCGAGAUCGUGCGAAACAGAAAAAAAAGAAAAAAAAGAAAGUAGAGCAGAGGGCAAUCUUGGCAAUAGGAGGAAAUAACAAUAGUAGGACCUGUUCAGGCAGCUUAUCUGGCUGCAUAUUGGAAGUGAGUUAUUACGUGAACAGCCCAAGGAUAGCAGAGGAUAACAUCCAGGGAAUGUUUGUCAUUUUCUUACCUGUUCCUCCAUUAAUCUCGCGUACUAACCAAUCAUCGCUGCCAUCAAAGCCAAUUCGUUUUGAAACCCCGCUUCACAAUCGUCGUUUUGACCCUCCACGGCCUAAAAAAUUGUCUUCUCUCGAAUCUUUGGAUUGAGCCAUCACUCGAUGAGCUGAUCGCUUCCCCACAUGACCAGACAAAUCCUCGCCUUCCAUCACAGCGUAGUCCCUGUGUCACUGUGCGUUUCAUGGGUUACUCCUCUUGGCUGCUCUUCGCUGCCCAAAUUAUUAGUGCUAUGUUAGGUAAUCACACAUUGAUUCCAGAAAAAAUAACGCAAGCAAACAAUCCACCCAGACUAAAUAUAAUAGAAAAUUUAUUAUCAAAGUUCACCCAAACCUAGACUAUGUUUCCAUGUAGAGGUACUCUACAAAUUCACUAAACUUUAAAAAAAAGUUGAAAUAUAAUAAUGAUUUUCUCUCAAGAUCAAGGUACAAAUAGAUUAAGAACUCUCACAAAUAAGAAACUCGCUUUUUUCUUCUCUCUUUUUUUUUUUUUUAUAGCUCCUUGAUGGCUAGUGUUUGACUAUCACUGAUAUAAAGUGUAGCUUUUAACCUAAAAAAAAAUAAUAGAAAAGACAAAAAAAAACCUCUAAAAAAAUUUGGCUUCACCCGCUAACAAUCUCCCACUUGAAGCACUAUGCAACUUAGCAUCCAUCUACUUCAAAAUCUAGUAAUUGAAAUUUGUACCUUUGCGAUACUCCUCAUCAAUUAGGAUAGAAUAAUAUCGAUUGUAGUGUUGACACCUAAAUUUCGAAUGUUCAUAUAGGUUUUUAUUGCAUAGAAAAUUAGGGAUUAAAUUUUAACUCCUAAACAAAAACAGUUUACACCUAAAUUACAUAGCAUAUAGACAUUAGGAGCAUUUGCAUUAAGAUGUUUAAAAUUUAUAAGGAAAAAUAUUUAAAGAAGAGGAAAAAGAGAAAAAUAUAAUUAAUUAAAAAUUAUUAUUUAAAAAAAGAAAGAAGAAGAAAAGAAAAAGCGAGAUCGGGCUAGGGUCAGGCCAGCCCAGCCCGGCCCACUUUUCCUUUUCUUUUCCCCAAGCCCAGCCUCUUCCUUCAUCUUCUCCCUCACGAACUCCCGCUCGUUCACGCUCUCACACGUUCUACCAAAAAGAAAAACGAGAACGAAGGACGGACGCAGAGGCGGGACGGCGAGUGAGGAGCGCGCCUUUUGGGUCGGGAGCAGGCCGGCACGGCGAGCUGGCGGUGGCAAACGCGACGCGCGCCUGCCGGCCGUAGAGGGGGAUUCUGAGGGCUCGGACAGAGAGAGAAAUGGACGGAGAGAGAAACGGGGAGAUAGAGGGGAUCCGACCGAGAGGGAGACCGAGAGUGAGAGAGCAGAAAAUUCGCCCCGACUGAGCGCCGUUCAGCCAUCCUCGACACAAACCGGCGUCCCCUAGCUGUUACACGGUGUCCGAUUUUUGGUGAGUUGAGUUUCGGUUUCGAUCCGCCGUUUUCCCGUGGUUCCCGGCUUGGCGACACUGAGAAGGCCGGCUAUAGUUCCAUUCGCAUUGAGACCGACUUCCGGCCAUCUUCGCUAAGCCGGGUAAGGCCCCUGCGGUCGCGCGCCCUGGCGCCCCUUUUUUGUCCUUUCUUUACUGCUCUGUUUUCGCCCUAUUUCGGGCGCGCCGGGCCGGAGGUCGCGGCCGUCCGGCUCAUGCGAACUCCGCCGUCCGGCUCAUGCGAACUCCGGCCCCUUCGCCCCUGUUUUUUGAUAUUGUCGGUCUGGUGGGUCGUAUGUCGAGGGGACUGUGCGAGUUUGAGGCCCGGCUGAGCCGGGAGCCCCUCGUUCAGUAUCGCACGCCAUCCUCUCGAUGAAAUGCCUCAACGAUAUAAUUUUCGUCUCCUCCUCUUUUUGCCGAAAUCAAGUCGUCCGGACUGUUGUGUUCUAUUGCUAUGUCCCUGUGAUGUUUUCUGAUACGGGCACGGCCGUUUGGUCGCUCCACUGCCCCCGCCACCGUCGUUUACUUUGUUUUGUGUUUCGGCUUUGUGGCCAACUAUAAUGGAGGCUUGUUACUGUGUUUCGCCCAUGCUGGCCGUCGCCAAGAGUCCAGAGCCAUUGGAGUUAGAGCACGGUCAGGCCGAGGGCGACAACGUCGUUGGCUCACGGCCAUUUGGGGAAGAUGGUGGCAGCGGGAGGUCAGAAGGAAUUAGGUUAGAAGGCUUAAUUAGGUUUAAUUAGCAUGGGCUUAAGUUAGUUUAGUGGGUUUCAGUUCGUUUCUGUUUUCAUGGGAGUACAAAAGUGUAUUGGUUUUAGGGUCAACUAGGAUUUAUUAAGCUCAGGUCUAGUUCUCGUUAUAUUUGGACCAGUGAUUUCGGGCCUAAUUUACAUUAGGAUUUGUUUGUUUCGCAAAAUCUUAAUGAUAUAAGAAAAUGUUUUACUAAUGCUAGGAAUUUAUUUGAUGAUAUAUAAUUGAAGUUUUUUUUCGAUGCUCGGAUAUUAUUGCAAAAUGAUUUCAAUCUCAUUACUUUAUUUCAACUUUCAAGCAAAAAAAAAAAAAAUCAAAAUUUUCAAUUUUUAGAAAAAAAGAAUUGAAAUUUUAAUUAUUUUAUUUUUCUCUUAUUUUAUUUUAUUUUUUCAAAAUAUCGAAUUUUAAUUUCCUAAAAUAAAGAGACAGUGGAUUCUCAUUAAAGUGACCAUUAUCCAAACCUUAGAAUAUACUUACAGACAAACUCUUCUCGAGAAGAUGCUCAACAUCCAGUGCACAUGAUUGCACUCAAUCGAGCAGACCACAAAAACAUAGCAACAUAACUGGACUAGGCAUUUAGAUAGUCAAAUAAAUGCAAGAAAGCAUACCCUUAUACAACUAUUACCAUAUGAAGCCAGAGCUAGAGUUUGAGCUCAUGCUUAAAUACUCAAAGAUAAAUCAGACAAUUACAUUUCAACUAAACACCAACUACCACCCCAUUCUUACCUGUACUUCAGCAAUUAGCUGGUGAUCCAAAGCUCGAGUUCAGGCCCGUGACUCCCGCCAUUGAUGGAGUUAAUGAAUCCACCAAAUUCCCCCAGCUGAGGGGCACUGAAGAAGAAAAUGCGCGCAAGAGUGAAAAGUGACAUUGAACUUGAAGCUCGCGGACAAUGAGCAUCUAACUCGUGGAUAACGGAAGCUGGGAAAGGAGAGACGACAGCGAACAAUGGACUUGAGUUUGCGAGGAGCGAAUGAGGAUUGGGCGCAGAGUCGCCGAGGAUGAGCGAUAGCGAUUUGCUUGAGCAGCAGAUCGACUUAACCACCUCAUUCCGAAAAUACAGUUGAGGCCCUUUUUCCCCUUUCUUUUUUCUUCUUCUUUUGCCGACUCUGUCUGGCUCUCUCUUUUCUACUCUUCAUUUUGCUGACUGUCUUUCUCUUCCUUUUCUUCUCUUUAUUUUCCUGGUUCUGCAGAUAAGAAAUAAUAAGGUGAGUUGGGGUGAGGUCUCUUGGGCCUAAAUUUCUCUUAAGAAAGGCCCUUUUGUUAUAGAUGGGGAAGGAUGUAAUAGCCCCAACCUCACCACCGAAGUGGACACACGCACGCACGCACGCCCGCGCGCGCACAGAGCAUAUGGAGAUUCCCAGUGAGAUGAGGAAUUUUAAUAGGAUUGUCCUUGUCGUUUUAGAAUCAGUUCAUUGUCUCUCUUCAUCAGAAUAAAGCAGAAAUAGAAAGCAAGUAAAGCAGAAGAAACGGCGAUGAUCUAUGAAUAGAAAGAAGGCGUACUGUUUUCCGUAGAGAAUCCCCUGUUUCAAUUUCAAAAUCCGUCCCUUACUUGGAUCUAUUCAGAAUUUUCUCUCCGUAAGACUCCCAAGUGGCGUAAGAAUGAGAUGGAUCACUAUCGAGUAACUUCCCACUACAUACUAUGAUUAUCAAGCACUUAUUUGGUAUUUUUGAGCUCGAUGCAUCAGAAAUCCUUUCCAUUGAUUUGCACCCAUUAAUUUCCAACCGAUUCAAAAACUCUAAAUCGUCAAUGCCCUUGAUAACCUGCAAGCUCGGGCACCGGUCAAUCGUUAACCGCUUGAAGAUCUUCAAGUUUGACAAACCACCUAAGCUUUUGAGGCACAAAACGGAAUCACCAAGGAAGUAAAUUGAGAUGUACAACUACCUGACCAAGCACCUUGCUACAAAGUGGCUCACUUUUCUCUCUUCUUUCAGUUCAAAUCAGAAGAUCAAUACAAAACGGAGAACAGGAACACGGGAAUAAUCAAGAAGCGAGAAGAUCUAGAGUUUCUGCUUCAACAGAAAACAAAGCCGCGUGUACUUUGUCCAACCAAUUGUCCAGUCGGUCACACAGUAAUUUGAACUAUGGAAUCCCAAAAACUCUGGGUUGAACCCAUGAAACGCAUAAUGUUCCCUCCACUUGAUCGAUUAUGCCCUCAAUAAGAUGAAUCCGAGUUGAGAUUCUAAAUGUUUAGACUCUGUACAAUAAGGUAAAUACUUGAAUAUCAGUUUUCCAUUACGUAUGCUAGAGCAGAGAACAUGCAAGCAAUUACAAAAUCCAGGUAUUUGCCAUGACUGCGUAUGCAAAAAAGGGAAUUGUUCUCCAGAUAUUUAGCAACAGCACACUGACACAUGUCCAAAGCUCUUCUAUUCUUACACCAGAAAUAGUGGCGAAGGACAAUCUACGAGCAUGAAUAACUCAAAGUAAUCAUCUUUUACACCCCCCCAAUUAUGAAACAUAGCAUCAACAUGAAAGGAAUAAUAAGAAAUGCCGAUUCACAUCAGCCCCCACUUGUUGCAUGAAGCUAUUUAUGGUUGAUAAAUACUAGCUAAGUCUCCUAAUAGUGCGCAUGUUCACAGCAGCCAGUUUAGGCACAUUCUGUGCAACCAACCCACAAACUUCUAGUUCCUUCAACCAUAUGCAGCAGACCUCAAAUUACCAAUGGAAAAUACGACUGCUCAAGAAGAGAACCAAGAAGAGAAGCACUGUUCGCUUCAUUUCUAAUCAUUAAAGCCCCUCACAGGUAGUAAAGAGACAAUGGCUACUCAUUAAGAUGAUCAUUAUUCAAACCUUAGAAUGUACUUAACAGACAAACCAUUCGUGGGAAGACGCUCAACAUCCUGUGUAGAAAGUUCUGUGCGCUCUGCAAUAACAUUCAUGGGAAUGGUUCGAUUUUUAGAUGGUUGACUACAAACAUCGACAUCGCCGUUCUUCAACGAAGCUGUAAACUCUGUUUCCCAAAUUUUGUAACUCUCUAAUCUUAAGUCAGCUCACCAAAAUACCCAUAAUUCUUGUAAUACCCCAACUAACAGAUGCACAACAUGCCAGCACAUGAUUUCACACCAUCGAGCAGUCCACAGAAGCAUAGCAACAUAAAUAAACUACGAAGCUAUUACCAUAUGAAGCUAGAGCUCGAACUCAUGCUUCACUGCACAAAGAUAAUUCACACGAUCACAUUCAACUAAACACCAACUGCCACACUGCUCGUACCUGUUCUUCAGCGAUUAGCUGGUGAUCCGGAGCUUGAGUUCAGGCCCAUCCAUCCUGCCACUGGUGGAGUUAAUGAAUGCAAUCAAUGGAGCCUCAUGUGGCACCCGAAUUUCUCUAGCUGAGCAGCACUGAAGAAGAAGGCUUGAAGCUCGCGAACAUGGAACUUGAAGCUCGUGAUGGAACUUGGGAGAGAAGAGAGACAGCGGACGACGGACUGAAGCUUGCGAGGAGCGAGCGAGCAGCGGGGAGGACUGGGUGAUAGAGAUUUGCUUGACCAGCGGGAGAGAGGAGGAAGAAGAAAACAUGAAGGAGAAGCCUAAUCGCUGGUGCACGUUUUAGAAUCUGUUUGUCGUCUCUCUUUACUAGAGUAGAGCAGAAAUGGAAAGCAAAUAAAGCAGAACAGUCAUGAUCUAUCAAUAGAAAGAAAAAGAAGGGCGCACCGAGGAUCCCCUCUCUAUGUUUCGGGAGUCACUGGUUUCACAGAAUCCGAAUUCAUUCCGAGUCUUCACUCUUAAAGACUCCCAAUUGCCGCAAUAAGCAAACCAAUUGCCGCGUGGGCUCCAACUAGAUCUUAUGUCCAUCUGGCACUCAUUCGGUAUUUUUGAGCUGGAUGCAUAAAAAAUCCCUACAUCGUAUAACUCCCCACGAAAUCUCAACAGCUGCAAAAACUGUAAUUCGUGGAUGCCCUCCACACGGCGCAGCUUCUCGCAGUAGUUAAUAUGUAACAUCUUCAAUUUCUUCAAGUUUGACAAACCUUUCAUCAUUCUUAAUGAACCGCACCUUUCAACAGAAAAUACUUCCAAUGAUUCCAACGGAGACACAAAAUCGAUAGCUCUUACCUCCUUGCAACUCCCCAUAUGGAACUCUCGAAGCAUCUUCAGGGAGCUUAGGACAAGGAGUUUUUUUAUCGAGAGGGCAACCAUCAAGUCGCUCAUGCAACUCUUUUUUUCUCAAUUCUUCCGACGGAGGUUGCCCACUGAGAUGUACAAAUUUUACUCCAGGGCAGGAGAGCUUUAAAACUAUCAAGGUUGACGGAAGUUGUAAGAGGGUUCCGAAGUUUAGUCCAGAUAGAGUAAGUUCUUUCAGCAGAUAAAGGGAACCCAACUCCGUAGUUGGUGCAUGGACAUACCAUAAGCACAAGUGCAACUUGCGCAGUUUGGAUAACCUCCCAAUCCACCUCAAGUCACCGCUUGGAAUUUCAUUUGAUGUGGACAACCCACUACCAGAGCCAUCAUAUAGGAACAAUUCAACUAGAUUAGUAAGGUUUGAGAGGUUAGGGACAGUCAUCAGUGAUUUAGAUAUUAGUCGUAGAGUGGUCAAAUUUCUGGGGAGCUCCGACCACUCUCUUAUCCUAUGACAAUAUUGCAAGUUCAAUGUUUGGAGGUGAAGCAAUUUGCUCAUUAUACUAGGCAGUUCUACAAUUGGUGUGUGUGAUACUUUGGUAAAGGACAAGCUCCAUUGUCUACCAAUGAAAUCUAGUAAUCUUGUUCUGCAUGAUAUAUCUAACUUCGUUGACGACUCUAAUUUCGAAACUGAAUCCAGGAGCUUGCUCAAGCUAUCGCAUUUAUAAACAGAGAGGUGCUGAAGAUUUUGUAACUCUCCAAUUUCUUUAGGCAAUUUUUCAAGUUUCGGACAUAACUUAAUACUCAAGUCAGUCAGCUGCCUCAGUUUUCCAAUAGAGCUGUCAAUUUCCUUCAAAGAUGGACAAUGACAAAUAGUCAACUUCUCUAAAACUAAGUACUCAAGAAAGGUUGGUGUCCCAUGUAUCGAGUAAUUACUUUCAAGAGUGAGAACCUUCAAUUUCGUUGCCCCCUACAAAAGCAAAUCAAACAUUAGGACAAAUAAUUAGAUGUCUAUACAAGAAAUAAAUAUGAAAUUAGGCUCCCAACUGGGAUCAUAUGUCAUUCGAUCCUCUCACUAGCUGAGAAAAUUAUACUACAAAUCCAUCAGAUUGUGUCCUUCAUUGAAUGAGAAAAUUAGAGCAAGAGAGAAAGUCACGUACCUUGAUUAGGUAACUGAUCUCAUCUUUGCCGAGGUCAGAGGAACGAAUAUUCAUCACAACCACGUUUUCUAGACCCAAAUUGGUUUGCGAAUCAAGUUCUUCAGAAUAACCUGUUUUGCCCGUCAAAAUGAUCCAUUUCAACUUGGGAAGACAGCCCGUGAAGUCACCUUCGCAGAGUACGUCACUCAACCAAAGAAACUUGAGACGUGGGAACUGUCUAAGUUGCUCUGCCGUGAUAGUUGUACGAUUGCUAGAGGUCGUUCGCAAACAGAGUGCUUGGACGCUUUCCUUCAUCUGCUAAUGACAUUGAGGAGCAGGAGCAGGAAUUUGUCAAUAAUCCUACAAUUUUAUUUGUCCAAUGGAAGAAAAAAAUUAAAUAGUAAAGUAGCUCUCAAUUGAAAAACGUGAUUAAAUCCUCAAUUAAGAACAUGGUAAGCAAUUUUCUGUACGAAUUUGGUCAUACUUCACCUCUAUUGAUCUUAAUUCGCAAAUUAUGUCAUCUUCAUUCCACAACCUGGUAAGGUCUUGCAUAGCAAUUGCCCUUCCGAGAUCUCUACAUUGAUCAUGCAUCCAAAUUUCAUCUUUUUCUGAAACCUUUAUCAUGCACCUAUUAAUAAGGACAUGAAUAGCAUACUCCGCCUUAAACCCACAAUAUUUCCAGUGGUAGAUUAGAUCAGCCCUUUUCCAACCGAUGAAAAAGCAUGCAAUAUCGAGAAAUAUGUGUUGUUGAUCCAGCUCUAAGGCAUCAUAACUAAUCCUUAGCUUUCCCAACACAUCCCUAUGAGGUGUUUCCCUUAGCUUCUCUAGCAUCUCUUCCCAGAUUGUUUCCUCUUUCUCACCAAAAAGCAACGAACCUAUAGCUGUAAGAGCUAAAGGUAGUCCACCUGUAGUUGAGACAAUGUCUUCGGAAAGAGUGUAAUAAUUGGUAGGAGGAAAGCUAUCAUCAAAGGCAUGCCUACUAAAAAGCUGGAGUGCGUCUUUUUUGCUCAACCCCUCCAUUUCGUAACACAAGAUUUUAUACUUAAAUCCCCUGAUUUUUAAAACACUUUUGUCCCUAGUGGUAACAAGUAUCCUAGUACCAGAACACAAAGAGUUCACUUCAAUUAGUUUUUGGAUUUGGUUGUCCUCAUCGACGUCAUCCAAUACAAUUAGCAUCUUCUUGUUGCAAAUUGUUUGUCCAAUCAUAGUGAUCCCUUGAUCCAAGUUAUCAAUGUUAAGAUCCACUCCAGAAUUGGAGAUAUCGGACAAUAAUUUUCUUUGCAACUUGACCAACGAGCCCUUGGGUUUUGCCAUUUCCCUCACGUCUUCAAGAAAGCUGCAGUUUUUCCCAAAGCGAGGACAUAGUUGGUUGAAGAUAAUUUUGGCAAGUGUUGUUUUACCGAUGCCACCCAUCCCGUAAAUUCCAAUGAGCCGAACGCCACCGGAAUUGAUGUCUAAUAAAUUAUUUAUGACUGUCAUUCGAUCCUCCAUUCCAACUAAAUCUUUGGUCACUUGUCUUUGUCUUGUCUUGAGCCUGGUCACCACCUCCUUAACAAUGGACUUUAUAAGAUCCCCAUGGCUGCCACAAAGUUGAACAGUUUGAAUUGAAAUAAGGCAACAAAUUUGCAUGUUGACCAACUAUCUACUAAGAAACCAAGUGGGAGCACGACCCAGUUUAGGAUAUAAAAAAAUUCAACAUUACCCCCAAAAGCUUCGGGAACAUGAUGAAUUACAAACUUCAACAUCCAUUACAAGUUUAAGUUAAGGGAAUAGAACAAGAGAUAUGUUUGAUCUUUAUAUCAAGUAGGAGAAUCAAAAUUGCUGGCAAAAAAAAGUGGAAGAAUAAAAAUAUAAACGUUUGAUGAACUAUUGUGAUAACAAAUUUACUCACUUCUUUCGACAUGGAAAAGAACUUUGCAAAGGCAAAGUUCCUUAAUCAAAGUCAAAUUAGUAUGCAGUAAAAAUCUUAAGACAUACAUGGGUCAAAUUGGGAAAAUUAUCCAAAAAGCAUUGUACUUUUGCCAAUUUAGUCAUAAACAUUUUCACUUCUUCCCAAUUCAAUCAAUCUGGCCAAUUUUGGUUGGAAAAUGCUAAUGUGGACACCGACAUGCUAUAUAGAACUGUCAGUGCUGACGUGGAUAAUUUGUAAUAAUAUUUUAAUAAAUUUUGAACUUUUAUUAUAUAUUUCUAUUUUUUCCCUUUUUUUUUUCCUUUUCUUUCUUUUCUUUUUGGCUUUCUUCUUUCCCUUUUCCAAUGGUUGGCCACAGGCAAUGGCCAGCCACCGACCACAGCUAGCCGGCUAGCCUCGCUCGCCAUAGGCGAGGCCCCACCGGGCGAGGAGAAGCCCCAGCAAAGGGAGCCCUCGCCCAUGCGCAGCCUGGCAAGGGUCGCCUAGGUGAGGCCGACCCUCACCCAAGCCAGGGUGGCCUCACUGGGUGUCGGCCGGGGGAUGGUGACGCCAGGCAAGGCCGCCUUGGCCUGGGCGAGGGCUAGCCUCACCAAAUUUGGCGAGGAGAGCCCUUGCCAAGGCUUGCCUUUUCCUAGGAGAGUGUCAACCUCGCCUAGACCAGAUCUGGCAAGGCUGGCCCUCGCCCCUGGCCGGCCAAUGCCUAGCGAGGCCUCCUUGGCUUAGGCGAGGGUCGACACUCGCCUAGGCGAGGGCGAGCCCUAGCUGACGAUCGGCGACGCUGCCCUAGCCUAGGCGUAGGUCAACCUAACCUAGGCGACCCUUGCCAGGCCACACUUGGGUGAGGGCUCCCCUCACCGGGGCUCCUCCUUGCCCGACCGGGCCUCACUUGUGGCGAGCGAGUCCAACCGGCUGGUUGUGGCCAGUGGUCAACUAUCACCUGUGGCCAAUGGUCGGCCACCGAAAAAGGCAAAGAAAGUCAAAAAGAAAAGAAAGAAAAUAAAAUAAAAAUAAAAAAAAUAUUAAAAAUUCAAAAAAUAUUAAAAUAUUAUUAAAAAUUGUCAACGCCAGCGCCGACGGUCUUAUGUGGCACUGCCGGUGUCCACAUCAGCAUUUUCCGGUCAAGCCGAAUCAACUGAAUUGGCAAAAAGUGAAUGUUUAGAGCUAAAUUGUCAAAGUUAGAAGGUUUAUGACUAAAAUUGGUAAAAACGUAAUAGAUUUAAGACUUUUUUUGACAAUUUUCCAGAUCAAAUUAGUAUAAAGAAAGAAGCAAAGCCAAAUUUUUAUAUGAGGAAUAUUAGGUGAAAAACAAAAUCAUAACAACCCCAUUAGGUCAAAUAAAUUUGGAAAUCUCAUGACUUAAAACAACAAAAGAAAAUUUUGAAACUUUUUGUUUAAAUUUAGGGAAAUUAGAGUCGGACUAUAAUUGGUGAAUUUUUAUGAGAACCAUGGCUUGAUUGUACAAAAUAAAUUUCAAAAUCAUGGUUAGAUUGUUACCCCGAAUAUUUCUCUAGUUCCCAUCCCUUGGUGCCGCCAACUUCUUUAAGAGCUUGGCACCACGUCUCUACAUCCUUGGAGCUGAACUUCUUCUGAUCCUCCAUCUCUUGCUUUAAUUUCGAUAUGGCCUUUCCAUACAACAUGGUUUUCAGCUUCACGUCAUCUGGAUUCACAUCAUAGAAGAUGGGCAAUAUGACCCUCUUCUCAUCUUCUUUAGAAUUAGAGGUGUUUUCCACCAUCUUCGCAAGCUCGCGGAGGCACCAAUGACUUGAAGCGUAGUUUUUGGAAAAAAAUAGGUAUGUAGAGUUUGGAAUCGUUGAUCGCUUGUAGAAGGUUGCCACUAAUUCUUUCACCCGGUCGAAGCUCUUUGUCAUCCAUGAAAACAUGAAUCCCGGCAUCUGCCAAGGCAUGAUAGAGGCUGCUAGUGAAUCCACGACAAGUAUCUAACCCUCUAAAACUCAGGAACACCUGAAACUCGCUUCCUGCAGUAUUGCCGAUGCUUGAUCCUAUCUCUAAGUUCGCCAUAGGAACUCAAUUCACACGCGCACUUAGCAAAGUCAACCCUGAUAUUGCUAGUAUAAACACCUAGAGGGGGGUGAAUAGGCGCACAAACAAUUUAUCGAUAUAUGGAAGCAAUUCUCUACAAAUUGAAAUACGAUCGAGGUAGAGAGAGAGAAAUUUGAACACAGGAUUUAUAGUGGUUCGGCUUAUUCCAAGCCUACGUCCACUCUUCCGCACUGACAGCCCACCGGGUGGAUUUCACUAUGAUCAAAAGAGAAUUUACAGCACAGCUUUGCCUUGAUUCCACAGUGUAGAUAUUCUACCACACCUCCUCAAGGUCUCUCACAAAUAUAGACUCUCUUUUGUAUACAAGUAUUCGCUCAAACGAUUUAUCUAAACAAAUAGGAGCUUCAGACUUUGGAAUUCUUCUAUCGCGCACACCUUGAACAACUAAGAACAUCUUCCUUAUAUACUCCUUUAUGCCAUCAUACCCGUUGGCACUUACCAAAGGAAUUCCUCCAAUCUACCCAUUGGACGGAAUCAAUUAGAAAGAUUGUUCGAGCUAUUAAAGGAACGUGUUGAUAGCCCAUCAAUCCUGUUCGCCCAUACAAUCAGGAUCUCGGUUUCCAUAAGUAGAACCUUCCAAUAAUACUUAGACAAUCAUCGAAUCUUCAGUCAUUGAAUCAGACUUGAUCAAUCAAAGGAUUCUAAUACGUCUUCUCCAGCCACGAGAUCUUCUCCAGAUGAUAAGGUUAAAUCCUGAACAAAACAACCAGUUCUGGAUAACCUUUCUUCAAUGGAUUAGAGACUGUCAAUGAGGAUAGACUUUGAGUCUUGAGUCUGGCUGUCCGGAAGUCUUCAGACUUUAACUAACAGAGUCUGCAGACUUUCAGACUAGACUGAUGGAUACAUUUUGUCAACUUCAAAACUCUUCACGAGGAUUUCUCCAACAAUCUCCCCCUUUUUGAUGGUGACAAAACCUUCCUGCAGAUUUGGAUAACUUUGACCUGCAAAACAUUUCUCAAACACAUAUGCAUAUCUUAUAGAAAUAAAUGGCUAAUAGAAUAACACUAGAAUCUGUAACCACAGAAAAUAGGUUAGUCCAGUAUAUGACUAAGCCAUUCAUAAGAUAUCAAUAUUGAUUAAUAGAAGCAGUAAAGUCAAGUCCAAGUCUAGGCAGUUCUUAUCCAGACACAAAACAAAGUCAAACAGGUUCAAACCAUAAACCUUAAAAACAAUCCAACAAAAAGUUUAAUGAAAAGUUUUUGUAUCAAAUCAUGCAUCUCUCCCCCUUUUUGUCAUCAUUAAAAAGGAUGAGAUGAAGUCAAGAUUGCUUGGGAACUCGGACAAGCUGGAAAUCUUCCAUAGACUGAACAAUACCUUCCAGUCUUUUAAAGUCUUCCUUCAGCUGUACAACCUCCUCACUCUUGGCAUUGGCCUGAUUCUGAAUAGAGAGGGCUUGCAUCUUUUCAUUUAAUGAAUAGGAAGAAGCUUGACCUUCAUUCUUCAAGCUUUGAACUUCGCAUCCCAAGGCAUAAAUCUGACCUUUCAUCUCUAAGAGAAUAUCCAUGAUUCUGCAAAAAUCUGCUCCAUUAUCAGUCUGAGUACUUGCUUCGGCUCGAUCUGGAGUAAAAGCAGACGAUGGUGGAUCAGCAUAAUCUCGCAGGUUUGGCGAUGAAGCUUCAUGACCUUCCUCUGGAAAUUGAGAUGCAUAAACAUCUUCUGGGUCUGCAGGUGAGCGACUGACUCCUUCACUUGCAUCAGGAAAUGAAGAUGUCACUCAUUUCUCCUGAUCUCCCCCUGUUUCCAUGCCUACAGGUGGAGAAGAGAUUUCCUCAGGUUCUCCUUCUUCUCUUCUUUCUUCUUCAGGUCUUUCUUCCUCUGCUUCUUGCUCUGCUUCUCUUUCUUCUCCUUCCUUCUCCUCUGCCUCUUUUUCUUCUUCUUCCUUCUCCUCUGCUUCUUUCGUCUUUUGUUCUGAUUCUUUCUGAGGAACAGGACGACUUAAGUUCUUCAAAGCCAUUGCAGAGAUGGUGAUGUCUUCAUCAUCAUCUUCAUCCUCAACGAGGAGAGCUCUUCUUCUCUUUGAUGGAGCAGCCAUGGGUUCCUUCCCUUUUCUCUUAGCAGCAGAAGAGAGUUGAUGAGAUUUGGCAGGAGUCUUCUCCUUGAAUUUUUCCAAUUCCUUGCUCAGUUCCUUCAGACGCAUUUUGGUCACCAUUUUCAGUCUUACCACCAUAUGAUCGCAUGGUCGAACACAAAAGAUUUGCGGAGGCUGAAUAUUCAGAUGUCUGAAUAACUUCGUAACAAGGCUUGGGUAAGGAAGUUGACCUCUGUCCUUCAUCACUGCUCUAUACAUGUGAAACAUAACAGUAUGAGGGAGAGAAAACUUCUUUCCACUGAGGAUGGCAUACAUCAACUUUGCCUCAGAGCUUGAAACAUUAGUUUUGGAAGUUGAUUUCGGCCGAAGGCAAUUAAUCACAAUUUUGUGAAGCAAGAUGUUAAAUGCAUUCAUCCUUGAGUAGGUGAUCUUCUCAUCCGUUCUCCUGUCCUUCACCAGUUCAAGAGUGGCCCGAGCAAUGGAAACUUUGAUUGGUUGAUAUCUGCCUCUCUCAACUUCUAACAUGUCUGCCAGCAUAUUCAUAUCCACAACAUAGUCUUGUUCUUUAACACUGAAGGAGAAUCUAUUCGCAUCUAAAAAGCUAAGAUUCGAAUAGAAAUAGGCAGUCAAUUCAGCACAAGCCUCAGUUGAGUUAGAGCAGAACUUUUCAAGUUGAAGAUAACUGAACUUUUCCCUCAAGUUCACUUUCACAGAAUCCAGAAAUUCAAAGUCCACACUCCUAGGGUUUAUCACCCCACGCUUCAGCAAUUUCGAGUACAGAUCCUUUUGUUCCUUUGAUCUGAACAAAUCUCCCCUUUUCCCUUGAAUUUCAGCAGCAAUACCCAUUUUCGGUUGAAAUAGACUGAACAGAUUGUCAUCGUCAUUCCCAUCUACAGGAUUAGGCCCCCAGUCACGAGGAUCACUUGGGAUAUUCGCAAGGGUUUCCUCAGCCACCCCUUUACGAGCGAUUCCCAAACUUUCCAUUUUUCGAAGAAAGAUAUAUUUGUUCCUAUACCAUUUUUCUUUAACAAAAUCAUCAACAUAGUUCAAAGGAGUACGAAUUCCUUUUAAAGCACGAUAUAGCUUGUAAAAGAAGCAGGCUUUUGAACUCUUACGGGGUCUACAUCCUCGACGAUUUCUUCCUGAUGUUGAUUAACAACGCCUUGAGGACUAGAUGGUGGAGAAUGACGCUGCUGAGAAUGUUGUGGGCUCGGUUGCUGAUCUGGAGUAACUUCAUCUUCAGUAAGAUCGAAGUGCGUAGGCCCCUCACUCAUUCUCUGUGGUCCCCUGCUUGCGAUUCUUGAGGACUUUCGCGAAGAAGACAUCUUUCUCAGUGUUUGGAAGAUUCCUUGCUUGACUUUCCCAGAAAAGAUGACAACUUUUUUGAAGUUUUAGCGAAGAAGACAAACGGGAAUGGAAGAUCGAUGCUUUCUAGGGUUUUUUUUUUUUGAGAGAGAAGUGAUUAGAAAAGUGAAGAGAAAUCGACAGUGUUCGUUCGGUUAAAAAGAAGAGUAAACGAACUGUCACAAAGGAAAUAAAAAUAUGCCUUUUCAAAAUAACUGUCUUUAUCCGCAAAAAUAGCUAUUUCAAAAAUAACUUCCCUUUUGAAAAUGAAUCGAUGCGAUAUUUACGUCAAUUAAAUAUAGCAACAAUUUAAACAAGUCUGAUGAUCGUACCUUUUCAAGAUAAGAUUGGAGAGAGAGAAAGACUUACAGUCUGAAGGUCGAGCCAAGACUAUAGAUAAAGUCUUGUAAGCCUGAGUCUGAAAGUCUUUAGACUUUGAUAUCCUCAUACCUCAAAAUGUUGAGUCUUAUUCGUAUAGACUCAAAUUGAUUUUUCUCCAAAGGCUUUGUGAGUAUAUCAGCCAGUUGAUUCUUUGAGUCAACAAAUUGAAUUGAAACAUCUCCAUUUUGAACAUGAUCUCUAAUAAAGUGAUGUCGAAUCUCUAUAUGCUUCGCUCUUGAGUGGAGAAUUGGAUUUUUGGUGAGGUUGAUAGCGCUGGCGUUGUCGCAAUUAAUCUCCGUGCAUGAGUCUUUAAUUUCAAAAUCUCUUAGCUGUUGUUUUAUCCAUAGAAUUUGCGAACAACAGCUUCCAAGAGCUACAUACUCUGCUUCUGUUGUUGAAAGAGACACAGUGCUUUGUUUCCUUGAAAACCAAGACACUGUCCUGCUUCCAAGCAACUGGCAAGUUUCUGAAGUGCUCUUUCUAUCAACUCUGCAACCGGCCAGAUCUGCGUCUGAAUAACCCAGAAGUUUAAAGUCUCCCUUCUUAGGAUACCAAAGACCAAUGCUUGAUGAUGAAGCGACGUAUUUAAUGAUGCGUUUGGCAGCACUGAGAUGGGAUUCUCUAGGAUCUGAUUGAAACCUAGCACAGAUGCAAACACUCAACAAAAUAUCAGGUCUAGAGGCAGUAAGAUAAAGAAGUGAUCCAAUGAUGCUCCUGUAUAGCUUUUGAUCAACUUUCUUCCCUUCUUCAUCUUUGUCUAUCUUCAAAGAACUUGACAUCGGUAUGUCAGUCUUUUUGCACUUCUCCAGUCCAAACCUUUUGACAAGAUCAUUAACAUAUUUUUCUUGAUAAAUAAAAGUACCUUCCUUCAAUUGUUUUACUUGAAGACCAAGAAAGAAUGUUAAUUCUCCCAUCAUACUCAUUUCAAACUCAUCCUGCAUAGACUUUGAAAAUUUCUUGCACAGACUUUCAUUAGAGGAUCCAAAAAUAAUAUCAUCCACAUAUAUUUGAACAAGUAAGAAACUUUUGUUUUCCUUCUUGAUAAAUAAAGUCGUAUCUACUUUACCUUUGACAAAACCAUUUUGUAUUAGGAACUUACUUAACCUGUCGUACCAAGCCCGAGGUGCUUGCUUUAAACCAUACAAAGCCUUUUUCAGUCUGAAGACUGAGUCUAGCUUUUUUCGGUCUUCAAACCCUAGUGGUUGUUCCACAUAUACUUCCUCAUGGAUAAAUCCAUUUAGGAAGGCGCUUUUGACGUCCAUUUGGAAUAACCUGAAAUUAUUAUAACAGGCAAACGCAAGUAAAAGUCGAAUAGCUUCUAACCUUACCGUAAAUUCCAAUGAGCCGAACGCCACCGGAAUUGAUGUCUAACAAAUUAUUUAUGACUGUUAUUCGAUCCUCCAUUCCAACUAAAUCUUUGGUCACUUGUCUUUGUCUUGUCUUGAGCAUAGUCACCACCUCCUUAACAACGGACUUUAUAAGAUCCCCAUGGCUGCCACAAAGUUGAACAGUUUGAAUUGAAGAAAGGAAACAAAUUUGCAUGUUGACCAACUAUCUACUAAGAAACCAAGUGGGAGCACGACCAAGUUUAGGAUAUAUAAAAAUUCAACAUUGCCCCCAAAAGCUUCGGGAACAUGAUGAAUUACAAACUUCAACAUCCAUUACAAGUUUAAGUUAAAGGAAUAGAACAAGAGAUAUGUUUGAUCUUUAUAUCAAGUAGGAGAAUCAAAAUUGCUGGCAAAAAAAAGUGGAAGGAUAAAAUAUAAACGUUUGAGGAAAUAUUGUGAUAGCAAAUUUGCUCACUUCAACGUGGAAAAGAACUUUGCAAAGGCAAAGUCCCUUAAUCAAAGCCAAAUUAGUAUGCAAUAAAAAUCUUAAGACAGACAUGGAUCAAAUUAGUAUAAAGAAAGAAGCAAAGCCAAAUUUUUAUAUGAGGAAUAUUAGGUGAAAAACAAAAUCAUCACAACCCCAUUAGGUCAGAAAAAUUUGGAAACCUCAUGACUUAAAAUAGUAAAAGAAAAUUUUGAAACUUUUUGUUUAAAUUUAGGGAAAUUAGAGUCGGACUAUAAUUGUUGAAUUUUUAUGAGAACCAUGGUGGCUUGAUUGUACAAAAUAAUUUUCAAAAUCAUGGUUAGAUUGUUACCCCGAAUAUUUCUCUAGUUCCCAUCCCUUGGCGCCACCAACUUCUUUAAGAGCUUGGCACCACGUCUCUACAUCCUUGGAGCUGAACUUCUUCUGUUCCUCCAUCUCUUGCUUUAAUUUUGAUAUGGCCUUUCCAUACAACAUAGUUUUCAGCUUCACGUCAUAUGGAUUCACAUCAUAGAAGAUGGGCAAUAUGACCUUCUUCUCAUCUUCUUUAGAUUUAGAGGUGUUCUCCACCAUCUUCGCAAGCUCGCGGAGGCACCAAUGACUUGAAGCGUAGUUUUUGGAAAAAAUAGGUAUGUAGAGCUUGGAAUCGUUGAUCGCUUGUAGAAGAUUGUCACUAAUGUUUUCACCCAGUCGAAGCUCUUCGUCAUCGAUGAAAACACGAAUCCCGGCAUCUACCAAGGCAUGAUAGAGGUUGCUGGUGAACCCACGACGAGUAUCUAGCCCUCUAAAACUAAGGAAUACCUGAAACUCGCUUCCUGUAAUAUUGCCGGUGCUUGAGCCUAUCUCUGAGCUCGCCAUAGGAAUUCAAUUCGCAAUUGCACUUAGCAAAGUCAAUGGUCCCCCUCGCACGCGCACUUAGCAAAGUCAACGCUUCAAAGCAAUUUCGGAUAAAGCCUAGCGGCUCUCGAUUGCAAUUAGAGGGCUUUCAAUCGGACUUUUUGGCAACAAUAAUAAUACAUUCAGUGGGGAAGAGCUUUUAUUACAUUAUUAAUGUGAAAAAUUUCUCCACCAGAUCAUCCUCUUUCAAAAAUUUACGAAAGGAGAACCCGUGCAUUACUUUAGAAAAAGGAAAAUUGGAUAUUUAAUUAUAUGAUAUAAACGAUGAAGCCCGAUGCCACUUUCGUUAGUUAGAGAUACCAUUUUGGAGGUUUGUAUUGCGUGGCUCACGGAGUUUAAUAUUUCACGGACAAAAACUCUUAAUUCCAUUCGACGCAAAAAACAUGUCAAGGCAACUUCGCAGCGGGUGCAACUUCCAAUUCAUAGUAACUAAAGUCGAUGGCUUAUAAAAAAAUAAGGUGAAGGACAAUAAUGAAUGUGUACCUUUUCUAUAGUUUCACAUAUUUAAAAUCCCGAUCCAAUAUUGUAAAAUAACAAUUUAUCUAUAUAAAUGCAUAAUGACAAAAUAUUUUCAAAGAAUCACCUCUCAUUUGAAAAAAUGCUCCACCUAAGCGCUACCCAAGCAUAUACUUACUACUUACUAUGAACUAUUUAAUUUGAUCUCUUCAUCUUAAUGACUUACCUUUUAUUAUAAUUAAUUGCUUGUAACCACUCAAAUAUUCUCGUUAAAUGUGCCUUUAUAUUAUAUGAAGAUUCUGCAAAUCUUUUUCAACACUUAUUUCCUUACAGAUAACUACUAGAAUGUGAGCAUGGUUGUUGACAUCUAAAUUUUUGUGGUUAGAUUGUGCAUAUCUACAAAAAAAUUUAAAAAAUUAAAAAAUUAGGGACCAAAUUUGCCAAUAACGCUAUAAUUCAAUCCCUAACCAAGAACACCUAGCUUGCAUGAUUUUUGCAUUCAUUCCUCACAUUCGUGGUUAGGGGCAUGUUGAUUUCAAUACCUAGGGUUCGAUACCUAGGGCUCAGCAUCAAAACAAUCUUGGACCGACGAAGAUGACAGGCACUUUUGAUUACCUCCAAUCUCUGAAGAAAUAUUCAAGGCCACUCAACAUUACCCGAUUGAUUUUCUCCUAAGUUGAUCCAUUUUUGUGCGUACCAUUAAACCUCAGCUAACCUCAUCGCUUUAGCCUUACUGGGGACAUGAAACUGAGUUAACAUAUGGGCCAUCUAGUCAACAAUCGACCAAGAGUUUCACCUGGGACCAGAGAGCGAGAGCGUGCAAAACAGAAAAGAAAAGAAAGCAGAGCGGAGAGUAGUCUUGGCAAUAAGAGGAAAUAGCAAGAGUAGGACCUGCUCAGGCAGUUUAUCUCGCUGCAUAUUGAAAGUGAAUUAUUAGUUGAACAGCCCGAGGAUAGGAGAGGACAACAUGCGGGGAAUGUUUAUCAUUUUCUCGCCUGUUCCUCCGUUAAUCUCGCGUGCUAACCAAUCAUUACUGCCAUCAAAGCCAAUGCGUUUUGAAACCCCCCUUCACAAUAGUUGUUUUGACCCUGCACGGCCUGAACAAUCGGCUCCUCUCGAAUCUUUGGACUGAGCCAUUGCUCGAUGAGCUCAUCACUUCCCCAGCUGUCUAGAUAAAUCCUCACCUUCCAUCAGCAGCAUGGUCGUUGCGUCACCCCGCGUUCCAUGGGUUACUCCUCUUGGCUGCUCUUCGCCAACACUAUGUUAGGAAAUCAAGCGUCAAUUUAAAAAAUAAUAAUAAUAAUAAUGCAAACGAAAGAGUCCACCAAGAAUAAAUAUAAUAAUAAAAUAACAUAAUUGAAAGAACAUGACAUAAAAUUUAUUAUCGAAGUUUAUCCAAACUUAGACUAUGUUUUUGCGCAUAGACACUCUACAAAUCUAACAGACUUUGAAUAAAGUUGAAAUACAGCAUGAUCUUUCGUAAGAUUAGAGCACAAAUAGAGAGUUCUCAAAGAAAAAAACUCACUUUUUUUCUCUCUUUUUUCUUUUCUCUCUAUUUUCUUUUUCAGCCCUUUGAUGGCUAGCAUUUGACUCUCGCUGGUGUAAAGUUUAGCUUUUAACCUAAAAGCAAAACUAAUAGAAAAAAAAUGCCCCUAAAAAAAUUUGAUUUCAGUCGUCAACAACCUCCCACUUGAAGAAAAAUAUACUAAUGCACCAAGUAACUUAGCAUUCAUUUACUUAAAAAUCUAGUAAUAUAAAUUUGUGCCUCUGCAAUAGUCCUCAUCAGUUAAGAUAAAAUAAUACAAAUUGUAGUGUUGACUCAUAAAUUUUGUCAAUUCAUAUAGGAUUUAAUUGUAUAGAAAUUUAGGAAUUAAUUUUGAACCCCUAAACAAAAAUAGUUUUCACUAGAAUUGCAUAGCAUAUAGACAUUAGGGGCAUUUACAUUAGGAUGUAAAAAAGUAUUAUUUAUUUAAUUUAUAAGAAAACAUUUUAAAAAUGGAAAAAAGAAAAAUAAAAUAUAAACUAAUUGAUUAAAAAAUUAUUAUGUAAAAAAGAAAGAAGAAGAAAAGAAAAAGGGAGAUCGGGCCAGGGUCAGGCCGGCCCAGCCUUCUUUCCCUUUCUUUUCUACCUUUUCUUUUUGGCUAGGCCCAGCCUGGCCCACUUUUCCUUUUCUUUUCCCCAAGCCCAGCCUCUUCCCUCAUCUUCUCCCUCACGAACUCCUACUCGUUCACGCUCUCGUGCGUUCUGCAAAAAACAAAAAGGAGGACGAAGGACGGAAGCAGAGGCGGGACGAGAAGUGAGGAGCGCGCCUUUUGUGUUGGAGGUAGGUCGGCACGGCGAGCUGGCAGUGGCAGAGGCGAUGCGCGCCUGCCGGGCUUUAGUGGAGGAUUCUGGGGACUCGGACAGAGGGAGAAAUGGACGGAGAGAGAAAGGGGGAGACAGAGGGGAUCCGGCCGAGAGGGAGACCGAGAGUGAGAGAGCAGAAAAUUCGGCCCGGCUGAGCACCGUUCGGUCAUCCUUGACACAAACCGGCGUCCCCUAGCCGAUACCACCGAGCCUGCGGUCCCCAUUGAUGGUUUUAUGUGAUGGGCAUAAGGCCCGUCCGCCCAUGUUGGGCCUAAAAGCCCGGUCCACAAGAUUAGGGCCCAUGGAUGCAGGGAUAUAAUGAAGGGGUACGUUUCUAUUUUUUUAGGGAACGUAUAUAAGGGAGGAAAGAGAGAGACGAUGACACCAUUUUGGCAUUAUUACGUGCGUUCCUCUCCCUCUCUCCCUCCAAAAGAAAAACGAGCGUAAACGGCGACGCCAUCUUCCCUUCAAGGCCAAUCGACGUCAUCAGAUCGAACAGGAUCGGAUUUCUCUUCCUCUUAUCGGCAUUGGUGUUUAAUCUGUGGCUAACAAGGUACGCUCGAUUCCGUGGUGUGCUUUAGGAUCGGUGAUACAUGUUUUUCCUAGGCUUAUCUUCCGCAUUUGUUUUAGGGGUUCGAUUUACUGUCGAAUCUGGUUUUUUGGGAAUCCGACAUUCCCAACAUUGGUAUCAGAGCCCUAGUUCAUGUUUUCCCGACCCCUUUGAUGUUUUAUGAUUGAUUUUUCGCGAAAACAUUUGGCCGACACGAAUCGGGGCGAGAAAUCCCGACACCCGAGCACUGUUCAUCCGUUUUUUCGAGUUUCUGUAAGUCGAAAUCGAUUUUUGAAAGCAUAGGAUGAAAGACCUCGUCGAGACGAGUCCGAUGAUGUGUCGUACGCCACUGGGUGAUGCCGUAUCCGCCCACACGCGCGGCCAGAAGCCACUGCGCGUGGGCGCCAUGCGCCGGUGGCGAACCGGCACGUGCGCACUGCCGGCCGAUGAACCGGCAUGCGCCGGUCGGCGAACCAGCGCUAACAUCACCCAACGGUUGUUAACCGCUGGGAUGACGUCACCGAUGAUGUCAUUGCUGACAACAGUUGGCUGACCGGUUACUAGCCGGCGAACCGACUAGCGACCCGACCCGACCCGACAUGCGCGGAAGCCUGGCGCGUGCCGCGCACGUGCCGGCUGACAUCUGCGUGACGUCAUCCCGCGCACGGGCGCAGCACGUGCCGGAUGACAUCUGCGUGACGUCAGCCCGUGCACGCGCUCGGCACGUGCUGGUCAAUUCGCUCGACCGGCCCGAUCGGCUCGACCGGUCCGACUGGUCCAACCGGUUCGACGUCCCAUCGUCCAUUGACCCGUUGACCAUUGACUGACCGUUGACCGUUGACCCCGAAAAAAAAAAAAAAAAAAGGAAUAUGUUUCUUUUUCUCAAUCAUGCCUAUGUGGGUUAUAAGUAAUCCAUUGUUUAUUCUGCAUUUGUUGCAUGAAUUAUGGAAACUUAUGUAUUUUCCCUUAUGUACAUUAUGGAUUAUAAGUAAUCCAUUUUUAGUUCUGCAUUUGUUGCAGGAACUAUGAUGCGUUAUGUACAGAUACCUGCAAUCCCGAGAACGGACGAGGGAAGUGCAAGACUUAAAAGGUUGAUGACAGAAUUAGCUAAUUAUUGGUGGCAUGACGGUGAUUUAGUAUCACAUGUUGUCAGGGUCAAUCAGAUGAUACAGGAAAUCAUCUGGAAUUGUUAUCUUAUGCCGGAUUUUGAGAAUGUGCCGGUUUUGAUGAACACUCUUCCACCUGAAAGGCAAGUAGUGUUAGAUCGGCUAUGUGAGGUCAACGUGGUCCCGGGUUAUAGGAGACUAGUGGUAGCUUUUGUAAGAGAGUACUAUAGGAUUGAGUUAACCAAAACUUCAACCCUUAGAUUGAGCGCCACAUGGCGCAAAGUGAAUGCGCCUUGGAGGCGACAUGAAAGCUUUCCAAAAGUUUAUCCAUGGUUGGCAAAUGUGCCUUCAAAUUUCUCAGAUAUUUUGACUGAUAGAUUAGAAGGGACAUUCCCUAUUUAUUUCUUAGAUUAGUUUGAGAUGUUUUUGGGUAUGAAUAUCUCUUUCUAUAUUGAUAUUUUUCUUUGUAUAUAUUACUUAGUGUAAUGGAUAAUUGUAUUAUGUGAAAGCAUUGUUAUUCUUUUGGAUGUCGAAUAUUAUUUGCUUUCUGUUAUUGUUGACUGCUGUGGGUAGUUCAUAGAAGUUUUUGUAACUUCAUAGAAUUUAUUUUGCAUAAGACAAUUAUAUUAAUAAUAAUUUUGAGUUAGGAUUUUUUGGAGGAUGAUUGGAAACAUAGUGACCUUUUGAUUCUGAAACAUUACUUGAAAUUGUUCAUUGAUAUGAUGGGUCUGUGCAAAGUGGAUGCAUAAAUGAUAGGCAUUAAUUAUUCGUGCAUAUAUGUCUGAUGUGUUCAGAUCAAUGGUUUCAGCAACUAAGAACGUAAUUGCUGAUAUGAACAGCAACAAUUGUGAAAUAUUGAAUAUGAAGAUUCAAUAUAUGCUGAAAAAGCAAGAAGCACUAGAAGCUCUUGACCAUGUUAUGAAAGAUCUUGAGGUUGCUAUGCGCCACCUUGAGCUAGAAAAGGACCGCUUAACGGCAUUUAAGCCGAAAGUAGAUAUUUGCAAUGCUGGUUCUAGCUUAGAAAGGGCUUUGAGCUCGAAGCAUAAGCGUAUUGAUUCGUUCAAUAUGUGGGAAUGCAAAUGAUCAAGUCCUUAUUGCAAGAAAUCAAGAGUUAACCAACACAAGAGAGGAAAACGUCCUCAAGUGAAGAAAAUGUCAAGGGUGAGGUAUUAUAAUUGUGACAAGAAAGGUCACUAUGCUCGCGACUGUCAUGAGCCAAAGAAGGUAUACACCUCUUGUACAUUUGAGAAUUUUGCUUAUGUGUCAAGUUCUGUAUUAUUGGCUGAAUCCAAUCCUUUGUGGAAUAUAGAUUUAGGAGUGACAGACCAUGUAGCGAAGGAUAGAGAAUCUUCGUGGAAUUUAGACGAGUACCAACUGGAACUAAGUGGAUCUAUGUGGGAAACAACUCCAAAGCUUAAGUGAAAGGAAUUGGCACCUGCCAACUGAACAUGCGUGGUGGAUGCAUUUUGUUCCUACAUGAUGUUCUAGAUGCCUUGGAGAUUCGUCGAAAUUUAGUGUCUGUUUUGGUGUUGGUUAAGCUUGGUUUUAAUGUGAACUUCCGUAAUAGUUGUGUAGAUUUGUAUUUGGGUACAAACUACUAUGGUUGUGGUAAUUUUCUGGAUGGUUUUAUUGUACUAAAUGUUGACUGUGGUGAUGUCAAUAUUUGUUAUUCCCUUAUUUCACGUCUUCUACUUCAUAUGAUAAUGAUGUGAUUAUGUGGCAUGCUAAACUUGGUCAUAUUGGCCAACAACGUAUGAAUAGACUAGCCAAAAGGGGCUUGUUGGGCAGUAUUAAAAAAGUUGAUUUGUCCAUAUGUGAGCAUUGCCUAGAAGGGAAAACGACAAGGAAACCAUUUGGAAAAAGGUAAAAGAGCUGAAUUUCUUCUGCAUUUAAUCCAUUAUGACGUCUGUGGUUCAAUGAAUGUGAGGGGAAGGCAUGGGGCUGUUUAUUUCAUUACUUUUAUAGACGAUUAUACUCGAUUCGGAUAUGUCUAUUUGAUUUCUCAUAAAUCUGAAGCAUUGAGUUAUUUCAAAAGGUUUAUGAACCUGGUAGAAAAUCAAUUAGACAAGAAAAUAAAAGCAUUGAGAUUCAAUCGAGGUCGAGAAUAUUUAUUUGAUGAGUUCAAAAAACUAUGUGAUGAAAAAGCAAUAGAAAGACAGUUGUCUAUUUCGUAUACUCCUCAACAAAAUGGUGUUGCGGAGAGAAGAAACAGAACCCUACUGGAAAUGAUUAGGUCCAUGAUAGCGCAUGCUAACUUACCUAUUAUUUUUAGGAGUGAUGCGUUGUUAACUGCUGCCUAUAUACUUAACCGAGUGCCUUCCAAAUCAGUUACUUCCACUCCAUAUGAGUUAUGGACAGGUAGAAAACCGGACUUAAGUUUUCUUAAGCCAUGAGGUUGUGCUGCCUAUACUCAUGAAUCCUCUCACAAGUUUGGGAAAUUGGGUCCCAAAGGAAAUAUGAGUAUUUUCAUAAGAUAAUCGGAACACUCGAAAGGGUAUGUGUUUAUAGGUGAGAAUGAAAGUGGGAGUAUAACUGAAUUGAAUCACGAGAUGUCACAUUCUUAGAGGAUGAAUUUCCUAGAAGGGCAAAAUAGGGGAAGAUUACUCUCUAUUUGAAACCUUGGAUCAAGAUAAUGAUAUUAGUGGAGUUCGUCCAAAUGGGAGUAAUAUGAGAAGUGAUGAAUUGAAUUCAACUCAUUCUCAAUUACACCCACAUCAUGAGAUGACAUCAUCAUUAUCUAAUCCAAGUGGGAGCAUAAUGGGGAAUGAUGUGCAAAGUAUACAAUCUCCCAUAUGGCGAACAAGUCACCAAAGUAUUCCCCGUCGACGUUUUGACAUUGAAGGGGAAACUUUUAUGGUUGCUCCACAAGAUGAGGAUGAGUCAAGAAAUAUUAAUGAUGCUCUGAAUUGCCCUAGUAAGGAAAAAUGGAUUCAUGCAAUGGAAGAGGAAAUUGAGUCAAUGAAAUCAAACCAAGUCUGGGAACUGGUUGAUCUUCCAAAAGGACGCAGAGCUAUUGGGAACAAGUGGGUUCUCAAAAUAAAGCGAAAGGCUGAUGGCUCGAUAGAAAGGCAUAAGGCUCGCCUUGUGGCGAAGGGGUAUAAUCAACAUGAAGGAAUUGAUUAUGAAAAUACAUUUUCUCCUGUAGUGAGAUUUACCUCGAUUCGCAUUAUUCAAGCAAUAGUGGCUAGUAUGGAUCUUGAGUUACAUCAAAUGGAUGUAAAGACUACUUUCCUCAAUGGAGAACUAGAGGAAGAAAUAUGUAUGGAACAACCUACUAGUUUCAUAGUGAAAGGCCAAGAAAAAAAUGUAUGUCGACUUUUGAGGUCGAUAUAUGGCCUUAAGCAGUCAUCGAGACAAUGUUAUAUAUGUUUUCAUAAUGCCAUAAUGGCAUAUGAUUUUACAAUGAUUGAUGAGGAUCAUUGUGUAUAUAUCAAAAGAUCCAAGGAUCAAUUUGUGAUCAUAUCAUUAUAUGUUGAUGAUAUACUGAUUGCCGGAAGCAAUAUGGAGUUUGUUAAUACUGUCAAGAGUUGGUUGUCUUCCAACUUUGAGAUGAAAGAUAUGGGUGAGGCUGCAUACAUUCUUGGAGUUAAGAUUUCAAGAGAUCGUUCGAAGAUAGCGUUGUCUCUUUCGCAAGAAACAUAUAUAAAUAAGGUUCUUGAACGAUUUCGUAUGCAAGAUUGUAAACUCAUAGACACUCCUAUUGCAAAAGGUGAAGGAUUGAGCCAUAGACUGUGUCCAGGGACUCCACAAGAGAAGGAACAAAUGAAACAUGUUCCUUAUGCUAGUGUUGUUGGGAGCUUGAUGUAUGCUAUGAUGUGUACAAGACCCGACAUAUGUUUUGCAGUUGGAAUGGUAAGUAGAUACCAAUCCAAUCUAGGUCCAGCACAUUGGAAAGCCGUUAAGAGAAUACUGAGGUAUCUGAAGGGAACUGCUGAUUACAAGUUGAAUUACCAAGGAAAGAAUCUGCGACUUGAAGGCUAUUUAGAUGCUGAUUGGGGAGGAGAUUUAGAUAAAAGAAAAUCUACCUCAGGAUUUGCUUUCUUACUGAACAAUGGCGCCAUAUCAUGGAGUAGUAAGAAGCAAACGUGUAUAGCCUUAUCCACGAUGGAAGCUGAGUUCGUGGCAUUAUCAGCAGCAAUAUAAGAAGAUGUUUGGCUUAAGAGAUUUUUUGGAUCAUUUAGGUGUUAUUGGAAGUGUUGCAGAUUCAUUGUUGGUUAACUAUGGUAGCCAAGCAGCAAAAGUGUACACCAAAGAUCCAAAAUAUCAUGGCAAGACCAAACCUAUAGAUACCAAUUAUAAUUUUUGCCAAAGAUAUGAUUGCACGAAAAGAUGUGAACUUAGAGUACAUACUACGCAUAGAAUGGUAGCAGAUCCUAUGACAAAGCCAAUAUCUAGAGAUAUGUUUUGUGGCCAUAUGAAAUCUCUAGGAUUGCGUAGAGUAUGAUGUACUGGAUUGUAAUUUCCCUAAAGUGUUCACAUUUGAUGAAUUUGUGUUUUUCAUUAUUAAUGCCUAUGAAUCUUUGUUUGAUCUUUAUGCAUCUUAUUGCUCAAUGCAUUACUUUAGGUUGAGAAAGUAUGUUGGACAGAUAUAAAAUUAGCCCACUCACACGGGUAAUCGCCUCUAUUUACUAUGUGAUAAAUAGAGAUGAAACUGUUUUUAAGCUUAUUAUCUAGGUGAUAAUCGAGAGCUCCAGCUUAAAACACGUAUGUCGCCUUAACUGAGUGUUAAGAUGAUGACAUAAUACUUACUAUUUCCGAAAGUAAAAUACCCCACAUAUUUUACUUUAUCUAUCUAUGAUGCUAGAUGUGAAUUCUGAUGAAUUUUGUGAAUGAGUAGAUACGUGAACUCAAGUUAGACAUUGGGUAUGUUUGAACUAUCAUCUGUACGGUAUUGAAGGUGUAGACAUACGCUCCAUGGGAAAGGAUUUAAUACCGUAAUACGUAUUUCAUACUACGUAUGCAUAAGACGACCAAUAAGAGUGGCAAAAGUUUGAUCUCAACUUUUAUGCCGUGUGAGACUCUUAAGGAAAAGAGUUCCUCAAUUUUUAAGUCCCCUCAUGACUCUUACUUAUUCUCAAGAUUUCUAUUUAGUGUUUGCUAUCUUAGGAUGUUGCCAAUGGUCAUGAGUUGAUUCGAUCUAAUAGGGCAUUUCUAGAAAAGCAAGCUGAACUGAAAUUGAGAGUUUGACUGAAAGAGGAAGAUCGAAUUUGGAAAAUCACAUUAUAGUUUUGUAUUCACUGGUUAACUAAUUAUGAUUGUCUUUGGGAUAAUUAUAAUUGUGAAUACAAUAUAUAUAUAUAUAUAUAUAUCAUUUUUUAAAAGAGAUCAAGAGAGAUAUAAAUGUGAUCGAUCGAUCUAGGGUACUGCAUACUAAAUCUACUCAGGAUGUGAUGCCCAUUAUGAGCUGCUAUAUAUUCCUAAUAGGUGUAUGGCAACGAGCUCUCAAAGUAUGCUGGUCGCACAAAUUAUUCACCGGUAUGAAUGUUGAAGAGAGGUAAAGAGAAUCAUGUUUGGCCCACCAUGUGNNNNNNNNNNNNNNNNNNNNNNNNNNNNNNNNNNNNNNNNNNNNNNNNNNNNNNNNNNNNNNNNNNNNNNNNNNNNNNNNNNNNNNNNNNNNNNNNNNNNGAUGAUGGUUUUAUAUGAUGGGCUUAAGGCCCGUCCGCCCAUGUUGGGCCUGAAAGCCCGAUCCACAAGAUUAGGGCCCAUGGAUGGAGGGAUAUGAUGAAGGGGUACGUUUCUAUUUUUUGAGGGAACGUAUAUAAGGGAGGAAAGAGAGAGACGAUGACACCCUUUUGGCAUUAUUACGUGCAUUCCUCUCCCUCUCUCCCUCCAAAAGAAAAACGAGCGCAAACGGUGACGCCAUCUUCCCUUCAAGGCCAAUCGACGUCAUCGGAUCGAACAGGAUCGGAUUUCUCUUCCUCUUAUCGACAUUGGUGUUUAAUCUGUGGCUAACAAGGUACGCUCGAUUCCGUAGUGUGCUUUAGGAUCGGUGAUACAUGUUUUUCCCGAGUUUAUCUUCCGCAUUCGUUUUAGGGGUUCGAUUUAGUGUCGAAUUUGGUUUUUUGGGAAUCCGACAUUCCCAACACCCAUCUUUCACGGCGUCCGAUUUUUGGUGAGUUGAGUUCGGUUUCGAUCCGCCGUUUUCCUAUGGUUCCCGGCUUGGCAAAACUGAGAUGGCCGGCUAUAGUUUGAUUUGUAUCGAGACCGGCUUCCGGCUGUCGUCGCCAAGCCGGGUAAGGCCCCCGCGGUCGCGCGCUCCGGCGCCCCUUUUUUGUCCUUUCUUUAUUGCUCUAUUUUUGCCCUAUUUCGGGCAUGCCGGGCUGGAGCUCGCGGCCGUCCCGCUUACUCGAACUCUGGCCCCUUCGCCCCCGUGCUUUGAUGUUGUCAGUCUGGUUGGUCGUAUGUUGAGGGGACCGUGCGAGUUUGAGUCCCAGCUGAGCCGGAAGCGCCACCUGCACGAUGAAACGCCUCAACGAGAUCUAAUUUUCGUCUCCUCCUUUUUUAGCCGAAAUCGAGUCGUCCGCACUAUUACGUUCUAUUGCUAUGUCCCUGUGAUGUUUGGUGUUACGGGCACGGCCAUUUGGUUGCUUCCCUGCCCCCCGCGACCGCCGUUGUUUACUUUGUUUUGUGUUUCGGGCUUUGUGGCCGACAGUAAUGGAGGCUCGUUACUGUGUUUCGGCCAUGCUGGCCGUCACCAAGAGUCCAGAGCCGUUGGAGUGAGAGCGUGGUCAAGCCGAGGGCGUCGGCUUACGGCCAUUUGGACAAGACGGUGGCAGCGGGAGGUCAGAAGCAAUUAGGUUAGAAGGCUUAAUUAGUUUAAUUAGCAUGGGCUUAAGUUAGUUUAGUGGGUUUAGGUUCGUUUCUGUUUUCAUGGGAGUUAAAAAGUAUUGGUUUUGGGCUCAACUAGGAUUUAUUAAGUUUGGGUCUAGUUCUCGUUAUAUUUGGACCGGUGAUUUUCGGGCUUGAUUUGUUUUAGGGUGUGUUUAUUUAGCGAAAUCUUAAUGAUAUAGGAAAAAGCUUUCUAGUAAAACAUCUUUCAGGAAUAUGGUUAGUUUUUCCUUGUUUGAUAAUAUAUAAUCAAAAAUGUUUUUCAAUGUUUGGAUACUAUUUCAAAAUGAUUUCAAUCUCAUUAUUUUAUUUAGUAAAAAAAAAUCAAUUUUUUUUUUAAUUUUUAGAAAAAAUUGAAAUUUUCAAUUAUUUUCUUUUUCUCUUUUUUUUUCCUUUUUUUUUUCUAAAAGUUGAAUUUUUAAUUUUCUAUAAUAAAGAGACAUUGAAUUCUUAUUAAAGUGACCAUUAUCCAAACCUUAGAAUAUACAUACAAAUAAACUGUUCACGAGAAGAUGUACAACAUCCUUUGCACAUGGAGAAAAUAUUGGGUGGUCUGAGAGCUCCACAUCAGCGUGGUGUUCGGCCACUCACAAGGUGCCAUGUGGAGGGGUGGGCCCACUUGGUGUCUUCUGCUUUCUUCCCCUUUCUCCUUCUAGCCUGCACGCUCUCUCUCCUAUGCAGCGCAUUUAUUGCGGUUUAAACUUUUCUCUUUCUUUCUCAAAUGAGAAGGAAAGAGAAGCCCGUUCUUCUGUCCCUCUCCAUUUCUUUCCUUUCAAAUUUUGAAUUUGAAAUUUUCUCUCUCUCUCCGCGCUCGUUCCUGCUCCGCUGUGCAUCAAGCAGCCGUUCCCCUGCCGUCGCCAAUGAACCACAUUAUGGCCACCCCUACUCCGAUGCUCGCUUGCUUCCUCUCUUCGGGCUCGUUGUUGCUCCAUCGUUCGCUCCAGCAUUCCCGGGAUCACAGAUGUAGCACACGGAGGAGAAGCAGGCCUCUUUGAGUUCCCCUCAACGUCGGCGAGCAUCGCUCGCCGAGCAAGACCCCCACACACAGAAGGCUCGGAGGCGAGGUUGCUAGAGAAGCUGGUGCCGCACACUGCCAGCUUGCUGAGCUGCCUCGUUGUGUNNNNNNNNNNNNNNNNNNNNNNNNNNNNNNNNNNNNNNNNNNNNNNNNNNNNNNNNNNNNNNNNNNNNNNNNNNNNNNNNNNNNNNNNNNNNNNNNNNNNNNNNNNNNNNNNNNNNNNNNNNNNNNNNNNNNNNNNNNNNNNNNNNNNNNNNNNNNNNNNNNNNNNNNNNNNNNNNNNNNNNNNNNNNNNNNNNNNNNNNNNNNNNNNNNNNNNNNNNNNNNNNNNNNNNNNNNNNNNNNNNNNNNNNNNNNNNNNNNNNNNNNNNNNNNNNNNNNNNNNNNNNNNNNNNNNNNNNNNNNNNNNNNNNNNNNNNNNNNNNNNNNNNNNNNNNNNNNNNNNNNNNNNNNNNNNNNNNNNNNNNNNNNNNNNNNNNNNNNNNNNNNNNNNNNNNNNNNNNNNNNNNNNNNNNNNNNNNNNNNNNNNNNNNNNNNNNNNNNNNNNNNNNNNNNNNNNNNNNNNNNNNNNNNNNNNNNNNNNNNNNNNNNNNNNNNNNNNNNNNNNNNNNNNNNNNNNNNNNNNNNNNNNNNNNNNNNNNNNNNNNNNNNNNNNNNNNNNNNNNNNNNNNNNNNNNNNNNNNNNNNNNNNNNNNNNNNNNNNNNNNNNNNNNNNNNNNNNNNNNNNNNNNAGUUCCGAUAUCCUUGCAAGCUUGAAAGCACCUACAGUCACCCUCGACUCUGAUGCUGACCCAACACCGCCUCCUCCCUUGAACCCGACUCUGACGCCGACGCCCCUCCGCCAUUUUCCUUCGUCGGCAACAAAGUUCGUCGCCCCUAACUCCGACGCCGACGCCUCGGCCUCGGCCUACGUGCCCGACGCCAACGCCGACGCCAAUGCCCCUUCGCCUCCCUCUCGCUGCUCGCGUUUUGGCCUCCCUCUCCGCGAGCAAAGGUCACUCUGCUCGAUCUUUCUCUCUUUCCUCCAUGAAGCACCCCCUGCUCCUGAACAUAGACGCCGUCGCCUCCCGCUGUCACCUUCCCAAGCCCCACCUAUAGGCACCGUAUUGGCGAUUCCCAUACGUCCGAAGGUUCGAUUUUUUUUUUUUUUUUUGGAUUCUACUUAGUAGAAUUCGGUGUCGUGUUAAUGUUUAGGUUCAUAGAUACAUUUGCAUUAGGUAUUGCUUUUAUCUUACUUGUUGCUGACUUGCUGUGUUAUUCAGAUAGUUAAUGAAGAUUGGAAGAAAGUGAAAUGGUGGUAUCUUUUGAGAUUGUUUGCAUAUAGUCCUCCCAAGAGAUUAGAGGCUUCUGAGCCUAAAUUGGUCACUCCUUGUCUGAAGUAAGAGAUUGAGAAGCUGGUAUUAGGAUUGCUCAAGUGGACCUAUAGCCGAUUAUGUCCAAGUCAUGCCACACUCUCCACAUAUGCUCCUAAGUCUUGCUUUCAUCACUGCUGCUACUUUAUUCUCCCAUACAAAAUGCAAGCAAUUCAUUAAUUGAUUGUGUAAUUGGACUUGCAGGGUUGUCGGAAUGGUGGUUCAUGUUCUUUUUCUCAUAAUAUGGGCACGUCAUUUUCGUUAGUGAGUACUCCAUGCAUCGCAGAAAAUGGCGAUGCCGACCCAACAUUACUUAUUUAGUUAUUUCCUUUUGCUGAUGAUGGGGAAAUUCUCAUCUUGGACGAAAUUUUCUCUGUCAUCAUUGGCAAUGCCUAGCUGAAACACCAGGGUCAAAUCCUCAGUUUGGGUGUGGGUUUCUGUGAAUGGAUCAGUCCACUCCAAAACCUCCCACCAGUUCCAUGUGCCACUUGGGCUCUGCCCCAAAGUCAGUCUCAUUCUAGCUCAGUGUUUAAGGUUGGGCUUUGCCUUUGAUAUAAUUUAUAACUUUGAGCCUUGUGGCUUGGGAAUGAGGUUAAUCAUGGAUUGGUUAGAAGCAAAAAGAAAUGAUGAAAUUGAGAAGAGUUUAGUUGAAUCUAAUCACUAUGGUUUUGUGGGUGGAGGCGUUUGCUUUAUCCUCUGUCGUCACUCCUGAAUAUGUUUAUUUUGCUCAUAUUCUUUUGAAAUUAUUGUACAUGAAUCCCAAGGUACUUAUUGUUAAGUUUUACAGAAGAAACCUUUCUUUGCAGAGACCAAGGGUGUGUAUACUAGGUGGUGGAUUUGGGGGUUUAUACACUGCUUUGAGACUGAAAUCACUUGUCUGGCCUGACAGCAAGAAACCUCAUGUAAUUCAUUUGAUCCUUGUAUAGUUAGUAUGCGUUCUUCAUUGAUACAUCCCUGCUGCUCGAAUGGAAUCAUAAGCAGAACUUGCAUAUUUGAACAAAGAUCACUCCUCUAGACUAUACCAAACUGUCUUAUAGAAGUAUGUAUAUUCUGUUGAAACCAGUAUGUUGUCAUUUGAUGCCACUUAUAAUGUUCAAAUUACUUAUUCAGCUUGAGCCAUCUUAUUAAAUUGGGUCAUUUUGAUAAUGCAGUAGGUCCUUCUUAUUGACCAAUCUGAGCGGUUUAUUUUCAAGCCAAUGCUAUAUGAACUUUUAUCUAGAGGUAUGAAGAUAUGACACUACAGAGUUUGCAAUAGUUUUUUGCUGUUUAUAAUGAUAGUUCCAGUGAUAUGUUUAUUUGAAGAAGGGUGAGGGAGAUUCUCUCUGAGGACUUAUGUCUUGAUGCAGAAGUAGAAGAAUGGGAAAUAGCUCCUCGAUUUGCUGAUCUUCUUGCGAGCACUGAUGUCAAGCUUUUCCAAGAUAGGGUAAAACUCUUGCGUCCAAUGGAUCAUCUGGGAAUCAAUGCUCCUCCGGGAUCUGGUUCUGUAGGGACUGUGCAACUUGAAAGUGGCCUCCUUGUUGAAUAUGACUGGUAUCGUUUUCUCUUUGAAUAUCGUCUAGUAUGUCUUUAAUUUUUCAUAUAGGAAUAUAGUUUUGUCAGGCACCGGAGUAUAUAUAGCCUUUACCAGGUUUGUACUUCAUAACUUCAGACACUUGCUAGAUUUUUUCUGUCAACUUUCCUGAUUAAUUAGGAAAUAGUUUUAUGUGGAUAGUGUUGAUCGUCUUUUCUUAGGUGUUGCUCUAGGAUUGUCCCUUGCCUUUGUGAGCUAAAUGAGCUUUCUUUCAAUAUGCUGGGGGAUAGCAUCAGAUUAGUUCAAGCCUCCUUGGGAUUUGUUAAAGUUGAACUUGGAUUUGAUGAAUCAUUAGUUGAUAGAUAGAUGCUCAUUUGGUUUUUAUGUGUAUAAGGAUAUGCCAAUUCUCUCUUUUUGUCAUGGGCUGUCAGGUUGGUUCUUGCUUUGGGGGCUGAAGCGAAGCUUGAUGUUGUACCUGGUGCAGCUGAGUAUGCAUUGCCAUUCUCAACCCUCAGGGAUGCACUUGUAAGGCAACUUUUAGGGGGGUCUAUAAUGCUAUAAAUUACAUCUCUAGUUGAUUGACUCUGAUUUGGUACAUUUAUUAUUCUCUCACUUGUACAUUUCUGUUGCAGAAAGUUGACAACAAAUUAAAAGCUUUGGAGAGAAGGAACUUUGGGAAGGGGUCUGAAAUUCGCGUAGCUGUUUUCUNNNNNNNNNNNNNNNNNNNNNNNNNNNNNNNNNNNNNNNNNNNNNNNNNNNNNNNNNNNNNNNNNNNNNNNNNNNNNNNNNNNNNNNNNNNNNNNNNNNNAACUCACCAGUCGUGCAGCUCUAUAAGCCUGAUAGUCCACUUCUAGAUUAACAUGUAAUUAGAAGUCCUAUUGAAGAUGAAUUAUCACUGUUAUAGUUUUCAAGACUUCAGAAUCAUGUGAAACAUCAUGUUAUAUAUUCACGAUACUCUAUGCAUGUACUGUUUUGUUUGUUUGGAUGGACUAUAAUUUGUUGGUAUUUUGUCAGCUACAUAGAAACACAUAGAAACGAAUCAUAUGAAGAGGGUAGAGAGGAAUGAGUGGGCCAGCGAAUCUAUGUAAACUUCUUGCUUCAACCUGGUACUAGAAUCAGCUGGAGCAAUUUGAUAUGAAGCGAGGACUAAGAUUUCUAUUACUUGUAUUGGUUCAAACUUGUAGCGGUAUGAUUAAGAAUGGUACUUUGGUUAUGAAAGAUGCGUACGCCAUGCGAUGAUCUUCAUGGAGAACCUACUAGAUUAUAAUGUAAAAUAAGUUAGAAAGAGUUGGUUGGCUGUGCUUCUUUUCCAAAUGAAAUUCAGUUCCAUCCACAUUUUGCCGGUACAGAUGGUGUCUUAGGGCAAAAUGAAAUGGUUUAUGAACUACUCACAAUCGAGAAUUCACUGAAAGGACUUGAUAUUGUGAAAGCAAAGAAGGACAAGUAAGACUACAUAAAUUGCAGGAUGUAGAGUUGUACGGAUGGCAAGUUUCAGAGGAUAAACUGUUUUUCCGUUUAGUUUUCGUAUUGCUCCUACGCAACUCCUUUUCAUUUUAUUUUCCACCUCUAAUUUGAUUUAGUGGAAAACCUGAAUGCCAAGUUUGACCGAUAUCUAUGAAGUUAACGCCGUUGCACAAGCGGUUACCCUUGGCGGGACCAUCUUCUUGUUCAUGGUGAUUGUGAGAUUUGGGUGAGUGCAGUUCUACUUGAUGAUGCCGGAGACAAAGGGGCGGAGGCUGGAGGACUUGUUAUACAUGGAGUGGAGGUCCACAGUGAGGGAGAUGGAGAUGCAAAGGAACAACAACGUGACCAAGGAGGCAAACAGUGAGGCCUCACUUGUAAUGCAUGAUGUCCAAUUAAUAUUAGGUCCUAGACACAACAUUAACCGCACAUCAUGCAUGCAUUAUAGAUGAAGCCUCACUAUUUGCCCCUCAGUUCGCAUCUCCAUUUCCUUCGUUGCAGAUUUAUGGAACAACUCCUCUACCAUCCGCCCCUUCGUCUCCCACAUCAUCAAGUAGAAGAGCACUCACGCAAAACUCACGAUUUCCAUAAACAAGAAAGCGGCUCCACCAAGGGUAACCGUCUUGUGCAACAGUAUAAACUUCAUGGAUAACACUCCAAGGGAGUUUGAUUGGUCUCUCUUCUGUAUUGAUUCCUUCAAUUUCUCCAGACUUUCGACAGUGUCUUGCAAUCGGCUACAAGAACCGCCACGUAGUACAACUAAACUUUCUCAUGACAUUAGCCUACUAACACUUACUCCCAUAAAGAAACAUAGAAAAUUAGGAUAGCUACAUACAUUUCAUCCUAAUCAUCUCUCCAUCAGGACGUGCUCAUGCCAGUUAGUUCAACUUGAGCUGCAGGGGCAUUGAUCACGUCAAUUAGAUCCAAUUUCCCCCUGCUCUGCACAUUACCUGAAUGGAUGGAUUUACGAGUGCCGAAGUAUGUCAAAGACGUAGGAGGCAUUGCCUUGAGCAACAUCUCGUGCUAUCAACUUCAGUCUAAAAAAUGACUGACCGAUCUAGCAAGCUCGCAUUUGCUCUGGACAGAAUCAGAUUAUGGACCACCUGUAAUGUCAAUGUGCUAAGGAAUUUGAUAAAGAUGCGCUGCAAUCUUUGCAAUACGAUCAAACAAUAUCCUGAACAUGGUUGAGACAAGCCCAAUGAAGCGGAGCAUUCUUCUCCUCAUUACUGGCGUUAACAUCCUGAAAUUGGAAGAUUCCGGGUUUCAUAAAAGUCUCUUUCUACAUGUAACUAUGCAAUAAAUAACCGUAUAUAGAGCCUCAUAUCAACGCUAAUUCUAAUAAGACGCCGAGAUCAAGGCCAUAUCAGGACAACCACAGAGCAAUCAUAAAAAAUGCGCUGACCAACAUUUGAGAAAACUCAUCUAAGUCAGGACACGAUUGAAUAUCACCCCGAACCGAGAGUCGUGAGUACUAGUGCAAGUGACAAACAUCGACAUCUCCAAAAAACUAAAGAAAGAAUAAAGAGGAAGAGAGAGAAAGGGGGGGUGGGGAAUCAAUGAGAAUGGCAUAGUCGAAUGAAUUUAGCCAGAUUAUUGCAAAACACAGUUUGCGAGGAAGAAUGAAAGCCUGAGUUCACCGGAGAUAUGACCGAAAAGCAGGAGGCAAACAAGACCGGAUUUUUUUAAGUUCAACAUUACCAGAUACAUGGACCCUCGAGAUCAGCAGUCAAACAUAAAAGACGAUGAAGGGAACACAACUUCCGUCAGCAAGCGAGAAAUUCCAAAGAAAACAAGGCCAUGUCUACCACAGUAAUCACCUAUAACUCUGUAGCAUCCAAAAACCUUAUGAAUAUCCUUAAAUCCUAAACCCAGUAAACGAAUCACCUUUAACUGUGUAGGAGAGCUCUUCAGAAGCGCUCCAGUUGGUCUCGGCAAAGGGCGAGGCGUUGAGGAGAGGAAUGGAGAGGCAAGAGCGAGAGAGGAUGAAGGUGUGGAGCUGGGGAAGGGGAGCUGGAGACUGGAUAUGGGGAAGAAGGAGCGUUGUUUGGUCGUUCUCCUUUCUCCAGAAAGGAAACAGUAGCGAGCGGAAGGAGGGAGGAGGAGAGGGAAGAGCUGGGCAGCGGCUGCUGUGCAUUCACACUCCCCAACUGCAAAAUGAUACUUGAAGUAGAGAGCUCGGCGUGCAUGGGAAGUAUUGGUAACGGUCUGAAAAAGCAGGCUGGGCUUGGGGGGAAAGGUGAAUGGUGGAAUGGGACUUGGGAGGGUGAGUUCGAUGAGUCCCGAUGAGCAGAGGGAUGGUUUCUCACUUCACAACAUCACUCACUCACUCUCUCUCUCUCUCUUUGUUUCUCUCUCUCUCUCUGCUUCUUCUCGCUCAUCUUUAAAGUAGUUGAGUGGUUAGUAUCCGUUCGAAAUAAACUUUUGUUCCAUAUUUAAGAAGAUGCCUGAUCAUUCCCCUUAAUAAAUUAAUUAAUAAUUCAAGAAUUACGUUGGUAUUUAGUUAUUAUUAGCAGGUCAGUAAGAUGGAUUUAAAGUUAAAUGUGCGGUACAUAUUAAAAUUAAUUAUUGAUUGUGUUGGCAAAAAGACAAAAGCAAUAAACGGUGUUGGCCAAAAGACAAAAUGUUUGAAUUUUUCUUCUUCUGCAUUCAUUUUCUCAUCGCCAGUUCUUUUUUCUUGGAUUGCCAUCACCCGUAAUUAAUAAUCAUGGGGGAGAGACAGAGAUCGCUCAAUGUGGCAUGCAAAACCUGACAUGCAGGGGAGAAGGCUUUGCUUUUCACCUUCCUCAAAACUUGAACCAAAUUUAUUGCUCUCCCUUUGUUUGUCUAAUUAAGUGCCAAACCAUUAUAAUUCUUCCUUCUCACCCUUCAAUUUUUCUUUCAAUAAACUUUUCUACCUCAUUUGGCAAUGCCGAAGAACAAAUAAUUGCCCUAUUUGGCUAUGCCAAAUUACCUGUCGAGAAUUGUUUUGAAGAUAUGGUUGGCAUGACAUGUAUGUCCAAUGUAAUAGUCUUAAACCUUAGUUGAUUGAAGUUUUGUAUGGUAAGUGCAAAAGAUAACUUAUAUUUAUAUUUAUAUUUACAUUGUCAUGUUUUAAAUAAAGUGAAAUUCUUAUUGAAUGGCGGUGGAAGAGUGUAAUUACAAUGAAAAAUGGGGCUAAUCGAUGAGUAUUUGAGUAUUUUAUGGAUGAACGCAAUGACAAACCUCAAACGUCAUAAGCUCCUUCAUUUUCCAAGGCUUCACAAAAAACACAUGUGUACGAUCACAAAAACAAGUAAAAGUGAUGAGAAUGAGUAAUCCUAAUCUCUGCAAGUAAAGUGAUGAAGGGCCUAUUUUGUCGCUAUCAUAUAACAUUUAUUCCUAAUUCAAUUUACGGUAUAAAAUUUCAUUAUAUAAUAAGGUAUUUGUAAUUAAUUUGGAGACUUUAACAAUAUUUCUGAUUUUUUUUUUUUACUUUGAAUUACAAAAAUUUUAAAUUUUCAUUUGGAGAUGAAAGUUUGGAAAAAGGAAGACUCUUUUUAAAUUGAACAAAUUUAAUGUCCAAAAAUUUAUUUUUAAUAUAAUUAGUUAGAUAAGAUUGCUAGUCACAGAUAGAUAAAAUGCUUAUUUUUCCAGCAAAAGAAGUUAGAAACAAUGGUGGACUUAAUUUACAGAGUUAGUGACAAGUGCCCUUGCUAAAUGGACACAAUUUUCCCCUACACAAUCUACAAUAACAAUCCGUAAAGCCCACGUUUUAGCAGAAAACAAUCCAUUAGAAAAUAUAUGCUGAAUAUUCGCCAAAAAAUAAAUGCUGGAACUAAAAAUAUAUAUACCACAUCCUUUAGAUUCAUAGCAAAUUUAUUCAUUAACCAGCAUGCUUUGACAUUUGGUAAAGCUCAUUUAAAGAAGGGGAUCUUGACUUGACGUACAUUCGCUUAAAGUAAUUGAGUGGCUAGUAAAAUAGUAUUUUCUAAGCCCAUUGAAAUAAACUUUUAUUCGGUGUAAAGUAAUAUUUAAAAUAGUUAAUAUCAUGAAAAAUUACAAUUGAAAUAUUUAUGAUAAAUUUAUCUCAAACUAAUUUUUUAACCUUAAAAAAUUUUAAACUAAUACACUCAUAACAAAUUACCUCAAACUAAUUUUUUGAUCACUAAAAAAUACCAAAUUGAUAUAUAUGUAAUAAAUUUAUGAUUUGUUGAUUUCCAUUAAAUUAAAUUAAUAUCAUAAAAAAACCACAAAUUAUUACACAUGUAAUGACCAAUAGAGGGUAAAACCCCAAAUUAGUACGUUAAUCAAUUGUGACAUGUUAUCUAACUCAACAAUUUGACUAUAAAAUUUAAUAUUAACUAAUUAAUGGUAAGUACAUCAAUUUGGGAUUAGUUUACCAAUUUGGAAUUUAUCAUGGUAUUAACCCUAUUUAAAUUUUUUCUAAUAUUGUCUAAACAAAUAGUCAAAUAAUCCUUACCAAAAAAAUACAAAUAGUCAAAUAAUUCAAGAAUAACAUCAAGGUUGGUGGUUAGCUAUAAUUACCAUAUUACAAAGAUAGAUUAUAAAGACAAAUGUGUGGUACAUGUCAAAACUAAUCAUCUAAAUGAUCAAUUAAUAAAAGGCACAAGAACUAAAUGGUGUAGGCCGAAAAAACAAAAAAGAAAGUUGAAAUGUUCUUUCUUGUGAAUUCAUUCAUAAUAAUGAUGGGAGAGAGAAUCUUGUUGUUCAUCAUCCUCAACACCAAGAUCAAAUUAUGAAUAGAUUUGAAAUUCAUAAAUUUUGCUAUAUUUUAUUCAAUGUUGGGUGAAUCAUAGCAAUAAUAUGAGAUAUAUUCUUAUCCUAUUAUAUCUUAUUGUUUGUUAUAAACAAUUAUUAAUCAGUAAAUCUUAAAAAAAGAAUGGUGGUUUGGGAGAGUGACUGCAUUCACCAUCCCCAACUGCAAAGGAUAUUUUAUAAUUGAUGAAGUAGAGAUCAAUGUGCAUGUCAAGUAGGGAACGAUCUAAAAGAGUAGGCGUGUGGGCUGGAGUUUUGUAUGUUUGCGGAAAAAAGUGAAUGGUGGGAUGAGAGAGUGAGUGCGAUUAGUCCGACGAGAAAAGAGACGACGAGAAUGGCUUCCUCUCAUUUUAACCUUGAUGAAAUGGAGUUUUCGGGCAACUUCUUUUUUACUUUUAUCUCUUAUUUACGGUUCUUUCUUUUUUCAAAUUGAAAAAUAAUAAAAAAAUCACAAUCUUUCAAGUUUUGAAAAUUGUAAAAUUUAGUAUAUGAUUUUUAGGGGUGAUUGAUUCCGAAUUCAGUCACAACCAGUAACCGAGAACCCGAUCGGGAGGACCAAUUCCCAUUUUUUGGGAUCGAGAAUCGGCCAAACUAACCGGUCUAGGCCAAUGGAAUCAGCCAAUUAGCAAAACAAAUUCAAACAAUUUGAAAAAAAAAAUACUAGAGUUGUUACUAUUUUAGAGUUUAUUACAUUUUUUAAGAACAUAGAAAAUAUUUUUUUAUAAAAAAAUGUUGGUCUAGUCCGGUCCGGUCCGGUUUCCUCUUAAAAUCGGGAACCAAACCAAAAAUAGAUGAACUAAGAUUAGACCAACACCCCUCGACGAUUCUCGAUUUGGUUUGUUCAAUAUGCUCACCCCUAAUGAUUUUACUUGUUGGUAUUUAUUCUUUAUUGCGGAACUCGAAAAAUUUACAACAAAGAAAAGGUUUUACAAACUAGUUGAAAAUGUUUCAUCUCUAAAUUUAUAUUGUAUAUAAAUUGGAUCAAAACAGAUUAUUAGUCAGAAUUGAUAAUUAAUAUUUAGAGACAAUCAUACUGUGAUUUUAAUAAUAUAUUUACAUAAAUUAAUAAUAAAAAGCCAACUUAAAUGACAAAUGUUUAAUAAACUAAUAAAUUAUUAAAUAUUUUUUAAUAAAUCAAUAUUUAUAUUAAUCAAAUUUCAAUAAAUAUAUUAAAAAGUGAUUUAUAGCUUCUUAAAAUCUGAUCAAGCACUAUUUCUCCAUCGUGCUUUUAUGAUACAAGAUUAUAAAUAAAUACAAACAAUAAAGCACAACUCCAUGAAACAUCAAUAGUCAAGGAAAUAAUUUGUUUUUCCUAAGAAUUGAAAUACAAAAUCAUUUCUUUGUAUUCUGAUUAGUGUUUUAGGUGAUUUAUUCGCAAUGAAUUGAAAUUUUAUGCCACGUGAAAACGAGAAAUGCCAAAAUUAACCGAAGUAGCUAAAACACCCAAGUUCAUGUGAAUGGAUUCUUGGAAAAUAGCCUGAUAAUGAAUAGGAAUAACAAGCACCAAGAAGUCACCAUCACAGCUGGGUUUAAAAUAUAUAUAUUUGCAUCAGUAACUGUCUAUUCCUUUUCUCUUAAAAAUCCAUUCUUAGGCAAGGCAUAUUUUACAUUUAUUCUUCAUUUCCUGUAUUGCUUUAAACUCCCGAAAUUUUCUAUUAUAAAUAUGAGAAAAGCCAUAUCAUUCCUAAAAGUCCUAAAAUUUCAAUUUAUUAAUUUAUUUAAUGAUGUGGCAAUUUUAAAUUAAUUUCUCUCACUUGGCUUUUUUUUAUUGUUUUCUUUUUAAUAUCUUAUUCAAAUGAGAUUAAAAAACUGAAAAAGCUAAAAUUUUAUUUAAAAAAAAAAAACAAACUGAAAAGAGAGAGAGAGAGAGAGAGAGAGAGAGAGAGAGAGAGAGAGAGAGAGAGAGAGAGAGAGAGAGAGAGAGAGAGAGAAGAGAUAGGGAGGUAGGGCGCUGCCGCCACCACCAUCGGAGGGGUCGACCUUAGGCAAGGCUGGCCGGCCCUCGCCAGUCCCAUGCGAGGCCUCACUGGCCCUAAGCGAGGGGCCGGAGACCCUCGCUAGGCUUGGGCUUGCGCUCAAGCGCCCAAAUCUGGGUGACGCUGGUGCUCACCCAGGGCUGGCGAGGCUUGCCGACUCUAGUUGACCACCAGUGUCGCCCAGAUAUGGGUGCUCUCGCCCGAGUCGGCAAAGGUCGCCUACGCUUGCCUGGAGCUGGCGAGGGUUGGCCACCCUCACCCUAGGCCGGCGACCUCCACCGGCUCCUCCGACUAUGGGUGGUAUUGGCAGUGGCAGUGGUGCGCUUCUCUCUCUCUUUUCAGUUUUAUUUUUUAAAAUAAAAUAUUAGCAUUUUUUUAGUUUUUAAGCUGAAUUAAAUAAGAUUAAAAAAGGAAAACAAUAAUAAAAAAUGCCAACUAGAAGAAAGAAAUAAAUUUAAAAUUUAGAUUCAAUUGCACCUAAGUGGCAUCUUUGUCACAAAAUUUUGGAUUCUGCUCGUGAACUUAUCCUUAAAUAUUCUUAGGUAAUGGAUAUUACUUUUACUUUUCUCUAAAUUUAUUUGUACACGAUUUUGUAGUUAAAACGAGUUGUUUUUACGUAAAAGAUAGGUUAUUUUUCUUUUCUUUUUUCAAUUUUACACAAAUGGAUGACUUUCAUGUUUUGAUUGUCUUUCUAUUAACCUCCACAUUGUAAAUUUCGAAGUUCUCCAAAGGUGGUUCCUACAUAUUUUUCAGACGUUGGCUUUUUUUUUUUUUUUUCCUGUCUCUAUCUUUCAUAUAUUAUCUUUUCUAUAAUAUAUUUCAAAAGAAAAAAAAAAAAAAAAGAAGGUGGAGGACAAGUAUUAGAGGAGUAUUUGAUUUUGAAAGACGCCCACCCCAAUUUUUGGUCUUGACUUCAUGAUUUCGACCGUUGUGUAUUUAUUUCGCUCAGAAACGACAUGAUUUUAAAUUGGACACGGAAAAACUAAAAUUCAUGGGCAAGAUAAAAUGUACACAAAUAUAUAUAUAUAUAUAUAUGUAUAUAUAACAUAGUUAUAGUUAUAGUGUUAAAGCACAUCUUUCUAUAGUUAUAGCCACAGCACGAUCGUCACACAAUCAUCGCACGACUACCGCACGAUUGUCGCACGAUAACGUUUCACCCCAUCUCGUCAACAUGCAAUAGCUUAAGGAAUUUCCACCAGCAGGAGUCAUUUUUUUUUUUUUUUUGAAGGGGCACCUCAUUAGGCACACAUGCACGACCAUACAACCAUCUUCGGCCAUUUCUUCUAAUAAUAAAAUAAAAUACAAAUUAUUAAAAAAAGCAAAGCCAAAAAGAGUUUUGUAAUCAACACCCAUUUGCAAUCAUUGCAUUGCGGAAGAAAAAAAAAUUUUCUUUUCUGUACAUGAUCUUCCCCUAUCCACCUAUCCUAUCCACUGCAACAGUCUUAAAGUCCUGCCGCUGCAUGCAUUUAAAAACACGAACCAAUCUCUUCUCUUUUCUCUUCUCUCUAGCUGAAGAAGACUACAUAUAUCGACAAAUAUCACUAGACAAAAUUCCCAAUCUAUAGUGGAGGCACCAGCAAGAGGUGAAUGCCUUUAUUCAGAGGCACAUCAAAUGCGAUAAUUUGGAAGCUUUGUAUAGACAAUGACUGGUACGGGUUGUGUUUAAUUAUAUGAUUUAUACCUCUAAUAUUUUUAAUAUAAUUUCCUUCAAAGUUAGAAAUUGAAUAUUAACAAUUUGUGUAUGUUGUAGUACGAAUAUGUAAGUCUCAUGAAUGUGGAGUCGGGAAUGAAGCUACUUAAGAGAGCCGCACAAAUUGGCCACCUUGGGGCUUCCUAUAUGGUCGGGCUCUUCCUUGUCUGCGAUGAUGGCGAGUUGAAGAAGAAUGAAUGAGUCUGCUGACUAAGAACGAGUGGUGGAAUGCCGUGAUAAGUAUUUAAACACCGUUCGCAUUAUGUGGUGGAACAACACGAUGAUCUUUAGAAAAGAGCAAAGCUAUGAUUGCGAGAUGCAAACUGAGCACUGCAAGAGGAGGGGAUGGGUGUGUGACAUCGACCAUUACGAUGACACUGAAUGCGAACAAUGCAUUUGCCGAGCGGAGACAAAGAUUCUAUACAAGUAUUGCAGAUACCCCUGACAACAUCAUCGUAAAUUGGACGCGGAAAAAGUAAAAUUCAUGGGCAAGACAAAAUGUACACAAACACACAUGCACGCGCGCGCGCAAACACACACAUAUAUAACGUAGUUAUAGUUAUAGUGUCAAAGCACAUCUUUCUAUAGUUAUAGCCACCGCACGAUCGUCGCACGAUCAUCGCACGACCGCCGCACGAUUGUCGCACAACCACCACAUGAUCGCCGCACGAUAACGUUUCUCCCACAUCUCGUCAACAUGCAAUAGCUUAAGGAAUUUCCACCAACAGGAGUCAUGUUUUUUGAAGGAGCAUCUCAUUAGGUGCACAUGCACGACCAUACGACCAUCUUCACCCAUGUCUUUUAAUAAUAAAAUAAAAUACAAAUUAUUAAAAAAAACAAAGCUAAAAAGAGUUUCGUAAUCAACACCCAUUUGUAAUCAUUGCAUGCUGAAGACAAAAUUUUUUUCUGUACAUGAUCUUCCCCUAUCCUAUCCACUGCAACAAUCUUAAAGUCCUACCGUUGCUUGCAUUUAAAAACAAGAACCAACCUCUUCUCUUUUCUCUUCUCUCUAGCUGAAGAGGACUACAUAUAUCGACAAAUAUCACUAGACAAAAUUCCAAAUCUAUUAUGGUGGCACCAGAAAGAGGUGAAUGUCUUUAUUCAGAGGUGCAUCAAAUGCGAUAAUUUGGAAGCUUUGUAUAGACAAGAACUAAUACGUGUUGUGUUUAAUUAGAUGAUUUAUACCUCUAAUAUUUUCAAUAUAAUUUCCUUCAAAGUUAGAAAUUGAAUAUUAACAAUUUGUGUAUGUUGUAGUAUGAAUAUGUAAGUCUCAUGAAUGUGGAGUCAGGAAUGAAGCUACUUAAGAGAACCGCACAAUUUGGCCACCUUAAGGCUUCUUAUAUGGUUAGGCUCCUCCUUGUCUACGAGGGUGGCAAGUUGAAGAAGAAUGAAUGAGUCGGCUUGUUGAGAAAAGUCUACUCAAGCGGACGAGUGGUGGAAUGAUGUGAUAAGUAUUUAAACAUCAUUCACAGUAUGUGGUGGAAUAACACAAUGAUCUUAAGAGAAGAGCGAAGCUAUGAUUGCGAGAUGCAAACCGAGCACUGCAAUAGGAGGGGAUGGGUGUGUGACAUCGACCAUUAUGAUGACACUGAAUGCGAACAAUGCAUUUGCUGAGCGGAGACAAAGAUUCUAUACAAGUAUUGCAGAUACCCCUGAAGAAAUAAUUUUAAAUUGGACGCGGAAAAACUAAAAUUCAUGGGCAAGAUAAAAUGUACACAAACAUAUAUAACAUAGUUUUAGUUAUAGUGUUCAAGCACAUCUUUCUAUAGUUAUAACCACCGCACGACCGCCGCACGAUCGUCGCACGAUAACAUUUCACCCCCAUCUCGUCAACGUGCAAUAGCUUAAGGAAUUUCCAUCAGUAUGAGUCAUUUUUUUUUUAGAGAGCACCUCAUUGGGCGCACAUGCACGACAAUACGACCAUCUUCAGCCAUGUCUUCUAAUAAUAAAAUAAAAUACAAAUAUUUAAAAAAGAAGAGCCAAAAAAAGUUUUGUAAUCAACACCCAUUUGUAAUCAUUGCGUUGCUGAAGACAAUUUUUUUUUUUUUGUACAUGAUCUUCCCCUAUCCACCUAUCCUAUACACUGCAACAGUCUUAAAGUCCUGUCGCUGCUUGCAUUUAAAAACACGAACGAACCUCUUCUCUUUGCUAUUCUCUCUAGCUGAAAAGGACUGCAUAUAUCGAUAAAUAUCACUAGACAAAAUUCCAAAUCUAUUGCAGUGGCACCAGGAAGAGGUGAAUGCCUUUAUUCAAAGGUGCAUAAAAUGCAAUAAUUUGGAAGCUUUGUAUAGACAAGGACUGGUACGUGUUGUGUUUAAUUAUAUGAUUUAUACCUCUAAUAUUUUCAAUAUAAUUUCCUUCAAAGUUAGAAAUUGAACAUUAACAAUUUAUGUGUGUUGUAGUAUAAAUAUGUAAGUCUCAUGAAUGUAGAGUCAUAAAUUAAGCUACUUAAGAGAGCCGCACAAUUUGACCACUUGGGCUUCCUCUAUGGUUGGGCUCCUCCUUGUGUGCGAGGGUGGCGAGUUGAAGAAGAAGGAAGGAGUUGACAUGCUAAGAAAAGUCUACUCGAGCGGACGAGUGGUGGAAUUCCGUGAUAAGUAUUUAAUACCGUUCGUAGUAUGUGGUGGAACAACAUGAUGAUCUUUAGAGAAGGGCAAAGCUAUGAUUGCGAGAUACAAACCAAGCAUUGCAAGAGGAGGGGAUGGAUGUGUGACAUCGACCAUUACGAUGACACUGAAUGCAAACAAUGCAUUUGCCGACCGGAGACAAAGAUUCUAUACAAGUAUUGCAGAUACCCAUAACGACAUGAUCUUAAAUUGGACGCAGAAGAACUAAAAUUCAUGGGCAAUAUAAAAUGUACACAAACACAUAUAUAUAACAUAGUUAUAGUUAUAGUGUUAAAGCACAUCUUUCUAUAGGUAUAGCCACCGCAUGAUCAUCGCACGACCGUCGCACGAUCGCCGCACGAUAACGUUUCACCCCCAUCUCGUCAACGUGCAAUAGCUUAAGGAAUUUCCACCUGCAGAAGUAAUUUUUCUUUUUAAGGAGCACCUCAUUGGGCGCACAUGCACCACCAUACGACCAUCUUCGACCAUGUCUACAAAUAAUAAUAAAAAACACAAAUUAUUAAAAAAAGCAUAGCCAAAAAGAGUUUUGUUAUCAACACCUAUUUGUAAUCAUUGCGUUGUUGAAGACAAAUUUUUUUUUAUGUACAUGAUCUUCCCUUAUACACCUAUCCUAUCCACUGCAACAGUCUUAAAGUCCUAUCGCUGCUUGCAUUUAGAAACACGAACCAACCUCUUCUCUUUUUUGUUCUCUCUAGUGGAAGAGGACUACAUAUAUCGAUAAAUAUCGCUAGACAAAAUUCCAAAUCUAUUGUGGUGGCACUAGGAAGAGGUGAAUGCCUUUAUUUAGUGGUGCAUCAAAUGCGAUAAUUUGGAAGUUUUGUAUAGACAAUGAUUGGUACGUGUUGUGUUUAAUUAUAUUAUUUAUACCUCUAAUAUUUUCAAUAUAAUUUCCUUCAAAGUUAGAAAUUGAACAUUAACAAUUUGUGUAUGUUAUAGUAUGAAUAUGUAAGUCUCAUGAAUGUGGAGUCAAGAAUGAAGCUACUUAAGAGAGCCGCACAAUUUGGCCACCUUGGGGCUUCCUCUAUGGUUGGGCUCCUCCUUGUCUGCGAGGGUGGCGAGUUAAAGAAGAAGGAAGGAGUGGGCUUGCUGAGAAAAGUCUAUUCGAACGGACGAGUGAUGCAAUGCCGUGAUAAGUAUUUAAACAUUUUUCGCACCAUGUGGUGGAACAACAUGAUGAUCUUUAGAGAAGAGCGAAGCUAUGAUUGCGAGAUGCAAACCGAGCACUACAAGAGGAGGAGAUGGGUGUGUGACAUCGACCAUUACAAUGACACUGAAUGCGAACAAUGCAUUUGCCGAACGGAGACAAAGAUUCUAUUCAAGUAUUGUAGAUACCCCUGACGACAUGAUCUUAAAUUGGACGGGGAAAAACUAAAAUUCAUAGGCAAGAUAAAAUGUACACAAACAUAUAACAUAUAUAUAGUUAUAGUGUUAAAGCACAUCUUUCUAUAGUUAUAGCCACUGCACGAUCGUCGCACGACCGUCGCACGAUGGUCGCAUGACCGCCGCACGAUCGCCACACGAUAACAUUUCACCCCCAUCUCGUCAAUGUGCAAUAGCUUAAGGAAUUUCCACCAAUAGGAGUCAUUUUUUUUUUUUUGAAGGAGCACCUCAUUAGGCGCACAUGCACCACCAUACGACCAUCUUCAGCCAUGUCUUCUAAUAAUAAAAUAAAACACAAAUUAUUAAAAAAAGCAUAGCCAAAAGAGUUUUGUUAUCAACACCUAUUUGUAAUCAUUGCGUUGUUGAAGAAUUUUUUUUUUCUGUACAUGAUCUUCCCCUAUCUACCUAUUCUAUCCAUUGCAAUAGUCUUAAAAACCUACCGCUGCUUGCAUUUAAAAACACAAACCAACCUCUUCUCUUUUCUCUUCUCUCUAGCUGAAGAGACUGCAUAUAUCGACAAAUAUCGCUAAACAAAAUUCCAAAUCUAUUGGGGUGGCACCAGGAAAAGUUGAAUGCCUUUAUUCAAAGGUGCAUCAAAUGCGAUAAUUUGGAAGCUUUGUAUAGACAAGGACUGGUACGUGUUGUGUCUAAUUAUAUUAUUUAUACCUUUAAUUUUUUCAAUAUAAUUUCCUUCAAAGUUAGAAAUUGAACAUUAACAAUUUGUGUAUGUUGUAGUAUAAAUAUGUAAGUCUCAUGAAUGUAGAGUCAUGAAUUAAGCUACUUAAGAGAGCCGCUCAAUUUGGCCACCUUGGGACUUCCUAUAUGGUUAGGCUCCUCCUUGUGUGUGAGGGUGGCGAGUUGAAGAAAAAUGAAUGAGUCGACUUGCUGAGAAAAGUCUACUCGAGUGGACGAGUGGUGCAAUGCCGUGAUAAGUAUUUAAACACCUUUCGCACUAUGUGGUGGAGCAACACGAUGAUCUUUAGAGAAGAGCAAAGCUAUGAUUGCGAGAUGCAAACCGAGCACUGCAAGAGGAGGGGAUGGGUGUGUGACAUCGACCAUUACGAUGACACUGAAUGUGAACAAUGCAUUUGCCGAACGGAGACAGAUUCUAUACAAGUAUUGCAGAUACCCCUGACGACAUGAUCUUAAAUUGGACGGGGAAAAACUAAAAUUCAUGGGCAAGAUAAAAUGUACACAAACAUAUAACAUAGUUAUAGUUAUAGUGUUAAAGCACAUCUUUCUAUAGUUAUAGCCACCGCACGAUCGUCGCAUGACCGUCGCACGAUCGCCGCACGACCAUCGCACGAUCGUCGCACGAUCGCCACACGACCGCCGCACGAUAACGUUUCACCCCCAUCUCGUCAAUGUGCAAUAGCUUAAGGAAUUUCCACCAAUAGGAGUCAUUUUUUUUUUUGAAAGAGCACCUCAUUAGGUGCACAUGCACCACUAUAUGACCAUCUUCGGCCAUGUCUUCUAUUAAUAAAAAAAAACACAAAUUAUUAAAAAAAGCAGAGCCAAAAAUAAUUUUCUAAUCAACACCCAUUUGUAAUCAUUGCAUUGCUGAAGACAAACUUUUUUUUCUAUACAUAAUCUUCCCCUAUCCACCUAUCCUAUCCAUUGCAAUAGUCUUAAAGUCCUGCCGCUGCUUGCAUUUAAAAACACAAACCAACCUCUUCUCUUUUCUCUUCUCUCUAGCUGAAGAGGACUGCAUAUAUCGACAAAUAUCGCUAGACAAAAUUCCAAAUCUGUUGGGGUGGCACCAGGAAAAGUUGAAUGCAUUUAUUCAGAGGUGCAUCAAAUGCGAUAAUUUGGAAAAUUUGUAUAGACAAGGACUGGUACGUGUUGUGUUUAAUUAUAUUAUUUAUACCUCUAAUAUUUUCAAUAUAAUUUCCUUCAAAGUUAGAAAUUGAACAUUAACAAUUUGUGUAUGUUGUAGUAUGAAUAUGUAAGUCUCAUGAAUGUGGAGUUAGGAAUGAAGCUACUUAAGAGAGCCGCACAAUUUGGCCAACUUGGGGCUUCCUAUAUUGUUGGGCUCCUCCUUGUGUGCGAGGGUGGCGAGUUGAAGAAGAAUGAAUGAGUCGGCUUGUUGAGAAAAGGCUACUCGAGCGGACAAGUGAUGCAAUGCCGUGAUAAGUAUUUAAACACCUUUCGCACUAUAUGGUGGAACAACACAAUGAUCUUUAGAGAAAAGCGAAGCUAUAAUUGCGAGAUGCAAACCGAACAUUGCAAGAAGAGAGGAUGGGCGUGUGAUAUCGACCAUUACAAUGACACUUAAUGCGAAUAAUGCAUUUGCCGAACGGAGACAGAUUCUAUACAAGUAUUGCAGAUACCCCUGACGACAUGAUCUUAAAUUGAACACGGAAAAACUAAAAUUCAUGAGCAAGAUAAAAUGUACACAAACAUAUAGCAUAGUUAUAGUUAUAGUAUUAAAGCACAUCUUUCUAUAGUUAUAGCCACCGCACGAUCGUCGCACGAUCGUCGCACAAUCACUGCACAACCGUCGGACGAUGAUCGCACGACCACCGCACGAUCGCCACACGAUAACGUUUCACCCCCAUCUCGUCAAUGUGCAAUAGCUUAAGGAAUUUCCACCAAUAGGAGUCUUUUUUUUUUUUUUGAAGAAGCACCUCAUUAGGUGCACAUGCAUGACCAUACGACCAUCUUCGGCCAUGUCUUCUAAUGAUAAAAUAAAAUACAAAUUAUUUAAAAAAAGCAGAGCCAAAAAGAAUUUUGUAAUCAACACCCAUUUGUAAUCAUUGCGUUGCUGAAGACAAUUUUUUUUUUCUAUACAUGAUCUUCCCCUAUCCACCUAUCCUAUCCAUUGUAAGAGUCUUAAAGUCUUGCCGCUGCUUGCAUUUAAAAAUACGAACCAACCUCUUCUAUUUUCUCUUCUCUCUAGCUGAAGAGGACUGCAUAUAUCGACAAAUAUCGCUAGAAAAAAUUCCAUAUCUAUUGGGGUGGCACCAGGAAAAGGUGAAUGCCUUUAUUCAGAGGUGCAUUAAAUGUGAUAAUUUGGAAGCUUUGUAUAGACAAGGACUGUUACAUGUUGUGUUUAAUUAUAUUAUUUAUACCUCUAAUAUUUUCAAUAUAAUUUCCUUCAAAGUUAGAAAUUGAAUAUUAACAAUUUAUGUAUGCUGUAAUAUGAAUAUAUAAGUCUCAUGAAUGUGGAGUCAGGAAUGAAGCUACUUAAGAGAGCCGCACAAUUUGGCUCCCUUAGAGCUUUCUAUAUGGUUGGGCUCCUCCUUGUGUGCGAGGGUGGCAAGUUGAAGAAGAAGGAAGGAGUUGGCUUGCUGAGAAAAGUCUACUCGAGCGGACGAGUGGUGGAAUGCCGUGGUAAGUAUUUAAACACCGUUCGCAAUAUGUGGUGGAACAACACAAUGAUCUUUAGAGAAUAGCGAAGCUAUGAUUGCGAGAUGCAAACCGAGCACUACAAGAGGAGGGGAUGGGUGUGUGACAUCGACCAUUACAAUGACACUGAAUGCAAACAAUUCAUUUGCCGAGCGGAGACAAAGAUUCUACACAAGUAUUGUAGAUACCCCUGACGACGUGAUCUUAAAUUGGACACGAAAAUACUAAAAUUCAUGGGCAAGAUAAGAUGUACACAAACAUAUAACAUAGUUAUAGUUAUAGUGUUAAAGCACAUCUUUCUAUAGUUAUAGCCAUCGCACAAUCGUCGUACGAUCAUCGCAUGACUGCCGCACGAUCAUCGCACGAUUGUCGCACGACCACAGCACAAUCGCCGCAUGAUAACGUUUCACCCACAUUUCGUCAACAUGCAAUAGCUUAAGGAAUUUCCACCAGCAGGAGUCAUUUUUUCUUAAGGAGCACUUCAUUAGGUGCACAUGCACGACCAUACGACCCUCUUUAGCCAUGUCUUCUAAUAAUAAAAUAAAAUACAAAUUAUUUAAAAAAAGCAAAGCCAUAAAGAGUAUUGUAAUCAACACCCAUUUAUAAUCAUUGCGUUGCUGAAGACAAAUUUUUUUUUCUGUACAUGAUCUUCCCCUAUCCACCUGUCCUAUCCACUGCAACAAUCUUAAAGUCCUGCCGUUGCUUGCAUUUAAAAACACGAACUAACCUCUUCUCUUUUCUCUUCUCUCUAGCUGAAGAGGAUUGCAUAUAUCGACAAAUAUCACUAGAUAAAAUUCCAAAUCUAUUGUGGUGGCACCAGAAAGAGGUGAAUGCCUUUAUUCAAAGGUGCAUCAAAUGCGAUAAUUUGGAAGCUUUGUAUAGACAAUGACUAGUACGUGUUGUGUCUAAUUAUAUUAUUUAUACCUCUAAUAUUUUCAAUAUAAUUUCCUUCAAAGUUAGAAAUUGAACAUUAACAAUUUGUGUAUGUUGUAGUAUGAAUAUGUAAGUCUCAUGAAUGUGGAGUCAAGAAUGAAGUUACUUAAGAGAGCCGCACAAUUUGGCAAACUUGGGGCUUCAUAUAUGGUUGGGCUCCUCCUUGUGUGCGAGGGUGGCAAGUUGAAGAAGAAUGAAUGAGUCGGCUUGUUGAGAAAAUUCUACUCGAGCGGACGGGUGGUGCAAUGCCGUGGUAAGUAUUUAAACACCUUUUGCACUAUGUGGUGGAAUAACACAAUGAUCUUUAGAGAAGAGCGAAGCUAUGAUUGCGAGAUGCAAACUGAGCACUGCAAGAGGAGGGGAUGGGUGUGUGACAUCAACCAUUACGAUGACGCUGAAUGCGAACAAUGCAUUUGCUAAACGGAGACAAAGAUUCUAUACAAGUAUUGCAGAUACCUCUGACCAUGAUGCUGACCAUGACACCCCUGACCAUGACCAUGAGAGGUUUGUUUAAAGAGAGGGCAGGAGAGAGCCUGUUUUAGUUCAAAAUAAAUCUUAAUACACAAGUGCUUCUUUAGAGUAUCUGAUAUGGCUUCAUUUUCUUCUCUAUAGGUUCUUGAUAGGUUCUUGAUAGGUUCUUGAUGGUGCCCCUUGUGCUGACGAAAGCAAUGCUUAACAUCAAUUUGGUGUUCCUCAAACUAAGCAAAAUUCUGUUGCAAUAAGAGGAUUAUGUCAUCUAUAGCUGCCUUGUGGUUGUAACUAGAUUUCACUUUAUUCUAAGUGACCUAUUGUUGGAUUUGGUUUUGGUUUGGUCUCAACUAGUUUGUGUAAUCCUUCAAUCCAAGCGAGAAUUGUUGUUUGUUUCAGUUCGUGAUUUAUUUUGCUCUACUUCAUGGAUGAUUUCAACAUCAUCUAUUAGCAAUUCAAGCUCAUUACAUUCCCCAAGAACAUGACAUUUGAAUUGCUCCAUGCUUUUCAAAAUGAACUCAGACAGGUCCUAAAGAGUUGCCGUAUGCAUAUUCAAAUAAAACGCCUGUGACUUGUUCAGCAAAUAUUUAGGGAGUAUUGUUAUUUUGUUAUCUUUUGUAUCUUAUCUCUUAGAAUUAGUAAAUAUUUAGGGAAUACUUGUUAUUAUGUUGCCUUUUAUAUCUUAUCUUUUAGAGUCCUUUAUAUACAUUGUAUUGGCAAUACAUAUAUAAAGAAAAAAGGAAUAAACAUUUUUUUUUUUGGUCGAAAAGAAGUGACGUGGUAUUCUUACUUAAAAGGAGAAUUACAAGAUAAAAGCGGACUAAUGUCCGAACAUAAUAUGUUCCAAAGAGGCAAUGGCGGGUUAAUCCACCAGUUGAAAGGGAGCUUGUUCGCUCGAUGAAAGCGUGCAAUCCAGUCCGCAGCCCAGUUUUCUUCGCGUGUACAACAUUUCACUUGGACAUUCACACACUGGCCCAACUCUUGUUUGCAUUUUCUGACCACUUCUUUUAAAUUCCACUGAGAAUCGGCCCGGCCCAAUACUUGGUCAAUUGCUGGACUACAAUCAGAUUCGCAAAUCCAACGAAGCUUUUGACUUCUAAAGUCCCUCACGUGCCUCCUUUGGAAGUCUUGGAUAUAAAACAGACCGUGGAAGAGGGCGUGGAGUUCCGCCUCCUGCGAAGAAGAAGCCCUAGAAGUGCUCGCGAAACCCUCGACCAUCAGCCCCGACGAAUCCCUCACAACUCCAGCCACCGAGCAAAUAAACUCGCCUUGAAUCCAAGAUGCAUCCACAUUCAACUUCAGUUCUGAUCUAUCCAGGGGUUUCCAUCUCAGAGGUAAGUCUCGAUUAGGGUUUGGUCGAUUCUUUCUCUUCUGUCCUUGAGUACCACUUGAGUGUUGUUCUUGCGCACAUCUCAGAGUAUCAGCCGAAUUCUGUGCUUUUGCUCGGAAGAUCUAGCCGUUCCUUGCCUUCCAUAUGUACCAGAGGAUCAAUCCUGUAUAUUCCCAGUCAGGUAUGUCCUUAGUUGUGCGAAAAGCUUCUAUUAUCCACUUAUCUGCUCGGGUAAUCUCAUUUGUUGGACUUAAACCCCUGCAAGUUGAAUCUGCCCAUACGCGUUUGGUCCAUUUACACAAAAAGAAGAGAUGUUCAGUUGAUUCUACCUUCGUACAACAAAUUGGACAAAGUGGAUCUGUGAUGAUUUUUCUUCUGUGUAGAUUUUCCCUCGUGGGGAUGGCAUUUUGACAUAACGCCCAGAGGAAAGUCUUGAUUUUCGGUAACACUUCAAGGCUCCAGAUUCUUGUCCAUAAGGUACGUGGCGGUCGAAACGAGCAGGAGGCCUUAUUUAUAUUUUGCUGUGAAUUGACUACAAUUGCUCUGUUGUAGCCGCUUUUAACAGUAUAUUUCCCAGUAUUGUUGCCUGUCCAAACUAGAUAAUCUGGAUGCGAUAGUGGGUUCAGUGGAAUAGCCAGGAUCUCAUUGACAAUAUCUUCGUUGUACAUCUGUUGAAUCUUUUGAACAUUCCACUCUCUGGAAUUUUCCUGUAUGAGUUCAGAAACCAUAAGGGGUUCUGUUGUAUUGCUUUGUCCACCCCGUACCUCUUGCAUCAACCAUUUAUCUUGUCAAAUACGAAUAGAUUUACCAUCCCCAACUGACCAUUUGAUGUUUUCUUUAAUUGUAUCUCUGCCAACAAUCAAACUCCGCCAUCCCCAUGAGGGACAUUGUCCAGUACUCGCUAUCCAGAGGUCCCCAGUGGGAAAAUAGAGUCAGAGGUCCCUAGUGGGAAAAUAGAGUCCUUUCAGCACUCUACUACACAAUGCAGAUGGAGCAUUUGAUAGCCUCCAAACUUGCUUGCCUAGCAUGGCAUAAUUAAAGGUAAUCAAAUCUUUGAAACCCAUUCCUCCUUCAUCUUUACGAGUUUUCAUUACCUCCCACUUUUUCCAAUGAAUUCCCCUCUUCUUAUCAUCUUUUUUCCACCAGAAUGAUGCAAUUCGCUGUUCAAUGGAUCUACAGAUAGAUAUUGGAAGCUUAAAGAUGGACAUAGCAUGCAUAGGUAUGGACUGAACAACGCUUUUAAUCAGCACCUCCUUGCCUGCCUUGGUAAGUAAUUUCUCUUUCCACCCUUCAAGCUUUGAAUUGACCCUAGCUAAUAUCCAUGCAAAAAGUUCUUUUUUUGAUUGUCCCCAAUCUGUGGGAAUACCUAAAUACUUCCCUGUUUUUUCAAAUACCGGAACCCUUAAUUCUGUGGCCAUAUUUCUUUUUAAUGUAGAGGGACAAUUAGCACUAAAAUACACCCCCGAUUUGUUUAAGUUUAUAGCUUGUCCCGAAGCAUAGCAGUACUGUUUCAAUAGCAAUGCCAGGUUUUGACAUUCUAUGAUAGUACCAUCCAUAAAAAAGAUAGCAUCAUCCGCAAACAAUAAAUGUGAUAAUCUAGGACAAAACCUGUUCAACUGAAUUCCUUUGAGGCUGCCAUCUGUAAUAGCUUUAUGCAUCAGCCAAGUGAGAACAUUAGAGACCAGAAUAAAUAAAUAAGGUGAAAGAGGGUCGCCUUGUCUCAAACCCCUUGAGGGAUGGAAAAAAUUGGUAGGUUCUCCAUUAAUCUUCAUGCUGAAAGAAACUGUAGACACACAUUGCAUGAUAAGUGUGAUCCACUUUCCACAGAAUCCCAUAUGCUGCAUACAAUCCCUCAGAAAAUCCCAUUCAAUUCGAUCAUAUGCUUUCUGCAUGUCUAGUUUAAGGAUGGCUUGAUAUUUGUGCCUCUUUUUUGUGAUGCGCAGUUGGUGUAAUACUUCCUGCACAAUAAAGAUAUUGUCCUGUAUCUGUCUACCUUGGACAAAUGCACACUGCUCUGGUUCAAUAAUAGCAGGUAACCACUUCUUUAGUCUGUUUGCUAGAAGUUUUGAAAUUACUUUGUAACUGAAGUUGCAUAGGCUGAUAGGUCUGUAUUGACUGAUGGUUUCAGGGUUCUUCACUUUAGGGAUUAAGGAAAUAUGUGUCUAGUUGAUUAUGGGAUCAAGAAGUCAUGUCUGGAAAAAAUUCAGAACUAACUGGAACAGGACAGUUUUUAUAUUAUCCCAUGAUUUUUGAUAAAACAUACCAUUGAAACCAUCUGGGCCAGGAGCUUUAAGUGCUCCCAUUUGAAAAACAACUUCUUGGACCUCCUCAAUCGUAGGUACAGCCACAAGAUCAUCAUUCAUGUGUUGUGUUAUAGGUGAGGGACAUUGGGUAAGAAUAGGUUGGUAGUGCCUUGGGCCCUCUGAAGUAUAUAGCUCUUUAUAAAAUAACUGAAUAUGGUUGCGGAUUAGGAUUGGAUCUCUACACCAUUGUGCAUCUUCCAUUUGCAGCAUUGUUAUUCUAUUUCUCUGCCUCCGUUGGAUAGUUGAUGCAUGAAAAAAUCUAGUAUUCUUGUCUCCCCAUUGCAUCCAUUUAAUCCGGGACCUCAUACCCCAAAAUUGUUCCUCUUGUCUGUGUAGUUUUUCUAUCUGCUGAAUAAUGCUUUGUUUUCCUUCUGCUAGUGUGCNNNNNNNNNNNNNNNNNNNNNNNNNNNNNNNNNNNNNNNNNNNNNNNNNNNNNNNNNNNNNNNNNNNNNNNNNNNNNNNNNNNNNNNNNNNNNNNNNNNNNNNNNNNNNNNNNNNNNNNNNNNNNNNNNNNNNNNNNNNNNNNNNNNNNNNNNNNNNNNNNNNNNNNNNNNNNNNNNNNNNNNNNNNNNNNNNNNNNNNNNNNNNNNNNNNNNNNNNNNNNNNNNNNNNNNNNNNNNNNNNNNNNNNNNNNNNNNNNNNNNNNNNNNNNNNNNNNNNNNNNNNNNNNNNNNNNNNNNNGUACUUCGGCUUCAGAAAACGUAAUUCUCCACUCUAAGGUGCAUAGUACUCUGUCUAAACGUUUCUUCACAAGAUCUUCCCCAUCUCUAUUAUUGGCCCAUGUAUAUGCACACCCAUGACUAUCCAUAUCCAUUAGGGAGAGGUCAUUUAUCAUAUUUCUGAAUGCUGCAAUUCGACUAUUAUCCGCUUCUUUUUUCCCAAUUUUUUCCCACACAUAUAAAAUUUCAUUAAAAUCACCCAUGCAGAUCCACGGCCAGGAACUAUUCGGUUUAAUGUGACCCAAAGUUUGCCACAAGGUCAGUCUCUCUCCAAAAUUGGUAGAUGCAUGGAUAAAAGUAAUUUGCAUAUGUUGUCUACUAUCUGGAUACAUACAAUCUACAUCAAUAUAAUACUUUGAACUAGUUUUUACCUUCAAUAACACUUCCUCCUGCCACAUAAGAGCUAAACCCCCUGUUGUUCCUGAUGGAUUAACUAGGAAAAUUUUCUGGAAGAGUAAUUUUUUGCAAACUUUUUCCACCAUAAUUAUAUGCGAAUUGAGUCUGAAUUAAGAUUGAGUGACCUCAUGGCUGAUCUAAAUAAGACCAUGAAGUUUCAAGUAUAUGCGGCAACUCACUGUGGAGAAGUUUCAAGAAAUUUUCCACCCGUCCUCUUCUGUUGGACCAGCCGUUCUUUUUGGUGAAAAAUAAUGAAAAACAACGGCAUUGAUUCCAAAGAAAUAUUAAUAUAGAGUUGCUCUUUUUUUUUUCUUUUUUUUUGGCCAUCAAAUUUAACAUGGCUGUUGCUGUGUCACUUUCCUAGUCUUGAGUCUUGACCGGUUGAUAAGAAUUUCGAAUGAUAACGCAUUUGAUUUAGUUAAAACGCCUGCCCUUCGAGGACACGUUUUGGGACACUUUUCUGCCACGUAUUUUGUACACGAUAGCCAUAGACGGACUAUAUACGUAUAAUCACACUUAUAAUGAAGAAGCUUUAUUUAUUUUUGGAUAUAGAUAACGAUACUCAUUGCUGAUUGAUUGGUUUUUUGCGUGCUUGAGCAAAAAUGGUGAAAUUUCUUUUUCUGUCUUGCUUUUAUCAGCAAUAAGCAGAUACAUUUGAGGCGGAUAUGAUGGAUGUAUACGUGUCAGAAUCUCCUAAUCAAAUCAAUGUGAACAAGAGUACAAGAAGUCCAUCAGAACCAUGCCUAGAACCAUACAAAGAGCAAAAACUUCCACAAGCUAUCACCCUGACAUUAAUGCAUUAGACAGUUGUCGCAUGAUUAUGAUUACUUUGAUAGAGAGAAGGCAUUAUCGGUUUUCUAUCUCUAUUUCUUCAUUAUUUUACUGUCAAGUUAUAUGAUGUAGAAGUUUCAUCCCCGCCUAUGCCAUAUGUAAUGACUAUUGGAUUACAUCAUUACAACAUCACUGCAACCAUAAGUAAUCAUCUAUGUGAAAAUUAAGACAAUUAUUUUUUCAUGAAGCAUCUCUUAAAGCUUUUCAAAGCUAAUUUAAUAAUAUUUCAUUCUAAAAUUUGAUUAACUAGGAGUGCGAGAACUACGCAUGAGUAACUUGGGCUCAGCGUAAAAAAUACUUGAAUUUGACUCGAUUGAUUCCAAGUUAAGUUCAAGUUCAAGCUACUCCAGCAGAGUUGUCUAGUCAAGUUUGAAUUUCUCAAUUACUUUUCUAGUUGAGUGCAAGCAAGAUCGUAAAUAUUAAAUCGAGCUCGAGUUGCAUUUUCUUCUCUUAACACAUACGGUUGAAGUAGAUGUCAUCCUCAAAUCUGAAACUCCAUGUGAUUUUACUCUUGCUCUGAUUGAUCUUGUUACCCAGACAUUAGUGCUUAAUUUUGGUGCAAUUUGUGUAGUAUAUCAGAUAUUCCUCCCUCCUUCAUUCUCUGAUAUCUUGUUACUAUCCUCAUUAAUUUGCUACAGCUUUGGAUAUUAUAGGAGAAGGUUGCAUGUGUCGUCACAAUCUUCGUAAUUAGUGCGUGUAUAUAGAUGUAUAUGCCUAGGCAAAUUAACUUACAUGUGAAUUUAUUUCCUUUUUGCACUUUGGACUAUUUAUAGUGUCACUGAUCAUGAAAAAACUGGCUAGCGUUGCAAAUACUACAAACAUCAUCAGCUUUCAGCUUUCAUUCUCCUCUAUAUUCCCGGUGAACUCAAAGCCCGGAAGCUUCUGCCACCUGACUCACAGGAAAGUUAACAGGUCCUAAGCUCGCUGCUGCUGCAGACCAAGCCAAAGCACCCGCAGCCGCUGUGGCAGCCAAGCAAGCAAGCCUCCGGCACAGGGCAGCGGCUUUGGGACACUUUUUGCGUAACGACAUGGUCAUCACAGCCCCUGUGAACGCGAAGUUGAGAGCCAGGAGGUAGGCGUGGAAGCACGCGGGUCUCUUUGAGAAUACAACUCUUGGAACUGGGUUUCCAUCGACUUCCUCGAAGGGAAGUUGGAGAAGCAAGAAAGCCGCCAUGAAGGAGUGAAGGAGAGGACGAGGAUGAGUUCUUCGGCCCUGGUUCUAGUGAUGAAAUGGCUGCUCAUCUCUGUGAAGAGAAAUGGAGCAGGGAUGUUGGUGGAUUACUGGGUCGGGUCUGGCGAGCCUGCUCAUCCAGAGUUGCUGGCGGUCGUCGGAGGAUGUGACGGUGGUUUUGAGGCAAACGACUUUUUCUGAGGAGUGUAGGAGUUUCCUUUCGGCCAAAGAGGGUUAAGUGUUUGAUAUUCUCUGAAACUCAACUUGGACAUUUUGGCAACUUGUUUCCAUCUAAUAAAUGGAGAAUUACGUCCCAAAGAUAGGGACGUACUAAAAAAUUUCAUCUUGGGGUCUUGAACAAAUAAAAGGGACAAAAAUAUUAGCGAAAAUCAUGUAAGUUUAACCCUUUUUUUUUUCAUCUUCCAUAAACAUAAAUAUUUUUCCCAAGAGAACAUUACGAUCUUUGAGCGAAAUCAAGGAUACCUUCAUCGAUUUAGAAAUGGAGUCGUGUUUCCCUCCAUCUUUAAUUAGAGGUUAGGAGGAAAGGCUCUCUAACCCUGGUUGGGGGACAAAUUGGUAUGCUAUGUGAUGUAGCAGGCAUUUGAAUAAGUGUGUUAUAAUUAAAUUAAUAGUAUCAUCCAUUUAUUUGAAGGAAAAUUAUUUUUGAAAAAUAGUUUUCCAACUUUCUAAUAUUUAGAUGAUGGAAAACUAAUCGAUCUUAUGAAAAACAUAUUCCAGGACUGAAAAAUACAAGCUUAGAUUAGGAGAAAAUGACUUCUCUUUCUUAUAAGAAGGAAAAUCACUUUCCAUAAAUUAUAAAACAAAUGAAAACUAAUUAUUUUCCUUGAAUUUUUUUUUAUGGAAAAUAUUUUUCUCUAUUAUAAAGUUUCCAGUAAAACAAAUGCAUCUUUAGGGUGUGGUUGUUUAAGUGAAAGAAUUUCCAGUGAGUUAGUUCUUUUGGACUUUCAUGCAUUUGAUUUGUUGAAAAUUAUUAGUUAAGAACAGUCAGAAAAAACAUGUAUACUUAAGAAAAUGAACUUUCUAACCUGAAAAUGAGAAAUUAUUUUUUAUUUUUAAAAAAUAUUUUCUUUUAUCAUCAAUAUUAUUUCAAAAUAAAUAUGCCAUUAAUACGUAAACGUAUUUGCAGAUGAUUUCUUGACUUCAAGAUUGAAAUGUGACCAGUGAAGUUUUAAAAUUCCAUCACACCCCUCGAUUUGCAUGAACCCGGAUUUAUGGAUCCAAAGCAAUUAUAGCAGUCGAUCAUGUGAGAAUUAUACAUGGAACGCACAUAAUCAACGGCUAUAAUAAACCUUGUUUAUGUGGACUCUAGUCUAAACAAAAUUUGGCUCACAUCAUAUGAGAUUCACAUGCUUAAAAUUUUAUCCAUUGUAUGUACUCAUAUUAGUCUAUUGGGAUAAAGCCACCAGAGAUUUUUGAUUUUUUAUUGUACAAUUUCAUCAUUUUUUUAGUGUAAUAAUAUCCUCGAACUAUGUAUUUAUUUGUUUGAGUUGAUACUUCAGAGAGUUAGAGCAUAAGUUGACAUGGCCGUCUAUGUCACCACAAUGUCAGACUGCUUCUCCAACGAAUUUCUUAGGUGGAACUAAAGAUUUAAAAAAUCCAAAAUUGCAACCCAGAGAAAGAGAGUGAGAGAGAGAGAGAGGAUAGAGGGGAAGGGCGGACCAGUGGCUGGCGGCGGCGGUGCCGCCCAGCCACUAUCCAAGAUCCAUCAAUUGUGGCGGGCGGUUGGGUGCUCACCGGGAGAACGACAUCGCGAGAUGGAUCGAUGGCUAUAUCCAUCGUUGGUUCAUACCUCACGUAAACUGGCCAACAUCAGACGAACUUUUGUUUCCCUGUCUCAUCUUUCCCUCUCUUUACCUCAUCCUCGUGGAUUUUUACAUGCUUUACUGUCAUACAAUCGAAGCCUCUUCUGGCCGUUGUCCGCUUAAAGUGUCUUUUCAAAUCAAUGAUUGUGCCCUCUACGUAGCAAAAUGACGUCUAUGUACGGGAUAUAUAAUCCAUCUCUUAGGCAUCAAGAGAAAUGUUUCGUAGCGACGUUAAAGUCUAGAUGACAAAUGCUGAAAACUUCCCACUUUUUUUGGGAAGUUAUCAUCUUGUUAUGGAAUAACACUACGGGAUACCCCUAAACUUUAUUGGCUUGUGUAAUAUUGUCUUUGAAUUUAUUUUUUUGCAAUCAGAUUCUUGAACUAUGAUUUAUUCGUUCACAUUGGAUCUUCCAUUAAAAGACCCAAAAAAAAAAAUGCUUAUGUGACCGUUAAAUGCCAAGUUGACUCAAUGUGGCUCCUACGUCCUCAUUAGAAAGAUUAAAGAAAUAAAAAAAAUUAAAUUUCUUCAUCGAAGGAAAUUUGGAGCGACAACACCAUCUUGAGCCGGAGCCCACAGGCAAUUUGUCGAUAGUGUUCGAGUUUGAUGAGGAGAGUGAGGAUGGGUCGGAACACUUUUCAAUAGAGGCCCGCCCGAUGGGCUUCGACUUUUUUGGCAAAGGCGGUGGCAUCUAGGGCGAGGUGGUGAUGGCUCAGAAAUGGGAGGCUCGCCUUCGACCGCCUGUGGCUUUCUCAACAGUGUUGCGUCGAUUUCCAACAACGUUGAAGAGAUUGGAGAUGGCUGGAAAUUCUUUUGUGUCUUUUUUUUUUUCUCAUUUUUUAAGUCAGUCAUAUUUCGGGCCAAACCCAGCCCAAAAUUAAAUUAAUGCCAAUCCAAGAGGACUUGUUUAGGCCCGAACCUUUCAACCGGGCCUGAAGUUGAUUGGGUGGGACAUAUUUUUCAAUAAAAAGGCCACCCAUUUGCAACUAUGCUUCCCGUUACUAGACACCAAAGGAACUCGCGAACUCAUUGCUAAUUUAACCCUAAAGCAGUGAAGAUAGUGCUGAAUAUUAAAGCAAGGGAAAACCAACACUCACGAAUUUUACAUGAAAAUCUCAAUAUAGGAAAAAUCACGGGAUCACUCAAAGACUUUUACUAAUAACCAAGACUAGCAGGAUACACAAUAAUUUAUCCUUAAUAACACAACCAGAGGCUCUUUAGAUUAGCAAAAUAUCAGAGCACCACAGAGGUGGGUUAACACAGAAGCAAGAAAGGUAUAACUGCUGCCAAAGAAAAUUAUGAGACAAUUUGGAGAGGAUUAACAAACAAAACCAAUCAAUUUAUAGAUCUUACACUCACGAACAACCUAUUGAAAUUUCUGCCAAUUCUGACAAAGUUUCACUGUCGAAUCUAGACUACAACUUCUCUUCUUCAAAGCAAAGCUUUCUGCCUCCUUUUCUCUGUGACAACAAAUUGCUUGUAUCUCUCUCUCUCUCUCUCUUUCUCUCUCUCUUCUAAAUCAACAACAUUUAGCCCUAUCUUUUUAUUUUGUAUUUUUUUUUUUAAGAUGAUGAGAUGGGCAAGUCUCCCCCUUCACCUCAUGAGGGAAGUUUCAUUAUACCCGCUUUAUCUAUACAAGAAUCAAGUUUCACCAUUGGUAAGACUUUAGUUGUCAUAUCAUAUCUAUUAUCAGUAGUGUAGACUUUCUCAAAUAAAAAGAGUUUCUCUUCUAAUUUAUCUUGGAUCCAAUGACAAGGAUAAGGCAUCAGUCUGGGUAAAGCAACCAGAUGCAUUUGAACAUCACUCUACCUUUCAGCAAUAUGACAAGGAUAAAGCAUCCCUGCAUAAUGAUGUCUUGUAUUUGCACGAAUGGAUUUGGUCUUGUUGGAGGCAAGACCACUCAUCUCAGCGGCUACCAAAGAGUUGAUAUAUCUAGAGCACUAUCAUGAAUCACUCUAUGAGGAUAAACACCCUCUAGGAAUGCCACGAGGGUGCCCUGAUGACACCACGGACGAAGCGCCCUGUCCAUCGCCAAUCGCAUGUUGCCUAAGAAUGGACCUAACUAUUAGCAGUAACAGAGCAAAUAGAAAUCUGUUACAGCAAGUAAGCAUUAACCCAGGUAACCAAAGUGGACUCUGCUUUUAGCAACAACUUCUGCAGAUUCCUGAGAACGCAGGCUUGAUUAUUUGUUUCUAGCUUGUUCAAGCCUAAACCACCUUCACAUGUCAUAACUAAGGGUCAUGCUAUAGCAAGUUUGUACUGGUGUUUUAUAUCCCUUCUCAAACGGCGAAAAUACAACAUUGAAAUGGAGAGAUCAGUUUCCCUAUAUGUUGCCUAAUUUGCUUGCAAACCAUAAAUGGUGGAAGUUGAGAUCAAUGGAGUAACUUGACAAGCCUAAGUUUCAAACCACUAAAACAUGUGUGUUUACAGUAUUGUCUCUGUUAUCAUUUGAUCUUUUGUUUUGAUAGGACAUUUUUUUGGAAACAUACUAAUACUGACAUCAAAGGCACUUUUAACGGCAAUAAUAUUAGGUUAUAUCAGUGUUGUGUUUGUCCAAGACUACUGGUACAUAGCUUCGAGGAAAUUUAACAUGAUAUCGACCGACUAAAUUAAAGAUCAACGCAGCCAAAUGCUAGACUCUUAAGAAAUACUGCCCAGUAGAGAGAUUUGUCAAUUAAGAAAUUUAGCCGAAGCUCUCUCUGUUUUUCUUUUACACAUUGACGGCCAGCAUAUUAAUAAUAUAAUGUUUCAUUUAAUCAUACCAUGUUAGAUAUUAUCUCCUUGCUAACUGAGCAAGGAAGCACACUUCAAACGCGUAAGACCCGCAAUGAGCGACAAUCGAAAAUUGCAUUCUCAUAAGCAGUCACGGAGGGCCUCAAAAGAAUUGCAGUUCUUUCCUCCCCUAGCUAACCAAUAACGAAAGUUUCUCCAGUCCAAUGUCCUACCCUUGAAUAAUAUAGAGCAAAUCUAGCAACCCAACCCAAUCUAGCAAGUAUGUCAUAACCUCAUGCUGGAGCUCUUUCACUGGUUUCUAAUUUCUGAUUUGUGCUUAGAAACUCGUGUAUUUGCUUAAAUACAUGGUGGUCUUCUAAUUAUGUUCCAAUGUACACAUCCAAAGGAUAAAACCGAGCUGCCACAGUUUCAAGACAUUCCUUAGGACUCAUCUUAGACGUGAGAAAGUCGGAAGGAAGGAAUUGCUGAUUCAGGAGGAGAAUUGGGCAUAAAACAAUAAAGCACCAAGCAAGUAAAUUAAGAUGCAAAAGAGCCUGACCAAGCACCUUCCUAAGUGGCUCAUUUUUCUCACUUCUUUCAAUUCAAAUUAGAAGAUAUGUGCAAAAGGGAGAACAGGAACGUGGGAGCAAUCAUGACGCGACAAGAUUUGGUGUUUCUACUUCAACAGAUAACAAAACCGUGUGUAUUUUGUCUAGCCAAUUGUCCAGUCGAUCACGUAGUAAAUUUGACCUGUCCAACCAUAUGCAGCAGACCUCAAAUUAACAAUGGAAACCACAACUGCCCAAAAAAAAAAAAAAAAAAAACCUAGAUAUCCCAUUUUAAUUAUGUAUGAUGAAGCAAGAAGAGAAGCACUGGCUGCUUCAUUUUCAGUCAUCAAGAGCUCAUCACAGGUAAUAAAGAGACAGUGGAUACUUAUUAAAGCGACCAUUAACCAAACUUUAGAAUGUACUUACAGACAAACUCUUCACGAGAAGAUGCUUAAUAUCCUGUGCACAGGAUUACGCUCAAUCGAGCAGUUCACAAAAGCAUAGCAACAUAACUAGGCUAGGCAUACAGACCCUUAUACAGCUAUUAUCAUAUGAAACUAGAGCUACAGCUCAUGCUUAACUAUGCAAAAACAAAUCACACGAUUCCAUUCAACUAAACACCAACUGCCACACCAAAAAAUCACCCCAAAAAAAGAAAAAGGAAAAAAAGAACACCAACUGCCGCACCUUUCUUACCUGUUCUUCAGCGAUUAGCUAGUGAUCCAGAGCUCGAGUUUAGGCCCAUGACUCCCGCCACUCAUGGAGUUAAUGAAUGCAACCGUUCGAGCCUCAUGUGGCAACAAAUUCCUCCAGCUGAGCGGCACUGAAGAAGAAAGUGUGCACGAGAGUGAAAAGUGGCACUGAAGAAGGACUUGAAGCUCGUGGACAUCGAACUCGAAGCUCACGAAUGACGAGCUUCAAGCUCGCGGACGACAGAACCUGGGAAAGGAGAGACGACGGCGAAUGACAGACUUAAGCUUGCGAGGAGCGAGCAAGGAUUGGGCGCGGAGUCGUCGAGAAGCGAGCGACAGCGAUUUGAUUGAGCAGCGGGAGAAAGGAAUAAGAACCCUAAUCCUAAUUCGAUUCGCGAUUUGAGACCGACCAACCCGCUUCGGUCCUAAAAUCCACUUCAGGCCCUUUUUCCCCUUUCUUUUUUCUUGUUCUUUUGCCGACUCUGUCUCUUUCUUCCUUUUCUUCUCUUUAUUUUUCUGGCCCUGCAGAAGGAAACAAUAAGGUGACUUGAGAUCUAUUGGGACUAAAUUUCUCUUGAGAAAGGCCCUUUUGUUAUAGAUGGUGAGGGAGGUAAGAUACCCAACGUCGCCGCCGAAGUGGACACACACAACAUAUGGAGAUUCCCAGUAAGAUGGGGAAUUUUAAUAAGAUUUUCCUUGGUUGCGCGUUUUAGAAUCAGUUCACUGUCUCUCUUCACUAGAAUAAAGCAGAAAUAGAAAGCGAGCAAAGCAGAAGAAACAACGAUGAUCUAUGAAUAGAAAGAACGCGCACCGUUUUCUGCAGAGAAUCCCCUGUUUCUGUUUCAGAGUCCGUUGUUUCAGUUUCAGAGUUCCACGCUUGAUUUGCUCUAUUCAGAAUCUUCUCUCUGUAAGACUUCCAACAGAACCACGCGCCAUUCCAGCAGUCGGGUAACUCCCCGCUACCUGUGAUGAGUAUAUCGCAAUUAUCUGGUAUUUUUGAGCUCGAUGGAUCAAGAAUCCUUCCCACUGAUCUGCAACGCUGAAUUACCAACUCAUACAAAAACUCUAGUUCGUCAAUGCCCUCAACAACCUGUAGGCUCGGGCAGUGCCAAAUCUCUAACUGCUUCAAGUUCUUCAAGUUUGAUAAACCGCCUAAGCUUUUUAGCGAAAAGCACUCUCGAACAUAAAAUUCUUCCAACGAUUCCAACGCAGUAACAAAUUGAAUAUCCCGCACCUCAGGGAACCCUAACAGAUCAAAUUUUACAAGCAUCUUUUGGGAGCUUGGGAAAAGCAUCGCUCCCCUCCAAUGAUCAAUCAACUCGGGAGCUUGUAGUCCACUGCACCCUGGCUCCUCCGGCUGACAAACCAAACUCUCGGAAGAUCUGCAGUCCUGAAUACGUGAUCUUUCUGACGAUUCUAAGACAUCGAGAAAUUGAACAUCAAGUUGCUCGGACACCUCGUUUUCUUUCGAUUUUCCCGAACUUGUUGGAAGGGAUGGAGUCUUCUUUUCCGAUGGAGGAAGCCCAUCGAGGUGUACAUGUUUCCCUCGAAAUUCUUUGAGCACUAAAACUAUCAAGUUUGACGGAAGUUGCUUGAAAGCUGGCAAGUUUAUUCCACAUAUAGUAAGUUCUUUCAGCAAAGAUAGCGAACCCAACUGUGUAGGUGCGCAGACAUUUGGAAAGCAAAAGUGCAGCUUCUUCAGUUGGGAUAACAUCCCAACCCACGACACGUCGCUAGUUUGAAUUUCAUUUGACGUGUCUCCAAAUUCCAAGCUUUUGACUAGGACCAGCUCAACUAGAUUCGUAAGGUUUGAGAGGUUAGGGACUAUCAGCAACGAAGUAGAUUCUAGCCGUAGAGUGGUCAAACAUCCGGGGAGCUCCGGCAACUGUUGUAUCUCAUUACAACAAUUCAAGUCCAGUGUUUGGAGUUGAAUUAACUUGCUCAUUGUACUGGGCAAUUUCGCAACUUUUGUGAAUGAUACAUCCAGCUCUGUUAAUGACUUUAUUUUCGAAACUGAGGCAGGGAGUUCAAUCAAGCUAUAACAAUACUUAAGACAGAGGCACUGCAAAUUUUGUAACUCUCCAAUUUGUUCAGGGAGUUCAAUCAAGCUAUCACAAUACUUAAGACAGAGGCACUGCAAAUUUUGUAACUCUCCAAUUUGUUCAGGUAAUUUUUUAAUUGACGGACAACGCUUAAACCUUAAGUCAGUCAGCCAUCUUAGUUUCCCAAUAGAACAAUCAAUUUUCAUUAAAAAGUUAUAAAAUCCAUCAUUAAUAGUCAACUUCUCUAAAUUUGAGUACUCGGGAAAGGUUGGUGUCUUACUUAUCAAAGUAUUACAACCCAUAGUGAGAACCUUCAAUUUCCUUGCUCCCUACAAAAGCCAAUAAAACAGUAGGACAGACAAGAAAUAAAUAUGGAUUUAGGCUACCAAUGAGAAAUUAGAUAAUAAACUGAUCAAAUUAUGUCCUUCAUUUAAUGAGAAAAUUAGACUAAGAGGGAAACUGGCAUACCUUGAUUAGGCUAUCUAACACAUCUUCUGUGAUUCCAAUCCCAGAAAGAUUCGCCACAACCACGUUUUCUAGAUGCAACAAAUUGGUUGCCUCCAAACGUGAGUAUUGCAAAUCGAUCCAUUUCAACUCAGAAAGACAGCCCGUAAAGUCACCUCGGUAGAUUACAUUAGGCAAGCAAAGAAACCGCAUACGUGGAAACCGUUUAAUUUGCUCCGAAGUGACGAUCCUAACAGUAUGAUAAUAACCCUGUUGCAAAUGGAGUGCUUGAACGCUUUCUUUGGUCUGCCAAUUCGUAGAAGAGAAGAGAAAAUGAAACAAAAGAGUAGCUCUCAAAUCAAAAAGUGAAUCUUGAAUUAAGAAGAGGUAUAAGCAAUUUUCCAUUCAAUUUAGGCCAUACUUUACCUCCGUUGAUUUGAAUUUGCUUUUGAUGUCAUCAUUAUCCCAUAACCUAGUAUUCUCUUCUUUAGCAAUUUUCCUUCCAAGGUCUCUCAUCUGAUCAUGCAUCCAAAAUCUAUCAUCAGCUAGAACCUUUAUCAUGCACCUCUGAGUAAGGACAUCAAUGGCAUCCUCUGGGCAAAAUGCACAAUCUUGCCACAUGUAUAUUGGACUAGUCUUAUUUUGACCGACGAAAAAGCAUGCAAUAUCGAGAAAUAUCUGCUUUUGAUUAAGAUAUAAGGCAUCAUAGCUAAUCCUUAACUUUGGCAAGACAUCAUCAUGAGGUGUUUUCCUUAGCUUCUCUAGCCACUCUUCCCAUAUUGCUUUCUCUUUUUCACAAAGGUAUGAGCCUAUUACUUCAAGAGCUAAAGGUAGUCCACUUGCAGUAUGGACAAUGCCUUUUGAAAGAUCAUAGUAAUUGGCCGGAGGAGAGUCGUCACCGAAGGCAUGUCUACUAAAAAGUCGAAGUGCAUCUUCAUUGCUUAACCUCCAUUUCAUAAUCCUUCCAUAUAUACUUAAAUUCCUUGGUAUUCAGAACGCUCUUGUCCCUAGUGGUAACAAGUAUCCUAGUACCACGAUACAAAGAAUUCACUCCAAUUAGAUUUUCUAUUUGGCUGCCCUUAUCAACAUCAUCCAACACAAUUAGCAUCUUCUUGUUGCAAAUUGUUUCUCCAAUUCUUUUCAUCCCAUGAUAAGUACUUUUGAUAUUUUGAUCCACUUUAAAAUAAGAGAUAUCGGACAAUAAUUUUUCCUGUAGCUUGACCAAGCCUUCUUUUUGUUUUGCCGUUUCCCUCACGUCAUCGAGAAAGCUGCAAUUUUUCCCAAAGCGAUGACAUAGUUUGUUAAAGAUAACAUUGGCGAGUGUUGUUUUACCGAUACCGCCCAUCCCGUAGAUUACAAUGAGCCGCACAUCUUCGGAGUCGACGUCUAAUAAUUUGUCUAUGGCUGUUAUACAAUCCUCCAUUCCAACAAAAUUUUUAGGCACUUGUCUUUGUCUCGUCUGUAGCCUGUCUAGAACCUCGUCAACAACCGCCUUGAUAAGAUCCCCAUGGUUGCUACAAAGUUAAACAAUUUCAAUUGAGAAAGGGUGACAAAUUUGCAUGCUAACUAACCAUAUACCACUUAACCAGCGGGAAUGCAAUCAAGUUUAGGAUAUACAAAAAUUUAACGUUACCCCCAAAGCUUCACGAACAUGACAAAUUACUAACUUGAACAUCCAUUACAAGUUUAAGUUAAAGAAAUAGAGGAAGAAAAAUGCUUGAUCUUUAUAUCAAGUAGAAGAAUCAAAAUUUCUGGCAAAAAGGAUACAAGAAUCAAAAUAUAGAUGUAGGAUGAAUUACUGUAAUAGUCGAUUUGCUUAAUUUUUUCAGCGUGGAAAAGAACCUCGCAGAGGCAACAAUUCCUUAACCAAGUUCGCUAGCAUACCAUAGGAAUCUUAAUACAUAUAUGGAUCAAAUUAGUAUAAAAAGAUGAAGCAAAGCCAAUUUUUUUAAUACAAUGGAAAAUAGGUGAAAAAUGAAAUUAUAAUAACCCUAUUAUGUUAGAAAAGAUUUGGAAAUCUCGUGAUUCAUAAAAAUAAAAGAACUAUGGCCCGAUUGUACAAAAUAAUUGUUAAAAAAUUUGGAACUUUUAAAAAAACUGAGUUUAAACUUUCUGUGAAAAUUUAAAGAAAUUAGAGUUGGAAUAUAAUUAAAGAAUUUUUAUAAGGACUAUGGCCCGAUUGUACAAAAUAAUUUUCAGUCAUAGUUAGAUUGUUACCCUGAAUAAUCCUUCAGCUUGAAUCCCUUGGUGUCACUAACUUCUUUGAGAGCUUGCCGCCAUGUCUUCACGUCCUCUGAGUUGUACUUCUUCUCCUCUGAGUUUUGCUUCUUCUCUUCCGCCAACUGUGACAGUGCUUCGUCGUACACCCCGACCCCGGUUUUCAGCUUCACAUCAUCGGGUUCCACAUCAUAGAAGAUGGGCAAGAUGACCUUCCCAUUUUCGUUCGAUUUAGAGUUCUCUAUUAUCUUGGCAAGCUCACGGAGGCACCAAUGACUUGACGCAUACCUUUUGGAGAAGAUGGGUAUGUACAGCUUGGAAUCAUUGAUCGCUUGCAGAAGGAUGUCGCUAAGUCUUUCACCUAGUCGAAUUGCCUCGUCAUCAAAGAAAACACAAAUCCCGGCAUCUACCAAGGCAUGUUUGAGGCAGUUGGUGAAUCCAUGACGAGUGUCAAGCCCUCUAAAAUUCAGGAACACCUCAUACUGACCUCCAAAUGUAUCGUUAGUGCUCGUUCCAGGUUUCGAGCUCACCAUAGGAGCUUACUUUGCACUUAGCAGAGUCAACCCUCUCUCUCUCUUAAUAGACACUACUGGAAUAUUUUUUCUAGGCAAAUUCGCACAGAGCCUUGCUGUUCUCUGAUGUGAAAAGCCUUUACUACAUUCUCAAUGUGAAAGACUUUCUCCACCAGAUGAUCCUCCCUUGGGAAUUCAGAAAAGGAGAACUAUUGCGUUACAUUAGAAAAAGGAGAAAAGGCUGUUUAUUAUAGAGACAUUUGUAUUGCGUCACUCAUGAGGUUUAAUCAAAAGUUAAACGCGUACAGGCAACUUCAGUGCAACUUCCAAUUUAUAGUCAAUAAAGUUGGUGGGUCUACAAUUAAUAAGGUGGAGGACAAUUAUAGAUAUGUACCUUUUAACACGCCCAAUUUCUUUCUAGUUUAUUCUUCGUGCUUUUUCACUCUUUGCUUUUGAACUUUUGGAUUUAAAAAAUUUUGAUUCUCAAACAAUUAUUAUUCUAUAGACAUAUCUAUAGUUGGACAUAUUUAAAAUCCCAAUCUAGUAAUGUAAAUUCACAAUUUAUCUAUGUAAAUGGAUAAUAACAAAAUAUUCUUAAUAGGACUCUGCAUAAUUAGAAAAAUCUCCUUCAUAUUACUGAGAAUUGGAUUUGCCGCAUUCACUGCAAAAAAUGCUCCAUCUAAACACUACCAAGCAUAUGCGUCCUGCUCACUGCCACAUAUUUGUUUUGAUCUCAUCACCUUAAAAGACUUACUUUUUUUAUUAUAAUUAAUUUUAACCUCUUAAAUAUUAUCAUAAAAUGUGACUUUGUAUUAUAAAGCAAAUGAUUGCUCAAAUCUUUGACUUUUGCGCAAAUGGACUACCUCUUGGUGAGGAAAUGCAAUGAUGGCCUAUCAAUGGCCACGAUACCACUCAUCAUGGUGUUGCUUUGAGCGUGGAAAAGGGAAGGAAACCAUGAUUGUCUUGACCAUAAGAGGUGACUUUGCUCAGCGGAAGAAAAGGAAAAAGACAAAGGAAAGUUAAAAUGACGGUGUCUUUUCAUGUUGGCCACUCGUUGUUUCCCUUUUCUCUAUUUGGUUAUGCUGAAUUUCCCGUUUAGAUACCAAGAGGAAGAGCUCUUAAUGUCACAGAGUGCUCCGAAGGCUGCACAGAGCAUAUUGAAAAGCGUGCUGAAAGUUCCUCUUGAUCACACCAAAUAUUUCUUUUCUGAAGCCUAUUAAAUCUUUGUUAAGAUUUGUAUCAUUUCUUUAAGAGAUUGAAAAGAUUAUUAUGAGAGAAAUUUUAAAACCUAAACAUUGUGAGUUAUUGAAUAUAAUUAGAAGCUGAAAACCACCGAAAGUAUUUAAAUGACUCGAGUAUGAUUAUAACUUUCCAUAUAUAUAUAUAUAAUGGAAUCUUGUGCUGCUCUCCUUGUAGAUGUAAACACACGACUAAAUCAUAUAAAUCUAGUGUCCAAUUCAUUUUCUUGUUUUGUGCAUUUUAUUCAAUUGCUUUUUUUUUUUCCAAAAGGGAAUAUGGUGUGAAACCAAAGUAAAAGAUAUUCAAUAUGACCAGCAUUAGGCAUUCAUGAAUAAAUGCAUGAAAAAGUAUAUUUUAUUUUCUUAAGAUAUCAAUCAAUAUUUAUAAGCUUAAACUUGUGGUUAAUGAUAGAAUUUGUCCCAUCGCCUGCUUAACAUUAACUCUGAUCAUGAGGAUGAGAUUCAAUGCAAUCUACACGACCCGUUUCUUCUAAUGUCCCUUUGACAAUGCAUAGUGAUGUUCUUUUAUUGCCAUUUUCUCCGUUAAAUUGCGCUAGCCUGUGUGUAACUUUCACUUUGCCUCCUUCAUUUUCCAUGAUUUUAUGGUCAAAUAUAUUUUAUUUAUUUAGUUUUGAACGCGACAUAUCAAGAAAAUCAUAAAUUUGCAACUACAAUCUUGACAUAUUAAGUAUGUCUGUUUUGCAUGAUUCGACAUAGAUUUCAUGACAUUUGUUAGCAAUACAUUUCUUUGUUAGCAUGAUUUAACAUAAAUCAUUGUCAUAUUUCAUCUCUUAAAUAAUUUUUUUCGUGAGAAAUUGAAAAUCAUUAUGAACAUUAUUCUUCGAAUUUUGAGCCGUUGUAGUAGAAGUAGUGAAGAUCAGAUAGAGCCUAGCCGCAAGUAUUUAUAUUUUGGUUUGUUUUAUUUAUAUUUGUUUUUCGUGGCGUUAUUAGUUGCUUUGACAUGUUGACUAAAUAGGCGCACUGUACGAAGUCUUCGAGAAGAUGACUUGUCCACAUUUAUUUUAUCUCAUUGAUAACAAUAGUAUCUAAAUCAUUCGACUCAAUUAAUACCGAUUUAUGCACGCAAAUCACUCCAUUCACGUGCAUUAGGUUAGCUCCAUUCACAAGAUGUUUAAGGAGACACUAGGGGGUAAUGACUAAUGAGUAAAGGACACUGAUCAAAUUUGAACAAAAUGUUGCUCCAAAAAUAGCAUUCAAAAUACACAUAAUGCAUUCAUGACUGUUUUUACGAACCCAACUUUUCACAAAUUAUGUUUAAAACAACAAUCCUUCCAAAGAUAUGGCAAUCGGAUCAUAACUAUGGUCAUCUUUGAUGCACGACUUUCUACAACUUAGCAACACCUUUUGAAUAUGCUAUGAACAUGUACAUCCUAUGCUUUCAAGCCAUUGCCUCAAACGAUUGGAAUACAUAAAAUACGUUAAUGCUUGCUUUUUAGUAAAUUGGAAGAUCAUGCGAUAUCAUAUUACAAGAUCCCCAAAAGAUGCCAACAUGCCAUUCUUUGAAAUCACGUUUUUACCUUUUAAUUAAUGACGCAUGCUGCAUACAACUUCAAUAAAUCCGAAAGGUUUUAGGCAUGUGGAAAUUGAUGUUAUUGAACAAUUAGUUUUUGGACCUAUUUCUUCAAUAGCUAAAGGUAGUCAAUACGUGGUAUAGACAAUGCCUUUGAGAGUGUGUAGUAAUUGGCUGGAGGAGAGUUGUCGUCGAAGGCAUGCCUCAUUGUUCGUCAAAUUUCUGCCACUCUUUUGUAUUGGACAAUUCAAUAAUAAUAACAUUAUAUUCAUUAAUGGGAGCUUUUAUUACAUUCCUAAUGCGAAAAGCUUCUCCACCGUGUCAUCCUCCUUUAGAAAUUUACAGAAGAAGAACCAAGACGUUACAUGAGAAAAGGAGAAAGGAGUGUCUAUUACGAGAAAUAAACAAUGAAAUUCUUGAUUUGAAUGCCCGAAGUCCAAUGCCACUUUCUUUACCGAGAGACAUCAUUUUGGACGUUUGUAUCGCGUGACUCACGCGAUUCAAUUGAAACUUAUGAAUGACAACUUCACAGCAGUUGUGGCUAUCAAUUUAUAGUCAAUAAAGUUAAAUCUUUAGAAAAAAUGAAAUGGAGGACAAUAAUGGAGGUUUACCUUUUUACAAGCCCAAUUUCUUUCGAGUUCCUUUUAUUAGAGCUAACAUUAUCACCUAGAAAGGGGUGAAUAGUGAUUAUAAACAAUAAAAGCGGAGUUUAAAACAACCAAAUUCAAUAUCAUGAAAGAACAAAAUCUGACGAAAAACUUUGCAGUGAUUAGAUUUUCUGCAACGCCUGAUAAAAAAUAUACAAUAAUCAAACUUUACUAUGUAUAAUAAAUAGGAUAAAUGAGAGGUUAAAGGAUAGAGAAAAUUGUACACAACAAUUAUAGUGAUUCAGCUUAUGAUAACCCUACAUUCACUCUCCCAUGCUACGACCUAUUGGUUGGAUUCUGCUAUGAAGAACUAAUAAGAGGUUACAUGAUAUGAGCUCUAAACACUCAAGUUCAUGUGGAUAACUCCUCACACUCUCAAUUUCUAAAUGAUUAUACAAUGAUACUCAUAGAGACGAAUGUAUUUGACCGCAAAACACUCUUCAGACUUUGGAAUUAUAAGUUUUGAUCCUCUUGUGUUGCGUUUUUCCUUUUAGCUUUGAGACCUCCUUUUAUACUUCUCCCAAACCAAGCUAACCAUUAGACAUAUAUCCAAAAAAAUUAUCCAGCCAAUCUACCCGUUGGUCUAGAUCUCGUUAAGAAUGUUUGAUCACUUCAAGGACACCGAGAAUAAAGCUUCCCAUAGAUUCUAUCGCCCAUACAGUAGUUUGGGUUUUUAUAAGUCGAGUGCUUCAACUUGGAAAGAAUGUUUCGCCUCAAGUAUAUUGUUCUAGGAAAUCUAAAUCUUCGAUAAAUACUUUCCUUUGGAACUUCUUAUUUAUAAGACAAGGAAUCCAAUCAAUCGUCACUAACCGUUACAUGGCGAUAUUGUCUCAUUCCUAGCUAUUUGACAGAGUACAUAAGAAAGGAAAUAAUUAAGUCAUGAUUCUGGUUUUGAUUGAUAUCGUCUGAUCAUAUCCCAUCAGACUUUGAGCCGGAAAAAUACUCAUCGUCAGAAUUAAAGUUUUUAUACCAAAUAAGUUUUUUCAAUCUUCAAAAUCAAUUUGAUAAAUUUUCUCAACAAUCUCCCAUUUUUUUAUGAUGACAAAACUUUCCGAGCAGAACUUAACAAAAGAUUUUAAAAAGAUUUAGCAAUCAAAUAACUCUAUUGAAAGCAAGAUUUUAGAUAAGGCACAAUGUGAAUUCUAUAAGAACUUUGCUGAUUUUGUAAAGAUAAGUACAAGCUUCUUACAGAAUAUUGAGCUAAUUAGAGUUAAUAAGAUUUGUAAAGAAAUUCCUUGAUUUGUAAAGAAAUUCCUUACUCUGAUUAAGGAAGUUCAAGAUAAGAAUAGAUUCAAGAAAACUUCCUAUUUUUAUAUAGCUCCCCCUGAGCAUGAUCACAAAAGAUCUUCAUCUGCAUAUAGUGUUUUGCUUUUCUUGCAUUUUCUCUCCCUUUUUGUCAACAUCACAAAAUAGACAAUAAUAAUGGAAGGAGUAUCACAUAGAGAAUAUGCUAUUCAACUCAUCUUCACAUACAAUGUUCGAAACAUAUUUAGCAUGAAACACAAUUUUCAUAAACAUCUUAUAGAUGCUACGGUGAACAUAAAAUAAGUGCAAUAUAGCUCAUGUUCUUAUAGAAUCAAAUACCAUAUACAUAAGUAAAUAUAUAUAUAUAUAUAUGGAAAUAUGAGAUUAUAAUGACAAAAGGUAAGUGAAGUAAGAAAUAUACUAACCAGAUCAUGUAGAAUUUAGCAAGUUCCAAUAUACAUUAUCUUUUCUUCCAUAAUCAAGACGAGGCAAAAGUUAAAUUGACUUAAUCAGGAUUUUCUCACACUUGAUUUACACUCCUUUUCAAUUUAAUGCCUGUAUGAGAUGAUCACAAUUCUUCUCCUUUACCGGGCAUCCACUUUCUCCUUUAAUAAUUUGCACAAAUUUUGUGCUUGGAGGAGAAUUUUCGAUCCUUCAAAAAUGGUGCCGAAUCUUCAUGAUUUUUCGGAUCAAAUUUUCCAAAUUUAAUAUGGAAAGAUUCUUUUGGCACCAGCAAUUUCUUGUAAAAGAGACAGCAAUAUUUGCAAAAUAUAGAGAAUAUCAUGUACUUUCCUUCCUUCGAUUCACGGAUCAAUUUUGCCAAUUAUAAUAUAUGCUUCUAACAUAUAAAAACAAGCAUUAAUUUUUUUCAAGAUUAAAAAAGAUUCUAAUGUUUAAAAGAACAUCUGAUUUUCAAAUGUCUAAAUCAUUUAUAAUUAUUCUAUAGCUAUGGUUAAACAUAUUUAUAUAGAUACAAAUGGAAUUUAUCUAUAUAUAUGCAUAAUAAGAAAAUAGUCCUAUAGAAAAUUUUAAGUUUAAGUGCAUUUAUUUCAAGUGAGUAGUUCGUUUUUUUUUUUUUUGGUAAAGAUGAGUAGUUCGUUGUUCGUCAAAUUUUAACUUUUUUUUUUUUUUGGAUUGGACAUUUUAGCAAUAAUAACAUUACAUUCAAUAAUGUAAAAAGCUUCGCCAUUAUAUCAUCCUCCUUUAGAAAUUUACAAAAGAAGAACAAGCGCAUUACAUUAAGAAAAGGAGAAAAGGCUGUUUAUUGUGAGAUAUGACGACAAAGUCCUUGAUUUGAACACCCGUAAUCCGAUGCCACUUUCGUUAAUGAGAGACAUCAUUUUGAACGUAUGUACCGCAUGACUCGCGAGAUUUAAUUGAAAGUGAUGGAUAGGCAACUUCCCAGCAGCUGCAGCUUUUAAUUAAUAGUGAAUGAAGUUUUUUGUUUUUUUUUUUUGCAACAAUAGUGAAUGAAGUUGAUGGCUUCAGAAAAAACCAGAUGGAGGAGAGAUGUACCACUUUUUUUGGUCGGCCGAGAUGUACAAUUAUGGAGAUGUACCGUUUCACACGCCCAAUAUCUUUCGCCUUUCUUCUUGGUGCCUUUGAACUUUUGAAUUAAAAAAAAAAAAAACUCCAAUUUUCAAAUGUUUAAAUCAUUUAUAAUUAUUCUAUAGCUAUAUCUAUAAUCAAACAUAUUUAUAUAGAUAAAAUCACAAUCUAUAUAAAUGUAUAACAACAAAAUAUUCCUAAAGAAUAUCUCUCAUUAUGGCAUAUGAGACUUUGGAUAAUUAGAAGAUUUUCCUUUAAACUAUUGAGAUUGGAUUUGCUACAUUCACCAUAAAAAUGCUCCACCUAAGCACUACCUAACAGUAUGCUUACUACUCACUAUGACGUAUUUGUUUUGAUCUCUUCCCCUUAAAGACUUACUUUUUAUCAUAAUUAAUUACCUUCAACCCCACAAAUAUUGCAAUAUAUUUGCCUUUAUAUUGAAAAGCAAAUCUUUUACAACACUUAUUGUCUUAUUGAAAACUAUUAGAAUGUGAGCAUGAUAUAAUUAGUGUGGUUUGGACAUCGGCCAAAUCUAAUUAUAUAAAUAUUGAAAUAUAUCUCAAGUCGGAGCCGAAUUAAAACCGGAUCGAAAGGGACUUAUCGACACUCGUCCUCUAAUCAAGAGUGGUGAGAGGAAAUGCAAUGAUGGCCUGUCCAUGGUGUUGCUUUGAGCGUCGACAGAAAGAGAGACCGUCCUGGUCUUGACCAUAAGAGACGACUUUGCUCAGCUGAAGAAAGGGAAAAGAGAGAAUGAUGAUGGCCACCGCCGAUACGAGACAAAAGGGGAAGGAAAACGACGAAGAAAGUUGCAAUCAUGGUGUCAUUUAACGAUGGCCGCUCAUUGUUUCCUUUCUUCUUUAUUUGCUUCUUGUGUAUUUUCUCUCUGAAUACGAAGAGGAAGAGCUCUUAAUGAGAGCUCCGAGGGCCGCACAACGAGAUUGAAAAUUUCCUCUUUAAAGUUUUGAUUCAAAAAGUUUUUCUCUGUGAAAUCACACAAAAUGAAGUCAAUUAAAUAUCGUGUUAAUGUUCAGGUCAAUCUUUUAUGAGAUUGAAAUAUUAUUUCGAGAGAAAUUAUGAAGGUUAAAUAUAGAAUUAUUAGUUGUAUUUGAGGGAUAAAAACACAAAUUAUAUUUGAGUAACUCAAGUAUUAUUAUAAUCUCCAUUGCAUUGUAAUUUCAUGGUUUUCAUUUCCUCAUGGAUGUAGGUCACAUAACCGAACCACAUAUAUUUAGUGUUUGAUUUAUUUCCUUAUUUUGCAUUUUUAUUCAAGCACUUGUUUUAUUUCCAACAAUAAAUAUGGUUUGAAGAAAAGUGAAACCAAAUUAAACCAUAUUAUAGUCAAGAUCAAACCAAGCCAAACCAUUUUAUGUGGUUUGAUUCAGCUUAAUCGUUCUUUCUGCUUUUUUUUUUUUUUUACCUCUUCAUCAUAUGUAAUUUCAUGAUUAAAAAAAAAAACCAGAUUCUAUGCCACAACCCUCCCUGAGGAAGUUACCGAAUUACCAAGUAAGCAUGAAUGGUCCCUUUUGCAAGGUGACGCUUGCUCUUGGCAGGAUCAAUCACAACUUGGUUUCUAUUAAUUAUUUCAUUUGCUCAGGAGUGGCCAUUAAUUUUUUACAAACUGAUUAGGAGUCAAGUAAAACGCAAGAGCCCAUUUUACUUCUACAAACCAGAGAUUUGUGGGUCUAACGACUUGAUUAGGCUGGAUAUGUAAUGCGCAAUUAUUCAUGCGGUCUUCCCAAUCUUAGUUACCCAUUUUGUUCUCAAUAUUGAGGGAAGCAGGCGAUCAGGCAUGAAUUCACUCAAGCAAACACAAAUAAAAUUCAAUAAUACUGAAACAAAUAGAGCAAAUAAAAGGUACGAAAAUAAAGAAAUUGAGCCGUAUUACAAAGAAAAAUAAAAUAAAAUCAAUACAAAGCUUUGUUCUUAAGUUCCAAGAUAGGACCCCUUGAGCUAUAAAUAGAAACUCGAUGUUAGAUCUCCAACUAUGGCUCCAAACCGGAAAGUAAGGGCCUGUUUGUUUGUAUUCUUUUUUUGUUGUCAUGAACAUAAUUUUUGUUUUUUUGUUCCGAGCAAUAAAAAAAUAACAGAAAUGCGUUUUUUUACAUUUUUGUUCCAAAUCUAUAUUUUUUGUUUCCGGGAACAAAUUUGGAACAGAAAUAAGAAACAACAAAAACUUGUUUCUUAUUCUCGGAACACUUCUAAGAAACAAAUUUUCUCUCUCCUACUUUUUUCUUCUCUUUCCUUUAUUAUUCAUUUCUUCUUCUUUUUUCUUUGGCUAGUCGCCAGCCUCGGCCAUGGCUGGUGACGCCGUCGAGGGCCAGCGACCUUGCCGGAGCGUCGUCGGCCCCUAGCGACGCUUGGCCUCACCUUGGUUGGGCGAGCUUAGCCUCGCUGGAUCUGGGUGAGCUUGAGGUCGCCCAAAUCCGUUGAGGCCGAGCCUCGCUGUGGCUAAGCGAGGCCACCAGCCCUCGUCAACUAGUCGCCGACCAUGGCUGAGGCCGGUGACUAGCCAAAAGGAAGAAAAAAGAAAAAAAAAAGAGAAAAGGAAAAAGAAAAUAAAAAUAAAAAUAUUUAAAAAUUAAAAGAAACAAAAAAAUUAUACAAGUUUACCAAACGUGUUUUUGUUCUUUUUCUAUUCCAAGACCAAAAAUUUUGUGCAGUUACCAAACGAGUUAUUCUAUUCAAAAAUUGUUCCCCGGAACAAAAAUAAUUUUUCUACUAUUCCCUAGAACAAUUUUUAAACAGAAACAUUACCAAACACGCCCUAAAUAAAAUGAUACUUCAUUAAUAUCCACUAUAUAAACUACUUUCCUAAAAUGAACAAUUACUUCAAAACGUAAAAUCUACUCAAUGCAAUGUUAAGAAAACAAAAUUUAUUUAUGAAUAUGCAUUACUGGUAAAAUACACUCCUAGAUUUUUUUUUUUUAAUGAAUAUGCAGUUUAUCUUUCCACUUUUUUUUUUCUUUUUUGCAUUUCCCCCUUCUUUAUAUAUAUACACACAUUUAUAAGUGAAACAAAAUUUGACUACGUGUUGAAAUAAAUAUGAACUAGAAUCUAUAUGCCAAAAUAAUAUGUAAUAUAAAUCCGGAUUUUCAUGAAAAUUUGCACUACGUUCACUUGGAUUUUUUUUUUCUUUGGAAACGCUCAAUUAGAAUUUCAACCUUAAAAUUGCAUCAAGAACGACUUAGUGCACACGAGAAAAUAAAGAAAACUAAAGUGACAUAAUGCUAUGAAUUAGAGCCAAACUAAUCCACACUAUGUGAAAAUCAACGGUGGAUGAAUAAGGGCCUCUUUGGCAACGUGCCAAAUAGUGCUUGAUUAUGAUUUUUUGUUUUCAGAAUCAGUUUGGGACGAGAAUUGCGUUUGGUAAAAUUUUUGUUCCCGGGAAUAGAUUGGGAAGAGAAUUGAGAAUAAAAAAAAUAUGAUUCUCUGUCCGAGAAUCAAAAAAAGAAUCAAAACAGUAAAAAUCUCCUUCUUCCCUUCCAACAUCCUGCGUCGUCCACCAUCGCCUGCCGCCGCCCGUCGCCCACUGCUGCCGCUGCCGCCGCCGCCUACCGCUGGUCGCCGUCCAUCGGUCCGGUGAGCUCGCCAGGCCAGGGCGAGGUCUAGCGAGCUCGCCGGAGGCAAGCCUCACUAGUGGCUAGGCGGGCCUUGCCCAGCCUCGGCGAGGCCGGCCUAGUCACCGGCAAGGCUCGACCAACGAGGGCCGACCUUGCCGAGGGCCGGCAACGCCCCGGUGAGCAUCGUCAGCCCUCGUCUGGCCGUCGCCAGAUCGGCGACCGGCCACGUGAAGAAGAAGAUAGAAAAAAGGGGGAAAAAAAAAGAAAAGAAGAAAAGAAAAAAAAAAGGAAAAAAGAAAAGGAAAGAAAGUAAAAAAAGUAUUUAAAAAUUAAAAGAAAUAAAUUCGGAACAUAAUCAAUUAGCACGGUAUAAAACACAAUUAUAUUCCAGAAUAAAAAAUUUUGGACAGUUACCAAACGCGUUCUUUUACUCAUAAUUAGUUCCCGAGAAUAAAAUAAAAAAUAAUCAUUUUUAGUCAGAAUCAGCUCUCGGGAAUAUAAUUGUUACCAAACGCGCCCUAAAUCGAUAAAAAUAACCAAUUUUCUCUCUACCGCUUUUUUUAGGGUGCAGUUUAGCUUACCGUCCUCUGUCAAAUGAUGGAGUGACAGUCAACUAAUGACACAAAAUUCGCAUAGAUUCCAUCUUUUACCCUUUUUUUUUGAAUUUUAUGUUUUCUUAUUGCUAGCUUAAAUUGAGAGAUAAAAUCAUAAGAGGACCCAUACAAUCAAUUUUCAUGAGUAUUAUGAAAGAAAAGAUAAAUUAGAUACUGAAAUAUAAAUAAUUAGAAGUAAAAAAUAUUGUCAUCCACUAAAAAGAAAUCAUUCAUUUCAUUAUGUAGAUCUAUUAAAUUUAAAAGAUGAAAAAACACUUGAAUUGUUGGCUUUACAACUAAUAACAAAAUUAUUGUGCAAUGAAUUGGCUUCUCAAUCCUGUCGCCAAAAUCAAAUUGCUCUGGAAGGACUCUCCAAUAACCUAAAAUCAAGACGAGUAAUGUUAAUUACACAUAAAACAAAUGAAGUAAAGAAAAGAACAAAAUAAGAAUAAUGAAUUAGUAGAGAAGAAACUUUACUCCACUAAUCCAAAUCUCGUAGAUGAAGAUGAGUUGGGACCUAAAAUAUUACAAAAUCAAUCUUAGGAUCACACGAGUGAAAACUAAGUCAAAAUGAUUUUUGAUCAAUUUUUAUAAAUAUUUUAUCUAAUAUAGCUUCAAUGUUUGGUUUGUUGAGAAGAUUCACAUAACCACGUGAUAUGACCAUAUGUCAUUUUACAUAGAUAAAAAGUCAAUUUAUAGGAAGGCAUUUUAAAUAAAAUAAUAAUAAUACGUAUAAGUAACUAUUGAAAACCAUCAAUUCUUUCCUGAUUGCAAAUCAGAUUUCAAGAAUAGUUAUGGUACCUCAUAUCAUCCAAAUUACCAAUUAUAUUUUGGUAUCUAAUUUAUUUUUUCUUUCAUCAUAUUCAUGAAAAUUGAUUGCGUGGGUCCUCUUACGAUUUUAUCUCCUAAUUUAAGCUUAAAAUAACAAAACAUAAAAAGGGGUAAAAGAUGGAUUUCAACCGGUCUCCAUCCAAAAUGUGUGGUUCUCAACUGACCGUCACUCCAUCAUUUGAAGGAGUGAUGGUCAGCUAAGCCUUUUCCACAUUUUAACUAGAGGUAUGCCUGCAUAAAAGUUAAGUGCGUCUUCAUUGCUCAACCCAACCCACCAAUUCUUAAUCCUUGCAUAUAUACUUAAGUCUCUUGUCCCCUAGAGGCAACAAGUAUCCUAGUACCAAUAUAUAAAGAAUUCACUCCAAUUAAUUUUUGGAUAUGGUUGUCCUCAUCGACGUCAUCCAAUACAAUUAGCAUCUAUCAAUGUUAUCAAUGUCACAAGUCACUCUAGAAUAACAUAUAUCAAAAAAUAAUUUUUCUUGUGGCAUGACUAGGCCCUUGGUUUUUAGCAUUUCCCUUGUGUCAACAAGAAAGUUGCAGUUUUUCCCAAAGUGAGGAUAUAGCUAGUUGAAGAUAACAUUGGCAGGUGUUGUUUUGCUGAUGCUGCCCAACCCAUAGAUUCCAAUGAACUGCAUAUCGUCAAAAGCGAUGUCUGAUAAAUUGUAUAUGGCUGCUAUUCAAUCCUCCAUUCCAACUCAAUCUUUGGUUAGUUGCCUUUGUCUUGUCUUCACCUUGACCACAAUCUCAUUAACAACCGACGUGAUAAGAUUCCCAUAGCUGCCACAAUGUCAAACAGUAUUAAUUGAGAAAAAGUGACAAAUUUCCAUGUUGACAAACUAUUUACAUAUAUCAGAACUUGAAUUAGCCUCAAUUUAUUUCGAAUGCGUAGCUCUUAUAUUUCUAUUAGAUUGCACAUUUCAGAAACAAUAAUGACAUUUCAUUCAUUAAUGGGAAGAGCUCUUGUUACAUUCUUAAUAUGAAAAGCUUCUCCACCAGAUCAUCCUUCUCAAAACAUUUACAAAAGAAGAACCAACGCAUAACAUUAGAAAAGGAGAAAAGGAUGUUUAUUAUGAGAAAUAAAUGAUGAAAUUCUUGAUUUGAAUGCCCGAAGUCGGGUGCCACUUUCUUUAGUGAGAGACAUCAUUUUGGACAUUUGUAUCACGUGACUCACGUAAUUCAAUUGAAACUUACGAACAGACACCUUCACAGCAGUUGCAGAUUUCAAUUUACGGUCAAUAAAGUGGAUGGCUUAAGAGAAAAUGAGAUGGAGGACCAUUAUGGAGGUCUACCUUUUCACAAGCCCAAUUUCUUUGGAGUUUCUUCUUAGUGCAUUUGAACUUUUGAAUUUAUGACCAUUUUUUUAAUUAAAAAAAUCUGAUUUUCAAACGUUUAAAUCAUUUAUAAUUAGUUUAUAGCUAUAUCUAUGGUUAAACAUAUUUAUAUAGAUAAAAACGGAAUUUAUCCAUAUAAAUGCAUAAUAAAAGAUAUUCCUAAAGAAAAGUUUAAGUUAAAUGCGUUUAUUUCAAGUGAGUGAUUCAUUGUUAGUCAAAUUUCCGCUGUUUUUUUUUUUUUUGGACAUUUUAGCAAUAAUAACAUUACAUUUCAUUAAUGGGAAGAGCUUCUCCACCGUAUCAUCCUCCUUCAGAAAUUUACAAAAGAAGAGCAAGCGCGUUACAUCUUAAAGGAGAAAAGGCUGUUUAUUGUGAGAUAUGAUGACAAAAUUCUUGAUUUGAACACCCGAAGCCCGAUGCCAGUUUCAGUAGUGAUAGACAUCAUUUUGGACUUUUGUAUUGCGUGACUCAUGAGAUUUAAUGAAAGUACGACAGCACUUGACAGUAGCCGUAGCUUCAUAAAAAAUCAGAUGGAGGACAAUUAUAGAAGAUGUUACCAGUUUUUUGGUCGGUUGAAUACAAUAAUGGAGAAUGUACCCAUUUCACCACGUCUUUCCGCCUUUCUUCUUGGUGCCUUUGAACUUUUGAAUUAAAAAAAAAAAAAAAUCUGAUUUUGGGCGUGGAAAGAAAGAGAGGCCGUGCUCGUCUUGACCAUAAGAGGACGACUUUGCUUGGCCGAAGAAAGGGAAAAAGACAGACUGAUAAUGGCCACUGCUGACAUCGGACAGUACAGAAGGGAAACGAAAACGACGAAGAAAGUUGCAGUAAUGGUGUCUUUAAACGAUGGCCAGUCAUUGUUUCCUUUCUUCUUCUUUAUUUUCUUCUAGUGAAUUUUCUCUUUAAAUUCGAAGAGGAAGGGCUCUUAAUGAGAGCUCCGAGGACUGCACAGAGGAGAUUGAAAAUUUCCUCUUAAGGGUUUGAUUCAAAAAAGUUCUCUUCGUGAAGUUAGUCAAAAUCGAAGCUGAUUAAAUCUUGUGUUAAUAUUCAAAUUGAGAUAUUAUUUCAAAAGAAAUUAUGAGGGUAAAAAACAUAGAGUUAUUAGUUGUACUUAAGGGAUAAAAACACUAAGGAUAUCUGAGUGACUUGAAUAAAAUUAUAAUCUUCGUUGCAUUGUAAUUUUAUCUAUAAUGGAAUUGUGUGCUCCUUUUCUCGUGAACGUAGAUCACACAAUCAAAUUACGUAAAUUUGAUAGCCGAUUUAUUUUAUUAUUUUGUAUAUUUUAUUCAAUCACUUGUUUUAUUUUAAUAAUAAAUAUGGUUUGAAGAAAAGAGGAACCAGGCUAGACUGUAUUAUAGUUAAAGAUCAAACCAAGCCAGACCAUUUUUUUUUUUUUGGGUUUGAUUUGGCUUAAUCUUUCUUUCUUCUCUAGUUUUCCUCUUCAUCAUUUGUAAUUUUAUGAGAAAAAAAACCAAAUUCCAUGUCACGAAACUUCCAAAGCGAGAUCCCCGAGGAAGUUGCUGGAUCACCAAUCAAGCACAAAUGGCCCCUUUGCGAGGUGAUGCUUGCCCUUGGCACGAUCAAUCUCAACUUGUUUCAAUUAAUUAUUUUGCUUGAUUGAGAGUCACCAAUAACUUUUUAUGAACCAAUUAGGAGUCAAGUAAAAUGCAAGAGUCCGUCUUACUUCUGGAAACAUGAGAUUUGUGAGUCCAGAAACUUGAUUACGCAAGAUAUAUCUCAAGCCCAAUGUUGCAUACUUUCUCUUUCUAUUAAAACAAUUAUUCAUGUGGUCUUCCCAAUCUUAGUUACCCAUUUUAUUCUCAAUGUUGAGAAAGGCAGGCGAUCAUGCAUAAAUUCACUCAAGCAAACACGUAUAAAAUCCACUAAUACUGAGACAAAUAGAGCAAAAAAAAGGUAGGAAAAUAAAGGACCCAACCCGUAUCAGGGAAAAAAAUCAAUAAAAGCCUUGUUAUAAGGUUCCGGGACAUGCCCCUGGAGCUAUUAAUAGAAACUCAGUGUAAAAUCUCCAAAAUAAACUAUGGCUUAAAACCAGAAAGUAAAUAACUGAUACCUCAUGAAUAUAUAUAAACUACUUUCCCAAAAAGAAGUAUUACAUCAAGAAAUAAAAUCUACUUAAUGCUAUAUAAAGUGCAAUGCAAUGUUUAGAAAACAAAAUCUAUUUAUGAUUAUGCAUGAUUCCUAAAUUAUCCUCCUAGAUGUAUAUAUAUAUAUAUAUAUAUUUAUUUAUAUUUUAUAAAUAAAAUCUAUCUGUUUUUUUGCUUUUUCACAUUAACCCCUUCAAUAUAUAUUAUAAUGAAACGAAAUUAAACUAAAAAAUAACUAAGUGCCGAGAUAAAUUUGAACUAGAAACUAGAUACCAAAAUAAUAUGUUAUAUAAACCCAGAUUUUCGUGAAAAUUUGCACUAUGUUGCGUUGGAAUUUCAACCUAAACUUCUUGUGGGAACGAGCUAAUAAACACCAGAAAAUAAAGAGAACUAAAGCGAUAUAAUGCUAUGAAUUAAAGCAAAACCAUUCCACAAUAUGCGAAAUCAAGGGUGGAUGAGUACAUCUAUACGAAUUGCCGAAAUAAAAUAUUCAUUAAAAAAAAAUUCUACGCUGUUACAGGUCUGAAGUGUUAAAAUUGAAUCACAUCAUGUAGAUUAUUUAUAUUUCCAUGUUUAUGUUUGCUGAGACACGAGGAACAAUCAACAUGAACUAACACAAAAAUCCACGCAGGUUCUUGAUUUUAUUUCCUUUCUUCUUUCGUCUUUCUUUUCACACGUGCAGCAUAAUUCCUUUUCACUUGUGCUGGUCGGAUAAGGCUGUCGCAUAUUUCCCUCUUGGUCUAGCCCAUGAAAGGGAGCCAGGGUCGUGCGGCUUGGACUCGGAAGUUCAAAUAAAUUCAUGGCACAUUUUGCGUGUUGGGAUACACUCAANNNNNNNNNNNNNNNNNNNNNNNNNNNNNNNNNNNNNNNNNNNNNNNNNNNNNNNNNNNNNNNNNNNNNNNNNNNNNNNNNNNNNNNNNNNNNNNNNNNNNNNNNNNNNNNNNNNNNNNNNNNNNNNNNNNNNNNNNNNNNNNNNNNNNNNNNNNNNNNNNNNNNNNNNNNNNNNNNNNNNNNNNNNNNNNNNNNNNNNNNNNNNNNNNNNNNNNNNNNNNNNNNNNNNNNNNNNNNNNNNNNNNNNNNNNNNNNNNNNNNNNNNNNNNNNNNNNNNNNNNNNNNNNNNNNNNNNNNNNNNNNNNNNNNNNNNNNNNNNNNNNNNNNNNNNNNNNNNNNNNNNNNNNNNNNNNNNNNNNNNNNNNNNNNNNNNNNNNNNNNNNNNNNNNNNNNNNNNNNNNNNNNNNNNNNNNNNNNNNNNNNNNNNNNNNNNNAUUAAGGCAAGGCUGCCUCCAUCAAGAUGGAUAGGGAAAGCAACGCUAUCAACCCAUAGAUCCAAAUGCCGCGAGAAUCGAUCCAGGCAUACUGGUUCGAGACGAAGGCCCCCGGAUCGUGAACUGAAGCUUCAUGGAUAUCAUGAUUUUCUAGAUUACUUUAAAAAAGAUCAUACUUUCAAGAAUAUUUUUUACACAUCAUUGCAUACUUUCAAGCACAAACGGACAUGGCACAUGAAGUCAUGCCAGGGCAUAAAAUGACAAAGGAAUUUUCCUGAUGACAUCUCUAAAAAUAUCAUAAGUCGCAUAAGUAAUGUUAGGAAUUAUUUGAGAAUUGAAUUUAGAGGACGAAAUUGGAAAAUGUGGUACUGAAAGAGCGUUGUGGGAAGUCUAACCCCUCCCCGCACAUAAAUGAAUCCUUCGACAAUAAGUUUCAUUGGCUUUCGCAAAUGAUCAAUAUCACACGUGGACCUAGUUUCAAAUCAGCCUAACUUUUUAAAUUGAUUGGCAGUUACUCCAUCUCAUACUUAGUUGAGCGGACCGAAAAAAAAUAUUAUAUUCUUUUAUAUAAUAAUAGACCGUAAAAUCCAGCCAAUAAAAUGGGCCCAAAUUCUGUCCGCCCCAAAGCCUCUUAAGCUUUUGAUAUCCGAAACAAAAGAAGCCCUUCGUUCUUCAAGAAGAUCGAAGCCCGUUGCGAAAGGAAGCCAGCGGUCCAGCCGAGUUGGAAGACUCGGAAUCUUCAGUCGAGCGAAUAGCGUUUUCGGGUUUCCGAAUCGAACCCACGUCUUCAUUUUCACUCAAGUUCAUCUUUUUCGAUCGACCCGUAAGGUCUUCUGGAAACUUCUGCGUGUUUUCCGCUUUGAAUCGUCGCGCCAGAUGCUUCUGCUCUUCAAUUUGAUUCUUUUUUAUUCUGUUUUAAGUUAAUUUGCGUUGAUUUUCGUCGAUGUUGCGACUGUUUUUGCUGGUUAGAUCGUCUUUAACCUGGAGUUGUGCGGUUUCUAGCUCGGGUGGCUAGAAAAUAAGAAAGAUCUGCUUUGGUAAUCAAGAUAGAUAGUAGUGUAAGGAGGUGAAAUUGAGAUUUCAAAAAUGUUUUGUCGUGGUUGUUUUUGAGUCGUAAUUGCUGAUGGGUGUCUGUUGAAUUGCUUCAGUUGAAUUUGCUUGUUGGUCUAAAUGGCCUGCUUUCUUUGAAGUUUGAACUGGAGAUCAUUUUAUGCUUGAGUCGGAUAUUGGGAAUGUGAGUAAUUUGAGCAUGGACACAUCUUCUUCUAUUAGAAAUGGAGAUGAGCUUCUUUCCCACUUUUCAUUUUCAAUAUGCAUGCGAUUGUUCAAAACAAAGUUGAACAUAAUGUGUUGUUAAAUAUAUAGGAUCCUCAUGAUCCUUGAUGACCUCACAUAAUUUUGUAAUAGUAUAUAUUUUGCACUUGAGUUGCUGAGAUCUUACGUGGCAUGUGCAAGAUUUGAUUCCAUGUUCAAAGAUACGUGGUUUCUUAUUGACAGAUGGGGGAGCUCGCAGGCAAUAAACAUGUCAAGUAAAUAUUGUCCGUUGAAAAGGUAGGUAUGAAAUUUCACAAUCCUCUUCUUGUUUUCUUGUUCACUUCUUGCCAGUUACUGAAAAUGACUUGGCUUAUCUGGACUUGCUAUUCACAUUUCGGAGUUUACUGAUUUGAGGUUUUGGGUUGAUCUUGCGCUCAGAAAAAGGAUAGUUUUGAGUCGGUGGUUAUGGAGCACCUGAGAUUGAAUGGAGCAUAUUUGGGAUUGACCACUCUAGAUCUUCUUGAAAACUUGACACCGUGGAUUCAAAUGAAGUUGUUUUGUGGAUCCUGCAAUGCUAGCUUGAGUCUGGUUUGUAGUUAUUUAUCUCUUGGCUUCUUUCUUAAGUACCCAUGAAAAACAUGCAGUAUUUGAAAGAACGAUCAACAUUUUAGCUCGGGAUUAACAGAUUUCCUUUAUUACAAUAAUGACCACAUCUUAGGGGUCAUUAGUGUUGCUUUAUUCAUCUUUUAUUAUAGCUUCACUCUAAGGGACAAAGUGCAUGUCACCUACGGCUGCUUUUACAAGUGUCUUUGGUGGAAACACGGGACAUGUUCCGCAUCUGCUGUAUACGCUCAGUGCCGUGCAAGUUUUGGCCCCUUUUUGACAAGUUACAUGUUCUUGACAUCAACAAGGAGACAGAUUGUAUCCUUUGGAAUGAAGUAUCCUAAUUUGCCAAACUCUUACAUAGAUGCAAGUUCCUUGGUAUUAUUUUAUGUUUUUAUGUUUUCAACAUCAUGAGAGUAAUAAACUUACCUUAGGUUCUGUUUUUCAUGUAAGAGCUCAGAUUAUGUCAACUUUUUAAAUGUUGUAAAAUUUUGAUUAAGGUUACUUUAUAGUGUGAGUAUUGUUAGCCAAACAUUGAUGAGGAGGCUCUCUCUAUGUAGAUCGAAGUUGCUAUCGUUGGAUAAUCUCUGGUAUUAAAUGCUCUCCAUUGUUGUGCCUGAACAAUGAUUCAGACAUCAGAGCACUGCAAAACGAAGAUGGAUCUUUCCCUGGGGAUAUAUGGGGUGAAGUUGAUGCUCGGUUCCCUUCGAAGAUUCAGUAAAUGUGGAGAAGGCUAUAAGUUAUAUAGUGCGUUGCAAAACUUUGGAUGGCGGGUUUGGUUGCACUCCUGGUGUAGAGUCUCAUGAAGGGCAAAGUAUGUCAUAACCUUACGGCGGAGCUCUUUCGCUGGAUUCUAAUUUCUGAUUGGUGCUUAGUAAGUCAUGCAUUUGCUUAAAUACAUGGUGGUCUUCUAAUUAUGUUCCAAUGAACAUCCGAAGGAUAAGACCGAGUUGCCACCAUUUUAAGGCAUUCCUUAGGACUCAUCUUAGACGUGAGAAAGUAUACUGAUUCUGGAGGAGAAUAGGCAUAAAACAAUGAAGCACCGAGCAAGUAAAUUAACAUGCACAAGAGCCUGACCAAGCACCUUGCUUUACAAAGUGGCUCAUUUUUCUCUCUUCUUUCAAUUCAAAUAAUAAGAUAUUUGUAAAAUAGAGAACAGGAAUGCAGGAGCAAUCAUGAAGCGAUAAGAUUUGGUGUUCUUGCUUCAAUAGAUAACAAAGCCGCGUGUAUUUUGUUUAGCCAAUUGUCCAGUCGGUCACGUAGUAAAUUUGACCUGUGGAAUCCCCCGCCAUAUGCAACAGACCUCAAAUUACCAAUGGAAAAUACAACUACCGAAAAUAUACAUACACACACACACACACAUAUAUGUACAACUUGGAUAUCCCAUUCUAAUUAUGUGUGAUAAACCAAGAAGAGAAGCAUUGCUUGCUUCAUUUUCAAUCAUUGAGAGCUCCUCACAGGUGAUAGAGAGACAAUGGAUAUUCAUUAAUGCACCAUUAUCCAAACCUUAUAAUAUACUUACGGACAAACUCUUCAUGAGAAUAUGCUCAACAUCCUGUGUAGAAAGUUUUGUGCGCUUUUUAAUAACAUUCAUGGGAAUGGUUCGAUUCUUAAAUGAUCGGUUGCAAAUAUUUACAUCACCGUUCUCCAUCAAAGUGGUUUAAAAAAUUUUGAAGCUUUCUAAUCUCAAGUCAGCUCACCAAAUAGACAUAAUUCUUGUAAUACCCCAACUAGCAGAUGCACAACACACCGGCACAUGAUUCCACUUAAUCGAGCGGUCUACAAAAGCAUAGCAACAUAACUAGACCAGGCAUACAGACAGUCAAACAAAUGCAAGAAAGUAGACCCUUAUACAACUAUUAUCAUAUGAAGCUGGAGCUAGAGCUCGAGCUCAUGCUUAACUACACAGAGAAAAAUCACACGAUUACAUUCAACUAAACACCAACUACCACACCAAAAAAAAGAAAAAAUCAACUGACACAUCAAAAAAACACCAAAAAGAAAAUAUAUAUAUCAAAUGCCACACCACCCGUACCUGUUCUUCAGCGAUUAGCUAGUGAUCCGGAGCUUGAGUACGCCUUUGUAUUCCUUUCUUUCACGUUCUCGUGCGCACACCUUGGGCAAGCAUGCUUUUUGAGGAAUUGGAUAUGCGGUUAACAAAGCGCGCGAGUCGCACGUGCGGCACCAACCGCCGAAAAGUUGGAAAAACUAAGUCUUUCUUUUUUGAGUCUAUCUAAUUCCUUACAGAAAUGGUGAAUCCAUGAUCUGACCCAUAUCACGAUUCACUUCUUGUAAUCAUGACGUAAUACGGGAUGCGAGACCGAUAUUGAAUUUACUAGAACAUUGCAGUUCUGUAUUUAAAAAUGAGGGAAUGAGAAAAUUAGGAAGAAGGCGGUGCUUAAUCAUUAUGUUGUGUUCAAGUCCGACCAUGUCUCUAAUUAUUACUUUGCCUAAACUUUGUAUUAUUGACGUACUCAAACCGAUGAUUGUGCCCUCCACAUAGUAAAAUGAUGUCAAUGUACGUGAGAUAUAAUCCAUCUCUUAGGCAUUGGGAGAAAUGUUUCAUAGCGAUGCUAAAGUUUAGAUGACAAAUGCCAAAAACUUCCCACUUUUCUUUUACAAGUUAUCAUCUUGAUAUGUAACCUUACUGGAAAUCUCUUAACUUUAUCGUCUUUGAAUUUUUCUCUUUUUACAAUCAAAUUCUUGAACUAUGAUUUGUUCGUUCACAUUGGACCUUCCAUUAAAAGAAGAAAAAAAGUGCUUAUGUGACCGUCAAAUGCCAAAUUGACUCAAUGUGGCUCCUACGUCCUUAUUAGUAAGAUUAAAGAAAUAACAAAAUUAAAUUUUCUUCAUCGAGGAAAAUCUGGAGCAACGACACCACCGUGAGCCCGAGCCCACAAGCAAUUUGUUGAUAGUGUUCGAGUUUGAUGAGGGGAGGGAGGACAGAGGUUGGAACACUUUUCAAUAUAAGCCCGCCCGAUCGGCUUCGACUUUUGAAGCGGAGGCGUUGGCAUCUAGGGUGAGGUGGUGAUGGCUCGGAAUUGGGAGGCUCACCUUCGGCUCUCAUGGCUUUCUAAACGGUGUUGCGUCAAUUUCCAACAACAUUGAAGAGAUUGGAGAUGACUGGAAAUUCCACUCGUCUUUUUUUUCUCCUUUUUUUUUUUUUUUUAAGUCAGUCAUAUUUCGGGCCAAACCCAGCCCAAAAUUUUAAAAAAAUGCCUAUCCAAGAGGACUUGUUUAGGCCCCAACCUUUCAACCGGGCCUGAAGUUGAUCGGACGGGGCAUAUUUUUCAAUAAAAAAGCCACCCAUGUGCAACUAUACUUCCGAUUACUAGACGCCAAAGGAACUCACGAACUCAUUGCUACACCAUUCUUUAUCUGCGGUAAACAAACAAGCAUUCCUAUUCUGUAACAUAGAAAUGGCAACAAUUUAUUGCUUAUGCCCAUUCAUGAUGAAUAUUUUCCCCUAAAGUCAAUCAACUAACAUUAAAUUAACCCCAAUAACAACUAGUCACAAUAUUCCAGCAAUAUUAACCCUAAAGCAGUGAAGACAGUGCAGAAUAUUAAAGCAAGGGAAAACCAACACUCGUUCGUAAAAUUUUACGUGAAAAACACAAUACAAAAAAAAUCACGAGACCAGUCAAGAUCUUCCACUAAUCACCAAGAAUAACAUAAUACAUAAUAGUUCAUUUCAAAUAACAGAGCUAGAGGCUCUUCACAUUAACAAAAUAUUAUCACCACAAAGGUGGAUUAACAUAAAGAAGCAAGAAAGAUCUAACCGUUGCUAGACAAAAUCAGGAGACAAUUUGGAGAAGAUUUUAACAAACACAGCCAAUCAACUUGUAGAUCAUGGACUCACGAACAGCAUAUGAAAUUUCGGCCAAUUCCGACUAAGUUUUCUAUCAAAUUUAGACUGCUUCCUCUUCAAAGCAAAGCUCUCCGCCUCUUUUUUCUCUAUAACAACGAAUUGCUCAUCCCUCUCUUCUAAAUCAAGAACAUUCAGCCCUAUUUAUUCUUUUUCUUUUUUAUUUUAUUUAACAUGAUGAGAUGAGCCCCACAAGAGGUGGACCCAACCCAACAAACUUCCCCUUUACCUUAUGAAGAAGUUUCAUUAUGCUAGCGUUAUCUAUACAAGAAUCAAGUUUCACCAUUGGCAAGGUUUUACUCAUCAUAUUAGAUCCAUUAUCAUCAGUGUAGACUUUCUCAAGUAAGAAAAGUUUCUCAUCUAAUUUAUCUCGGAUCCAAUGACAAGGAUAAAGCAUCAGUCUGGGUAAAGCAACCAGAUGCAAUUCUAGUGAACAUCACUCUAUCUUCAGCGAUAUGACAUGGAUAAAGCAUCCCGCAUAAUGCUGUCUUGUAUUUGCACGAAUAGAUUUGAUCUUGUCGGGGGCAAGACCGCUCAUCUCUAACUAAUAACAGCAGCUACCAAAGAGUUUAUAUAUUUAGAGCAGUAUCAUGAUUCACUCUCUAAGGAUAAACACCCUCUAGAAAUGGAGAGAUCGGUUUCCUAUAUCUUCUUUAGUUCGCUUGCAAACCAUAAAUGGUGGAAGUUGAGAUCCAUGGAGUAACCUGACAAGCCUAAGUUUCGAGCCACUAAAACAUGUGUGCUUACAGUAUUGUCUCUUUUAUUACAUAACCUUUUGCUUUGAUGGGGCAUUUUUUCGAAACAUGCUAAAACCGACAUCAAAGGCACUUUUACAGCAAUAACAUCAGGUUAUAUUAGUGUCGUGUUUAUCCUAGACUAUGUUAAUACAGAGCUUCGAGGAAAUUGAUUGAAAUAUCGACCGACUAAAUUAAAGUUCAACGCCACCAAAUGCUAGGCUCUUAAGAAAUACUGCCCGGUAGAGAGACUUAUCGAUUAAGAAAUUUAACCAAAGCUCUCUCCAUUUUUCUUUUACAUCGACGGCAAGCUUAACAAUAAUAUAAAGUUUCAUUUAAUCAUAUUAUGUUAAAUAUUAUUUCCUAGCGACCAAAUGCAGCUAGUCAAAUUCAAAUGAAGAAUUCGAUAAUAAUCAUGCUCUGUUUGUUUCACAACAAAUAAAUAAUUUGGAAAGUAUUUUCCAAAAAAUAAUUACAUUGUAUCUCUUGAAAUAAUUAGUCAAUAAACAAUGUUUUCAUUAUUAAUAAUAAUUUUAUGUCCAAGCAUUUCGGUGAAUGAUGGAAAAAAUACCCUAUCAUUUAUUUUUAUAAGUGAUUGCAAGUGGUAUAAAUAAUAUAUAUAUAUAUUUUAUAUUUCAAAUCAUUUAUUUCUCGCGAAACAAGAAGAUAACGAAAUGAUAUUUACCCGAAGAAAAUGGGUAAUUGGGCCCAGUUAUCGUUGGCCCAAAAAUUCUCUUGGGCUAUAUGAAACCUUCGUCCCUCGUAAUCACGAAAGAAAGUCUCGUCUUUCAGUCGACUUGAGGAUCAUUUUUGGUUCUAAAUCGAGCUCAAACGUUCGUUUUCACUACUCAUCUUCGUUUUCAUCUAAGGUCUUCGGGGAGCUUCUGUGAGCGUUUUUCACUACUAAUCAUUGCACCGCCGCUUUUGUUCUUCAAUUUGAUAUCUAUUUUGCUCUUUUAAGCCAGUUUUCGUUGAUGUCGCGACUGUUUCUUGCUGAUUGGAUCGUCUUCGACCUGGGGCUGGAUGGUUUCUAGCUCGGGUAGCAAGAAAAUGUCGGAGAUCUCUUGUGGUGAUCGAGAUAGAUAGUAGUGUAAGAAGGUGAGAUGAAGAUUUAAGAAAUGUUGUGCCGUAGGUUUGUUCCAGCCGUAAUUGCGAAUGGGUGUCCGUGGAAUUACUUCCGUUGGACGUGCUUGUUUGUCUGUCUAAAUGGCGUGCUUUCUUUGAACUGGUGAUUAUUUUGUGCUUGAGUCAGAAAUUGGGAAUGCGAGCAAUUUGAGCAUGGACUCAUCUUCUCCAAUUGGGAAAAGAGAUGUCCCUAGUUCCCUUUCUUCCAUAUUAUUGUACAUGUGAUUGUUCCAAACAAAGUCUAACACAAUCUGUUGUUAAAUUUAUAGGAUCGUUACGAUCCUUGAUGACCUCACGAAAUUUUGUAAUGGGGCAUGCUUAAGAUUUGAUUCCGUGUUCAUUGAUAUGUAGCGUCUUACUGGAAGAUGGGCGAGCUCGCUGGCAAUGAAAAUCUCAAGUACAUGCUGUGUUGAAAAGGUCGGUAUGAAAUUUUUACUACUCUCUUCUUGUUCUCUUGUCCACUUUCUGCCAGUUACUGAAAAUGACUUGGUUUAUCUGGAUCUGCUACUAUUCAGCAUUUUGGAGUUUAUUGAUUUGAGUUUCUGGGUUUGAUCUUGCACUCGGAAAAAUGAUAGUUUUGAGUCAUUGAUUAUGGAGCACUUGAGAUUGAAUGGAGCAUUUUGGGGAUAGAACACUGUAGAUCUUCUUGGAAAACUUGGCACUGUGGAUUCAAAUGAAGUUGUUUCUUGGAUCCUGCAAUGCCAGCAUCUGUCUGGUUUGUAUUUAUUUGUCUCUCAGCUUCUUUUUCACGAUUACCCACCAAAAACAUGCGGCUGACAGAUCCUCCACUCCACAUUUAGUCAAGUAUUUCUCAUUUGACAGUAUGCUUAAGAUAUUAGCUUGGGAUUGACAAGUUCCAUCUAUUACAUUGAUGACCACAUCUUAGGAGUGAUUAGUAAUGCUUUAUUUAUUUAUAUUCUAAAACUUGACUCUAAAGAGCAAAGUGUGAAUGACACUUAGGGCUGCUUGUGCAGGUGGCUUUGGUGCCAAAUAUUGGACAUGAUCCGCAUCUGCUGGAUGCACUCAGGGCCGUGCAAGUACUGGCCCUUUAUGACAAGUUUGAUGUUUUUGACAUCAAUAAGGUGACAGAUUGUAUCCUUUGGAAUAAAGCGUCUUAGACUCUGUUUUGCAUGUAAAAGGUCAGAUUAUGUUAUGUUAUGGAAUUUUAUAGUGUGUAUAUUGCUAGCCAGACAUUGAUGGAGAUUGAAGUUGCUAACGUUGGAUUAUCUCUGGUAUCAAAUGUUCUACAUUGUUGUGCCUGAAUGAAGAUGAAUCUUUUUCUGGGGAUAUAUGCGGAGAAGUUGAUGCUUGGUGUAUUGUCCUCAUCUUUGAUCAAUUAUUAUUUUUGUGCUUCUUGAGGAUGUUUCUUAAAUAAUUGACAUCCCUUCACCCCUUUCUUCCCCUCGAAGGUUCUCUCAUUGUGCUAUAUGCUAUCUUGCGAUACUUAAAUGGUUGGAUUCGAUAUGUGGAGAAUGCUCAAUUGCAAAACUUUGGAUGGUGGGUUUGGUUGCAUUCCUGGUGCAGGGUCUCACCUGAAAUGAUAUCAUUGCACACAGCCUUCGCUUCCAUCUUGAUGGUAUAAUCACUGCGUAAACCACUGAUGUCUAUCUAAGAUAUCCCAAGACAACGCACUAAUGUCCUUCCUCUCUCAACUAAUCUAGCUGGUAGUAGUUAACAGUUGGAGAAAACCAUCUAGUCUAGCUAAAUCUACAGGGAACUAUUUGUUGCCAAAAUGCCAACUAAAAUUCCAGAAUCUCACCGUACUAUCACAAAAGGUAAAGAAACUUCAGAGUUGCCUAACUUAUUAUUAAACUACGAUCUUCACAAGACAAUGAUCUCCUUAGGAUUGGUAAGACUAUAGUCUCAUAUAAAUUGAAUACAAUUUAAUAUUGGUGACAGUGUAAUUCGAGAAUGUAAACUCGACCAUAAGGCAUACUUAUUGAAUUUCAUAAAUCAUCUGUUUCAAAUAAUUUUUCUUUGCAAUUCCCAGGAUCCAACAAUCUGCAGUUCAAGAAGUCUAGAUUCGGGAUCCAGCAGGUCCGCAAUUGAUGGCAAGUUUUCCAAUCUGAAUAACCUCAGGACUUAGUAAAGUAGUAAUUAGGAGAUUAACAGAACCGCUUAAAUACUCGAACGCUUUGCUAACUGAGCAAGUAAACACACUUCAAACGUGUAAAACGCGCAAUGAGCAACGAUUGCAAAAUGCAUUCUCGUAAGCAGCCACGGAGGGCCUCAAUGAAUUGCAGUUUUUUCCUCUCCUAGCUAAGCUAUAACGGAAGUUCCUCCUGACCACUGUCCUGCCCUUGAAUAAUAUAGAGCAAAUCUAGCAACCCAACCAAAUCCAGCAUGUCAUAACCUCAUGCUGAGCUCUUUCGCUGGUUUCUAAUAUGUGAUCGGUGCAUAGUAAGUCAUGUAUUUGCUUAAAUACAUGAUGGUCUUCUAAUUAUGCUCCAAUGAACACAUCCAAAAGAUAAAACCAAGUCGCCGCAGUUUUAAGACAUUCCUUAGGACUCAUCUUAGACAAGAGAAAGUACAAAGGAAUUGAUAAUUUCCAGUGGAGACUUAGGCAUAAAACAAUGAAGGACCAAGCAAGAAAAUUAAGAAGCACAAGAGCCUGAUCAAAUAUCUUUCAAUUCAAAUAAGAAGAUAUUUGCAAAACGGAGAACUGGAACGUGGGAGUAAUCGUGAAGCAAUAAGAUUUGGUGUUUCUACUUCAACGGAUAACAAAACCGUGUGUAUUUUGUGUAGCCAAUUGUCGAGUCGAUCACGUAGUAAAUUUGACCUGUGGAAUCCUCAACCAUAAGCAGCAGACCUCAAUAAAGCAAUGGAAACCACAACUACCCAAAACAUGAAAGAAAAAGAAAAGCUGGACAUCCCAUUUUAAUUCUACAUGAUGAACUAAGAAGAGAAGCACUCGUUGCUUCUUUUUCAAUCAUCAAGAGCUCCUCACAGGUAAUAGACAGCUCCCCACAGGUAAUAAAGAGACAGUGGAUACUCAUUAAAGCGACCAUGAACCAAACCUUAGAAUAUACUCACAGACGAACUCUUCAAGAGAAGAUGCUCAACAUCUUGCGCACAUGAUUACACUCAAUCGAGCAGUCCACGAAAGCAUAGUAACAUAACUAGACUAGGCAUACAGACCCUUAUACAACUAUUAGUAUAUGAAGCUAGAGCUAGAGCUCAAGCUCAUGCUUAAUAUUUAAAGAUAAAUCACACAAUUACAUUCAUCUAAACACCAACUGCCACACCAAAAAAAACACCCAAAAAAAAAAAAAAAAACCCAACUGCCCCCCACCACUCUUACCUGUUCUUCAGUGAUUAGCUAGUGAUCCAGAGCUCAGGCCCAUGACUCCCGCCACUGAUGAAAUUAAUGAAUGCACCAAAUUCCUCCAGCUGAGCGGCACUAAAGAAGAAAAUGUGCAAAAGAGUGAAAAGUGGCGCUAGAGAAGGACUUGAAGCUCACAGACCUGGAACUUGAAGCUCGUGAAGAAGGACUUGAAGCUUGUGGACGACGAAGAAAGAAGAGACGGUGGCAACCGACACGGCCAACGACGGACUUAAGUUUGCGAGGAGCGAGUAGCAUGGUGGAUGGAAUGACAGCGAAUUGCUUGUGCAGCGAGAGAGAUGAAGAAGAAAACAUGAAAAAGAACCCUAAUCCCAAUUCAAUCCAUCGUUCACGAAUAAUCAUCCAACUUUCUUUUCCCUUUUUGUUUUGCUGACUCUGUCUGCAGAAGGAAACGAUAAGGUGAGUUGAGGUGAGGUCUCUUGGGCCUAAAAGGCCCCCAAUCAUUAACCCUCAGUUCAGUUCUCCUCUCCCGUUAUCUCCCUCUGUCCCGUCUCCGACGCCGCUCGCCCUCAACGCCACCGCCGGACGCCGCUUGUCCCGCCGCUGGACGCCAAUCGCUCCGUGCUCGCCCCGCCCUUGCCUCCCUCGACGCUGUCACCCCCGCUCGCCUCGCCUCUCAGCCGCUGGACGCCGCUUGCCCUCGACGCCGCCGCUGGACGCUGCUCGAUCCCCCAGUGGACGCCUCUCGCCACUCGCCGCUGGAUCCCCCGGUGGACGCCGCUCGCCGCUCGCCCAAUCGCCCCUGACACCGCUCGCCCAGCUGCCCCCGACGCCGCUCGCCGCUCGCCCAGCCACCCUAACGCCGCUCGCCCGGUCACCCCUGACGCUGCUCGCCCCCGACGCCGCUCGCCCAGUCGCCCCCGACGCUGCUCGCCCCCGACGCCGCUUGCCCUCGACGCCGCCACUGGACGCUGCUCGAUCCCCCGGUGGACGCCUCUCGCCACUCGCCGCUGAAUCCCCCGGUGGACGCCGUUCGCCGCUCGCCCAAUCGCUGCCCCCGACGUCGCUCGCCGCUCGCCCAGCCGCNNNNNNNNNNNNNNNNNNNNNNNNNNNNNNNNNNNNNNNNNNNNNNNNNNNNNNNNNNNNNNNNNNNNNNNNNNNNNNNNNNNNNNNNNNNNNNNNNNNNNNNNNNNNNNNNNNNNNNNNNNNNNNNNNNNNNNNNNNNNNNNNNNNNNNNNNNNNNNNNNNNNNNNNNNNNNNNNNNNNNNNNNNNNNNNNNNNNNNNNNNNNNNNNNNNNNNNNNNNNNNNNNNNNNNNNNNNNNNNNNNNNNNNNNNNNNNNNNNNNNNNNNNNNNNNNNNNNNNNNNNNNNNNNNNNNNNNNNNNNNNNNNNNNNNNNNNNNNNNNNNNNNNNNNNNNNNNNNNNNNNNNNNNNNNNNNNNNNNNNNNNNNNNNNNNNNNNNNNNNNNNNNNNNNNNNNNNNNNNNNNNNNNNNNNNNNNNNNNNNNNNNNNNNNNNNNNNNNNNNNNNNNNNNNNNNNNNNNNNNNNNNNNNNNNNNNNNNNNNNNNNNNNNNNNNNNNNNNNNNNNNNNNNNNNNNNNNNNNNNNNNNNNNNNNNNNNNNNNNNNNNNNNNNNNNNNNNNNNNNNNNNNNNNNNNNNNNNNNNNNNNNNNNNNNNNNNNNNNNNNNNNNNNNNNNNNNNNNNNNNNNNNNNNNNNNNNNNNNNNNNNNNNNNNNNNNNNNNNNNNNNNNNNNNNNNNNNNNNNNNNNNNNNNNNNNNNNNNNNNNNNNNNNNNNNNNNNNNNNNNNNNNNNNNNNNNNNNNNNNNNNNNNNNNNNNNNNNNNNNNNNNNNNNNNNNNNNNNNNNNNNNNNNNNNNNNNNNNNNNNNNNNNNNNNNNNNNNNNNNNNNNNNNNNNNNNNNNNNNNNNNNNNNNNNNNNNNNNNNNNNNNNNNNNNNNNNNNNNNNNNNNNNNNNNNNNNNNNNNNNNNNNNNNNNNNNNNNNNNNNNNNNNNNNNNNNNNNNNNNNNNNNNNNNNNNNNNNNNNNNNNNNNNNNNNNNNNNNNNNNNNNNNNNNNNNNNNNNNNNNNNNNNNNNNNNNNNNNNNNNNNNNNNNNNNNNNNNNNNNNNNNNNNNNNNNNNNNNNNNNNNNNNNNNNNNNNNNNNNNNNNNNNNNNNNNNNNNNNNNNNNNNNNNNNNNNNNNNNNNNNNNNNNNNNNNNNNNNNNNNNNNNNNNNNNNNNNNNNNNNNNNNNNNNNNNNNNNNNNNNNNNNNNNNNNNNNNNNNNNNNNNNNNNNNNNNNNNNNNNNNNNNNNNNNNNNNNNNNNNNNNNNNNNNNNNNNNNNNNNNNNNNNNNNNNNNNNNNNNNNNNNNNNNNNNNNNNNNNNNNNNNNNNNNNNNNNNNNNNNNNNNNNNNNNNNNNNNNNNGAAUAUCAGAUGAGAGACGUUCUCAAAGAUUUCUGUGGCACUUCUGCACCAUUGUAGUCCCAAGUGCUUAUUGAUCUAACUUAAUGUUUUAUUUUCUUUUAAGUACCCCUUUCAACAUAUCAAAGAAAUUUGAUGGAGAAACAGUAACAGAGAUUGUCCGUCCCCACCUUGCAAGGAUUAGAUAUCGUGUUAAGAGAUUGCCUUGGUAUCUCAUUCUCCAUAUGCAGAGAUUUACGAUUUAUAUUUUAUAUUUUAUUUAUUAUUAUUAUUAUUAUUAUUAUUAUUACCAUUCUUAUUACCCUUAUUUUAUUUUUUUUGUGGAGAAGAACCCAACUCUAGUUAAAGCAGAAAUAGAAAGCAAGCAAAGCAGAAGAAACAACAAUGAUUAAUGAACAGAAAGAAGGCGCACCGUUUUCUGUAGAGGAUCCCCUGUUUCUGUUUCAGAGUUCGUUGUUUCAAUUUCAGAGCCCGGCGCUUGCUUUGUUCUGCUCAAAAUCUUCUCUCUGUAAGACUCCCAAGUGUGGAAAUAUUUAGUGUAGCCAAGUUCACUAUCGUCUUCACUAUCGUCGGAUGACUUCUCGCGUGGUAUGAGUAUCUCGCAAUUAUCUGGUUCUUUUGAGCUCAAUACAUCAAAAAUCAUUUCGAAUAUGCACCCACUAAUUUCCAAGGAACAUGAAGACUUUAGUUCGUAAAUGCCCUCAAUAACCUGCAGGCUGGGGCACUGGUCAAUCUUUAUCCGCAAGUUCUUCAAGUUUGACAAACUGCCUAAUCUUUUUAACGAAGAGCACCGGUAAAUGUCUAACCACUUCAAGUUCUUCAAGUUUGACAAACCGCCUAAGCUUUUUAACGAAGAGCACUCACGAAUGGAAAUUUCUUCCAAUAAUACGAAAGUAGAAUCAAAUUGAAUAUCCUGUACCUCAUGGGACUCCCACAGAUAGAAACUUUUAAGCAUCUUUCGGGAGCUUGGGAAAAGGAUCGCUUCCCUACAAUGAUCAGUCAACUCGGGAGCUUGUAGUUCACUGCACCCCCGCUCCUCCGGGUGACAAACCAUACUCUUGGAAGAUCUGCGGAUUUUUGAGCUCGAAGCAUCAAAAAUCCUUUCCAAUGAUCUGCACCUCCCAAUUUUCAACGAACGCAAAAACUUCAGUUCGUCAAUGCCCUCAACAACCUUCAAGCUCGGGCACUGGUCAAUCUCUAACUUCUUCAAGUUUUUCAAGCUUGACAAACCGCCUAAGCUUUUUAAUGAAGAGCACUCUUUAACUGAAAAUUUUUCCAAUGAUUCUAACAGAGAAACAAAUCGAAUAUCCUGUACCUCUGGGAACCCCGACAGACAGCAUUCUAUAAGCAUGUUUAGGGAGCUGGGGAAAAGGAAGGCUUCCCUCCAAUGAUCAAUCAGCUCAGAAGCUUGUAUUUUAUUGCACCCCGGCUCCUCCGGCUGACAAACCAAACUCUCGGAAGAUUUGCAGUCCUGAAUACGUGAUCUCUCCGACGAUUGUAAGACAUUGGGAGAUUGAACAUCUAGUUGCUCGUACGCCUUGCUUUCUCUCGAUAUUCCCAAACUUGUUGAAGGGAAUAUGGUCUCCUUUUCCAAUGGAGGAAGCCCAUCGAGUUGUACUUUUUUCCCUCUAGCUUCGUAAAGCCUUAAAACCAUCAAGUUUGACGGAAGUUGUUUGAAAGGGGGCAAGUCUAUUCCGUGCAGAAUAAGUUCCUUCAACAGAGAAAGGGAACACAACUGUGUAGUUGGGGCACGGACAUUUGGAAAGUGAAAGUACAGCUUCCUCAAUUUGGAUAACAUGCCAAUCCACUGCAAGUCGCAAGUUUGAAUUACACUUGAUUUGUCUCUAGAUUCAGAGCGAUCGGAUAGGUGCAGCUCAACUAGAUUAGUAAGGUAUAAGAGGUUAGGGACAGUCAGCAACGAAGUAGAACUUAGCCGUAGAGUGGUCAAACAUUUGGGGAGUUCUGGCAACUCUUGUAUCCCAUCGCAACCCAUCAAGCUUAGUGUUUGGAGUUGAUGAAACUUGCUGAUUGUACUGGGCAUUCCCGCAAUUGGUGUGCAUGACACAUUGAUAGAUGACAAGCUUGCUAGUCUACCAAUGGAAUUUGGUAAUCUUGUAAUUUUGGUGCCAGAUACAUCCAACGUCGUUAACGACUCUAAUUUCAAAACUGAGUCGGGGAGUUCAAUGAAGUCGUGACAACCCUCAAGAGAGAGGUGCCGCAGAUUAUGUAACUCUCCAAUUUGUUUUGGCAAUUUUCUAAGACGCCAACAUGACUCAAAACUCAAGUCAGUCAACCACCUCAGUUUUCCAAUAGAGCAAUCAAUUUCCUUCAAAGAAAAAAAAUCAAAAAUAGUCAACUUCUCUAAAACUAAGUUCUCGGGAAAGCUUGGCAUCUCAUGUAUCAAGUUAUUAUAACGAAUAGUGAGAACCUUCAAUUUCCUUGCCCCCUACAAAAGCCAACGAAACAUCAAGACGGACAAUAAAUAAAUAUGGAUUUGUGCUACUAAUGAGAAAAUAAGAUUAUAAAUCCAGCGGAUUUUGUCCUUCUUUGAAUGAGAAAAAUAGACUAAGAGGAAAACUGGCAUACCUUGAUUAGGCUCUCGAACGCAUCUUUUGUGAUAUCGAGCCCAAAAAGAUGCACCACAACCGCGUUUUCUAGAUGCAACAAAUUGGUUGCCUCCAAACGUUGAUUGGAUCGACAGCCAACUACUGCAUAAUUGUAACUCAAACUGAACCAUUUCAGCUUGGAAAGACAGCCCGUAAAGUCACCUUGGCAGAUUACCUUAUUCAUCAAGAGAAGCCGUAAACAUGGGAAACGCUUAAUUUGCUCUGAAGUGACAGUCAUACGAGGAUGAGUUAAACGAUUCCAUGACAAAUCGAGUGCUUCAACGCUGUUCUUGGUCUGCCAAUUCAAAGGAGAAGAAAAAACAAAACAGAAGAGUAGCUUCCGAAUCAAAAACGGGAAUCCUCAAUUAAGAAGAGGGUGUAAGAAAUUUUCUAGUCAAAUUUGGCCAUGCUUUACCUCUGUUGAUGUUAAUUCAGAAAUGAUGUCGUGUGUAUUCCACAAUCUAGUACGCUCAUUUUUGGCAAUUGCCCUUCCAAGAUCUCUAAAUUGAUCGUGCAUCCCAAAUCUAUCAUCGUUGAAAACCUUAAUCAUGCACCUCCUAGUAAGAACCUCGAUGGCAUCCUUUGGGCAAAACUCACAAUCUUUCCACAUGUACAUUGAAUUAGUCUUAUUGUGACCAAUGAAAAAGCAUGCAACAUCGAGGAAUAUCUGUUGUUGUUCCAGCUCUAAGGCAUCAUAGCUAAUCUUUAGCUUUCCCAAGACAUCUUUAUGAGGUGUCUUCUUUAGUUUCUCUAGCAUCUCUUCCCAUAUUUCUCUCUGUCUUUGAAAAAGCGAUGAACCUAUUGCUUCAAGAGCUAAAGGUAGUCCAUCUGUAGUAGAGACAAUGCUUUUUGAAAGAGUAUAGUAAUUGGCUAGAGGAGAGUUGUCGUCGAAUGCAUGCCUACAAAAAAGUUUGAGUGCGUCUUCGUCACUCAACCCCACCAUUUCAUAAUCCUUGAAUCCAUAUUUAGUUCCCCUGAUUUUCAAAACGCUGCUGUCCCUAGUAGUAACAAGUACUCUAGUACCAGGAUGCAAAGAUUUCUUUCCGAUUAGGUUUUGGAUCUGCUUGGCCUCAUCAACAUCAUCCAAUACAAUUAGCAUCUUCUUGUUGCAAAUUGUUUCUUCAAUCAUAUUGAUCCCAUGAUCAAUGUCGGAAAUGUUAGGAGCCACUCGAAAAUAAGAGACAUCGAACAAUAAUUUUUUUUGUAGCUCAACUAAGCCCUUGGUUUUUGCCGUUUCCCUCACGUCAUCAAGAAAGCUGCGGUUUCUCCCAAAGCAAUGAAGUAGUUGGUUGAAGAUAAUCUUGACAAGUGUUGUUUUACCGAUGCCACCCAUCCCAUAAAUUCCAAUGAACCGCACAUCAUUAGAAUCAAUGUCUAAUAAAUCUUUUAUGGUUACUAUAUGACCUUCCAUUCCAACUAAAUGUUCGGUUACAUGUUUCUGUCUUGUCUCGAGCCUGACCACAACCUCGUGAACAACCGCCUGGAUAAGUUUCGCAUAGCUGCCAACAAGUUGAGUAGUUUCAAUUGAGAAAAGGUGACAAAUUUGCAUGUUGACCAGCCAUCUACUAACCAACCAGGUGGGAACUCGAUCAAGUUUAGCAUAUAGAAGAGAAAUGUUUGAUCUUUGUAUCAAGUGGAAGAAUUAGAAUUUUUGGCCAAAAAGGGUAGAAGAAUCGAAAUAUAAAAAUCUAAUGAGUUACUAUAAUAGAAGAUUUAGUUAAAUAUAAAGUGGCCUGAUUGAACAAAAUAAUUUUCAGAGUAAUGGUUAGAUUGUUACCCAGAACAUUUCUCCAGCUCCCAUCCCUUGGUGCGACCAACUUCUUCGAGAGCUUGCUGCCAUGUCUUUAUAACCGUGGAGCUGAACUUAUUCUUCUGAUCCUCCAUCUUUUGCGCCAAAUUCGAUAUGGCAUCUUUGUACAACGGGGUUUUCAACUUCACGUCAUCGGGUUUCACGUCAUAGAAGAUGGGCAAUAUGACCUUCUCUUUCCCAUCUUCUUUAUAUUUAGAGGUGUUCUCCACCAUCUUCGCAAGCUCGUCGAGGCACCAGUGACUUGAAGCAUAAUCUUUGGAGAAGAUGGGUAUGUAGACCUUGGAAUUGUCAAUUGCUUGUAGAAGGUUGCCACUAAUUCUUUCACCUGGUCGAAGCCCUUCAUCAUCGAUGAAAACACUAAUCCCAGCAUUUACCAAGGCUAGGUAGAGGAUAUCGGCGAAUGUACGACGAGUAUCAGGCCCUCUAAAAUUCAAGAAGACCUGGUACUCACCUCCUGAUGGAUUGCUGGUGCUUGUUCCUGUCUCUGAGUUCACCAUCGAAGCUCACUUCGCACUUAGCAGGUUAGCCCUCUCACUUGGUCCUUGAGUUUGCCAUAUGACAUUUCACAUAUUUGAAUCCAAUCCAAUUUGCCGUCCAAAACGCGUAUAGGCAACUUCGUAGCAGGUGCAAUUUCCAGUUUGCAAUCAAUAAAGUCGAUGGCUUUAAAAAAGAAAAAUAAGGCAGAGGACAAUUAUGGAGGUGCCCCUUUUUAUACGCCCAAUUUCUUUCCAGUUUCCCCUUUGUGUUUUUGAACUUUUGGAUUAAAAAUAUUUGAUUCUUUAUAUCUAUAGUUAGGCAUAUUUAAAAUCCCAAUCUAGAAUUGUAAAAUGACAAUUUAUUUAUAUAGAGAAACAAAUUAUUCCUAAAGGAUCGCAUCUUAUUCUAAUACUUGGGACUGUAGAUAAUUAGAAAUAUCUCCUUCUUACUAUAGAGAUUGGAUUUGCUGCAUUCUCUACAACAAAUGCUCUACCUAAGCAUAUACGUACUACUUACUAUGAAAUAUUUGUUUUGAUCUCUUUGCCUUAAAGACUUCCUUUAAUUAUAAGUCAUUUCCUUUAACAACUCAAAUAUUCUCAUAAAAUGUGCCAUUAUAUUAAAAAGCAAAUGAUCAUUUAUUUUCUACUGAUGACUAUUAGAAUGUGAGCAUGGUGCAGUUAGUGUGCAUUGGACGUUAAACCAAAUCAAAUUAUAUAAAUAUGUUAGAAUAUAUUUCGAAUUUGAAAUUGUUGGAUGAAAUAGGACCAGAUGAGACUUAUGGAUGCUCCACCACUAUUCAAAAUUGGUGAGAGGAAAUGCAGUGAUGGCCUGUCAAUGGCCAUGAUGCCACUCCAUCCUGGUGUUGCUGUGAGCACGAAAGAAAGAAAAAGAAACCAUGAUGGUCUUGACCAUAAGAGAUGGCUUUGCUCACCUGAAGAAAGGGAAAACGAGAUCAAUGAUGGCCAUUGCCAAUAAUGGGCGGAAAGGGAAGAAGUCGAAGAAAGUGACGAGGACGAUGUCUUUUCAUGUUGGCCACUCGUUGUUUCCUUUCUUCUCUAUUUCGCUGAAUUUCCCCUUUAGAUACCAAGAGGAAGAGCUUUUAAUGUCACAGAGAACUCCGAAGCCUGCACAGAGCAUAUUGAAAAGCGUGCUGAAAGUUCCUCUUGAUCACACCAAAUAUUUCUUUUCUAAAGCCUAUUAAAUCUUUUGUUGAGAUUUGUAUCGUUUCUUUAAGAGAUUGAAAAAAUUAUUUUGAGAGAAAUUUUAAAAACUAAACAUUGUAUAGUUAUUGAGUAUAAUUAAAAACUGGAAACCACCAAGAGUAUUUAAAUGACUCGAGUGUGAUUAUAACUUUCAUUAUAUAUAUAUAUAUAUUUUUUAUCUAUAAUAGAAUCUUAUGCUGCUAUCCUUGUAGACGUAAACCACACAAUUAAAUCACAUAAAUCUAGUGUCCGAUUCAUUUUAUUGUUUUGUGCAUUUUAUUCAAUUGCUUUUUCUUUUUUCUUUUUUCAAAAGGGAAUAUGGUUUGAAGAAAAGUGAAACCAAAGUAAAAGAUAUUCAAUAUGACCAGCAUUAGGCAUUCAUGAACAAAUGCAUGAAAGAGUAUCUUUUAUUUUCUUAAGAUAUCGAUAAAUAUUUAUAACCUUAAACUUGUGGUUAGUGAUAGAAUUUGUCCCAUCGCCUGCUUAACAUUAACUCUGAUCAUGAGUACGAUAUUCAAUGCAAUCUACACGACCCGUUUCUUCUAAUGUCCCUUUGACAAUGCAUAGUGAUGUUCUUUUAUUGCCAUUUUCUCCGUUAAAUUGCGCUAGCCCGUGUGUUUCAGUUUGACUCCUUCAUUUUCCAUGACUUUACGGUCAAAUAUAUUUUAUUUAUUUAGUUUUGAACGCGAUAUAUCAAGAAAAUCAUAAAUUUGCAACUACAAUCUCGACAUAUUAAGUAUGUCUGUUUUGCAUGAUUUGACAUAGAUUUUCACGACAUUUGUUAAAGAUACAUUUUUUUGUUAGCAUGAUUUAACAUAUAUCGUUUUCAUAUUUCAUCUAUUAAAUAAGUUUUUGUUGAGAAAUUGAAAAUCAUUAUGAACAUUAUUCUUCAGAUUUUGAACCGUUGUAGUAGUAGUGAAGAUCAGAUAGAAGCUAGCCGCAAUUAUUUAUAUUUUGGUUUGUUUUAUUUAUAUUUGUUUUUCGUGGCGUUAUUAGUUGCUUUGACUUGUUGACUAAAUUGGAGCACUGUACGAAGUCUUCCAGAGGAUGACUUGUCCACAUUUAUUUUAUCUCAUUUAUAACACUACUAUCUAAAUCAUUCGACUCAAUUAAUACCGCUUUAUGCGUGCAAAUCACUCCAUUCACGUGCAUUCAGUUAGCUCCAUUCACAAGAUUGUUAAGGAGACAUCGGGGGUAAUGAGUAAAGGACACUGUGAUCAAAUUUGAACAAAACGUCGUUUCAAAAAUUGCAUUCAAAUUACACAUAAUGCAUUCAUGACGGUUUUUACAACAUUUCACUAAUUAUGUAUAAAACAACAAUCCUUCCAAAGAUAUGGCAAUCGGAUCAUAACUAUGGUCAAUAUUUGAUGCGCAACUUUCUACAACUCCGCAACACCUUUUGAAAAUGCUAUGAACAUGUACAUCUUAUGCUUUCAAGCCAUUGCCUCAAACGAUUGGAAUACAUGAAAGAUGUUAAUGCUUGCUUUUUAGUAAAUCGGAAGGUCAUGCGAUACCAUAUUACAAGAUCCCCAAAAGAUGCCAACAUGCCAUUCUUUGAAAUCAUGUUUUUACCUUUUAAUUAAUCAUGCAUGCUGCAUACAGCUUCAAUAAAUCCGAAAGGUUUUAGGCAUGUGAAAAUUGAUGUUAUCGGACGAUUAGCUUUUGGACCUAUUUCUUCAAUAGCUAAAGGUAGUCAAUAUGUGGUAUAGACAAUGCCUUUGAGAGUGUGUGGCUGGAGGAGAGUUGUUAUCGAAGGCAUUUCUACAAAAAAAGUUUAGAUGUGUUUAUUUUGAGUGCGCGCCUCAUUGUUCGUCAAAUUUCUGCCAUUCUUUUGUAUUGGACAAUUCAGUAAUAAUAACAUUACAUUCAUUAAUGGGAGCUUUUAUUACAUUCUUAAUGCGAAAAGCUUCUCCACCGUGUCAUCCUCCUUCAGAAAUUUACAGAAGAAGAAUCAAGGCAUUGCAUGAGAAAAGGAGAAAAGAAUGUCUAUUAUGAGAAAUAAACAAAGAAAUUCUUGAUUUGAAUGCGCGAAGUCCGGUGCCACUUUCUUUAGCGAGAGACAUCAUUUUGGACGUUUGUAUUGCGUGACUCACGUGAUUCAAUUGAAACUUAUGAACGACAACUUCAUAGCAGUUGCAGCUUUCAAUUUAUAGUCAAUAAAGUUGAUGGCUUUAGAAAAAACGAAAUGGAGGACAAUAAUGGAGGUGAACCUUUUUACAAGCCCAAUAUCUUUCGAGUUUCUUUGUUAGAGCUAACACUAUCACCUAAAAAAGGGUGAAUAGGUGAUUAUAAACAAUUAAAGCGGAGUUUAAAACAACCAAGUUCAAUAUCAUGAAAAACAAAAUCUAAUGAAAAACUUUGCAAUGAUCAGAUUGUCUCCAAAAUCUAAUGAAAUACUACACAAUAAUAAGACUUUACUAUGUGCAAUAAAUAGAAUAAAGGGAAAAUUCCAAAUAAGGACCCGAAGUGAACCAAUUUUCUCAAAUAAGGAUCCGAAAUGAACUUUGUGUCAGAUAAAGACCUAAAGUGGACCCAUUGUCUCAAAUAAAGACCCAAAGUGGUUGAAUCAAUUCCAAAUAAGGACCUAAGCUUGCUAGUCAACCAAAUAUUCGCUAACUAUCAAGCAUGUGACAUUUCCGACGAUUGGAGUUUGGGUAAUUUUGUCCAAAAAAAAAAUCUAGGGAAAAUUAACAAAUCAUAAAACAUAAACAAAAAAACCCUAGGUUUUCUAUGGUCUCCCUGUUCCUUGUACCCAUCCUCUGCAAAGUCAAAGACCGAGGUUCUCCCCAUUCCUUGUACCCAUCCUCUGCAAAGUCGAAGACCCAAAUUCUCUGCCGGUUGAGGCAUGAAUUCAAAAACAAGAACAAAACCAUAUCCUUCUUUCUUUGUUUGCGGAGACCCAAAUUCUCCGCCGAUCGAGCAAGGUGAGGAGCGACAAGAAUUGAGUCAUGACAAUGACCGGCUAGCGAUUUGGUUGAGGAGCAACGGGGGAGAAGAAAGAAGAAAAUGUAAACAUCUAAAUAAAUAACAUAAACUUAAUUAAUUUAGAAUUUUCCCUUUUUUCCAAUCACAAAUUUCUGACAAAAUUGCCCCUAUUUUAAUCGCUGAAAAAUGUCUGUCGGCGAGCUAAGGUCCUCAAUAGAGAUUAACUCGAGCACUUUGGGUCCUUAUAUGACACAAAAUUCACGUCGGGUCCUUAUUUGAAACAAUGGAUCCACUUCGGGUCUUUAUUUGACACAAAGUUCACUUUGGGUUCUUAUUUGAGAAAAUAGAUUCACUUCAGGUCCUUAUUUGGACUUUUCCCUAGAAUAAAUGAGUUAUUAAAGGAUAGAGAAAAUCGCACACAACAAUUAUAGUGGUUCGGCUUAUGAUAAAACUACAUUCACUCUCUCAUGCUACAACCUAUUGGUUGGAUUUCACUAUGAAUAACUAAUAAGAGGUUACAAGAUAUGAACUAUAAACACUCAAGUUCAUGCGUAUAACUCCUCACACACUCUCAACUUCUAAAUAAUUAUACAAUGAUACUCAUAGAGACAAAUGUAUUUGACCGCAAAACACUCUUUAGACUUUGGAAUUAUAAGUUUCGAUUCUCUUGUGUUGCGUUUUUCCUUUUAACUUCGAGACCUCCUUUUAUGCUUCUCCCAAACCAAGCUAACCAUUGGACAUAUAUCCAAAAAGAUUAUCUAGCCAAUCUACCUCUUGGCCUGGAUCUCAUUAAGAAUGUUUGAUCACUUUAAGGAUGCCAAGAAUAAAGCUUCUCAUAGAUUCUGCCGCUUAUACAGCAGUUUGGGUUUUCAUAAGUCAAGUGCUUCAACUUAGAAAGAAUGUUUCUUCUCAAGUAUAUCGUUCUAGGAAAGACGAAGAAUCCAAUCAAUCGCUGCUAACCUUUACAUGAGGAUAUUGUCUCAUUCUAGCUGUUUGAUAGAGUACAUAAGAAAGUCAUGACUCUGGUUUUGAUUGAUAUUGUCUACUCAUAUUCCAUUGGACUUUGCACUUGAAAAAUACUUAUCAUCAGAAUUGAAGUCUUUACGCUAGAUAAGUUUUGUCAAUCUUCAAAAUCAAUUUGGGAGAUUUUCUCAACAAUCUCCACUUUUUUAUGAUGUCAAAACUUUCCAAGUAGAACUUAAGAAAAGAUUUUAAAAAGAUUUAGUAAUCAAAUAGCUCUAUUGAAAGCAAUAUUUUAGAUAAGGCACAAUGUGAAUUUUAUAAGAACUUUGCUGAUUUUGUAAAGAUAAGUACAAACUUCUUACAGAAUAUUGAGCUUCAGAGUGAAUAAGAUUUGUAAGGAAAUUCCUUGAUUUGUGAAGAAAUUCCUUGCUCUGAUUAAGGAAGUUCAAGAUAAGAAUAGAUUCAAAGAACUUCCUUUUUUUUUAUAUAGCUCCUCCUGAGCAAGAUCACAAAAGAUCUUCAUCUACAUAUAGUGUUUUGCUUUUCUUGCAUUUUCUCUUUCUUUUUGUCAGCAUCACAAAAGAGACAAUAAUAAUGGAAGGAGUAUCACAUAGAGAAUAUGCUAUUCAGCUCAUCUUCACACACAAUCUUCAAAACAUAUUUAGCAUGAAACGAAAUUUUCAUAAACAUCUUAUAGAUGCUAUGGUGAACAUAAAAUAAUUGCAAUAUAGCUCAUGUUAUUAUAGAAUCAAAUACCAUAUACAUCAAUAUAUAUAUAUAUAUAUAUGAUAACAUAUGCAAUAUAUAAAUUUCAUAUACAUUUUUUGUCAUAGUAAAAUGAUAAUGGAAAUAUGAGAUUUAUAAUGACAAAAGGUAAGUGAAGUAAGAAAUAUACUAACCAGAUCAUGUAGAAUUUAGCAAGUUCUAAUAUACAUUAUAUUUUCUUCCAUAAUCAAGAGGAGGCAAAAAUUAAAUUGACUUAAUCAGGAUUUUCUCACACUUAAUUUACACUCCCUUUCAAUUUAAUGCCUUUAUGAGAUGAUCACGGUUCUUCUCCUUUAUUGUGCAUCCACUUUCUCAUUCUUUAAUAAAUUUAAUAAAUUUUGCGCCUAGAGGAGAAUUUUUGCUCCUUCGAAAAUGGUGUGGAAUCUUCGCGAUUUUUCUGAUCAAAUUUUCCAAAUUUUAGAUGGAAAGAUUAUUUGCCACCUGCAAUUUUUUUGUAAAAGAGAUAACAAUUUGCAAAAUAUAGAGAAUAUCACGUACUUUCCAUCCUUCAAUUUGCGGAUUAAUUUUGCCAGUUAGAAGAUAUGCUUCUUACAUAUAAAAGCACACAUUAAUUUCUUUCAAGAUUAAAAAGAUUAUAUUGUUUAAAAGAAAAUCUGAUUUUCAAAUGUUUAAAUCAUUUAUAAUUAUUCUGUAGCAAUGGUUAAACAUAUUUAUAUAGAUACAAAUGGAAUUUAUCUGUAUAAAUGCAUAAUAAGAAAAUAGUCCUAUAGAAAAGUUUAAGUUUAAGUGCAUUUAUUUCAAGUGAGAAGUUCGUUGUUCGUCAAAUUUUAACUAUUUUUUUGGAUUGGACAUUUUAGCAAUAAUAACAUUACAUUCAUUAAUGGGAAGAGCUUUUAUUACAUUCUUAAUGUGAAAAGCUUCUCCACCAUAUUAUCUUCCUUUAGAAAUUUACAAAAGAAGAACAAGCCCAUUACAUUAAAAAAGGAGAAAAGGCUGUUUGUUGUAAGAUAUGACGACAAAAUUCUUGAUUUGAACACCCAAAGUCCGAUGCCACUUUCGUUAAUGAGAGACAUCAUUUUGGAUGUUUGUAUCGCGUGACUCGUGAGAUUUAAUUAAAAGUGAGGAACAGGCAACUUCCCAGCAGUUGCGGCUUUUUAUAAAUAGUGAAUGAAGUUGAUGGGUUCAGAAAAAACCAGAUGGAGGACAAUUAUGGAGAUGAACCACUUUUUUCAGUCGGUCGAGAUGUGCAAUUAUGGAGAUGUACCAUUUCACACGCCCAAUAUCUUUCGCCUUUCUUCUUGGUGCCUUUGAACUUUUGAAUUAAAAAAAAAAUCCAAUUUUCAAAUGUUUAAAUGAUUUAUAAUUAUUCUAUAGCUAUAUCUAUAAUUAAACAUAUUUAUAUAGAUAAGAUCACAAUCUAUAGAAAUGUAUAAUAACAAAAUAUUCCUAAAGAAUAUCUCUCAUUAUGACAUAUGAGACUUUGGACAAUUAGAAGAUUUUCCUUCAAACUAUUGAGAUUGGAUUUGCUACAAUCACCGCAAAAAUGGUCCACCUAAGCACUACCUAACAGUAUGCUUACUACUCACUAUGACGUAUUUGUUUUGAUCUCUUCUCCUUAAAGACUUACUUUUUAUCAUAAUUAAUUACCUUCAACCCCACAAAUAUUGCAAUAUAUGUGCCUUUAUUUUGAAAAGCAAAUCUUUUACAACACUUAUUAUCUUAUUGAAAACUAUUAGAAUGUGAGCAUGAUAUAAUUAGUGUGGUUGGACAUCAGCCAAACCUAAUUAUAUAAACAUUGAAAUAUAUCUCAAGUCGGAGCCGAAUUAAAACCGGAUCGAAAGGGACUUAUCGACGCUCGUCCUCUAAUCAAGAGUGGUGAGAGGAAAUGCAAUGAUGGCCUGUCUAUGACCAUGAUGCCUGUCUAUGACCAUGAUGCCAUCCCAUCAUGGCGUUGCUUCGAGAGUCGAUAGAAAGAGAGACCGUCCUGGUCUUGACCAUAAGAGACGACUUUGCUCAGCCGAAGAAAGGGCAAAGAGAGAAUGAUGAUGGCCACCGCUGACACGAGACAAAAGGGGAAGGAAAACGACGAAGAAAGUUGCGAUAAUGGUGUCAUUUAACGAUGGCCACUCAUUGUUUCCUUUCUUCUUUAUUUGCUUCUAGUGAAUUUUCUCUGUGAAUACGAAGAGGAAGAGCUCUUAAUGAGAGCUCCAAGGACUGCACAACGAGAUUAAAAAUUUCCUCUUAAAAGUUUUGAUUUAAAAAGGUUUUCUUUGUGAAAUUACACAAAAUGAAGUCAAUUAAAUCUUGUGUUAACGUUUAGGUCAAUCUUUUUAUGCGAUUGAAAUAUUAUUUUGAGAGAAAUUAUGAGGGUUAAAUAUAGAGUUAAUAGUCAUAUUUGAGGGAUAAAAAUACAAAUAAUAUUUAAGUAACUCAAGUAUUAUUAUAAUCUCCAUUGCAUUGUAAUUUCAUGGUUUUCAUUUCCUCAUGGACGUAGGUCACAUAACCGAACCAUGCAAAUUUAGUGUUUGAUUCAUUUCCUUGUUUUACAUUUUUAUUCAAGCACUUGUUUUAUUUCCAACAAUAAAUAUGGUUUGAAGAAAAGUGAAAUCAAAUUAAACCGUAUUAUAGUCAAGAUCAAACCAAGCCAAACCAUUUUAUGUGGCUUGAUUCGGCUUAAUCGUUCUUUUUGCUUUUAUUUUACCUCUUCAUCAUAUGUAAUUUCAUGUUAAAAAAAAACAAAAAACAAAUUCUAUCCCACAACCCUUCCGAGGCGAGAUCCCUGAGGAAGUUACCGAAUUACCAAGUAAGCAUGAAUGGUCCCUUUUGCAAGGUGACGCUUGCUCUUGGCAGGAUCAAUCUCAACUUGGUUUCUAUUAAUUAUUUCAUUUGCUCAAGAGUCGCCAUUAAUUUUUUAUAAACCGAUUAGGAGUCAAGUAAAACACAAGAGCUUGUUUUACUUCUACAAACAAGAGAUUUGUGGGUCUAACGACUUGAUUAGGCUGGAUAUGUAAUGUGCAAUUAUUCAUGCGAUCUUCCCAUCUUAGUUACCCAUUUUGUUCUCAAUAUCGAGGGAAGAAGGCGAUCAUGCAUGAAAUCACUCAAGCAAACACAAAUAAAAUCCAAUAAUACUGAAACAAAUAGAGCAAAUAAAAGGUAUGAAAAUAAAAAAAUUGAGCCGUAUUGCAAAAAAAAUAAAACAAAAUCAAUACAAAGCUUUGUUCUUAAGCUCCAAUAUAGGACCCCUUGAGCUAUAAAUAGAAACUCGAUGUUAGAUCUCCAACUAUGGCUCCAAACCGGAAAGUCAAUAAAUGAUACUUCAUGAAUAUCCACUAUAUAAACUACUUUUCUAAAAUGUGGCUAAUCACUAAAAAUUGGCUGCGAACUCAAACCUUACUCCUUUCUCAUGGAAGAAUCGAGUUUUCAGUGUGCGCCUUCUGCAGUUCCGUUCCUGAUUCCGUUGACCACUUGUUUUUUGAAUGUGAGACCUCCACAACUCUUGCAUAUUUUUGGGCUUCCAGGUGUAAUCUUCCUUGGAGGAAUAGGAUGUAGGUGGAUAACUUGGCUUGGGCGUUAAAAUUCCUAACUGGAAAGGAUUUCUUUCAUAGUAUUGCACGUUUCUCUUUUGGGGCCAUGUGCCACCUUAUCUGGAAGAAGAUGAAUUCCAUCAUUUUUCGGGGAGAUUCAUUGGUGAUCCUAGCUAUGAAAAAUCACCUAAUCAAGAUUGUCAAGGACAAGGCUCUUAUGUUUAAUAAUGCUCCACCUACUCCAAGAAACAAAAGACUCCAGAGAAGCUGGGGAUUCGAUCCCUCCGUGUUUGAAUCAGCUACAUCUUCCUAACACCCCUCCAUUCUUCGCCUUUUGAUUGAGGGUCGACGGUCUGGUUUGUCGUAGUUUGUAGUGCUGUGGGUUGUUUAGCUUGUUCUUUUUGCCUUUGUAUCUUUUGAUUUGGCUCCCUCUCACUCUCCCUGUUUUCCCGCACCUAGAGUGUGAGCUUUGGCUCCGAAUUCUUGUAUUUUUUUCCUUUGCUUAAUAUAUUCUUACCCUUUACCAAAAAAAAAAAAACUACUUUCCUAAAAUGAACAAUUACUUCAAAACGUAAAAUCUACUCAAUGCAAUUUAUAUGCAUUAUUGGUAAAAUACACUCCUAGAUGUUUUUUUUUUUUAAAUUUUAUUUUAUGAAUAUGCAGUUUAUCUUUCCAUUUGUUUUUUUUUUCUUUUUUGCAUUUCCCCCUUCUUUAUAUACACACACACACAUAUAUAAGUGAAACAAAAUUUGAUUACGUGUUGAAAUAAAUAUGAACUAGAAUCUAUAUGCCAAAAUAAUAUGUAAUAUAAAUCCGGAUUUUCAUGAAAAUUUGCACUACGUUCACUUGGAAUUUUUUUUCUUUGGAAACGCUCAAUUGGAAUUUCAACCUUAAAAUUGCAUCAAGAACGACUUAGUGCACACGAGAAAAUAAAGAAAACUAAAGUGACAUAAUGCUAUGAAUUAGAGCCAAACUAAUCCACACUAUGCGAAAAUCAACGGUGGAUGAAUAAAUCUAUACGAAUAACCAAUUUUCUCUCUACCGCUUUUUUUAGGGCGCAGUUUAGCUAACCGUCCUCUGUCAAAUGACAGUCAACUAAUGACCACACAAUUCGCAUGGAUUCCAUCUUUUACCCUUUUUUUUUAGUUUUAUGUUUUCUUAUUGCAAGCUUAAAUUGAGAGAUAAAAUCAUAAGAGGGCCCAUACAAUCAAUUUUCAUGAAUAUUAUGAAAGAAAAAAUAAAUUAGAUAUCGAAAUAUAAAUAAUUAGAAGUAAAAAAUAUUGUCAUCCACUAAAAAGAAAUCAUUCAUUUCAUUAUGUAGAUUUAUUAAAUUUAAAAGAUGAAAAAACACUUGAAUUGUUGGCUUUGCAACUAAUAACAAAAUUAUUGUGCAAUGAAUUGGCUUCUCAAUCCUGUCACCAAAAUCAAAUUGCUUUGGAAGGACUCUCCGAUGACCUAAAAUUAAGACGAGUAAUGUUAAUUACGCAUAAAACAAAUGAAGUAAAGAAAAAGAACAAAAUAAGAAUAAUGAAUUAGUAGAGAAGAAAAUUUACCCCAUUGAUCCAAAUCUCGUAGAUGAAGAUGAUUUGGGACCUAAAAUAUUACAAAAUCAAUCUUAGGAUCACACGAGUGAAAAGUAAGCCGAAAUGAUUUUUGAUCAAUUUUUAUAAAUAAUUUACCUAAUAUAGCUUCAAUGUUUGGUUCGUUGAGAAGAUUCACAUAACCAUGAGAUAUGACCAUAUAUCAUUUUAUAUAGAUAAAAAGUCAAUUUAUAGGAAGGUAUUUUAAAUAAAAUAAUAAUAAUACGUAUCAGCCACUAUUGAAAACCCUCGAUUCUUUCCUGAUUGCAAAUCAAAUUUCAAGAAUAGUUAUGGUAACUCAUAUGAUCCAAAUUACCAAUUAUAUUUUGGUAUCUAAUUUAUUUUUUCUUUUAUCAUAUUCAUGAAAAUUGAUUGCGUGGGCCCUCUUACGAUUUUAUCUCCUAAUUUAAGCUUACAAUAACGAAACAUAAAAAAAGGGUAAAAGAUGGAUUUCAACCGGUUUCCAUCCAAAAUGUGUGGUUCUCAACUGACCGUCACUCCAUCAUUUGAAGGAGUGAUGGUCAGCUAAGCCUUUUCCACAUUUUAACUAGGGGCAUGCCUACAUAAAAGUUAAGUGCGUCUUCAUUGCUCAACCCAACCCACCAAUUCUGAGAAAAGUGACACAUUUGCAUGUGGACAAACCAUUUACGUAUAUCAAAGCCCAAAUCUUUCUCAUUUAUUUCGAAUUCAUUUGCAUUGCACAUUGUAGAAACAAUAACAUCACAUUCAUUAAUUUGAAGAAUUUUAUUACAUUCAUAUUGUGAAAAGUUUCUCCACCAGAUCAUCCUCCUUUAGAAAUUUAUAAAAGAAGAACAAGUUCGUUUCAUUAGAAAAGAAGAAGAGGAUGUUUAUUGUAAGUUAUAUAUGAUGAAAUUCUUGAUGUGAACACCUGAAUUUAAAUGCCACUUUUGUUUGUAAGAGAUAUCAUUCUGGACGCUUGUAUCCCAUGACUAACCUGAUUUAAUUAACAAUUAUGGACAGCUAACUUCACAGCAGCUGCAGCUUUCAAUUUAUAGUAAAUUAAAGUUGAUGGCUUCAGAAAAAGUGAGAUGGAAGACAAUUAUGGAGGCGUACCUUUUCCACGCCCAAAUUCUUUCGAGUUUCUUCUUGGUGCUUCUGAACUUUUGAAUUGAAAAAAUCCGAUUUUCACACGUUUAAAUCAUUUAUAAUUAUUCUAUAGCUAUAUCUAUGGUUAAAUACAUUUAGAUAAAAUCACAAUUUAUCUAUAUAAAUGCAUAAUCAUAAGUUUAAGUCUGUCUACGUCGCUCAACACACCAAUUCAUAAUCCUUGCAUUGAUACUUUCGUCCCCUGAUGUUCGAAACGCUCUUCUCCCUUGUGGCAAAAAGAAUCCUAGUACCAAGAUACAAAGAAUUCACUCCGAUUAGUUUUUGGAUAUGGUUGCCCUCAUUGACAUCAUCCAAGACAAUUAGCAUUCAUCAAUGUUAUCAAUUUCACUAGUCACUCUAGAAUAAGAGAUAUUCGACAGUUAUUUUUCUUGCAGUUGGACAAAGCCCUUUGUUUUUGGCGUUACCCUCACGUCAUCAAGAAAGUUGCCGUUUUUCCGAGAGCGAGGAUAUAGCUGGUUAAAGAUAUCCUUGGUGGGUUCUGAUUUAUUGAUGCUGCCCACCCUGUAGAUUCCAAUGAACUGCACAAUACCAAAACUGAUGUCUUAUACAGUGUUUAUGGCUGCUAUUCAAUCCUCCGUUCCAAUUAAAUCUUCGAUCACUUGUCUUUGUCUUGCAUUGAGCCUAACCACAAUCUCAUUUACAAUCGACUUGAUAAGAUUCACAUGGCUGCCACAAAGUCAGUCAAUUUCAAAUGAGAAAAGGAGACAAAUUGCACGUGGACAAAGCCUUUACAUAUAUCAAAGCCCGAAUCUACCUCAAUUGAUUUCAAAUGCGCAGCUCUUGUUUGCCAAAUUUCAGUCAUUCUUUUGCAUUGCACAUUUUAGAAACAAAAAACAUUACGUCCAUUAAUGGGAAGAGUUUUGUUACAUUCUUAAUGUGAAAGGCUUCUUCACAAGAUCAUCCACCUUCAAAAAUUUACAAAAGAAGAAGUGUGCAUCGUUAGAAAAGGAGAAAAGGACCCACCAAGAAAUUCUUGAUUUGAAUGCCCAAAGCCCGAUGCCACUUUCGUUAGUGCGGGACAUCAUUUUGGACACUUGUAUCGCGUGACUCACGGGAUUUAAUUGAAAAUUACGGAUAGGCAAUAAAGUCAAUAAAGUCGAUGGCUUUCGGAAAAAUGAGACAAAGGACAAUUAUGAAGGCGUACCUUUCACAGGCCCAAUUUCUUUUGGGUUUCUUCUCGGUGCCUUUGAACUUUUGAAUUAAAUAAAAAUCUGAUUUUCAAAUGUUUAAAUCAUUUAUAAUUAUUCUAUAGCUAUAUCUAUGGUUAAACAUGUUUAUAUAGAUAAGAUCACAAUUUAUCUAUAUAAAUGCAUAAUAAAAAAGUCUAAAGAAUCCUCUUUCAUCAUGACACAUGGGAUUAUGGAUAAUUAGAAGAUAUUUCUUCGUAUCAUUGAGAUUGGAUUCGCUGCUUUCACUAUAAAAAAGUGCUCCACCUAAGCAUAUAUUUACUAUGUAAUAUUUGUUUGAUCUCUUUGCCUUAAAGACAUACCUUUUAUAAUUAUUAAUUACUUUUAACCACUCAAAUAUUGUCAUAAACGUGCUUUUAUAUUAAAAAGCAAAUCUUUUACAACACUAAUUUCCUUAUUGAGAACUAUUAGAACGUUAGCAUGGUGUAGUUAGUGCUAUCAGCCAAACCAAAUUAUAUAAAUGUGGAAAUAUAUCUCCAGCCGGAACCCGAUCAAGUUAAGAUCGGACGAGAAUUAUAGAGGCUCGACCUCUAUUCAAGAGUGGUGAGAGGAAAUGCAAUGAGGGCGCGUCCGUAGCAAUGAUACCAUCCCAUCGAGUCGUUGCUUUGAGCGUGGAAAGAAAGGGAAAAUAUGAUGGUCUGGACCACGAGGGACGACUUUGCUCAGCUGAAGAAAGGGAAAAGAGAGAUUGAUGAUGGGACUAAAGGGUAAAAACGACGAAGAAAGUUGCAAUAAUGGUGUCUUUUAACGAUGGCCACUCAUUUUUUCCUUUCUUCUUUAUUUGCUUCUAGUCUUUAAAUUCGAAGAGAUGAGACCUCCGAGGACUGCACAGAGGAGACUGAAAAUUUCCUCUUAAGGGUAUGAUUUAGAAAGGUUUUCUUCGUGAAAUUACAGAAAAUGAAGCCGAUUAGAUCUUGUCUUAAUUUUUUAUAUCAUUCUCUUAUGAAAUUGAUAAAUUAUUUCGAGAGAAGCUGUGAGGGUUCAAGACAGAGUUAUUAGUUGUAUUUGAGGAUGAAAAACACCAAGAAUAUCUAAGUGCUUUGAAUAUGACUAUAAUAUCCAUUACUUUGUUUUAUCUAUAAAGGAAAUGUAUACUGAUUUUCUCGUGGACGUCCGAUUCAUUUCCUUAUUUUGCGCAUUUUUUUUAUCCUUUGUUUUAUUUUCAAUAAUAAAUAUGGUUUAAAAAAAAUAGAAAACAAACCAAACCAUAUUUUAGUCAAACCAUUUUCUGCGGCUUGAUUCGGCUUAAUUGUUCUUUCUUCUUUUAAUUUAUCUCUUCAUCAUUUGAAAUUUCAUGAGAAGAAACCAAAUUCUAUGUUGAGACCCUUCCGAGGUGAGAUCCCCAAGGAAGUUGUUGGAUGGCCAAGCAAGUGCAAAUGGUCCCCGUUGCAAGGCGACACUUGCUCUUGGCAUGAUAGGUCUCAACUUGGUAUUUGAUUAAGAGUCGCAGCUAAUUUUUUGAAGCAAAUAGGAGUUAAGUAGAAUGCGGGAGCCCGCCUUACUUCUACAAAUCGGAGAUUUGUGAGUCUAGAGACUUGAUUAGGCUGGAUAUAUCUAAAGCCCAAUUUGGUACUUUUAUUUCUCUUUUAAAAAAAAAACAAUUAUUCAUGCAGUCUUUCCAAUUUUAGUUACCAUUUUUAUUCUCAAUGUUGAGCAAGGCAAGUGAUCUCACAUAAAUUCACUCAAGCAAACACAUAUAAAAUCCAACAAUACCGAAACAAAUCUAGCAAAUAAAAGGUACGAAAAUAAAGAACCCGAGCUGAGAAAAAAUCCAAUACAAAGCCUUGUUAUUAAGUUCCGGAAUAGGACCCCUUAAGCUAUAAAUAGACACUCAUUGUAAAAUUUCCAAAAUAAAAUAUGGCCCAAAAAUGGAAAGUAAAUAAAUGAUACUUCAUGAAUAUGUACCAUAUAAACUACUUUCCUAGAAUGAUCUAUUGCAUCUAGAAAGUAAAACCUACUUAAUGCAAUCUAAAGCGCAAUGCAACGUUAAGAAAACAAAAUCUGUUUAUGAAUAUACAUGAUUUCUAAAAUACAUUGCCAGAUAUAUAUAUAUAUAUAUAUAUAUAUAUAUAUAUAUUAAUGAAAAUGCAGUUCAUCUUUUUUUUUUUUUCUUUUCCCCUUCUUUAUGGAUAUUGUAGUGAACCGAAAUUAAACAAAAAAUUUACUAAGCGCUGAAAUAAAUUUGAACUAGAAUAUGUAUGCCAAAAUAAUAUGUAAUAUAAACCCGGAUUUUCAUGAAAAUUUGCACUACGUUCACUUGGAAUUUUUUUUUGGGUCUAAACGUUCACUUGGAAUUUUAACCUUAAAAUUCUUCCAAGAACGAGUCAUUGCACACCAGAAAUAAUGAAAACUAAAGUGACAUAAUGCUAUGAAUUACAUCGAAACUAAUCCACACUAUGCGAAAAUCAAUCGUGGAUGAAUACAUCUAUACAAAUUCCCCAUUUUCUCUCUUCCGCUUUUUACAUUUAACUGAAGGCAUGCCUGCAAAAAAAUUAAGUGCGUCUUCAUCGCUCAAGGCACCAUUCGCCAUCCUUAAAUUUAUACUUAAGUCCCCUGAAAUUUGAAACACUCUUAUCCUUACUAGCAACAAGUAUUCUAGUACCAUAAUACAAAAAAAAUUCACUCUGAUUAGUUUUUGAAUAUGGUUGCCCACAUCAACAUCAUCCAUUAUGAUUAGCAUCUAUCAAUGCUAUCGAUGUCACAAGUCACCCCUGAGUAAGAGUUAUUGGACAAUAAUUUUUCUUGUAGCUAGACUAAGCUCUUAGUUUUUGACGUUUCCCUCAUGUCAUCAAAAAGCUGUAGUUCUUUCAAAUGCGAGGAUAUAGCUUGUCGAAGAUAACCUUGGGGGGGUGCUGUUUUACUAAUGCUGCCUAUCCCCUAGAUUCGAAUGACAGCACGUUACCAUAACCGGUGUCUAAUAAAUUGUUUGUGGCUGCUAUUGGAUCCUCCAUUCCAACAAAAUGUUUGAUAACUUGUCUUUGUCUUGUCUUGAGCCUAACCCCAACCUCAUUAACAACUGACUUGAUAAGAUUCCCAUAGGUGCCACAAAGUUAGAUGGUUUCAUUUAAGAAAAUGUAACAAAUUUGCAUGUUGACAAACCAUUUACAUAUAUUAGAGCUCAAAUUUGCCUCGAUCCAUUUUGAAAGCGCAACCGUUGUUUGUCAAAAUUUAGCCGUUCUUUUGGAUUACAUGUUUUAGAAACAAUAACAUUACAUUCAUCAAUGGGAAGAGUUUUAUUACAUUCUUAAUGUGAAGAGCUUCCCCACAAGAUUAUCCUCCUUCAGAAAUUUACAAAAGAAGAACAAGUGCGUUUCAUUAGAAAAUGAGGAAAUAAUACACUAUGAAAUUCUUCAUUUGAACACUCAAAGCCAGAUGCCACCUUCAUUAGUGAGAGACAUCAUUUUGGACGAUUGGAUUGGGUGACUAACGGGAUUUAAUUGAAAGGUACAGACAUGCAAUUUCAUAGUAGUUGCAGCGUUUAAUUUAUAGUCAAUAAAGUUGAUGGCUUUAGAAAAAAUGAGAUGGAGGACACUUAUGAAGGUGUAGCUUUCAGAGGCCCAAUUUCUUUCGAAUUUCUUCUUGGUGCCUUUGGACUAUUGAAUAAAUAAAAGUCUGAUUUUCAAACGUUUAAAUCAUUUACAAUUAUUCUAUAGCUAUAUCUAUGGUUAAACAUAUUUAUAUAGAUAAAAUCAUAAUUUAUCAAUAUAAAUGCAUGAUAACAAAAUAUUCCUAAAGGGUCCCUCUCAUUAUGAGUUGGAUAAUUAAAGGAUUUUUCUUCAUAUUAUUGAGUUGGAUUUGCUACAUUCACCACCCAAAAAAGAGAGGGGAAAUGCCACUGAAAACCCCAAACUUUGCCUAAAGUGACAAAUUUACCCUAAACUUUUUUUAUGACAUGAAAAAUCAUAAAUUUUGCAAACCGUGACACAUUUACCCCCAACCAAGGGCAUUUUUGUCUUUUUAUUUUCUAUUUUUCCUCCUUCUUCUUCUUCUUCUCUCUUCCCUCCGCUGGCCAUGGCGGAGCCAAUGGAGGGAAGCCGGAGUUAGGCAAGGGCCGCCCUUGCUAGUGUCAGGUGAGGGUGGCUCUCAGUUUGAGGGCCGCCCAAUACUAUGAUAAAUUUGUCACCUUGAGCAAAGUUUGAAGGUUUUAUUAUGGUGUUUCCUAAAAAAAAAAAAGAAAACUCCACCUGAGCUUAUUCUUACUACUCACUAUGAAAUAUUUGUUUGAUCUCUUUGCCUUAAAGACGUACCAUUUAUCAUAAUUAAUGACCUUUAACUGCUCAAAUAUUGUCAUAAACGUGCUUUUAUAUUUAAAAAAAAAAAUCUUUUAUAACACUUAUUUCCUUAUUGAGAACUAUUAGAAUGUGAACGUGGUGUAGUCAGGGCCAUCAGCCAAAUCAAUUAUGUAAAUGUGGAGAUAUUUCUCGACCCAGAGCCUGAUCAAAUCAGAUCGGAGGAAAAUUGUGGACGCUCGACCUCUAUUCAAGAGUGGUGAGAGGAAAUGCGAUGAAGGCCUGUCCAUAGCAAUGAUGCCAUCCAUCAUGGUGUUGCUUUGAGCGUGGAAAGAAAGGGAGACCAUCAUGGUCUCGACCAUGAGAAACAGCUUUGCUCAGCUGAAGAAAGGGGGAAGAGAGAGUGAUGAUGGGACAAAAGGGGAAGGAAAGCGACGAAGAAAGUUGCAAUAAAUGGCGUCUUUUAAUGAUGGCCACUCAUUGUUUCCUUUCUUCUUCUUUAUUUGGCUCUAGUAACUUCUGUCUGAAUUCGAAAAGAGGAGCGCUCCGAGGACUGCACAGAGGAGAUUGAAGAUUUCCUCUUAAAGGGUUUUGAUUCAGAAAGGUUUCUUCGUCAAAUUACACAAAAUGAAGCCAAUUAAUUCUUAUCUUAAUAUUCAUGUGAUUCUUGUAUGAGAUUGAGAAAUUAUUUCGAAAGAAAUUAUGAGGGUUAAAGACAGAGUUAUUAAUUAUAUAUAAGAGAUGAAAAAUUACCAAGAGCAUAUAAGUGACAUUAAAAAAAGAGAAAAGGAUACACGAAGAAGUUCUUGAUUUGAAUGCCCGAAGCCCGAUGUCACUUUCGUUAGUGCGAGACAUUAUUUUGGACGAUUGGAUCGCGUGACUCACGGGAUUUAAUUGAAAGUUAUGGAUAGGUAACUUCACAAUACCGCGAAAAUGAUGGCUUGGAAAUGGGAGGCUCGCCUUCGGCCGCCUGUGGCUUUCUCAACAGUGUUGCGUCGAUUUCCAACAACUUUUAAGAGAUUGGAGAUGGCUGGAAAUUCUUCUGUGUCUUUUUUUUUUCCUCUCAUUUUUUAAGUCAGUCAUAUUUCGGGCCAAACCCAGCCCAAAACUAAAUUGAUGCCUAUCCAAGAGGACUUGUUUAGGCCCCAACCCUUCAACCGGGCCUGAAGUUGAUCGGGCGGGGCGUAUUUUUCAAUAAAAAAGCCACCCAUUUGCAACUAUACUUCCGAUUACUAGACGCCAAAGGAACUCACGAACUCAUUGCUACACCAUUCUUUAUCUGCCGUAGACAAACAAGCAUUCCUAUUCUGUAACAUAGAAAUGGCGACAAUUUAUUGCUUAUGCCCAUUCAUGAUGAAUAUUUUCACCAAAAUUCAAUCAACUAAUAUUAAAUUAACGCCAAUAACAACUAAUCACAAUAUUCCAGCAAUAUUAACCCUAAAGCAGUAAAGAUAGUGCUGAAUAUUAAAGCAAGGGAAAACCAACACCUGUAAAAUUUUACAUGAAAAACACAAUACAGAAAAAAUCACGAGACCAGUCAAAAUCUUCCUCUAAUCACCAAGAAUAGCAUAAUACAUAAUAGUUCAUCUCAAAUAACACAGAGGCUCUUUCACCUAAACAAAACAUUAUCACCACAAAGGUGGAUUAACAUAAAGAAGCAAGAAAGAUCUAACCGCUGCUAGACAAAAUCAGGAGACAAUUUGGAGAAGAUUUUAACAAACACAGCCGAUCAACUUGUAGAUCAUGGACUCAUGAACAGCAUAUGAAAUUUUGGCCAAUUCUGACAAAGUGUCACUAUCGAAUUUAGACUACCUCUUCUCUUCUUCAAAGCAAAGUUCUUCGCCUCUUUUUCUCUAUAACAACGAAUUGUUCAUCCCUCUCUUCUAAAUCAAGAACAUUCAGCCCUAUCAAUUCUUUUUUCUUUUUAAUUUUAUUUAACAUGAUGAGAUGAGCCCCACAAGAGGUGGACCCAACCCAACAAACUUCCCCUUCACCUUAUGAAGAAGUUUCAUUAUGCCAGCAUUAUCUAUAUAAGAAUCAAGUUUCACCAUUGGCAAGGUUUUACUCAUCAUAUUAAUCCAUUAUCAUCAGUGUAGACUUUCUCAACUAAGAAAAGUUUCUCAUCUAAUUUAUUUCGAAUCCAAUGACAAGGAUAAAGCAUUAGUCUGGGUAAAGCAACCAGAUGCAAUUCUAGUGAACAUCACUCUAUCUUCAGCAAUAUGACAAGGAUAAAGCAUCCCACAUAAUGCUGUCUUGUAUUUGCACGAAUAAAUCUGAUCUUGUCGGAGGCAAGACCGCUCAUCUCUAAAUAAUAACAGUAGCUACCAAAGAGUUGAUAUAUUUAGAGCAGUAUCAUGAUUCACUCUCUAAGGAUAAACACCCUCUAGAAAUGGAGAGAUUGGUUUCCCUAUAUCUUCUUUAGUUUGCCUACAAACCAUAAAUGGUGGAAGUUGAGAUCCAUGGAGUAACCUGACAAGCCUAAUUUUCGAGCCACUAAAACAUGUGUGUUUACAAUAUUGUCUCUUUUAUUACGUAACCUUUUUGUUUUAAUAGGGCUUUUUUCGAAACAUACCGACAUCAAAGGCACUUUUACAGCAAUAAUAUCAGGUUAUAUUAGUGUUGUGUUUAUCCUAGACUAUGUUGGUACACACCUUCAAGGAAAUUGAAUGAAAUAUCGACCGACUAAAUUAAAGUUCAACGCAACCAAAUGCUAGGCUCUUAAGAAAUACUGCCCAGUAGAGAGACUUAUUGAUUAAUAAAUUUAACCAAAGCUCUCUCCAUUUUUCUUUUACACUGACGGUAGGCUUAACAAUAAUAUAAUUUUUCAUUUAAUCAUAUUAUGUUAAAUAUUAUUUCCUGGCAACCAAAUGCAGCCAGUCAAAUUCAAGUGAAGAAUUCAAUAAUAAUCGUGCUCCAUUUGUUUCACAAAAAAUAAAUAAUUUGAAAAAUAUUUUCCAAAAAAUGAUUACAUUAUAUCUCUUAAAAUAAUUAGUCAAUAAACAAUGUUUUCAUUAUAAAUAAUAAUUUUAUGUCUAAACAUUUUGGUGAAUGAUGAAAAAAAUACUCUAUCAUUUAUUUUUAUAAGUGAUACAAGAAAUUGAAAGUGAUAUAAAUAAUAUUUUUUGAAAUUUCAAAUCAUUUAUUUCUCAUGAAAUAAAAAGAUAACCAAAUAACAUUUAGCCGAAGAAAAUGAGUAAUUGGGCUCAGCUUUCGUUGGCCCAAAAAUUCUCUUGGGCUAAAUGAAACCUUCGUCCCUCACACUGACGAAAGAAAUUCUCAUCUUUCAGUCGACUUGAAGAGCAUUUUUGGUUCUAAAUCGAGCUCAAACCUUCGUUUUCGCUACUCAUCUUCGUUUUCAUCUAAGGUCUUCGGGGAGCUUCUGUGAGCGUUUUUCACUACUAGUCGUUACGCCGCCGCUUUUGUUCUUCAAUUUGAUAUCUAUUUUGCUUUUUUAAGCCAGUUUUCGUUGAUGUCGCGACUGUUUCUUGCUGAUUGGAUCGUCUUCGACCUGGGGCCGGAUGGUUUCUAGCUCGGGUAGAAAGAAAAUGUCGGAGAUCUCUUGUGGUGAUCGAGAUAGAUAGUAGUGUAAGAAGGUGCGAUGAAGAUUUCAGAAAUGUUAAGCGGUAAUUGCUGAUGGGUGUCCGUGGAAUUACUUCCGUUGGACGUGCUUGUUUGUCUGUCUAAAUGGCGUGCUUUAUUUGAACUGGUGAUUAUUUUGUGCUUGAGUCAGAAAUUGGGAAUGCGAGCAAUUUGAGCAUGGACUCAUCUUCUCCAAUUGGGAAAACAGAUGUGCCUAGUUCCCUUUCUUCCAUAUUAAUAUACAUGUGAUUGUUCUAAACAAAGUUGAACACAAUCUGUUGUUAAAUUUAUAGGAUCGUUACGAUCCUUGAUGACCUCACGAAAUUUUGUAAUGGGGCAUGCUUAAGAUUUGAUUCCGUGUUCAUUGAUAUGUGGCGUCUUACUGGAAGAUUGGCGAGCUUGCUGGCAAUGAACAUUUCAAGUACAUACUGUGUUGAAAAGGUAGGUAUAAAAUUUUUACUACUCUCUUCUUGUUCUCUUGUCCACUUUCUGCCAUUACUGAAAAUGACUUGGUUUACUGGAUUUGAGUUUCUGGGUUUGAUCUUGCACACAGAAAAAGGAUAGUUUUGAGUCGUUGAUUAUGGAGCACUUGAUAUUGAAUGGAGCAUUUUGGGGAUAGAACACUGUAGAUCUUCUUGGAAAACUUGGCACUGUGGAUUCAAAUGAAGUUGUUUCUUGGAUCCUGCAAUGCCAGCAUCUGUCUGGUUUGUAUUUAUUUGUCUCUCAGCUUCUUUUUUGCGAUUACCCACCAAGAACAUGUGGCUGACGGAACCUCCACUCCACAUUCAGUCAAGUUUUUCUUAUUUGACAGUAUGCUUAAGAUAUUAGCUUGGGAUUGACAAGUUCCAUCUAUUACAUUGAUGACCACGUCUUAGGAGUGAUUAGUGUUGCUUUAUUUAUUUAUAUUCUAAAACUUGACUCUAAAGAGCAAAGUGCAAAUGACACUUAGGGCUGCUUGUGCAGGUGGCUUUGGUGCCACAUAUUGGACAUGAUCCGCAUCUGCUGUAUGCACUCAGAGCCGUGCAAGUACUGGCCCUUUAUGACAAAUUAGAUGUUUUUGACAUCAAUAACGUGACAGAUUGUAUCCUUUGGAAUAAAGUGUCUUAGAUUCGCAACUUCCUUGAUGAUCUUACCUUAGGCUCUGAUGUCAAAUGUUCUACAUUGUUGUGCCUGAAUGAAGAUGAAUCUUUUUCUGGGGAUAUAUGCGGAGAAGCUGAUGCUCGGUGUGUUGUCCUCAUCUUUGAUCAAUUAUUAUUUUUGUGCUUCUUGAGGAUGUUUCUUAAAUAAUUGACAUCCCUUCACCCCUUUUUUCCCUUCGAAGGUUCUCUCAUUGUGCUAUAUGCUGUCUUGCGAUACUUGAAUGGUUGGAUUCGAUAUGUGGAGAAUGCUGUCAGUUGCAAAACUUUGGAUGGCGGGUUUGGUUGCAUUCCUGGUGCAGGGUCUCACCUAAAAUGAUAUCAUUGCACGCAGCCUUCGCUUCCAUCUUGAUGGUAUAAUCACUGCGUAAACCACUGAUGUCUAUCUAAGAUAUCCCAAGACAACGCACUAAUGUCCUUGCUCUCUCAACUAAUCUAGCUGGUAGUAGUUAACAGUUGGAGAAAACCAUCUGGUCUAGCUAUAUCUACAGGGAACUAUUUGUUGCCGAAAUGCCAACUAAAAUUCCAAAAUCUCACCGUACUAUCACAAAAGGUUAAGAAACUUCAGAGUUGCCUAAGUUAUUAUUAAGCUACGAUCUUCACAAGACAAUGAUCUCCUUAGGAUUGGUAUGACUAUAGUCUCAUAUAAAUUGAAUACAGUUUAAUAUUGGUGACAGUGUAUUUCGAGAAUGUAAACUUGACCGUAAGGCAUACUUAUUGAAUUUCAUAAAUCAUCUGUUUCGAAUAAUUUUUCUUUGCAAUUCUUAGGAUCCUACGAUGUGCAGUUCAAGAAGUCUAGAUUCGGGAUACAGUAGGUCCGCAAUUGAUGGCAAGUUUUCCAAUCUGAAUAACCUCAGGACUUAGUAAAGUAGUAAUCUGGAGAUUAACAGAACCGCUUAAAUCCUUGAAUGCUUUGCUGACUGAGCAAGUAAACACACUUCAAACGUGUAAAACGCGCAAUGAGCAACGAUUGCAAAAUGCAUUCUCGUAAGCAGCCACGGAGGGCCUCAAUGAAUUGCAGUUUUUUCCUCUCCCAGUUAAGCAAUAACGGAAGUUCCUCCUGUCCACUGUCCUGCCCUUGAAUAAUAUAGAGCAAAUCUAGCAACCCAACCAAAUCCAGCAAGUAUGUCAUAACCUCAUGCUGAGCUCUUUCGCUGGUUUCUAAUAUCUGGCUGGUUUCUAAUAUCUGAUUGGUGCAUAGUAAGUCAUGUAUUUGCUUAAAUACAUUAUGGUCUUCUAAUUAUGCUCCAAUGAACACAUCCAAAAGAUAAAACCAAGUCGCCGCAGUUUUAAGACAUUCCUUAGGACUCUUCUUAGACAAGAGAAAGUACAAAGGAAUUGAUAAUUUCCAGUGGAGACUUAGGCAUAAAACAAUGAAGGACCAAGCAAGAAAAUUAAGAAGCACAAGAGCCUGAUCAAAUAUCUUUCAAUUCAAAUAAGAAGAUAUUUGCAAAACGGAGAACUGGAACGUGGGAGUAAUCGUGAAGCAAUAAGAUUUGGUGUUUCUACUUCAACGGAUAACAAAACCGUGUGUAUUUUGUGUAGCCAAUUGUCGAGUCGAUCACGUAGUAAAUUUGACCUGUGGAAUCCUCACCCAUAAGCAGCAGACCUCAAUAAAGCAAUGGAAACCACAACUGCCCAAAACAUGAAAGAAAAAGAAAAGCUGGACAUCCCAUUUUAAUUCUACAUGAUGGACCAAGAAGAGAAGCACUCGUUGCUUCUUUUUCAAUCAUCAAGAGCUCCUCACAGGUAAUAGACAGCUCCUCACAUGUAAUAAAGAGACAGUGGAUACUCAUUAAACCAACCAUUACCCAAACCUUAGAAUAUACUUACAGACGAACUCUUCAAGAGAAGAUGCUCAACAUCUUGUGCACAUGAUUAUGCUCAAUCGAGCAGUCCACGAAAGCAUAGUAACAUAACUAGACUAGGCAUACAGACCCUUAUACAACUAUUAGCAUAUGAAGCUAGAGCUAGAGCUCAAGCUCAUGCUUAAUAUUUAAAGAUAAAUCACACAAUUACAUUAAUCUAAACACCAACUGCCACACCAAAAAAAACACCCAAAAAAAAAAGAACAAAACCCUCUCUGUCCUCACCACUCUUACCUGUCCCUCCUCCUGAUUAGCUAGUGAUCCAGAGCUUGAGUUCAGGCCCAUGACUCCCGCCAUAGAUGAAAUUAAUGAACGCACCAAAUUCCUCCAGCUGAGCGGCGCUAAAGAAGAAAAUGUGCACUAGAGUGAAAAGUGGCGCUGGAGAAGGGCUUGAAGCUCACAAACCUGGAACUUGAAGCUCGUGAAGAAGGACUUGAAGCUUGUGGACGACGAAGAAAGAAGAGACGAUGGCAACCGACACGGCCAACGACGGACUGAAGUUCNNNNNNNNNNNNNNNNNNNNNNNNNNNNNNNNNNNNNNNNNNNNNNNNNNNNNNNNNNNNNNNNNNNNNNNNNNNNNNNNNNNNNNNNNNNNNNNNNNNNGCCGUUCGCCGCUCGCCCAAUCGCCCCUGACACCGCUCGCCCAGCUGCCCCUGACGCCACCCGCCGCUCGCCCAGCCGCCCUGACGCCGCUCGCCCGGUCACCCCUGACGCUGCUCGCCCCCAACGCCGCUCGCCCAGUCGCCCCCGACGCUGCUUGCCCCCGACGCCGCUCGCCCAGUCGCCCACGACGCUGCUCCCCCCCUGACGCCUAAGCACAUCAGAUGCCUCCCGCUCGGUCAGUUCUUACAACAAUUUGGUACCAUUUAUUGAAAGAAUCGAGUCAAAUAAUACACUUUAAGAUAGUUUGGGAUUGUGAUCAUAUCACAAUUUUCAUCAUGGGCUUGUAUCAUGUGAUGGGAAAUCUUCAAGUUGAAUAUCAGAUGACAGAGGUCCUCAAAGAUUUCUGUGGCACUUCUGCACCAUUGUAGUUCCAAGUGCUUAUUGAUCUAACUUAAUGUUUUAUUUUCUUUCAAGUACCCCUUUCAACAUAUCAAAGAAAUUUGAUGGAGAAACAGUAACAGAGAUUGUCUGUCCCCGCCUUGCAAGGAUUAGAUAUCGUGUUAAGAGAUUGCCUUAUGAUCUCAUUCUCCAUAUGCAGAGAUUUACAAUUUAUUUAUUAUUAUUAUUAUUUUUUAUUUUUAUUAUUAUUUUUUAUUUUUGGUGGAGAAGAACCCAACUCUAGUUAAAGCAGAAAUAGAAAGCAAGCAAAGCAGAAGAAACAACAAUGAUUAAUGAACAGAAAGAAGGCGCACCGUUUUCUGUAGAGGAUCCCCUGUUUCUGUUUCAAAGUUCGUUGUUUCAAUUUCAGAGCCCGGCGCUUGCUUUGUUCUGCUCAAAAUCUUCUCUCUGUAAGACUCCCAAGUGUCGAAAUAUCGAAUGCUGAAAAGUUCACUAUCUAAUUCAAUAUCGUCGGAUAACUUCUCGCGUGGUAUGCUUAUCUUGCAAUUAUCUGGUUUUUUUGAGCUCAAUACAUCAAAAAUCCUUUCGAAUAUGCACCCACUAAUUUCCAAGGAACAUGAAGACUUUAGUUCGUAAAUACCCUCAAUAACCUGCAAGCUGGGGCACUGGUCAAUGUUUAUCCACAAGUUCUCCAAGUUUGACAAACUGCCUAAGCUUUUUAACGAAGAGCACUGGUUAAUGUUUAACUGCUUCAAGUUCUUCAAGUUUGACAAGCCGCCUAAGCUUUUUAACGAAGAGCACUCACGAACGUAAAUUUCUUCCAAUGAUUUGAACGUAGAAUCAAAUUGAAUAUCCUGUACCUCAUGGGACCCCGACAGAUUGAAACUUCUAAGCAUCUUUCGGGAGCUUGGGAAAAGGAUCGCUUCCCUCCAAUGAUCAGUCAACUCGGGAGCUUGUAGUUCACUGCACCCCCGCUCCUCCGGGUGACGAACCAUACUCUUGGAAGAUCUAUGGACUUUUGAUCUCGAAGCAUCAAAAAUCCUUUCCAAUGAUCUGCACCCCCCAAUUCGCAACCAACGCAAAAACUCCAGUUCGUCAAUGCCCUCAACAACCUUCAGGCUCGGGCACUGGUGAAUCUCUAACCACUUCAAGUUCUUCAAGCUUGACAAACCGCCUAAGCUUUUUAAUGAAGAGCACUCUUUAACAGAAAAUUCUUCCAAUGAUUCUAACGGAGAAACAAAUUGAAUAUCCUGUACCUCUGGGAACCCCGACAGACAGCAUUUUAUAAGCAUGUUUAGGAAGCUGGGGAAAAGGAAGGCUUCCCUCCAAUGAUCAAUCAACUCAGGAGCUUGUAUUUCACUGCAACCCGGCUCCUCCGGCUGACAAGCCAAACUCUCGGAAGAUUUGCAGUCCUGAAUACGUGAUCUCUCCGACGAUUCUAAGACAUUGGGAGAUUGAACAUCUAGUUGCUCGUACGCCUUGCUUUCUUUCGAUAUUCCCGAACUUGUUGGAAGGAAUGGAGUCUCCUUUUCCGAUGGAGGAAGCCCAUCGAGUUGUACUUUUUUCCCUCUAGUUUCGUAAAGAUCUACAACCAUCAAGUUUGACGGAAGUUGUUUGAAAGGUGGCAAGUCCAUUCCGCGUAGAGUAAGUUCCUUCAGCAGAGAAAGGGAACACAACUGUGUAGUUGGGGCGCGGACAUUUGGAAAGGAAAAGUACAGCUUCCUCAGUUUGGAUAACAUGCCAAUCCACCGCAAAUCGCAAGUUUGAAUUGCAUUUGAUGUGUCUCUAAAUUCAGAGCCAUUGGAUAAGUGCAGCUCAACUAGAUUAGUAAGGUAUAAGAGGUUAGGGACAGUCAGCAACGAAGUAGAACUUAGCUUUAGAGUGGUCAAACAUUGGGGGAGUUCUGGCAACUCUUGUAUCCAACCACAAUCCAUCAAGCUUAGUGUUUGGAGUUGAUGAAACUUGCUGAUUGUACUGGGCAUUCCUGCAAUUGGUGUGCAUGACACAUCGAUAGAUGACAAGCUUGCUAGUCUACCAAUGGAAUCUGGUAAUCUUGUAAUUUUCGUGCCAGCUACACAUAACGUCAUUAACGACUCUAAUUUCAAAACCGAGUCGGGGAGUUCAAUGAAGUCCUGACAACUCUCAAGAGAGAGGUGCUGCAGAUUAUGUAACUCUCCAAUUUGUUUUGGCAAUUUUCUAAGACACCAACAUGACUCAAAACUCAAGUCAGUCAACCACCUCAGUUUUCCAAUAGAGCAAUCAAUUUCCUUCAAAGGAAAAAAAUUAACUAUAGUCAACUUCUCUAAAACUAAGUUCUCAGGAAAGGUUGGCAUCUCAUGUAUCAACUCAUUAUAACGAAUAGUGAGAACCUUCAAUUUCCUUGCCCCCUACAAAAGCCAACGAAACAUCAAGACGGACAAGAAAUAGAUAUGGAUUUGUGCUACUAAUGAGAAAAUAAGAUUAUAAAUCCAGCGGAUUUUGUCCUUCAUUGAAUGAGAAAAAUAGACUAAGAGGGAAACUGGCAUACCUUGAUUAGGCUCUCGAACGCAUCUUUUGUGAUAUCGAGCCCAGAAAGAUGCACCACAACCGCGUUUUCUAGAUGCAACAAAUUGGUUGCCUCCAAACGGUGAUUGUAUUGAGAGUUAACUACUAAAUAACGGUAACUCAAGCUGAACCAUUUCAGCUUGGAAAGACAGCCCGUAAAGUCACCUUGGCAGAUUACCUCAUCCAUCAUGAGAAGCCAUAAACAUGGGAAACGCUUAAUUUGCUCUGGAGUGACAGUCAUACGAGGAUUCCGUGACAAAUCGAGUGCUUCAACGCUGUUCUUGGUCUGCCAAUUCAAAGAAGAGAAGAAAAAACAAAACAGAAGAGUAGCUUCCGAAUCAAAAACGGGAAUCCUCAAUUAAGAAGAGGGUGUAAGAAAUUUUCUAGUCAAAUUUGGCCAUGCUUUACCUCUGUUGAUGUUAAUUCAGAAAUGAUGUCGUGUUCAUCCCACAAUCUGGUACGCUCGUUUUUGGCAAUUGCCCUUCCAAGAUCUCUAAACUGAUCGUGCAUCCAAAAUUUAUUGUCUAAAACCUUUAUCAUGCACCUCUGACUAAGGACUUGGAUGGCAAGCUGUGGGCAAAACUUACAAUCUUUCCACAUGUACAUUGGAUUAGUCUUAUUCUGACCAAUGAAAAAGCAUGCGACAUCGAGGAAUAUCUGUUGUUGUUCUAGCUCUAAGGCAUCAUAGCUAAUCUUUAACUUUCCCAAAACAUCCUUAUGAGGUGUCUUCUUUAGCUUCUCUAGUGUCUCUUCCCAUAUUCCAUUCUCUUUAAUAUUAAAAAGCAUUGAACCUAUUGCUUCAAGAGCUAAAGGUAGUCCAUCUGCAGUAGAGACGAUUGCUUUUGAAAGAGUGGAGUAAUUGGGCAGAGGAGAGUUGUCAUUGAAGGCAUGCCUACUAAAAAGUUUAAGUGCGUCUUCCUCGCUCAACCGCAUCAUUUCAUGCUCCUCGAAUUUGUACUUAAAUCCACUGAUAUUGAAAACACUCUUGUCCCUAGUAGUAACAAGUAUUCUAGUACCUGAAUACAAAAUUUUCUCUCCGAUUAGUUUUUGGAUAUGCUUGGCCUCAUCAACAUCAUCCAAUACAAUUAGCAUCUUCUUGUUGCAAAUUGUAUCUUCAAUAAUAUUGGUCCCAUGAUCAAUGUCAGAAAUGUAAGGAGCCGCUCCAGAAUAAGAGACAUCGGACAAUAAUUUUUUUUGUAGCUCAACUAAGCUCUUGGUUUGUGCCAUUUCCCUCACGUCAUGAAGAAAGCUGCAGUUUCUCCCAAAGUGAGGAAGUACUUGGUUAAAGAUAAUCUUGGCGAGUGUUGUUUUACCGAUGCCGCCCAUCCCGUAGAUUCCAAUGAACCGCACAUCUUUAGAAUCAAUGUCUAAUAAAUCUUUUAUGGUUGCUAUUCGGCCUUCCAUUCCAACUAAAUGUUUGGUUACAUGUUUCUGUCUUGUCUCGAGCCUGACCACAACCUCGUGAACAACCGCCUGGAUAAGUUCCGCAUAGCUGCCAACAAGUUGAGUAGUUUCAAUUGAGAAAAGGUGACAAAUUUGCAUGUUGACCAGCCAUCUACUAACCAACCAGGUGGGAACUCGAUCAAGUUUAGCAUAUAGAAGAGAAAUGUUUGAUCUUUGUAUCAAUUGGAAGAAUCGGAAUUUUUGGCCAAAAAGGGUAGAAGAAUCAAAAUAUAAACAUCUAAUGAGUUACUAUAAUAGAAGAUUUGCUUAAAUAUAAAAUGGCCUGAUUGUACAAAAUAAUUUUCAGAGUCAUGGUUAGAUUGUUACCCAGAAUAUUUCUCCAACUCCCAUCCCUUGUUGCAACAAACUUCUUUGAGAGCUUGCUGCCAUGUGUUUAUAUCCGCGGAGCUGAACUUAUUCUUCCGAUCCUCCGUCUCUUGCGCUAAAUUCGAUAUGGCAUCUUUGUACAACGGGGUUUUCAAUUUCACGUCAUCGGGUUUCACGUCGUAGAAGAUGGGCAAUAUGACCUUCUCUUUCCCAUCUUCUUUAUUUUUAGAGGUGUUCUCCACCAUCUUCGCAAGCUCGUCGAGGCACCAGUGACUUGAAGCAUAAUCUUUGGAGAAGAUGGGUAUGUAGAGCUUGGAAUUGUCAAUUGCUUGUAGAAGGUUGCCACUAAUUCUUUCACCUGGUCGAAGCCCUUCAUCAUCGAUGAAAACACUAAUCCCAGCAUUUACCAAGGCUUGGUGGAGGAUAUCGGUGAAUGUACGACGAGUAUCAGGUCCUCUAAAAUUCAAGAAGACCUGGUACUUACCUCCUGAUGGAUUGCUGGUGCUUGUUCCUGUCUCUGAGUUCACCAUCGGAGCUCACUUCGCACUUAGCAAGGUCAGCCCUCUUACUUGGUCUUUGAGUUUGCCAUAUGACAUUUCACAUAUUUGAAUCCAAUCCAAUUUGCCGUCCAAAACGCGUAUAGGCAACUUCGUAGCAGGUGCAAUUUCCAGUUUGCAAUCAAUAAAGUUGAUGGCUUUAAAAAAGAAAAAUAAGGCGGAGGACAAUUAUGGAGGUGCCCCUUUUUAUACGCCCAAUUUCUUUCCAGUUUCCCCUUUGUGUUUUUGAACUUUUGGAUUAAAAAUAUUUGAUUCUUUAUAUCUAUAGUUAGGCAUAUUUAUAAUCCCAAUCUAGAAUUGUAAAAUGACAAUUUAUUUAUAUAGAAAAACAAAUUAUUCCUAAAGGAUCGCCUCUUAUUCUAAUACUUGGGACUGUAGAUAAUUAGAAAUAUCUCCUUGUUACUAUAGAGAUUGGAUUUGCUGCAUUCUCUACAACAAAUGCUCUACCUAAGCAUAUACGUACUACUUACUAUGAAAUAUUUGUUUUGAUCUCUUUGCCUUCAAGACUUCCUUUAAUUUUAAGUCAUUUCCUUUAACAACUCAAAUAUUCUCAUAAAAUGUGCAAUUAUAUUAAAAAGCAAAUGAUAAUUUAUUUUCUACUGAUAACUAUUAGAAUGUAAGCAUGGUGCAGUUAGUGUGCAUUGGACGUUAAACCAAAUCAAAUUAUAUAAAUAUGAUAGAAUAUAUUUCGAAUUUGAAAUUGUUGGAUGAAAUAGGACCAGAUGAGACUUAUGGAUGCUCCACCACUAUUCAAAAUUGGUGAGAUGAAAUGUAGUGAUGGCCUGUCAAUGGCCAUGAUGCCACUCCAUCCUGGUGUUGCUGUGAGCACGAAAGAAAGAAAAAGAAACCAUGAUGGUCUUGACCAUAAGAGAUGGCUUUGCUCAACUGAAGAAAGGGAAAACGAGAUCAAUGAUGGCCAUUGCCAAUAAUCGACCGAAAGGGAAGAAGUCGAAGAAAGUCACGAGGACGAUGUCUUUUCAUGUUGGCCACUCGUUGUUUCCUUUCUUCUCUAUUUGGUUCUGCUGAAUUUCCCCUUUAGAAACCAAGAGGAAGAGCUCUCAAUGUCAUAGAGAGCUCCGAAGGCUGCACAGAGCAUAUUGAAAAGCGUGCUGAAAGUUCCUCUUGAUCACACCAAAUAUUUCUUUUCUGAAGCCUAUUAAAUCUUUUGUUGAGAUUUGUAUCAUUUCUUUAAGAGAUUGAAAAAAUUAUUUUGAGAGAAAUUUUAAAAACGAAACAUUGUAUAGUUAUUGAGUAUUAGAAACUAAAAACCACCGAGAGUAUUUAAAUGACUCAAGUGUGAUUAUAACUUUCAUUAUUUUUUUUUAUCUAUAAUGGAAUCUUGUGCUGCUAUCUUUGUAGACGUAAAUCACACGAUUGAAUCAUAUAAAUCUAGUGUCCGAUUCAUUUGUUGUUUUGUGCAUUUUAUUCAAUUGCUUUUUUUUUUCAAAAGGGAAUAUGGUUUGAAGAAAAGUGAAACCAAAGUAAAAGAUAUUUAAUAUGACCAGCAUUAGGCAUUCAUGAACAAAUGCAUGAAAAAGUAUCUUUUAUUUUCUUAAGAUAUCGAUAAAUAUUUAUAACCUUAAACUUGUGAUUAGUGAUAGAAUUUGUCCCAUCGCCUGCUUAACAUUAACUCUGAUCAUGAGUACGAGAUUCAAUGCAAUCUAUACGACCCGUUUCUUCUAAUGUCCCUUUGACAAUGCAUAGUGAUGUUCUUUUAUUGCCAUUUUCUCCGUUAAAUUGCGCUAGCCCGUGUGUUUCACUUUGACUCCUUCAUUUUCCAUGAUUUUAUAGUCAAAUAUAUUUUAUUUAUUUAGUUUUGAAUGCGAUAUAUCAAGAAAAUCAUAAAUUUGCAACUACAAUCUUGACAUAUUAAGUAUGUAUGUUUUGCAUGAUUUGACAUAGAUUUUCACGACAUUUGUUAGUGAUACAUUUUUUUUUGUUAGCAUGAUUUAACAUAAAUUAUUUUCAUAUUUCAUCUCUUAAAUAAGUUUUUGGUGAGAAAUUGAAAAUCAUUAUGAACAUUAUUCUUCGGAUUUUGAACCGUUGUAGUAGAAGUAGUGAAGAUCAGAUAGAGCCUAGCCGCAAUUUGGUUUGUUUUAUUUAUAUUUGUUUUUCGUGGCGUUAUUAGUUGCUUAGACUUGCUGACUAAAUUGGAGCACUGUACGAAGUCUUCGAGAGGAUGACUUGUCCACAUUUAUUUUAUCUCAUUUAUAACACUAGUAUCUAAAUCAUUCGACUCAAUUAAUACCGAUUUAUGCACGCAAAUCACUCCAUUCACGUGCAUUCGGUUAGCUUCAUUCACAAGAUUGUUAAGGAGACACCGGGGGUAAUGAGUAAAGGACACUGUGAUCAAAUAUGAACUAAACGUCGUUUCAAAAAUAGCAUUCAAAAUACACAUAAUGCAUUCAUGACUGUUUUUACGAACCCAACAUUUCACAAAUUAUGUAUAAAACAAUAAUCCUUCCAAAGAUAUGGCAAUCGGAUCAUAACUAUGGUCAUCUUUGAUGCGCAACUUUCUACAACUCAGCAACACCUUUUGAAAAUGCUAUGAACAUGUACAUCUUAUGCUUUCAAGCCAUUGCCUCAAAUGAUUGGAAUACAUAAAAGACGUUAAUGCUUGCUUUUUAGUAAAUCGGAAGGUCAUGCGAUACCAUAUUACAAGAUCCCCAAAAGAUGCCAACAUGCCAUUCUUUGAAAUCAUGUUUUUACCUUUUAAUUAAUCACGCAUGCUGCAUACAGCUUCAACAAAUCCGAAAGGUUUUAGGCAUGUGAAAAUUGAUGUUAUCGGACGAUUAGCUUUUGGACCUAUUUCUUCAAUAGCUAAAGGUAGUCAAUAUGUGGUAUAGACAAUGCCUUUGAGAGUGUGUGGCUGGAGGAGAGUUGUUAUCGAAGGCAUUUCUACAAAAAAGUUUAGAUGUGUUUAUUUUGAGUGCGCGCCUCAUUGUUCGUCAAAUUUCUGCCAUUCUUUUGUAUUGGACAAUUCAGUAAUAAUAACAUUACAUUCAUUAAUGGAAGCUUUUAUUACAUUCUUAAUGCAAAAAGCUUCUCCACCGUGUCAUCCUCCUUCAGAAAUUUACAGAAGAAGAAUCAAGGCGUUGCAUGAGAAAUGGAGAAAAGAAUGUCUAUUAUGAGAAAUAAACAAAGAAAUUCUUGAUUUGAAUGCCCGAAGUGCGAUGCCACUUUCUUUAGCGAGAGACAUCAUUUUGGACGUUUGUAUCGCGUGACUCAUGCGAUUCAAUUGAAACUUAUGAACGACAACUUCAUAGCAGUUGCAGCUUUCAAUUUAUAGUCAAUAAAGUUGAUGGCUUUAGAAAAAAAUGAAAUGGAGGACAAUAAUGGAGGUGAACCUUUUUACAAGCCCAAUAUCUUUCGAGUUUCUUUGUUAGAGCUAACACUAUCACCUAAAAAAAAGGUGAAUAGGUGAUUAUAAACAAUUAAAGCGGAGUUUAAAACAACCAAGUUCAAUAUCAUGAAAAACAAAAUCUAAUGAAAAACUUUGUAGUGAUUAGAUUUUCUACAACGUCUAAUGAAAAACUACACUAUAAUAAGACUUUACUAUGUGCAAUAAAUAGAAUAAAUGAGUUAUUAAAGAAUAGAGAAAAUCACACACAACAAUUAUAGUGGUUCAACUUAUGAUAAACCUACAUUCACUCUCCCAUGCUACAGCCUAUUAGUUGGAUUUCACUAUGAAGAAUUAAUAAGAGGUUACAAGAUAUGAACUAUAAACACUCAAGUUCAUGCGUAUAACUCCUCACACACUCUCAACUUCUAAAUAAUUAUACAAUGAUACUCAUAGAGACAAAUGUAUUUGACCGCAAAACACUCUUUAGACUUUGGAAUUAUAAGUUUUGAUUCUCUUGUGUUGCGUUUUUCCUUUUAGCUUCGAGACCUCCUUUUAUACUUCUCCCAAACCAAGCUAACCAUUGGACAUAUAUCCAAAAAGAUUAUCUAGCCAAUCUACCUCUUGGCCUGGAUCUCAUUAAGAAUGUUUGAUCACUUUAAGGAUGCCGAGAAUAAAGCUUCUCAUAGAUUCUGCCACUCAUACAGCAGUUUGGGUUUUCAUAAGUCGAGUGCUUCAACUUAGAAAGAAUGUUUCGCCUCAAGUAUAUCGUUCUAGGAAAGACGAGGAAUCCAAUCAGUCGCUGCUAACCUUUAUUGUCUCAUUCUAGCUGUUUGACAGAGUACAUAAGAAAGGAAAUAAUUAAGUCAUGACUCUGGUUUUGAUUGAUAUUGUCUGAUCAUACUUCGUUGGACUUUGCACUUGAAAAAUACUUAUCAUCAGAAUUAAAGUCUUUACGCUAGAUAAGUUUUGUCAAUCUUCAAAAUCAAUUUGGGAGAUUUUCUCAACAAUCUCCACUUUUUUAUGAUGACAAAACUUUCCAAGCAGAACUUUAGAAAAGAUUUUAAAAAGAUUUAGUAAUCAAAUAGCUCUAUUGAAAGCAAUAUUUUAGAUAAGGCACAAUGUGAAUUCUAUAAGAACUUUGCUGAUUUUGUAAAGAUAAGUACAAACUUCUUACAGAAUAUUGAGCUAAUCAGAGUGAAUAAGAUUUGUAAAGAAAUUUCUUGAUUUGUGAAGAAAUUCCUUACUCUGAUUAAGGAAGUUCAAGAUAAGAAUAGAUUCAAGAAAACUUCCUUUUUUUUUUUAUAUAUAUAGCUUCUCCUUAGCAAGAUCACAAAAGAUCUUCAUCUACAUAUAGUGUUAUGCUUUUCUUGCAUUUUCUCUUUCUUUUUGUCAGCAUCACAAAAGAGACAAUAAUAAUGGAAGGAGUAUCACAGAGAGAAUAUGCUAUUCAGCUCAUCUUCACACACAAUCUUCAAAACAUAUUUAGCAUGAAAAUUUUUUUUCAUAAACAUCCUAUAGAUGCUAUGGUGAACAUAAAAUAAUUGCAAUAUAGCUCAUGUUAUUAUAGAAUCAAAUACCAUAUGCAUCAAAUAAAUAUAUGUCAAUGAUAACAUAUGCAAUAUAUAAAUUUCAUAUACAUUUUUUGUCAUAAUAAAACGAUAAUGGAAAUAUGAGAUUUAUAAUGACAAAAGGUAAGUGAAGUAAGAAAAAUACUAACCAGAUCAUGUAGAAUUUAGCAAGUUCUAAUAUACAUUAUAUUUUCUUCCAUAAUCAAGAGGAGGCAAAAAUUAAAUUGACUUAAUCAGGAUUUUCUCACACUUAAUUUACACUCCCUUUCAAUUUAAUGCCUUUAUGAGAUGAUCACGGUUCUUCUCCUUUAUUGUGCAUCCACUUUCUCAUUCUUUAAUAAAUUUAACAAAUUUUGCGCCUAGAGGAGAAUUUUUGCUCCUUCGAAAAUGGUGUGGAAUCUUCGCGAUUUUUCUGAUCAAAUUUUCCAAAAUUUAGAUGGAAAGAUUAUUUGCCACCUGCAAUUUUUUGUAAAAGAGAUAACAAUUUGCAAAAUAUAGACAAUAUCACGUACUUUCCUUCCUUGAAUUCGCGGAUUAAUUUUGCCAGUUAGAAGAUAUGCUUCUAACAUAUAAAAGCACGCAUUAAUUUCUUUCAAGAUUAAAAAGAUUCUAAUGUUUAAAAGAAAAUCUGAUUUUCAAAUGUUUAAAUCAUUUAUAAUUAUUCUAUAGCGAUGGUUAAACAUAUUUAUAUAGAUACAAAUGGAAUUUAUCUAUAUAAAUGCAUAAUAAGAAAAUAGUCCUAUAGAAAAGUUUAAGUUUAAGUGCAUUUAUUUCAAGUGAAAAGUUUAAGUUUAACUGCAUUUAUUUCAAGUGAGAAGUUCGUCAACUUUCAAACUGUUUUUUUGGAUUGGACAUUUUAACAAUAAUAACAUUACAUUCAUUAAUGGGAAGAGCUUUUAUUACAUUCUUAAUGCGAAAAGCUUCUCCACCAUAUCAUCCUCCUUUAGAAAUUUACAAAAGAAGAACAAGCCCAUUACAUUAAAAAACGAGAAAAGGCUGUUUAUUGUAAGAUAUGACGACAAAAUUAUUGAUUUGAACACCCGAAGUCCAAUGCCACUUUCGUUAACGAGAGACAUCAUUUUGGACGUUUAUAUCGCGUGACUCACGACAUUUAAUUGAAAGUGAUGGAUAGGCAACUUCCCAGCAGCUGCGGCUUUUAAUUAAUAGUGAAUGAAGUUGAUGGGUUCAGAAAAAACCAGAUGGAGGACAAUUAUGGAGAUGUACCACUUUUUUCAGUCGGUCGAGAUGUACAAUUAUGGAGAUGUACCAUUUCGCACGCCCAAUAUCUUUCGCCUUUCUUCUCGGUGCCUUUGAACUUUUGAAUAAAAAAAAACUCCAAUUUUCAAAUGUUUAAAUCAUUUAUAAUUAUUCUAUAGCUAUAUCUAUAAUUAAACAUAUUUAUAUAGAUAAAAUCACAAUCUAUAUAAAUGUAUAAUAACAAAAUGUUCCUAAAGAAUAUCUCUCAUUAUGACAUAUGAGACUUUGGACAAUUAGAAGAUUUUCCUUCAAACUAUUGAGAUUGGAUUUGCUACAUUCACCACAAAAAUGCUCCACCUAAGCACUACCUAGCAGUAUGCUUACUACUUACUAUGACGUAUUUGUUUUGAUCUCUUCCCCUUAAUGACUUACUUUUUAUCAUAAUUAAUUACCUUCAACCCCACAAAUAUUGCAAUAUAUGUGCCUUUAUAUUGAAAAGCAAAUCUUUUACAACACUUAUUGUCUUAUUGAAAACUAUUAGAAUGCGAGCAUGAUAUAAUUAGUGUGGUUUGGACAUCAGCCAAACCUAAUUAUAUAAACAUUGAAAUAUAUCUCAAGUCGGAGCCGGAUUAAACCGGAUCGAAAGACUUUGACACUCGACCUAUAGUCAAGAGUGGUGAGCGGGAAAUGCAUGGUGCCAUCCCAUCAUGGUGUUGCUUUGAGCGUCGAAAGAAAGAGAGACCGCCCUGGUCUUGACCAUAAGAGACGACUUUGCUCAGCUGAAGAGGAAAAGAGAGAAUGAUGAUGGCCACCGCUGACACGAGACAAAAGGGGAAGGAAACGACGAAGAAAGUUGCAAUAAUGGCGUCAUUUAACGGUGGCCGCUCAUUGUUUCCUUUCUUCUUUAUUUGCUUCUUGUGAAUUUUCUCUGUGAAUACGAAGAGGAAGAGCUCUUAAUGAGAGCUCCAAGGACUGCACAACGAGAUUAAAAAUUUCCUCUUAAAAGUUUUGAUUCAAAAAGUUUUUCUUUAUGAAAUUACACAAAAUGAAGUCAAUUAAAUCUUGUGUUAACGUUUAGGUCAAUCUUUUUAUGUGAAUGAAAUAUUAUUUUGAGAGAAAUUAUGAGGGUUAAACACAGAGUUCUUAGUCAUAUUUGAGGGAUAAAAAUACAAAUAAUAUUUGAGUAACUCAAGUAUUAUUAUAAUUUUCCAUUGCAUUGUAAUUUCAUGGUUUUCAUUUCCUCGUGGACGUAGGUCACAUAACCGAACCACGCAAAUUUAGUGUUUGAUUCAUUUCCUUGUUUUACAUUUUUAUUCAAGCACUUGUUUUAUUUCCAACAAUAAAUAUGGUUUGAAGAAAAGUGAAACCAAAUUAAACCGUAUUAUAGUCAAGAUCAAACCAAGCCAAACCAUUUUAUGUGGCUUGAUUCGGCUUAAUCAUUCUUUCUGCUUUUAUUUUACCUCUUCAUCACAUGUAAUUUCAUGACUAAAAAAAAAACAAAUUCUAUGCCACAACCCUUCCGAGGCGAGAUCCCUGAGGAAGUUACCGAAUUACCAAGUAAGCAUGAAUGGUCCCUUUUGCAAGGUGACGCUUGCUCUUGGCAGGAUCAAUCUCAACUUGGUUUUCAUUAAUUAUUUCAUUUGCUCAAGAGUCGCCAUUAAUUUUUUAUAAACCGAUUAGGAGUCAAGUAAAACACAAGAGCCUAUUUUACUUCUACAAACCAGAGAUUUGUGGGUCUAACGACUUGAUUAGGCUGGAUAUGUAAUGUGCAAUUAUUCAUGCGAUCUUCCAAUCUUAGUUACCCAUUUUGUUCUCAAUAUCGAGGGAAGAAGGCGAUCAUGCAUGAAAUCACUCAAGCAAACACAAAUAAAAUCCAAUAAUACUGAAACAAAUAGAGCAAAUAAAAGGUACGAAAAUAAAGAAAUUGAGCCGUAUUGCAAAAAAAAAAAAAAAUUAAUACAAAGCUUUGUUCUUAAGUUUCAAGAUAGGACCCCUUGAGCUAUAAAUAGAAACUCGAUGUUAGAUCUCCAACUAUGGCUCCAAACCGGAAAGUCAAUAAAUGAUACUUCAUGAAUAUCCACUAUAUAAACUACUUUCCUAAAAUGAACAAUUACUUCAAAAACGUAAAAUCUACUCAAUGCAAUGUUAAGAAAACAAAAUUUAUUUAUGAAUAUGCAUUAUUGGUAAAAUACACUCCUAGAUGUUUUUUUUUUAAAAUUUUAUUUUAUGAAUAUGCAGUUUAUCUUUCCAUUUGUUUUUUUUUUCUUUUUUGCAUUUCCCCCUUCUUUAUAUAUACACGCACACAUAUAUAAGUGAAACAAAAUUUGAUUACGUGUUGAAAUAAAUAUGAACUAGAAUCUAUAUGCCAAAAUAAUAUGUAAUAUAAAUCCGGAUUUUCAUGAAAAUUUGCACUACGUUCACUUGGAAUUUUUUUUCUUUGGAAACGCUCAAUUGGAAUUUCAACCUUAAAAUUGCAUCAAGAACGACUUAGUGCACACGAGAAAAUAAAGAAAACUAAAGUGACAUAAUGCUAUGAAUUAGAGCCAAACUAAUCCACACUAUGCGAAAAUCAACGGUGGAUGAAUAAAUCUAUACGAAUAACCAAUUUUCUCUCUACCGCUUUUUUUAGGGCGCAGUUUAGCUAACCGUCCUCUGUCAAAUGAUGGAGUGACAGUCAACUAAUGACCACACAAUUCGCAUGGAUUCCAUCUUUUACCCUUUUUUUUUUUUUUAAUUUUAUGUUUUCUUAUUGCAAGCUUAAAUUGAGAGAUAAAAUCAUAAGAGGGCCCAUACAAUCAAUUUUCAUGAAUAUUAUGAAAGAAAAAAUAAAUUAGAUACCGAAAUAUAAAUAAUUAGAAGUAAAAAAUAUUGUCAUCCACUACAAAGAAAUCGUUCAUUUCAUUAUGUAGAUCUAUUAAAUUUAAAAGAUGAAAAAACACUUGAAUUGUUGGCUUUGCAACUAAUAACAAAAUUAUUGUGCAAUGAAUUGGCUUCUCAAUCAUGUCACCAAAAUCAAAUUGCUUUGGAAGGACUCUCCGAUGACCUAAAAUUAAGACGAGUAAUGUUAAUUACGCAUAAAACAAAUGAAGUAAAGAAAAAGAACAAAAUAAGAAUAAUGAAUUAGUAGAGAAGAAAAUUUACCCCAUUGAUCUCGUAGAUGAAGAUGAUUUGGGACCUAAAAUAUUACAAAAUCAAUCUUAGGAUCACACGAGUGAAAAGUAAGCCGAAAUGAUUUUUGAUCAAUUUUUAUAAAUAUUUUACCUAAUAUAGCUUCAAUGUUUGGUUCGUUGAGAAGAUUCACAUAACCAUGAGAUAUGACCAUAUAUCAUUUUAUAUAGAUAAAAAGUCAAUUUAUAGGAAGGUAUUUUAAAUAAAAUAAUAAUAAUACGUAUUAGCAACUAUUGAAAACCCUCAAUUCUUUCCUGAUUGCAAAUCAAAUUUCAAGAAUAGUUACGGUAACUCAUAUCAUCCAAAUUACCAAUUAUAUUUUGGUAUCUAAUUUAUUUUUUCUUUUAUCAUAUUCAUGAAAAUUGAUUGCGUGGGUCCUCUUAUGAUUUUAUCUCCUAAUUUAAGCUUACAAUAACGAAACAUAAAAAAAAGGGGUAAAAGAUGGAUUUCAACCGGUUUCCAUCCAAAAUGUGUGGUUCUCAACUGACCGUCACUCCAUCAUUUGAAGGAGUGAUGGUCAGCUAAGCCUUUUCCACAUUUUAACGAGGGGCAUGCCUACAUAAAAGUUAAGUGCGUCUUCAUUGCUCAACCCAACCCACCAAUUCUGAGAAAAGUCACACAUUUGCAUGUGGACAAACCAUUUACGUAUAUCAAAGCCCAAAUCUUUCUCAUUUAUUUCGAAUUCAUUUGCAUUGCACAUUGUAGAAACAAUAACAUCACAUUCAUUAAUAUGAAGAAUUUUAUUACAUUCAUAUUGUGAAAAGUUUCUCCACCAGAUCAUCUUCCUUUAGAAAUUUAUAAAAGAAGAACAAGUUCGUUUCAUUAGAAAAGAAGAAGAGGAUGUUUAUUGUAAGUUAUAUAUGAUGCAAUUCUUGAUGUGAACACCUGAAUUUAAAUGCCACUUUUGUUUGUAAGAGAUAUCAUUCUGGACGCUUCUACCCCAUGACUAACCUGAUUUAAUUAACAAUUAUGGACAGCUAACUUCACAGCAGCUGCAGCUUUCAAUUUAUAGUAAAUUAAAGUUGAUGGCUUCAGAAAAAGUGAGAUGGAAGACAAUUAUGGAGGUGUACCUUUUACACGCCCAAAUUCUUUCGAGUUUCUUCUUGGUGCUUCUGAACUUUUGAAUAAAAAAAAAUCCGAUUUUCACACGUUUAAAUCAUUUAUAAUUAUUCUAUAGCUAUAUCUAUGGUUAAAUACAUUUAGAUAAAAUCACAAUUUAUCUAUAUAAAUGCAUAAUCAUAAGUUUAAGUCUGUCUGCGGCGCUCAACACACCAAUUCAUAAUCCUUGCAUGGAUACUUUCGUCCCCUGAUGUUCGAAACGCUCUUCUUUUUUCUCCCUUGUGGUAAAAAGAAUCCUAGUACCAAGAUACAAAGACUUCACUCCGAUUAGUUUUUGGAUAUGGUUGCCCUCAUUGACAUCAUCCAAGACAAUUAGCAUUCAUCAAUGUUAUCAAUUUCAUUAGUCACUCUAGAAUAAGAGAUAUUCGACAGUAAUUUUUCUUGUAGUUGGACAACGCCCUUUGUUUUUGGCGUUACCCUCACGUCAUCAAGAAAGUUGCAGUUUUUCCAAAAGCGAGGAUAUAGCUGGUUGAAGAUAUCCUUGGCGGGUUCUGAUCUAUCGAUGCUGCCCACCCUGUAGAUUCCAGUGAAUUGCACAAUACCAAAACUAAUGUCUUAUACAGUGUUUAUGGCUGCUAUUCAAUCCUCCGUUCUAACUAAAUCUUCGAUCACUUGUCUUUGUCUUGCAUUGAGCCUAACCACAAUCUCAUUUACAAUCGACUUGAUAAGAUUCCCAUGGCUGCCACAAAGUCAGUCAAUUUCAAAUGAGAAAAGGAGACAAAUUUGCACGUGGACAAAGCCUUUACAUAUAUCGAAGCCCGAAUCUACCUCAAUUGAUUUCAAAUGCGCAGCUCAUGUUUGCCAAAUUUCAGUCAUUCUUUUGCAUUGCACAUUUUAGAAACAAAAACAUUACGUUCAUUAAUGGGAAGAGUUUUAUUACAUUCUUAAUGUGAAAAUCUUCUCCACAAGAUCAUCCUCCUUCAAAAAUUUACAAAAGAAGAACAAAUGUGCGUCGUUAGAAAAGGAGAAAAGGACCCACGAAGAAAUUCUUGAUUUGAAUUCCCAAAGCUCGAUGCCAGUUUCGUUAGUGCGGGACAUCAUUUUGGACACUUGUAUCGCGUGACUCACGGGAUUUAAUUGAAAAUUAUGGAUAGACAACUUCACAAUAGCUGCAACUUUUAAUUUAUAGUCAAUAAAGUCGAUGGCUUUCGGGAAAAUGAAAUAGAGGACAAUUAUGAAGGCGUAUCUUUCACCGGACCAAUUUCUUUUGAGUUUCUUCUCGGUGCCUUUGAACUUUUGAAUUAAAUAAAAAUCUGAUUUUCAAACGUUUAAAUCAUUUAUAAUUAUUCUAUAGCUAUUACUAUGGUUAAACAUGUUUAUAUAGAUAAAAUCACAAUUUAUCUAUAUAAAUGCAUAAUAAAAAAUUCUAAAGAAUCCCUUUCAUCAUGACACAUGGAAUUAUGGAUAAUUAGAAGAUAUUUCUUCGUAUCAUUGAGAUUGGAUUCGCUGCAUUCACUAUAAAAAAGUGCUCCACCUAAGCAUAUAUUUACUAUGAAAUAUUUGUUUGAUCUCUUUGCCUUAAAGACAUACCUUUUAUAAUUAUUAAUUACUUUUAACCACUCAAAUAUUGUCAUAAACGUGCUUUUAAAUAUUAAAAAGCAAAUCUUUUACAACACUAAUUUCCUUAUUGAGAACUAUUAGAACGUGGGCAUGGUGUAGUUAGUGCUAUCAGCCAAACCAAAUUAUAUAAAUGUGGAAAUAUAUCUCCAGCCGGAACCUGAUCAAGUUAAGAUCGGACGAGAAUUAUAGAGGCUUGACCUCUAUUCAAGAGUGGUGAGAGGAAAUGCAAUGAGGGCCCGUCCAUAGCAAUGAUACCAUCCCAUCGUGUCGUUGCUUGGAGCGUGGAAAGAAAGGGAGAGUAUGAUGGUCUGGACCACGAGGGACGACUUUGCUCAGCUAAACAAAGGGAAAAGAGAGAUUGAUGAUGGGACAAAAGGGUAAGGAAAAACGACGAAGAAAGUUGCAAUAAUGGUGUCUUUUAACAAUGGCCACUCAUUGUUUCCUUUCUUCUUUAUUUGCUUAUAGUCUUUAAAUUCGAAGAGAUGAGAGCUCCGAGGACUGCACAGAGGAGACUGAAAAUUUCCUCUUAAGGGUAUGAUUUAGAAAGGUUUUCUUCGUGAAAUUACAGAAAAUGAAGCCGAUUAAAUCUUGUCUUAAUUUUUUAUAUCAUUCUCUUAUGAAAUUGAUAAAUUAUUUCGAGAGAAGCUGUGAGGGUUAAAGACAGAGUUAUUAGUUGUAUUUGAGGAUGAAAAACACCAAGAAUAUCUAAGUGCUUCGAAUAUGACCUUAAUAUCCAUUACUUUGUUUUAUCUAUAAAGGAAAUGUAUACUGAUUUUCCCGUGGACGUCCGAUUCAUUUCCUUAUUUUGCGCAUUUUUUUUAUCCUUUGUUUUAUUUUCAAUAAUAAAUGUGGUUUUACAAAAAUAGAAAAAAAACCAAACCAUAUUUUAGUCAAACCAUUUUCUGCGGCUUGAUCCGGCUUAAUUGUUGUUUCUUCUUUCAAUUUAUCUCUUCAUCAUUUGAAAUUUCAUGAGAAGAAACCAAAUUCUAUGUUGAGACCCUUCCGAGGUGAGAUCCCCAAGGAAGUUGUCGGAUGGCCAAGCAAGUGCAAAUGGUCCCUGUUGCAAGGCGACGCUUGCUCUUGGCAUGAUAGGUCUCAACUUGGUUAUUUGAUUAAGAGUCACAACUAAUUUUUUGAAGCAAAUAGGAGUUAAGUAGAACGCGGGAGCCGCCUUACUUCUACAAAUCGGAGAUUUGUGAGUCUAAAGACUUGAUUAGGCUGGAUAUAUCUAAAGCCCAAUUUGGUACUUUUUUUUUUCUCUUUUUAAAAAAACAAUUAUUCAUGCAGUCUUUCCAAUUUUAGUUACCAUUUUUAUUCUCAAUGUUGAGCAAGGCAAGUGAUCUCGCAUAAAUUCACUCAAGCAAACACAUAUAAAUCCAACAAUACCGAAACAAAUCUAGCAAUAAAAGGUACGAAAAUAAAGAACCCGAGCUGAGAAAAAAAUCAAUACAAAGCCUUGUUAUUAAGUUCCGGAAUAGGACCCCUUAAGCUAUAAAUAGACACUCAUUGUAAAAUAUAAAUAUGGCCCAAAAAUGGAAAGUAAUAAAUGAUACUUCCUGAAUAUAACUAGAUAAACUACUUUCCUAAAUGAACUAUGCAUCUAGAAGUAAAACCUACUUAAUGCAAUCUAAAGCGCNNNNNNNNNNNNNNNNNNNNNNNNNNNNNNNNNNNNNNNNNNNNNNNNNNNNNNNNNNNNNNNNNNNNNNNNNNNNNNNNNNNNNNNNNNNNNNNNNNNNUUAUGAAUAUACAUGAUUUCUAAAAUACAUUGCCAGAUAUAUAUAUUUUAAUGAAAAUGCAGUUCAUCUUUUUCUUUUCUUUUCCCCUUCUUUAUAUAUAUUAUAGUGAACCGAAAUUAAACAAAAAAUUUACUAAGCGCUGAAAUAAAUUUGAACUAGAAUCUGUAUGCAAAAAUAAUAUGUAAUAUAAACCCGGAUUUUCAUGAAAAUUUGCACUACGUUCACUUGGAAUUUUUUUUUUUUUUGGGUCUAAACGUUCACUUGGAAUUUUAACCUUAAAAUUCUUCCAAGAACGAGUCAUUGCACACCAGAAAUAAUGAAAACUAAAGUGACAUAAUGCUAUGAAUUACAUCGAAACUGAUCCACACUAUGCGAAAAUCAAUCGUGGAUGAAUACAUCUAUACAAAUUCCCCAUUUUCUCUCUUCCGCUUUUUACAUUUAACUGAAGGCAUGCCUGCAAAAAAAUUAAGUCAUCCUUGAAUUUAUACUUAAGUCCCCUGAAAUUUGAAACACUCUUAUCCUUGCUGGCAACAAGUAUUCUAGUACCAUAAUACAAAAAAAAAUUCACUCUGAUUAGUUUUUGAAUAUGGUUGCCCACAUCGACAUCAUCCAUUAUGAUUAGCAUUAUCAAUGCUAUCGAUGUCACAAGUCACCCUAGAGUAAGAGAUAUUGGACAAUAAUUUUUCUUGUAGCUAGACUAAGCCCUUAGUUUUUGACGUUUCCCUCGUGUCAUCAAAAAGCAAGCGAGGAUAUAGCUUGUCAAAGAUAACCCUGGGGGGUGCUGUUUUACUAAUGCUGCCUAUCCCCUAGAUUCGAAUGACUGCACGUUACCAUAACCGGUGUCUAAUAAAUUGUUUGUGGCUGCUAUUGGAUCCUCCAUUUCAACAAAAUGUUUGAUCACUUGUCUUUGUCUUGUCUCGAGCCUAACCACAACCUCAUUAACAACUGACUUGAUAAGAUUCCCAUAGGUGCCACAAAGUUAGAUGGUUUCAAUUAAGAAAAUGUAACAAAUUUGCAUGUUGACAAACCAUUUACAUAUAUUAGAGCUCAAAUUUGCCUCGAUUCAUUUUGAAAGCGCAACUAUUGUUUGUCAAAAUUUAGCCAUUCUUUUGGAUUACAUGUUUUAGAAACAAUAACAUUACAUUCAUCAAUGGGAAGAGUUUUAUUACAUUCUUAAUGUGAAGAGCUUCCCCACAAGAUUAUCCUCCUUCAGAAAUUUACAAAAGAAGAACAAGUGCGUUUCAAUUAGAAAAGGAGGAAAUAAUACACGAUGAAAUUCUUCAUUUGAACACUCAAAGCCAUAUGCCACCUUCAUUAGUGAGAGACAUCAUUUUGGACGAUUGGAUUGGGUGACUAACGGGAUUUAAUUGAAAGUUAUAGACAUGCAAUUUCAUAGUAGCUGCAGAUUUUAAUUUAUAGUCAAUAAAGUUGAUGGCUUUAGAAAAAAUGAGAUGGAGGACACUUAUGAAGGUGUAGCUUUAGAGGCCCAAUUUCUUUCGAAUUUCUUCUUGGUGCCUUUGGACUAUUGAAUAAAUAAAAGUCUGAUUUUCAAACGUUUAAAUCAUUUACAAUUAUUCUAUAGCUAUAUCUAUGGUUAAACAUAUUUAUAUAGAUAAACUCAUAAUUUAUCAAUAUAAAUGCAUGAUGACAAAAUAUUCCUAAAGAGUCCCUCUCAUUAUGACACAUCGGACUAUGGAUAAUUAAAGGAUUUUUCUUCAUAUUAUUGAGAUUGGAUUUGCUGCAUUCACCACCCAAAAAAGAGAGAGGAAAUGCCACUAAAAACCCCAAACUUCGCCCAAGUGACAAAUUUACCCUAAACUUUUUUUGUGACAUGAAAAACCCUAAAUUUUGCAAACCGUGACACAUUUACCCCCCACCAAGGGCAUUUUCAUUUUUUUUUCCCUUCUUCUUCUUCUCCUCUCUUCCCUCGGCCGGCCAUGGCGAAAGCCAAUGGAGGGAAGCCGGAGUCAGGCAAGGGACGCCCUCGCUGACGUUGAGCGAGGGUGGCCCUCAGCUGGGUUAGGCAAGGGCCUCCUUCCCUAGAUCUGGCAAGGGUGGCCCUCAUUUGCGUUUGGUGAGGACGGCCUUCACCCGACGCCGACAAGGGCUUGGCAAGGGAGGCUCUUGCCGGACCCAAUUGAGGGCUGCCCUCACCUAAUGUUGGCGAGAGCAGCCCUAGCCAGCCCAGGUGAGGGCAGCCCUCGCCUGACUCUGGCUUCCCUCCACCAUGGCUGGUGGAGGGAAGAGAGAAGAAGAAGAAAAAAAGAAAAAAAAGUAACAUACCAACAUGCCCUAUAGUUUAUGGUAAAUGUGUUACACGAAAAUAUAAGUUCAGGGUCUUUUGUAUAAUGAAAAAAAAUUUGGGAUUAAUGUGUCACGGUUGGCAAAGUUCAUGAUUUUUCAUGUCACAAAAAAAAGUUUGGGGUAAAUUUGUCACUUUGGGCAAAGUUUGAGGUUUUUUUUUUAUGGUGUUUCCUAAAAAAAAAAAAAAAAAAACUCCACCUAAGCUUAUUCUUACUACUCACUAUGAAAUAUUUGUUUGAUCUCUUUGCCUUAAAGAUGUGCCAUUUAUCAUAAUUAAUGAUCUUUAACUGCUCAAAUAUUAUCGUAAACGAGCUUUUAUAUUUAAAAAACAAAUCUUUUAUAACACUUAUUUCCUUAUUGAGAACUAUUAGAAUGUGAACGUGGUGUAGUCAGGGCCAUCAGCCAAAUCAAUUACGUAAAUGUGGAGAUAUUUCUCGAGCCAGAGCCUGAUCAAAUCAGAUCGGAGGAGAAUUAUGGUCGCUCGACCUCUAUUCAAGAGUGGUGAGAGGAAAUGCGAUGAAGGCCUGUCCAUAGCAAUGAUGCCAUCCCAUCAUGGUGUUGCUUUGAGAGUGGAAAGAAAGGGAGACCAUGAUGGUCUCGACCAUGAGAGACAGCUUUGCUCAGCUGAAGAAAGGGGGAAGAGAAAUUGAUGAUGGAACAAAAGGGCAAGGAAAGCGACGAAGAAAGUUGAAAUAAUGGUGUCUUUUAAUGAUGGCCACUCAUUGUUUCCUUUCUUCUUCUUUAUUUGGCUCUAGUAAAUUCUGUCUGAAUUCGAAAAGAGGAGCGCUCCGAGGACUGCUCAGAGGAGAUUGAAGAUUUCCUCUUAAAGGGUUUGAUUCAGAAAGGUUUUCUUCGUCAAAUUACACAAAAUGAAGCCAAUUAAAUCUUGUCUUAAUAUUGUAUGAGAUUGAGAAAUUAUUUCGAAAGAAAUUAUGAGGGUUAAAGACAGAGUUAUUAAUUAUAUUUAAGAAAUGAAAAAUUACCAAGAGCAUAUAAGUGACAUUAAAAAAAGAGAAAAGGAUACACGAAGAAGUUCUUGAUUUGAAUGCCCGAAGCCCGAUGCCACUUUUGUUAGUGCGAGACAUCAUUUUGGACGUUUGGAUCGCGUGACUCAUGGGAUUUAAUUGAAAGUUACGUAUAGGUAACUUCACAUUACCGGGAAAAUGAUGGCUCGGAAAUGGGAGGCUCGCCUUCGGCCGCCUGUGGCUUUCUCAACAGUGUUGCGUCGAUUUCCAACGACUUUGAAGAGAUUGGAGAUGGCCGGAAAUUCUUCUGUGUCUUUUUUUUUUCUCUCAUUUUUUAAGUCUGUCAUAUUUCGGGCCAAACCCAGCCCAAAACUAAAUUGAUGCCUAUCCAAGAGGACUUGUUUAGGCCCCAACCCUUCAACCGGGCCUGAAGUUGAUCGGGCGGGGCGUAUUUUUCAAUAAAAAAGCCACCCAUUUGCAACUAUACUUCCGAUUACUAGACGCCAAAGGAACUCACGAACUCAUUGCUACACCAUUCUUUAUCUGCCGUAGACAAACAAGCAUUCCUAUUCUGUAACAUAGAAAUGGCAACAAUUUAUUGCUUAUGCCCAUUCAUGAUGAAUACUUUCCCCAAAAUUCAAUCAACUAAUAUUAAAUUAACCCCAAUAACAACUAAUCACAAUAUUCCAGCAAUAUUAACCCUAAAGCAGUAAAGAUAGUGCUGAAUAUUAAAGCAAGGGAAAACCAACACCUGUAAAAUUUUACGUGAAAAACACAAUGCAGAAAACAUCACGAGACCAGUAAAAAUCUUCCGCUAAUCACCAAAAAUAGCAUAAUACAUAAUAGUUCAUCUCAAAGAACACAGUUAGAGGCUCUUUCACCUAAACAAAAUAUUAUCACCACAAAAGUGGAUUAACAUAAAGAAGUAAGAAAGAUCUAACCGCUACCAGACAAAAUCAGGAGACAACUUGGAGAAGAUUUUAACAAACACAACCGAUCAACUUGUAGAUCAUGGACUCACAAACAGCAUAUGAAAUUUUGGCCAAUUCCGACAAAGUUUCACUAUUGAAUUUAGACUACCUCUUCUCUUCUUCAAAGCAAAGCUCUUUCCCUCUUUUUCUCUAUAACAACGAAUUGUUCAUCCCUCUCUUCUAAAUCAAGAACAUUCAGCCCUAUCAAUUCUUUUUCUUUUUUAUUUUAUUUAACAUGAUGAGAUGAGCCCCACAAGAGGUGGACCCAACCCAACAAACAUCCUCUUCACCUUAUGAAGAAGUUUCAUUAUGCCAGCAUUAUCAAUACAGGAAGCAAGUUUCACCAUUGGCAAGGUUUUACUCAUCAUAUUGGAUCCAUUAUCAUUAGUGUAGACUUUCUCAAGUAAGAAAAGUUUAUCAUCUAAUUUAUCUCGGAUCCAAUGACAAGGAUAAAGCAUUAGUCUGGAUAAAGCAACCAGAUGCAAUUCUAGUGAACAUCACUCUAUCUUCAGCAAUAUGACAUGGAUAAAGUCGCGACAUAAAGCAUCCCGCAUAAUGCUGUCUUGUAUUUGCACGAAUAGAUUUGAUCUUGUCGGGGGCAAGACUGCUCAUCUCUAACUAAUAACAGCAGCUACCAAAGAGUUUAUAUAUCUAGAGCAGUAUCAUGAUUCACUCUCUAAGGACAAACACCCUCUAGAAAUGGAGAGAUCAGUUUCCUAUAUCUUCUUUAGUUUGCUUGCAAACCAUAAAUGGUGGAAGUUGAGAUCCAUGGAGUAACCUGACAAGCCAAAGUUUCAAGCCACUAAAACAUGUGUGUUUACUGUAGUGUCUCUUUUAUUACGUAACCUUUUGUUUUGAUAGGGCAUUUUUUCAAAACAUACCAAAACCGACAUCAAAGGCACUUUUAGAGCAAUAAUAUCAGAUUAUAUUAGUGUUGUGUUUAUCCUAGACUAUGUUGGUACACAGCUUCGGGGAAAUUGAAUGAAAUAUCGACCGACUAAAUUAAAGUUCAAUGCAACCAAAUGCUAGGCUCUUAAGAAAUACUCCCCAGUAGAGAGACUUGUCGAUUAAGAAAUUUAGCUGAAGCUCUCUCCAUUUUACUUUUACACUAACGGCAGGCUGACCAAUAAUAUAAAGUUUCAUUCAAUCAUAUUAUGUUAAAUAUUAUCUCCUUAUAACCAAAUGCAGCCAGUCAAAGUCAAGUGAAGAAUUCAAUAAUAAUUAUGCUUCAUUUGUUUCACGAAAAAUAAAUGAUUUGGAAAAUAAUUUCUAAAAAAAUGAUACAUUGUAUUUCUUGAAAUAAUUAGUCAAUAAAUAAUGUUUUCAUUAUUAAUAAUAAUCUUAUAUCUAAAAAUUUUGGUGAAUGAUAAAGAAAAUAUUCUAUCAUUUAUUUUUAUAAGCGAUACAAGUAAUUGUAAGUGAUAUAAAUAAUAUUUUUUGAUAUUUUAAAUUAUUCAUUCUUGUGAAACAACAAGAUAACGAAAUAAUAUUUAGCCAAAGAAAAUGGGUAAUUGGGCCCAGUUUUCGUUGGCCCAAAAAUUCUCUUGGGCUAAAUGAAACCUUCGUCCCUCACGCUGACGAAAGAAAUUCUCAUCUUUCAGUCGACUUGAAGAGCAUUUUUGGUUCUAAAUCGAGCUCAAACCUUCGUUUCCGCUACUCAUCUUCGUUUUCAUCUAAGGUCUUCGGGGAGCUUCUGUGAGCGUUUUUCACUACUAAUCGUUACACCGCCGCUUUUGUUCUUCAAUUUGAUAUCUAUUUUGCUUUUUUAAGCCAGUUUUCGUUGAUGUCGCGACUGUUUCUUGCUGAUUGGAUCGUCUUCGACCUGGGGCUGGAUGGUUUCUCGCUCGGGUGGCAAGAAAAUGUCGGAGAUCUCUUGUGGUGAUCGAGAUAGAUAGUAGUGUAAGAAGGUGAGAUGAAGAUUUAAGAAAUGUUGUGCCGUAGGUUUGUUCCAGCCGUAAUUGCGAAUGGGUGUCCGUGGAAUUACUUCCGUUGGACGUGCUUGUUUGUCUGUCUAAAUGGCGUGCUUUCUUUGAACUGGUGAUUAUUUUGUGCUUGAGUCAGAAAUUGGGAAUGCGAGCAAUUUGAGCAUGGACUCAUCUUCUCCAAUUGGGAAAAGAGAUGUCCCUAGUUCCCUUUCUUCCAUAUUAUUGUACAUGUGAUUGUUCCAAACAAAGUCUAACACAAUCUGUUGUUAAAUUUAUAGGAUCGUUACGAUCCUUGAUGACCUCACGAAAUUUUGUGAUGGGACAUGCUUAAGAUUUGAUUCCGUGUUCAUUGAUAUGUGGUGUCUUACUGGAAGAUGGGCGAGCUCGCUGGCGAUGAACAUCUCAAGUACAUACUGUGUUGAAAAGGUAGGUAUGAAAUUUUUACUACUCUCUUCUUGUUCUCUUGUCCACUUUCUGCCAGUUACUGAAAAUGACUUGGUUUAUCUGGAUCUGCUACUAUUCAGCAUUUUGGAGUUUACUAAUUUGAGUUUCUGGGUUUGAUCUUGCACUCAGAAAAAGGAUAGUUUUGAGUCAUUGAUUAUGGAGCACUUGAGCUUGAAUGGAGCAUUUUGGGGAUAGAACACUCUAGAUCUUCUUGGAAAACUUGGCACUGUGGAUUCAAAUGAAGUUGUUUCUUGGAUCCUGUAAUGCCAGCAUCUGUCUGGUUCGUAUUUUUUUGUCUCUCGGCUUCUUUUUUGGGAUUACCCACCAAAAACAUGUGGCUGACGGAACCUCCACUCCACAUUCAGUCAAGUUUUUCUUAUUUGACAGUAUGCUUAAGAUAUUAGCUUGGGAUUGACAAGUUCCAUCUAUUACAUUGAUGACCACAUCUUAGGAGGGAUUAGUGUUGCUUUAUUUAUUUAUAUUCUAAAACUUGACUCUAAAGAGCAAAGUGCAAAUGACACUUAGGGCCUGCUUGUGCAGGUGGCUUUGGUGCCAAAUAUUGGACAUGAUCCGCAUCUGCUGUAUGCACUCAGAGCCGUGCAAGUACUGGCCCUUUAUGACAAAUUAGAUGUUUUUGACAUCAAUAAUGUGACAGAUUGUAUCCUUUGGAAUAAAGUGUCUUAGAUUCGCAACUUCCUUGAUGAUCUUACCUUAGGCUCUGUUUUGCAUGUAAAAGGUCAGAUUAUGUUAUGGAAUUUUAUAGUGUGUAUAUUGCUAGCCAGACAUUGAUGGAGAUUGAAGUUGCUACUGUUGGAUUAUCUCUGGUAUCAAAUGUUCUACAUUGUUGUGCCUGAACGAAGAUGAAUCUUUUUCUGGGGAUAUAUGCGGAGAAGUUGAUGCUCGGUGUACUGUCCUCAUCUUUGAUCAAUUAUUAUUUUUGUGCUUCUUGAGGAUGUUUCUUAAAUAAUUGACAUCCCUUCACCCCUUUCUUCCCUUCGAAGGUUCUCUCAAUGUGCUAUAUGCUGUCUUGCAAUACUUAAACGGUUGGAUUCGAUAAAUGUGGAGAAUGCUGUCAGAUAUAUAGUGAGUUGCAAAACUUUGGAUGGCGGGUUUGGUUGCAUUCCUGGUGCAGGGUCUCACCUGAAAUGAUAUCAUUGCACGCAGCCUUCGCUUCCAUCUUGAUGGUAUAAUCAUGGCGUAAACCACUGAUGUCUAUCUAAGAUAUCCCAAGACAACGCACUAAUGUCCUUGCUCUCUCAACUAAUCUAGCUGGUAGUAGUUAACAGUUGGAGAAAACCAUCUGGUCUAGCUAUAUCUACAGGGAACUAUUCGUUGCCAAAAUGCCAACUAAAAUGCCAGAAUCUCACCAUACUAUCACAAAAGGUAAAGAAACUUCAGAGUUGCCUAAGUUAUUAUUAAGCUACGAUCUUCACAAGACAAUGAUCUCCUUAGGAUUGGUAAGAUUAUAGUCUCAUAUAAGUUGAAUACAGUUUAAUAUUGGUGACAGUGUAUUUCGAGAAUGUAAACUCGACUGUAAGGCAUACUUAUUGAAUUUCAUAAAUCAUCUGUUUCGAAUAAUUUUUCUUUGCAAUUCCUAGGAUCCUAUAAUGUGCGGUUCAAGAAGUCUAUAUUCGGGACACAGCAGGUCCACAAUUGAUGGCAAGUUUUCCAAUCUGAAUAACCUUAGGACUUAGUAAAGUAGUAAUUAGGAGAUUAACAAAACCGCUUAAAUCCUCGAAUGCUUUGCUAACUGAGCAAGUAAACACACUUCAAACGUGUAAAACCCGCAAUGAGCAACGAUCGCAAAAUGCAUUCUCAUAAGCAGCCACGGAGGGCCCCAGUGAAUUGCAGUUCUCUCCUCUCCUAGCUAAGCAAUAACGGAAGUUCCUCCAGUCCACUGUCCUACCCUUGAAGAGCAAAUCUAGCAACCCAACCAAAUCUAGCAAGUAUGUCAUAACCUCAUGCUGAGCUCUUUCACGGGUUUCUAAUAUCUGAUUGGUGCAUAGUAAGUCGUGUAUUUGCUUAAAUACAUAGUGGUCUUCUAAUUAUGCUCCAAUGAACACAUCCAAAAGAUAAAACCGAGUCGCCACAGUUUUAAGACAUUCUUUAGGACUCAUCUUAGAAGAGAGAAAGUACAAAGGAAUUGAUGAUUUCCACUGGAGAAUUAGGCAUAAAACAAUGAAGGACCAAGCAAGAAAAUUAAGAAGCACAAGAGCCUGACCAAGCACCUUGCUACUAAGUGGCUCACUUUUCUCUCUUCUUUCAAUUCAAAUAAGAAAAUAUUUGCAAAACAGAGAACUGGAACGUGGGAGUAAUCAUGAAGCGAUAAGAUUUGGUGUUUCUACUUCAACGGAUAACAAAACCUGUGUGUAUUUUGUGUAGCCAAUUGUCGAGUCGAUCACGUAGUAAAUUUGACCUGUGGAAUCCUCAACCAUAAGCAGCAGACCUCAAAUUAGCAAUGGAAACCAAAACUGCCCAAAACAUGAAAGAAAAAAAAAAAAAACCGGACAUCCCAUUUUAAUUCUACAUGAUGAACCAAGAAGAGAAGCACUAGUUACUUCUUUUUCAAUCAUCAAGAGCUCCUCACAGGUAAUAGACAGCUCCUCACAUGUAAUAAAGAGACUGUGGAUACUCAUUAAAGCGACCAUUAACCAAACCUUAGAAUAUACUUAUAGACAAACUCUUCAAGAGAAGAUGCUCAACAUCUUGUGCACAUGAAUACGCUCAAUCGAACAGUCCACAAAAGCAUAGUAACAUAACUAGACUAGGCAUACAGACCCUUAUACAACUAUUAGCAUAUGAAGCUAGAGCUAGAGCUCAAGCUCAUGCUUAAUAUUUAAAGAUAAAUCACACAAUUACAUUCAACUAAACACCAACUGCCACACCAAAAAACACACCCAAAAAAAAAAAAAAAACCCAACUGCCCCACCACUCUUACCUGUUCUUCAGUGAUUAGCUAGUGAUCCAGAGCUCAGGUCCAUGACUCCCGCCACUGAUGAAAUUAAUGAAUGCACCAAAUUCCUCCAGCUGAGCGGCACUAAAGAAGAAAAUGUGCACUAGAGUGAAAAGUGGCACUGGAGAAGGACUUGAAGCUCACAGACCUGGAACUUGAAGCUCGCGAAGAAGGACUUGAAGCUUGUGGGCGACGAAGAAAGAAGAGAUGAUGGCAACCGACACGGCCAACGACGGACUGAAGUUCGAGAGGAGCGAGUAGCAUCGUGGAUUGAAUGACAGCGAUUUGCUUGUGCAGCGAGAGAGAGGAAGAAGAAAACAUGAAAAAGAACCCUAAUCCCAAUUCAAUCCAUCGUUCACGAAUAAUCAUCCAACUUUCUUUUCCCUUUUUGUUUUGCCGACUCUGUCUGCAGAAGGAAACGAUAAGUGAGUUGAGGUGAGGUCUCUUGGGCCUAAAAAUUUCUCUUAAGAAAGGCCCUUUUGUUAUGGAUGGUGAGGGAUGUAAGAUCCCCAACCUCGCCACCGAAGUGGACACACACAACAUAUGGAGCUUCCCAGUAAGAUGGGAAAUUUAAUAAGAUUUUUCUUGGUUGCGCGUUUUAGAAUCAGUUCAUUGUCUCUCUUCACUAGACUAAAGCAGAAAUAGAAAGCAAGCAAAGCAGAAGAAAAAACGUAUGAUCUACGAAUAGAAAGAAGGCGCACCGUUUUCUGUAGAGGAUCCCCUGUUUCUGUUUCAGAGUUCGUUGUUUCAAUUUCAGAGCCGCGCUUGCUUUUUUCUGCUCAAAAUCUUCUCUCUGUAAGACUCCCAAGUGUCGAAAUAUUCAGUGUAGCCAAGUUCACUAUCGUCUUCACUAUCGUCUUCACUAUCGUCGGAUGACUUCUCGCGUGGUAUGAGUAUCUCGCAAUUUUCUGGUUCUUUUGAGCUCAAUACAUCAAAAAUCCUUUCGAAUAUGCACCCACUAAUUUCCAAGGAACAUGAAGACUUUAGUUCGUAAAUGCCCUCAAUAUGCUGCAGGCUGGGGCACUGGUCAAUCUUUAUCCGCAAGUUCUUCAAGUUUGACAAACUGCCUAUCCUUUUUAACGAAGAGCACUGGUCAAUCUCUAACUGCUUCAAGUUCUUCAAGUUUGACAAACCGCCUAGGCUUUUUAACGAAGAGCACUCAUGAACGUAAAUUUCUUCCAAUGAUUUGAACGUAGAAUCAAAUUGAAUAUCCUGUACCUCAUGGGACCCCGACAGACUGAACCUUCUAAGCAUCUUUUGGGAGCUUGGGAAAAGGAUCGCUUCCCUCCUAUGGUCAGUCAACUCGGGAGCUUGUAGUUCACUUUUCCCCCGCUCCUCCGGGUGACAAACCUUACUCUUGGAAGAUCUGCGGAUUUUUGAGCUCGAAGCAUCAAAAAUCCUUUCCAAUGAUCUGCACCCCCCAAUUUCCAACCAACGCAAAAACUCCAGUUCGUCAAUGCCCUCAACAACCUUCAAGCUCGGGCACUGGUGAAUCUCUAACCGCUUCAAGUUCUUCGAGCUUGACAAACCGCCUAAGGUUUUUAAUGAAGAGCACUCUUUAACAGAAAAUUCUUCCAAUGAUUCUAACGGAGAAACAAAUCGAAUAUCCUGUACCUCUGGGAACCCCGACAGACAGCAUUCUAUGAGCAUGUUAAGGGAGCUGGUGAAAAGGAAGGCUUCCCUCCGAUGAUCAAUUAACUUGGGAGCUUGUUGUUCGUUGCACCUCGGCUCCUCCGGCUGACAAACCAACCUCUCGGAAGAUCUGCAGUCCUGAAUGCGUGAUCUCUCCAACGAUUCUAAGACAUCGGGAAAUUGAACAUCAUGUUGCUCGCACACCUUGUUUUCUCUCGAUUUUCUCAAUGGAGGAAGCCCGUCAAGGUGUUCUUGUUUCCCUCGAGUUUCGUAGAGCUUUAAAAUUAUCAAGUUUGACGGAAGCUCUUCAAAAGUUGGCAAGUCUAGUCCAUGUAGAGUAAGUUCUUUCAGCUGAGAAAGGGAAGACAGCUCUGUAGUUGGUGCGCGGACAUUUGGAAAGCGAAUGUGCAGCUUGCUCACUUUGGUUAAACUCCCAAUCCACCCCAAGUUGCCAGUUUGGAAUUCAUUUGAUGGGUGUCUAUGUCCAUAGCGACCAGAUAGGAACAGUUCAACUAGAUUAGUAAGGUAUGAGAGGUUAGGGACAGUCUGCAAUGAAUCAGAUGCCCAUUGUAGAGUGGUCAAACUUCUGGGGAGUUCCGGCAGUUCUUCAAUUUUUGUGGCUGAUGCAUUGAUAAAUAACAGGCUUCGUAGUCUACCAAUGGAAUUAGGUAAUCUUGAAAUACUUGUGCCAAAUACAUCCAGUUUCAUUAACUUCUCUAAUUUUGAAACUGAGUCAGGAAGUUCAAUCAGGUCAAAACAACUAUUAAGAGAGAGAUGUUGCAGAUUCUGUAGCUUUCCAAUCUGUUCAGGCAAUUUUCUCAGUCUGUAACAGGAUUUAAUUAUCAAGUGAGUCAGCCACUUUAGCUUCCCAAUAGAGUGGUCAAUUCGCAUCAAAGACCAAAAUGAAGAAAUAGCCAACUCCUCUAAAACUGAGUCCUCAGGAAAGGUUGGUAUCUCAUUUAUCAACCCAUUGUACCUAAUAGUGAGAACCUUCAAUUUCCUUGCCCCCUACAAAAGCCAAUGAAACAUCAGGACCAAAAAGAAAUAAAUAUGGAUGUAGGCUACCAACGAGAAAAUUAGAUUAUAAAUCCAUCAUAUUUUGUCCUUCGUUGAAUGAGAAAAUUAGACUCAGAGGGAAACUGGCAUACCUCGAUUAGGCUUUGAAGCACAUCUUCUGUGAUAUCAAGCCCACUAAGAUUCACCACAACUGCGUUUUCUAGAUGCAACAGAUUGGUUGCCUCCAAACGUUUAUUGGAGGGGGCAUGGGUACGAUCAAAAUAACUGUAACUCAAAUCGAUCAAUCUCAAAUCGGAAAGACAGCCCGUAAAGUCACCUUGGCAGAUUACCUCACGCAACCAAAGAAUCCGCAAAUGCGGGAACCGCUUAAUUUGCUCCGAAGUGAUGAUUUCAUCAUCUGCCCACAAACGAAGAGAUUGAACGCUUCCCUUAAUCUGCCAAUGACAUUGAGGAGCAGAAGCAGGAAUUUGUCAAUAUCCCCCUAUGUUAUUUCUUAGAAGAGAAGAAAAACCGAAACAAAAGAGUGGCUACCAAAUAAAAAACGGGAAUCCUCAAUUAAGAAGAGGGUAUAAACAAUUUCUAUUCAAAUUUGGCCAUACUUUACCUCUGUUGAUCUUAAUUCGCGAAUGAUGUCAUCUUUAUCCCACAAUCUAGCACCCUCUUUUUUGGCAAUUGCUCUUCCAAGAUCUCUAAACUGAUCAUGCAUCCCAAAUCUAUCAUCAUCUAAAAAUAUCAUGCACCUCAUAGUAAGGAGCUUGAUGGCAAUCCUCACGGAAAACUGACAAUCUUUCCACAUGUACAUUGCAUUAGUCUUUUUCUGUCCAAUGAAAAAGCAUGCAAUAUCGAGGAAUAUUUUUUGUUGAUCCAAAUCUAAGGCAUCAUAGCUAAUCCUUAGCUUUUCCAAGACAUCAUUAUGAGGUGUUUUCUGUAGCUUCUCUAGCCACUCUCCCCAUAUUUCUUCUUCUUCCUCACCAAAAAGCGAUGAACCUAUUGCUUUAAGAGCUAAAGGUAGUCCAUUUGCAGUAGAGACAAUCCUUUCUGAAAGAGUGUAGUAAUUGCGUGGAGGAGAGUCGUCAUCGAAGGCAUGCUUACUAAAAAGUUGAAGUGCAUUUUCCUUGCUUAAUGGCACCAUUUCAUAUUCCUUGAAUUUACACUUUAAUCCCCUUUUAUUAUUCAGAAUACUCUUGUCCCUAGUAGUAACAAGUAUCCUAGUACCUCCUGGAUACAAUAUAUUCUCUCCAAUUAGGUUUUUGAUUUGGUCGGCUUUAUCAACAUCAUCCAAUACAAUUAGCAUCUUCUUCCUGCAAAUUUUUUUUUCAAUCAAACGAAUUCCAUGACCAAUGUUAAAAAUGUUAGGAGCCACUUCAGGAUAAUAGAUAUCGGACAAUAUUUUUUGUUGCAGCCUGACAAUGCCAUUGAUUUUUGCCAUUUCCCUCACGUUAUCAAGAAAGCUGCAAUUUCUCCCAAAGCGAUGACAUAGUUUGUUGAAAAUAGUCUCAGCAAGUGUUGUUUUACCGAUGCCGCCCAUGCCAUAGAUUCCAAUGAGCCGCACACCAUCGGAAUCAAUGUCUAAUAAAUCUUCUAUGGCCACUGCUCGAUCCUCCAUUCCAACUAAAUCUUUGGAUACUUUUAUUUCUCUUAUGGCCACUGUUCGAUCCUCUAUUCCAACUAAAUCUUUGGGUACUUUUAUUUCUCUUGUCUCAAGCAAGACCGCUACCUUGUCAACAAUCGCUUGGAUAACUUCUGUGUAGCUGCCACAAAGUUGAAUAGUUUCGAUUGAGAAAAGGUGACAAAUUUGCAUAUUGACCAACCAUCUACUAAGCAACCGGGUGGGAGCGUAAUCAAGUUUAGGAUAAAUCACAAUUCAACGUUAGCCCCCAAAGCUUUGGGAACAUGAUGAAUUACAAACUUGAACAUCCAUUACAAGUUUAAGGAAUAGAGUACGAGAAAUAUUUGAUUUUAUAUCAAGUAAUCGAAUCAAAAUUUCUAGCAAAAAGGGUAGAAGAAUCAAAAUAUAAACAUCUAAUGAAUUGCUGUAAUAGAAUAUUUACUUAUUUCUUUGGACGUGUAAAAGAACUUUGCAAAUGCAACAGUUCCAUAAUCAAGUUCUCUUGCAUACAAUGGGAAUCUUAAUACAUACAUGGAUCAAAGACGAAGCAAAGCCAAAUUUUUCAUACGAUGGAAAAUAGGUGAAAAACGAAAUUAUAAUAACCCUAUUGGGUCAGAAUUUUUUUUUGGAAAUCUCGUGAUUUACAAAAAUAAAAAGAAGAAUUUGAAACUUUCUGUUUAAAUUUGCAAAAACUAGAGUUGUAAUGUAAUUAAAUAAUUUUUAUAAGAAUUAUGGCCCAAUCGUACAAAAUAAUUUUCAGUCAUGGUUAGAUUGCUACCCUGGAUAUUUUGCCAACUCCCAUCCCUUGAUGCCACCAACUUCUUUGAGAGCCUGCUGCCAGGUCUGUAUAUCCUCGGAGUUGAACUUAUUCUUUUGACCCAAAUUCGAUAUGGCAUUCUUGUACAAUUCAGUUUUUAACUUCACGUCUUCGGGUUUCACGUUGUAGAAGAUGGGCAAUAUGACCUUCUUCUUCCCCUCUUCUUUAGAUUUAGCAGUGUUCUCCACCAUCUUCGUGAGCUCGUUGAGGCACCAGUGACUUGAAGCAUAGUCUUUGGAGAAGAUGGGUAUGUAGAGCUCGGAGUUGUCGAUUGCUUGUGGAAGGUUGUCACUAAUUCUUUCACCAAAUUGAAGUUCCUCAUCAUCAAUGAAAACACGAAACCCAACACGUAACAAGGCGUGGUAGAGGCUAUUGGUGAUGUACGGCGAGUAUCAGGUCCCCUAAAACUCAAGAACACGUGAUACAAACCUCCAAAUGUACUGCUGGUGCUUGUUCUGGUCUCUGGGCUUGCCAUAGGAGCUCACUUCACACUUAGCAGGUUCAGCCGUCUCUCUCUCUCUGAUUGACACUGUUGAAAUACUUCUUCCAUGCAAAUUCGCACAAAGCCUUGUGGUUCUCUGAAUGUGAAAAGCUUUAAUUACAUUCUUAAUGUGAAAAGCUUUCUCCACCAGAUCCUCCUCCCUCUAGAAUUUACAAAAAGAGAACCAGUGCGUUACAUCAAAAAAGGAGAAAAGGAUGUUUAACUAAUUGAAAGUUACGGACAGGCAACUUCGCAGCACCUACGGCUUUCAAUUUAAAGUCAAUAAAGUUGAUCAACUUUAGAAAAGAUGAGGUUAAGUUUCUCCUUCGUGCUUUUCCCUCUGUGCUUUUGAACUUUGGGAUUAAAAAAAAUUUGAUUCUCAAACAUUUAAAUCAUGCAUGAUUAUUCUAAAGCUAUAUCUAUAGUUGAACAUAUUUAAAAUCCCAAUCCGGUAUCGUAAAAUCACAAGGUAUCUAUAUAAAGUAAGAAGAUACUCCUAAAGAAUUAAAGCAGGUUUUGCUGCAUUCAAUUUAUCGGAUAAUUAGAAAAAAUUUCUCCAUACAUAGAGAUUGGAUUUGUAGCAUUCUCAACAACAAAUGCCACACCUAAGCACUACCUAAGCAUAUAUGAGAUAUUUGAUUUGAUGUCUUUGCCUCAAAGACUUACCUUUUAUUAUAAUUAAUGACCUUUAAAACUCUAAUAUUCUCAUAAAAUGUGCCUUUAUAUCAACAGGCAACUUCCCAAAAGAUGCAGCUUUUAAUUAAUAGUGAAUGAAGUUGAUGGCUUCAGAAAAAACCAGAUGAAGGACAAUUAUGGAGAUGUACCACUUUUUUCGGUCGGUCGAGAUGUACAAUUAUGGAGAUGUACCACUUUUUUUUUUGACAGCGGAGAUGUACCAUUUCACACGCCCAAUAUCUUUCGCCUUUCUUCUUGGUGCCUUUGAACUUUUGAAUUAAAAAAAACUCCAUUUUUCAAAUAUUUAAAUCAUUUAUAAUUAUUCUAUAGCUAUAUCUAUAAUUAAACGUAUUUAUAUAGAUAAAAUCACAAUCUAUAUAAAUGUAUAAUAACAAAAUAUUCCUAAAGAAUAUCUCUCAUUAUGACAUAUGAGACUUUGGACAAUUAGAAGAUUUUCCUACAAACUAUUGAGAUUGGAUUUGCUACAUUCACCACAAAAAUGCUCCACCUAAGCACUACCUAGCAGUAUGCUUACUACUCACUAUGACGUAUUUGUUUUGGUCUCUUCCCCUUAAAGACUUACAUUUUAUCAUAAUUAAUUACCUUCAACCCCACAAUAUUGCAAUAUAUGUGCCUUUAUAUCAAAAAGCAAAUAUUUUACAACACUUAUUGUCUUAUUGAAAACUAUUAGAAUGCAAGCAUGAUAUAAUUAGUGUGGUUUGGACAUCAGCCAAACCUAAUUAUAUAAACAUUGAAAUAUAUCUCAAGUCGGAGCGGGAUUAAACCGGAUCGAAAAAGACUUAUCGACACUCGACCUCUAAUCAAGAGUGGUGAGAGGAAAUGCAAUGAUGGCCUGUCCAUGGCCAUGGUGCCAUCCCAUCAUGGUGUUGCUUUAAGCGUCGAAAGAAAGAGAGACCGCCCUGGUUUUGACCAUAAGAGACGACGACUUUUUUUUUUUUUGUGCCGAAAGAACUGCUUUGAUUGACAGCCGCCACGUAAACCCUCAAAUGACGCUAGCCCAGAACCCACCACCAGGGCGCCACACGUAAUACACCUAAUAGUUUGCCAGCCUCUCUACAACUUGUGUUGUAGAGGCUUCGAACACCUGACUUUUCCCUUCAAAGACAGGAGCCUACUCAGUAAAGCCACCACACGGCCGGUGGUAUAAGGGACGACUUUGCCCAGCUGAAGAACGGGAAAAAAGAGAGAAUGAUGAUGGCCACCGCUGAUACGAGACAAAAGGGGAAGGAAAACGACGAAGAAAGUUGCAAUAAUGGCGUCAUUUAACGAUGGCCGCUCAUUGUUUCCUUUCUUCUUUAUUUGCUUCUUGUGAAUUUUCUCUGUGAAUACGAAGAGGAAGAGCUCUUAAUGAGAGCUCCGAGGACUGCACAACGAGAUUUAAAAUUUCCUCUUAAAAGUUUUGAUUCAAAAAGUUUUUCUUUAUGAAAUUACACAAAAUGAAGUCAAUUAAAUCUUGUGUUAACGUUUAGGUCAAUCUUUUUAUGCGAUUGAAAUAUUAUUUUGAGAGAAAUUAUGAGGGUUAAAUACAGAGUUAUUAGUCAUAUUUGAGGGAUAAAAAUACAAAUAAUAUUUGAGUAACUCAAGUAUUAUUAUAAUCUCCAUUGCAUUGUAAUUUCAUGGUUUUCAUUUCCUCAUGGACGUAGGUCACAUAACCGAACCACGCAAAUUUAGUGUUUGAUUCAUUUCCUUGUUUUACAUUUUUAUUCAAGCACUUGUUUUAUUUCCAACAAUAAAUAUGGUUUGAAGAAAAGUGAAACCAAAUUAAACCGUAUUAUAGUCGAGAUCAAACCAAGCCAAACCAUUUUAUGUGGUUUGAUUCGGCUUAAUCGUUUUUUCUGCUUUUAUUUUACCUCUUCAUCAUAUGUAAUUUCAUGAUUAAAAAAAAAAAAAAAAAAACAAAGUCUACGCCACAACCCUUCCGAGGCGAGAUCCCUGAGGAAGUUACCGAAUUAUCAAGUAAGCAUGAAUGGUCCCUUUUGCAAGGUGACGCUUGCUCUUGGCAGGAUCAAUCUCAACUUGGUUUCUAUUAAUUAUUUCAUUUGCUCAAGAGUCGCCAUUAAUUUUUUAUAAACCGAUUAGGAGUCAAGUAAAACACAAGAGCCUAUUUUACUUCUACAAACCGGAGAUUUGUGGGUCUAACGACUUGAUUAGGCUGGAUAUGUAAUGUGCAAUUAUUCAUGCGAUCUUCCAAUCUUAGUUACCCAUUCUGUUCUCAAUAUCGAGGGAAGAAGGCGAUCAUGCAUGAAAUCACUCAAGCAAACACAAAUAAAAUCCAAUAAUACUGAAACAAAUAGAGCAAAUAAAAGAUACGAAAAUAAAGAAAUUGAGCCGUAUUGCAAAAAAAAAAAAAAACAAAACAAAAUCAAUACAAAGCUUUGUUCUUAAGUUCCAAGAUAGGACCCCUUGAGCUAUAAAUAGAAACUCGAUGUUAGAUCUCCAACUAUGGCUCCAAACCGGAAAGUCAAUAAAUGAUACUUCAUGAAUAUCCACUAUAUAAACUACUUUCCUAAAAUGAACAAUUACUUCAAAACGUAAAAUCUACUCAAUGCAAUGUUAAGAAAACAAAAUUUAUUUAUGAAUAUGCAUUACUGGUAAAAUACACUCCUAGAUGUUUUUUUAUUUUAUUUUAUUUUCUGAAUAUGCAGUUUAUCUUUCCACUUGUUUUUUUUUUUCUUUUUUGCAUUUCCCCCUUCUUUAUAUAUACACACACACAUAUAUAAGUGAAGCAAAAUUUGAUUACGUGUUGAAAUAAAUAUGAACUAGAAUCUAUAUGCCAAAAUAAUAUGUAAUAUAAAUCCGGAUUUUCAUGAAAAUUUGCACUGCGUUCACUUGGAAUUUUUUUUCUUUGGAAACGCUCAAUUGGAAUUUCAACCUUAAAAUUGCAUCAAGAACGACUUAGUGCACACGAGAAAAUAAAGAAAACUAAAGUGACAUAAUGCUAUGAAUUAGAGCCAAAUAAUCCACACUAUGCGAAAAUCAACGGUGGAUGAAUAAAUCUAUACGAAUAACCAAUUUUCUCUCUACCGCUUUUUUUAGGGUGCAGUUUAGUUAACCGUCCUCUGUCAAAUGAUGGAGUGACAGUCAACUAAUGACACACAAUUCGCAUAGAUUCCAUCUUUUACCCUUUUUUUAUUUUAAUUUUUAUGCUUUCUUAUUGCAAGCUUAAAUUGAGCGAUAAAAUCAUAAGAGGGCCAUACAAUCAAUUUUCAUGAAUAUUAUGAAAGGAAAAAUAAAUUAGAUACCAAAAUAUAAAUAAUUAGAAGUAAAAAAUAUUGUCCUCCACUAAAAAGAAAUCAUUCAUUUCGUUAGGUAGAUCUAUUAAAUUUAAAAGAUGAAAAAACACUUGAAUUUUUGGCUUUGCAACUAAUAACAAAAUUAUUGUGCAAUGAAUUGGCUUCUCAAUCCUAUCGCCAAAAUCAAAUUGCUUUGGAAGGACUCUCCGAUGACCUAAAAUUAAGACAAGUAAUGUUAAUUACGCAUAAAACAAAUGAAGUAAAGAAAAUAACAAAAUAAGAAUAAUGAAUUAGUAGAGAAGAAAAUUUACCCCACUGAUCCAAAUCUCGUAGAUGAAGAUGAGUUGGGACCUAAAAUAUUACAAAAUCAAUCUUAGGAUCACACGAGUGAAGACUAAGCCAAAAUGAUUUUUGAUCAAUUUUUAUAAAUAUUUUACCUAAUAUAGCUUCAUGUUUGGUUCGUUGAGAAGAUUCAUGUAACCACAAGAUAUGACCAUAUAUCAUUUUAUAUAGAUAAAAAUUCAAUUUAUGGGAAGGUAUUUUAAAUAAAAUAAUAAUAAUACAUAUCAGCAACUAUUGAAAACCCUCGAUUCUUUCCUAAUUGCAAAUCAAGUUUUAAGAAUGGUUACGGUAACUCAUAUCAUCCAAAUUACCAAUUAUAUUUUGGUAUCUAAUUUAUUUUUUUCUUUCAUCAUAUUCAUGAAAAUUGAUUGCAUUGGUCCUCUUAUGAUUUUAUCUCCUAAUUUAAGCUUACAAUAACAAAAAAAAAAAAAAAAGGGUAAAAGAUGGAUUUCAACCGUUUCCAUCCAAAAUGUGUGGUUCUCAACUGACCGUCACUCCAUCAUUUGAAGGAGUGAUGGUCAGCUAAGCCUUUUCCACAUUUUAACUAGAGGUAUGCCUGCAUAAAAGUUAAGUGCGUCUUCAUUGCUCAACCCAACCCACAAAUUCUUAAUCCUUGCAUAUAUACUUAAGUUCCCUCAUAUACGCUCGUCCCCUAGAGGCAAUAAGUAUCCUAGUACCAAGAUACAAAGAAUUCACUCCAAUUAAUUUUUGGAUAUGGUUGUCCUCGUCGACAUCAUCCAAUACAAUUAGCAUCUAUCAAUGUUAUCAAUGUCACGAGUCACUCUAGAAUAACAUAUAUCGAAAAAUAAUUUUUCUUGUGGCAUGACUAGGCCCUUGGUUUUUAGCAUUUCCCUUGUGUCAACAAGAAAGUUGCAGUUUUUCCCAAAGCGAGGAUAUAGCUAGUUGAAGAUAACCUUGGCGGGUGUUGUUUUGCCAAUGCUCCCCAACCCAUAGAUUCCAAUGAACCGCAUACCGUCAAAAGCGGUGUUUGAUAAAUUGUCUAUGGUUGUUAUUCAAUCCUCCAUUACAACUAAAUUUUUGGUCAGUUGCCUUUGUCUUGUCUUCACCCUGACCACAAUCUCAUUAACAACCGACGUGAUAAGAUUCCCAUAGCUGCCACAAUGUCAAACAAUAUUAAUUGAGAAAAAGUGACAAAUUUCCAUGUUGACAAACAAUUUACAUAUAUAAGAUCUUGAAUCAGCCUCAAUUCAUUUUGAAUGCGCAGCACUUAUAUUUCUGUUAGAUUGCACGUUUCAGAAACAAUAAUGACAUUACAUUCAUUAAUGGGAAGAGCGUUUUGUUACAUUCUUAAUGCGAAAAGCUUCUCCACCAGAUCAUCCUUCUUGAAAAAUUUACAAAAGAAGAACCAACGCAUAACAUUAGAAAAGGAGAAAAGGAUGUUUAUUAUGAGAAAUAAAUGAUGAAAUUCUUGAUUUGAAUGCCCGAAGUCCGGUGCCACUUUCUUUAGUGAGAGACGUCAUUUUGGACAUUUGUACCGUGUGACUCACGUAAUUUAAUUGAAACUGACGAACAAACAACUUCACAGCAGUUGCAGCUUUCAAUUUAUGGUCAAUAGAGUGGAUGGCUUCAGAGAAAAUGAGAUGAAGGACAAUUAUGGAGGUCUACCUUUUCACAAGCCCAAUUUCUUUGGAGUUUCUUCUUAGUGCAUUUGAACUUUUGAAUUUAUGACCAUUUUUUAAUUAAAAAAAUCUGAUUUUCAAACGUUUAAAUCAUUUAUAAUUAGUUUAUAGCUAUAUCUAUGGUUAAACAUAUUUAUAUAGAUAAAAACGGAAUUUAUCCAUAUAAAUGCAUAAUAAAAAAUAUUCCUAAAGAAAAGUUUAAGUUAAAUGCGUUUAUUUCAAGUGAGUGAUUCAUUGUUAGUCAAAUUUCCGCUGUUUUUUUUUUGUUUUGUUUUGGACAUUUUAACAAUAAUAACAUUACAUUUCAUUAAUGAAAAGAGCUUCUCCACCAUAUCAUCCUCCUUCAGAAAUUUACAAAAGAAGAGCAAGCACAUUACAUUAUUAAAGGAGAAAAGGCUGUUUAUUGUGAGAUAUAAUGACAAAAUUCUUGAUUUGAACACCAAAGUCCGAUGCCACUAUCGGUAGUGAUAGACAUCAUUUUGGAUUUUUGUAUUGCGUGACUCAUGAGAUUUAAUUGAAAGUUACGGACAGGCAACUUGACAGCAUCCGCAGCUUUCAAUUAAUAGUGAAUAAAGUUGAUGGCUUCAUGAAAAAUCAGAUGGAGGACAAUUAUGGAGAUGUACCAGUUUUUUGGUCGGUUGAAUACAAUUAUGGAGAUGUACCAUUUCACACGUCCUUUCGCCUUUCUUCUCGGUGCCUUUGAGCUUUCGAAUUAAAAAAAGAAAAAUUCUGAUUUUGGGCGUGGAAAGAAAGAGAGGCCGUGCUGGUCUUGACCAUAAGAGGACGACUUUGCUUGGCCGAAGAAAGGGAAAAAGACAGACCGAUAAUGGCCACUGCUGACAUCGGACAGUACAGAAGGGAAACGAAAACGACGAAGAAAGUUGCAGUAAUGGUGUCUUUUAACGAUGGCCAGUCAUUGUUUCCUUUCUUCUUCUUUGUUUUCUUCUAGUGAAUUUUCUCUUUAAAUUCGAAGAGGAAGGGCUCUUAAUGAGAGCUCCGAGGACUGCACAGAGGAGAUUGAAAAUUUCCUCUUAAGGGUUUGAUUCAAAAAAGUUUUUCUUCGUGAAGUUAGUCGAAAUUAAAGCUGAUUAAAUCUUGUGUUAAUAUGCAAAUUGAGAUAUUAUUUCGAAAGAAAUUAUGAAGGUAAAAAACAUAGAGUUAUUAGUUGUACUUAAGGGAUAAAAACACCAAGGGUAUCUGAACGACUUGAAUAAAAUUAUAAUAUUCGCUGCAUUGUAAUUUUAUCUAUAAUGGAAUUGUGUGCUCCUUUCCUCGUGGACAUAGAUCACACAACCAAAUCACGUAAAUUUGAUAUCUGAAUUAUUUUCUUAUUUUGUAUAUAUUUUAUUUAAUCACUUGUUUUAUUUUCAAUAAUAAAUACGGUUUGAAGAAAAGAGGAACCAAGCUAGACUGUAUUAUAGUUAAAGAUCAAACCAAGCCAGACGUUUUUUUUUUUUUGGGGGGGGGUUGAUUUGGCUUAAUCGUUCUUUCUUCUUUAGUUUUCCUCUUCAUCAUUUGUAAUUUUAUGAGAAAAAAACCAAAUUCCAUGUCACGAAACUUCCAAAGCGAGAUCCCCGAGGAAGUUGCUGGAUCACCAAGCAAGCACAAAUGGCCCCUCUUGCGAGGUGAUGCUUGCUCUUGGCACGAUCAAUCUCAACUUGUUUCAAUUAAUUAUUUCGUUUGAUUGAGAGUCACCACUAACUUUUUAUGAACCAAUUAGGAGUCAAGUAAAAUGCAAGAGUCCGUCUUACUUCUGCAAACAUGAGAUUUGUGAGUCCAGAAACUUGAUUAGGCAAGAUACAUCUCAAGCCCAAUGUUGCAUACUUUCUCUUUCUAUUAAAACAAUUAUUCAUGUGGUCUUCCCAAUCUUAGUUUCCCAUUUUAUUCUCAAUGUUGAGAAAGGCUGGCGAUCAUGCAUAAAUUCACUCAAGCAAACACGUAUAAAAUCCACUAAUACUGAGACAAAUAGAGCAAAUAAAAGGUAGGAAAAUAAAGGACCCAACCCGUAUCAGGGAAACAAAUCAACAAAAGCCUUGUUAUAAGGUUCCGGGACAUGCCCCUUGAGCUAUUAAUAGAAACUCAGUGUAAAAUCUCCAAAAUAAACUAUGGCUUAAAACCAGAAAGUAAAUAACUGAUACCUCAUGAAUAUAUAUAAACUACUUUCCCAAAAAGAAGUAUUACAUCAAGAAAUAAAAUCUACUUAAUGCUAUAUAAAGUGCAAUGCAAUGUUUAGAAAACAAAAUCUAUUUAUGAUUAUGCAUGAUUCCUAAAUUAUCCUCCUAGAUGUAUAUAUAUAUAUAUAUAUUUUAAAUAGAAUCUAUCUGUUUUUUUGCUUUUUCACAUUAACCCCUUCAAUAUAUAUUAUAGUGAAACGAAAUUAAACUAAAAAAUAACUAAGUGCCGAGAUAAAUUUGAACUAGUAACUAGAUACCAAAAUAAUAUGUUAUAUAAACCCAGAUUUUCGUGAAAAUUUGCACCAUGUUGCGUUGGAAUUUCAACCUAAACUUCUUGUGGGAACGAGCUAAUAAACACCAGAAAAUAAAGAGAACUAAAGCGAUAUAAUGCUAUGAAUUAAAGCAAAACCAUUCCACAAUAUGCGAAAUCAAGGGUGGAUGAGUACAUCUAUACUAAUUGCCGAAAUUAAAUAUUUAUUAAAAAAAAUUUCUACGCUGUUACAGGUCUGAAGUGUUCAAAUUGAAUCACAUCAUGUAGAUUAUUUAUAUUUCCAUGUUUAUGUUUGCUGAGACACGAGGAACAAUCAACAUGAACUAACACAAAAAUCCACGCAGGUUCUUGAUUUUAUUUCCUUUCUUCUUUCGUCUUUCUCUUCACAUGUGCAGCAUAAUUCCUUUUCACUUGUGCUGGUCGGAUAAGGCUGUCGCAUAUUUCCCUCUUGGUCGAGCCCAUGAAAGGGAGCCAGGGUCGUGCGGGCUUGGACUCGGAAGUUCAAAUAAAUUCAUGGCACAUUUUGCGUGUUGGGAUCCACUCAAAUUCAAUUCACAAGCGGACUAAUUUAAAUGAAAUUCGUAGUCAGGUUUCACGCUUUCUUUGGUGCGAAUCCAUUAUUCCUAACAAAAUGUUGGUACUAUCUAAAUGCCGUAAAUGAGGAUGCAAAAAAUGUGCAAUCUCAAAAAAUUUAGGCAUUAGCAUUCUGCGUUGACAACAAUUCAUAAAUUCACACAAAGUGAAAAUCAAACCUAUUUAAAUAGCUAUUUCAUGUAUAAAUGGUCAAAAUAAUUAGCAAUAUCAAUCAUUUAUACAAUGCGGGGUCGCGGUUUUGGUUUGGUUUCAAAAAAGUUGAAACCAAGCCAAACCACAAAAAACGAUUUGUUUCAUGGACAACAUGGAUAUUGUUAAGAGGGACCCUCGAGCUCGAAGGGAAGGUGUUUUGGUUGCCAGCAACAUCGUGGAGCUUGGAUUAAGGCAAGGCUGCCUCCAUCAAGAUGGAUAGGGAAAGCAACGCUAUCAACCCAUAGAUCCAAAUGCCGCGAGAAUCGAUCCAGGCAUACUGGUUCGAGACGAAGGCCCCCAAUCGUGAACUGAAGCUUCAUGGAUAUCAUGAUUUUCUAGAAUACUUUCAAAAAGAUCAUACUUUCAAGAAUAUUUUUUACACAUCAUUGCAUACUUUCAAGCACAAACGGACAUGGCACAUGAAGUCAUGCCAGAGCAUAAAAUGACAAAGGAAUUUCCCUGACGACAUCUCCAAAAAUAUCAAAAGUCGCAUAAGUAAUGUUAGGAAUUAUUUGACAAUUGAAUUUAGAGGACGAAAUUGGAAAAUGUGGUACUGAAAAAGCGUUGUGGGAAGUCUAACCCCUCCCCACACAUAAAUGAAUCCUUCAACAACAAGUUUCAUUGGCUUUCGCAAAUGAUCAAUAUUACACGUGGACCUAGUUUCCAAUCAGCCUAAUUUUUUAAAUUGAUUGGCAGUUACUCCAUCUCAUACUUUAAAGAAAACUUUGGAGUUGGCCCAAAACUUCCAAAACUCCUUUUCCAACAACAUAUUUGCUCCUUGCCGAGUGAAACCUUUGAUCUCAAGACCGUUGGGCAAGGUGCUACAUGACCUAUAUGAAGACUCCAACGUAAUUGUUGUAGGGUUGGCCGAGAAGAUCAAAACGCUUUCAAAGCUUUUCUUUUUCUUUUUGGUUCUUUGCUUAUUCUUUGAUAUAUAUAAUAUUAUUUAUUAUCGCGAUUCUACUCUUAAUUCUCUAAGAGAGUGUUGAUGUAAUUAUUGUUCAGAGUGCUUUGCGUGUAAAGUAAAGUCAAGGUACUUGUAGAGUGAGCUUCAGUUCCUCUUAGAGAGGCAAUUCCGUUCAUAAUUAGUGAAUUCAGCCUUGUUGUUAGAUAGGAAAAUCAUUCAAAAAAUUCAUCAACUUAUUGCAUGGCGGUUAAUUCAGUCAUAAACUUUUCAAUUUGACAAAUUUAGUCUUCAACGUUUUAACGAUUUUCUAACGUAGAUCAUCCAGUCAAUUUUGAUUGGAAAUAGUUAAUAUGGCAGUCCAGUAAGCACUAGCCAUUCUAUGUGUAAUGGCCAGGCUAUCGGCGAUUGAUGUAAACUAUUUUUAAAUUUUUUUAAUAUAUAUAUUUUUUUCGUUUUCUUGUCCUUCAUCCGAAUAGAAAUGAAGUAUGAGGCGCUUGCCUUGUGCAUCCACCUAUAAAUUGAUUUGUAGUCUAUUCUUUCUAUCGUUCUUUACAUUUUUUAUGAUAGAAGAUAUUUUCUAUACGUAGCAUAUUUUGUCUACAAAUAUUGUUUCAUCCUCUACGCAUUUUUUUGCAAGAAAAAAAGUGUCAAAAAUCCUAAAAUAACCUAUUCAUUCUCCUCUUGAUUGUUUAAUUAAGUCCAUUUCACACAUAAGCAUUUUCUUUGUAUAAAUAUUAAGUGAAAUGGCACCAAUUGUCCGUUUAUUCUUGCCGAAAAUUCAAGAACGUCCUUGUAUCAUUUUUUGUCCAAAAUCAUCCCUAUACUUUUUAAAAGGGUCAUUGCUCGUCCUCCUAUUAUGUCACUACUUUUUUCAAUCGAUUUAUACCAAUAUGGAUAAUCGGAACAUUGAGUAGAAGCCACGUGGCAGCCAUGGCUGCUUAAGCUUUAAGCUCACAAUUGUGGUCAUUUGAGCUCGAAGCUUGCCACCACCAUGGUUGCUUGAGCACGAGCUCAAAGCUAAUGGCCAUGGUCACUUGAGCUCGAACCUUGUGACCACUAUUGCCAAAUCUGGAUUCGAAGUUCACAGCAGUCAUGGCUGCUUGAGCUUGAAGCUUGCGGAUGCUAUGAUCAAAUAUGGCAUCGAAGGUUGUGGCUGCCGUGGCCAAAUUUGGCCACCAUGGCUGCUCGAGCUCCAAACUCAUGGCCAUGUCCGUUUGAGAUCAAAGCUUGCAGCCUCUACAACCAAAUUUGGCUUUGAAGCUCAUGGCUUGAGCUCUAAGCUUGCGAUUUGCUGCUAGAUCUACUUCAAAGCUCAUAACCACCGUGAUCACUUGAGCUCGACCUUGAAACUUGCGGCCAUCAUGGCUUUUCGAGCUGGUGGCCAGGGUGGAGCUUGAGUGGUCAUGCGUGUGAGGUCUUAAAGGUCGUAGAUCUUGAGCUCGCGAUCACCAUGGCUACUCGAGCAUUUGAGCCGCGGGCAUUAUAAGUGAUAACGUGAUUCUUUUAUGUGGAAAUACAAAAUAGGAGAUCUUUUUUUUUUUUUUUGGUAAAACAAAAUAGGAGAUCUUUGAUCUUUAUAAUUUUCACAAUAAGAAAGAUGGAGACAUACCUUUAUUCAUAGUAAUACACUUGAAAGUAUUUGUCGCGGAAAAAUCGAAGAGAUGAAGAAAUUUGAUUUCUCUCCCUUAACCCAUGCUUUUCUUUAAUGUAUUCUAUUUGAUAGAGGAUAUAAUACAGCAUUAUUUUUUAUGUUGUAGGUGAAAAGAGGACUAGACUCUUAUUUAUGCAUGCUAUUAAUAUGCGCUUUCAAUUAAAGCGCCUUUUAACUUCUAUGAGAGUCGCACCUCUUUGGAAGAAUGGUAACUUCUCAAUGAGGAUUGUACUAUUUUAUUAGAGUUGUAAUUUCUUAUAACCAAUACAUUUUAGCAUUAAAUAUUUAUUAAACCAUUAAUCAAUAAUAUCAUGUGUGCCACAAUAAUUCUUACAUUCUCCCGCUUGGCCCAUAUGACCUUCCUUUCAAGGUUUAAUAAAGACCAUAAUGUGCACAAUAACGUUAUGCUAAAACCUUUCAUAAAUUGGCUAUCAUAUAAUAAUCACAAUUAAGUAAAAAAAAAAAAACUAAUGCAAGUCAUGGCAGUUGUAUGCCAUUAAUCGAGAUAGUUCCUUUCAUGUACUACAACAUAGCUCUCUACUUAACAUAAUCAUAAAUGAGGAGUACGGUAAUGGUCCAACCAUAAUGUCUUUAUAAGAAACUAACCUGUUUAACAUUCAUCUAUUUCCAUAAGGUAUACUAAAUAGAAACAAGAAAUAUCAAAGAUGCAUAAUUGAGCUCAGAGUGUCAAAUACAUAAACUUAAUGCAAUCAUAAUACAAUAAUUAAUGAUGUCCAAUAAUGUCCAUCCUUUCAACAUGCUCAUUAAAUGUUUUGGGUGGAAUCUCUGUCACGACCCAAUCUCAUUGUCCAUCCCUCGUGAGGAGAGGAAGAGGAAAGGUUGGAUUUAUGUGUACUUGACCACAAAAGUUCCCUCAUGGUUCCCAACCACAGGGAUGUCAUCACCUUACCCCGUGGACGAACCUCGUGUGAGUUCACUUAAUCGUAAUCUUGAGUUUUCCAAACUUGUACACCACAUGACAGUGAAGUGUCGCAACCCUCCCUCAACACCACGGUAUGUCUUGAUCGACAAUUUUAAGGUCGAAAGGAAUCUGGACGUAAAUGUGAGUUUAGGGAUGCCUUUACCACGAUAACCCUAUCGAUGGAACAUUUUGCCCAUAAGAAUGACAUCACUUCAUCCUUUAGCGGUACAACCAAUAUCAAGUAUGCUAAAUUGCGGUGAGUCUUAUCAAGACCCAUAUCCCGCGCGACGGGUUCAUUUAUAACAUCUAGUUAUUUAAGACAACCUAAAAAUAGGACGGGAGUCACCACUAGCCUUAUUUUUGGGGGGUCGGCCAGAAAAUUCAAUCGAGGAUUGAGAGUGUUUCCUCGAUUUCUACGCAAUCAAAUAUCUAGGUUCAGAGACUUAGGUUACAAGUAUUCUAGAACCAAUAAACAAAGAUUUAACUCCAAUUAGUUUUUGGAUUUGGUUGCCCUUAUCAACAUCAUCCAAUACAAUUAGCAUCUUCUUGUUGCAAAUUGUUUCUCCAAUCAUAUUGAUACCAUGAUCAAUGCUAUGAAUUCUACAAGCCACUCAAGAAUAAGAGAUAUCAGACAAUAUUUUUUCUUGCAAUUUGUCUAAACCCUUGGUUUUUGCCAUUUCCCUCACGUCUUUGAGAAAGUUGCAAUUUUUCCCAAAGUGAGGACAUAGUUGGUUGAAGAUAAUUAUGGCAAGUGUUGUUUUACCGAUAUCGCCUAUCCCAUAGAUUCCAAUUAGUCACACACCACCAUAAUUGAUAUCUAAUAAAUUGUUUAUGGUUGUUAUUCAAUCCUCCAUUCCAGCUAAACCUUGGUUACUUGCCUUUGUCUUGUCUCGAGCUUGACCACAACCUCGUCAAUAGCUGCCUGGUUAAGUUUUGUUUAGCUGCCACAAAGUUGAACAGUUUCAAUUAAGAAAAUGUGACAAUUUGGUAUGUUGACCAACCGUCUACUAAGCAAAGAGGUGGGAAUGCGAUCAAGUUUAGAAUAUAUCAAAAUUUAACAUUACCUCAAAGCUUUGUGAACAUGAUGAAUUACAAACUUGAACAUCCAUUACAAUAGAAGAAAUGAAAUGUUUGAUCCUUAUAUCAAGUAGAAGGCUCAGAAUCUCUGGCCAAAAAGGGUGGUGAAUCAAAAUAUAAACAUCUAUUGAAAAACUGUAAUAGAAGAUUUACUUAUUUCUUCCGAUGUGGAAAAAGAACUUUGCUAUGGAAACAGUUCCUUAAUCAAGUUCUCUAGCAUACAAUACGAAUCUUAAUACAUACAUGGAUCAAAUUAGUAUUAAAAAGAUCAAGCUAAUCCAAAUUUUUCAUAUGAUGGAAAAUAAAUGGAAAACCAACUUAAAUAACCACAUUAGGUUAAAAAAAUUUGGAAAUCUCGUGAUUUAAAAAAACUAAAAGAAGAAUUUGAAACCUUCAGUUUAAAUUUAGGUAAUUAAAGUUGGAAUAUAAUUAAUGAAUUUUCAUAAGAACUAUGCUUGAUUGUACAAGAUAAUCUUCACAAUCAUGGUCAAAUUGUUACCCUGGAUAUUUCUCCAUCUUCCAUCCCUUGGUGCCAACAACUUCUUUUAGGGCCCGCCCCCACAUCUCUAUAUCCUCAGAGCUGAACUUAUUCUUCUGACCCUCCAUCUAUUGCUCCAAAUUUGAUAUGGCCUUGUUGUACAACAUUGUUUUCAACUUCACGUCAUCGGGUUCCACAUUGCAGAAGAUGGGCAAUAUGACCUUCUUCCCAUCUUCUUUAGAUUUAUAGGUGUUCUCCACCAUCUUCGCAAGCUUGUCAAGGCACCAAUGACAUGAAGUGUAGUUUUUGCAGAAGAUGGGUAUGUAGAGCUUGGAGUCAUCAAUCAUUUGUGGAAGGUUGUCACUGAUUCUUUCACCAAAUCUAAGUUCCUCAUCAUCAAUGAAAACAUGAAUUGCAGCAUGUAACAAGGUAUGGUAGAAGCUAUUGGUGAAUGUACGAUGAGUAUCAAGCCCUCUAAAACUUAGGAAGACCUGGUACUCACCUCCAAAUGUAUUAUUAGUGCUUGUUUCAAUCCCUAGGCUCGCCAUAGGACCAAACUGUCACGCCCCGAACCUCAAGCGCGCCAACAUCCCACCAUGGUCAUGCAAAUGUGACAUUCCCAGGUAGUGUGGCCGACCCCAUUCAUAUAUUAUUGUGCAAGCGGAACAUAUUAUAAAACCCUUGACAAUGAAAUAUGGGAUAGACAAGCAGGAAGCAAAACCACAACAUAACACUUUCAUAAUUCAACAGAAUUACAAACAGAGGUCUACGGCCAAAAGUCUACAAAAAACCGACUCUUAAAAAGGAACUGUCCUACGACCUACAAGUCAGACACGUUCUCCAAUCCUUAUGACUUCACCUCUACAACUCCUCAAGGCCAACCAAAGCUAUCUGGUCACUCCGUCCACCAAGGACCUGAAAUUUUAAUCCCACAACCGGGAUGAGACAUUGUCUCAGUAAGUUCAACCCCCUAAACCCCUAUUAGAAAGAAAAUACACCUCGGGUGGCCUAGCCACAUCACACAAAAGACUUAUCUCGUCUUAAUUCCUUCCUACAUAUUAGCACAAUUUGUAUCACACAAUCUCAGGUAGUAAUAAUAAUUCAAACAAAUGGAAACGCCAUCACUUUCAUAUAAAUCACAAUCGCACUUAGUGCGCAUUCCAAUUAUUAUUCACUACCACACAAGAGCAUAGCCUACUCGCAGUUCGGCUAUCUACUGACAUUAAUGCCAGGCAUCGCCUCCCCCCCUUGGAGCGCGGCUUCGUCACCACGAUGACGGCAUUCCUGAAGGAGCAUGGGUCUAGUUGGCAUAGCCUCUACUACGACUCGAGCCACGUCACUCUGUUGACGGCAUUUCUAAAUGAAUAAAGGUCCAGUUGGUGUAGCCACUAUUGCGACCGAGUCUUUCAACCAGCACACGACAAUUCAAUAAUCAAUUGCACAAAUCAUCACUCAAUUUGUAAUAUCUAAUCAUCAAAUUCAUAAUCUGAAUACACAACAAUGAUCAGCAUGAAAUUCUGAGAAUUUAGGGUCCCAAAAUAAUUUUCGGAAUUUAUUAAAUAAUUAAAUUUAUUUCGAAAAUUAAUUAAAUAAUAAUAUCCAUAUUUUUCACAAUCCACACUCAAUUUAUAAUAUCCAAUCAUCAAUUUCAAAAUUUGACUACACAGCAGCGACCGGCACGAAAUUCUGAGAAUUUAGGGUCUUGACAAAAUUUUCGGAAUUUAAUAAAUAAUUAAAUUUAUUCCGAAAAUAAUUAAAUAAUAAUAUUUUAAUAAUUUUGAAUAAUAAUAUAUUAUUAAAUUAUCUAAUAAUUUCGAGAUAUUUAAAUAAAUCAAAAGUAAAUUCAUUUAUGUCACAUCAAGGUUUAUAUUAAUAUAACAUUCACUUAAUCUUAAAUUAAACACACUUUAAGUUAAUUAAGCACCUUAAUAUAAAUCUACACUUAAAUAAAUUAAACUAACCACCUAAUAAUACUUAACAAAAACUAAGCACAUCUAAAGCAUCAUUAACCUUCUAAUCAAGGUUUAGUGAGCUAAACUCACAGAUUAGCGAGCCGAGCGGACUGGAACGAUGGGGACGCCGGGGGGAACAACUUUCCUCAAAGCAGGCCAAGCAUUCGAGGUCGGGAAGCCGGCCAAAACGGGCCAAAACGGAGUUGAGAAACCCAUUUUUGCUUGCUAUUGGUUAAGGCCGACGGAGGGCUGCACGGCAGCGGUUCGAGCACGAAAUCGGCGGGGAUGGGCGGCAGCAGCUCAGGCGGUUGCUGCUGGUGGCUCCGACAGCUUUCCGGUGGGCUUGGCGAUAGCAGGCAGCUCGGGACGACGAAGGACGACGGUUGGGACGCGCGAACGAAGGUUGGAUGCGGCGCGACAGCGGAGCGGCGAGCGGGACAACGGUAAGCGGGCACAGUGCUUAGGCGACGCGCACGGACGACGGUGGCGGCGACGGACUCCGGCGAUGAAGUAGGGUGGCCGGUCGAGCGUGCGGGCUGGCCUAGUUCGCACAGUGCAGCUCCUCUCUCCUCUCUCUCUCUCCCCAAGCUUGAAGAUGAUAGUGAUGGGUCACCUUUUUGGGGAACAAAUCUCCACCUUACACUUGUCAACAUCCUAGCUAUUCUUGCCCCACACCAUGACAUCAUCACCAAGUGAUGUCAUACUCCACUAUCUCAAUUUCUCCCCACAACAAUAUUCAAUAGGUGCAAUUUAUUUUUCCGCCGUGGCAUGAAAUCUCGUACAUUAAUUUCUCCAAUUUCAUUCAAUUCUCUUCCAAUUGAGUCCAAUUGAAGUACAUAAAAUUAAUUCAAUGUUACCACACUUCAAUUCACAUAAUCACUUGACCAUAGAACCCUCUUAGAUCUCAAAAGUAUAGCCAAAAGAGGGCCUACCAAUUUUCCGAACCAAAUUAGCCAUGCUUUGAUUAUUUUGCUGAAAAACUCUUAUUGCAUGAAAAAUCUUCCGAAGACGAGUUAAUGAUCCUAAAAUGAUUUGUGACACACCAUGACUUCCAAUUUCUGAAUUCGAUCUCAAUUUCACGGUUAAUUUCACUUUGGCACGAUACUAGCGUGUCCUGAUCUACCGGGUAGCUUUUAGAAAUUUUUAUGCAUUUGACCUGUGGUUGAUUAAUUCAAGCCACAAUAUACAUCUUUGACACAUUGACGACUCUUGGUUGUCGAGAUAAUCUCAAGAUUUCAAACACAGACAUAUGGUACCCAAACGACAGAAAAGCCGGUCCAGUGCCGAUCGACAAGAAUUGUGAGAUCUAGUGGAAUCACCCACACUCGAUCACAUGCCUCUAUCUAGUCGACCUAUCUCCGAUUUCUAAUCGAUUUUUAACUGCGCCGUAAUGACCCUUGUAGAUUAACUCGGUCGAAAGGUCGUUUCCUGAUCAAAUUCUCGAGUCUGAUGCAUUAGAAUUUCUUAACAGCUUCACCUGAUAGACUAGUUAUCCCAUGAGUGAUCAGUUCAGGGAAAAGAACUAUAUGCGUACUAACGAAAUGCCCAUCUCAAUUUAUUGAAAAUAGAAUUGGAAAAUCAGGAUGUCACACAAACUUCGCACUUAGCAGGGCCAGCCCUCUCUCUCUCUCUCUCUCUCUCUCUCUCUCUCUCAUAGCCACUGUUGAAAUACUUUGAGGCAAAUCCACACCAAACCUUGUGCUUCUUCAAUGUGAAAAGCUUUUAUUACAUUCUUAAUAUGAAAAGCUUUCUUCCCCGGAUCAUCCUCCCUAAGGAAUUUACAAAAGGAGAACUAGUGCAUUGCAUUAGAAAAGGAGAAAAGGCUAUUAUUAUAGGGAUGUUUGUAUUGCAUGACUCAUGGGGUUUAAUUGAAAGUUUAACGCGUACUGGCAACUUCAGUGCAGCUUCCGAUUUAUUGUCAAUAAAAUUGGUGGGUUUACAAUUAGUUAGGUGAAGGACAAUCGUAACAUCCUCGAUUCCGGCUCUGUAAGGAUCGGUCAUAAUGUCCUAAAAGGAUCGAUCAUGGGCCAUUGGCCAUAAAUUGAUCGGUUCGAUCAGCAAGGAAUCACGGAUCAGUCACGAUCAACCGAUCGACCAACCGACUGUUCACAAAUUAGUCGAGGUGUCGGCCGUGAAUUUUUACCGACCAUACUAAUAGGAUAUGAUCACCAGCUCAUAAGAUGACUUUUUGAUCGUGAGAAUUGGUCACAUGAUGAUUUUGGAUCGGUGGAUGGUUAUGGGUCGAUCCAAUCGGUCACAAUUUCUGGUCGCGAGUGAUUCCGCCCAGUUAUGCACCGAUACACGGAUGAUCCAAAUUGACCAAAUGUGACUUCAUUCCGAUAAAAAAUGCAUCAUUCCAAAUUUAAUUCUUAGUGAUCUGAAUGGAAUCUCGAAUUGGUGAUGUCUGAUCAUGGAUCGGUAAUGCACCAACCAUGAACCCUAUCGAUGGAUUGGGUGCCGGCUGGAAUGAGCCCAAGGAUAGACUUGGCUAUUCCGUCACUAAUUCUAAGGUCCAUGAGUGCCUUGGCUUAGUGCUAGGCCAUGGGUAGCCUUAAAAUAGGUCUUGAAUCAAGUAAAGGACAACCGACCCUAUUAGUCGAUCGACAUCCAAAGGAAUAGUUUGGGCGAUAUGACAUAUGUGACUCGGGUGUGCAUGAUCGAUUUUCAGUGUGCUAUGAUCUCUUCCUCGGCCCCGGAAUCAACUUGCAUAAUAGAAUUCUGUAGACUGCUUCAUUAAUGAAGAAAAAAGACAAAGGCAUGGAAUAUUCUAGAAACCCUUCGUUAAAUGAAGGGGUGAGUUGUCCUUGGAAUGGUCAAAAGUCAUUAUGGUGGCCAAAAUAUCUUUCAAGAUUCUAGAGAAAGGCGGCACACAAGUGGACCAAUUAGAGAGGAUUACACGAGCCCUCAUUAAUAACCGAAUAUUCUAGAAUGGCUUAGGUGGCAACCUAGAGUAGCAUCAUCAUUAAACUUCAUAAAAUGCCCAUUAAAUGAGGGGUAUCGGUGGACCAAUGAGAGAAUGAAAAGUGGGUGAUAAUCAAUGACAUCUAGGGACCUAGAUUGCCGAGUAAGGUCUUUAGCUUGGCCAACUCAUCUUCUAGGCAUAAUCAUGAGGCAAAGUAGGCUUGCCACCCAAGAAAAGUAGGCGGGACACUUGAAAACAUUGGAGAAGACCGCUUGGCUUGGUAAUGAUGGCUCCAAAGGCUAUAAAUAAGAUGAGAACUUCCCAUAUUCCUCACUUGCCUUCAAUUUUCUCCUCCCACCAUCUCCUUGAACACCCUCUCCUCAUGCUCUCUCUCUUUCUUUUGGCCUCCAAGCCAAGCCACCCAAUCUUUGUAGCUCAUGUCCUAGUUCGAGGUUCAUCCAGGAAAGUAAAAUCCCUAUGUCUCCUCUAGGGCGGUAAUCUCUAUUGUCGAGCCUAGUUAGGUGCUCACCUAUCAAGCCGUUGGUUGGAUGUUAGAUCUUUUGUAUGGUCUUACUCAUGUUUGUGCUUGAAUGUGUGCUUGAGUUGUUCACGUUCAGAAUGGAGUCAAGGUUCGUUUGAAUUGAGUUCAGCGCAAGGCAAGGUCGCCCCAAGCCAUAAAGCCUUGGUUUCGGCAUAAAUAAGAUGCUGGGUCCAAGCCUCGCUUGGUGCGGGAAUCGCCUAAGGCUGUAAGGUCUUAAGUUGACAUUGAGGCGUGUCGAUCUUAUCCUUGAUCGGUACGGGGAUCGCCCUAAUCCAUGAGGUCUUGAUAAAACAUUGAACAUGCCGAUUUCCAUAGUCCACGUGGACGUGGGGACUUUGUGCUUGGCUUUGAAUGAAACCGCGAGUCGAGGUUCAUCAAGCUUGGGAUCGUCACUAAAGCAAGGUGUACCCAAGCCUCGAGGUCUUGGAUUGGUAUUGAGGUGUACCGUUUCCGAGCCUUGUUUGGUGCGGGAAUCGGUGCUAAGUGAUUGAUUCAAGUUACGGAUGAAAGGUCAUUCCCGACAUUUUUGCUAGUCAAGUAUAAGAAAUUCAUGACACACAUGAAUGAAUGAACACGCCUUCGGGCCAUGUAUGCGUUGGCUAAGAGAAAAAAUAAUAACCGGUUUGUAUGAUGCAUUUGUACAUGCAUUUAAAGAGAAAAAAGCGCCCGUUGCCACAUAGCAUUGUUGGCGAUGCCUCGUUCGUUGAACGGGAAGCCUCGAUUGAUCCCAGAUGUCCUAAUUGAGCCAAUAUGCCUAGAUCUUGAACCCGGAAGCCUUGGGAAGCUAGCCCCGAGAAGUCUCGGUUGAGCCGAGAUGCCCUGGUCGAGCCAGGAAGUCCAACAAGAAGCUAGAAGCCUCGGUCGAGCCGAGAGGGCCUGGUCAAGCUAGGACGACAAUAAAUGAAUUUGCAUGAAUGUUGGUUAUGCACAAGCAUGAUAUGUUGGUAUAUUAAUUGAUAAGCUUAUGGUAGUUUUGAUAUGGACGACAUGUAUUUAGAUAAAGCAUGACAUAUAAUUCGCAAUUGAUCUACCAUCGACACUGUUUGCGAGUGUUGUACUAACUAAGCUUUGACAAUAAGAUGAUUUCCAAGUAGAAAACUAGGAAUUUUACUUAUUGAAUUUCCCCAAAACUCAUCUCUCAUCUCUCAGUCUUGUAGGCAUUGAAGUCUCUCGUCAAUUUUGGGAGCUGCAGUCACGCUAGAGGAGAUAGGAUUUCACUUGGCCUAUGUGGAAAACUUGUAUUGUGAUGUAAAAAGAAAAAAGAGCUCGUAGAGAAAUGGCUUGUAAAAGUAUAGUUAUGAUACAAAUCAAUGUGUUUUGCGUGAUGUAUGUCCCAGUCUUCCAACUGUUGUUUGUUCGGUGAGUUGUUUGUUCAUGUUUCCACAUGUGCAUAAUAACAAGAUAAAAAGAAUUGGGACGGCGACGAGCCUGGGACUUCACAAAAAUAACCCUUGCUGCUCGUGAUCCUAGGGAUGGAGUUGGGGUCGUGACAACAAUAAUGGAGGUGUACCUUUUAGCAUGCCCAAAUUCAUUUGAGUUUCUUCUUCGUGCCUUUCACUAUGUGCUUUUGAGGUUUUGGAUUAAAAAAAUAUUUGAUUCUCAAACAUUUAAAUCAUUUAUGUUUAUUCUAUGGCUAUAUCUAUAGUUGCGGUAAGAUCAAUAAGAGUGCUAAAACUUUCAUACAGCACUCACUUGAAUAUCAAAACUUUUUUCUCAUUCACUUAAGUGUCAUAUUGGAAUAAAAUCGAUCAGUUGAUUAUCAAUUUUGACAAAUCAUCCUACAUUGAAUUUUUUUAACUUUUUUAAUUUUUUUUAUUUAUUUUGCUUUUCCUAAGGGCCCUCAUUGGUCAGGAAACCUGGGUGGCCUUGCCCUAGGCUACGAAUGCCUUGGGCGAGGCCAUUGGGGCCUUAUCGGUCACUGUCAUUUGCUUUGGCUUAUGCGCACCAUUAACUCUAUGAUUGAUGUAAUCAUGGUGGGAUUUGCUGUUGGAUAUGGACAUUGUGUCAUGUCUUUAAGGGUCUGUUGAUGGUGGUGGCAGAUAAUGCAACCCCUAGAUAAAGAAAAGAAAGGGUUGCGGCAGUCUAGAAUUUUUUCUAAGUGUUUACAUAAUACUAAAUUAUUUCGUAUUUAAAUUAAUCUCUAUAUUUUUAAAAUCAACUGAAAUGUGAUUCCUCCGUCAAUUGGAGUUCAAUGUCAUGGGUAAUCUGUCGCCGAGAUACGUCGAUGUGGCAAAAACCAUCCAUUGUUGAUGUGGAUUGGACAGCUCAAUUAAAUUUAUUCUUUUUAUUAAACGAACUCUUCUAUUUUCUCUUUAAUUCUUCUACUACAUUCAUCAACUAUCGAUGUCAUUGGCCAAUCCUUAAAGCAGCAAGCCAUCACAACCGGUGCCAUCCCCGGUAGGAGUGUCCAAAAACCUGACCCGACCCAAACACGACCCAAACAAGAACUAAACACAAAACAAGUGGAGUACAUGUUUCGGGUCUUAAUAUUGUUCGGGUAAUUGUUAGGAAACAAGAAAAUAAACAUGUUUUGGGUUGGGUUAGGGUCAAAAUAUUGUUCAGCCCUGAACACAUUAUUGGCUCCAUGUGUUUGAAACAAACACACUCUCCUCUCACCCAAACCCAAACACUCUUCAGUUUUCGCCCAAACACAUUAUUGACCCUCCCAACACGAUGAUUGCACCUUCUCCGGUCGUUGACUCCGCCGCCGCCGCCACCGCCACCGCCACUAUUGACGAAUGCACCCUCUCGUUGAUUCCAUAGCCGCCCUCUUCUUUGCUCCUUGUCCUCGUCCUUGUCCUCAUCGGCUUCCUCUCCUUCCUCGACUUCCUCCACCGCCUCCUUCUCCUCGAGAGGAUGCCCUCCUUCUGCCGCCUUUGCCUACAGACACACCGAGCAGGAGUCAAUGCCAAGCGAAACCCACAUCGCAAAAACUGAAAAUAUAGACAAUUGGAGCCACUGAAGCUUAUCACUGCCGUUGGCAACGGGGGUCAUCGUGGGGUCGUCUUCAAGAAGACCUUCGCUUGACGCUACCACACUCUUUUUCUUACCUCCACCCUUCACCUUCAUCCUCCCCUCCCCCCCCCCCCCCCCUAUGGAUUGAGUGAUUGAUGGAAUUUCAAAGUCCUGUCUUUGAAGGGGAGGAGGCUGGAAUUCCUUUGCUAGUCUCUGACUUGAGCUGGGAGCCUGAGUUGCUGCAGCCGAGUUGAAAUUGCUCCACGGAGGAGAGAGAAAGAGGAGAGAGAGAGAGAGAGAGAGAGAGAGAGGUGAAAAGCCUUUUGGCUUUGCAAGGUUUAUUUUCGCGUGUGUUUGGCGUCUCACGAUAGGGCUGAAGCAUUUGGUCAAGUUUUUACUGUGUGUUUUUUUUUUUUUUACUUAGAAAGAGGUAGGUGGAAAAAAACAAAGGAAAACCCAGAAACCCGACCCGACUUGAAUUUUCGAUGCGGGUCUAAUAUGUUUCGGGUCGGUUUGGGUCGGGUAACAUCUAAACCCGAUCUGACCCGACCCAUUGACAUCCUUAAUCCCGGUGUGGUCUUGUCGUGCCUCACCGCCAUCAGAACCUUCUUGACUAGCUCAACGCUCUCUCUCUCUCUCUCUCUCCAUGCAUACGUGUGUGACAUCCAAUCGAGGUUGAGACAAGACAUGUGACCUCCAUUGGUGGAGGCGCUCAAGUUCAUAUCUGGAUCGCCCAACUUGUCCUCCUAUCUAGUCUAAAUUGAAUUAGCUAGUUAAUCGUAUACACGUAGGUGUCCUCAUUGACGUAUUAAAUGGCUAGUUAAUAUUAUUAACUGCCUCAUCAGCAAUUUUUGUUAGUCUACUUCAUGAAAAUAUUGAAUGAAAUUCAUGAAGUACAAGUACCAUUAUAUUGCCAGAUAUUUUUGGCGCAACAUUGAAAAAUAGGGAAAACUCCCCCAGGGCGUGAUUAAAUGAAUGCGUGGUUUAAUAUUUAAAUAUUCUUACACCCAUACUAUUACUGAAAAACAAAAGAAGAUAAUACAAAUCAUCAAGAUCGUCAAUCGGGUACCUAAGCGAGAGAGCUUGAUUAAUAGAGGAAGGUCUUUAAUGGGAAUCAUAUUUGCAGAGAAAGGACGUGAAUAAUGUAUGUUUUACCUCUAGAUAAAUCAUUCAAUGCAACUGAGUGAUGUGAAGAUGCUAUUCUGUUAAUUUGUUUCAAUCUCCCUUAUGGAAACUAGUAGAAACGUUUUCUUGUAAAUUACGAAAACCAAUCCUCGGCUUUCACUUAAAUACUAACUUCAUAUCCACUAAUUCCGAAAUCUAUCCACACUUUGCAAGAAGAGGUUUCAAAAAAAAAAAAAGUACAGUUCGCACAAUCUAAUUUCCACAAUUUUUUAGACUCAAAAAGAUAUUAAAUCUGACCUUUUUUUUUACAUCAAGGCACAAAAUGCAUGCUCAAAAUAAUAGCAGACGCAAAAUAAAUCAUAAUAAAAAGUUGAUAAUGAUUUUUGUGUUUUCCAUGCAUAAUGAAAAAUGUAGUUGAGCCACAUAGGUGAAUAAAAGAUUAAUGGAAAAAUUGUCUAAUUGGUAUUAAACCUAUUGUAAGGACAUUAAUUCAAUUAUAAAUGAUCUAUUUUUACCAAUUUAGCGUUAAAAUUUUAUGCAAAAUUCUAGAUUCUAUUUAAAAUUGGCCAGAAUGACUAUAUUGAAAUUUUGCGUAAAAGUUGAAGACUAAAUUGGUAAAAUUGAAAGAUUUAUGACCAAAGUAACAUCCGUUAAAUAAGUUUAGGACUAAUGGGAUAAUUUUUUGAAGGAUUGAUCGCUCCAUUAUUUUCCCUGCUCUUAUAGCCCGUUUGGAUAAGAGAAUAAAUAAUAUAUAAAAAACACACACAUUUAUAUCAAUUAAAAAAGAAGUAUAUAUUUGUGUCUUACAAAAAAGAGAUAUGUGAUAUCUUUCACCCAGAUGGUUUUCAUUAAGUUAGUUGCUUGAAAUUUGUCGAUGUUGAUCAUCACGUUUGUCUACCAAAGGUCAACUUUCGCGUUUGCCUCAACUAAUUUAGUAUUUAGGUUAACUCCAAGUUCUAUUCUCGCGAAAGCAGUGUAUAAUCAUGGUGUUCUGUUCGAGUGCAAACGUAUCUUUAAUUAUUGCUUUGCCUGAACUUUGUAUUAUUGACGUAAUCAGCCCAAUGAUUGCAGAUUGUGCCCUCCACAUAGUAAAAUGACGUCAACGUACGUGAGAUAUUAUUAUCUCUUAGGCAUUGAGAGAAAUGUUUUGUAGCGAUGCCAAGGUUUAGACAACAAAUCCCAAAAACUUACUACUUAUCGUUCACAAGUUAUCAUCUUAUUAUGGAAUAAAGCUGUUGAAAACUCUUAAUGUUUGUGCAAUGUUGCCUCUGAAUCUUUCUUUUUUGCAAUCAAAUUCUUAAACUAUGAUCUGUUCGCUCCAAUUGGACCUUCCAUCAAGGGGAAAAAAAAUGAAAAUGUUUAUGUGGCCGUUAAGGAUCACGAUGGCCACAUGGCUCCUACGUGCUAUUCGUGAAAAACCAAAGAUGAGAAAAGUUAAAUUUUGUUCCUAAAGGAAAUUUAGUGCAACCACGUCACUGCGGGCUUGAGCCCUCAAGCAACUAGCGGUCGUGUUCGAGUUUGAUCAAUGGAGCGAGGACAGAGGUUGGAAUCUUUCCCAAUAGAAGCUCCCUUCAUCGGCUUUGCGUUUCGAAGCGGCGACAGCAGCAGCAUCUGGGCAAGGUGGUAAUAGCUCAAAUAGGGAGGCUCUCCUCCAACCUUUGAUGGCUUUACUGAUGAUGCUGCAUUGAUUUUCAAGGAAUUCGUGGAGCCCGAAGAUGACUAGAGAUUCUUCGCAUCUUUUUCUCGUCAUUUAAGUCAGUCAUAUUUGGGGCCUGGCCUAGACCGAACCAGACGAGCUCAAAAUAAUUUAUGCCGUGCCCAUAGGACUUGUUUAGGCCUGAUGUAAUCGGGUCGGGGCUGCUUUUAAAUGAAAAGCAACUUGAAAAGCAGCUUGCGAGCUCACAUUAUGAUUUGCCAUUUCCCACAAAAUUAUUUAUCUACGGUAGACAAACAAGCAUUCCUAUCCCUUUACAUAGCUAGGAUACAAACUUUCGCAGCAAAACAUUACCAUGCGAAUCAUUCUAUCAGAUUUUGCAACAAUCAAGCGAAUUCCCUGUCCCAAGCUCCAACAGGCUUACUUAUACCCAUCAGUUCUAGAAAGGAGCACCUGAUAGUCUAUGGGAAAGCACACUCAAAAAGCAUAUGUUGUCUAGAUUCAAGAGCAGCUGAGCACAAGCCACAUCGAUCAACUGCAGAAGCCCCAUUUCUUCAUCCUCCCACAGGUCUGCAACCCAUUCAAGAUUGCUAAUCAAGGGCCGAAACAGAACUUAGAAGUGUUCGGAUUAACCCAAAUCAGUUUAUGACAUACAACCUUUGGCCUUCUUUCUCUAACCAGGUUCCAAAACUCAGUCCAAGUAAAACAACCAUAUGCAAUUCCAGUGAACAUCACUCUGAUCGUCAGCAAUAUGACAAUGCUAAAGCGUCCCGCAUAAUGCUGUCUUGUAUUUGCACCAAUAGAUCUGAUCUUGUUGGAGGCAAGACCACUCAUCUCCGACUAGUAACAGUAGCUACCAAAGAGUUGAUAUAUCUAGAGCAGUAUCAUGAAUCACUCUCUGAGAAUAAACACCCCCUACAAAUGCCAUGAGGGUGCCAUGAUCACACCACAAAUGAACUGUCUUAUCCAUUGCGAGUCACUUGUCAAGUAUGUCGCUUAAGAAUGGACCUAACUUUUUGCAGCUUCCUUCAAGUAUAGGUGAGUUACUUUUAGGAGCAACAGACCGAAUAGAAGUCUGUUUUAGCAACAAAAGGACCCUGCUUUUAGCAACAACUCCUACCGAUUGUGAUUGUUUAUGCUAAUCUGCUGGUCUUUAACCUAAAGUUGUAUGGUUUAUUGUUCUCGCCCAUGCCUCGCCCAAUCCUUGUGGCUUCAUGAGCUUGAGUCUAUCGUCUCCUUUCCCAGCUUCCAUCUCAUGUUCAACCAACCUUUGAUCAUGCACUUGCCAUUUUCUUUUAUGGAGCAGCAUUGGUGGGUAGAUUUAGUAAAGGGCCUCGAAAUACUUUAAUCUGUGUUUUCCAUCACAUGUAAGAUUCAGUAGCUCGAAAAAUGUCAAAUUUGGGGCUUUGCAUAUGUGCUGUUUAGCAGCCGAAUUUUGAUAUAGAUACUGGUUAGUGUUAGGAUUGUGGUAAGAUGAUUGCAAAGUAUAUUGAGCUUAUUGAUAUGAGGAUGUUGCAAAUGUUUAUUCUCCAAUCCUUGUUGAUAUUUUUCGGUACUGACUUGGAUUUUGCAGCCAAUCUCCCUAACGGACUAAGAGAAUUACUGUUACUGGUAAGAAGGAAAAGGAGCCAAAUAGCCAGUAUACUUGCAUUCGAUGUCCCUAUUUUGAGGAAUCUAGAUUUAGAUGAGCACGGUGAGACAUUNNNNNNNNNNNNNNNNNNNNNNNNNNNNNNNNNNNNNNNNNNNNNNNNNNNNNNNNNNNNNNNNNNNNNNNNNNNNNNNNNNNNNNNNNNNNNNNNNNNNNNNNNNNNNNNNNAACGGUUUGAAAGGGAAUGGUCAAAAGAUGAUAAUCAAUCGUAUUCCAAAUGGUUUCUUUUGUUGCUGAAUACAAAAGUUAAUGGACAAGAUCUUGCCCAUUCAAGCAAUUAAGAAUCUCACCUUCGACAUUAAGGCAGAUAGCUACAGAGGUUACGCAGCAUCCUGAGAAAUUACUGAGACUCGCAGUGAUCCGUAUGGCGGCACUCUUGGUUUGAUAGCAGACAUCUACCAAGAAGGUUGAGCGACUUAUUCUGUUCUUUAGGUGUAUCGUCAAUUUAACUUAUUUUACAGUAGUCCAAGAGUCCGAAGGCUGAUAUACCAAAUUGAUUUGCAAAAUAAUCUGACAAACUAAAGCCAAAUAUUUAACAAAUGAACAAUAUUUAACUACUCGACUAGAGUCACAUUUCUUCGAGUCAGUUCUAUAUUCCCAGCAUUGGUUGUUUCUCAUAUAGCCACACAAAGCUUGUGUGGUUAUAAGCGAUGGGCACAUUGAAGUGACCAUUCAAUGCAUCAGUACACAGGGAAGCAACCCCCCCAAAUCAGCUUUGAAGAGGGAGUGCAUUCAUUUAAAUAUAUUCAUUCCAGAAGUCAUAAAAGCUACAAAAAUUCUCCCACAGCAUUCGUCAAUCCACAUGAUGGUGGAUCGAAAUGGACUCAACUGAGGAAAAGAAAGCAGCAAAUGUUCCAGGGACAACAUCCAAAGGAUAAAACCGAGUCGCCACAGUUUUAAGACAUUCCUUAGGACUCACCUUAGAUGUGAGAAAGUACGAAACACUGAUUCCGAAGGAGAAUUAGUAUAAAACAAUGAAGCACCAAGGAAGUAAAUUGAGAUGCACAAUUGCCUGACCAAGCACCUUGCUACAAAGUGGGUCAUUUUUCUCUCUUCUUUAAGUUCAAAUCAGAAGAUUGUCACAAACGGACAACGGGAACGUGGGAGUAAUCAUGAAGUGACAAGAUCUGGUGUUUCUGCUUCAACAAAUAACAAAUCCAUGUAUACUUNNNNNNNNNNNNNNNNNNNNNNNNNNNNNNNNNNNNNNNNNNNNNNNNNNNNNNNNNNNNNNNNNNNNNNNNNNNNNNNNNNNNNNNNNNNNNNNNNNNNUACGAGGCCAUAAACGAGAAAUAGAAAGCAAGCAAAGCAGAAGAAAAAACGUAUCAUCUAUGAAUAGAAAGAAGGCGCACCGUUUUCUGCGGAGAAUCCCCUGUUUCUGUUUCAAAGUCCACUGUUUCUGUUUCAGAGUACAUUGAAUCAGUUUCAGAGCUCCACGCUUGCUUUGCUCCAUUCAGAAUCUUAUCUUUGUAAGACUUCCAAGAGUCAUAACUACAACGACAGUCGGGUAACUCCCCGCUACCUGUUAUGCGUAUCAAGCAAUUAUCUGGUAUUUUUGAGCUCGAUGGAUCAAGAAUCCUUCCUACUGAUCUGCAACCCCGAAUUUGCAACUCACCCAAAAACUCUAGUUCGUCAAUGCCCUCAACAACCUGUAGGCUCGGGCACUGGUGAAUCUCUAACUGCUUCAAGUUCUUCGAGUUUGACAAACCGCCUAAGCUUUUUAGCGAAAAGCACUCUUCUACAUAAAAUUCUUCCAAUGAUUCGAACGCAGUAACAAAUUGAAUAUCCUGUACCUCGAGGAACCCCGACAGAAGAAAUUUUACAAGCGUCUUUUGGGAGCUUGAGAAAAGUAUCGCUCCCCUCCAAUGAUCAAUCAACUUGGGAGCUUGUAGUCCAUUGCACCUCGGCUCCUCCGGCUGACAAACCAAACUCUCGGAAGAUCUGCAGUCCUGAAUACGUGAUCUUUCUGACGAUUCUAAGACAUCGAGAGAUUGAACAUCAAGUUGCUCGGACACCUUGUUUUCUUUCGAUUUUCCCAAACUUGUUGGAAGGAAUGGAGUCUCCUUUUCCGAUGGAGGAAGCCCAUCGUGGUGUACUUGUUUCCCUCCAGUUUCGUAAAGCUCUAAAACUAUCAAAUUUGACGGGAGGUCUUUGAAAGUUGGCAAGUCUAGUCCGUAUAGAGUAAGUUCUUUCAGCAGAGAAAGGGAACCCAACUCUGUAGUUGGGGCGCGGACAUUUUUAAAGCAGAUUUGCAGGUUGCUCAAUUUGGUUAAACUCCCAAUCCACCCCAAGUCGCCGGUUUGGAAUUCAUUUGAUGGGUCUCUAUGUUCAUAGCCAUCAGAUAGGAGCAGUUCAACUAUAUUAGUAAGGUAUGAGAGGUUAGGGACAGUUUGCAGGGAAAAAGAUCUAAGCCGUAAAGUGGUCAAACUUAUGGGAAGCUUUGGCAACUCUUGUAUCUCAUGACAACCAUACAAGUGCAGUGUUUGGAGUUGACGAAACUUGCUCAUUGUACUGGGCAUUUCCGCAAUUGGGGUGCGUGAUACAUUGAGAGAUGACAAGUUUGGUAGUUCACCAAUGGUAUCCGGUAAUUUCAUAAUUUCUGUGUAUGAUACAUCCAGCUCCAUUAACGACUUUAUUUUCGAAACCGAGGCAGGGAGUUCAAUCAAGCUAGAACAAUGGUUAAGACAGAGGCACUGCAAAUUUUGUAACUCUCCAAUUUGUUCAGGCAAUUUUUCAAUGACUGACAAAACUGAAAAUUCAAGUCAGUUAGCCACCUCAGUUUCCCAAUAGAACAAUCAAUUUCCAUUAAAGAGUCAAAUGAACUAACAAUCAACUGCUUUAAAUUUGAGUACUCGGGAAAGGUCGGUGCCUUACUUAUCAAAGUAUUAAACCGAAUAGUGAGAACCUUCAAUUUCCUUGCUCCCUACAAAAGCCAAUAAAACAAUAGGAUAGACAAGAAAUAAAUAUGGAUUUAAGCUACCAAUGAGAAAAUUAGAUAAUAAACCCGUCAAAUUCUGUCCUUCAUUGAAUGAGAAAAUUAGACUAAGAGGGAAACUGGCAUACCUUGACUAGGCACUCGAACGCCUCUUCUGUGAUAUUCAUCCCAAAAAGAUUCACCACAACCGCGUUUUCUAGAUGCAACAAAGCGGUUGCCUCCAAACAUUUACUAGGACCAUCAUCAAGACUUGUAACGCUGCCAUACAAACGGAUGCAUUUCAACUCAGAAAGACAGCCCAAAAAGUCACCUUGGUAGGUUACCCCACUCCACGAAAGAAACCGUAUAUGUGGGAACCGCUUAAUUUGCUCCGAAGUGACAGUCAUACAAUCUGACAAACAGAGUGCUUGAACGCUUCUAUUGAUCUGCCAAUGACAUUGAGGAGGAGAAGCAGGAAUUUGUCAAUAUCCCACUAUUUUAUUUCAUAGAAGAGAAGAAAAAACGAAAUAGGAGAGAAUCUUCCAAAUCAAAAACAAGAAUCCUCAAUUAAGAAGUGGGCAUAAGCAAUUUUCUAUUCAAAUUUGGCCAUACUUUACCUCUGUUGAUCUUAAUUUGUGUUCGAUGUCCUCAUUAUCCCAUAACCUGGUAUUCUCUUCUUUAGCAAUUUUCCUUCCAAGGUCUCUCAUCUGAUCGUGCAUCCAAAAUCUAUCAUUAGCUAGAACCUUUAUCAUGCACCUCUGACUAAGGACUUGGAUGGCAAGCCGUGGGCAAAACUUACAAUCUUCCCACAUGUACAUUGGAUUUGUCUUAUUCUCACCAAUGAACAUGCAUGCAACAUCAAGAAAUAUCUGUUGUUGCUCCAGAUUUAAGGCAUCAUAACUAAUCUUUAGCUUUCCCAAGACAUCUUGAUGAGGUGUUUUCCUUAGCUUCUCUAGUGUCUCUACCCAUAUUCCAUUAUCUUUUAAAUUAAAAAGCAUCGAACCUGUUGCUUCAAGAGCUAAAGGUAGUCCAUCUGCAGUAGAGACAAUCGCUUUUGAAAGAGUGGAGUAAUUGGGCAGAGGAGAGUUGUCAUUGAAGGCAUGCCUACUGAAAAGUUUAAGUGCGUCUUCCUCGCUCAACCGCAUCAUUUCAUGUUCCUCGAAUUUGUACUUAAAUCCCCUGAUAUUCAAAACGUUGUUGUCCCUAGUAGUAACAAGUACUCUAGUACCAGGAUGCAAAGAUUUCUUUCCGAUUAGGUUUUGGAUCUGCUUGGCCUCAUCAACAUCAUCCAAUACAAUUAGCAUCUUCUUGUUGCAAAUUGUUUUUUCAAUCAUAUUGAUCCCAUGAUCAAUGUCAGUAAUGUCAGGAGCCAUUCCAAAAUAAGAGACAUCGAACAAUAAUUUUUUUUGUAGUUUGACUAAGCCCUUGGUCUUUGCCGUUUCCCUCACAUCAUCAAGAAAGCUGCAGUUUCUCCCAAAGCGAUGAAGUAGUUGGUUGAAGAUAAUCUUGGCGAGUGUUGUUUUACCGAUGCCUCCCAUCCCGUAAAUUCCAAUGAACCGCACAUCAUCAGAAUCAAUGUCUAAUAAAUCUUUUAUGGUUGCUAUUUGAUCUUCCAUUCCAACUAAAUGUUCGAUUAAAUGUUUCUGUCUUGUCUCGAGCCUGACCACAACCUCGUGAACAACCGCUUGGAUAAGUUCCGCAUAGCUGCCAACAAGUUGAGUAGUUUCAAUUGAGAAAAGGUGACAAAUUUGCAUGUUGACCAGCCAUCUAAUAACCAACCAGGUGGGAACUCGAUCAAGUUUAGCAUAUAGAAGAGAAAUGUUUGAUCUUUGUAUCAAGUGGAAGAAUCGGAAUUUUUUGCCAAAAAGGGUAGAAGAAUCAAAAUAUAAACAUCUAGUGAAUUACUAUAAUAGAAGAUUUACUUAAAUAUAAAAUGACCUAAUUGUACAAAAUAAUUUUCAGAGUCAUGGUUAGAUUGUUACCCAGAAUAUUUCUCCAACUCCCAUCCCUUGUUGCGACCAACUUCUUUGAGAGCUUGCUGACAUGUCUUUAUAACCGUGGAGCUGAACUUAUUCUUCCGAUCCUCCAUCUCUUGCACCAAAUUCGAUAUGGCAUCUUUGUACAACGGGGUUUUCAACUUCACGUCAUCGGGUUUCACAUCAUAGAAGAUGGGCAAUAUGACCUUCUCUUUCCCAUCUUCUUUAUAUUUAGAGGUGUUCUCCACCAUCUUCGCAAGCUCGUCGAGGCACCAGUGACUUGAAGCAUAAUCUUUGGAGAAGAUGGGUAUGUAAACCUUGGAAUUGUCAAUUGCUUGUAGAAGUUGCCACUAAUUAUUUCACCUGGUCGAAGCCCUUCAUCAUCGAUGAAAACACUAAUCCCAGCAUUUACCAAGGCUUGGUGGAGGAUAUCGGUGAAUGUACAACGAGUAUCAGGCCCUCUAAAAUUCAAGAAGACCUGGUACUCACCUCGUGAUGGAUUGCUGGUGCUUGUUCCUGUCUCUGAGUUCACCAUCGGAGCUCACUUCGCACUUAGCAAGGUCAGCCCUCUCACUUGGUCUUUGAGUUUGCCAUAUGACACUUCACAUAUUUGAAUCCAAUCCAAUUUGCCGUCCAAAACGCGUAUAGGCAACUUCGUAGCAGGUGCAAUUUCCAGUUUGCAAUCAAUAAAGUUGAUGGCUUUAAAAAAGAAAAAUAAGGCGGAGGACAAUUAUGGAGGUGCCCCUUUUUAUACGCCCAAUUUCUUUCCAGUUUCCCCUUUGUGUUUUUGAACUUUUGGAUUAAAAAUAUUUGAUUCUUUAUAUCUAUAGUUAGGCAUAUUUAAAAUCCCAAUCUAGAAUUGUAAAAUGACAAUUUAUUUAUAUAGAGAAACAAAUUAUUCCUAAAGGAUCGCAUCUUAUUCUAAUACUUGGGACUGUAGAUAAUUAGAAAUAUCUCCUUCAGAUUGGAUUUGCUGCAUUCUCUACAACAAAUGCUCUACCUAAGCAUAUACGUACUACUUACUAUGAAAUAUUUGUUUUGAUCUCUUUGCCUUAAAGACUUCUUUUAAUUAUAAGUCAUUUCCUUUAACAACUCAAAUAUUCUCAUAAAAUGUGCCAUUAUAUUAAAAAGCAAAUGAUCAUUUAUUUUCUACUGAUGACUAUUAGAAUGUGAGCAUGGUGCAGUUAGUGUGCAUUGGACGUUAAGCCAAAUCAAAUUAUAUAAAUAUGAUAGAAUAUAUUUCGAAUUUGAAAUUGUUGGAUGAAAUAGGACCAGAUGAGACUUAUGGAUGCUCCACCACUAUUCAAAAUUGGUGAGAGGAAAUGUAGUGAUGGCCUGUCAAUGGCCAUGAUGCCACUCCAUCCUGGUGUUGCUGUGAGCACGAAAGAAAGAAAAAGAAACCAUGAUGGUCUUGACCAUAAGAGAUGGCUUUGCUCACCUGAAGAAAGGGAAAACGAGAUCAAUGAUGGCCAUUGCCAAUAAUGGGCCGAAAGGGAAGAAGUCGAAGAAAGUCACGAGGACGAUGUCUUUUCAUUUUGGCCACUCGUUGUUUCCUUUCUUCUCUAUUUGGUUCUGCUGAAUUUCCCCUUUAGAUACCAAGAGGAAGAGCUCUUAAUGUCACAGAGAGCUCCGAAGGCUGCACAGAGCAAAUUGAAAAGCGUGCUGAAAGUUCCUCUUGAUCACACCAAAUAUUUCUUUUCUAGAGCCUAUUAAAUCUUUUGUUGAGAUUUGUAUAAUUUCUUUAAGAGAUUGAAAAAGUUAUUUUGAGAGAAAUUUUAAAAACUAAACAUUGUGAGUCAUUGAGUAUAAUUAGAAACUGGAAACUACUGAGAGUAUUUAAAUGACUCGAGUGUGAUUAUAACUUUCAUUAUAUUUUUUAUCUAUAAUGAAAUCUUGUGCUGCUAUCCUUGUAGACGUAAACCACACGAUUGAAUCACAUAAAUCUAAUGUCUGAUUCAUUUUCUUGUUUUGUGCAUUUUAUUCAAUUGUUAUUUUUUUUUUUCAAAAGGGAAUAUGGUUUGAAGAAAAGUGAAACCAAAGUAAAAGAUAUUCAAUAUGACCAGCAUUAGGCAUUCAUGAACAAAUGCAUGAAAAAGUAUCUUUUAUUUUCUUAAGAUAUCGAUAAAUAUUUAUAACCUUAAACUUGUGGUUAGUGAUAGAAUUUGUCCCAUCGCUUGCUUAACAUUAACUCUGAUCAUGAGUACGAGAUUCAAUGCAAUCUACACGACCCGUUUCUUCUAAUGUCCCUUUNNNNNNNNNNNNNNNNNNNNNNNNNNNNNNNNNNNNNNNNNNNNNNNNNNNNNNNNNNNNNNNNNNNNNNNNNNNNNNNNNNNNNNNNNNNNNNNNNNNNNNNNNNNNNNNNNNNNNNNNNNNNNNNNNNNNNNNNNNNNNNNNNNNNNNNNNNNNNUGCAACUACAAUCUUGUGCACCAACGGCAUGUCUGUUUUGCAUGAUUCAACAUAGAUUUUCACGACAUUUGUUAGCGAUACAUUUUUUUGUUAGCAGGAUCUAACAUAAAUCAUUUUCAUAUUUCAUCUCUUAAAUAAAUAUUUCAUGAGAAAUUAAAAAUCAUUAUGAACAUUAUUCUUCGGAUUUUGAACCGUUGUAGUAGUAGUGAAGAUCAGAUAGAGGCUAACCGCAAUUAUUUAUAUUUUGGUUUGUUUUAUUUAUAUUUGUUUUUCGUGGCGUUAUUAGUUGCUUUGACUUGUUAACUAAAUCGGCGCAUUGUAGGAAGUCUUCGAGAGGAUGACCCGUCCACAUUUAUUUUAUUUCAUUUAUAACAAUAGUCUCUAAAUCAUUCGACUCAAUUAAUACCGAUUUAUGCACGCAAAUCACUCCAUUCAAGUGCAUUAGGUUAGCUCCAUUCACAAGAUGGUCAAGGAGACACUGGGGGGUAAUGAGUAAAGGACACUGUGAUCAAAUAUGAACAAAACGUUGUUUCAAAAAUAGCAUUCAAAAUGCACAUGAUGUAUUCCUGACGGUAUUUACAAACCCAACAUUUCACAAAUUAUGUAUAAAACAACAAUCCUUCCAAAGAUAUGGCAAUUGGAUCAUAACUAUGGUCAUCUUUGAUGUGCAACUUUCUACAACUUAGCAACACCUUUUGAAAAUGCUAUGAACAUGUACAUCCUAUGCUUUCAAGCCAUUGCUUCAAACGAUUGGAAUACAUAAAAGACGUUAAUGCUUGCUUUUUAGUAAAUUGGAAGAUCAUGCAAUACCAUUUUACAAGAUCCCCAAAAGAUGCCAACAUACCAUUCUUUGAAAUCACGUUUUUACCUUUUAAUUAAUCACGCAUGCUGCAUACAACUUCAAUAAAUCUGAAAGGUUUUAGGCAUGUGGAAAUUGAUGUUAUCGGACGAUUAGUUUUUGGACCUAUUUCUUCAAUAGAUAAAGGCAGUCAAUAUGUGGUAUAUACAAUGCCUUUGAGAGUGUGUAGUGAUUGGCUGGAGGAGAAUUGUCGUCGAAGGCAUGCCUACAAAAAAGUUUAGAUGUGUUUAUUUCGAGUGCCUCAUUCUUUGUCAAAUUUCUGCCAUUCUUUUGUAUUGGACAAUUCAGUAAUGAUAAAAUUACAUUCAUUAAUAGGAGCUUUUGUUACAUUCUUAAUGCGAUAAGCUUCUCCACUGUGUCAUCCUCCUUUAGAAAUUUACAGAAGAAGAAUCAAGGCGUUACAUGAGAAAAGGAGAAAAGAAUGUCUAUUAUGAGAAAUAAACAAUGAAAUUCUUCCUUACCAAAAAAAAAAAAAAAACAUUGAAAUUCUUGAUUUGAAUGCCCAAAGUCCGAUGCCACUUUCUUUAGCGAGAGACAUCAUUUUGGACGUUUGUAUCGCGUGACUCGCGAUUUAAUUGAAACUUAUGAACGACAACUUCACAGCAGUUGCGGCUUUCAAUUUAUAGUCAAUAAAGUUGAUGGCUUUAGAAAAAAUGAAAUGGAGGACAAUAAUGGAGGUGUACCUUUUUACAAGCCCAAUUUCUUUCGAGUUUCUUCUAUUAGAGCUAACACUAUCACCUAAAAAGGGUGCAUAAGUGAUUAUAAACAAUUAAAGCGGAGUUUAAAACAACCAAGUUCAAUAUCAUGAAAGAUCAAAAUCUGAUGAAAAACUUUGCAAUGAUUAGAUUUUCUGUAAUGUCUGAUGAAAAACUACACAAUAAUCAGACUUUGCUAUGUGAAUAAACAGAAUAAAUGAGAGAUUAAAGAAUAGAGAAAAUUGCACAUAACAAUUAUAGUGGUUUGCUUAUGAUAAGCCUACAUUCACUCUUCCAUACAAUAGCUUAUUGGUUGGAUUCCACUAUGAAGAACUAAUCGAAGGUUAGAAAAUCUGAGCUCUAAACAUUCAAGUCCAUGUGUAUAGCUCCUCAUACACUCUCAAUUUCUAAAUAAUUAUACAAUGACACUCAUAGAGACGAAUGUAUUUGACCACAAAACACUCUUCAGACUUUUGAAUUAUAAGUUUCAAUUAUUUUGUAUUGCGUUUUUCCUUUUAGCUUCGAGACCUCCUUUUAUACUUCUCUUAAACCAAGCUAACCCUUGAACAUAUAUCCAAAAAAAUCAUCUAGCCAAUCUACCUGUUGGCCUGAAUCUCGUUAAGAAUGUCCGAUCGAUUUCUGUUAUAGUUUUCCUUACGAUGGUCUGGGACGAGGCGGUACUUGUGAUAUUUCUGCUUGGGAUGCAUUUUAAGGGACUCUACUGGAUCUGCACAAACCUCCUGAUAAUAUCUAUAAAUGGCUUGUUCUUGGUAAAAGAUGGACAUUACUAUAUGUAAAUUUAGGUGCAUGAUACACAUCGGUGCUCCAAUGCAUUUGAGUCCAACUCAUUGCCAGAAUCCAUCUUCUAUAUAUUUAUAUUUGAAAGAAAGAGGUUGAUCUCCUCGCUUCUCUCAUGAUAUGAUCCUCUUCCCGCUGAGCCCCCUAGUUUUUCUCUUGUCAACAAAGAGAUUUUUCUUUAUAUCAUUUCCAAGAAAGUUGACAAAUUAGGGGAUAUGUAAAAGAUAUUAUUUCUUUUCCAUUGUUUCGACAUAUAUAAAAAAAAAUAUUGCGACACUUCAUUACGCCAAGAAUAAAGCUUCCUAUAGAUUCUGCCGCCAUACAGCAGUUUGGGUUUUCACAAGUCAAGUGCUUCAAUUUGGAAAAAAUGUUUCACCUCAAGUAUAUCGUUCUAGGAAAUCUAAAUCUUCGAUAGAUACUUUCUUUUGGAACUCUUAAUAUGUAAGAUGAGAAACCCAAAUAAUCGUCACUAACCGUUACAUGAGGAUAUUGUCUCCUUCCUAGCCGUUUGACAAAGUACAUAAGAAAUGAAAUAAUUAAGACAUAACUCUAGUUCUGAUCGAUAUCGUCUGAUCAUAUCCCAUCAGACUUUGCAAAAUUGUGCAAACGGUNNNNNNNNNNNNNNNNNNNNNNNNNNNNNNNNNNNNNNNNNNNNNNNNNNNNNNNNNNNNNNNNNNNNNNNNNNNNNNNNNNNNNNNNNNNNNNNNNNNNGACAGAUAGAGAAACAAAAUAAUUGAAAUUUUCCAUUUUUCUAAAAAAUUUAAAAAAAAUGAUUUUUUUUUACUAAAAUAAAAUAAUGAGAUUGAAAUCAUUUUGAAAUAGUAUCCAAACAUUGAAAAACCUUUUUGAUUAUAUAUUAUCAAACAAGGAAAAACUAAACAUAUUCCUAGAAAAUAUUUUUCUAGAAAGCUUUUUCUUGUAUCAUUAAGAUUUCGCUAAAUAAAUACACCCUAAAACAAAUCAAGCCUGAAAAUCACCUGUCCAAAUAUAAUGAGAACUAGACCCAAACUUAAUCAAUCCUAGUUGAGCCCAAAACCAAUACUUUUUAACUCCCAUGAAAACAUAAACGAACCUAAAGCCACUAAAUCAACUUAAGCCCAUGCUAAUUAAACCUAAUUAAGCCUUCUAAUGUAAUUGCUUCUGACCUCCCACUGCCACCGUCUUGUCCAAAUGGCCGUAAGCCGACGCCCUCGGCCUGACCAUGCUCUCACUCCAACGGCUUUGGACUCUUAGUGACAGCAACCACAGUAACGAGCCUCCAUUACUAUCGGCCACAAAGCCCGAACCACAGUAACGAGCCUCCUCCUAGCCAGCACGCUCUCUCUCCUGUGCAGCGCAUUUAUUGCGGCUUAAACUUUUCUCUUUCUUCCUCAAAAGAGAAGGAAAGAGAAGCCCGUUCAUAUGUCCCUCUCCAUUUCUUUCCUUUCGAAAUUUUGAAUCUGAAAUUUUCUCUCUCUCUCCGCACUCGUUGCUGCUCCUCUAUGCAUCAAGCGGCUGUUCCCCUGCCAUCGCUGAUGAACCACAUUACGGCCGCCCCUACUCCGGUGCUCGCUCGCUUCUCUCUUUGGGCUCGUUGCUGCUCCGGCGUUCCCGAGAUUGCAGAUGCAGCACGCGGAGGAGAAGCAGGCCUCUUCGAGCUCCCCUCAACAACGGCAAGCAUCGCCCACCGAGUGAGACCCCCACACACGGAAGGCUCGGAGGCGAGGUUGCUGGAGAAGCUGGUGCCACACAUUGCCAGCUUGCUGAGCUACCUCGUCAUGUUCGUGGGGCUCCGCCACCUCGACCCGAACCGUUCUCUCCCCGUUCUCUGUUCUGUUGUAGUGAGAACAAAAUUGUGGAGGGUCCAGAGGAAAACAUAAAGGUUGAGCCCCUCCGCCUCCGCUGGUUGCUUCCAUCGCCCCCCACCCCAAUGCCGACACCGUUGACACUCCUUCGCGUCCCUCUCACGACAUCCGCUAUGCUCUCUCUCUCUCCCCCCUCCGCGAAGUCGUGCCUCUCUUCCAGCGAAACACGACGCCAACGGCCCUCCACCUCCGCCUCCGCCGGUUGACUCCGUUGCCCUCGACUCCGAUGCCGACGCUGACGCCGCCUCCUCCCUUGAACCCAACUCUAACAUCGACGCCCCUCCGCCAAUUUCCUUCGUCGGCGUUGGAGUCCGUCUCCCCCGACUCCAACACCGACGCCUCAGCCUCCGCCUACACGCCCGACGCCAACGCCGACGCCGACACCGACACCCCUUCGCCUCCCUCUUGCAACCUCCGCUUUGCUCUCUCCCUCUUUCCUCUACGAAGCGCCCUUACUGGCCAACCCCGACGCCGACGAACCCUUGCUCGCAUUUUGGCCUCUCUCUCCGCAAGCGAAGGUCGCUCCGCUCGCUCUUUCUCUCUUUGCUCCGCGAAGCGCCUUUGCUCCUGAACACAAACGCCAUCACCUCCCGCCGUCACCUUCCCCAGCCCAUCGAUAUGCACCCCAUUUGGUGACUCCUGUACAUUCGAAGGUUCGUUUUUCUUUUCUUUUCUUUUUUGGAUUCUACUUAGUAGAAUUGGGUGCCGUGUUAAUGUUUAGGUUCAUAGAUACAUCUGCAUCAGUAUUGCUUUAUCUUACUUGUUGCUGACUUGUUGUGUUAUUCAGAUAGUUAAUGAAGAUUGGAAGAAAGUGAAACGACGGUAUCUUUUGGAAGAUAGUUUUUUGUCCUCCUAAGAGAUUAGAGGCUUCUAAGCCUAAAUUGGUCACUUCUUGUCUGAAGCAAGAGACUAAGAAGUUGGUAUUAGGAUUGCUCAAGUGUACCUGUAGCCGAUUAUGUCCAAGUCAUUCCACACUCUCCACAUAUGCUCCCAAGUCUUGCUUUCAUCAUUGCUGCUACUUUAUUCUCCCAUACAAAAUGCAAGCAAUUCAUUAAUUGAUUGUGUAAUUGGACUUGCAGGGUUGUUGGAAUGGUGAUUCAUGUUCUUUUUCUCAUAAUAUGGGCAAGUCAUUUUCGUUAGUGAGUACUCCAUGCAUCGCAAAAAAUGGUGAUGCCGACCCAACAUUACUUAUUUAGUUAUUUCCUUUUGCUGAUGAUGGGGAAAUUCUCAUCUUGGACGAAAUUUUCUAUGUCAUCAUUGGCAAUGCCUGCCUGAAACGCUAGGGUCAAAUCCUCAGUUUGGGAGUGGGUUUCUGUGAAUGGAUCAGUCCACUCCAAAACCUCCCACCAGUUCCAUGUGCUACUUGGGCUUUGCCCCAAAGUCAGUCUCAUUCUAGCUCAGUGUUUAAGGUUGGGCUUUGCCUUUUAUAUAAUUUAUAACUUUGAGCCUUGUGGCUUGGGGGAAUGAGGUUAAUCAUGGAUUGGUUAGAAGCAAAAAGAAAUGAUGAAACUGAGAAGAGUUUAGUUGAAUCUAAAUCGCUAUGGUUUUGUGGGUGGAGGUGUUUGCUUUAUUCUCUGUCGUCACUCCUGAAUAUGUUUAUUUUGCUCAUAUUCUUUUGAAAUUAUUGUACAUGAAUCCCAAGGUACUUAUUGUUAAGUUUUACAGAAGAGACCUUUCUUUGCAGAGACUAAUGGUGUGUCUAUUAGGUGGUGGAUUUGGGGGUUUAUACACUGCUUUGAGACUGGAAUCACUUGUCUGGCCUGACAGCAAGAAACCUCAGGUAAUUCAUUUGAUCCUUGUAUAGUUAGUACGCGUUCUUCAUUGAUACAUCCCUGUUGCUGGAAUGGAAUCAUAAGCAGAACUUGCAUAUUUGAACAAAGAUCACUCCUCUAGACUAUACCAAACUGUCUUACAGAAGUCUGUACAUUUUGUUGAAACCAGUAUGUUGUCAUAUGAUGCCACGUAUAAUGUUCAAAUUACUUAUUCAGCUUGAGCCAUCUUAUUAAAUUGGGUCAUUUUGAUAAUGCGAUAGGUCCUUCUUGUUGACCAAUCUGAGCGGUUUGUUUCCAAGCCAAUGCUAUAUGAACUUUUAUCUGGAGGUAUGAAGAUAUGACACUACAGAGUUUGCAAUAGUUUUUUGUUGUUUACAAUGAUAGUUCCAGUGAUAUGUUUAUUUGAAGAAGGGUGAGGGAGAUUCUCUCUAAGGACUUAUGUCUUGAUGCAGAAGUAGAAGAAUGGGAAAUAGCUCCUCAAUUACUGAUCUUCUUGCGAGCACUGAUGUUCAGUUUUUCCAAGAUAGGGUAAAACUCUUGCAUCCAAUGGAUCAUCUGGGAAUCAAUGCUCCUCCGGAUCUGGUUCUGGAGGGACUGUGCAACUUGAAAGUGGCCUCCUUGUUGAAUAUGACUGGUAUCGUUUUCUCUUUGAAUAUCGUCUAGUAUGUCUUUAAUUUUUCAUAUAGGAAUAUAGUUUUGUCAGGCACCGAGGUAUAUAUAGCCUUUACCAGGUUUGUACUUCAUAACUUCAGACACUUGCUAGAUUUUUUCUGUCAACCUUCAUGAUUAAUCGGGAAAUAGUUUUAUGUGGAUAGUGUUGAUCGUCUUUUCUUAGGUGUUGCUCUAGGAUUGUCCCUUGUCUUUGUGAGCUAAAUGAGCUUUCUUUCAAUAUGCUGGGGGAUAGCAUCAGAUUAGUUCAAGCCUCCUUGGGAUUUGUUAAAGUUGAACUUGGAUUUGAUGAAUCAUUAGUUGAUCGAUAGAUGCUCAUUUGGUUUUUAUGUGUAUAAGGAUAUGCCAAUUCUCUCUUUUUGUCAUGGGCAGUCAGGUUGGUUCUUGCUUUGGGGACUGAAGUGAAGCUUGAUGUUGUACCUGGUGCAGCUGAGUAUGCAUUGCCAUUCUCAACCCUCGAGGAUGCACUUGUAAGGCAACUUUUAGGGGGGUCUGUAAUGCUAUAAAUUACAUCUCUAAGUUAAUUGACUCUGAUUUGGUACAUUUAUUAUUCUCUCACUUGUACAUUUCUGUUGCAGAAGGUUGACAACAAAUUAAAAGCUUUGGAGAGAAGGAACUUUGGGAAGGGGUCUGAAAUUUGCGUAACUGUUUUGUAGGUUAUGGCUACUCAGGAGUUGAAUUAGCUGCCACUAUAUCAGAGUGAUUACAGGAGUUGUGGCCAUUUUGGACGAAAAGGAAUUUGACAAUGGCAACUCACCAGUUGUGCAAGUCUACAGCCUGAUAGUCCACUUCUAGAUAACAUGUAAUCAGAAGUUCCUAUUGAAGAUGAAUUAUCACCGUUAUAGUUUUCAAGACUUCAGAUUCAUGUGAAACAUCAUGUUAUAUAUUCACGAUACUCUAUGCAUGUACUAUUUUGUUUGUUUGGAUGGACUAUAAUUUGUUGAUAUUUUGUCGGCUACAUAGAAACACAUAGAAAUGAAUCAUAUGAAGAGGGUAGAGAGGAAUGACUGGGCCAGCGAAUCUAUGCAAACUUCUUGCUUCAACCUGGUACUAGAAUCGGCUGGAGCAAUUUGAUAUGAAGCGAGGACUAAGAUUUCUAUUACUUGCAUUGGUUCAAACUUGUAGCAGUAUGAUUAAGAAUGGUACUUUGGUUAUGAAAGAUGUGUCUGCCAUGCAAUGAUCUUCAUGGAGAACCUACUAGAUUAUAAUGUAAAAUAAGUUAGAAAGAGUUGGUUGGCCGUGCUUCUUUUCCAAAUGAAAUUUAGUUCCAUCCACAUUUUGCCAGUACAGAUGGUGCCUUAGGGCAAAAUGAAAUGGUUUAUGAACUACUCAUAAUUGAAAAUUCACUGAAAGGACUUUUGAUAUUGUGAAAGCAAAGAAGGACAAGUAAGACUACAUAAAUUGUAGGAUGUAGAGCUGUACGGAUUGCAAGUUUCAGAGGAUAAACUGUUUUUCCGUUUAGUUUUCGUACUACUCCUACGCAACUCCUUUUCCAAGUGAAAUUCAGUUCCAUCCACAUUCUGCCACAGAUGGUGUCUUAGGGCAUGAAAUGGUUUAUGAACUACUCAUAAUUGAAAAUUCACUAAAAGGACUUGAUAUUGUGAAAGCAAAGAAGGACAAGUAAAACUACAUAAAUUGCAGGAUGUCGAGCUGUACGGAUGGCAAGUUUCAGAGGAUAAAUUGUUUUUCCGUUUAGUUUUCGUAUUGCUCCUACGCAACUCCUUUUCAUUUUAUUUUCCACCUCUUAUUUGAUUUAGUGGAAAACCUGAAUGCCAAGUUGGACCGAUAUCUAUGAAGUUAAUGCCGUUGCAUAGGCGGUUACCCUUGGCGGGACCAUCUUCUUGUUCAUGGUGAUUGUGAGAUUUGGGUGAGUGCAGUUCUACUUGAUGAUGCCGGAGACAAAGGGGCGGAGGCUGGAGGACUUGUUAUACAUGGAGUGGAGGUCCACAGUGAGGGAGAUGGAGAUGCAAAGGAACAACAACGUGACCAAGGAGGCAAACAGUGAGGCCUCACUUGUAAUGCAUGAUGUCCAAUUAAUAUUAGGUCCUAGACACAACAUUAACCGCACAUCAUGCAUGCAUUAUAGAUGAAGCCUCACUAUUUGCCCCUCAGUUCGCAUCUCCAUUUCCUUCGUUGCAGAUUUAUGGAACAACUCCUCUACCAUCCGCCCCUUCGUCUCCCACAUCAUCAAGUAGAAGAGCACUCACGCAAAACUCACGAUUUCCAUAAACAAGAAAGCGGCUCCACCAAGGGUAACCGUCUUGUGCAACAGUAUAAACUUCAUGGAUAACACUCCAAGGGAGUUUGAUUGGUCUCUCUUCUGUAUUGAUUCCUUCAAUUUCUCCAGACUUUCGACAGUGUCUUGCAAUCGGCUACAAGAACCGCCACGUAGUACAACUAAACUUUCUCAUGACAUUAGCCUACUAACACUUACUCCCAUAAAGAAACAUAGAAAAUUAGGAUAGCUACAUACAUUUCAUCCUAAUCAUCUCUCCAUCAGACGUGCUCAUGCCAGUUAGUUCAACUUGAGCUGCAGGGGCAUUGAUCACGUCAACUAGAUCCGAUUUCCCCCUGCUCUGCACAUUGCCCGAAUGGAUGGAUUUACGAGUGCCGAAGUAUGUCAAAGACGUAGGAGGCAUUGCCUUGAGCAACAUCUCGUGCUAUCAACUUCAGUCUAAAAAAUGACUAACCGAUUUAGCAAGCUCGCAUUUGCUCUGAACAGAAUCAGAUUAUGGACCACCUGCAAUGUCAAUGUGCUAAGGAAUUUGAUAAAGAUGCGCUGCAAUCUUUGCAAUACGAUCAAACAAUCACCUGAACAUGGUCGAGACAAGCCGAAUGAAGCGGAGCAUUCUUCUCCUCAUUACUGGCGUUAACAUCCUGAAAUUGGAAGAUUCUGGAUUUCAUAAAAGUCUCUUUCUACAUGUAACUAUGCAAUAAAUAACCGUACAUAGAGCCUCAUAUCAACGCUAAUUCUAAUAAGACGCCGAGGUCAAGCCCAUAUCAGAACAACCACAGAGCAAUCAUAAAAAAAUGCGCUAACCAACAUUUGAGAAAACUCAUCUAAGUCAGGACACGAUUGAAUAUCACCCCGAACUGAGAGUCGUGAGUACUAGUGCAAGUGACAAACAUCGACAUCUCCCAAAAACUAAAGAAAGAAUAAAGAGGAAGAGAGAGAAAGGGGGCAGGGGGCGGGGGCGGGAAAUCAAUGAGAAUGGCAUAGUCGAAUGAAUUUAGCUAGAUUAUUGCAAAACACAGUUUGCGAGGAAGAAUGAAAGCCCGAGUUACACCGGAGAUAUGACCGAAAAGCAGGAGGCGAACAAGACCGGAUUUUUUUAAGUUCAACAUUACCAGAUACAUGGACCCUUGAGAUCAGCAGUCAAACAUAAAAGACGAUGAAGGGAACACAACUUCCGUCAGCAAGCGAGAAAUUCCAAGAAAACAAGGCCAUGUCUACCACUGUAAUCACCUAUAACUCUGUAGCAUCCAAAAACCUUAUGAAUAUCCUUAAAUCCUAAACCCAGUAAACGAAUCACCUUUAACUGUGAAGGAGAGCUCUUUGGAAGCGCUCCAGUUGGUCUCGGCAAAGGGCGAGGCAUUGAGGAGAGGAAUGGAGAGGUGAGAGCGAGAGAGGAUGAAGGUGUGGAGCUGGGGAAGGAAAAAAAAAAGAAAAAAAAACUUUUAACUUUUUUUUUUAAAGAUUUAAAAAUUUCUCCAGAAAGGAAACAGUAGCGAGCGGAAGGAGGGAGGAGGAGAGGGAAGAGCUGGGCAGCGGCUGCUGUGCAUUCACACUCCCCAACUGCAAAAUGAUACUUGAAGUAGAGAGCUCGGCGUGCAUGGGAAGUAUUGGUAACGGUCUGAAAAAGCAGGCUGGGCUUGGGGGGAAAGGUGAAUGGUGGAAUGGGACUUGGGAGGGUGAGUUCGAUGAGUCCCGAUGAGCAGAGGGAUGGUUUCUCACUUCACAACAUCACUCACUCACUCUCUCUCUCUCUCUUUGUUUCUCUCUCUCUCUCUGCUUCUUCUCGCUCAUCUUUAAAGUAGUUGAGUGGUUAGUAUCCGUUCGAAAUAAACUUUUGUUCCAUAUUUAAGAAGAUGCCUGAUCAUUCCCCUUAAUAAAUUAAUUAAUAAUUCAAGAAUUACGUUGGUAUUUAGUUAUUAUUAGCAGGUCAGUAAGAUGGAUUUAAAGUUAAAUGUGCGGUACAUAUUAAAAUUAAUUAUUGAUUGUGUUGCNNNNNNNNNNNNNNNNNNNNNNNNNNNNNNNNNNNNNNNNNNNNNNNNNNNNNNNNNNNNNNNNNNNNNNNNNNNNNNNNNNNNNNNNNNNNNNNNNNNNNNNNNNNNNNNNNNNNNNNNNNNNNNNNNNNNNNNNNNNNNNNNNNNNNNNNNNNNNNNNNNNNNNNNNNNNNNNNNNNNNNNNNNNNNNNNNNNNNNNNNNNNNNNNNNNNNNNNNNNNNNNNNNNNNNNNNNNNNNNNNNNNNNNNNNNNNNNNNNNNNNNNNNNNNNNNNNNNNNNNNNNNNNNNNNNNNNNNNNNNNNNNNNNNNNNNNNNNNNNNNNNNNNNNNNNNNNNNNNNNNNNNNNNNNNNNNNNNNNNNNNNNNNNNNNNNNNNNNNNNNNNNNNNNNNNNNNNNNNNNNNNNNNNNNNNNNNNNNNNNNNNNNNNNNNNNNNNNNNNNNNNNNNNNNNNNNNNNNNNNNNNNNNNNNNNNNNNNNNNNNNNNNNNNNNNNNNNNNNNNNNNNNNNNNNNNNNNNNNNNNNNNNNNNNNNNNNNNNNNNNNNNNNNNNNNNNNNNNNNNNNNNNNNNNNNNNNNNNNNNNNNNNNNNNNNNNNNNNNNNNNNNNNNNNNNNNNNNNNNNNNNNNNNNNNNNNNNNNNNNNNNNNNNNNNNNNNNNNNNNNNNNNNNNNNNNNNNNNNNNNNNNNNNNNNNNNNNNNNNNNNNNNNNNNNNNNNNNNNNNNNNNNNNNNNNNNNNNNNNNNNNNNNNNNNNNNNNNNNNNNNNNNNNNNNNNNNNNNNNNNNNNNNNNNNNNNNNNNNNNNNNNNNNNNNNNNNNNNNNNNNNNNNNNNNNNNNNNNNNNNNNNNNNNNNNNNNNNNNNNNNNNNNNNNNNNNNNNNNNNNNNNNNNNNNNNNNNNNNNNNNNNNNNNNNNNNNNNNNNNNNNNNNNNNNNNNNNNNNNNNNNNNNNNNNNNNNNNNNNNNNNNNNNNNNNNNNNNNNNNNNNNNNNNNNNNNNNNNNNNNNNNNNNNNNNNNNNNNNNNNNNNNNNNNNNNNNNNNNNNNNNNNNNNNNNNNNNNNNNNNNNNNNNNNNNNNNNNNNNNNNNNNNNNNNNNNNNNNNNNNNNNNNNNNNNNNNNNNNNNNNNNNNNNNNNNNNNNNNNNNNNNNNNNNNNNNNNNNNNNNNNNNNNNNNNNNNNNNNNNNNNNNNNNNNNNNNNNNNNNNNNNNNNNNNNNNNNNNNNNNNNNNNNNNNNNNNNNNNNNNNNNNNNNNNNNNNNNNNNNNNNNNNNNNNNNNNNNNNNNNNNNNNNNNNNNNNNNNNNNNNNNNNNNNNNNNNNNNNNNNNNNNNNNNNNNNNNNNNNNNNNNNNNNNNNNNNNNNNNNNNNNNNNNNNNNNNNNNNNNNNNNNNNNNNNNNNNNNNNNNNNNNNNNNNNNNNNNNNNNNNNNNNNNNNNNNNNNNNNNNNNNNNNNNNNNNNNNNNNNNNNNNNNNNNNNNNNNNNNNNNNNNNNNNNNNNNNNNNNNNNNNNNNNNNNNNNNNNNNNNNNNNNNNNNNNNNNNNNNNNNNNNNNNNNNNNNNNNNNNNNNNNNNNNNNNNNNNNNNNNNNNNNNNNNNNNNNNNNNNNNNNNNNNNNNNNNNNNNNNNNNNNNNNNNNNNNNNNNNNNNNNNNNNNNNNNNNNNNNNNNNNNNNNNNNNNNNNNNNNNNNNNNNNNNNNNNNNNNNNNNNNNNNNNNNNNNNNNNNNNNNNNNNNNNNNNNNNNNNNNNNNNNNNNNNNNNNNNNNNNNNNNNNNNNNNNNNNNNNNNNNNNNNNNNNNNNNNNNNNNNNNNNNNNNNNNNNNNNNNNNNNNNNNNNNNNNNNNNNNNNNNNNNNNNNNNNNNNNNNNNNNNNNNNNNNNNNNNNNNNNNNNNNNNNNNNNNNNNNNNNNNNNNNNNNNNNNNNNNNNNNNNNNNNNNNNNNNNNNNNNNNNNNNNNNNNNNNNNNNNNNNNNNNNNNNNNNNNNNNNNNNNNNNNNNNNNNNNNNNNNNNNNNNNNNNNNNNNNNNNNNNNNNNNNNNNNNNNNNNNNNNNNNNNNNNNNNNNNNNNNNNNNNNNNNNNNNNNNNNNNNNNNNNNNNNNNNNNNNNNNNNNNNNNNNNNNNNNNNNNNNNNNNNNNNNNNNNNNNNNNNNNNNNNNNNNNNNNNNNNNNNNNNNNNNNNNNNNNNNNNNNNNNNNNNNNNNNNNNNNNNNNNNNNNNNNNNNNNNNNNNNNNNNNNNNNNNNNNNNNNNNNNNNNNNNNNNNNNNNNNNNNNNNNNNNNNNNNNNNNNNNNNNNNNNNNNNNNNNNNNNNNNNNNNNNNNNNNNNNNNNNNNNNNNNNNNNNNNNNNNNNNNNNNNNNNNNNNNNNNNNNNNNNNNNNNNNNNNNNNNNNNNNNNNNNNNNNNNNNNNNNNNNNNNNNNNNNNNNNNNNNNNNNNNNNNNNNNNNNNNNNNNNNNNNNNNNNNNNNNNNNNNNNNNNNNNNNNNNNNNNNNNNNNNNNNNNNNNNNNNNNNNNNNNNNNNNNNNNNNNNNNNNNNNNNNNNNNNNNNNNNNNNNNNNNNNNNNNNNNNNNNNNNNNNNNNNNNNNNNNNNNNNNNNNNNNNNNNNNNNNNNNNNNNNNNNNNNNNNNNNNNNNNNNNNNNNNNNNNNNNNNNNNNNNNNNNNNNNNNNNNNNNNNNNNNNNNNNNNNNNNNNNNNNNNNNNNNNNNNNNNNNNNNNNNNNNNNNNNNNNNNNNNNNNNNNNNNNNNNNNNNNNNNNNNNNNNNNNNNNNNNNNNNNNNNNNNNNNNNNNNNNNNNNNNNNNNNNNNNNNNNNNNNNNNNNNNNNNNNNNNNNNNNNNNNNNNNNNNNNNNNNNNNNNNNNNNNNNNNNNNNNNNNNNNNNNNNNNNNNNNNNNNNNNNNNNNNNNNNNNNNNNNNNNNNNNNNNNNNNNNNNNNNNNNNNNNNNNNNNNNNNNNNNNNNNNNNNNNNNNNNNNNNNNNNNNNNNNNNNNNNNNNNNNNNNNNNNNNNNNNNNNNNNNNNNNNNNNNNNNNNNNNNNNNNNNNNNNNNNNNNNNNNNNNNNNNNNNNNNNNNNNNNNNNNNNNNNNNNNNNNNNNNNNNNNNNNNNNNNNNNNNNNNNNNNNNNNNNNNNNNNNNNNNNNNNNNNNNNNNNNNNNNNNNNNNNNNNNNNNNNNNNNNNNNNNNNNNNNNNNNNNNNNNNNNNNNNNNNNNNNNNNNNNNNNNNNNNNNNNNNNNNNNNNNNNNNNNNNNNNNNNNNNNNNNNNNNNNNNNNNNNNNNNNNNNNNNNNNNNNNNNNNNNNNNNNNNNNNNNNNNNNNNNNNNNNNNNNNNNNNNNNNNNNNNNNNNNNNNNNNNNNNNNNNNNNNNNNNNNNNNNNNNNNNNNNNNNNNNNNNNNNNNNNNNNNNNNNNNNNNNNNNNNNNNNNNNNNNNNNNNNNNNNNNNNNNNNNNNNNNNNNNNNNNNNNNNNNNNNNNNNNNNNNNNNNNNNNNNNNNNNNNNNNNNNNNNNNNNNNNNNNNNNNNNNNNNNNNNNNNNNNNNNNNNNNNNNNNNNNNNNNNNNNNNNNNNNNNNNNNNNNNNNNNNNNNNNNNNNNNNNNNNNNNNNNNNNNNNNNNNNNNNNNNNNNNNNNNNNNNNNNNNNNNNNNNNNNNNNNNNNNNNNNNNNNNNNNNNNNNNNNNNNNNNNNNNNNNNNNNNNNNNNNNNNNNNNNNNNNNNNNNNNNNNNNNNNNNNNNNNNNNNNNNNNNNNNNNNNNNNNNNNNNNNNNNNNNNNNNNNNNNNNNNNNNNNNNNNNNNNNNNNNNNNNNNNNNNNNNNNNNNNNNNNNNNNNNNNNNNNNNNNNNNNNNNNNNNNNNNNNNNNNNNNNNNNNNNNNNNNNNNNNNNNNNNNNNNNNNNNNNNNNNNNNNNNNNNNNNNNNNNNNNNNNNNNNNNNNNNNNNNNNNNNNNNNNNNNNNNNNNNNNNNNNNNNNNNNNNNNNNNNNCACUAUAGAUGAAGAUCUUUGUGAUCUUGCUUAGGGGGAGCUAUAUAAAACUAGGAAGUUUUCUUGAAUUUAUUCUUAUCUUGAACUUCCUUAAUCAGAGUAAGGAAUUUCUUUUUCAAAUCCUUUUCUCUCUGAUUAGCCUGAUAUUUUUGUAAUAAGUUUGUACUUAUCUUUACAAACUCAGCAAAGUUCUUAUAGAAUUCACAUUGUGCCUUAUCUAAAAUCUUGCUUUCAAUAGAGCUAUCUGAUUACUAAAUCUUCUUAAAAUCUUUUGUUAAGUUCUGUUCCCUAAUCGGCCGGUUGCCAAACAUGGCAGGGUCCGGCGACCGGCCAAAAGUAGAAAAAAGGAAAAAGGAAAAAGAAAAAAGAAAAAAGGAAAAAGAAAAAAGAAAAAAGGAAAAAUAAGAAAGAAAAUAGAAAAUUAAAAAUUAAAAGAAAUAAAAAAAUUAUACAAACUUACCAAAUGUGUUUCUAUUCUUUUUAUAUUUCUGGAACAGAUUUACCAAACGCGUUUUUUUGUUCAAAAAUUGUUCCCUGGAACAGAAACACUUUUUUUUUAAUUUCUGUUCCCAGAAACAAUUUUUAAACAGAAAUGUUACCAAACGCACCCUUACUCGUCACUAUCAGGUGGUGGGGGAGGGAAACAGGGGAAGGGAAAUAAAAGUGAAAUUUUUUUUGUGGGGUUUUGAAAUGGACGAGGGAAAGAGUGGGGUGUGGGAACUUUUAUUUUUAAUGAAAAAAUAAAUAAAUGACAUUAACAAAUAAUUUUGAAAAAUAAAAGUACUGAAUUUUGAAUAAUAAUAAAUUUGGUCAUUUGUAGAAGAUUAUGGAUUUAUCUAAAUAAAUUGAUUCUAAUUUCUUAUUAAUCAUUAGUUUCAUCAAUAACUUUUGUUAAAAUUAAAAACACGUUUCCAAACAUGAAUACACGUUAACUAUUGAUUUUAUUAGUGUAAAUUCAUUGUAGGUUCUUUUUUAAUUAAUUAAUUAGAAUUAAAUUAAUUAAAAAUAAAAUAUUUAUAUAAUAUAUAACGUGUCGCAAAGUGUAAGAAUUCUCUAUUUUUGAGAAAUGACGUGUCGUAUCGAGUCAUGUCACGUGUCUGUUUCGCGUGUCCGUGCUACUUAGAUUAUUAUUAGGAGGUCAGUAAGAUGGAUUUAAAGUUAAAUGUGCGGUACAUAUUAAAAUUGAUUAUUGAUUGUGUUGGCAAAAAGACAAAAGCAAUAAACGGUGUUGGCCAAAAGACAAAAUGUUUGAAUUUUUCUUCUUCUACAUUCAUUUUCUCAUUGCUAGUUCUUUUUUCUUGGAUUGCCAUCGCCCGUAGUUAAUAGAGAUCGCUCAGUUUGGCAUGCAAAACCUGACAUGCAGGGGAGAAGGCUUUGCUUUUCACCUUCCUCAAAACUCGAACCAAAUUUAUUGCUCUCCCUCUUAGCACCCCCAGCCACUAGCCACGCCACGGGGACCACAAGACCCUCCUCGAUCAUUUUUUUGUCUAAUUAAGUGCCAAACCAUUAUAAUUCUUCCUUCUCACCCUUCAAUUUUUCUUUCAAUAAACUUUUUCUACCUCAUUUGGCAAUGCCGAAGAGCAAAGAAUUGCCCUAUUUGGCUAUGCCAAAUUACCUAUCGAGAAUUGUUUUGAAGAUAUGGUUGGCAUGAUAUGUAUGUCCAAUGUAAUAGUCUUAAACCUUAGUUGAUUGAAGUUUUGUAUGGUAAGUGCAAAAGAUAACUUAUAUUUAUAUUUACAUUGUCAUGUUUUAUAUAAAGUGAAAUUCUUAUUGAAUGGCGGUGGAAGUGUGUAAUUACAAUGACAAAUGGGGCUAAUCAAUGAGUAUUUGACUAUUUGAGUAUUUUAUGGAUGAACGCAAUGACAAACCUCAAACGUCAUAAGCUCCUUCAUUUUCCAAGGCUUCACAAAAAACUCAUGUGUGCAAUCACAAAAACAAGUAAAAGCGAUGAGAAUGAGUAACCCUAAUCUCUACAAGUAAAGCGAUGAAGGGCCUAUUUUGGAUUGUCGCUAUCAUAUACCAUUUAUUCCUAAUUCAAUUUACGGUAUAAAAAUUCAUUAUAUAAUAAGGUAUUUGUAAUUAAUUCGGAGACUUUAACAAUAUUUCUGAAGGUUUUUUUUUUUUUUUUUUACUUUGAAUUACAAAAAUUUUAAAUUUUCAUUUGGAGAUGAAAGUUUGGAAAUAGGAAGACUCUUUUUAAAUUGAACAAAUUAAAUGUCCCAAAAUUUUAUUUUAUAUAAUAGUAGAUAUGAUUGCUAGUCACAGAUAGAUAAAAUGCUUAUUUUUCCAGCACAAGAAGUUAGAAACAAUGGUGGACUUAAUUCACAGAGUUAGUGACAAGUGCCCCUACUAAAUGGACACAAUUUUCCCCUACACAAUCUACAAUAACAUUCAGUAAAGCCCACGUUAUAGCAAAAAACAAUCCAUUAGAAAAUAUAUAUGCUGAAUAUUCGCCCAAAAAUAAAUGCUGGAACUAAAAAUAUAUAAACCGCAUCCUUUACAUUCAUAGCAAAUUUAUUCAUUAACCAGCAUGCUUUGACAUUUGGUAAAGCUCAUUUAAAGAAGAAGGGGAUCUUGACUUGACGUACAUUCGCUUAAAGUAAUUGAGUGGCUAGUAAAAUAGUAUUUUCUAAGCCCAUUGAAAUAAACUUUUAUUCAGUGUAAAGUAAUAUUUAAAAUAGUUAGUAUCAUGAAAAAUCACAAUUGAAAUAUUUAUGAUAAAUUUAUCUCAAAUUAAUUUUUUAACCUUCAAAAAUUUUAAACUAAUACACUCAUAACAAAUUACCUCAAACUAAUUUUUUGAUCACUAAAAAAUACCAAAUUGAUAUAUAUUUAUAUGUGUGUGUGUGUUUGCGUGUGUGUGUAUGUAUUUACAAUUUGUUGAUUUCCGUUAAAUUGAAUUAAUAUCAUAAAAAAACCCCAAAUUAGUACGUUAAUCAAUUGUGACAUGUUAUCCAACUCAACAAUUUGACUAUAAAAUUUAAUAUAAACUAAUUGAUGGUAAAUUUGUCGCAAAUAUAUCAAUUUGGGAUUAGUUUACCAAUUUGGAAUUUAUCAUGGUAUUAACCCUAUUUAAAAAAUUUCUAAUAUUGUCUAGUCUUAACAAAUAGUCAAAUAAUCCUUACCAAAAAAAUACAAAUAGUCAAAUAAUUCAAGAAUAACAUCAAGGUUGGUGGUUAGCUAUAAUUAGCAUAUUACAAAGAUAGAUUAUAAAGAUAAAUGUGCGGUACAUGUCAAAACUAAUCAUCUAAAUGAUCGAUUAAUAAAAGGCACAAGAACUAAAUGGUGUAGGCCGAAAAAACAAAAAAGAAAGUUGAAAUGUUCUUUCUUGUGAAUUCAUUCGUAAUAAUGAUGGGAGAGAGAAUCUUGUUGUUCAUCAUCCUCAACACUAAGAUCAAAUUAUGAAUAGGAUAAGAUUUGAAGUUCAUAAAUUUUGCUAUAUUUUAUCCAAUGUUGGGUGAAUCAUAGCAAUAAUAUGAGAUAUAUUCUUAUCCUAUUGUAUCUUAUUGUUUGUUAUAAACAAUUAUUAAUCAGUAAAUCUUAAAAAAAAGAAUGGUGGGUUGGGAGAGUGACUCUGCAUUCACGAUCCCCAACUGCAAAGGAUAUUUUAUAAUUGAUGAAGUAGAGAUCAAUGUGCAUGUCAAGUAGGAGACGAUCUAAAAGAGUAGGCGUGUGGGCUGGAGUUUUGUAUGUUUGGGGAAAAAAGUGAAUGGUGGGAUGGGAGAGUGAGUGCGAUUAGUCCCGACGAGAAAAGAGAAGACGAGAAUGGCUUCCUCUCAUUUUAACCUUGAUGAAAUGGAGUUUUCGGGCAACUUCUUUUUUACUUUUAUCUCUUAUUUACGGUAUUUUCUUUUUUCAAAUUGAAAAAUAAUAAAAGAUUCAUAAUCUUUCAAGUUUUGAAAAUUUUAAAAAUUAGUAUNNNNNNNNNNNNNNNNNNNNNNNNNNNNNNNNNNNNNNNNNNNNNNNNNNNNNNNNNNNNNNNNNNNNNNNNNNNNNNNNNNNNNNNNNNNNNNNNNNNNUUCUUGGAAAUAAAUAGCCUGAUAGUGAAUAGGAAUAACAAGCACCAAGAAGUCACCAUCACAGCUGGGUUUAAAAAAAAAAAAUCUUUGCAUCAGUAACUGUCUAUUCCUUCUCUUAAAAAUCCAUUCUUAGGCAAGGCAUAUUUUACAUUUAUUCUUCAUUUCCUGUAUUGCUUUAAACUCCCGAAAUUUUCUAUUAUAAAUAUGAGAAAAGUCCAUAACAUUCCUAAAAGUCCUAAAAUUUCAAUUUAUUAAUUUAUUUAAUGAUGUGGCAAUUUUAAAUUAAUUUCUCUCUCCUUGGCUUUUUUAUUGUUUUCUUUUUAAUAUCUUAUUCAAAUGAGAUUAAAAAACUGAAAAAGCUAAAAUUUUAUUUUAAAAAAAAACUAAUUGAAAAAGAGAGAGAGAGAGAGAGAGAGAAGAGAUGGGGAGGUAGGGCGCCGCCGCCGCCACAGUCGAAGGGGCCAACCCUAGGCAAGGCUGGCCGACCCUCGCCAGUCCUGGGCGAGGCCUCACCGACCCCAAGCGAGGGCCAGUGACCCUCGCUAGGCUUGGGCUCGUGCUCGGGCGCCUAGAUUUGGGUGAUGCUAGCGCUCACCCAGGGCUGGCGAGGCUCGCCGGCUCUAGUUGACCGCUGGUGUGGCCCAGGUAUGGGUGCCCUCGCUCAAGUUGGCAAGGGUCUUCUACCCUUGCCUGGAGCUAGCGAGGGUUGGCCACCCUCGCCCCAGGCCGGUGACCUCCACUAGCUCCUCUAGCGAUGGGUGGUAUUGGCGGCGACAGUGGUGCGCUUCUCUCUUCUCCCUCUCUUUUCAAUUUUAUUUUUUAAAAUAAAAUAUUACCGUUUUUUAGUUUUUUAAGCUGAAUUAAAUAAGAUUCAAAAAGGAAAAAAAAUUUAAAAAAAAAUGCCAACUAGAAGAAAGAAAGAAAUUUAAAAUUUAGAUUCAAUUGCACCUAAGUAGCAUCAUUGUCACAAGUUUUUGGAUUCUGCUCGUGAACUUAUCCUUAAAUAUUCUUAGGUAAUGGAUAUUACUUUUACUUUUCUCUAAAUUUAUUUGUACCCGAUUUUGUAGUUAAAACGAGUUGUUUUUACGUAAAAGAUAGGUUCUUUUUCUUUUCUUUUUUCAGUUUUACACAAAUGGAUGACUUUCAUGUUUUGAUUGUCUUUCUAUUAACCUCCACAUUGUAAAUUUCAAAGUUCUCUAAAGGUGGUUCCUACAUAUUUUUCAGACGUUGGCUUUUUUUUUUUUUCUUGCCUCUAUCUUUCAUAUAUUAUCUUUUCAAUAAUAGAUUUCAAAAGAAAAAAAAAAGAAAAAAAGAAAGAAGGUGGAGGACAGGUAUUAGAGGAGUAUUUCAUUUUGAAAGACGCCCACCCCAAAUUUUGGUCUUGACUUCAUGAUUUCGACCGUUGUGUAUUUAUUUCGCUCGGAAACAACAUGAUCUGCUAUAGCCACCGCAUGAUCGUCGCACGAUUGUCGCACGACCGCCACACGAUUGCCGCACGAUAACGUUUCACCGCCAUCACGUCAACGUGCAAUAGAUUAAGGAAUUUCCACCAACAUGAGUCAUUUUUUUUUUUGAAGGAGCACCUCAUUAGGCGCACAUGGCACGACCAUACGACCAUCUUCGGCCAUGUCUUCUAAUAAUAAAAUAAAAUACAAAUUAUUUAUAAAAAAAAAACAGAGUCUAAAAGAGUUUUGUAAUCAACACCUAUUUGUAAUCAUUGCGUUGCUGAAGACAAUUUUUUUUUUUUAUGUACAUGAUCUUCCCCUAUCCACCUAUCCUAUCCACUGUAACAGUCUUAAAGUCCUGCCACUGCUUGCAUUUGAAAACACGAACCAACCUCUUCUCUUUUCUCUUCUCUCUAGCUGAAGAGGACUGCAUAUAUCGACAAAUAUCACCAGAUAAAAUUCCAAAUCUAUUGUGGUGGCACCAGGAAGAGGUGAAUGCCUUUAUUCAGAUGUGCAUCAAAUGAGAUAAUUUGGAAGUUUUGUAUAGACAAUGACUGGUACGUGUUGUGUUUAAUUAUAUGAUUUAUACCUCUAAUAUUUUCAAUAUAAUUUCCUUCAAAGUUAAAAAUUGAACAUUAAUAAUUUGUGUAUGUUGUUUUAUGAAUAUGUAAGUCUCAUGAAUAUAGAAUCAGGAAUGAAGCUAUUUAAGAGAGCCGCACAAUUUGGCCACCUUAGGGCUUCCUAUACUAUUGGGCUCCUCCUUAUGUGCGAGGGUGGCAAGUUGAAGAAGAAGGAAGGAAUCGGCUUGCUGAGAAAAGUCCACACAAGCGAACGAGUGGUGGAAUGCCGUGAUAAGUAUUUAAACACCGUUCGUAUUAUGUGGUGGAACAACACGAUGAUCUUUAGAGAAGAGUGGAGCUAUGAUUGCGAGAUGCAAACCGAGCAUUGCAAGAGGAGGGGAUGGGUGUGUGACAUCGACCAUUACGAUGACACUGAAUGCGAACAAUGCAUUUGCCGAGUGGAAACAAAAAUUCUAUACAAGUAUUGCAGAUACCCGUGACGACAUGAUCUUAAAUUGGACGCGGAAAAACUAAAAUUCAUGGACAAGAUAAAAUGUACACAAAUAUAUACAUAUAUACAUAUAUAUGUAUAUAUAUAACAUAGUUAUAGUUAUAGUGUUAAAGCACAUCUUUCCAUAGUUAUAGCCACCGCACGAUCGUCACACGAUUGUUGCACGACCGCCGUACGAUCGCCGCACGAUAACGUUUCACCCCCAUCUCGUCAAUGUGCAAUAGCUUAAGGAAUUUCCACCAACAUGAGUCAUUUUUUUUUUUAAAGGAGCACCUCAUUAGGCGCACAUGCACGACCAUACAACCAUCUUCGGCCAUGUCUUCUAAUAAUAAAAUAAAAUACAAAUUAUUAAAAAAAGCAGAGCUAAAAAGAGUUUUGUAAUUAACACCCAUUUGUAAUCAUUACGUUGCUGAAGACAAAUUUUUUUUUUUUUUUUUGUACAUGAUCUUCACUUAUCCACUUAUCAUAUCCAUUGCAACAGCCUUAAUGUCAUGCUACUGCUUGCAUUUAAAAACACAAACUAACCUCUUCUCUUUUCUCUUCUCUCUAGCUGAAGAGGACUACAUAUAUCGACAAAUAUCACUAGACAAAAUCCCAAAUCUAUUAUGGUGACACCAGGAAGAGGUGAAUGUAUUUAUUUAGAGGUGCAUCAAAUGCGAUAAUUUGGAAGCUUUGUAUAAACAAUGACCGGUACGUGUUGUGUUUAAUUAUAUGAUUUAUACCACUAAUAUUUUCAAUAUAACUUCCUUCAAAGUUAGAAAUUGAACAUUAACAAUUUAUGUAUAUUGUAGUAUGAAUAUGUAAGUCUCAUGAAUGUGGAGUCAGGAAUGAAGCUACUUAAAAGAGCUGCACAAUUUGGCCACCUUGGAGCUUCCUAUGUGGUUGGGCUCCUCCUUGUGUGCGAGGGUGGCGAGUUGAAGAAGAAGGAAGGAGUUGGUGUGCUAGGAAAAGUCUACUCGAGCGGACGAGUGGUAAAAUGCCAUAAUAAGUAUUUAAACACCGUUUGCAGUAUGUGGUGGAACAACACGGUGAUCUUUAGAGAAGAGCAAAGCUAUGAUUGCGAGAUGCAAACUGAACACUACAAGAGGAAGGGAUGGGUGUGUGACAUCGACCAUUACGAUGACACUGAAUGCAAACAAUGCAUUUGCCGAGCGGAGAUGAAGAUUCUAUACAAGUAUUGUAGAUACCCCUAACGACAUGAUCUUAAAUUAGACGCGGAAAAACUAAAAUUCAUGGGCAAGAUAAAAUGUACACACACACACACACACACACACACACACACACACACACACACACACACACACACAUAUAUAUAUAUAUAUAAAUAUAUACAUAAUUAUAGUUAUUGUGUUAAAGCACAUCUUUCUAUAGUUAUAGCCACCGCACGAUCGUCGCACGAUUGUCGGACGACCGCCGCAUGAUAACGUUUCACCCCCAUCUCGUCAACCUACAAAAGCUUAAGGAAUUUCCACUAGCAUGAGUUAUUUUUCUUUGAAGGAGCACCUCAUUAGGCAUACGUGCACGACCAUACGACCAUCUUCAGCCAUGUCUUCUAAUAAUAAAAUAAAAUACAAAUUAUUAAAAAAAAACAAAAUCUAAAAGAGUUUUGUAAUCAACACCUAUUUGUAAUCAUUGCGUUGCUAAAGACAAAAUGUUUUUUUUCUAUACAUGAUCUUCCCAUAUCCACCUAUCCUAUCCAUUGUAACAAUCUUAAAGUCUUGCUGCUGCUUACAUUUAAAAACACAAACCAAUCUCUUCUCUUUUCUCUUCUCUCUAGCUGAAGAGGACUACAUAUAUCAACAAAUAUCACUAGACAAAAUUCCAAAUCUAUUAUGAUGGCACCAGGAAGAGGCGAAUGCCUUUAUUCAGAGGUGCAUCAAAGGCGAUAAUUUGGAAGCUUUGUAUAGACAAGGACUAGUGCGUGUUGUGUUUAAUUAUAUGAUUUAUACCUCUAAUAUUUUCAAUAUAAUUUCCUUCAAAGUUAAAAGUUGAAUAUUAAUAAUUUGUGUAUGUUGUAGUAUGAAUAUGUAAGUCUCAUGAAUGUGGAGUCAGAAAUGAAGCUACUUAAGAGAGCUGCACAAUUUGGCCACCUUGGGGCUUCCUAUAUUGUUUGGCUCCUCCUUAUGUGCUAGGGUGGCAAGUUGAAGAAGAAGGAAGGAAUCGGCUUGCUGAGAAAAGUCCACUCGAGCGAACAAGUGGUGGAAUACGGUGAUAAGUAUUUAAACACCGUUCGCAUUAUGUGGUGGAACAAAAUGAUGAUCUUUAGAGAAGAGCGGAGCUAUGAUGGCGAGAUGCAAACCGAGCACUGCAAGAGGAGGGGAGGGGUGUGUGACAUCGACCAUUACGAUGACACUGAAUGCGAACAAUGCAUUUGCCGAGUGGAAACAAAGAUUCAAUACAAGUAUUGCAGUACCCGUGACGACAUGAUCUUAAAUUGGACGCGAAAAAACUAAAAUUCAUGGACAAGAUAAAAUGUACACAAACAUAUAUAUAUAUAUAUAUAUAUAUAUAUAUAUAUAUAUAUAUAGCAUAGUUAUAGUUAUAGUGUUAAAGCACAUCUUUCCAUAGUUAUAGCCACCGCACGGUCAUCGCACGAUUGUCGCAUGACCGCCGUACGAUCGCCGCACGAUAACGUUUCACCCCCAUCUUGUCAAUGUGCAAUAGCUUAAGGAAAUUUCCACCAACAUGAGUCAUUUUUUUUUUUAAAGGAGCACCUCAUUAGGUGCACAUGCACGACCGUACAACCAUCUUCGGCCAUGUCUUCUAAUAAUAAAAUAAAAUACAAAUUAUUAAAAAAAGCAGAGCUAAAAAGAGUUUUGUAAUCAACACCCAUUUGUAAUCAUUGCGUUGCUAAAGACAAUUUUUUUUUUUUUUUGUACAUGAUCUUCCCUUAUUCACCUAUCCUAUCCAUUGCAACAGUUUUAAAGUCUUGCUGCUGCUUGCAUUUAAAAACACUAACUAACCUCUUCUCUUUUCUCUUCUCUCUAGCUGAAGAGGACUACAUAUAUCGACAAAUAUCACUAGACAAAAUCCCAAAUCUAUUAUGGUGGCACCAGGAAGAGGUGAAUGUAUUUAUUCAAAGGUGCAUCAAAUGCGAUAAUUUGGAAGCUUUGUAUAGACAAGGAUUGGUACGUGUUGUGUUUAAUUAUAUGAUUUAUACCUCUAAUAUUUUCAAUAUAAUUUCCUUCAAAGUUAGAAAUUGAACAUUAACAAUUUAUUUAUAUUGUAGUAUGAAUAUGUAAGUCUCAUGAAUGUGGAGUCAGGAAUGAAGCUACUUAAAAGAGCUGCACAAUUUAGCCACCUUGGAGCUUCCUAUAUGGUUGGGCUCCUUCUUGUGUGUGAGGGUGGCGAGUUGAAGAAGAAGGAAGGAGUUGGUGUGUUGAGAAAAGUCUACUCGAGCGAACGAGUGGUGAAAUGCCAUGAUAAGUAUUUAAAUACCGUGGUGGAAUAACACGAUGAUCUUUAGAGAAGAGCAAAGUUAUGAUUGCGAGAUGCAAACUGAACACUACAAGAGGAAGGGAUGGGUGUGUGACAUCGACCAUUACGAUGACACUGAAUGCAAACAAUGCAUUUGCCGAGCGGAGAUGAAGAUUCUAUACAAAUAUUGUAGAUACCCCUGACGACAUGAUCUUAAAUUGGAUGCGGAAAAACUAAAAUUCAUGGGCAAGAUAAAAAGCGCGCACACACACACACACACACAUAUAUAUAUACAUAAUUAUAGUUAUUGUGUUAAAGCACAUAUUUCUAUAGUUAUAGCCACCGCACGAUCGUCGCACGACCGCUGCACGAUCGCCGCAUGAUAACAUUUCACCCCCAUCUCGUCAACCUACAAAAGCUUAAGGAAUUUCCACUAGCAUAAGUCAUUUUUCUUUGAAGGAGCACCUCAUUAGGCACACGUGCACGACCAUACAACCAUCUUCAGUCAUGUCUUCUAAUAAUAAAAUAAAAUACAAAUUAUUAAAAAAAAAAAAAGCAGAGUCUAAAAGAGUUUUGUAAUCAACACCUAUUUGUAAUCAUUGCGUUGCUGAAGACAAAUUUUUUUUUCUAUACAUGAUCUUCCCAUAUCCACUUAUCCUAUCCAUUGUAACAAUCUUAAAGUCAUGCUGCUGCUUGCAUUUAAAAACACAAACCAAUCUCUUCUCUUUUCUCUUCUCUCUAGCUGAAGAGGACUGCAUAUAUCGACAAAUAUCACUAGACAAAAUUACAAAUCUAUUAUGGUGGCACCAGGAAGAGGCGAAUGCCUUUAUUCAAAGGUGCAUCAAAUGCGAUAAUUUGGAAGCUUUGUAUAGACAAGGACUGGUGCGUGUUGUGUUUAAUUAUAUGAUUUAUACCUCUAAUAUUUUCAAUAUAAUUUCCUUCAAAGUUAAAAAUUGAACAUUAAUAAUUUGUGUAUGUUGUAGUAUGAAUAAGUAAGUCUCAUGAAUGUGGAGUCAAGAAUGAAACUACUUAAGAGAGCCGCACAAUUUGGCCACAUUGGGGCUUCCUAUACUAUUGGGCUCCUCCUUAUGUGUGAGGGUGGCGAGUUGAAGAAGAAGGAAUGAAUCGGCUUGCUGAGAAAAGUCCACUCGAGCAAACGAGUGGUGGAAUGCAGUGAUAAGUAUUUAAACACCGUUCGCAUUAUGUGGUGGAACAACACGAUGAUCUUUAGAGAAGAGCGGAGCUAUGAUUGCGAGAUGCAAACCGAGCACUGCAAGAGGAGGGGAUGGGUGUGUGACAUCGACCAUUAUGAUGACACUGAAUGCGAACAAUGCAUUUGCAGAGUGGAAACAAAGAUUCUUUACAAGUAUUGCAGAUACCGUUUAUGACAUAAUCUUCAAUUGGAUGCGGAAAAAUUAAAAUUCAUGGGCAAGAUAAAAUGUACACAAACAUAUAUAUAUAUAUAUAUAUAUAUAUAUAUAUAUAUAUAUAUGUAACAUAGUUAUAGUUAUAUUGUUAAAGCACAUCUUUCUAUAGUUAUAGCCACCGCACGAUCGUCGCACAACCGCUGCACGAUUGUCGCAUGACCGCCGCAUGAUCGCCGCAUGAUAAUGUUUCACCCCCAUCUCAUCAACAUGCAAUAGCAUAAGGAAUUUCCACCAACAUGAGUCAUUUUUUUUUUGAAUGAGCACCUCAUUAGGCGCACAUGCACGACUAUACGACCAUCUUCGGCCAUGUCUUCUAAUAAUAAAAUAAAAUACAAAUUAUUUAUAAAAAAAAAAAAAAGCAGAGCCAAAAAGAGUUUUGUAAUCAUUGCGUUGCUGAAGAUAAAAAUUUUUUCUAUACAUGAUCUUCCCGUAUCCACCUAUCCUAUCCACUACAACUAUGUUAAAGUGCUGCCGCCGCUUGCAUUUAAAAACACGAACCAACAUAUGUCUCUUUUUUCUUCUCUCUAGUUGAAGAGGACUGCAUAUAUCAACAAAUAUCACUAGACAAAAUUCCAAAUCUAUUGUGGUGGCACCAGGAAGAGGUGAAUGCCUUUAUUCAGAGGUGUAUCAGAUGUGAUAAUUUGGAAGCUUUGUAUAGACAAGGACUGGUACGUGUUGUGUUUAAUUAUAUGAUUUAUACCUCUACUAUUUUCAUUAUAAUUUCCUUCAAAGUUAGAAAUUGAACAUUAACAAUUUGUGUAGUAGUAUCAAUAUGUAAGUUUCAUGAAUGUGGAGUCAGGAAUGAAGCUACUUAAAAGAGCUGCAUAAUUUGGCCACAUUGGGGCUUCCUAUAUGGUUGGGCUCCUCCUUGUGUGCGAGAGUGGCAAGUUGAAGAAGAAGGAAAGAGUCGACCUGCUGAGAAAAGUUUACUCGAGCGGACGAGUGGUGGAAUGCCGUGAUAAGCAUUUGAACACCGUUCACAAUAUGUGGUGAAACAACACGAUGAUCUUUAGAGAAGAGCAAAGCUAUGAUUGCAAGAUGCAAACCGAGCACUGCAAGAGGAGGGGAUGGUUUGUGACAUUGACCAUUACGAUGAUAUUGAAUGCGAACGAUGCAUUUGCCGAGCAAAGACAAAGAUUCUAUACAAGUAUUGUGGAUACCCCUGACCAUGAUGCUGACCAUGACGCCCCUGACUAUGACCAUGAGAGGUUGGCUUAAAGAGAGAGUGGGAGAGAGGCUAUUUUAGUUCAAAAUAAAUCUUAAUACACAAGUGCUUCUUUAGAGUAUCUGAUAUGGCUUCAUUUUCUUCUCUAUAGGUUCUUGAUAGGUUCUUGAUGAUGCCCCUUGUGCUGAUGACAGCAAUGCUUAACAUCAAUUUGGUGUUUCUCAAACUAAGCAAAAUUCUGUUGCAACAAAAAGAUUAUGUCAUCUAUAACUGCCUUGUAGUUGUAACUAGAUUUCACUUCAUUCUAAGUGACCUAUUGUUCGAUUUGAUUUUGGUUUGGUCUCAAUUGAUUUGUGUAAUCCUUCAAUCCAAGUGAGAAUUGUUGUUUGUUUCAGUUCGUGAUUUAUUUUGCUCUACUUCAUGGAUAAUUUCAGCAUCAUCUAUGAACACUUCAAGCUCAUUACACUCCCCGGGAACACGACAUUUGAAUUGCUCCAUGCUUUCCAAAAUGAACUCAGAGAGCUCCUAAAGAGUUUUUGUAUGCCUGUGACUUGUUCAGCAAAUAUUUAGGGAGUAUUGUUAUUCUAUUAUCUUUUGUAUCUUAUCUCUUAGAAUUAGUGAAUAUUUGGGUAUACUUGUUAUUAUGUUGCCUUUUAUAUCUUAUCUUUUAGAGUCCUUUAUAUACAUUGUAUUUGCAAUACAUAUAUAAAGAAAAAAAGGAAUAAUUUUUUUAAUUAUAUGCGAAUUGAGUCUGAAUUGAGAUUGAGUGACCUCAUGGCUGAUCUAAAUAAGACCAUGAAGUUUCAAGUAUAUGCGGCAACUCACUGGAGAAGUUUCGAGAAAUUUUCCACCCGUCCUCUUCUGUUGGACCAGCCGUUCUUUUUGGUGAAAAAUAAUGAAAAACAACGGCGUUGAUUCCAAAGAGUUGCUCUAUUUUUAUUUUUUAUUUUUUUUGGCCAUCAAAUUUAACAUGGCUGUUGCUGUGUCACUUUCCUAGUCUUGAGUCUUGACUGGUUGAUAAGAAUUUCGAAUGAUAACGCAUUUUGAUUUAGUUUAAACGCCUGCCCUUUGAGGACACGUUUUGGGACACUUUUCUGCCACUUAUUUUGUACACGAUAGCCAUAGACGGACUGUAUACGUAUAAUCACACUUAUAAUGAAGAAGCUUUAUUUAUUUUUGGAUAUAGAUAACGAUACAUUGAUUGGUUUUUUGCGUGCUUGAGGAAAAAUGGUGAAAUUUCUUUUUCUGUCUUGCUUUUAUCAGCAAUAAGCAGAUACAUUUGAGGCGGGUAUGAUGGAUGUAUACGUGUCAGAAUCUCCUAAUCAAAUCAAUGUGAACAAGAGUACANNNNNNNNNNNNNNNNNNNNNNNNNNNNNNNNNNNNNNNNNNNNNNNNNNNNNNNNNNNNNNNNNNNNNNNNNNNNNNNNNNNNNNNNNNNNNNNNNNNNCAAGCUAUCACCCUGACAUUAAUGCAUUAGACAGUUGUCGCAUGAUUAUGAUUCCUUGAUAGAGAGAGAAAGGCAUUAUCGGUAUUCUAUCUCUAUUUCUUCAUUAUUUUACUGUCAAGUUAUAUGAUGUAGAAGUUUCAUCCCCGCCUAUGCCAUACGUAAUGACUAUUGGAUUACAUCAUUACAACAUCACUGCAACCAUAAGUAAUCAUCUAUGUGAAAAUUAAGACAAUUAUUUUUUCAUGAAGCAUCUCUUAAAGCUUUUCAAAGCUAAUUUAAUGAUCUUUCAUUCUAAAAUUUGAUUAACUAAGAGUGCGAGUGAGUUGAACUACGCAUCAAUAACUUGGGCUCAGCAUAAAAAAUACUUGAAUUUGACUCGAUUGAUUCCAAGUCAAGUUCAAGUUCAAGCUACUCCAGCAGAGUUGUCUAGUCAAGUUUGAAUUUCUCAAUUACUUUUCUAGUUGAGUGCAAGCAAGAUACAUAAAUUUUAAAUCGAGCUCGAGUUGCAUUUUCUUCUCUUAACACAUACGGUUGAAGUAGAUGUCAUCCUCAAAUCUGAAACUCCAUGUGAUUUCACUCUUGCUCUGAUUGAUCUUGUUACCCAGACAUUAGUGCUUAAUUUUGGUGCAAUUUGUGUAGUAUAUCAGAUAUUUCCUCCCUCCUUCAUUCUCUGAUAUCUUGUUACUAUCCUCAUUAAUUUGCUACAGCUUUGGAUAUUAAAGGAGAAGGUUGCAUGUGUCGUCACAAUCUUCGUAAUUAGUGCGUGUAUAUAGAUGUAUAUGCCUAGGCAAAUUAACUUACAUGUGAAUUUAUUUCCUUCUUGCACUUUGGACUAUUUAUAGUGUCACUGAUCAUGAAAAAACUGGCUAGCGUUGCAAAUACUACAAACAUCAUUAGCUUUCACCUUUCAUUCUCCUAUAUAUUCCCGGUGAACUCAAAGCCCGGAAGCUUCUGCCACCUGACUCACAGGAAAGUUAAUAGGUCCUAAGCUCGCUGCUGCUGCAGACCAAGCCAAAGCUCCAACUGCCGCUGUGGCAGCCAAGCAAGCAAGCCUCCGGCAUAGGGCAGCGGCUUUGGGGCACUUUUUGCGUAACGACAUGGUCAUCACAGCCCCUGUGAACGCGAAGUUGAGAGCCAGGAGGUAGGCAUGGAAGCACGCGGGUCUCUUUGAGAAUGCAACUCUUGGAACCGGGUUUCCAUCGACUUCCUCGAAGGGAAGUUGGAGAAGCAAGAAAGACGCCAUGAAGGAGAGGACGAGGAUGAGUUCUUCGACCCUGGUUCUAGUGAUGAAAUGGUUGCUCAUCUCUGUGAAGAGAAAUGGAGCAGGGAUGUUGGUGGAUUACUGGGUCGGGUCUGGCGAGCCUGCUCAUCCAGAGUUGCUGGCGGUCGUCGGAGGAUGUGACGGUGGUUUUGUGGGCAUCGGUGGUGGGUGAAGUCCUCCUAUUUAUAUAUUUACAGAGGCAAACGACUUUUUCUGAGGAGUGUAGGAGUUUCCUUUCGGCCAAAGAGGGUUAAGUGUUUGAUAUUCUCUGAAACUCAACUUGGACAUUUUGGCAACUUGUUUCCAUCUAAUAAAUGGAGAAUUACGUCCCAAAGAUAGGGACGUACUAAAAAAUUUCAUCUUGGGGUCUUGAACAAAUAAAAGGGACAAAAUAUUAGCGAAAAUCAUGUAAGUUUAACCCUUUUUUUUCAUCUUCUAUAAAUAUAAAUAUUUUUCCCAAGAGAACACUACGAUCUUUGAGCGAAAUCAAGGAUACCUUCAUCGAUUUAGAAAUGGAGUCGUGUUUCCCUCCAUCUUUAAUUAGAGGAUUGGAGGAAAGUCUCUCUAACCUUGGUUGGGGGACAAAUUGGUAUGCUAUGUGAUGUAGCAGGCAUUUGAAUAAGUGUGUUAUAAUUAAAUUAAUAGUAUCAUCCAUUUAUUUGAAGGAAAAUUGUUUUUCAAAAAUAGUUUCCAACUUUCUGAUAUUUAGAUGACAGAAAACUAAUCGAUCUUAUGAAAAACAUAUUCCAGGACUGAAAAAUACAAGCUUAGAUUAGGAGAAAAUGACUUCUCUUUUUUAUAAGAAGGAAAAUCACUUCCCAUAAAUUACAAAACAAAUGAAAACUAAUUAUUUUCCUUGAAAUUGUUUUUUAUGGAAAAUAUUUUUCUCUAUUAUAAAGUUUCCAAUAAAACAAAUGCAUCUUUAGGGUGUGGUUGUUCAAGUGAAAGAAUUUCCCGUGAGUCAGUUCUCUGGACUUUCAUGCAUUUGAUUUGUUGGAAAUUAUUAGUUAAGAAAAAUCGUAACAGUUAGAAAAAACAUGUAUACUUAAGAAAAUGAACUUUCUAACCUGAAAAUGAGAAAUUACUUUUAUUUUUAAAAAAUAUUUUCUUUUAUCAUCAAUAUUUUUUCAACAAAAUAUGCCAUUAAUAUGUAAACGUAGUGAUUUCUUGACUUCAAGAUUGAAAUGUCACCAGUGAAGUUUUAAAGUUCCAUCAUACCCCUCGAUUUAGGAGAAACCUUGCACGAACCCGGAUUUAUGGAUCCAAAGCAAUUAUAGCAGUCGAUCAUGUGAGAAUUAUACAUGGAACGCACAUAAUCAACGGCUAUAACAAACCUUGUUUAUGUGGACUCUAGUCUAAACAAAAUUUGGCUCACAUCAUAUGAGAUUCACAUGCUUAAAAUUUUCUCCGUUGUAUAUACUCAUAUUAGUCUCUUGGGAUAAAGCCACCAGAGAUUUUUUUUUUUUUUAUUGUACAAUUUUUUUUUAUUGUACAAUUUCAUCAUUUUUUUUAGGGUAACCAUAUCCUCGAACUAUGUAUUUAUUUGUUUGAGUUGAUACUUCAGAGAGUUAGAGCAUAAGUUGACCACAAUGUCAGACUGCUUCUCCAACGAAUUUCUUAGGUGGAACUAAAGAUUUAAAAAAUCCAAAAUUGCAACCUAGAGAAAGAGAGAGAGAGAGAGAGAGAGAGAGAGAGAGGAUAGAGGGGAAGGGCGGACCAGUGGCGGCGGCGGUGCCGCCCAGCCACUAUCCAAGAUCCACCAAUUGUCGCGGGCGGUUGGGUGCUCACCGGCAGAACGACAUCGCGAGAUGGAUCGAUGGCUAUAUCCAUCGUUGGUUUAUACCUCACGUAAACUGGCCAACAUCAGACGAACUUUUGUUUCCCUGUCUCAUCUUUCCCUCUCUUUACCUCAUCCUCGUGGAUUUUUACAUGCUUUACUGUUAUACAAUCGAAGCCUCUUUUGGCCGUCGUCCGCUCAAAGUGUCUUUUCAAAUCAAUGAUUGUGCCCUCCACGUAGCAAAAUGACGUCAAUGUACGGGAUAUAUAGUCCAUCUCUUAGGCAUCGAGAGAAAUGUUUCGUAGCGACGUUAAAGUCUAGAUGACAAAUGCCGAAAACUUCCCACUUUUUUUGGGAAGUUAUCAUCUUGUUAUGGAAUAACACUACAAGAUACCCUAAACUUUAUCGGCUUGUGUAAUAUCGUCUUUGAAUUUAUUUUUUUGCAAUCAGAUUCUUGAACUAUGAUUUAUUCGUUCACAUUAGAUCUUCCAUUAAAAGACCAAAAAAAAAAAUGCUUAUGUGACCGUUAAAUGCCAAGUUGACUCAAUGUGGCUCCUACGUCCUCAUUAGAAAGAUUAAAGAAAUAAAAAAAAAUUUUAAUUUCUUCAUUGAAGGAAAUUUGGAGCGACAACACCAUCUUGAGCCGGAGCCCACAGGCAAUUUGUCGAUAGUGUUCGAGUUUGAUGAGGUGAGUGAGGAUGGGUCGGAACACUUUUCAAUAGAGGCCCGCCUGAUCGGCUUCGACUUUUGAAGCGGAGGGCGGUGGCAUCUAGGGCGAGGUGGUGAUGGCUCAGAAAUGGGAGGCUCGCCUUCGACCGCCUGUGGCUUUCUCAACAGUGUUGCGUCGAUUUCCAACAACGUUGAAGAGAUUGGAGAUGGCUGGAAAUUCUUUUGUGUCUUUUUUUUUUCUCUCAUUUUUUAAGUCAGUCAUAUUUCGGGCCAAACCCAGCCCAAAAUUAAAUUAAUGCCAAUCCAAGAGGACUUGUUUAGGCCCGAACCUUUCAACCGGGCCUGAAGUUGAUUGGGUGGGACAUAUUUUUCAAUAAAAAGGCCACCCAUUUGCAACUAUGCUUCCCGUUACUAGACACCAAAGGAACUCGCGAACUCAUUGCUAAUUUAGCCCUAAAGCAGUGAAGAUAGUGCUGAAUAUUAAAGCAAGGGAAAACCAACACUCACGAAUUUUACAUGAAAAUCUCAAUAUAGGAAAAAUCACGGGAUCACUCAAAGACUUUUACUAAUAACCAAGACUAGCAGGAUACACAAUAAUUUAUCCUUAAUAACACAACCAGAGGCUCUUUAGAUUAGCAAAAUAUCAGAGCACCACAGAGGUGGGUUAACACAGAAGCAAGAAAGGUAUAACUGCUGCCAAAGAAAAUUAUGAGACAAUUUGGAGAGGAUUAACAAACAAAACCAAUCAAUUUAUAGAUCUUACACUCACGAACAACCUAUUGAAAUUUCUGCCAAUUCUGACAAAGUUUCACUGUCGAAUCUAGACUACAACUUCUCUUCUUCAAAGCAAAGCUUUCUGCCUCCUUUUCUCUGUGACAACAAAUUGCUUGUAUCUCUCUCUCUCUCUCUCUCUUUCUCUCUCUCUUCUAAAUCAACAACAUUUAGCCCUAUCUUUUUAUUUUGUAUUUUUUUUUAAGAUGAUGAGAUGGGCAAGUCUCCCCCUUCACCUCAUGAGGGAAGUUUCAUUAUACCCGCUUUAUCUAUACAAGAAUCAAGUUUCACCAUUGGUAAGACUUUAGUUGUCAUAUCAUAUCUAUUAUCAGUAGUGUAGACUUUCUCAAAUAAAAAGAGUUUCUCUUCUAAUUUAUCUUGGAUCCAAUGACAAGGAUAAGGCAUCAGUCUGGGUAAAGCAACCAGAUGCAUUUGAACAUCACUCUACCUUUCAGCAAUAUGACAAGGAUAAAGCAUCCCUGCAUAAUGAUGUCUUGUAUUUGCACGAAUGGAUUUGGUCUUGUUGGAGGCAAGACCACUCAUCUCAGCGGCUACCAAAGAGUUGAUAUAUCUAGAGCACUAUCAUGAAUCACUCUAUGAGAAUAAACACCCUCUAGGAAUGCCACGGACGAAGCGCCCUGUCCAUCGCCAAUCGCAUGUUGCCUAAGAAUGGACCUAACUAUUAGCAGUAACAGAGCAAAUAGAAAUCUGUUACAGCAAGUAAGCAUUAACCCAGGUAACCAAAGUGGACUCUGCUUUUAGCAACAACUUCUGCAGAUUCCUGAGAACGCAGGCUUGAUUAUUUGUUUCUAGCUUGUUCAAGCCUAAACCACCUUCACAUGUCAUAACUAAGGGUCAUGCUAUAGCAAGUUUGUACUGGUGUUUUAUAUCCCUUCUCAAACGGCGAAAAUACAACAUUGAAAUGGAGAGAUCAGUUUCCCUAUAUGUUGCCUAAUUUGCUUGCAAACCAUAAAUGGUGGAAGUUGAGAUCANNNNNNNNNNNNNNNNNNNNNNNNNNNNNNNNNNNNNNNNNNNNNNNNNNNNNNNNNNNNNNNNNNNNNNNNNNNNNNNNNNNNNNNNNNNNNNNNNNNNNNNNNNNNNNNNNNNNNNNNNNNNNNNNNNNNNNNNNNNNNNNNNNNNNNNNNNNNNNNNNNNNNNNNNNNNNNNNNNNNNNNNNNNNNNNNNNNNNNNNNNNNNNNNNNNNNNNNNNNNNNNNNNNNNNNNNNNNNNNNNNNNNNNNNNNNNNNNNNNNNNNNNNNNNNNNNNNNNNNNNNNNNNNNNNNNNNNNNNNNNNNNNNNNNNNNNNNNNNNNNNNNNNNNNNNNNNNNNNNNNNNNNNNNNNNNNNNNNNNNNNNNNNNNNNNNNNNNNNNNNNNNNNNNNNNNNNNNNNNNNNNNNNNNNNNNNNNNNNNNNNNNNNNNNNNNNNNNNNNNNNNNNNNNNNNNNNNNNNNNNNNNNNNNNNNNNNNNNNNNNNNNNNNNNNNNNNNNNNNNNNNNNNNNNNNNNNNNNNNNNNNNNNNNNNNNNNNNNNNNNNNNNNNNNNNNNNNNNNNNNNNNNNNNNNNNNNNNNNNNNNNNNNNNNNNNNNNNNNNNNNNNNNNNNNNNNNNNNNNNNNNNNNNNNNNNNNNNNNNNNNNNNNNNNNNNNNNNNNNAUUUCUGAUUUGUGCUUAGAAACUCAUGUAUUUGCUUAAAUACAUGGUGGUCUUCUAAUUAUGUUCCAAUGUACACAUCCAAAGGAUAAAACCGAGCUGCCACAAUUUCAAGACAUUCCUUAGGACUCAUCUUAGACGUGAGAAAGUCGGAAGGAAGGAAUUGCUGAUUCAGGAGGAGAAUUGGGCAUAAAACAAUAAAGCACCAAGCAAGUAAAUUAAGAUGCAAAAGAGCCUGACCAAGCACCUUCCUAAGUGGCUCAUUUUUCUCACUUCUUUCAAUUCAAAUUAGAAGAUAUGUGCAAAAGGGAGAACAGGAACGUGGGAGCAAUCAUCACGCGACAAGAUUUGGUGUUUCUACUUCAACAGAUAACAAAACGGUGUGUAUUUUGUCUAGCCAAUUGUCCAGUCGAUCACGUAGUAAAUUUGACCUGUCCAACCAUAUGCAGCAGACCUCAAAUUACCAAUGGAAACCACAACUGCCCAAAAUAUAAAUAAAUAAAUAAAUAACCUAGAUAUCCCAUUUUAAUUCUGCAUGAUGAAGCAAGAAGAGAAGCACUGGCCGCUUCAUUUUCAAUCAUCAAGAACUCAUCACAGGUAAUAAAGAGACGGUGGAUACUUAUUAAAGCGACCAUUAACCAAACUUUAGAAUGUACUUACAGACAAAUUCUUCACGAGAAGAUGUUUAAUAUCCUGUGCACAGGAUUACGCUCAAUCGAGCAGUUCACAAAAGCAUAGCAACAUAACUAGGCUAGGCAUACAGACCCUUAUACAACUAUUAGCAUAUGAAACUAGAGCUACAGCUCAUGCUUAACUACGCAAAAAAUUCCACUCAACUAAACACCAACUGCCACACCAAAAAAACACCCCAAAAAAAGAAAAAAGAAAAAAAGAACACCAACUGCCGCACCUUUCUUACCUGUUCUUCCGCGAUUAGCUAGUGAUCCAGAGCUCGAGUUCAGGCCCAUGACUCCCGCCACUCAUGGAGUUAAUGAAUGCAACCGUUCGAGCCUCAUGUGGCACCAAAUUCCUCCAGCUGAGCGGCACUGAAGAGGAAAGUGUGCACGAGAGUGAAAAGUGGCACUGAAGAAGGACUUGAAGCUCGUGGACAUCGAACUCGAAGCUCACGAAUGAUGAGCUUCAAGCUCGCGGACGACAGAACCUGGGAAAGGAGAGACGACGGCGAACGACAGACUUAAGCUUGCGAGGAGCGAGCAAGGAUUGGGCGCGGAGUCGCCGAGAAGCGAGCGACAGCGAUUUGAUUGAGCAGCGGGAGAAAGGAAUAAGAACCCUAAUCCUAAUUCGAUUCGCGAUUUGAGACCGACCAACCCGCUUCGGUCCUAAAAUCCACUUCAGGCCCUUUUUCCCCUUUCUUUUUUCUUGUUCUUUUGCCGACUCUGUCUCUUUGUUCCUUUUCUUCUCUUUAUUUUUCUGGCCCUGCAGAAGGAAACAAUAAGGUGAGUUGAGAUCUAUUGGGACUACAUUUCUCUUGAGAAAGGCCCUUUUGUUAUAGAUGGUGAGGGAGGUAAGAUACCCAACGUCGCCACCGAAGUAGACACACACAACAUAUGGAGAUUCCCAGUAAGAUGGGGAAUUUUAAUAAGAUUUUCCUUGGUUGCGCGCGUUUUAGAAUCAGUUCACUGUCUCUCUUCACUAGAAUAAAGCAGAAAUAGAAAGCGAGCAAAGCAGAAGAAACAACGAUGAUCUAUGAAUAGAAAGAACGCGCACCGUUUUCUGCAGAAAAUCCCAUGUUUCUGUUUCAGAGUCCGUUGUUUCAGUUUCAGAGUUCCACGCUUGAUUUGCUCCAUUCAGAUUCUACAGAGAAUCCCCUGUUUCUGUUUCAGUUUGAGAGCUCCACGCUUGCUUCGCUCCAUUCAGAAUCUUCUCUCUGUAAGACUUCCAACGGUCACGCCUAAAACCUAAUUCACAAGUCCUACAGUCGGGGAACUCCCCGCUACCUAGUAUGGCUAUCGAGCAAUUAUCUGGUAUUUUUGAGCUCAGUGGAUCAAGAAUCCUUCCCACUGAUCUGCAGUCUCUAAUUUCCAAAUCACCCAAAAACUCUAAUUCAUUAAUGCCCUCGACAACCUUCAGGCUCGGGCACUGGCCAAUCUCUAACCGCUUCAAGUUCUUCGAGUUUGACAAACCACCUAAACUUUUUAACGAAAAGCACUCUUUUACGCAAAAUUCUUCCAAUGAUUCAAACGCAGUAACAAAUUGAAUAUCCUGUACCUCGGCAAACCCUGACAGAAUAAAUUUUACAAGCAUCUUUUGGGAGCUUGGGAAAAGGAAGACUUCCCUCCCAUGAUCAGUCAACUCGGGAGCUUGUGGUUCACUGCACCCCGGCUCCCCCGGCAGACAAACCAACCUCUCAGAAGAUUUGCAAUCCUGAAUACGUGAUCUCUCCGACGAUUCUAAGACAUCUAGAAAUUGAACAUCUAGUUGCUGGUACACCUUGCUUUCUCUCGAUUUUCCCGAACUCGUUGAAAGGAAUAGAGUCUCCUUUUCCGAUGGAGGAAGCCCACCGAGGUGUACUUGUUUCCCUGGAGUUUCGUAGAGCUCUAAAUCUAUCAAGUUUGGAGGAAGUUGUUUGAAAGCUGGCAAGCCUAUUGAUCCAUCGAAGCACAUAAUGCUACGUUGGAUGCUCCCGCAUCACCUAUGCCAUGUACACUAAGUUCUUUCAGCAGAGAAAGCGAAUCCAACUGUGUAGUUGGUGCGCAGACAUUGCAGACAUUUGGAAAGCGAAGGUACAGCUUCCUCAGUUUGGACAGCAUCCCGAUCCACCGCAAGUCACAAGUUUGAAUAACAUUUGAUGCGUUGCUAAAUCUAGAGUGAUUGGAUAGGACCAGCUCAACUAGAUUUGUGAGGUAUGAGAGGUUAGGAAUAGUCAGCAACAAAAUAGAUUCCACCCGUAGAGUGGUCAAACUUAUGGGGAGCUUUGGCCACUCUUGUAUCUCAUGACAAUAAUCCAAGUCCAGUUUGUGGGGUACACGAAACCUGCCCGCCAUAUCGGGCAUUUUUGGAAUUGGUAUCCAUUCUACAUCCAGCUUCGUUAACAACUUUAAUUUUGAAACAGAGCCAAGAAGUUUAAUCAAGCGAUCCCAACCAUCAAAACAGAUGUGCCGCAAAUUCUGUAAUUCUCCAAUUUGUUCAGGCAAUUUUUUAAGUUGCGAACAAUCCUUAAAACUCGAGUCCCUCAGCCAGCGAUCACUUUCCAUCAAAGCAGCAAAUAUAGAAAAUUUCAACUUCUCUAAAUUUGAGCACUCAGAAAAGGUUAGUGUCCCACUCAUCGAAGAACUAUUCUCAAUAGUGAGAACCUUCAAUUUCCUUGCCCCCUACAAAAGCCAAUGAAAGAGCAGGACAAACAAGAAAUAAAUAUGCAUUCAGGGUAACAAUGAGAAAAUUAAAUAAAAAAUCCAUAAAAUUCUGUCCUUCAUUGAAUGAGAAAAUUAGACUAAGAGAGAAACUAGCAUACCUUGAUUAGGCUAUCUAACAAAUCUUUUGUGAUUUCUAUCCCAUAGAGAUUGGCCACAACCACGUUUUCUAGAUGCAACAAAUUGGUUGCCUUCAAACGUUGAUCAUGACGACAGUAACGCAAACGGAUCCAUUUCAACUCAGAAAGACAGCCCGUAAAGUCACCUUGGUAGAUUACAUCAUCCAAACAAAGAAACCGCAGACGUGGAAACCGUUUAAUUUGCUCCGAAGUGACAGAAGUGACAAUACCACGGUGAUAAUAACCCCAUGGCAAAUUGAGUGCUUGAACGCUUGCUUUGAUCUGCCAAUUCGUAGAAGAGGAGAAAAUGAAACAAAAGAGCAGCUCUCAAAUCAAAAAGUGAAUCUUGAAUUAAGAAGAGGGUAUAAGCAAUUUUCCAUUCAAUUUAGGCCAUACUUUACCUCCGUUGAUCUUAAUUCGCGAAUGAUGUCGUCUUCAUCCCACAAUCCGAUACGCUCUUCUCUGGCAAUUUUCCUUCCAAGGUCUCUAAAUUGAUCGUGCAUCCAAAGGCUAUUAUUGUCUAACUCCUUUAUCAUGCAUCUGUUAAUGAGGACAUCCAUGGCAUCCUCUGGGUACAAAUUACAAUCUUUCCACACGUACAUUGGAUUAGUCUUAUUCUUUCCAGCGAAAAAGCAUGCAAUAUCAAGGAAUAUCUGUUUUUCAUUCUGAUCUAAGGCAUCAUAGCUAAUCUUUAGCUUUGCCAAGACAUCCUUAUGAGGUGUUUUCUUUAGCCUCUCUAGCCACUCUUCCCAUAUCUCUCUCUUUUUCCCAAAAAGUGAUGAACCAAUUGCUUGAAGAGCUAAAGGUAGUCCACAUGUAGUAUUGACAAUGCCCUUUGAAAAAGCGCAAUAAUCAGCUGGAGGAGAGUCUUCAUUGAAGGCAUGCCUACUAAAAAGUUUAAGAGCAUCUUUACCGAUCAACCCCAUCAUUUCAUAAUCCUUAAAUUCAUACUUAAGUUUCCUGUUAGUCAAAACAUUCUUGUCCCUAGUGGUAACAAGUAUUCUACUACCUUGAUGCAAAGAUUUCUCUCCGAUUAGUUGUAGGAUCUGGUUGGCCUCAUCAACAUCAUCCAAUACAAUUAGCACCUUCUUGUUGGAAAUUGUUGCUUCAAUCGUAUCAAUCCCUUCAUCAAUCUUAUUAAUUUUGUGAGGCACUCCAGAAUAAGAGAUAUCAGACAAUAAUUUUUUUUGUAGCUCGACCAUGUUCUUGUUUUUUGCCGUUUCCCUCACGUCAUCAAGAAAGCUGCAGUUUCUGCCAAAUCGAGGACAUAGUUCGUUGAAGAUAGUCUUGGCGAGUGUUGUUUUACCAAUGCCACCCAUCCCGUAGAUUCCAAUGAACUACACAUCAUCAAAAUCAAUGUCUAAUAAUUUCUUUAUGUUUGCUAUUUGAUCUUCCAUUCCAACGAAAUCUCCGGUUACACGUCUCCGUUUUGUCUCGAGCUUGGCCACAACCUCGUCAACAAUAGCCUGGAUGAGUUUUAAAGGGCUGCCACAAAGUUGAACAGUUUCAAUUGAGCAAACGUGACAAAUUUGCAUAUUGACCAUCUACUAACCAACCGGGUGGGGACGCGAUCAAGUUCAAAAAUAUAGAAGAGAAAUGUUGAUCUUUACAUCAGGUAGAAGAAUAAGAAUUUCUGGCAAAAAAAAGGGUAGAAGAAUCAAAAUAUAAACAUCUAAUGAAUUAAUGUACUGGAAUAUUUACUUAAAUAACAAAAAUGGCAGCCCGAUUAUACAAGAUAAUUUUCACAAUCAUGGUUAGAUUAUUACCUUGAAUGUUUCUCCACCUCCCAUCCCUUGAUGCCACCAACUUCUAUGAGGGACUCCCGCCACGUCUUUAUAUUCUCGGAGCUGAACUUAUGCUCCCAAUCCUCCAUCUCUUGCUCCAAAUUCGAUAUGACAUCCUUGUAUAACGGUGUUUGCAGCUUCACAUCUUUGGGCUUCACGUCAUAGAAGAUGGGCAAUAUGACCUUCUCUUUCUCAUCUUCUUUAUGUUUAGAGGUGUUCUCCACCAUUUUCGCAAGCUCGUCAAGGCACCAGUGACUUGAUGCAUAAUCUUUGGAGAAGAUGGGUAUGUAAAGCUUGCAAUUGUCAAUCACAUGCAGAAGGUUGCUAAUUUUUUCACCAGGUUGAAGCCCUACGUCAUCGAUGAAAACACGAAUCCCGGCAUCUACCAAGGCUUCGUGGAGGAAAUUGGUGAAUGGAAGACGAGUAUCAGGCCCUCUAAAACUCAGGAAAACUUGGUAUUCACCUCCUACCGUGUUGCUGGUGCUCGUCACUGUCUUUGAGUUUGCCAUAGGAGCUCACUUCGCACUUAACAACGUCAACCCUCUCACCUCGUCUCUGAGUUCGCAAUAUGACAUUUCACAUAUUUGAAUCCGAUCCCAUUUGCCAUCCAAAACGCGGUCAACGCGUGUAGAGUUUUCCGACACGUAGUCAACUUUUUUCGACUCGUCUCGACACGCGUGUCGGAUGGAAGCGAGGGCGGGGGAGGAGAGACGAGGCCGCGAGCGACGGCGAGCCCGCGACGGCGAGAAACCGCCAGAGAAAGAGUAGAGAUUGAGGCGCCAGAGAAAGAGUCGAGACCGAGGCAAGGGCGGCCGUAGAGACUGAGGAGAGGGCGGCCGCAGUGAUGCUGCGGGAUCGGCGACGAGGCUGCACUGCAAGUGAGGAAGGGCCGAAGGCGAGGCGGAGGAGGAGGAGAAGGAUCGAGAGGAAGAGGAGAGGAAGGGGGUUGUAUGGAGGUCGUCCGGCGAGGAGAUGGAGAUGGAUCGAGAGGAAGACCGUGCGGCCAGGGGAAAAAAGUUUCGGUAGCUAGGGUUUUGGAAACUCAAUGGGGUGACAGCCUGUUACGUGCGUGGGGGAGGGGAAAAAAGUGAAAUAAAUUUGGGGUGGACGUGGCAAGGUAGGGAAAAAAAAUUGAAAUAAAUUUAGGAGGGGGGGGGGGAAUAGUCUCUCGUGGGGGAGGGAGGGAAAAAAGUGAAAUAAAUUUGGCAGUGGGGAGAAACUUUGUUUUAAUCGGAAAAAAUAAAUGAAUAAUUUUAAAAAAUAAAAAUACUGAAUUUUAGAUGAUAAUAAAUUUUUAUCAUUGUAAAAAUAUCAUAGAUUUAUUUAAAUAAGUUGAUUCUAAUUUUCAAUGAAUUAAUUUAUUAAUAUUAUUAGUGUAAAUUCAUUGUAGGCUUUUUUUUAAUUAAUUAAUUAAUUAUGAAUUUAAAUAAAAUUAAAUAUAAAUAAAAAUAUUUAUUUAAUAUUUAACGUGUCGGAACGUGUCAAAAUUCUCUACUUUUUGAGAAAUGACGUAUAACGUGUCGUGUCGUGUCGUGUCGCGUAUUGCGUGUCGCGUGUCGGUGCUACAUAGGUUUACAGUCAAUCAAGUUGAUGACUUCAAAAAAAAAAAAAAAAAGGAAAAUGACGAUAAUGGAGACACACCUUUUUACACUCCCAAUGUCCUUCGAGUUUCUUCCUUUGUCCUUUUCACUUUGUGCUUUUGAAAAAGAAAAAUACGGUGGAGGACGAUAAUGGAGGUGCACCUUUUUGCAUGCCCAAUGUCUUUCGAGUUUCUCCUUUGUGCUUUUCACUUUGUCUUAAUCUCUCCGCCUUGAAAACUUACCUUCAAUUAUAACCAAUUUCCUUUAACAACUCAAUUAUUGUCGUAAAAUGUGCCUUUAUAUUAAAAGGUGAAUGAUCAUUUAUUUCCUACUAACAACUAUUAGAAUGUGAGCAUGGUGUAGUUAGUGCAGUGUGGAUGUCAAAUCAAACCAAACUAUAUAAGUAUAUUUUGAGUUUGAGCACCUUGGAUGAAAUAGGAUCACAUGAGAAUUAUAGGCGCUCGGCCACUGUUCAAAAUUGGUGAGAGGAAGUGCAGUGAUGGCUUGUCAGUGGCCAUGAUCCCAGUCCAUUGCGGUAUUGCUUUGAGCACGAAAGAAAGAAAGGGCCUGUUUGGUUCAGCAUUGCAAAUGCUUAUUUGGACUCUAAAGUCCUUUGGCCAAAUGCAAACGCGUUUGGUUCGUAUUUUUGCGCGACUUUGGUAAGAUGCAAUUGCAUCUCCAAAGGAGUCUAAAGGCCUUUAGCCCAAUGGAGGUCUUGAGGUGCAUUGGCAAGUUGUAUCCUGGGAAUGCAAAUAGCUCGAUUACUGUUCAUCUUCUCCAACCUCUCCAAACUGCUGAUUGGAGGCCGACGACCACCGGCGAAGGGAUGGCGCGCGCCGGCGACCGCCGCCUAAGGGUCACCCGACCCCGGCGACCGUCGCCUGGGGUCGCCGGACCUCAGGCGACGCCCGGAUCUCGCGACCCAGGCGUCGCUGCCCAAAUUACUACCACUAUGUUAGGUAAUCACACGUCGAUUUCAGAAAAAAAAAAAAAUAACGCAAGUAAGUGAUCCACCUAGACUAAAUAUAAUAAUAAAAUAACAUAAUCGGGAGAACACAAUAGAAAUUUUAUCAUCAAAAUUCACCCAAACCUAGGCUAUGUUUCCACACAAAGGUACUCUGCAAUUCCAUUAGACUUUGAAAAAAAUUGAACUACAAUAAUGAUUUUCUCUCAAGAUUGAGGUACAUAUAGAUUAAGAACUCUCACAAAUAAGAAACUCACUUUUUUCUUCUCUCUAUUUUCUUUUAUAGUUCCUUGAUGGCUAGCAUUUGACUAUCGCUGAUAUAAAGUGUAGCUUUUAACCUAAAAGAAAAACUAAUUGAAAAGACAAAAAAAGCCCCUAAAAAAAAUUGGCUUCACCCCCCGACAAUCUCCCACUUGAAGCACUAUGCAACUUAGCAUCCAUCUACAUCAAAAUCUAGUAACUAAAAUUUGUGCAUUUGCGAUACUCCUCAUCAAUUAGGAUAGAGUAAUACCAAUCAUAAUAUUGACACCUAAAUUUCGAAUGUUCAUAUAGGUUUUUAUUGCAUAGAAAAUUAGGGAAUAAAUUUUAACUCAUAAACAAAAACAGUUUACACCUAAAUUGCAUAGCAUAUAGACAUUAGGAGGAUUUGCAUUAAGAUGUACAGAAUUUAUAAGGAAAAAUAUUUUAAAAAGAGGAAAAAGAGAAAAAAAAUUAAUUAAUUAAAAACUAUUAUUUAAAAAAAAAGAAAAAAAGCGAGAUCGGGCUAGGGACAGGCCGGCCAGCCUUCUUUCUUUUUCUUUUCUACCUCUUCUUUUUGCCUAGGCCCAGCCCGGCCCACUUUUCCUUUUCUUUUCCUUUUCUUUUCCCCAAGCCCAGCCUCUUCCUUCAUCUUCUCCCUCACGCUCUCACGCGUUCUGCAAAAAAGAAAAAGGAGGACGAGGGAUGGAAGCAGAGGCGGGACGGGGAGUGAGGAGCGCGCCUUUUGGGUCGGGAGCACCGGAGCAGGCCGGCACGGGGAGCUGGCGGUGGCAGAGGCAAUGCGCGCCUGCCGGGCGUUAGAGGGGGAUUCUGGGGGCUCGGGCGGAGGGAGAAAUGGACGGAGAGAGAAAGGGGGAGAUAGAGGGGAUCCGGCCGAGAGGGAGACCGAGAGUGAGAGAGCAGAAAAUUCGCUCCGGCUGAGCGCCGUUCGGCCAUCCUCGACACAAACCGGCGUCCCCUAGCUGUUACACGGCGUCCGAUUUUUGGUGAGUUGAGUUUCGGUUUCGAUCCGCCGUUUUCCCGUGGUUCCCGGCUUGGCGAAACUGAGAUGGCCGGCUAUAAUUCGAUUGCAUUGAGACCGGCUUCUGGCUGUCGUCCCAAAUCCGGGUAAGGCCCCCGCGGUUGCGCGCUCCGGCGCCCCUUUUUUGUCCUUUCCUUACUGCUCUGUUUUUGCCCUAUUUCGGGCACGCCGGGCCAGAGCUCGCGGCCGUCUGGCUCACGCGUCCGGCCCCUUCGCCCCUGUGUUUUGAUAUUGUCGGUCUGGUGGGUCGUAUGUCGAGGGGACUGUGCGAGUUUGAGUCCCGGCUGAGCCAGGAGACCCUCGUUCAGUAUCGCACGCCACCCGCUCGAUGAAAUGCCUCAACGAGAUCUGAUUUUCGUCUCCUCCUCUUUUUGCCGAAAUCAAGUCGUACGGACUGUUGUGUUCUAUUGCUAUGUCCCUGUGAUGUUUUCCGAUACGGGCACGGCCGUUUGGUCGCUUCACUGCCCCCACCACCGUGGUCGUCUACUUUGUUUUGUGUUUGGCUUUGUGGCCGACGAUAAUGGAGGCUUGUUACUGUGUUUCGGCCAUGCUGGCCGACGCCAAGUGUCCAGAGCCAUUGGAAUUAGAGCACGGUCAGGCCGAGGGCGACAAUGUCGUCAGCUCACGGCCAUUUGGAGAAGACGGUGGCAGCGGGAGGUCAGAAGGAAUUAGGUUAGAAGGCUUACUUAGGUUUGAUUAGCAUGGGCUGAAGUUAGUUUAGUGGGUUUAGGUUCGUUUCUGUUUUCACGAAGAAAAUAUUCAGUAGUUUGCUCUCACCACGUCAUCAGCUGAUGUGGCGAGCAUUUUUCGCUCUCAUCCAAUAACAACUCGACACGUGUAUGAUGAUGUGGAAUUAAUCACAAAAAUUGAAAACUUCAUUUCUCUCUUCCUCUGCCAUGGCGGCGUGAUCGUUGCCACCACCCAAGCCACUGCAACCUCCAUCCUGGAGCCCUCUGCAUCGCCGUGGCUGUCUCACCCUUGCCGUCAAGGUUUGCAGCCAUGGACAAUUCACGGUCAUCAGAUCUGUGAAUGAGGCGCCUCGGAGCCAUGGACAAGCAAAGCUUGCGGCCAUGGAUGAUGGAGGACCCCUUCCGACGUCGCUCGCGGUCGGCUCGAGAAGCCCUUUCGGCUCCGUCUUUUUCUAUUUUUCUCCAACCUCCAGAUCUGGGACCACAUCCUUCGUCCAUGGCUACUGUCAGUUUCGCUGGCCUCGUUCUCCAAAUCUCCAGAUCUAGCCAUUCAUGGCUGAAAGCAUUCGGGCAUCGAGGAAGUCGAACAGGGGAAGACGAAGUUGAAGACAAACGAACAAAGGAAGGCAAAGCCAAAGACAAACAGAGAAAGACGAAGCUGAAGACCAAAUCUGGAGCCACAGUGACAGCUUGCCGAAGCUACCAAAUCUAGUGCCAUGGUGAAAGCAGGAAGAUGAAGCGACUAGAUCUGGCCGAUGACCCGAAGAUGAAGACGAGCAGACGCUGGGAAAAAGACGAAGCCGAAGACGGAAAGGGUGACUCGGUUUGGAUGUGCAAUUGGCCUGAACACGGCGUUGACGCCGACAAUAGCGGGAGGUGUGGAGGUCAAGCCCAAGAGGUGGUGUGGACGGAGGAGCAACAAAGGAGGAAGAGAGGGAAAGUGGUGGAAUGAGAGAAUUUUUAUUUUUUAUUUAAUUCCAUAUCAACAAAUACGUGUCAAGCUGUAAUUGGAUGGAAGCAAAAAAAUGCUUGCCACGUCAGCUGAUGACGUGGUGAGAGCAAACGUCGAAUAUUUUCUCGUUUUCAUGGGAGUAAAAAAGUGUAUUGGUUUUGGGGUCAACUAGGAUUUAUUAAGCUUGGAUCUAGUUUUAGUUAUAUUUGGACCAGUGAUUUUCGGGUCUGAUUUGCAUUAGGGUGUGUUUAUUUCACGAAAACUUAAUAAUAUAAGUAGUAAAAUAUUUUCUAGUAAUAUGGUUAGUUUUCCUUUAUUUGGUAAUAUAUAAUUGAAAAUGUUUUUCAAUGCUUGGAUAUUAUUGCAAAAUGAUUUCAAUAUCAUUACUUUAUUUCAAGCAAAAAAAAAAACAUUUUUUAAUUUUUAUAAAAAAAAAUUGAAAAUUUAAUUAUUUUAUUUUUCUCUUUUUUAUAUUUAUAUUUUUUUUCAAAAAAUCGAAUUUUUUAUUUUUUGUAAUAAAGAGACAGUGGAUUCUCAUUAAAGUGACCAUUGUCCAACCAUAGAAUAUACUUAUAGAUAAACUCUUCUCGAGAAGAUGCUCAACAUCCGGUGCACAUGAUUGCACUCAAUCAAGCAGUCCACAAAAACAUAGCAACAUAACUAGACUAGGCAUUCAGAUAGUCAAACAAAUGCAAGAAAGCAGACCCUUAUACAACUAUUACCUUAUGAAGCUAGGGGUAGAGCUAGAGCUUGAGCUCAUGCUUAAAUACUCAAAGAUAAAUCACACAAUUACAUUCAACUAAACACCAACUGCCACCCCAUUCUUACCCGUACUUCAGCAAUUAGCUGGUGAUCCACAGCUCGAGUUCAGGCCCGUGACUCCCGCCAUUGAUGGAGUUAAUGAAUCCACCAAAUUCCUCCAGCUGAGCGGCACUGAUGAAGAAAAUGCGCACAAGAGUGAAAAGUGGCAUUGAAGGACUUGAAGCUCAUGGACAUCGAACGAUGGACUUGAGUUUGCGAGGAGCGAAUGAGGAUUGGGCGCAGAGUUGCCGAGGAUGAGCGACAGCGAUUUGCUUGAGCAGCAGAUCGACUUAACCACCUCAUUCCGAAAAUACAGUUGAGGCCCUUUUUCCCUUUUCUUUUUUCUUGUUCUUUUGCUGUCUCUAUCUGGCUCUCUCUUUUCUCCUCUUCAUUUUGCCGACUGUCUUUCUCUUCCUUUUCUUCUCCUUAUUUUCCUGGUUCUGCAGAUAAGAAACAAUAAGGUGAGUUGAGGCGAGGUCUCUUGGGCCUAAAUUUCUCUUAAGAAAAGCCCUUCUGUUAUAGAUGGUGAAGGAUGUAAUAGCCCUAACCUCACCACCGAAGUGGACACGCGCACGCACGCACACGGAGCAUAUGGAGAUUCCCAGUGCGAUGAGGAAUUUUAAUAAGAUUGUCCUUGUCGUUUUAGAAUCAGUUCAUUGUCUCUCUUCAUCAGAAUAAAGCAGAAAUAGAAAGCAAGUAAAGCAGAAGAAACGGCGAUGAUCUAUGAAUAGAAAGAAGGCGUACUGUUUUCCGUAGAGAAUCCCCUGUUUCAAUUUCAAAGUCCGUCCCGUACUCUGAUCUAUUCAGAAUCUUCUCUCUGUAAGACUCCCAAGUGGCGUAAGAAUGAGAUGGACCACUAUCGAGUAACUUCCCACUACAUACUAUGAUUAUCAAGCACUUAUUUGGUAUUUUUGAGCUCGAUGCAUCAGAAAUCCUUUCCAUUGAUUUGCACCCGUUAAUUUCCAACCGAUUCAAAAACUCUAAAUCGUCAAUGCCCUUGAUAACCUGCAGGCUCGGGCACCGGUCAAUCGUUAACCACUUCAAGAUCUUCAAGUUUGACAAACUGCCUAAGCUUUUUAGGCACAAAACGGAAGCACCAAGGAAGUAAAUUGAGAUGUACAACUACCUAACCAAGCACCUUGCUACAAAGUGGCUCACUUUUCUCUCUUCUUUCAGUUCAAAUCAGAAGAUCGGUACAAAACGGAGAACAGGAACACGGGAAUAAUCAAGAAGCGAGAAGAUCUGGUGUUUCUGCUUCAACAGAAAACAAAGCCGCGUGUACUUCGUCCAACCAAUUGUCUAGUUGGUCACACAGUAAUUUGAACUGUGGAAUCCCGAAAACUCUGGGUUGCACCCAUGAAACGCAUGAUUUUCCCUCAACUUGAUCGAUUAUGCCCUCAAUAAGAUGAAUCUGAGUUGAGAUUCUAAAUGUUUAGACUCUGUAAAAUAAGGUAAAUACUUGAAUAUCAGUUUUCCAUUACGUAUGCUAGAGCAGAGAACAUGCAAGCAAUUACAAAAUCCAGACUGCGUACGCAAAAAAGGAAAUUGUACUCCAGAUAUAUAGCAACAGCACACUGACACAUAUCCAAAGCUCUUCUAUUCUCACACCAGAAAUAGUGGCGAAGGACAAUCUACAAGCAUGAAUAACUCAAAAGUAAUCAUCUUUUACAAUCCCCCCUCCCCCCACCAAUUAUGAAACAUAGCAUCAACAUUAAAGGAAUAAAAAGAAAUGCUGAUUCACAUCAUCCCCCACUUGUUGCAUGAAGCUAUUUAUGGUUGACAGCAGCCAGUUUAGGCACAUUCUGUGCAACCACCCACAAACUUCUAGUCCCUUCAACCAUAUGCAGCAGACCUCAAAUUACCAAUGGAAAAUACGACUGCUCAAGAAGAGAACCAAGAAGAGAAGCACUGUUCGCUUCAUCUUCAAUCAUUAAAGCCCCUAACAGGUAAUAAAGAGACAAUGGAUACUCAUUAAGAAGAUCAUUAUUCAAACCUUAGAAUAUACUUAACAGACAAACCCUUUGUGGGAAGACGCUCAACAUCCUGCGUAGAAAGUUUUGUGCGCUCUGCAAUAACAUUCAUGGGAAUGGUUCGAUUCUUAGAUGGUCAACUACAAACAUCUACAUCGCCAUUCUUCAACGAAGCUGUAAACUCUGUUUCCCAAAUUUUGUAACUCUCUAAUCUUAAGUCAGCCCACCAAAAUACCCAUAAUUCUUGUAAUACCCCAACUAACAGAUGCACAACAUGCCGGCACAUGAUUUCACACCAUCGAGCAGUCCACAGAAGCAUAGCAACAUAAAUAAACUACGAAGCUAUUACCUUAUGAAGCUAGAGCUCGAACUCAUGCUUCACUGCACAAAGAUAAUUCACACGAUCACAUUCAACUAAACACCAACUGCCACGCUACUCGUACCUGUUCUUCAGCGAUUAGCUGGUGAUCCGGAGCUUGAGUUCAGGCCCAUCCGUCCUGCCACUGGUGGAGUUAAUGAAUGCAAUCAAUGGAGCCUCAUGUAGCACCCGAAUUCAUCCAGCCGAGUGGCACUGAAGAGGAAGACUCGAAGCUCGCGGACAUGGAACUUGAAGCUCACGAUGGAACCUGGGAGAGAAGAGAGACAGCGGACGACGAACUGAAGCUUGUGAGGAACGAGCGAGCAGCGGCGAGGGCUGGGUGAUAGAGAUUUGCUUGAGCAGCUGGAAGAGAGGAGGAAGAAGAAAACGUGAAGGAGAAGCCUAAUCGCUGGUGCACGUUAAAAGAAAUGGAAAGCAAAUAAAGCAGAACAGUCAUGAUCUAUCAAUAGAAAGAAAGGCGCACCAAGGAUCCCCUCUUCAUGUUUCGGAGUUGCUGGUUUCACAGAAUCCGAAUUCAUUCCGAAUCUUCUCUCUUAAAGACUCCCGAUUGCCGCAAUAAGCAAACCAAUUGCCGUGUGGGCUCCAACUAGAUCUUAUGUCCAUCUGGCAGUCAUUCGGUAUUUUUGAGCUCGAUGCAUUUCCCCAUAUCGCAUAACUCCCCACGAAAUCUCAACAGCUGCAAAAACUCAAAUUCGUGGAUGCCCUCCACACGGCGCAGCUUCUCGCAGUCUUUAAUAUGUAACCUCUUCAAUUUCUUCAAGUUCGACAAACCUUUCAUCAUUCCUAAUGAACCACACCUUUCAACAGUAAAUACUUCCAAUAAUUCCAACGGAGAAACAAAAUUGAUAGCUCCUACCUCCUCGCAACUCUCCAUAUGGAACUCUCGAAGCAUCUUCAGGGAGCUUAGGACAAGGAGUUUUUUAUCGAGAGGGCAACCAUCAAGUCGCUCGUGCACCUCUUUUUUUCUUAAUUCUUCCGACGGAGGUAACCCACUGAGAUGUACAAGUUUCACUCCAGGGCAGGAGAGCUUUAAAACUAUCAAGGUUGACGGAAGUUGUAAGAGGGUUCCGAAGUUUAGUCCAAAUAGAGUAAGUUCUUUUAGCAAAUAAAGGGAACCCAACUCCGUAGUUGGUGCACGGACAUACCAUAAGCACAAGUGCAACUUGCGCAAUUUGGAUAACCUCCCAAUCCACCUCAAGUCACCGCUUGGAAUUUCAUUUGAUGUGGACAACCCACUGCCAGAGCCAUCAGAUACGAAUAAUUCAACUAGAUUAGUAAGGUUUGAGAGGUUAGGGACAAUCAUCAAUGAUUUAGAUAUCAGUCGUAGAGUGGUAAAAUUUCUGGGGAGCUCCGACCAUUCUCUUAUCCUAUGACAAUAUUGCAAGUUCAAUGUUUGGAGGUGACGCAAUUUGCUCAUUAUACUAGGCAGUUCUACAAUUGGUGUGUGUGAUACUUUGGUAAAGGACGGGCUACAUUGUCGAUCAAUGAAACCUAGUAAUCUUGUUCUGCAUGAUAUAUCUACCUUCGUCGACGACUCUAAUUUCGAAACUGAAUCUAGGAGCUUGCUCAAGCUAUUGCAUUUAUAAAUAGAGAGGUGUCGAAGAUUCUGUAACUCUCCAAUUUCUUCAGGCAAUUUUUCAAGUUUCGGACAUGACUUAAUACUCAAGUCAAUCAGCUACCUCAUUUUUCCAAUAGAGUGGUCAAUUCCCUUCAAAGAUGGACAAUGACAAAUAGUCAACUUCUCUAAAACUAAGUACUCUAGAAAGGUUGGUGUCCCAUGUAUCGAGUAAUUACUUUCAAGAGUGAGAACCUUCAAUUUUAUUGCCCCCUACAAAAGCAAAUCAAACAUUAGGACAAACAAUUAGAUGUCUAUACAAGAAAAAAAUAAUUAUGAAAUUAGGCUCCCAACUGGGAUCAUAUGUCAUCCGAUCCUCUCACUAACUGAGAAAAUUAUACUACAAAUCCAUCAAAUUAUGUCCUUCAUUGAAUGAGAAAAUUAGAGCAAGAGAGAAAGUCACGUACCUUGAUUAGGUAACUGAUCUCAUCUUUGCUGAGGUCAGAGGAACGAAUAUUCAUCACAACCACGUUUUCUAGACCCAAAUUGAAUUGCGAAUCAAGUUCUCCAGAAUGACCUGUUUUGCCCGUCAAAAUGAUCCAUCUCAACUUGGGAAGACAGCCCGUGAAGUCACCUUCGUAGACUACGCCACUCAACCAAAGAAACUUGAGACGUGAGAACCGCCUAAGUUGCUCUGCUAUGAUGGUUGUAGGAUUGCUAGAGGUCGUUCGCAAAUAGAGUGCUUGGACGCUUUCCUUCAUCUGCUAAUUACAUUGAGGAGCAGGAGCAGGAAUUUGUCAAUAAUCCUACAAUUUAAUUUGUCCAAGGGAAGAAAAAAAUUGAAUAGUAAAGUAGCUAUCAGUUCAAAAACGUGAUUAAAUCCUAAAUUAAGAACAUGGUAAGCAAUUUUCUAUACGAAUGUGGUCAUACUUCACCUCUAUUGAUCUUAAUUCGCAAAUUAUGUCAUCUUCAUUCCACAACCGGGUACGGUCUUGCAUAGCAAUUGCCCUUCCGAGAUCUCUACAUUGAUCAUGCAUCCAAAUUUCAUCUUUUUCUAAAACCUUUAUCAUGCACCUAUUAAUAAGGACAUGAAUAGCAUACUCCGCCUUAAACCCACAAUAUUUCCACUGGUAGAUUAGAUCGGCCUUUUUCCAACCAAUGAAAAAGCAUGCAAUAUCGAGAAAUAUGUGUUGUUGAUCCAGCUCUAAGGCAUCAUAGCUAAUCCUUAGCUUUCCCAACACAUCCCUAUGAGGUGUUUCCCUUAGCUUCUCUAGCAUCUCUUCCCAUAUUGUUUCCUCUUUCUCACCAAAAAGCAAUGAACCUAUAGCUGUAAGAGCUAAAGGUAGUCCACCCGUAGUUGAGACAAUGCUUUCGGAAAGAGUGUAAUAAUUGGUAGGAGGAGAGCUAUCAUCAAAGGCAUGCCUACUAAAAAGCUGGAGUGUCUUUUUUGCUCAACCCCUCCAUUUCGUAACACAAGAUUUUAUACUUAAAUCCCCUGAUUUUUAGAACACUUUUGUCCCUAGUGGUAACAAGUAUCCUAGUACCAGAACACAGAGUUCACUUCAAUUAGUUUUUGGAUUUGGUUGUCCUCAUCGAUGUCAUCCAAUACAAUUAGCAUCUUCUUGUUGCAAAUUGCUUGUCCAAUCAUAGUGAUCCCCCGAUUUAAGUUAUCAAUGUUAAGAUCCAAUCUAGAAUUGGAGAUAUCGGACAAUAAUUUUUUUUGCAACUUGACCAACGAGCCCUUGGCUUUUUCCAUUUCCCUCACAUCUUCAAGAAAGCUGCAAUUUUUCCCAAAGCAAGGACAUAGUUGGUUGAAGAUAAUUUUGGCAAGUGUUGUUUUACCGAUGCCACCCAUCCCGUAAAUUCCAAUGAGCUGAACGCCACCGGAAUCGACGUCUAAUAAAUUAUUUAUGACUGUUAUUCGAUCCUCCAUUCCAACUAAAUCUUUGGUCACUUGUCUUUGCCUUGUCUUGAGCCUGGUCACCACCUCCUAACAANNNNNNNNNNNNNNNNNNNNNNNNNNNNNNNNNNNNNNNNNNNNNNNNNNNNNNNNNNNNNNNNNNNNNNNNNNNNNNNNNNNNNNNNNNNNNNNNNNNNAGUUUGAAUUGAAAAAGGCAACAAAUUUGCAUGUUGAUCAACUAUCUACUAAGAAACCAAGUGGGAGCACGGCCAAGUUUAGGAUAUAUAAAAAUUCAACAUUACCCCCAAAAGCUUCGGGAACAUGAUGAAUUACAAACUUCAACAUCCAUUACAAGUUUAAGUUAAAGGAAUAGAACAAGAGAUAUGUUUGAUCUUUAUAUCAAGUAGGAGAAUCAAAAUUGUCGGCAAAAAAAAGUGGUUUAAUAAAAAUAUAAACUUUUGAUGAACUAUUGUGAUAGCAAAUUUACUCACUUCUUUCAACAUGGAAAAGAACUUUGCAAAGGCAAAGUUCCUUAAUCAAAGUCAAAUUAGUAUGCAAUAAAAAUCUUUAAGACAUACAUGGAUCAAAUUGGGAAAAUUGUCGAAAAAGCCUUAAACCUAAUGUACUUUUGUCAAUUCAGUCUUAAACCUUUUAACGUUGCCAAUUUAAUCAUAAACCUUUUCACUUCUUCCCAAUUCAGUCUAUCCAACCAAUUUUGGUCGGAAAAUGCUGAUGUGGAUGCCGACGGUGCCACGUCAACGCUGACGUGGAUACUUUUUAAUAAUAUUUUAAUAUUUUUUGAAUUAUUAUUUUUUUCUGUUUUUUUCCCCUUUUUUUUUUUCUUCUUUUCCUUCGUUUCUUUUUGGCUUUCUUCUUUGCCUUUUCCGAUGGUCGGCCACCAGCCACAGGCGACAACCAGCCAGCCAUUGACCACCGCCAGCCAGCCGGCCUCGCUCGCCAUAGGCGAGGCCUCGUCGGGCGAGGAGGAGCCCCGAUGAGGGGAGCCCUCACCUAGGCACGGCAAGGCCGACACUUGGCUGCACGAGGGCAAGCCCCGGCUGACAGCCAGCGACACCGCCCUACCCUAGGCGCCCGUCGGCCUCGCCUAGGCAACCCUUGCCGGGCCGCACCUGGGCUAGGGCUCCUCCUUGCCUAGCCAGGCCUCGCCUAUGGCGGGCAAGGCCAGCCAGCUGGUUGUGGCCGAUGGUCGGCCGUCCCCUGUGGCCGAUGGCUGACCACCGAAAAAGGCAAAGAAAGCCAAAAAGAAAAGAAAGAAAAGAAAAAAAAAUAGAAAAAUAUUAAAAAUUCAAAAUAUAUAUUAUUAAAAACUAUCCACGUUAGCGCCGGCAGUCCUACAUGGCACCGCCGGCAUCCACAUCAGCAUUUUCCGGCCAAGUCGGAUAAAUCAGCAAUAAGUGAAAAUGUUUAAAACUGAAUUGACAAAAUUAAAAUGUUUAUAACUAAAUUGGCAAAAGUGUAAUAGAUUUAGGAUUUUUUGGACAAUUUUCUAGAUCAAAUUAGUAUAAAGAAAGAAGCAAAGCCAAAUUUUCAUAUGAGGAAUAUUAGGUGAAAAACAAAAUCAUAACAACCCAAUUAGGUCAAAUAAAUUUGGAAAUCUCAUGACUUAAAACAACAAAAGAAAAUUUUGAAACUUUUUGUUUAAAUUUAGGGAAAUUAGAGUCGGACGAUAAUUGGUGAAUUUUAUGAGAACCAUGGCUUGAUUGUACAGAAUAAUUUUCAAAAUCAUGGUUAGAUUGUUACCCCGAAUAUUUCUCUAGUUCCCAUCCCUUGGUGCCGCCAACUUCUUUAAGAGCUUGGCACCACGUCUCUGCAUCCUUGGAGCUGAACUUCUUCUGAUCCUCCAUCUCUUGCUUUAAUUUCGAUAUAACCUUUCCAUACAACAUGGUUUUCAGCUUCACGUCAUAUGGAUUCACAUCAUAGAAGAUGGGUAAUAUGACCUUCUUCUCAUCUUCUUUAGAUUUAGAGGUGUUCUCAACCAUCUUCGCAAGCUCGCGGAGGCACCAACAACUUGAAGCGUAAAUUUUGGAAAAAAUAGGUAUGUUGAGUUUGGAAUCGUUGAUCGCUUGUAGAAGGUUGCCUCUAAUUCUUUCACCCAAUCGAAGCUCUUCGUCAUCGAUGAAAACAUGAAUCCCGGCAUCUACCAAGGCAUGAUAGAGGCUGCUGGUGAAUCCACGACGAGUAUCUAACCCUCUAAAACUCAGGAACACCUGAAACUCGCUUCCUGUAGUAUUGCCGCUGCUUGAUCUUAUCUCUGAGUUCGCCAUAGGAACUCAAUUCGCACGCGCACUUAGCAAAGUCAACCCCCCCGGCACGCGCAAUUAGCAAAGUCAACGCCGCCAACCCCUACGCCGGGGGACUUCUAGGCAAUUUCGGAUAAAGUCUUGUGGCUCUCGAUUGCAAUCAGAAGACUUUCGACCGGACUUUUUGGCAAAAAUAAUAAUACAUUCAGUGAUGGUGAGAGCUUUUAUUACAUUAUUAAUGUGAAAGCUUCUCCACCAGAUCAUCCUCCCUCAAAAAUUUACAAAAAGAGAACCCGUGCAUUACAUUAGAAAAAGGAAAAAUGGUUAAUUAUAUGAUAUAAACGAUGAAGCCCGAUGCCACUUUCGUUAGUUAGAGAUACCAUUUUGGAGGUUUGUAUUGCGUGGCUCACGGAGUUUAAUUGAAAAUUUCACGGACAAAAACUCUUAAUUCCAUUCGACAUAAAAAAAAACACGUCAAGGCAACUUUCAUCAUUCUUAAUGAACCGCACCUUUCAACAGUAAAUACUUCCAAUGAUUCCAACGUGUUGGGAAUAACCGAUUCCCUAAAAUCGAUCUGACAAUAAAUCGAAUCCCUGAAAUGAAUGCGAAAGACGAGCCCGGGAAUUACAUGUAUCACCGAUCAAAGAUAUACCACGAAAUCGAACAUACCUUAUUUGUCACAGACUGAUGUAGUUCGAGGAAGAAUCCUGAUCCCGUUCUACCGAAAAGCGUGCUUUCGCUAUUUGGGGGAGAAAAAACAUUGUUUUGAGGGUACUGUUCUCUUAGGUUUUUUAGAGGGAGAGAGAGACAAAAAACAAUGUAUGUAAGUUGAAGGGGCACAUUCCCUUUUUGUUUUCUCUCUUACAUCUUCUCUAACAGACAUAACUCUUCAACGUAAAACAUUCCCCCAAAAGACACAACUCCUCAUUCUAAACAACGUAGCCUUUCACAUUGCAACCGUUCCUCCAUGGGCCCUUAUCUUGUGGGCCGGGCUUUUAGGCCCAACAUAGGCAGACAAGCCCACUUAGGCCCGUCAUCACAUAUAAAAAAACCCAUCACAACGGAGACACAAAAUCAAUAGCUCUUACCUCCUCACAACUCCUCAUAUGGAACUCUCGAAGCAUCUCCAGGGAGCUUAGGACGAGGAGUUUUUCAUCGAGAGGGCAACCAUCAAGUCGCUCGUACACCUCUUUUUUUCUUAAUUCUUCCGAUGGAGGUAGCCCUCUAAGAUGUAGAAGUUUCACUCUAGGGCAGGAGAGCUUUAAAACUAUCAAGGUUGACUGAAGUUGUAAGAGGGUUCCGAAGUUUAGUCCAAAUAGAGUUAGUUCUUUCAGCAGAUAAAGGGAACCCAACUCCGUAGUUGGUGCACGGAAAAAACAUAAGCACGAGUGCAACUUGCUCAAUUUAGAUAACCUCCAAAUCCACCUCAAGUCACCGCUUGGAAUUUCAUUUGAUGUGGACAACCCACUGCCAGAGCUAUCAGAUAGGAACAAUUCAACUAUAUUAGUAAGGUUUGAGAGGUUAGGGACAGUGAGCAAUGAUUUAGAUAUCAGUCGUAGAGUGGUCAAAGUUUUGGGAAGCCAAACUUUUUAGGAGCUCCGACCACUCUCUUAUCUUAUGACAAUAUUGCAAGUUCAAUGUUUGGAGGUGAAGCAAUUUGCUCAUUAUACUAGGCAGUUCUACAAUUGGUGUGUGUGAUACUUUGGUAAAGGACGGGCUACAUUGUCAAUCAAUGAAACCUAGUAAUCUUGUUCUGCAUGAUAUAUCUACCUUCGUCGACGACUCUAAUUUCGAAACUGAAUCUAGGAGCUUGCUCAAGCUAUUGCAUUUAUAAAUAGAGAGGUGUCGAAGAUUCUGUAACUCUCCAAUUUCUUCAGGCAAUUUUUCAAGUUUCGGACAUGACUUAAUACUCAAGUCAAUCAGCUACCUCAGUUUUCCAAUAGAGCGGUCAAUUCCCUUCAAAGAUGGACAAUGACAAAUAGUCAACUUCUCUAAAACUAAGUACUCUAGAAAGGUUGGUGUCCCAUGUAUCGAGUAAUUACUUUCAAGAGUGAGAACCUUCAAUUUUGUUGCCCCCUACAAAAGCAAAUCAAACAUUAGGACAAACAAUUAGAUGUCUGUACAAGAAAUAAAUAUGAAAUUAGGCUCCCAACUGGGAUCAUGUCAUCCGAUCCUCUCACUAACUGAGAAAAUUAUACUACGAAUCCAUCAAAUUAUGUCCUUCAUUGAAUGAGAAAAUUAGAGCAAGAGGGAAAGUCACGUACCUUGAUUAGGUAACUGAUCUCAUCUUUGCUGAGGUUAGAGGAACAAAUAUUCAUCACAACCACGUUUUCUAGACCCAAAUUGGUUUGCGAAUCAAGUUCUCCAGAAUGACCUGUUUUGCCCGUCAAAAUGAUCCAUUUCAACUUGGAAAGACAGCCCGUGAAGUCACCUUCGCAGACUACGUCACUCAACCAAAGAAACUUGAGACGUGGGAACCACCUAAGUUGCUCUGCGGUGAUAGUUGUAGGAUUGCUAGAGGUCGUUCGCAAACAGAGAGCCUGGACGCUUUCCUUCAUCUGCUAAGGCAAAGUUCCUAAUCAAAGCCAAAUUAGUACGCAAUAAAAAUCUUAAAACAUACAUGGAUCGAAUUAGUAUAAAGAAAGAAGCAAAGCCAAAUUUUUAUAUGAGGAAUAUUAGGUGAAAAAAAAAGUCAUAACAACCCCAUUUCGUCAGAAAAAUUUUGAAAUCUCAUCACUUAAAACUACAAAAGAAAAUUUUGAAACUUUUUGUUUAAAUUUAGGGAAAUUAGAGUUGGACAAUAAUUGGUGAAUUUUAUGAGAACCAUGGCUUGAUUGUACAGAAUAAUUUUCAAAAUCAUGGUUAGAUUGUUACCCCGAAUAUUUCUCUAGUUCCCAUCCCUUGGUGCCGCCAACUUCUUUAAGAGCUUGGCACCACGUCUCUGCAUCCUUGGAGCUGAACUUCUUCUGAUCCUCCAUCUCUUGCUUUAAUUUCGAUAUAACCUUUCCAUACAACAUGGUUUUCAGCUUCACGUCAUAUGGAUUCACAUCAUAGAAGAUGGGUAAUAUGACCUUCUUCUCAUCUUCUUUAGAUUUAGAGGUGUUCUCAACCAUCUUCGCAAGCUCGCGGAGGCACCAACAACUUGAAGCGUAAAUUUUGGGAAAAAAUAGGUAUGUUGAGUUUGGAAUCGUUGAUCGCUUGUAGAAGUUGCCUCUAUUCUUUCACCCAAUCGANNNNNNNNNNNNNNNNNNNNNNNNNNNNNNNNNNNNNNNNNNNNNNNNNNNNNNNNNNNNNNNNNNNNNNNNNNNNNNNNNNNNNNNNNNNNNNNNNNNNNNNNNNNNNNNNNNNNNNNNNNNNNNNNNNNNNNNNNNNNNNNNNNNNNNNNNNNNNNNNNNNNNNNNNNNNNNNNNNNNNNNNNNNNNUCAACCCCCCGCGCACGGCUCAUUUGCAAAAGUCCAUCCCGCCCACCCCGUUCGCCGGGGGACUUAUAGGCCUAUUUCAGAUUAAAUUCUUGUGGCUGUCGAUUGCAAUUCAGAGGACUUUCGACCGGACUUUUUGGCAAAAAAUAAUUAUUACAUUCAGUGAUGGUGAGAGGUUUUAUUACAUUAUUAAUGUGAAAAGCUUCUCCCCCGGAUAUCCUCCCUCAAAAAUUUACAAAAAGAGAACCCCGUGCAUUACAUUAGAAAAAGGAAAAAAUGGAUAUUUAAUUAUAUGAUAUAAACUAGGGGUGUCAACGGUUCGGUUUGGUUCGUUUUUUAAAACCGAACCAAACCGAACCGUUAGGAAAAACUUCUGAACCGAACCGAAUAAGAUCCGAACUGAAUACAAACUUAACCGAAAUUUCAGUUCGGUUCGGUUUUUUGAUUUUUGGUUUUCAACUUUUAGUUUUCGGUUUUUACAUUUGUUUUUUUUUUGUUUUUUUUUUGUUGUAUUUCCAAGAAAUAAGCCCUUAUUGGUUUAUUAGUUCGGUUCAGUUCGGUUCAGGUAACCAAUAAAAACUGAACUGAUAAAAAUAUUUCAAUUUUUAAUAAGAACCGAACCGAAUGAAAACAGAAUUGAAAAAACCGUAUUUUCGGUUUAGUUCGGUUUUUGACACCCCCGAUGCCACUUUCGUUAGUUAGAGAUACCAUUUUGGAGGUUUGUAUUGCGUGGCUCACGGAGUUUAAUUGAAAAUUUCACGGACAAAAACUCUUAAUUCCAUUUGACAUGAAAAAGACGUCAAGGCAACUUUGCAGCGGGUGCAACUUCCAAUUCAUAGUUACUAAAGUCGAUGGCUUUAUAAAAAAAAUAAGGUGGAGGACAAUAAUGAAUCUGUACCUUUUCUAUAGUUUCACAUAUUUAAAAUCCCAAUCCAAUAUUGUAAAUUAACAAUUUAUCUAUAUAAAUGCAUAAUAACAAAAUAUUUCCAAAGAAUCACCUCUCAUUUGAAAAAAUGCUCCACCUAAGCGCUACCCAAGCUUAUACUUACUACUUACUAUGAAAUAUUUAAUUUGAUCUCUUCAUCUUAAAGACUUACCUUUUAUUAUAAAUAAUUGCAUGUAACCACUCGAGUAUUCUCAUUAAAUGUGCCUUUAUAUUAAAUGGCAAAAGAUUGUGCAAAUCUUUUUCAACACUUAUUUCCUUAGUAAUAACUACUAGAAUGUGAACAUGGUUGUUGACAUCUACAUUUUUGUGAUUAGAUUGUGCGUUUUAAAAAUAAAAUAAAAAAUUAGGGACCAAAUUUGCCAAUAAUGCUAUAAUUCAAUCCCUAACCAAGAACACCUAGCCCACACGAUUUUUGCAUUCGUUCCUCACAUUCGUGAUUAGAGGCAUGUUGAUUUCAAUACCUAGGGCCCGGCAUCAAAACAAUCUUGGACCGACGAAGAUGAUAGGCACUUUUGAUUCCCUCCAAUCUCUGAAGAAACAUUCAAGGCCACUCAACAUUACUCGAUUGAUUUUCUCCUUCUAAGUUGAUCCAUUUUUGUGCAUACCAUUAAACCUCAGCUAACCUGAUCGCUUUAGCCUUACUGGGGACAUGAAACUAAGUCAACAUAUGGGCCAUCUAGUCAACAAUCGACCAAGAGUUUCACCUGGGACCAGAGAGCGAGAGCGUGCGUAACAGAAAAGAAAAGAAAGCAAAGCAGAGGGUAGUCUUGGCAAUAGGAGGAAAUAGCAAGAGUAGGACCUGUUCAAUCAGUUUAUCUCGCUGCAUACUGAAAGUGAAUUAUUAUGCGAACAGCCCGAGGAUAGGAGAGGACAACAUGCAGGGAAUGUUUGUCAUUUUCUCGCCUGUUCCUCCGUUAAUCUCGCUGCACAUUGAAAGUGAAUUAUUAGGUGAACAGCCCGAGGAUGGGAGAGGACGACAUGCAGGGAAUGUUUAUCAAGUUUCUCGCCUGUUCCUCCGUUAAUCUCGUGUGCUAACCAAUCAUUGCUGCCAUCAAGGUCAAUUCGUCUUCACAAUAGUCGUUUUGACCCUGCACGGCCUGAACAAUCGGCUCCUCUCGAAUCUUUGGACUGAGCCAUCGCUCGAUGAGCUCACCGCUUCCCCACUUGUCCAGAUAAAUCCCCGCCUUCCAUCAGUAGCGUGGUCGUUGUGUCACCCCGCGUUCCAUGGGUUAAUCCUCUUGGCUGCUCUUUGCCAACACUAUGUUAGGAAAUCCCGCAUCAAAAAAUAAUGCAAACAAAUAGUCCACCGAAACUAAAUAUAAUAAUAAAAAAACAUAAGCGAAAUAACACGACAUAAAAUUUAUUAUCAAACUUCAUCCAAACUUGGACUAUGUUUUCGCGCAGAGACACUUUGCAAAUCUACCAGACUUUGAAUAAAGUUGAAAUACAGCAUGAUCUUUCGUAGAUCAAAGCACAAAUAGAGUUCUCAAAGAAAAAACUCAUUUUUUUUCUCUUUUUUUUUAAAAAAAAAAAUUUCUCUCUAUUUUCAUUUUCAGCCCCUUGAUGGCUAGCGUUUGACUAUCACUGAUGUAAAGUUUAGCUUUUAACCUAAAAGCAAAACUAAUAGAAAAAAAAAUGCCAUUAAAAAAAUUUGAUUUCACUCGCCAACAAUCUCCCACUUGAAGAAAAACAGACCAAUGCACCAAGCAACUUAACAUUCAUUUACUUAAAAAUCUAGUAAUUAAAAUGUGUGCCUUUGCGAUAGUCCUCAUCAACUAAGAUAAAAAUAAUACAAAUCGUCGUGUUGACUCAUAAAUUUUGCCUGUUCAUAUAGAAUUUAAUUGUAUAGAAAUUUAGAAAUUAAUUUUUAACCCCUAAACAAAAACUAGUUUUCUCUAGAAUUGCAUAGUAUUAGACAUUAUGAGCAUUUACAUUACAAUGUAUAUAAUUUAUAAGAAAAAAUUUAAAAAAUGGAAAAAAGAAAAAUAAAAAAUUAACUAAUUGAUUACAAAAUUAUUAUUUAAAAACGAAAGAAGAAGAAAAGAAAAAGUGAGAUCGGGCCAAGGUCAGGCCGGCCCAGCCUUCUUUCCCUUUCUUUUCAACCUUUUCUUUUUGCCUAGGCCCAGCCCGGCCCACUUUUCCUUUUCUUUUCUCCAAGCCCAGCCUCUUCCUUCAUCUUCUCCCCCGCGUUCUCCUACUCGCUCACGCUCUCACGCGUUCUGCAAAAAAGAAAAAAGGAGGACGAAGGACGGAAGCAGAGGCGGGACGGGGAGUGAGGAGCGCGCCUUUUGGGUCGGGAGCAGGCCGGCACGGCGAGCUGGCGGUGGCUGAGGCGAUGCACGCUUGCCGGGCGUUAGAGGGGGAUUCUGGGGGCUCGGACAGAGGGAGAAAUGGACAGAGAGAGAAACAGGGAGAUAGAGGGGAUCCGGCCGAGAGGGAGACCGCGAGUCAGAGAGCAGAAAAUUCCCCCCAGCUGAGCGCCGUUCGGCCAUCCUCGACACAAACCUAGAAUAGUAUCAUGAUCAUCAGUGUAGACUUUUUCUCAAGUAAGAAAAAAUUCUCUUUUAUUUUAUCUCAGAUCCAAUGACAAGGAUAAAGCGUCAGUUUGGGCAAGCAACCGGAUGCAAUUCUUUAGCAAUAUGACAAGGAUAAAGCAUCCUGCAUAAUGCUGCCUUGUGUUUGCACGAAUAGAUCUAAUCUUGUCGAAGGCAAGACCGCUCAUCUCUAACUAAUAACAACUACCAAAGAGUUGAUAUAUCUAGAGUAGUAUCAUGAUUCACUCUCCAAGGAUAAACACCCUCUAGAAAUGGAGAGAUCAGUUUCCCUAUGUCUUCUUUAGUUUGCCUGCAAACCAUAAAUGGUGGAAGUUGAGUUCAAUGGAGUAACCUGACAAGCCUAAGUUUCGAGUCACAAAAAUUUAUGUGUUUACAGUAUUGUCUCUCUUACUACGUAAUCUUUUGUUUUGAUGGGGCAAUCUUUCGAAACAUACUAAAACUGACAUCAAAGGCACUUUUACAGCAAUAAUAUUAGGGUAUAUUAGUGUUGUGUUUAUCCUAGACUAUGUUGGUACAUAGCUUCGAGGAAAUUUAAUGAAAUAUCAACCUGACUAAAUUAAAGUUCAAUGCAACCAAAUGCUAGGCUCUUAAGAAAAAAUGCUCGGUAGAGAGACUUGUCAAUUAAGAAGUUUAGCCGAAGCUCUCUCCGUUUUUCUUUCACACUGACGGCAGGCUUAAUGAUAAUAUAAAAUUUUCAUUAAAUCAUAUUAUGUUAAAUAUUAUAUUUUGGUGACCAAAUGCAGCCAAUCAAAUUCUGGUGAAGAAUUCUAUAAUAAUUAUGCUCUAUUUGUUACACGAAAAAUAAAUUAUUUGAUAAAUAUUUUCCAAAAAAUAAUACCUUGUGUCACUUAAAAUUAUUAAUCAAUGAACAAUGCUUUCAUUAUUAAUAAUAAUUUAUGUCUAAACAAUUGGGAAAAUGUCACAAAGAGUCCAUAUACUUUUACUUAUUGUGCAAUCUCGUCCCUAAAUUUUCGAUUGGCUCAAUUUAGUCCCUGAACUAUCGAUAAAUGUUCAAUUUAGUCCUUCCGUUACUGUUUUUCCCUUCUUCUUUUUUUCUUCCCUCCGCCGGCUCCGACGGAGGCGGCAGAGGGAAACCGGCAUCAGGCAAGGGUUGCCCUCACUUGGGCUGGCUAGGGCAACCCUUGCCCUCACCGGCGUCGGGCAAGGGCCGUCCUUGUUGGACGUAGGCGAGGAAGCCCCGCACCUCCCUCUAGAUCUAGCAAGGGCGCACCCCUGCCGGCAUCGGGCGAGGGGUGCUCUCGUUAGAUUUGGUGAGGGGCGUCCUUGCCUAACCCAGGUGAGGGAAGCCUAACGUCGAAGAGGGCCACCCUCUCCUACGUUCGGCGAGGACGGCCCUCGCCCAACGCCGGCAAGGGCGGCCCUCACUUGGCGCCAACUUCCCUCCAUCGGCUCCACCAUGGCUGGUAGAGGGAAGAGAGAAGAAGAAAACAAAAUAAAAAUAAAAAUAAAAAUAAAAAAAGACUAAAAUGCCAAAUUCUGUUAACUUUAAUUGACAAGAUGACGAAAUUGGUCAAUUUUCAAAUAGUCAUGGACUAAAUCGGACAUUUAUCAAUAGUUUAGGGACCAAAUUGAGCCAAUCAAAAGUUCAAGGAUAAGAUUGCACAUUAAAUACAAGUAUAAGGACCAUUUGUGACAUUUUUCCUAAACAAUUUGGUGAACAAUGAAAAAAUUUCUUAUCAUUCAUUUUUAUAAGCGAUACAAAUAAUUACAAGCAUUAUAAGUAAUCUUUUUUGAAAAAUAUUUUUUGAAUCAUUCAUUUCCCUCAAAUAGGAGGACAAUGAAAUAAUAUUCAGCCGAAGAAAAUGGAUAAUUGGGCCCAGUUUUCGUUGGCCCAAAAAUUCUUGGGCUUAAUUAAACCUUCGUCCCUCAGCCGAACGAAAGAAAGUCUCAUUUUUCAGUCGACCUGGAGGGCAUUUUUGGUUCUGAAUUGAGCUCAAACCUUCGUUUUCGCCCUAAUUCAUCUUCGAUCGAUCGAUCGACUGGUGAGGUCUUCAGGGAGCUUCUGUGAACGUUUUUCACUACUAAUCGUUACGCCGCUGCUUCUGUUCUUCAGUUUGAUAUCUAUUUUGCUUUUUUAAGCUAGUUUUCGUUGAUGUCGCGACUGUUUCUUGCUGAUUAGAUCGUCUUUGACCUAGGGCCGGAUGGUUUCUAGCUCGGGUAGCAAGAAAAUAAUGGAGAUCUCUUGUGGUGAUCGAGAUAGAUAGUAGUGUAAGAAGGUGAGAUGAAGAUUUCAGAAAUGUUGUGCCGUAGUUGUGUUCGAGCCGUAAUUGCUG
rnacentral:lncRNA from 1 species